GGCAAGGUGUGCGGGCACUACACGCAGGUGGUGUGGCGCAAGUCGACCCGCAUCGGCUGCGCGCGCGUGGUCUGCGCCGGGAACCGGGGCGUCUUCAUCACCUGCAACUACAACCCCCCGGGCAACUUCAACGGCGAGCGCCCGUUCCUCACCCUUGACGCCGAAGCCAAGUAGUACGUGCGUGUGAAUGUGAUCAUACAUGCAUACGUGCUUGUGUUUAUGUGUGUGUAUUUUGAAUAUUUACGUCUAUACAUAUGUUACGUACAGUACGUACGUAAAUAAGCCCACCUUCCGGCCUGCAUGUAUCCAUGCGGCUCUUUUUUCUUUUUCUUUUUUGAACACAGCCAUGCGGCUCUGUGGAGCGUGUGAAUGUAAUGAGUUAAUUGCGCUUUUGGUACAUAAACUUGCACGUCAUGUACAAAUUCAUAUAUAAACUUGAAAAAUGAUACAAAUUGGUCUAACAACUUGUGUUUCGGGUACAUUUACCUACAUUUCCGUCAUUGACCGUUAGUCGUCACUGGUAGAAAAAGGGCCUGUUGUCCCGGUUUGUAAGGGCCUUUAGUCCCGAUUCCUGAAUCGGGACUAAAGGGUCGGUACUAAUGCCACGGCGCUUUAGUCCCGGUUCAAUCCAGAACCGGGACUGAUGGGCCUCCACGUGGCCUGUGCGCGGAGCCCAGGCAGGAGACCCUUUGGUCCCGGUUGGUGGCACCAACCGGGACCAAUAGACAUCCACGCGUCAGCAUUUUUAUGGCUGGGGUUUUUGUUUUUUUAAAGAGGGGGAGGUUUGAGGGUUUUGGGGGGUUAAUUUAGGUGUUUCAUAUAUUGUGUUAGCUAGCUAUAAUUAAUAGAGAGAAGUGUCCUCUCUUAUGUCCGUGCUUGGUCGACGCUACAUAUUAUACAUACGUAUAGAGAGGACUAGACACGCUAGCUAGCUAGUAAGCAAACGAAGGAAACAGAAGAUCGUCAUGAACAUAUAUGCAUACAGAGAGAAGUGAUAUCGACCACCUCUCCUUCUCCGAGAGAUUGGUCGAACAACAAGUUCUCGUAUAUCUAUCCGACACUACCGGCUACAUAUAUAUAAUAAUUAUCUCUUACAAAUAUAAUCAUACGAACUCAUGGUCCACAUAGUAUUCUCCGUCUUCAGCGAUCACGUGGUCAAGAAAGAAUGCCGCCAAUUCCUCUUGAAUUGCUCGCAUACGAGCUGGUGCUAGGAGUUCAUCCCGCUUCCGAAACAUCUAAUUUGAAGAAGGGGGUCAAUACAUAUAUAUAUGAAUGAAUGAAACUCAACACAAAUGAUGGUAAUAAAAUAAAAUUGUGAAUGUUGUUAUUUACGUACUUCAUAUUGUUCGUCAGAGUACCCGCCCCGCUCACAGGUCGUGUGGCGGAUGGACUCACGGACGUAGUAUCCACAGAAAUCAUUCCCUUGUUCCUGCCACAACCACUUUACAAGAAAUAGAGGUCAAUCAAACUGAUAAGUGAGAAUGCUAAAUGGUAUUGAUGAAACUAGCGCUUGAAUCACUAGGAGAUGCGCGGAACAUGCUACUAUAGUACUUACUUUCGAGUGUCUAAAUUCCAGCUCCUUCGGCAGUCCCGGAACUUUUCUGGUGAAUUUUCUCCAAACCCUGCCGGACAAAAAAAAAACAAUUACUUGAUAUCAGGAAAUGAACAAAGUUGCUGAUAUGGUGGAUAAUGAUCGAUUUAACUUACUUCUUGAGGAUUUCAUUCAUGUCCGCAUACUCUUGGGGAUCUUUUUGUUUAGAGUCCAAGACAGUUACUACUCCCUGCUCAAGCCUAAUCUCUAGGAGAAUAUAGUGAUACCCGUGCACGCAUGCAUAACUCAUCAAUUACAUUACUAUAACCUGGACUAAUAUAUAAGGGAAACCGAAUAUGCACAAGACAGUAAGACUCACUUGAAGUUGUAAGGAAAGAGUAUUAUAUCUUUGUUUUCAUUUUUUUAAUGAUCGUAGCAAGUUGGCCUCGGUAUCUUCGGGACGAUGUUCAACCUCAGUUGUAUCUAUGAGAUAUGUGUUAACGAACCCAAUAUCACCGAUUUGUCUUUUCUUCAAUUCGGCGAUCUUCAAUCUGCAUAAUAUAGUGAGGAUAAUUAUAAAUACAUGCAAUGAAAGAGAUGGGCUAUAUAGAGAGACUUAAUGACAGAAGUAGUAGUACUUACAAACAGUAGCAGGUGACCGUUGUUUUAUCGAGGGCCAAUUGAUUGAAAAACUGAUAGAACUCCUCAAAUGGAAUAUGCAACAGUUCAAUUCCAACGAGGUCAUGCUCCGGUUUAACUCUCGCAUACAAAGUACUCCUCCCCCCAGACUCUCUGCAGAUUUUCAAGUACCAAUCAUGUAAUCUUCGCAUCAUCGUUGUUUAAGAUUUUUCAUCUUUGACGAGAGGCUUCCCGUACUCGUAUCUGUGUAUCUGCACCUCCAUGGGAUCAUAAUGUACAUCGUCGGGCAGGUAAUCGUCAACAUUGCAAUAACCGGGCACCAUCCUCGGAUCGACGAUGUCGCUAGGCACCUUGAGCGGGGGGCACGAUUGCUUCGCUUGUUUGCCGAGCUGGGCAAUUUGUUUCCCGGCUUCUCGUCGUUCUUUCAGCCUUUGAUCACUAACUGUACUUCCCGACCGCUCCGCUUCGGCCCAUGUCUUUGCAAUAAUGCGCUCAUAGUUGCCUUUCGGCAGAGAUUUGGGUGGUUUUACCAGGGCAGCCAGAGUGCGCUUCACUUUCACGGGAUCUACCUUCUCCUCUGGAAAUGGAUGUCUCUUUGCUUUCAACCUUUGAAACCAGUCAUCCACUUUGGUUCGCGCGAUCUUCGCGUUCUCCUCCAGGGUCCUCUCGUAUGGUAACUUUUGUGGACUCUUCAGAGAAGGACCGAAUCUGUAUGUCCUCCCGCCUCUGGCUGUACUGCUAGACGUCGGCCGAACAGACGGAGCGGUUGUCUUCUUUACUUGCUUACGAGGCGGAGGAGAAGUACUAUGAUGCGCCGGAGCAGCUGCCGGAGCGGCGGCGGGUCUUUUCUGCCCUUGCUGACGAGGCGGAGAAGGAGGAGGCUGGCUGCUCGGGCGCGCCGGCGCAGGCGGAGAAGGAGGCGGAGUGCCACCACGCGCCGGAGAAGGAGCCGGCCGAGGGCCCUGAUCAUCACUCGCCGGAGGAGGAGGCAGUGGAGGAGGCGGAGUGCCCUGACUCGCCGGAGGAGGAGGAAGAGGCGGAGGCGUCCAGUUCGGAAGGUUGAUGAGCUCCUUCCGCCAUAGGCAUGGAGUCUUCAGAGCAGAACCCAACCGAGUCUCCCCUUCACCGGUAGGGUGGUCAAGCUGGAGGUCCUUAAAUCCCUCCGUUAUUUCAUCCACCAUCACCCUAGCAUAUCCUUCUGGAAUCGGCCGGCAGUGAAAAGUUGCGCCGGGUUCAGUAGGAUAAACAGAGCCAACAGCCGCCUUGACCUUCAAAUUCAUCCAUUGCGUCAUAAGGUGGCAAUUUUGAGACUCCGUGAUAGCAUCCACGGGAUAGCUGGCAGGAGCCGUCAAGGCAUGCUCCGGCUAAAGCAGCUCGGUGGAUGCCACGCUGCUUCUCCCUGAGAUGGUGAGGUAGCUUCGGGGGAAGCUUCGGCAGUACGUUUUCUGCGAUUUGCUUCUCGUGCCUCUAUCGCUUGUACCCUUGCUUGCAGCGCCUGCAUUUGGGUCUGCUGCACUUUUUUCCUCCUCUCAUGGGAUUUGUAACUGCCUGCAUCUGGAAACCCAACCUUCCACGGAAUGGAGCCUGGCGUGCCUCGUGUCCGUCCAGGGUGCUCAGGAUUCCCGAGGGCCAUUGUGAGCUCGCCGUUCUCUCUGUCUGGAAGGAACGUCCCUUGCUGCGCUGCUUCGAUAUAAUGCUGAAGCUUCCUGACUGGUAUGUCCAUUUGAUCAUUCGUCCAAAUGCACUUCCCUGUUACAGGGUCCAAGGUUCCGCCAGCCCCGAAGAACCAAGUCCGGCAACGGUCUGGCCAGUUAAUUGUCUCUGGUUCGAUCCUUUUAUCAACCAGAUCAUUCUCAAUCUUGGCCCACUUAGGCCGGGCUACGAGGUAGCCACCUGACCCCGUGCGAUGGUGAUGCUUCUUCUUUGCAGCAUUUUGCUUGUUUGUCGCUGACAUCUUCUUACUCUUUUUCGAUGUCUUGUGGGCCACAAAUGCGGGCCAGUGAUCUCUGAUCUUCUCAUAUCUGCCCUUGAAUUCUGGUGUCUCAUUAUUUUCGACAAACUUAUUCACCUCUUUCUUCCACCUCCUGAAUAGUUCUGCCAUCCUCUUAAGAGCAAAAGACUUGAUUAAUUGCUCUUUAACUGGCUUCUCUGGAUUAUCCUCUGGCAGUAGGGUGAAAUUUGACUUCAGCUCAGUCCAAAGAUCAUUUUUCUGCAUAUCAUUGACAUAAGACACCUCAGGGUCUUCUGUAGCCGGCUUAAACCAUUGAUGGAUGCUGAUCGGGAUCUUGUCCCUAACCAAAACCCCGAACUGAGCAACAAAUGCGCUCUUUGUCCGGAGGGGUUCAAUCGGUUGGCCGUCAGGCGCGAUUGCUAUGAUCUCAAACUUUUCAUCCGAGCUCAACUUUUUCUUUGGGCCUCGUCUUUUUACCGAAGUUGUGCUCGAUCCAGAGGGCUAGAAAAAAGAACAAAGACUUAAUUAAUAUGUGUACAUAUCAAAACAAUGAAUGCAUCAAUUUGCUAGUCAGUAGAAGCUUAACUAAUAUAUAUACUUGGCCGGACUCGGUUCGGUCACCGGAGACGUCCUCACGGUCUCCUUCUUGCACCGGCAUUAGGUCACCGGAGCCAUCAUAAUCAGCUGCUUCCAGACCAUCGGUCUUGUUGAGAAACAACAAGCAGAUGGCAUCACUUCCUCGUGCGAUUAUGUCCCCCAACAACUCUUCUUGUACUUCGUCUCGGGUGGUGUCCAUAGUUUCUACAAAUAUUGACAACAUGUCAAUUAUUAUUCAAACAUGACAGAUGGAUAUAUUAGUGGCAAAAACGUAGAACUAAUAUUAAUUAGUGGCCUCGACACUGCUUCUCUAGGGUUUGGGGUGGCCUCGACGCUGCUUCUCUAAGGUUUGGGGUGGCCUCGACAACGCUUCAUGGAUAAAAAAAGAAGAGGAAGAAGAAAAAAAAGAGGAGAAGAAAGAAUAGAGGAGUUCUUACUCCUCUAUUCUUUCUUCUCCUCUUUUUUUCUUCUUCUUCCUCUUUUUUUUUAUCGGGAACGAGGGUCGUCGAGGGUCACCGAACGGUAGAGGAAACCCUAAAUAGCAAGUAUCGUGGGUGUGAGAUACAUGUGGCCGUCGGUGUCGGACACUACAUCCACGUCCCACAAGUGACGUGGGCGUCGAAGCCCGCACCACUUGUGAGAUGUGGAUGUAGUGUCCGACAGCGACGGUACAUGUAUCUCACACCAACGAUACUUUCUAUUUAGGGUUUCUCCUCUACCGCUCGGCGACCCUCGUUCCCGAUAAAAAAAGAACUCCUCUAUUCUUUCUUCUCCUCUUUUUUUUCUUCUUCUUCCUCUUUUUUUAUCCUCUUCUUCCUCUCAUGUUCGAGAGGAUCGCCGAGGGGUCGGGAGGUUGCCUAGUGUCAAAGGAUUCAACAAAACCAUGUCUUCAUCAUUAGGAGAAAGUAACAUGUGCAUGACGGUACGAAGCUCUCCAAAGUUAUUUUGGAACGGAGUCCGAGAUAAGAUAAUUCGCUUUUUGGUACAAAGUUCAGCAACACCUUCCAAAUAUCGUUAUUUGGAAGGCCUUUGCUGAAAUUCAUACAAAAAGGCAAAUUAUCCUAUCCGGGACACCAUUCCAAAAUAACUUUGGAGGACUUCGUCAUGCCCUGGUUACUUCCGGCUAAUGAUGAAGCCAUGGAUUUCUUCAAUACUUUGACACUAGGAAACCUCUCUCGACCCCUCGGUGAUCCUCGACCCCUCGAACCCUCGACGACCCUGGAACCCUCGACCCUCGAUCCCUCGACCCUAUAGAACCCUCGAAGAAAGGAAUAGCUAGAGGAAAAGAUUGAAGAAAAAAAGAAGAAAAAAAAAGGAGAAGAAGAAAGGAAUAGUGGAGAAGAAGAGAAAAUAGAAUAUUCUAUUUUCUCUUCUUCUCCACUAUUCCUUUCUUCUUCUCCUCUUCUUUUCCUUCUUUUUUCUUCUUCUUAUUUAUUUCUCCUCUUCUUUUCCUCUCCUCUUCUUCUUUCUUUCCUCUUCUUAUUUUCUUCUUUCCUAUCCUCGAUGACCCUGGNNNNNNNNNNNNNNNNNNNNNNNNNNNNNNNNNNNNNNNNNNNNNNNNNNNNNNNNNNNNNNNNNNNNNNNNNNNNNNNNNNNNNNNNNNNNNNNNNNNNNNNNNNNNNNNNNNNNNNNNNNNNNNNNNNNNNNNNNNNNNNNNNNNNNNNNNNNNNNNNNNNNNNNNNNNNNNNNNNNNNNNNNNNNNNNNNNNNNNNNNNNNNNNNNNNNNNNNNNNNNNNNNNNNNNNNNNNNNNNNNNNNNNNNNNNNNNNNNNNNNNNNNNNNNNNNNNNNNNNNNNNNNNNNNNNNNNNNNNNNNNNNNNNNNNNNNNNNNNNNNNNNNNNNNNNNNNNNNNNNNNNNNNNNNNNNNNNNNNNNNNNNNNNNNNNNNNNNNNNNNNNNNNNNNNNNNNNNNNNNNNNNNNNNNNNNNNNNNNNNNNNNNNNNNNNNNNNNNNNNNNNNNNNNNNNNNNNNNNNNNNNNNNNNNNNNNNNNNNNNNNNNNNNNNNNNNNNNNNNNNNNNNNNNNNNNNNNNNNNNNNNNNNNNNNNNNNNNNNNNNNNNNNNGAGGAGAAGAAGAAAGGAAUAGCUAGAGGAGAAGAUCGAAGAAAAAAAUAAGAAAAAAAAGAGGAGAAGAAGAAAGGAAUAGUGGAGAAGAAGAGAAAAUAGAAUAUUCUAUUUUAUCUUCUAUUUUCUCUUCUUCUCCUCUAUUCCUUUCUUCUUUUCCUCUUCUUUUUCUUUUUUUCUUCUUCUUAUUUAUUUCUCCUCUUCUUCUCCUUUCUUCCUCUUCUUAUUUUCCUUUUUCCUCUCAUUCUUGUUCUUCUUCUAUUAACAGAAAAAAAAAUCCUAACUUUUCUAAAAAUCUAUCUUUUGCAUACAUGAACAUAUAUAUACACAGAGAACAUACAUACCUAUAUACAUUUUUAUAAAAAUGCAAAAAACAAAAAAUCUAAAAAAAGGGCAUAUACACGCUCCUUCUUUUCCUUCUUCUUCCUUCUUCCUCCUUCCUCUUUUCUUCUCCAACACAACACUUUUUUUCUUAAAUGUUACAUAUGAACAUAUAAAGAGCAUUAUACAUCAUAUACAGAGCAUUAUAUAUACAUUGAACAUACAUACAUACAUACAUACAUCUUAACAGAAAAAAUGAAAAAUAGGCCGCGGUGGUCGGCGACGGCGACGAUGGUUGGCGGUGGCGCUUACGGAUGGCAUGCGGGGACGGCAAUGAGAAGGAAAGGGGAGGAGGCAGGGGCUCACAGCGCGGGGAGGGGUCGAGGUCGCCGGCCGGAAUCGGUGUGGCGGUGGACAAUAGCGACGACGGGCGCGGGGAGGGGUCGGGGCCGGCCUGAAGCAAAGGCGGUGGCGCGUGGGGCAGGGACGGCGUCGGGGCGACGCGGGGCAGCGGUGGCGUCGAGGCGGCGAGGUCGGGGCAACGGUGGAGCGGGGCGGCGCGGUGAGGCGGACGGCGAUGNNNNNNNNNNNNNNNNNNNNNNNNNNNNNNNNNNNNNNNNNNNNNNNNNNNNNNNNNNNNNNNNNNNNNNNNNNNNNNNNNNNNNNNNNNNNNNNNNNNNNNNNNNNNNNNNNNNNNNNNNNNNNNNNNNNNNNNNNNNNNNNNNNNNNNNNNNNNNNNNNNNNNNNNNNNNNNNNNNNNNNNNNNNNNNNNNNNNNNNNNNNNNNNNNNNNNNNNNNNNNNNNNNNNNNNNNNNNNNNNNNNNNNNNNNNNNNNNNNNNNNNNNNNNNNNNNNNNNNNNNNNNNNNNNNNNNNNNNNNNNNNNNNNNNNNNNNNNNNNNNNNNNNNNNNNNNNNNNNNNNNNNNNNNNNNNNNNNNNNNNNNNNNNNNNNNNNNNNNNNNNNNNNNNNNNNNNNNNNNNNNNNNNNNNNNNNNNNNNNNNNNNNNNNNNNNNNNNNNNNNNNNNNNNNNNNNNNNNNNNNNNNNNNNNNNNNNNNNNNNNNNNNNNNNNNNNNNNNNNNNNNNNNNNNNNNNNNNNNNNNNNNNNNNNNNNNNNNNNNNNNNNNNNNNNNNNNNNNNNNNNNNNNNNNNNNNNNNNNNNNNNNNNNNNNNNNNNNNNNNNNNNNNNNNNNNNNNNNNNNNNNNNNNNNNNNNNNNNNNNNNNNNNNNNNNNNNNNNNNNNNNNNNNNNNNNNNNNNNNNNNNNNNNNNNNNNNNNNNNNNNNNNNNNNNNNNNNNNNNNNNNNNNNNNNNNNNNNNNNNNNNNNNNNNNNNNNNNNNNNNNNNNNNNNNNNNNNNNNNNNNNNNNNNNNNNNNNNNNNNNNNNNNNNNNNNNNNNNNNNNNNNNNNNNNNNNNNNNNNNNNNNNNNNNNNNNNNNNNNNNNNNNNNNNNNNNNNNNNNNNNNNNNNNNNNNNNNNNNNNNNNNNNNNNNNNNNNNNNNNNNNNNNNNNNNNNNNNNNNNNNNNNNNNNNNNNNNNNNNNNNNNNNNNNNNNNNNNNNNNNNNNNNNNNNNNNNNNNNNNNNNNNNNNNNNNNNNNNNNNNNNNNNNNNNNNNNNNNNNNNNNNNNNNNNNNNNNNNNNNNNNNNNNNNNNNNNNNNNNNNNNNNNNNUACUAUAAAAAUAGUUUUUUUCUUGUUUUUUUGAUUUGUUUUUUGCAUUAUUUAUUUUCUUUUGUUUUUUGCUUUAAUUUUUAAUUCUGUUUGCUUUUAGGUUAGCAAAAUUAUAAACCUUCUGUCAGUGCCAUUAGUUUUAGAAAAAUUAUAAACUUUCUAUUAGUGCCAUUAGUUUUUAAAUUUGAAUAGUUAAAAUUUGAAUUCUUUGAAAAUUGUUUGAAUCACAAGUUUGUGAUUAACUUACUAAAAAAAUGAGAAUAGAUGCGCUUAUAGAGAAAAUUCAACCUAAAUUCCUAGUAAAUUUCUAUGAAUUUCAGAGAAAUUCACUAUGAAUUUAGGGUAAACUUUUCUCUAUUAGGGCAUCUAUUUUCACUUUGAGAGGAGCUCAACAAGGCAGAGAGGGAAGGGCUUAUAAACCGGUGUGAGCCCCCUUCGGUUGGCGAGGUGGGACUAAACUCUGCCCACAAUGAGGACCAACCCUUUAGUCCCGGUUUGUGGCACAAACCGGGACUAAUGGUCAUGGGCCAGGGGCGAGGAGCAAAAUUAUAAACUUUCUGUUAGUGCCAUUAGUUUUAGAAAGUUGAAAGUUGAAAGUUGGCAUGGGCCAGGGACUAAUGGUCAUGGUAUUACGAGGGCCGAACCAUAAGACAUGAAAGCAUUUCAAAUGAACUCUGAAAAGUUGAAAGUUGGGAUGGUAUCAUAAUUUCACCCACAUAGCAUGUGCAUGUACAAAACGGACAAUGGUAGCAUGUUCGUGUGUUACAAAGUUGCGGGAGAAAGUCUUCACUUUUUCUUCGCUUGUGUCAUUUUCUUAUUGCGCCGUAACCAUGGAUAAUCUUCAUUUUUUAUCAGGAUGCUUGGGUCAGCCUUGACAUUGAAGGGACGAAUUUCAUGAAACUUUUCAUAAUCUUCAGACAUGUCUGUCUUGCCGUCCACUCCCAGGAUGUCCCUUUUUCCUGAAAGAACUAUGUGGCGCUUUGGCUCAUCGUAUGAUGUAUUCGCUUCCUUAUCUUUUCUUUUUCUCGGUUUGGUAGACAUGUCCUUCACAUAGAUAACCUGUGCCACAUCAUUGGCUAGGACGAAUGGUUCGUCAGUGUACCCAAGAUUUUUCAGAUCCACUGUUGUCAUUCCAUACUGUGGGUCUACCUGUACCCCGCCGCCUAACAGAUUGACCCAUUUGCACUUAAACAAAGGGACCUUAAAAUCAGGUCCGUAGUCAAGUUUCCAUAUGUCCACUAUGUAACCAUAAUAUGUGUCCUUUCCGCUCUCGGUUGCUGCAUCAAAGCGGACACCGCUGUUUUGGUUGGUGCUCUUUUGAUCUUGGGCGAUCGUGUAAAAUGUAUCCCCAUUUAUCUCGUAUCCUUUGUAAGUCAAUACAGUCAAAGAUGGUCCCCUGGACAACAAGUACAACUCAUCACAAACAGUGUUGUCACCUCUGAGACGUGUUUCCAACCAACUGCUGAAAGUCCUGAUGUGUUCACAUGUAAUCCAGUCGUCGCACUGCUCCGGGUGUUUGGAGCGCAUACUGUUCUUGUGUUCAUCGACAUACGGGGUCACCAAGGUAGAGUUCCGUAGAACUGUGUAGUGUGCUUGAGACCAAGAAUAUCCGUCCCUGCAUAUUAUUGAGUCUCUUCCAAGAGUGCCUUUUUUAGUCAGUCUCCCUCAUACCGCGAUUUAGGGAGACCUAUCUUUUUAAGGCCAGGAAUGAAGUCAACACAAAACCCGAUAACAUCCUCUGUUUGAUGGCCCAUGGAGAUGCUUCCUUCUGGCCUAGCGCGGUUACGGACAUAUUUCUUUAGGACUCCCAUGAACCUCUCAAAGGGGAACAUAUUGUGUAGAAAUACGGGCCCCAGGAUGACAAUCUCGUCGACUAGAUGAAUUAGGACGUGCGUCAUGAUAUUGAAGAAAGAUGGUGGGAACACCAACUCGAAACUGACAAGACAUUGCGCCACAUCACUCCUUAGCCUUGGUACGAUUUCUGGAUCGAUCACCUUCUAAGAGAUUGGAUUGAGGAAUGCACAUAGCUUCACAAUGGCUAAUCGGAUGUUUUCCGGUAGAAGCCCCCUCAAUGCAACCGGAAGCAGUUGCGUCAUAAUCACGUGGCAGUCAUGAGACUUUAGGUUCUGAAACUUUUUCUCUGGCAUAUUUAUUAUUCCCUUUAUAUUCGACGAGAAGCCAGUCAUGACCUUCAUACUGAGCAGGCAUUCAAAGAAGAUUUCUUUCUCUUCUUUCGUAAGAGCGUAGCUGGCAGGACCUUUAUACUGCUUCGGAGGCAUGCCGUCUUUUUCGUGCAAACGUUGCAGGUCCUUCUGUGCCUCAGGUGUAUUUUUUGUCUUCCCAUACACACCCAAGAAGCCUAGCAGGUUCACGCAAAGGUUCUUCGUCACGUGCAUCACGUCGAUUGAGGAGCGGACCUCUAGGUCUUUCCAGUAGGGUAGGUCCCAAAAUAUAGAUUUCUUCUUCCACAUGGGUGCAUGUCCCUCAGCGUCAUUCGGAAUAGCUAGUCUACCGGGACCCUUUCCAAAGAUUACGUAGUGUAAAUCAUUGACCAUAGCAAGCACGUGAUCACCGGUUCGCAUGGCGGGCUUCUUCCGGUGAUCUGCCUCGCCUUUGAAAUGCUUGCCUUUCUUUCGACAUUGAUGGUUGGUCGGAAGAAAUCGACGAUGGCCCAGGUACACAUUCUUCCUGCAUUUGUCCAGGUAUAUACUUUCAGUGUCAUCUAAACAGUGCGUGCAUGCAUGGUAUACUUUGUUUGUCUGUCCUGAAAGGUUACUGAGAGCGGGCCAAUCGUUGAUGGUCACGAACAGCAACGCCUUAAGGUUAAAUUCCUCCUGUCUGUGCUCAUCCCACGUACGUACACCAUUUCCAUUCCACAGCUGUAAAAGUUCUUCAACUAAUGGCCUUAGGUACACAUCAAUUUCGUUGCCGGGUUGCUUAGGGCCUUGGAUGAGAACUGGCAUCAUAAUGAACUUCCGCUUCAUGCACAUCCAAGGAGGAAGGUUAUACAUACAUAGAGUCACGGGCCAGGUGCUAUGAUUGCUGCUCUGCUCCCCGAAAGGAUUAAUGCCAUCCGCGCUUAAAGCAAACCAUACAUUCCUUGGGUCCUUUGCAAACUCAUCCCAGUACUUUCUCUCGAUUUUUCUCCACUGCGACCCGUCAGCGGGUGCUCUCAACUUCCCAUCUUUCUUUCGGUUCUCACUGUGCCAUCGCAUCAACUUGGCAUGCUCUUCGUUUCUGAACAGACGUUUCAACCAUGGUAUUAUAGGAGCAUACCACAUCACCUUUGCAGGAACCCUCUUCCUGGGGGGCUCGCCGUCAACAUCACCAGGGUCAUCUCGUCUGAUCUUAUACCGCAAUGCACCGCAUACCGGGCAUGCGUUCAGAUCCUUGUAUGCACCGCGGUAGAGGAUGCAGUCAUUAGGGCAUGCAUGUAUCUUCUCCACCUCCAAUCCUAGAGGGCAUACGACCUUCUUUGCUGCGUAUGUACUGUCUUGCAAUUCGUUAUCCUUUGGAAGCUUCUUUUUCAAUAUUUUCAGUAGCUUCUCAAAUCCUUUGUCAGCCACAGCAUUCUCUGCCUUCCACUGCAGCAAUUCCAGUACGUACCAAGCUUUGUGUUGCCAUCUUCGCAAUUGGGGUAUAACCCUUUUUUGUGAUCCUCUAACAUGCGAUCGAACUUCAACUUUUCCUUUUGACUUUCGCAUUGCGUCCUUGCAUCGACAAUGACCCGGCGGAGAUCAUCAUCAUCGGGCACAUCGUCUGGUUCCUCUUGAUCUUCAGCAGCUUCACCCAUUGCAGCAUCAUUGGGCAGAUCGUCUGGUUCCUCUUAAUCUUCACCAGCUCCCCCCAUUGUAGCAUCACCGUAUUCAGGGGGCACAUAGUUGUCAUCGUACUCUUCUGCUUGUUUGCCUCAGCCGCAUCGAGAAACUCAUGCACGCCCUUAAUGUACUCACGGGUGUGUCUGUCACCAUACAUCCAUUGCCGGUUCAUCUGCGUGCAUUAUAUAUAAUUAAGUGUCCAAAUUAAUAGAAGUUCAUCAUCACAUUAAAACCAAAGUGCAUACAUAGUUCUCAUCUAACAACAUAUAGCUCUCCAGAGCAUCUAAUUAGUUAAACCAUACAUUGAAACUAUGUAAAACAUUUCAAUGCGAAAACAAAUGCAAUCAUAAUCGCAACCAAGGUAACAAUUGAUCCAACGACAUAAUGAUACCAAGCCUCGGUAUGAAUGGCAUAUUUUCUAAUCUUUCUAAUCUUCAAGCGCAUUGCAUCCAUCUUGAUCUUGUGAUCAUCGACGACAUCCGCAACAUGCAACUCCAAUAUCAUCUUCUCCUCCUCAUUUUUUUUUAUUUUUUCCUUCAACAAAUUGUUUUCUUCUUCAACUAAAUUUAACCUCUCGACAAUAGAGUCGGUUGGCAUUUCCGAUUCACAUACAUCCUACAUAAAUAAAAUCUAUGUCACGUUGGUCGGCAUAAUUUUCAUAGACAAUAAAUGAACCAAUAGUUAUAAAGAUAAUAUAUAUACCACAUCCGAAUCAUAGGCAGGACAAGGGCCGACGGGGGCGGAUACCAAAACCAUCGCACUAUAUAAGAUGAAAUAAUAAAAGUAAGAAAAUAAUACAAGUAUCUAUGUAAACAUACAAGUAAGAAUAUUUUUCCUUUCAGAAAGAAGAUAAAACAAGAGGCUCACCACGGUGGUGCCGGCGAUGAGCUCGGCGCGGGUGAUCGACGGCGGUGAAGACGGGGACGGGGCGUGACGGACCGCUAAACCUAGACAAAUAUUAUGGAAAAUGGAGUUUGGAGGUCUUGGAGGUCGAGCUUGGAGAGGAGAAAGUUUAAGUAGUGUGGCUCGGGCAUUCCAUCGAACACCUUGUGUGCAUAGGAGGUGAGCUAGAGCACCACCAAGCCCUCUCCCCCUCGGCCUGAGAAAAACAGAGCACUGAGGUGCUCUGCUCGCGAGCGAGGGGUAUAUAUAGGCACUUCAUUGGUCCCGGUUGGUGGCAUGAGCCGGGACUAAAGGGGAGCCUUUGGUCCCGGUUCAAGCCACCAACCGGGACCAAUGAUGGUGGGCCAGGAGCGAGGCCAAUUGGUCCCGGUUCAUCCCACCAACCGGGACCAAAAGGUCCAGAUGAACCGGGACCAAUUGCCCACGUGGCCCGGCCGGCCCCCUGGGCUCACGAACCGGGACCAAUGCCCAUAUUGGUCCCGGUUCUGGACUGAACCGGGACUAAUGGGCUGACCCGGCCUGGACUAAAGCCCUGUUUUCUACUAGUGUGUCCAUUAAACUGUGCAUGUAAACUGGCCCACACUGCAUAGAUGUGUGUGGAUCCCACCUGUCAGUGGCAUAGAAACAAACAGAGAUAUAUAUAAAAGUAGCCCCUCCACAGCAGAAUUCGAACUAGCAACUUCUCCAAGCAAACAUCAAAGAUUAGCCACUGCACCACCGACCACUCUUUGUAUCAGGUAAUGGAUUUGAAUUCAAAAUAUGUAUUGCACCGGAUUUGCUGCUUGCAUGCGUCUCUCAACACCCCUUUUUUCCCCUGGUCCAGUGAGUACCCAAAACUCGGUGAGCAAAGAAUGUUUUUGAUAUUGGUCAAAUAAAAUUAUUUUUUGAAUAUAAAAGGUCAGGUAUUGUCAAAUAGAGCUCGUAUGCAUAUAUUUUUCACAUGACAGUUUUUUUCCAAGUGAAAAGGUGCGCGAACCAGCUUGCAAAACUAGGCCAUUUUAGUGUUAUAUUCAAUGUUUUUCAAAAAAUCAGUGAGCACAGAAUGUUUUUUAUAUUGUUCUUUUAUUGGAUUUAAAAAGUCAGAUAUUGACAAAUAGAGCUCAUAUAUAUGCAUAUGUUUUUCACAUAACGACUUUCUUCCAAGUUAUAAGGCCGGCGAACCAUCUUGCAAAAACCGGACCUUUUUAGUGUUAUAUUCGACCAUUUAAAAAAAUGGUGAGCACCAAAUGAUUUUGAUAUCGUUCUUUUUUUUAAUUUAAAAGGUCAGAUAUUGUCAAAUAGAGCUCAUAUGCAUAUGUUUUCCACAUAACAACUUUCUUACAAGUGAUAAGGCGACAAACUUGCAAAAAUGGAACCUUUUUAGCGUUAUAUUCAAUGCUUUUAAAAAAACAGGUGAGCACUGAAUGUUUUUGAUUUUUUUUAUUUAGAAGAUCAAAUAUUGUAAAAUAUAGCUCAUCUGCAUAUUUUUUUCACAUAACAACUUUCUUCCAAGUGAAAUGGCGCGUGAACCAUCUUGCAAAAAAGUGGACCCUUUUAGCGUUAUGUUCAGCAUUUUAAUAGAAAAAAUGAAGAUGUGUUUGCACUUAAAUAAUUCAAAUUUGAAAUUUAUUCAAAAACUUCGAACAAAAAAUACUGAAAGAUUCCAAGUUUCUUCAGUACUCACUGGACAGGGAAAAAAAGGGGUAAUGAGAGAGGCACGCAAGCAACAAAUCCCACGCAAUACAUAUUUUGGAUUCAAAUCCAUUACCGGAUAGAGUAUAUAGAAGACAUCAUGUCCUAAAUAACAAAGGGUGGCCGUUGGUGCAGUGGCUAAUCCUUUGAUGUGUGUGAGGAGACGUUGCUACUUCGAAUCCGGCUGAGAUGCUGUUAGUUUAUGUUUUGUACGCCACUGAGUCACUGACAGGUGGCAUCCACACACAUGUAUGUAGUGUGGGCCAGCUCAUGCACAUGUUAACGGAGGACUAACGGGAAAUGACGGAAAUGUAGGUAAAUGUACCUGAAACACAAGUUGUUGGACCUACUUGUGUCAUUUUUCAAGUUUAUGUAUGAAUUUGUACAUCGAAUGCAAGUUUAUGUACCAAAAGCGCAAUUAACUCGAAUGUAAUCAUAUAUACCUCCAUGCAAAUGUCUUUCCUUUUUGUUUUCUUGUUCAAAUUUGGGAGCUAGCCAAACAAAUGGCGAUAACAAUAAUAUUGUGCACCCUGAACAAAAAGAAUCUGAUCUUACCGCGACGAUACUUUCAAACAAAAUUUGAAUUUGUCUUCAAGGAUAAGAACCCGUAAUUAUUGGUAAGCGAUAAGGUCGUAUUUGAUUCCGAGAAUAAGAGAAGUGUAGGGGGAAAUUGCUUUCAAAUAUAAUAAACUCCAUGGACCCUUAUAUUUAUUAAGGAAGUGAGAAGGUUGGGUUUGAUUACGAAAAUGUCAAAGGUGUAACGAAGACAAAGAUGCGUGGACUUGAACACAUUACUACCAAAGAAAUGGCACUCUCUUAUGCACCAGUACGCCAAGACUUGGCCAAUGAAACAACAGAAAGACACAACUUUGUAUUGGUUAAUGACUUCAAUUUUAAAUAUAUUUAUUGUGAAUGUCUUAAAUUCUGAUUAAUCAGUAAAAAGAAUUAGCUGGUGUGCUCUAUAGUUUGGCGGGGGUUCUUACUGCGGCUUUGUUAGAGUACAAACUACUCCCUUAACUUAAAAACGAUCAUAUAUUAUGAAAGGAAGGGAAUGUAUUGAAGAUAUUAAGAUCCACAUGGCGACUGGAGUUCAUCUAGGUUGCGUAGUGUUCCCUCUUACCCAGCCUAUUGUCCGUCACACGGAGCGGUGACACGACACGGAUAGGGCUAUGGUGCAGAACAUGGUCUCUAUUUUGCAGGGAAUACAUUCGUUUCAUGUUCAUGUUGUUUUCCUUGGUGUACUCUAUAUAUUAAAUGAUCUUUGAAUUUUCCACAGCUCACUUAAAAGCUUAUCCAUGCAACAUGAUGUUCACUGAAAAUACGUUUUCUGUGUCGGGGGAAGGAAGAAACUCGAAUACGCUGUCAUGCACAUGAAUGAUUUGAUCCUCCAGCAGGCAGCAGCCUUCGUUGUCUUGACUCCAAACAAAAGCUGUAUUGACCCGGCUCCUCUAUCAUAGCUGUCCAAUGACUAUUAUUGAAGUGAUGAUCCGAUCGGUUGCCUUUAGCUAGUCAGAUGUCCUUAUCCUAGUCGUAUGAUAAUUCCUCCGUUCCGAAUUACCUGUCACAUAAAUAGAUAGAAAUGGAUGUAUCUAAAACUAAAAAUAUGUCUAUAUACAUCCAUUACUGCGACAAAUAAUUGCGGGUGGCGGGAGUAUAUGUGAAAGUUUUGGUUGCGCCACCAUACCAGUGUGUCCUUUAUCCUCAGUUCCUCACCGUCCAUUCUUUCAUCAAAUUCGUGAAAGAAAACUUCUCUUUUUUGUUUCUUCCAAAUAAAAGAACAUGUAAAGUUGAAACUUUGCAGAUCAACAUCACAGAAGUACUACCAUGUGGAGAAAAGUUUUCGGUUUUUUUGAUGCAAGAUAAAUUUUUAAAAAUGAUACAAUUCAUUCUAAAAUUUGAAAUUUGACAAGUUUAUGUUUCAUCCAACAAAAUCGGAAAAAAAUUAUACAAUGAGUGACACUUGUAUAUAGUUGAUCUGCAAAGUUUCAAGGUCAAACAUUCUCUUGUUUGGAAGAAACAAAAAACAAAAACUUCUAUAUAAGGAUAGCACGAAUCUUGAUGCAAACUGAAUGGUCUAGAUAGAGUACACUGGCUGAACUAAUUUCUUUUAGAUUUAUAUAUUUUACACAUCUUAGAAUUAUUAGCCUAUUUUAUUUCUUGAAUUGACAUGUAUUUAUGUGUAUUAGGGCCCGAUAAUUCCUUGAAUUUUUUUUGUAUAUAGGAAUACACUCUCAAGAAACUUCCUUUUGCCUAAAGAAAAUUUACGCAUUUAUGAUUUUUUCCCCAUGUUUUCUUUAGAGAGUAUUCAUGUUUGGUUUGGGGCGGUGAGGUGGGGGGGGGGGUGUAGGAAUAAUAUUCUCCUAACCGUUUUCCCGUUCCGUUGGCAUGCUUAUCAUCACCGGCGGAAGGCGUGCGGAGCCGUCUCUCUACCGGGUCUUCCGAAAUACUAUCGGUUUAGGUUUUUGGUGGUUCUGUCUGGAUACAGCCGGUAUUGGUAGUCUAGGGAGUUCCUACAUGCCCUUAUCUAGUGAAAGUAUACAAAAUUGAACAUAUGAACCCUAGGUUUUGUUUUCAAUCAUUAAAACUUCAUUUUACUCACUUUUGCAUACUUUUACUUUGUUGAUUUUAUUUAUUUUGAAAGCACAUAAACACUUAUAGCAUCGAAAUUAUAAUCUCUUCAUCAAACUAGUGCACCUACUAUAAGGGAACAAAGGGAUUUUUACAUCUGUGCCCCUGGUUCCUUACCCAUACUCAUUCAUCCCCACGCUCUUAGCAUUUGCUCACUUUUCCCCACUCUCUUGUCUGAAACCCUCAGAAAUAGUCACAAACGAUGGAUGCCGUUGGGUAAGUGCUUUGACCGUUAACUCUGACUAUUCAUCAUAUAAGAGGGGGAACCACCUACGGGCGCAUCGCACCUACCAUUUCCCCCCAAAUCCUCUCCCUGCUGCAUCGUCUCCCUCUCCCCCACCGCGUCAUCUCGCUCUCCUCCACCAUACCGUCUCGCUCUCCUGCACCGCAUCCUCUUCCUCACCUUCAUCGCCUCCCUCGUACCGAUGGCAGACGCUCGUGGCGACGCCGGCGCAGCGGCCAGAGAUUUGCAUGGCGUGGUGACCGCGGCAGAUGCAGUGCACGACUAUGGCGGCGUCCACGAUGGUGCAGGGAAACUCGCAACCGUUGUCGCAGUUGUGGAUGUGGAGAAGGAGGUGGCGGGAUCUGCCUCGGCACUGCCGGAGCUGAAGGUGAUGGCCUCGAGCGGCGCAGUCCAUCCAGAUGCGCAGCCUGGCGAGGAAAAGGUGGUAUAGGAGCUACUUCCAUUUGCUUGUACCCUAGUUGCAAUAUUUGGAUUGUAGAGUUAGUUUUAUGGAUCCCUAGUUUCAUUGGUUGGAUUGUGAUUCGUAGGGUAGUAUAGAUGGUUAGAGUAGCUGGUUUGAGGGAUGGGGUUUUCUGUAUGGGGGGUGGGGGUUUCUUGUAUGGGGUUUUUGGGAUUACAUUCGUUGCAAAAAUGCUAGACAGAUCUUAAUGAGAGAUAGUGAUCUCUAUGCCUAAAUGCUACACGUGAUUAUGAGAUUUGUUUUUGAAUGCUACACAGAUUGGGGUUUUGAAUGCUACAGACAUGUAUGCUUAGAUUUGUUUUUGAAUGCUACAUAGAUUCAUGUUUUGAAUGUCAUAUUCCCAAAUGGAAUGCAUUAAUUUUGAUGUACGUAUCAAUUGAGUAAGAACAUACUUGAUUCAUUAGUAUAUAAAUUUGUCCACAAUAUGUAGUUAUAUUAGUUUUGUUGUUCAAUGUGUGUGCAUGACAAUGGAAAAUGCAAAUAGUACCAUAGUAUGGAUAAUAUGAUCAAUGUGUCAUGUGUGCAUAUCUAAAUUAUCAGCUGGCUUCUGUAUUUAAUAGUAAUGGAUAUAAUUGUAUAUUCAGGAGGAUGAUGUUGUGGGGAAUAAGAGGAAGCUGGCCCUUACUGGGUUCGUGGACCCGUACGAUCCAGAGUAUAGUGACGACGAAGAAUAUAAGGUAAGCCUACUUGAAAUCUAGUUUGUUCAUUUAGUUCCUUUGACAUGGUGUAUACACUACAAAAAAUACACUUCCAUGAUGAUACGUGUUUGUCACAGUAGGUCACAUUUUCUGUCAUGCAUGUACAUCCAAGACGAUUCUAUGACAGAAUCAAGAUAGUCAUACAUAUGCUGUCGUAGAAGUGUUCCAUGACAUUACCAAAAUUAUCAUCACGGAAGUGUCCACUUCCAUGACGAUAAAUCGCGUGUCAUAGAAGUGCUUUCGUCAAGGGUGACCGACAGGUGGCAUCCACCGUAACGGAUCACCGUUAAGCUAUUGGGUUCUGGUUUGGAUCCGAUAACCCGUUAACAGCCCCGACCAAUGGGGAUUUUCCAUGUGUAAAAUUCUCAUUCAUCAGAUAAUGCAUGUGUCAGCUCAUCAUUGGGACAGAUGUCAUCGCUACAAUGGACAGAAGAUGCCUAUGAUAUGUCGACACGUGGCACAGCCCAAGAGUGGCCCAUUUAAGGUAAAAAGGCCGGCCCAGCUAAAGGCCCACCAUACUUUUUCAGAAACUAGUGGGCUGGCCCGUUAACAGCCUGCCAUGUUUUGGGUCAAAUUGAGGCCCAUAUCAGAUCAGCCUGUUCACAGCCUCCUGUGUUUUGGGCCAAAUUACGGCCCAUAUCGAAUCAGGCCCGUUAACAGGCCACUGUUCUUUUAGGCCCAUUCUAAGCCAGGUUUGUAUUUCAGCCUGUUAAAUGCCCGUUUACCAGUUCGGCCCGAUUUCGGCCUGUUAGCGGCCCGUGGUGCAGUUGGGACGUUGUCGUCCCAGUUUAACUUUAGGCCAUUUAACGGCACAUGCAGAUGAAGGAAAUAUGCCCUAGAGGCAAUAAUAAAGUUUUUAUUUAUAUUUCCUUAUAUCAUGAUAAAUUUUUACUAUUCAUGCUAGAAUUGUAUUAACCGGAAACUUAGUACAUGUGUGAAUACAUAGACAAACAAAGUGUCACUACUUUGACUCUACAUGACUAGCUCGUUGAAUCAAUGAUGGUUAUGUUUUCCUAACCAUAGACAUGAGUUUUCAUUUUAUUAACGGGAUCACAUCAUUAAAGAAUGAUGUGAUUGACUUGACCCAUCCGUUAGCUUAGCACGAUGAUCGUUUAGUUUGUUGAUAUUACUUUCUCCAUAACUAUACAUGUUCCUAUGACUAUGAGAUCAUGCAACUCCCGAAUACCGGAGGAACACUUUGUGUGCUAUCGAACGUCAUAACCUAACUAGGUGAUUAUAAAUGUGCUCUACAGGUGUCUUCGGUGGUGUUUGUUGAGUUGGCAUGGAUCAAGAUUAGGAUUUGUCACUCCGAUUGUCGGAGAGGUAUCUUUGGGCCCUCUCGGUAAUGUACAUCACUAUAAGCCUUGCAAGCAAUGUAGCUAAUGAGUUAGUUACGGGAUGUAACAUUACGGAAUGAGUAAAGAGACUUGCCGGUAACGAGAUUGAACUAGGUAUUGGGAUACCGACGAUCGAAUCUCGGGCAAGUAACAUACCGAUGACAAAGGGAACAACGUAUAUCGUUAUGUAGUUUGACCGAUAAAGAUCUUGGUAGAAUAUGUAGGAACCAAUAUGAGCAUCCAGGUUCCGCUACUGGUUAUUGACCAGAGACAUGUCUCGGUCAUGUCAACAUAGUUCUCGAACCCGUAGGGUUCGCAUGCUUAACGUUCGGUAUUACGAGUUUAUGUGUUUUGAUGUACCAAAGGUAGUUCAGAGUCCCGGAUUUGAUCACGGACAUGACGAGGAGUCACGAAAUGGUCGAGACGUAAAGAUCGAUAUAUUGGAAGCCUAUGUUGGGACAUGGGAAUGGUUCCGGGUGAAAUCAGGAGUAUACUAGAGUAUCGGGAGGUUGCCGGAACCCCCCAGGUGGUAUAUGGGCCUUAUUGCGCCUUAGUGGAAGAGAGGGGAAAGAAGCAAAUGAGGGCCUCCCCAAGCCCAAUACGAACUGGGAGGGGGCCGCCCCCUUUCCUUCCUUCUCCCCUCCCCUUCCUUCUCUCCUAGAACCAACAAAGGGAAAGGGGGGGGGGUGGAAUCCUACUCCCGGUGGGAGUAGGACUCCUUGGGGCGCGCCUAGAGAGGCCGGCCCCCUCCCUCUCCUCCACUCCUUUUUAUACGGGGGAGGGGGGCACCCCAUGGACACACAAGUUGAUCAUUGAUCUUUAGCCGUGUGCGGUGCCCCCCUCCACCAUAAUCCACCUCGGUAAUAUCGUAGCAGUGCUUAGGCAAAGCCCUGUUCUGGUAGCAACAUCAUCACCGUCAUCACGCCGUCGUGCUGAUGAAGCUCUCCCUGGAAGCUCUACUAGAUCGUGAGUUCGCGGGACGUCACCGAGCUGAACGUGUGCAGAUCGUAGAGGUGCCAUAUCUUUUGUACUGGAUCGGUCGAUCGUGAAGACGUACGACUACAUCAACCGUGUUGUCAUAACGCUUCCACUUACAGUCUAUGAGGGUACGUAGAUGAUACUCUCCCCUCUCGUUGCUAUGCAUCACCAUGAUCUUGCGUGUGCGUAGGAUUUUUUUUGAAAUUACUGCGUUCCCCAACAGUGGUAUCAGAGCCAGGUUUAUGCGUAGAUGUUAUAUGCACGAGUAGAACACAAAGGAGUUGUGGGCGUGGGUAUAUAGAUAUUGUUUGCUAUCACUAGUUGAUUCUUGAUUCGGCGGCAUUGUUGGAUGAAGCGGCCCAGACCGACAUUACGCGUACGCUUAUCUGAGACUGGUUCUACCGACGUGCUUCGCACACAGGUGGCUAGUGGGUGUCUGUUUCUCCAGCUUUAGUUGGAUCUCCAGCUUUCUGAAGAUAAAAAAGCAAUCACUAUACCAUGUUGUGGUUUUUGAUGCGUAGGUAAGAACGGUUCUUGCUCAGCCCAUAGCAGCCACGUAAAACUUGCAACAACAAAGUAGAGGACAUCUAACUUGUUUUUGCAGGGCAUGUUAUGAUGUGAUAUGGUCAAGACAUGAUGCUAAAUUUUAUUGUAUGAGAUGAUCAUGUUUUGUAACACAGUUAUCAGCAACUGGCAGGAGCCAUAUGGUUGUCGCUUUAUUGUAUGAAAUGCAAUCGCCAUGUAAUUGCUUUACUUUAUCACUAAGCGGUAGAGAUAGUCGUAGAAGCAAUAGUUGGCGAGACGACAACGAUGCUUCAAUGGAGAUCAAGGUGUCAAGCCGGUGAUGAUGGUGAUCAUGACGGUGCUUUGGAGAUGAAGAUCAAAGGCACAAGAUGAUGAUGGCCAUAUCAUAUCACUUAUAUUGAUUGCAUGUGAUGUUUAUCCGUUAUGCAUCUUAUUUUUCUUAGUACGGCGGUAGCAUUAUAAGAUGAUCUCUCACUAAAUUUCAAGGUAUAAGUGUUCUCCCUGAGUAUGCACCGUUGCUACAGUUCGUCGUGCCGAGACACCACGUGAUGAUCGGGUGUGAUAAGCUCUAUGUUCACAUACAACGGGUGCAAGCCAGUUUUGCACAUGCGGAAUACUCAGGUUAAACUUAACAAGCCUAGCAUAUGCAGAUAUGGCCUCAGAACACUGGAGACCAAAAGGUCGAGCGUGAAUCAUAUAGUAGAUAUGAUCAACAUAGUGAUGUUCACCAUUGAAAACUACUCCAUCUCACGUGAUGAUCGGACAUAGUUUAGUUGAUAUGGAUCACGUGAUCACUUAGAUGAUUAGAGAGAUGUCUAUCUAAGUGGGAGUUCUUAAGUAAUUUGAUUAAUUGAACUUUAAUUUAUCAUGAACUUAGUACCUAGUAGUAUUUUGCAUGUCUAUGUUCUUGUAGAUAGAUGGCCCGUGCUAUUGUUCCAUUGAAUUUUAAUGUGUUCCUAGAGAAAGCUAAGUUGAAAGAUGAUGGUAGCAACUACACGGACUGGGUCCAUAACUUGAGGAUUAUCCUCAUUGCUGCACAUAAGAAUUACGUCCUGGAAGCACCGCUAGGUAGCAAACCCGCUGUAGGAGCAAUGCCAGAUGUUAUGAACACCUGGCAGAGCAAAGCUGAUGACUACUCGAUAGUUCAGUGUGCCAUGCUUUACGGCUUAGAACCGGGACUUCAACGAUGUUUUGAACGUCAUGGAGCAUAUGAGAUGUUCCAGGAGUUGAAGUUAAUAUUUUAGCAAAUGCCCGGAUUGAGAGAUAUAAAGUCUCCAAUAAGUUCUACAGCUGUAAGAUGGAGGAGAAUAGUUCUGUCAGUGAACAUAUACUCAGAAUGUCUGGGUACCACAACCACUUGACUCAACUGGGAGUUAAUCUUCCUAAUGAUAGUGUCAUUGACAGAGUUCUUCAAUCAUUGCCACCAAGCUGCAAGAUCUUCGUGAUGAACUAUAAUAUGCACGGGAAGGAUAAGACAAUUCCUGAGCUCUUCGCAAUGCUAAAGGUUGCGGAGGUAGAAAUCAAGAAGGAGCAUCGAGUGUUGAUGGUCAACAAGACCACCAGUUUCAAGAAAAAGGGUAAAGGGAAGAAGGGGAACUUCAAGAAGAACAGCAAGGCAGUUUCUUCUCAAGUGAAGAAACCCAAGUCUGGACCUAAUCCUGAGACUGAGUGUUUCUACUGCAAAGGAACUGGUCACUUGAAGCGGAACUGCCCCAAGUAUUUGGCGGAGAAGAAGGAUGGAAAAGUGAAAGGUAUAUUUCAUAUACAUGUUAUUGAUGUGUACCUUACUAAUGCUCGUAGUAGUGCCUGGGUAUUUGAUACUGGUUCAGUUGCUAACAUUUGCAAGUCGAAACAGGGGCUACGGAUUAAGCGAAGAUUGGCUAAGGAUGAGGUGACGAUGCGCGUGGGAAAUGGUUCCAAAGUCGAUGUGAUCGCCGUCGGCACGCUACCUCUACAUCUACCUUUUGGAUUAGUUUUAGACCUAAAUAAUUGUUAUUUGGUGCCAACGUUGAGCAUGAACAUUAUAUCUGGAUCUUGUUUGAUGAGAGACGGUUAUUCAUUUAAAUCAGAGAAUAAUGGCUGUUCUAUUUAUAUGAGUAAUAUCUUUUAUGGUCAUGCACCCCUGAUGAGUGGUCUAUUUUUACUAAUUCUUGAUAGUAGUGAUACACAUGUUCAUAGUAUUGAAGCCAAAAGAUGCAAAGUUGAUAAUGAUAGUGCAACUUAUUUGUGGCACUGCCGUUUAGGUCAUAUUGGUGUAAAGCGCAUGAAGAAACUCCAUUCUGAUGGACUUGUGGAAUCACUUGAUUAUGAAUCACUUGGUACUUACAAAAUAUGCCUCAUGGGCAAGAUGACUAAUACUCCGUUCUCCGGAACAAUGGAGCGAGCAACAAAAUUAUUGGAAAUCAUACUUACUGAUGUAUGUGGUCUAAUGAACAUUGAAGCUCGUGGCAGAUAUCGUUAUUUUCUCACCUUCACAGAUGAUUUGAGAAAAUAUGGGUAUAUCUACUUGAUGAAACAUAAGUCUAAAACAUUUGAAAAGUUCAAAGAAUUUCAGAGUGAAGUGGAAAAUCAUCAUAACAAGAGAAUAAAGUUUCUGCAAUCUGAUCGUGGAGGAGAAUAUUUGAGUUACGAGUUUGGUCUUCAUUUGAGACAAUGCGGAAUAGUUUCGCAACUCACGCCACCUGGAACACCAUAAUGUAAUGGUGUGUCUGAACGUCGUAAUUGUACUUUACUAUAUAUGGUGCGAUCUAUGAUGUCUCUCACUGAUUUACCACUAUCAUUUUGGGGUUAUGCUUUAGAGACAGCUGUAUUCACAUUAAAUAGGGCACCAUCUAAAUCCGUCGAGAUGACACCUUAUGAACUGUGGUUUGGCAAGAAACCCAAGUUGUCGUUUCUUAAAGUUUGGGGCUGCGAUGCUUGUGUAAAAAAGCUUCAACCUGAUAAUCUCGAACCCAAAUCGGAGAAAUGUGUCUUCAUAGGAUACCCAAAGGCAAGAUAUUCGUUGCUAAGAAUGGAUCCUUUCUAGAGAAGGAGUUUCUCUCGAAAGAAGUGAGUGGGAGGAAAGUAGAACUUGACAAGGUAAUUGUACCUUCUCCCUUAUUGGAAAGUAGUUCAUCACUGGAAUCAGUUCCAGUGAUUCCUACACCAAUAAGUGAGGAAGCUAAUGAUGAUGAUCAUGAAACUUGUGAUCAAGUUACUACCGAACCUCGUAGGUCAAGCAGUGUAAGAUCCGCACCAGAGUGGUACGGUAAUCCUGUUCUGGAAGUCAUGUUACUUGACCAUGACGAACCUACGGACUAUGAGGAAGCGAUGAUGAGCCCAGAUUCCACAAAAUGGCUUGAAGCCAUGAACUCUGAGAUGGGAUCCAUGUAUGAGAACAAAGUGUGGACUUUGGUUGACUUACCCGAUGAUCGGCAGGCCAUAGAGAAUAAAUGGAUCCUCAAGAACAAGACUGACGCUGACGGUAAUGUUACUGUCUACAAAGCUCGACUUGUUGCGAAAGGUUUUCGACAAGUUCAAGGAGUUGACUAUGAUGAGACCUUCUUGCCCGUAGCGAUGCUUAAGUCCGUCCGAAUCAUGUCAGCAAUUGCCUCAUUUUAUGAUUAUGAAAUUUGGCAAAUGGAUGUUAAAACUACAUUCCUUAAUGGAUAACUUAAAGAAGAGUUGUAUAUGAUGCAACCAGAAGGUUUUGUCGAUCCAAAAGGUGCUAACAAAGUGUCCAUGCUCCAGCGAUCCAUUUAUGGACUGGUGCAAGCCUCUCGGAGUUGGAAUAUAUGCUUUGAUAGUGUGAUCAAAGCAUAUGGUUUUAUACAUACUUUUGGAGAAGUCUAUAUUUACAAGAAAGUGAGUGGGAGCUCCGUAGCAUUUCUGAUAUUAUAUGUAGAUGACAUAUUGUUGGUCGGAAAUGAUACUGAAUUUCUGAAUAGCAUAAAAGGAUACUUGAAUAAUAAUUUUUCAAUGAAAGACCUUGGUGAAGCUGCUUAUAUAUUGGGCAUCAAGAUCUAUAGAGAUAGAUCAAGACGCUUGAUUGAACUUUCACAAAGCACAUACCUUGAUAAAGUUUUGAAGAAGUUCAAAAUGGAUCAGGAAAAGAAAGGGUUCUUGCCUGUAUUACAACGUGUGAAGUUGAGUCAGACUCAAUGCCCGACCACUGCAAAAGAUAGAGAGAAAAUGAAAGGUGUUCCCUAUGCUUGAGCCAUAAGCUCUGUUAUGUAUGCAAUGUUGUGUACCAGACCUGAUGUGUGCCUUGCUAUAAGUUUAGCAGGGAUGUACCAAAGUAUUCCAGGAGUGAAUCACUAGACAGCGGUCAAGAACAUCCUGAAAUACCUGAAAAGGACUAAGGAUAUGUUUCUCGUAUAUGGAGGUGACAAAGAGCUCGUCGUAAACAGUUACGUCGAUGCAAGCUUUGACACUGAUCCGGAUGACUCUAAGUCACAAACCGGAUACGUGUUUUUAUUAAAUGGUGGAGCUGUUAGUUGGUGCAGUUCCAAGCAGAGCGUCGUGGCGGGUUCAACGUGUGAAGCGGAAUAUACAGCUGCUUCGGAAGCAACAAAUGAAGGAGUCUGGAUGAAGGAGUUCAUAUCCGAUCUAGGUGUCAUACCUAGUGCAUCGGGUCCAAUGAAAAUCUUUUGUGACAAUAUUGGUGCAAUUUCCUUGGCAAAGGAAUCCAGAUUUCACAAGAAAACCAAGCACAUCAAGAGAUGCUUCAAUUCCAUCCGCGAUCAAGUCAAGGAGGGAGACAUAGAGAUUUGCAAGAUACAUACGGAUCUGAAUGUUCCAGACCCGUUGACUGAUACGUCUCCGUCGUAUCUACUUUUACAAACACUUUUGCCCUUGUUUUGGACUCUAACUUGCAUGAUUUGAAUGGAACUAACCUGGACUAACGUUGCUUUCAGCAGAAUUACCAUGGUGUUAUUUAUGUGCAGAAACAAAAGUUCUUGGAAUGACCUGAAACUUCACGGAACAUCUUUUCGGAAAUAAUAAAAAAUCCUUGCAAAAGAUGAAGACUAGGGGGCCCACACCCUGUCCACGAGGGUGGGGGGGGGGGCGCCCCCCUACCUCGUGGGCCCCCUGGAGCUCCUCCGACCUCAACUCCAACUCUAUAUAUUUGGUUUCGGGGAGAAGGAUUCAUUGCGUUUUACGAUAUGGAGCCGCCGCCAAGCCCUAAAACCUCUCGGGAGGGCUGAUCUAGAGUCCGUUCGGGGCUCCGAAGAGGGGAAUCUGUCGCCAUCAUCAUCAUCAUCCUUCCUCCAUCACCAAUUUCAUGAUGCUCGCCGCCGUGCGUGAGUAAUUACAUCAUAGGCUCGCUGGACGGUGAUGGGUUGGAUGAGAUUUAUCAUGUAAUCGAGUUAGUUUUGUUAGGGUUUGAUCCCUAGUAUCCACUAUGUUCUGAGAUUGAUGUUGCUAUGACUUUGUUAUGCUUAAUGCUUGUCACUAGGGCCCGAGUGCCAUGAUUUCAGAUCUGAACCUAUUAUGUUUUCAUCAAUAUAUGAGAGUUCUUGAUCCUAUCUUGCAAGUCUAUAGUCACCUACUAUGUGUUAUGAUCCGGCAACCCCGAAGUGACAAUAAUCGGGACCACUCCCGGUGAUGACCGUAGUUUGAGGAGUUCAUGUAUUCACUAUGUGGUAAUGCUUUGGUCCGGUACUCUAUUAAAAGGAGGCCUUAAUAUCCCUUAGUUUCCUCUAGGACCCCGCUGCCACGAGAGGGUAGGACAAAAGAUGGCAUGCAAGUUCUUUUCCAUAAGCACGUAUGUCUAUAUUCGGAAUACAUGCCUACAUUACAUUAAUGAAUUGGAUCUAGUUCUAUGUCACCCUAGGUUAUGACUGCUACAUGAUGAACCACAUCCGACAUAAUUUUCUAUCACCGAUCCAUUGCCUACGAGCUUUCCAUAUAUUGUUCUUGCUUAUUUACUUUUCCGUUGCUAUUAUUAUCAUCACUACAAAAUACCAAAAACAUUACUUUUGCUAUCAUUACCUUUUGCUACCGUUACCACUACUAUCAUAUUACUUUGCUACUAAAUACUUUGCUGCAGAUAUUAAGUUUCUAGGUGUGGUUGAAUUAACAACUCAACUGCUAAUACUUGAGAAUAUUCUUUGGCUCCCCUUGUGUCGAAUCAAUAAAUUUGGGUUGAAUACUCUACCCUCGAAAACUAUUGCGAUCCCCUAUCCUUGUGGGUUAUCAAGACUAUUUUCUGGCACCGUUGCUGGGGAGCAUAGCUCUAUUCUUUGAGUCACUUGGGAUUUAUAUCUCCUUAUCAUUAUGAAGAACUUGAAAGAUCCAAGAACCAAGAUUUAUCCCUCAACUAUGAGGGGAGGUAAGGAACUGCCAUCUAGCUCUGCACUCGAUUCACCUUCUAUUUUGAGUAAGCUUGCGACACCUAAACCUGCUUCUACUAUUCGUUCUGAUAUGUCGCAUGUUCUUGAUGAUGCCACUUCUGCUAUGCAUGACACUUAUGAUGAAACUACUUCUAUGCUUGAUACUACUGUGCCACUUGGUGAAUUUCUUGAUGAACAACUUGCUAGGGUUAGAGAGAAUGGAAAUAUUGAAACUGAUAAUAUUGAUGAAAGUGAUGAUGAAGACUCUCCCCUUAAUGAAAAUGAAUCACCUAUUAUUCCUGAGGGUUAUGUUUUUGAAAAAUAAGUUGCUUUAGCUAUUUUAGCUUGCAAGGAUAGAUACUAGCUCAAGAGGUUAUUAGCUAAAUGGAAGCAACAAUCUCUUAAUGCUAGAAUGAAACCUGACCCUUCUUUUGCUACUUCACCUAUCUUUGUUAUUGAUAAGGAUUAUGAAUUCUCUGUUGAUCCUGAUAUAAUUACUUUGGUUGAAUCUGAUCCUUUUCAUGGCUAUGGAUCUGAAACUGUUGUGGCACAUCUUACUAAAUUAAAUGAUAUAGCCACCCUAUUCACUAAUGAUGAGAGAACUCGCUACUUUUAUAUCCUUAAAAUAUUUCCGUUCUCAUUAAAGGGUGAUGCUAAGAUAUGGUUUAAUUCUAUUGAUCCUGGUUGUGUGCAUAGUCCCCAGGAUAUGAUUUAUUACUUCUCUGCUAAAUAUUUCCCUGCUCAUAAGAAACAAGCUGCUUUAAGGGGUAUAUAUAAUUUUGUGCACAUUGAAGAAGAGAGUCUCCCACAAGCUUGGGGGAGGCUUCUCCAAUUACUUAAUGCUUUGCCUGAUCAUCCCCUUAAGAAAAAUGAAAUACUUGAUAUCUUUUAUAAUGGACUAACCGAUGCCUCCAGAGAUUACCUGGAUACUUGUGUUGGUUCUGUUUUCAGGGAAAGAACACUAGAUGAAGCUGAAAUUCUAUUGAACAAUAUGUUGACAAAUGAAAAUAAUUGGAAACCUCCGGAGCCAAUUCCUGAGCCUAUUCCUAAACCAACUCCGAAGAAGAGGGGUAUUCUAUUUCUCAGUCCUGAAGAUAUGCAAGAGGCAAAGAAAUCUAUGAAAGAAAAAGGUAUUAAAGCUGAAGAUGUUAAGAAUUUACCUCCUAUUGAAGAAAUACAUGGUCUUAAUUUACCGCCUGUUAAAGAAACAUAUAAUCUUAAUCCUUUACCUAACAAAGAGAUUCAUGGUCUUGAUAACCCAACACAGGUAGUAAAGGUAAAUUCAUGGUCUUGAUAACCCGACACAGGUAGUAAAGGUAAAUCCUCUUAAGAAAAAUGAAAUACUUGAUAUCUUUUAUAAUGGACUAACCGAUGCUUCCAGAGAUUACCUGGAUAGUUGUGCUGGUUCUGUUUUCAGGGAAAGAACACCGGAUGAAGCUGAAAUCCUAUUGAAUAAUAUGUUGACAAAUGAAAAUAAUUGGACAAUUCCGGAGCCAGCUCCUGAGCCAAUUCCUGCGCCUAUUCCUAAACCAACUCCGAAGAAAAGAGGUGUUCUAUUUCUCAGUCAUGAAGAUAUGCAAGGGGCAAAGAAAUCUAUGAAAGAGAAAGGUAUUAAAGCUGAAGAUGUUAAGAAUUUACCUCCUAUUGAAGCAAUACAUGGUCUUAAUUUACCGCCUGACGAAGAAAUACAUGAUCUUGAUCCAUUACGUAUUGAAGAAACACAUGGUCUUGAUAACCCGACACAGGUAGUAAAGGUAAAUUCUCUCUAUAGAUAUGAUAAAGCUGAAAUUCCAUUUGCUAAGUUUGCUAGCCCAUGCUUAGAUGAGUUUGAUAAAUUUAUGGUUAAGCAAGAAGACUUCAAUGCUUAUUUUGGUAGAGAAUUAAAACGCAGUGCUAAUAUGCUUGAACACUUGGGUGAUUAUAUGGCUAAUGUUAAACGUGAACUUAAACAUAUUAGUAAACAUGCUUCUAUGGUUACCACUCAAGUAGAACAAGUACUUAAGGCUCAAAAUGAUUUGCUCAAUGAAUUGAAUAGUAAGAAUAAUGAUUAUGCUGUUAGAGUGGCUACUAGAACGGGUAGAAUGACUCAGGAACCUUUGUAUCCUGAAGGCCACCCUAAGAGAAUUGAGAAAGAUUCUUAGAGAAAUAAUAUAGAUGCACCUAGUCCUUGUUAAAGGAAGAAAAAGAAAAAUGAUAGGACUUUGCAUGCUUCUAGUGAACCUAUUGCUGAAACACCUGAGAAUCCAAAUGAUAUUUCUAUUUCUGAUGCUGAAACACAAUCUGGUAAUGAACCUGAAACUCGUGAAAAUGUCAAUGAUAAUGUUCAUGAUGAUGCUCAACCUAGUAAUGAUAAUGAUAUAGAAAUUGAACCUGCUGUUGAUCUUGAUAACCCAUAAUCAAAGAAUCAAUGUUAUGACAAGAAAGACUUUGUUGCUAGGAAACAUGGUAAAGAAAGAGAACCUUGGGUUCAGAAACCCAUGCCUUUUCCUCCCAAACCAUCCAAGAAAAAGGAUGAUGAGGAUUUUGAGCGCUUUGCUGAAAUGAUUAGACCUAUCUUUUUGCGUAUGCGAUUAACUGAUAUGCUCAAAAUGAAUCCUUAUGCUAAGUACAUGAAAGAAAUUGUUACUAAUAAAAGAAAGAUACCGGAAGCUGAAAUUUCCACCAUGCUUGCUAAUUAUACUUUUAAGGGUGGAAUGCCGAAGAAACUUGGAGAUCCAGGAGUACCUACUAUACCAUGCUCCAUUAAAAGAAAUUACGUUAAAACUUCUUUAUGUGAUCUUGGAGCCGGUGUUAGUGUUAUGCCUCUCUCUUUAUAUCAUAGACUUGAUUUGAAUAAGUUGACACCUACUGAAAUAUCCUUGCAAAUGGCUGAUAAAUCAAUUGCUAUACCUGUCGGUAUUUGUGAGGAUGUGCCUGUUGUGGUUACAAACGUUACUAUUUUAACGGACUUUGUUAUUCUUGAUAUUCCCGAGGACGAUAGUAUGUCUAUUAUUCUUGGAAGACCCUUUUUGAAUACUACAGGGGCUGUUAUUGAUUGCACUAAAGGCAAUGUCACUUUUCAUGUUAAUGGUAAUGAGCAUAGUAUCAACUCCAUUGGAAAAAUUCCAUCGAUUAUUAUUGGAGGUUUUGAAUUUCCUCAACACACUGUCAAAAAGAAAUACGAUAUUCUUAUUAUUGGGGAUGUGCAUAUCCCCGUUGAGGUAACCUAGUCUUAUUCCAAAGUUCUCCGGUUCCAUGUUAUUUGGAAUGAGUUUGUUAACAAGACUUGAUCAACCUUGUUAGUGGAUUCCUUUUGAUGAUCAUGAGAUGGAUGAAUUUAGAAAACUCAACUCUCUGUACCCUCCUUUUACUUUAUGUUAUUUAUAUUAAAUAAAUAAGAAUAAGUAUCACUCGUCUGUUAUCUGAUUAUUUGUGCAAUAUAAAAAUACCCCAAAAAUAAAAAUUCUCCAAAUGCCCUGAAAUUUAAAUAUGAUUUUUUCUAGAAUAUUUGAGAAUAUUUGGCACUAAGAACACAACAGGGGGGUCAUCCACCUGGCCAUGAGGGUGGAGGGCGCGCCCUACCCCCCUGGGCGUGACCCCCUGCCUUGUGGGCCCACGGUGAACCCCCUCCACUUAUUUUUGCACCCACACACUCCUUCUUCCUCCCACAAACACGAAUAUCCAGCUCAAGCACGAGUUCUAGCUCAUUUUGCUGCCAUUUUUGAUCUCCUUGCUCAAAGCACCUCUCACCAAAUUGCUUGGGGGGAUUGUUCCUUGGUAUGUGACUCCUCCAUUGGUCCAAUUAGUUUUUGUUCUAGUGCUUUAUUCAUUGCAAAAUUUAGUUGCUUAGGUGACCCUGUUCUUGAGCUUGCAUGUCAAAUUUAUAUGGUCAAAAGUAGUUUUGAUGCAUGAUAUAGGCUCUAGGCACUUGUAGGAGUAGUUGCUAUCAAUAUUAUUGAGUUUGGUUCACUUUUUUUUGAAGUUACUAAAAAAUUCAGAAUUUUUCAGAAAAUAAUGAAUAGAUUUUUGAGGGGCUCAUUGAGACGAAGCUCGAAGGAACAGCAAAAUGAAGAGGCACAGAAGCCCAAAUAUAAUAUACCUCGCACCGCGGAGGUUAGGCCGUGUGAAUGGCCCUCCAAUGAUUUCUUGGGAGCAGCCGGGAUUUAUGAGGAUUUUUAUGAUUUGGCUAAGAAUGCAAGCCUCACCGACUUCCUCCGCGACCGACGUGAACAUUAUCUCUUACUCGUCAAUACUUUUGUGCAAAACUUCUACUAUUAUCCCAAGGAAUCACCUACUUCAGUAGAGUUUCAUUUAUAUGAUGUGGUUAAGAAGAUGUCACUAUAUGAAUUUUGCGGGGUUUGCAGAAUACCUUUCGAGGGUAGUUUAGAGGAACCACAUCGUAAGGAUGUGGAUGGGUUUAUUCACACUAUCAUUGUAGGGGAAACAAGGAAGAUUUCCGAUGCAAGAAUCACUAGCAUACAUUUUCCUGUUUUACGCUACUUUGCAAUAUUUGCUAGUCGUUGCUUAAUUGGUCACGGAAACUGUGGAAACCUUAGUGUUCUUGAUAUUUUUUAUUUUGUUCCAUGGUUUAUUCCGUGGCGACUCUGUUAGUAUGGGUGGUAUUAUUGCUAAACGGUUAAGUCUGAACCGCACAAAAGGACCCAUCUUUGGUGGUAUCUAAGCUUCACGCUAAGGAUGGAAAUGGGUAGGGUAUGGGCAGGGUAGAGCAAUGCCAUACCCAUACCCGUAUAGUCAGUGGGUACAAAAUUCUACCCAUACUCAUACUCAUGGGUAUGAAACUUUACCCAUACCCAUACCCGACGGGUACCCGUACCCAUUGGGUACCCAACGGGUAGAACAAAUGGUACAUAAACAGUUCACAAUUUUACACUCAAUGAUAGCACAUUUGACAAAAAACAGUUAUCUCAGCUCAAUAACAAGGCAGAUGUGUACAUGACCACUCUCAAAAUAUAAAAAACACAAACAUACUCAUAAGUCAAUAGGAGUAGAUGAGUCACAUGACUAAUUGAGGACAAGUUAACAUUAGUUCACAAGUGGGCAGGGUAUGGGUAUACCCGCGGGUACAAGGCUAUACUCGUACCCUACCCAUAACUUAACGGGUAGGGUAUGCGUACUACCCAUGGGUAUAAAAGUCUACCCAUACCCAACCCAUGCGGGUACGGUACCCGCGGGUACCCGUACCCAUGGGUAAAACUGCCAUGCACGCCUUGCUACACACUAUAACAUACCUAUUAGGCACUAUGAAAAAGAAGAAAAAUUGUUGCCUACUAUUUAUCUAGAUUAUAAGAGUAUGGUAGCGCAUGAUUUUAUUAUAAAGAAUACGGAAGGGGAGCUGAAAUACAAAUUGUUCUUCGAUAAACAUAAUCCUGAGACUAUCACCUUGCCUGCUCCUUCCUUGUUUGAUUUAUCUAUAGGCCAGUACCUCGUCUCGCCGGAGGACAUUCACGCCUACCGGAACCCUACAUCAGCCACAGAGCCAGAGUCGGAACCACAAGUUGAUCCUCCACGACAGUCUAACUAUCUGUGGGAUCCGGAGAUGAUUGCCAACCAGUGGCAAUCAGAGUCUUCUUCAUCUCAGUACGACCCCAACUAUUACUAUGGAUAUCCGCCAGGCCAACCGUGGCCAUAGACCAACUUAGGCCAGAAGCCUAAGCUUGGGGGAGUAUGUACUUCUCACCGACAUUACAUUCAUGUUCACACACUCAUUGCUAGAUGUCGGUGCUCAUACUUUUUCAUUGUAUCAUCCACGCUAGUUUAUUUUCAUUUUUAUGCUUUCUUCUUGUGUGUUUAAUAAACCUUAAGAAAAACCAAAAAAAUUAGUUGUAGCUUUUAGCUAGUUUUAAUUUCCAUGCUUGUAGUAGUAACUAAAAAGAAAACCCAAAAAGAUUUCAUGUACUUCUUUUGCUUGUUGGGAGCUUUCCCGUGUAAAUAGUUUUAUUUCUUUUCUUUUCUUUGGGGGUCGAUAGAAGAAGACCAUAAUUAAAUUGUUGGAGUGGAUCUUAUAUGCAUCAUUGUUGAUCUGACAAAAGAGCCCAUAUUGCCUUGUCUUCUCCUGUUCAUUGAAUGCUUGCAGAUUCCAGCUUAGUCCAAUGCACGUGCACUAUUAUUAUUAUUCACAUCAUUCGGUCGUGCAAGUGAAAGGCAAUUAUGACGAUAUAUGAUGGACUGUCUGAGAUGAGAAAAGCUGGUAUGAACUCGACCUCUCUUGUUUUUCUAAAUAUGAUUAGUUCAUCGUUCCUGAUUCAGCCUAUUAUGAAUAAACAUGUUUGUAAUGACAACUAGAGAUCAUAGUUUCUUGUGCUAUGCUUGAUUAGCUAGGAGUUUAUAAUGGUUUACCUUGCGUGCCAACAUGCUAUUAAAAUGGUUGUGAUGUGGUAUGAUAGGGUGGUAUCCUCCUCUGAAUGAUUUAAGUGACUUGACUUGGCACAUGUUCACACAUGUAGUUGAAACAAAAUCAACAUAGCCUUCACGAUAUUUAUGUUCAUGGUGGAUUAUAUCCUACUCAUGCUUGCAUUUGGUGUUGAUUAAUUUUAAUGCAUGUUCAUGACUGUUGUCACUCUCUAGCUGGUCGCUUCCCAGUCUUUUGCUAGCCUUCACCUGUACUAAGUGGGAAUACUGCUUGUGCAUCCAAUCCCAUAAACCCCAAAGUUGUUACAUAUGAGUCCACCAUACCUACCUAUAUUCGGUAUCUACCUGCCAUUCCAAGUAAAUUUGUAUGUGCCAAACUCUAAACCUUCAAAUAAAUAUCCUGUUUUGUAUGCUCGAAUAGCUCAUGUAUCAACUAGGGCUGUCUAUAUCUUCCAUGUUAGGCGGGUUAUUCUCAAGAGGAGUGGACUCCACUCCUCACUCACGAGAAAGUGGCUGGUCACCGGGAUGCCCAGUCCCAUGCUUUAUGCAAACUAAAUCAAAAUAAUUGCAAACAAAACUCCCCCGGGGACUGUUUUUAGUUGGAGGCACUCAUUGUUUCGAGCAAGCCAUGGAUUGAUGCUUGUUGGUGGAAGGGGGAGUAUAAGUUUUACCAUUCUGUUUGGGAACCGCCUAUAAUGUGUGUAGCAUGAAAGAUAUCGCCAUCUCUUGGUUGUUAUGUUGACAAUGAAAGUAUACCACUCAAAAUGUUAUUCACCUCUAUUUUAAAACCGAGCUCUAGCAGCUCUACAAAUCCCUGCUUCCCUCUACGAAGGGUCUAUCUAUUUACUUUUAUGUUGAGUCAUCAUCCUCUUAUUAAAAAGCACCAGUUGGAGAGCAACGCUGUCAUUUGCAUUCAUUACUGUUAGUUUACAUUGAGUAUGACUUGAAUGGAUCUCUUUUACCAUGAAUUACAAUGUCUAGUCAGUCCUUGAUCUUUAAAGGUGCUCUGCAUUUAUGUUUUGCGGUCUCAGAAAGGGCUAGUGAGAUACCAUCCUGUUAUAUCAUAUUAUGAUUGUUUUGAGAAAGUGUUGUCAUCCGAGAUUUAUUAUUAUUGCUCGCUAGUUGAUUAUGCCGUUGAGUAGACAUGAGACCUAUGCGUUAUUGUGAAUAUGGUUAGUUCAUAAUCUUUGCUGAAAACUUGAAUGCUGGCUUUACAUAUUUACAACAACAAGAGCAAACAGAGUUUGUAAAAGUUUUUGUUUAUCACUUUCAGUUUGUCAACUGAAUUGCUUGAGGACAAGCAAAGGUUUAAGCUUGGGGGAGUUGAUACGUCUCCUUCGUAUCUACUUUUCCAAACACUUUUGCCCUUGUUUUGGACUCUAACUUGCAUGAUUUGAAUGGAACUAACCCGGACUAAUGCUGAUUUCAGCAGAAUUACCAUGGUGUUAUUUAUGUGUGCAGAAACAAAAGUUCUCGGAAUGACCUGAAACUUCACGGAACAUCUUUUGGGAAAUAAUAAAAAAUCCUUGCAAAAGAUGAAGACCAGGGGGCCCACACCCUGUCCACGAGGGUGGGGGCGCGCCUGCCCCCCUACCUCGUGGGCCCCCUGGAGCUCCUCCGACCUCAACUCCAACUCUAUAUAUUUGGUUUCGGGGAGAAAAAAAUCAGAGAGAAGGAUUCAUCGCGUUUUACGAUACGGAGCCGCCGCGAAGCCCUAAAACCUCUCGGGAGGGCUGAUCUGGAGUCCGUUCGGGGCUCCGGAGAGGGGAAUCCGUCGCCAUCAUCAUCAUCAACCUUCCUCCAUCACCAAUUUCAUGAUGCUCACCGCCGUGCGUGAGUAAUUCCAUCGUAGGCUUGUUGGACGGUGAUGGGUUGGAUGAGAUUUAUCAUGUAAUCGAGAUAGUUUUGUUAGGGUUUGAUCCCUAGUAUCCACUAUGUUCUGAGAUUGAUGUUGCUAUGACUUUGCUAUGCUUAAUGCUUGUCACUAGGGCCUGAGUGCCAUGAUUUCAGAUCUGAACCUAUUAUGUUUUCAUCAAUAUAUGAGAGUUCUUGAUCCUAUCUUGCAAGUCUAUAGUCACCUACUAUGUGUUAUGAUCCGGCAACCCCGAAGUGACAAUAAUCGGGACCACUCCCGGUGAUGACCGUAGUUUGAGGAGUUCAUGUAUUCACUAUGUAUUAAUGCUUUGGUCCGGUACUCUACUAAAAGGAGGCCUUAAUAUCCCUUAGUUUCUGCUAGGACCUGUUGGGGAAUGUAGUAAUUUCAAAAUUUCCCUACGCACACGCAAGAUCAUGGUGAUGCAUAACAACGAGAGGGGAGAGUGUAGUCCACGUACCCUCGUAGACCGAAAGCGGAAGCGUUAGCACAACGUGGUUGAUGUAGUCGCACGUCUUCACGAUCCGACCGAUCAAGUACCGAACGUACGACACCUCCGAGUUCAGCACACGUUCAGCUCAAUGACGUCCCUCGAACUCUGAUCCAGCCGAGUGUUGAGGGUGAGUUUUGUCAGCACGACGGCGUGGUCACGAUGUUGAUAUUCUACCGACGCAGGGCUUCGCCUAAGCACCGCUACACUAUUAUCGAGGUGUACUAUGGUGGAGGGGGGCACCGCACACGGCUAAGAGAUCAAUGAUCAAUUGUUGUGUCUAUGGGGUGCCCCCUAGACACGUAUAUAAAGGAGUGGAGGAGGGGAGGGGCCGGCCCUCUCUAUGGCGCGCCGUAGGGGAGUCCUACUCCCACCGGGAGUAGGAUUCCCCCUUUCCUAGUAGAACUAGGAGCCCUUCCAAGUAGUAGGAGUAGGAGAGAAGGAAAGGGAAGGGAAAAGGAGAAGGAAGGAAGGGGGCGCCCCCCCUCCCUAGUCCAAUUCGGACGAGCCCAUGGGGAGGGGUGCGGCCAACCUUUGAGGCCUUUCUCUGCUUUCCCGUAUGGCCCAUUAAGGCCCAAUACGAAUUCACAUAACUCCCCGGUACUCCCGAAAAUACCCGAAUCACUCAGAACCUUUCCGAUGUCCGAAUAUGGUCGUCCAAUAUAUAGAUCUUUACGUCUCAACCAUUUCAAGACUCCUCAUCAUGUCCCCGAUCUCAUCCGGGACUCCGAACUCCUUUGGUACAUCAAAACACAUAAACUCAUAAUAUAACCGUCAUCGAACUUUAAGCGUGCGGACCCUAUGGGUUCGAGAACUAUGUAGACAUGACCGAGACACAUAUCCGGUCAAUAAACAAUAGCGGAACCUGGAUGCUCAUAUUGACUCCUACAUAUUCUACGAAGAUCUUUAUCGGUCAAACCGCAUAACAACAUACGUUGUUCCCUUUGUCAUCGGUAUGUUACUUGCUCGAGAUUCGGUCGUCGGUAUCUCAAUACCUAGUUCAAUAUCGUUACCGACAAGUCUCUUUACUCGUUCCGUAACACAUCAUCCCGCAACUAACUCAUUAGUUGCAAUGCUUGCAAGGCUUAUAGUGAUGUGCAUUACCGAGUGGGCCCAGAGAUACCUCUCCAACAAUCGGAGUGACAAAUCAUAAUCUCGAAAUACGCCAACCCAACAAGUACCUUCGGAGACACCUGUAGAGCACAUUUAUAAUCACCCAGUUACGUUUUGACGUUUGGUGGCACACAAAGUGUUCCUCCGGUAAACGGGAAUUGCAUAAUCUCAUAGUCAUAGGAACAUGUAUAAGUCAUGAAGAAAGCAAUAGCAACAAACUAAAAGAUCAAGUGCUAAGCUAACGGAAUGGGUCAAGUCAAUCACAUUAUUCCCCUAAUGAUGUGAUCCCGUUAAUCAAAUGACAACUCAUGUCUAUGGUUAGGAAACAUGACCAUCUUUGAUCAACGAGCUAGUCAAGUAGAGGCAUACUAGUGACACUCUGUUUGUUUAUGUAUUCACACAUGUAUUACGUUUCCGGUUAAUACAAUUCUAGCAUGAAUAAUAAACAUUUAUCAUGAUAUAAGGAAAUAAAUAAUAACUUUACUAUUGCCUCUAGGGCAUAUUUCCUUCAGUCUCCCACUUGCACUAGAGUCAAUAAUCUAGUUCACAUCGCCAUGUGAUUUAACAUCAAUAGUUCACAUCACCAUGUGAUUAACACCCAUAGUUCAUAUCGUCAUGUGACCAACACCCAAAGGGUUUACUAGAGUCAGUAAUCUAGUUCACAUCGCUAUGUGAUUAAUACCCAAAGAGUACUAAGGUGUGAUCAUGUUUUGCUUGUGAGGGAAGUUUAGUCAACUGGUCUGCCACAUUCAGAUCCAUAUGUAUUUUGCAAAUUUCUAUGUCAAUAAUGCUCUGCACGGAGCUACUCUAGCUAAUUUCUCCCACUUUCAAUAUGUAUCCAGAUUGAGACUUAGAGUCAUCUGGAUCAGUGUCAAAACUUGCAUCGACGUAACCCUUUACGACAAACCUUUUGUCACCUCCAUAAUCGAGAAACAUAUACUUAUUCCACUAAGGAUAAUUUUGACCAAUGUCCAGUGAUCUACUCCGAGAUCUCUAUUGUACUCCCUUGCCAAACUCAGGGCAGGGUAUACAAUAGGUCUGGUACACAGCAUGACAUACUUUAUAGAACUAUUGCUGAGGCAUAGGGAAUGACUUUCAUUCUCUCUCUAUCUUCUGCCGUGGUUGGGUUUUGAGUCCUACUCAACUUCACACCUUGUAACACAGGCAAGAACUUCUUUUUGACUGUUCCAUUUUGAACUACUUCAAAAUCUUGUCAAGGUAUGUACUCAUUGAAAAACUUAUCAAGCGUCUUGAUCUAUCUCUAUAGAUCUUGAUGCUCAAUAUGUAAGCAGCUUCACCGAGGUCUUUCUUUGAAAAAACUCCUUCCAAGCAUUCCUUUAUGCUUUGCAGAAUAAUUCUACAUUAUCUCCGGUCAACAAUAUGUCAUACCUAUACUUAUCGGAAAUGCUGUAGUGCUCCCACUCACUUUCUUGUAAAUACAGGCUUCACCGCAAGUCUGCAUAAAACUAUAUUCUUUGAUCAACUUAUCAAAGCGUAUAUUCCAACUUCGAGAUGCUUGCACCAGUCCAUAGAUGGAUCGCUGGAGCUUGCAUAUUUUGUUAGUACCUUUAGGAUUGACAAAACCUUCUGGUUGCAUCAUAUACAACUCUUCUUUAAUAAAUCCAUUAAGGAAUGCAGUUUUCUUUAUCCAUUUGCCAGAUUUCAUAAAAUGCGGCAAUUGCUAACAUGAUUCGGACAGACUUAAGCAUAGAUACGAGUGAGAAAUUCUCAUCGUAGUCAACACUUUGAACUUGUCGAAAACCUUUUUGCGACAAUUAUAACUUUUUAGAUAGUAACACUACUAUCAGUGUCCAUCUUCCUCUUGAAGAUCCAUUUAAUCUCAAUGGCUCGCCGAUCAUUGGGCAAGUCAAUCAAACUCCAUACUUUGUUCUCAUACAUGGAUCUCAUCUCAGAUUUCAUGGCCUCAAGCCAUUUCGCGGAAUCUGGGCUCAUCAUCGCUUCCUCAUAGUUCAUAGGCUCGUCAUGGUCAAGUAACAUGACCUCCAGAAUAGGAUUACCGUACCACUCUGGUGCGGAUCUCACUCUGGUUUACCUACGAGGUUUCGGUAGUAACUUGAUCUGAAGUUACAUGAUCAUCAUCAUUAGCUUCCUCACUAAUUGGUGUAGCAGUCACAGGAACAUAUUUCUGUGAUGAACUACUUUCCAAUAAGGGAGCAGGUACAGUUACCUCAUCAAGUUCUACUUUCCUCCCACUCACUUCUUUCAAAUGCAUUCUCAGCAAUGAAUAACCUGCCUUCGGAUCUGUGAUAGAAGGUGUACCCAACAUUUUCUUUUGGGUAUCCUAUGAAGACGCACUUCUCCGAUUUGGGUUUGAGCUUAUCAGGUUGAAACUUUUUCACAUAAGCAUUGCAACCUCAAACUUUAAGAAACAACAACUUAGGUUUCUUGCCAAACCAUAGUUCAUACGGUGUCGUCUCAACAGAUUUAGAUGGUGCCCUAUUUGACGUGAAUGUAGCUGUCUCUAAUGCAUAACCCCAAAACGAUAGUGAUAAAUUGGUAAGAGACAUCAUAGAUCGCACCAUAUGUAAUAAAGUACGGUUACGACGUUCGGACACACCAUUACACUGUGGUGUUCCAGGUGGCGUGAGUAGUGAAACUAUUUUACAUAGUUUUAACUGAAGGCCAAACUCGUAACUCAAAUAUUUUACUUCUGCGGUCAUAUCGUAGAAACUUUUAUUUUUGUUACGAUGAUUCUCCACUUCACUCUGAAAUUCUUUGAACUUUUCAAAUGUUUCAGACUUGUGUUUCAUCAAGUAGAUAUACUCAUAUCUUCUCGAAUCAUCUGUGAAGAUCAGAAAAUAAUGAUACCUGUCGCGAGCCUCAAUAUUCAUCGGACCACAUACAUCAGUAUGUAUGAUUUCCAACAAAUCUGUUGCUCGCUCCAUUGUUUCGGAGAACGGAAUCUUAGUCAUCUUUCCCAUGAGGCAUGGUUCGCAAGCAUCAACUGAUUCAUAAUCAAGUGAUUCCAAAAGCCCAUCAGCAUGGAUUUUCUUCAUGCGCUUUACACCAAUAUGACCUAAACGGUAGUGCCACAAAUAAUUUGCACUAUCAUUAUUAACUUUGCAUCUUUUGGCUUCAAUAUUAUGAAAAUGUGUAUCACCACGAUCGAGAUCCAAAAAACCAUUUUCAUUGGGUGUAUGAUCAUCGAAGGUUUUAUUCAUGUAAACAGAACAACAAUUAUUCUCUAACUUACAUGAAUAACCGUAUUGCAACAAACAUGAUCAAAUCAUAUUCAUGCUCAACACAAACACCAAAUAACACUUAUUUAGGUUCAACACUAAUCCCGAAAGUAUAGGGAGUGUGCGAUGAUGAUCAUAUCAAUCUUGGAACCAUUUCCAACACACAUCGUCACUUCACCCUUAACUAGUCUCCGUUCAUUCUGCAACUCCCGUUUCAAGUUACUACUCUUAGCAACUGAACCAGUAUCAAAUACCGAGGGGUUGCUAUAAACACUAGUAAAGUACACAUCAAUAACAUGUAUAUCCAAUAUACCUUUGUUCACUUUGCCAUCCUUCAUAUCCGCCAAAUACUUGGGGCAGUUCCGCUUCAAGUGACCAGUCCCUUUGCAGUGAAAGCACUUAGUCUCAGGCUUAGGUCCAGACUUGGGCUUCUUCACUUGAGCAGCACCUUGCUUGCCGUUCUUCUUGAAGUUCCCCUUCUUCCCUUUGCCCUUUUCUUGAAACUAGUGGUCUUGUCAACCAUCAACAUUUGAUGCUUUUCUUGAUUUCUACCUUCGUCGAUUUCAGCAUCACGAAGAGCUUGGGAAUCAUUUCCGUUAUCCCCUGCAUAUUAUAGUUCAUCAUGAAGUUCUAGCAACUUGGUGAUGGUGACUAGAGAAUUCUGUCAAUCACUAUCUUAUCUGGAAGAUUAACUCCCACUUGAUUCAAGCGAUUGUAGUACCCAGACAAUCUGAGCACAUGCUCACUGCUUGAGCUAUUCUCCUCUAUCUUUUAGCUAUAGAACUUGUUGGAGACUUCAUAUCUCUCAACUCGGGUAUUUGCUUGAAAUAUUAACUUCAACUCCUGGAACAUCUCAUAUGGUCCAUGACGUUCAAAAUGUCUUUAAAGUCCCGAUUCUAAGCCGUUAAGCAUGGCGCACUAAACUAUCGAGUAGUCAUCAUAUUGAGCUAGCCAAACGUUCAUAACGUCUGCAUCUGCUCCUGCAAUAGGUCUGUCACCUAGCGGUGCAUCAAGGACAUAAUUCUUUUGUGCAGCAAUGAGGAUAAACCUCAGAUCAUGGAUCCAAUCUGCAUCAUUGCUACUAACAUCUUUCAACUUAGUUUUCCCUAGGAACAUAUAUAAAACAUAGGGAAGCAACAACAUGAGUUAUUGAUCUAUAACAUUAUUUGCAAAAUACUAUCAGGACUAAGUUCAUGAUAAAUUAAAGUUCAAUUAAUCAUAUUACUUCAGAAAUCCCACUUAUAUAGACAUCCCUCUAAUCAUCUAAGUGAUCACAUGAUCCAAAUCAACUAAACCAUAACCGAUCAUCACGUGAAAUGGAGUAGUUUUCAAUGGUGAACAUCACUAUGUUGAUAAUAUCUACUAUAUGAUUCACGCUCGACCUUUUAGUCUCAGUGUUCCGAGGCCAUAUCUGCAUAUGCUAGGCUCGUCAAGUUUAACCUGAGUAUUUUGCGUGUGCAAAACUGGCUUGCACCCGUUGUAGAUGGACGUAGAGCUUAUCACACCCGAUCAUCACAUGGUGUCUGGGAAUGAUGAACUUUAGCAACGGUGCAUACUCAGGGAGAACACUUUUAUCUUGAAAUUUAGUGAGAGAUCAUCUUAUAAUGCUACCGUCAAUCAAAGCAGGAUAAGAUGCAUAAAAGAUAAACAUCACAUGCAAUCAAUAUAAGUGAUAUGAUAUGGCCAUCAUCAUCUUGUGCUUGUGAUCUCCAUCUCCGAAGCACCGUCAUGAUCACCAUCGUCACCAGCGCGACACCUUGAUCUCCAUCGUAGCAUCGUUGUCGUCUCACCAAUCUUAUGCUUCCACGACUAUCGCUACCGCUUAGUGAUAAAGUAAAGCAUUACAGGGCGAUUGCAUUGCAUACAAUAAAGCGACAACCAUAUGGCUCCUGCCAGUUGCCGAUAACUUUGGUUACAAAACAUGAUCAUCUCAUACAAUAAAUUUAGCAUCAUGUCUUGACCAUAUCACAUCACAACAUGCCCUGCAAAAACAAGUUAGACGUCCUCUACUUUGUUGUUGCAAGUUUUACGUGGCUGCUACGGGCUUAGCAAGAACCGUUCUUACCUACGCAUCAAAACCAGAACGAUAGUUUGUCAAGUUGGUGAUGUUUUAACCUUCGCAAGGACCGGGCGUAGCCACACUCGGUUCAACUAAAGUUGGAGAAACUGACACCCGCCAGCCACCUGUGUGCAAAGCACGUCGGUAGAACCAGUCUCGCGUAAGCGUACGCGUAAUGUCGGUCCGGGCCGCUCCAUCCAACAAUAGCGCCGAACCAAAGUAUGACAUGCUGGUAAGCAGUAUGACAUAUAUCACCCACAACUCACUUGUGUUCUACUCGUGCAUAUGACAUCAACACAUAAAACCUGGCUCGGAUGCCACUGUUGGGGAAUGUAGUAAUUUCAAAAUUUCCCUACGCACACGCAAGAUCAUGGUGAUGCAUAGCAACGAGAGGGGAGAGUGUAGUCCACGUACCCUCGUAGACCGAAAACGGAAGCGUUAGCACAACGCGGUUGAUGUAGUCGUACGUCUUCACGAUCCGACCAAUCAAGUACCGAACGUACGGCACCUCCGAGUUCAGCACACGUUCAGCUCGAUGACGUCCCUCGAACUCCGAUCCAGCCGAGUGUUGAGGGAGAGUUUCAUCAGCACGACGGCGUGGUCACGAUGUUGAUAUUCUAUCGAUGAAGGGUUUCGCCUAAGCACCGCUACACUAUUAUCGAGGUGUACUAUGGUGGAGGGGGGCACCGCGCACGGCUAAGAGAUCAAUGAUCAAUUGUUGUGUCUAUGGGGUGCCCCCUAGCCACGUAUAUAAAGGAGUGGAGGAGGGAAGGGGCCAGCCCUCUCUAUGGUGCGCCGUAGGGGAGUCCUACUCCCACCGGGAGUAGGAUUCCCCCUUUCCUAGUAGAACUAGGAGCCCUUCCAAGUAGUAGGAGUAGGAGAGAAGGAAAGGGAAGGGAAAAGGAGAAGGAAGGAAGGGGGCGCCCCCCUCCCUAGUCCAAUUCGGACCAGCCCAUGGGGAGGGGUGCGGCCAACCUUUGAGGCCUUUCUCUCCUUUCCCGUAUGGCCCAUUAAGGCCCAAUACGAAUUCCCGUAACUCCAUGUUACUCCCGAAAAUACCCGAAUCACUCGGAACCUUUCCGAUGUCCGAAUAUAGUCGUCCAAUAUAUCGAUCUUUACGUCUCGACCAUUUCGAGACUCCUCUUCAUGUCCCCGAUCUCAUCCGGGACUCCGAACUCCUUCGGUACAUCAAAACACAUAAACUCAUAAUAUAACUGUCAUCGAACUUUAACCGUGCGUACCCUACGGGUUCGAGAACUAUGUAGACAUGACCGAGACAUGUCUCCGAUCAACAACCAAUAGCGGAACCUGGAUGCUCAUACUGGCUCCUACAUAUUCUACGAAGAUCUUUAUUGGUCAAACCGCAAAACAACAUACGUUGUUCCCUUUGUCGUCGGUAUGUUACUUGCCCGAGAUUCGAUCGUUGGUAUCUCAAUACCUAGUUCAAUCUCGUUACUGGCAAGUCUCUUUACUCGUUCCGUAACACAUCAUCCCACAACUAACUCAUUAGUUGCAAUGCUUGCAAGGCUUAUAGUGAUGUGCAUUACCGAGUGGGCCCAGAGAUACCUCUUCGACAAUCGGAGUGACAAAUCCUAAUCUCGAAAUACGCCAACCCAACAAGUACCUUCAGAGACACCUAUAGAGCACCUUUAUAAUCACCCAGUUAUGUUGUGACGUUUGGUGGUAGACAAAGCGUUCCUCCGGUAAACGGGAGUUGCAUAAUCUCAUAGUCAUAGGAACAUGUAUAAGUCAUGAAGAAAGCAAUAGCAACAAACUAAACGAUCAAGUGCUAAGCUAACGGAAUGGAUCAAGUAAAUCACAUUAUUCCUCUAAUGAUGUGAUCAUGUUAAUCAAAUGACAACUCAUGUCUAUUGUUAGGAAACAUAACCAUCUUUGAUGAACGAGCUAGUCAAGUACAGGCAUACUGGUGACACUCUGUUUGUUUAUGUAUUCACACAUGUAUUAUGUUUCCGGUUAAUACAAUUCUAGCAUGAAUAAUAAACAUUUAUCAUGAUAUAAGGAAAUAAAUAAUAACUUUACUAUUGCCUCUAGGGCAUAUUUCCUUUAGGACCCCACUGCCACGGGAGGGUAGGACAAAAGAUGUCAUGCAAGUUCUUUUCAUAAGCACGUAUGACUAUAUUCGGAAUACAUGCCUACAUUAUAUUGAUGAAUUGGAGCUAGUUCUGUGUCACCCUUGGUUAUGACUAUUACAUGAUGAACCACAUCCGGCAUAAUUUUCUAUCAGCGAUCCAUUGCCCACAAGAUUUCCAUUUAUUGUUCUUCGCUUAUUUACUUUUCCGUUGCUAUUACUAUCAUGACUACAAAAUACCAAAAAACAUUACUUUUUCUAUCAUUAUCUUUUGCUACCGUUACCACUACUAUCAUAUUACUUUGCUACUAAAUACUUCGCUGCAGAUAUUAAGUUUCCAGGUGUGGUAGAAUUGACAACUCAUCUGCUAAUACUUGAGAAUAUUCUUUGGCUCCCCUUGUGUUGAAUCAAUAAAUUUGGGUUCAAUACUCUACCCUCGAAAACUGUUGCGAUCCCCAACACUUGUGGGUUAUCAUUGACUAAGCCUCUCUCACGAGCAAAACAUGAUCAGCACCAAGACUACAUGGGUGUUAGAAUCAUUACAAUGUAAUCUAGAUUAUUGACUCUAGUGCAAGUGGGAGACUGAAGGAAAUAUGCCCUAGAGGCAAUAAUAAAGUUGUUAUUUAUAUUUCCUUAUAUCAUGAUUAAUGUUUAUUAUUCAUGCUAGAAUUGUAUUAACCAGAAACUUAGUACAUGUGUGAAUACAUAGACAAACAGAGUGUCACUAGUUUGCCUCUACUUGACUAGCUCGUUGAAUCAAUGAUGGUUAUGUUUCCUAACCAUAGACAUGAGUUGUCAUUUGAUUAAUGGGAUCACAUCAAUAGAGAAUGAUGUGAUUGACUUGAACCACCCGUUAGCUUAGCACGAUGAUCGUUUAGUUUGUUGUUAUUGCUUUCUCCAUAACUAUACAUGUUCCUAUGACUAUGAGAUCAUGCAACUCCCGAAUACCGAAGGAACACUUUGUGUGCUACCAAACGUCACAACGUAACUGGGUGAUUAUAAAGGUGCUCUACAGGCGUCUCCGAUGGUGUUUGUUGAGUUGGCAUGGAUCAAGAUUAGGAUUUGUCACUCCGAUUAUCGGAGAGCUAUCUCUGGGCCCUCUCNNNNNNNNNNNNNNNNNNNNNNNNNNNNNNNNNNNNNNNNNNNNNNNNNNNNNNNNNNNNNNNNNNNNNNNNNNNNNNNNNNNNNNNNNNNNNNNNNNNNNNNNNNNNNNNNNNNNNNNNNNNNNNNNNNNNNNNNNNNNNNNNNNNNNNNNNNNNNNNNNNNNNNNNNNNNNNNNNNNNNNNNNNNNNNNNNNNNNNNNNNNNNNNNNNNNNNNNNNAAGCCCAAUCCGAAUUUGGAGGGGGGCUGGCCCCCCUUUCCUUCCUUCUUCCCUCUCCUUCCUUCUCUCCUAGAACAAACAAAGGGAAGGGGGGAAUCCUACUCCCGGUGGGAGUAGGACUGUUGGGUUUCGUACUAAUUUCAAAAAAAUUCCUACGCACACGCAAGAUCAUGGUGAUGCAUAGCAACGAGAGGGGGAGAGUGUGAUCUACGUACCCUUGUAGAUCGACAACGAAAGCGUUAACUUGGUUGAUGUAGUCGUACGUCUUCACGGCCCAACUGAUCAAGCACCGAAACUACGGCACCUCCGAGUUCUAGCACACGUUCAGCUCGAUGACGAUCCCCGGACUCCGAUCCAGCAAAGUGUCAGGGAAGAGUUCCGUCAGCACGACGACGUGGUGACGAUCUUGAUGUACUACUGUCGCAGGGCUUCGCCUAAGCACCGCUACAAUAUUAUCGAGGACUAUGGUGGAAGGGGGCACCGCACACGGCUAAGAAUAUGAUCACGUGGAUCAACUUGUGUCUCUAGGGGUGCCCCGUGCCUCCGUAUAUAAAGGCUCAAAGGGGGGGCUGGCCGGCCAAGGGGUGGCGCGCCAGGAGGGGUCCUACUCCUUCCGGGAGUAGGACUCCCCCCCUUUCCUAGUUGGAAUAGGAUUCGUGGAGUGGGGAAAAGAGGAGAGAGAGGAGGAAGGGGGGCCGGCCCCCUCUCCUUGUCCUGUUCGGACCAAGGGCGGAGGGGCGCACGGCCCAUCUCUGGCCACCUCUCCUCUCUUCCACUAAGGCCCACUAAGGCCCAUAUACCUCCCGGGGGGUUCCGGUAACCUCCCGGUAAUCCGGUAAAAUCCCGAUUUCACCCGGAACAAUUCUGAUAUCCAAACAUAGGCUUCCAAUAUAUCAAUCUUUAUGUCUCGACCAUUUCGAGACUCCUCGUCAUGUCCGUGAUCACAUCCGGGACUCCCAACAACCUUCGGUACAUCAAAAUGCAUAAACUCAUAAUAUAACUGUCAUCGUAACCUUAAGUGUGCGGACCCUACGGGUUCGAGAACAAUGUAGACAUGACCGAGACACGUCUCCGGUCAAUAACCAAUAGCGGGACCUGGAUGCCCAUAUUGGUUCCUACAUAUUCUACGAAGAUCUUUUAUCGGUCAGACCGCAUAACAACAUACGUUGUUCCCUUUGUCAUCGGUAUGUUACUUGCCCGAGAUUCGAUCAUCAGUAUCCGAUACCUAGUUCAAUCUCGUUACUGGCAAGUCUCUUUACUCGUUCCGUAAUACAUCAUCCCGCAACUAACUCAUUAGUUGCAACGCUUGCAAGGCUUAAGUGAUGUGCACUACCGAGAGGGCCCAGAGAUACCUCUCCGACAAUCGGAGUGACAAAUCCUAAUCUUGAAAUACGCCAACCCAACAUGUACCUUUGGAGACACCUGUAGAGCUCCUUUAUAAUCACCCAGUUACGUUGUGACGUUUGGUAGCACACAAAGUGUUCCUCUGGCAAACGGGAGUUGCAUAAUCUCAUAAUCAUAGGAACAUGUAUAAGUCAUGAAGAAAGCAAUAGCAACAUACUAAACGAUCGGGUGCUAAGCUAAUGGAAUGGGUCAUGUCAAUCAGAUCAUUCAACUAAUGAUGUGAUCCCGUUAAUCAAAUAACAACUCUUUGUCCAUGGUUAAGAAACAUAACCAUCUUUGAUUAACGAGCUAGUCAAGUAGAGGCAUACUAGUGACACUCUGUUUGUCUAUGUAUUCACACAUGUAUUAUGUUUCCAGUUAAUACAAUUCUAGCAUGAAUAAUAAACUUUUAUCAUGAUAUAAGGAAAUAAAUAAUAACUUUAUUAUUGCCUCUAGGGCAUAUUUCCUUCAGUCUCCCACUUGCACUAGAGUCAAUAAUCUAGAUUACACAGUAAUGAUUCUAACACCCAUGGAGCCUUGGUGUUGAUCAUGUUUUGCUCGUGGAAGAGGCUUAGUCAACGGGUCUGCAACAUUUAGAUCCGUAUGUAUCUUGCAAAUCUCUAUGUCUCCCACUUGGACUAGAUCCCGGAUGGAAUUGAAGCGUCUCUUGAUGUGCUUGGUUCUCUUGUGAAAUCUGGAUUCCUUCGCCAAGGCAAUUGCACCAGUAUUGUCACAAAAGAUCUUCAUUGGACCCGAUGCACUAGGUAUGACACCUAGAUCGGACAUGAACUCCUUCAUCCAGACUCCUUCAUUCGCUGCUUCUGAAGCAGCUAUGUAUUCCGCUUCACACGUAGAUCCCGCCACAACGCUUUUGUUUAGAACUGCACCAACUGACAGCUCCACCAUUUAAUGUAAACACGUAUCCGGUUUGCGAUUUAGAAUCGUCCGGAUCAGUGUCAAAGCUUGCAUCAACGUAACCGUUUACGAUGAGCUCUUUGUCACCUCCAUAUACGAGAAACAUAUCCUUAGUCCUUUUCAGGUACUUCAGGAUGUUCUUGACCGCUGUCCAGUAAUCCACUCCUGGAUUACUUUGGUACCUCCCUGCUAAACUUAUAGCAAGGCACACAUCAGGUCUGGUACACAGCAUUGCAUACAUGAUAGAGCCUAUGGCUGAAGCAUAGGGAACAUCUUUCAUUUUCUCUCUAUCUUCUGUAGUGGUCGGGCAUUGAGUCUGACUCAGCUUCACACCUUGUAACACAGGCAAGAACCCUUUCUUUGCUUGAUCCAUUUUGAACUUCUUCAAAAUCUUGUCAAGGUAUGUGCUUUGUGAAAGUCCAAUUAAACGUCUUGAUCUAUCUCUAUAGAUCUUUAUGCCUAAUAUGUAAGCAACUUCACCGUGGUCUUUCAUUGAAAAACUCUUAUUCAAGUAUCCCUUUAUGCCAUCCAGAAAUUCUAUAUCAUUUCCAAUCAGUAAUAUGUCAUCCACAUAUAAUAUCAGAAAUGCUACAGAGCUCCCACUCACUUUCUUGUAAAUACAGGCUUCUCCAAAAGUCUAUAUAAAACCAAAUGCUUUGAUCACACUAUCAAAGCGUUUAUUCCAACUCCGAGAGGCUUGCACCAGUCCAUAAAUGGAUCGCUGGAGUUUGCACACUUUGUUAGCUCCCUUUGGAUCGACAAAACCUUCCGGUUGCAUCAUAUACAACUCUACUUCCAGAAAUCCAUUCAGGAAUGCAGUUUUGACAUCCAUCUGCCAAAUUUCAUAAUCAUAAAAUGCGGCAAUUGCUAACAUGAUUCGGACAGACUUAAGCAUCGCUACGGGUGAGAAGGUCUCAUCGUAGCCAACCCCUUGAACUUGCCGGAACCCUUUUGUGACAAGUCGAGCUUUGUAGACAGUAAUAUUACCGUCGGCGUCAGUCUUCUUCUUGAAGAUCCAUUUAUUCUCAAUUGCUUGCCGAUCAUUGGGCAAGUCAACCAAAGUCCACACUUUGUUCUCAUACAUGGAUCCCAUCUCAGAUUUCAUGGCUUCAAGCCAUUUUGCGGAAUCUGGGCUUACCAUCGCUUCUUCAUAGUUUGUAGGUUCAUCAUGAUCUAGUAGCAUGACUUCCAGAACUGGAUUACCGUACCACUAUGGCGCGGAUCUCACUCUGGUUCAUCUACGAGGUUCAGUAGUAUCUUGUUCUGAAGUUUCUUGAUCAUUAUCAUUAGCUUCCUCACUAAUUGGUGUAGGUGUCACAGAAACAGUUUUCUGUGAUGCACUACUUUCCAAUAAGGGAGCAGGUACAGUUACCUCAUCAAGUUCUACUUUCCUCCCACUCACUUCUUUCGAAAGAAAGUCCUUCUCCAGAAAGUUUCCGAACUUAGCAACAAAAGUCUUGCCUUCGGAUCUGUGAUAGAAGGUGCAUCCAAUAGUCUCCUUUGGAUAUCCUAUGAGGACACAUUUCUCUGAUUUGGGUUCGAGCCUAUCAGGUUGAAGCUUUUUCACAUAAGCAUCGCAGCCCCAAACUUUCAGAAACGACAACUUUGGUUUCUUGCCAAACCAUAGUUCAUAAGGCGUCGUCUCAACGGAUUUUGAUGGUGCCCUAUUUAACGUGAAUGCGGCCGUCUCCAAAGCAUAACCCCAAAACGAUAGCGGUAAAUCAGUAAGAGACAUCAUAGAUCGCACCAUAUCUAGUAAAGUACGAUUACGACGUUCGGACACACCAUUACGCUGUGGUGUUCCGGGUGGCGUGAGUUGCGAAACUAUUCCGCAUUGUUUCAAAUGUACACCAAACUCGUAACUCAAAUAUUCUCCUCCACGAUCAGAUCGUAGAAACUUUAUUUUCUUGUUACGAUGAUUUUCAACUUCACUCUGAAAUUAUUUGAACUUUUCAAACGUUUCAGACUUAUGUUUCAUGAAGUAGAUAUACCCAUAUCUGCUUAAGUCAUCUGUGAAGGUGAGAAAAUAACGAUAUCCGCCACGAGCCUCAAUAUUCAUCGGACCACAUACAUCAGUAUGUAUGAUUUCCAACAAAUCUGUUGCUCUCUCCAUCGUACCGGAGAACAGCGUUUUAGUCAUCUUGCCCAUGAGGCACGGUUCGCAAGUACCAAGUGAUUCAUAAUCAAGUGGUUCGAAAAGUCCAUCAGUAUGGAGUUUCUUCAUGCGCUUUACACCAAUAUGACCUAAACGGCAGUGCCAUAAAUAAGUUGCACUAUCAUUAUCAACUCUGCAUCUUUUGGCUUCAACAUUAUGAAUAUGUGUGUCACUACUAUCGAGAUUCAAUAAGAAUAGACCAUUCUUCAAGGGUGCAUGACCAUAAAAGAUAUUACUCAUAUAAAUAGAACAACCAUUAUUCUCUGAUUUAAAUGAAUAACCGUCUCGCAUCAAACAAGAUCCAGAUAUAAUGUUCAUGCUCAACACUGGCACCAAAUAACAAUUAUUUAGGUCUAAUAUUAAUCCCGAAGGUAGAUGUAGAGGUAGCGCGCCGACUGCGAUCACAUCGACUUUGGAACCGUUUCCCACGCGCAUCGUCACCUCGUCCUUAGCCAAUCUUCGCUUAAUCCGUAGUCCCUGUUUCGAGUGGCAAAUAUUAGCAACAGAACCAGUAUCAAAUACCCAGGUGCUACUGCGAGCAUUAGUAAGGUACACAUCAAUAAGAUGUAUAUCACAUAUACCUUUGUUCACCUUGCCAUCCUUCUUAUCUGCCAAAUACUUGGGGCAGUUCCGCUUCUAGUGACCAGUCUGCUUGCAGUAGAAGCACUCAAUUUCAGGCUUUGGUCCAGACUUGGGCUUCUUCUCUCAAGCAGCAACUUGCUUGCUGUUCUUCUUGAAGUUCCCCUUCUUCUUCCCUUUGCCCUUUUUCUUGAAACUAGUGGUCUUCUUGACCAUCAACACUUGAUGCUCCUUUUUGAUUUCUACCUCCGCAGCUUUCAGCAUUGCGAAGAGCUCGGGAAUAGUCUUAUUCAUCCCUUGCAUAUUAUAGUUCAUCACGAAGCUCUUGUAGCUUGGUGGCAGUGAUUGGAGAAUCCUGUCAAUGAUGCAAUCAUCUGGAAGAUUAACUCCCAUUUGAAUCAAGUGAUUAUUAUACCCAGACAUUUUGAGUAUAUGCUCACUGACAGAACUGUUCUCCUCCAUCUUGCAGCUAUAGAACUUAUUGGAGACUUCAUAUCUCUCAAUCCGAGCAUUUGCUUGAAAUAUUAACUUCAACUCCUGGAACAUCUCAUAUGCUCCAUGACGUUCAAAACAUCGUUGAAGUCCCGGUUCUAAGCCGUAAAGCAUGGCACACUGAACUAUCGAGUAGUCAUCAGCUUUGCUCUGCCAGACGUUCACAACAUCUGGUGUUUCUCCAGCAGCAGGCCUGGCACCCAGCGGUGCUUCCAGGACGUAAUUCUUCUGUGCAGCAAUGAGGAUAAUCCUCAAGUUACGGACCCAGUCCGUGUAAUUGCUACCAUCAUCUUUCAACUUUGCCUUUCUCAAGGAACGCAUUAAAAUUCAACGGAGCAACAGCACGGGCCAUCUAUCUACAAUCAAACAUACAUAAGCAAGAUACUAUCAGGUACUAAGUUCAUGAUAAAUUUAGGUUCAAUUAAUCAUAUUACUUAAAGAACUCCCACUUAGAUAGACAUCCCUCUAAUCCUCUAAGUGAUUACGUGAUCCAAGUCAACUAAACCAUGUCCGAUCAUCACGUGAGAUGGAGUAGUUUCAUUGGUGAACAUCACUAUGUUGAUCAUAUCUACUAUAUGAUUCACGCUCGACCUUUCGGUCUCCGUGUUCCGAGGCCAUAUCUGUAUAUGCUUGGCUCGUCAAGUAUAACCUGAGUAUUCUGCGUGUGCAACUUUUUUGCACCCGUUGUAUUUGAACAUAGAGUCUAUCACACCCGAUCAUCACGUGAUGUCUCAGCACGAAGAACUUUCGCAACGGUGCAUACUCAGGGAGAACACUUCUUGAUAAUUAGUGAGAGAUCAUCUUAUAAUGCUACCGUCAAUCAAAGCAAGAUAAGAUGCAUAAAAGAUAAACAUCACAUGCAAUCAAUAUAAGUGAUAUGAUAUGGCCAUCAUCAUCUUGUGCUUGUGAUCUCCAUCUUCGAAGCACCGUCAUGAUCACCAUCGUCACCGGCGCGACACCUUGAUCUCCAUCGUAGCAUCGCUUAGUGAUAAAGUAAAGCAUUACAGCGCGAUUGCAUUGCAUACAAUAAAGAGACAACCGUAUGGCUCCUGCCAGUUGCCGAUAACUCGGUUACAAAACAUGAUCAUCUCAUACAAUAAAAUUUAGCAUCAUGUCUUGACCAUAUCACAUCACAACAUGCCCUGCAAAAACAAGUUAGACGUCCUCUGCUUUGUUGUUGCAUGUUUUACGUGGCUGCUACGGGCUUAAGCAAGAACCAAUCUUACCUACACAUCAAAACCAUAAUGAUAGUUUGUCAAGUUGGUGCUAUUUUAACCUUCACAAGGACCGGGCGUAGCCACACUCGGUUCAACUAAAGUUGGAGAAACUGUCACCCGCAAGCCACCUAUGUGCAAAGCACGUCGGGAGAACUGGUCUCGCGUAAGCGUACACGUAAUGUCGGUCCGGGCCGCUUCGUCCAACAAUACCGCCGAACCAAAGUAUGACAUGCUGGUAAGCAGUAUGACUUAUAUCGCCCACAACUCACUUGUGUUCUUCUCGUGCAUAUAACAUCAACUUAUAAAACCUAGGCUCUGAUACCACUGUUGGGUUUCGUACUAAUUUCAAAAAAUUUCCUACGCACACGCAAGAUCAUGGUGAUGCAUAGCAACGAGAGGGGGAGAGUGUGAUCUACAUACCCUUGUAGAUCGACAACGGAAGCGUUAACUUGGUUGAUGUAGUCGUACGUCUUCACGGCCCAACCGAUCAAGCACCAAAACUACGGCCCCUCUGAGUUCUAGCACACGUUCAGCUCGAUGACGAUCCCCAGACUCCGAUCCAGCAAAGUGUCGGGGAAGAGUUCCGUCAGCACGACGGCGUGGUGACGAUCUUGAUGUACUACUGUCGUAGGGCUUCGCCUAAGCACCGCGACAAUAUUAUCGAGGACUAUGGUGGAAGUGGGCACCGCACACGGCUAAGAAUAUGAUCACGUGGAUCAACUUGUGUCUCUAGGGGUGCCCCGUGCCUCCGUAUAUAAAGGCUCAAAGGGGGUGGGCUGGCCGGCCAAGGGGUGGCGCGCCAGGAGGAGUCCUACUCCUUCCGGGAGUAGGACUCCCCCCCUUUCCUAGUUGGAAUAGGAUUCGUGGAGCGGGGAAAAGAGGAGAGAGAGAGGAGGAAGGGGGGCCGGCCCCCUCUCCUUGUCCUGUUCGGACCAAGGGGGGGAGGGGCGCACGGCCCAUCUCUGGACACCUCUCCUCUCUUCCACUAAGGCCCACUAAGGCCCAUAUACCUCCCGAGGGGUUCCGGUAACCUCCCGGUAAUCCGGUAAAAUCCCGAUUUCACCCGGAACACUUCCGAUAUCCAAACAUAGGCUUCCAAUAUAUCAAUCUUUAUGUCUCGACCAUUUCGAGACUCCUCGUCAUGUCCGUGAUCACAUCCGGGACUCAGAACAACCUUUGGUACAUCAAAAUGCAUAAACUCAUAAUAUAACUGUCAUCGUAACCUUAAGCGUGCGGACGCUACGGGUUCGAGAACAAUGUAGACAUGACCGAGACACGUCUCCGGUCAAUAAUCAAUAGUGGGACCUGGAUGCCCAUAUUGGUUCCUACAUAUUCUACGAAGCUCUUUUAUCGGUCAGACCGCUUAACAACAUAGGUUGUUCCCUUUGUCAUCGGUAUGUUACUUGCCCGAGAUUCGAUCGUCGGUACCCCAUACCUAGUUCAAUCUCGUUACCGGCAAGUCUCUUUACUUGUUCCGUAAUACAUCAUCCAGCAACUAACUCAUUAGUUGCAACGCUUGCAAGCCUUAAGUGAUGUGCACUACCGAGAGGGCCCAGAGAUACCUCUCCGACAAUCAGAGUGACAAAUCCUAAUCUCGAAAUACACCAACCCAACAUGUACCUUUGGAGACACCUGUAGAGCUCCUUUAUAAUCACCCAGUUACGUUGUGACGUUUGGUAGCACACAAAGUGUUCCUCUGGCAAAUGGGAGUUGCAUAAUCUCAUAGUCAUAGGAACAUGUAUAAGUCAUGAAGAAAGCAAUAGCAACAUACUAAACGAUCGGGUGCUAAGCUAAUGGAAUGGGUCAUGUCAAUCAGAUCAUUCAACUAAUGAUGUGAUCCCGUUAAUCAAAUAACAACUCUUUGUACAUGGUUAGGAGGCAUAACCAUCUUUGAUUAAUGAGCUAGUCAAGUAGAGGCAUACUAGUGACACUCUGUUUGUCUAUGUAUUCACACAUGUAUUAUGUUUCCGGUUAAUACAAUUCUAGCAUGAAUAAUAAACUUUUAUCAUGAUAUAAGGAAAUAAAUAAUAACUUUAUUAUUGCCUCUAGGGCAUAUUUCCUUCAAGGACUCCUUGGGGAGCGCCUAGAGAGGCCGGCCCCCUCCCCCUCCUCCACUCCUUCAUAUACGGGGGAGGGGGCACCCCAUGGACACACAAGUUGAUCAUUGAUCUUUAGCCGUGUGCGGUGCCCCCUCCACCAUAAUCCACCUCGGUAAUUUUGUAUCGGUGCUUAGGAGAAGCCCUGUUCCGGUAGCAACAUCAUCACCAUCAUCACGCCGUCGUGUUGACGAAGGUCUCCCUCGAAUCUCUACUGGAUCGUGAGUUCGUGGGAUGUCACCGAGCUGAACGUGUGCAGAUCACGGAGGUGCAGUAUCUUCGGUACUAGAUCGGUCGAUCAUGAAGACGUACGACUACAUCAACCGCGUUGUCAUCACGCUUCCGCUUACGGUCUAUGAGGGUACGUAGACGAUACUCUCCCCUUUCGUUGCUAUGCAUCACCAUGAUCUUGCGUGUGCGUAGGAUUUUUUUUGAAAUUACUGCGUUCCCCAACAGCAGAAACUGGGCUAUUUCUUGUCCGAAGUAACUUUAGGUCUCUUAACGGCCCGUAGUCUUCAUGGAUAAAUUUCAGCCCAACUGGCCUAUCGGCCUGUUAAUGGCCCGUGUAACAGUUGGGCCUAAUUACAACCCAUGUUGAAUCCGGCCUGCUUACAACCCAUCUGAUAAUGGCCCGUGACACUUUUGUGCCUAUGGCCCAUGUGGAUACUGGCCUGCUUAAAGCCCAUAAUUUAAUUGGGCCAAAUAGGCCCGAGAUAUGUUUUGGCCUGUUAAAGGCUCAUCCUAUUUGGGCCAAACAUGGGCCUUUAGGCAGUUUCGGCCUGUAUUGUCCCGUGAAUUUUUUGGCUCAAGACUGGCCCAAUCUAGGUUUUGGCCUGUUAGGGCAUCUACAAUGGGAGACGCCUAAUUGGGCGCUUAUAGAUGGAUAAAUUAAUGUUAUUUAAUUAAAAACACCUAAACGAUUUACGUCUCAACGCAAGGCGCUAACAAUCGGCACUAAUUGAGCGGUAAUUAAACAGCGCAUGCGCCUCUUGUGGGAGAGAAAAGGAGUAGGCGUCCGAUGCCUGCCUUUGCGUCGAUGUAGCGUCCGACACCGGGAUUUCUGGGCCUAACUGCCCAGCAACGGGAAAAUUAGUAGGAAAUUGAUCCUGGCGCCUCGCUAAGUGUCUUGCAUUGUAGAUGCCCUUAAGAUCCCAUGGUAUUCUCUGGCCCAACUGGCCAGAACUUAACUCGGCCUGUUAAAGGUGGAAAACUAUUAUAUGUUUAGACCUGCUAAUGUCCCAAGAUGAUUAUAGGCCCACAUUUUGGCCCAUAUGUGUAACGGGCUAGCCUGAAGAUCGACAACACUGAGAUCCAUUGAACCUUCCGGCCUAAAUUACAGCAUAGCGACCAAGAAUAAACUUAGACUAUACAAUAAAGAAAUUACAACAUAUUACAUCCACUGGGAAUCAAAGUUCGCCACCGGUGAUAAUAAAGCGCAACGUGACCGUGGAUUACAUACACUAGGCAUCGAAGGUUGCCACUGGUACAUAUAAACCCGUCGACAAAAGUAUAUACAAAACUGAGAGCACUUCAGAAGGCUAUAGGCCUGGCCAGAACAGGCUCUGCAAGCAGCUGAAUAAGCUGAUGAGACCUCAGUUGUGUCAAUGAUACAUGCUCCAUCCCUAGCUUUAUAGCACCAUAGUGCGCAAGGCAGUCCUCUGAGACCUUCAUUGCAUCAUUGACAUCAAGUCGGAGCUGAGCUGAAGCAAGCCUUUCCGCUUUAAGUUGAGACUGAAGAAGUCGAACUGAUGGAGGCAGCGACUGCACAGAGGUUGUCUCACAUAAGGAUGGCAAUGGGUAGGGUAUGGGAAGGGUAGAGCAAUGUCAUACCCAUACCCGUAUAGUCAGUGGGUACAAAAUUCUACCCAUACCCGUACCCAUGGGUAUGAAACUUUACCCAUGCCCAUACCCGAUGGGUACCCGUACCCAUUGGGUACCCAACAGGUAGAACAAAUAGUACAUAAACUGUUCACAAUUUUACACUCAAUGAUAGCACAUUUGAAAAAAAAAUAGUUAUCUCAGCUCAAUAACAAGGCAGAUGUCUACAUGAACACUCUCAAAAUAUAAAAAACACAAACAUACUCAUAAGUCAAUAGGAGUAGAUGAGUCACAUGACUAAUUGACGACAAGUUAACAGUAGUUCACAAGUUGGCAGGGUAUGGGUAUACCCGCGGGUACAAGGCUAUACUCGUACCCUCCCCAUGACUUAGCGGGUAGGGUAUGGGUACUACCCAUGGGUAUAAAAGUCUACCCAUACCCUACCCAUGCGGGUACGGUACCCGCGGGUACCCGUGCCCAUGGGUAAAACUGCCAUGCUUAGUCUCACAACUACUGGUGAGUAGCUUCAAUUCACUUUCUUCAUCAAGAUAGGACCUUCGGGCCAUCUCGCUCUCUUCAAGAUGGUUUGGCUCACUAUCUUCCCUGAAGUUCUGUCUGGCAUAAGAGAUACGACUCUAAAAGAGAAACAAGGAGACACGUAAUAGAUUUGACAAUUAUAUAAGCAAAUAAAUGGAUUUGUUCUACAUAAGGAACAUGUUUUUAUAACUACAAUUUAAAAUUGGUAGUUUUUGCAAACAUCCAAUCAGAUGUAAACAACAAAGUAAACAGCGGCAGAGGAAAUAAUGCCUAUCCAAUUCUAUACUAGAACAAAGUUUGAAGGCUUGAGAAGGAUGGAUUUACAUUACAUGUUACAUGGGCUGGACAAAGCCCUUCUCCAUGUCAAUGGAAGGAUAAUUCAAUAAAUUCCCCAAAGAAACUUCUUUAUAAGCAUUUCCAUUAUUCUACAUUUUGCAAAGAGUAAAUAUAGAUCAAAUAAUAUUGGAAGAAAUAGAGGAUAAUGAAGCUUAGGUGAAGACUGAUGAUACAUACUCAAAUAGCAAUUAAUUAAGUACAAUGUUACAAGGCAAAAGGUACUGACAAGAGGAAUGCAGACAUCAAAGUGUGCAAUGGCAUUCACUUUAUUCAACAUUUUGGUAAGAGUAAAUGGAGAUUUGAUAAUUUUGAGAAAGUGGAGGGCAGGGUAGAUAAGAUGCAGAGUAAUGCUAGACAAUCAACUAUCUCGCGAUGCAAGUACAGUAAUACCACCACCGUCCAUUAUUACUUGUCGCUCAAAUGGAUGUAUCUAGCACUAUUAAGUUCUAAAUACAUCCAAUUGAUCAACAAUUAAUUCGAUACAGAGUGAGUACAUGACAAUUGGUACUUACAUGAGCAAUCCAAAACUUCAUAACCAUUGUGUUAAUUCUAUAUUUAUCCAAUAGUAAAUAUAAAUCUUAUAAUUUCCAGUAAAGGGAGGAUAAACAAACGAACAAUUACAAUGAUGCUACAUAAUCAAACAGCAAUGUGUGUAAGUAUGCUGACAAAGGGCAAGAGGCACUGACAAGAGCAAUGCAGUGCCUAGUAUUGUUGUGAGAUCCUAUGAUCCUUUGAGAAAGGAGAUUCAUCUGAAAUUAGUUUUCAUACAAGGGAGAAGGUAAGGCACAUGCAGAAAUUUAGGAGUACAAAUUUUGAAUUGAUAUCAUAGACAGUACCUAACGCUGGCCUCUCAGCAGUUCUAAUAGGGGUUUGGCUAGUGGAGUAGGGGUAAAGUGUGGUACAGUUGGGCUUGUGUUUUUCUUUGGCUGCUGGUCUAUCUGAUUUAACAGGUAUCACUACCUUUUCGAAAUACCUAGUUUUUCUAUGUCUGCUGGUCUAUCUGCACUCACCCUCUUCCUUUUGGACAUCUAUUACGAAAGAACAACAUUUGACUGGAAAAACAUAGUAUGAUGACACAUGGAAUAGGUACAGAAAAUGGAUAGGUAUGGCAUAUACUCAUAUAUGAUGCUUAAACUAAGCGGAUGGUGGCGUAACAAAGUAGAAGUAAUGCAAGAGGUCAUAUGCAAAAUAUGUGCAACCAAUACAACCUUGCAAAGUUAGAGCAAGCACCUUGAUGGGUGAAUAAGAUAGGCCAUCCUCCACCAUGCCAAGUUUGUUAGCCAGUGGAUUGUUUCACAAUAUUCCUCUCAUGCGCUCAUUCUCAUAUUCAUUUUGAUCAUGUUCAAUACCUGACAUGCAUGAAAGCAUAAAAACAAGUGAGGUUAUCUUUGUAAUGCAGAAGUGAUUCUAAUCCAAUACUGCCUCCCUGCAAACCCCUUUGUGUUAUCUCUGCAAUUCUUCUCAGAGAUGCCAUGCAUGCUGUAGUUUGGUGUGUGCAUUAAUAUAAUGUGGCAUAAUACUCAAAAUAUGAGAGCUCCAAAAGUGAUGAUACUUCGCAGAUGACAAAUUCAACAUAUAGUAAAGAAGAACAAGUCGACCUGACCUGACAGAUUCAAAAUAUACUAAGGGAGAACAACUCGACCUAACCAAUCGACCGCAAAUGUCUCUGCUACUCUUCCCAACAAGGAACAUACUUAUUAAAGAAGAGAAGAGGAUCAUGUUAAAUAAGAGAAGAAGAGCAAGCAUAUUGAAGUUAUUACAAGUCUUUCUAUACAAUGUGUUGCCCACCCUUGAUGAACCAGAGCGCACAGAGAAAUACUAUUCCUUCCGGUCUCUCCAUAUGUGGCUCACAUGCAUUUCAAAACUAAAUUAGGAACAUUUAGCUUACCAAUUAAACAUGUCUCAGUUUUACUAAUAUCAGCAUAAUAUCAGAUUUGAAUUUGUACAACUUAGCUUGUUUAGCUCGAUGGGUGGAGCAGCGCUAUUAUGACACGAACCACGUAGGCUGGUCGUGGUCAUCAUAAAAUGGGGAAACCAUAAGCAUGAUGAGUAUAGUGUUGACCAUGGCAGUGGGAUGGCAGAUCUGAAGCUGCAAACCGUGUAAAGGGUAGUUAGCCGCGCAAAGGGUAGUUAGCAACCGAUGUUUGCUUUGAAAUAACAACUAAGAUUUAAUAUGGAGAAGAAAGUACAGUCAACAAGUGACAAAGAAAUGCAAUUCUAUUGUCUAUCUAUAUGCCGCGACAUACAUUUGGAAACUCAAGUGGGACCUUUAGCCGACCAAUUAAAUGUGUCUCUUAACUAAUAUUAGUAUCAUAUCAAAAUCUUAUUUGAACAACUAAGCUUAAAGGGUGGAGUACUGCUAGUAUGACAGAAAGUACCUACACAGAUGAUCGCAGAGUAGAUAAUAGGGGAAAACCCUAAGCAUCAAGAGUAAAAUCAGCAAAGCGGAACUAGUUGGACCAGUGGGUGGCACACAUGCUGUUCGAAAUAAAUAUAGGAACAUUAGGUGACUAAUUAAUCAUUCUCUGUUUUAGUAAUAUGUCCAUCAUAUCGAAUUCGUAUUUCAACAACUAAGCUUUGGAAUUAUGCAUGGCAUUUUGCUUCACUUGAUGGGUUGAGGUAUUGAGGAGUAGUGACCGUGCCAUGGCAGAUCUGAAGGUGCAAAACGGACAAAGCUACUUCGCAACCAAUGUUUGCUUUCAACUAGCCACUACGAUUUGGUAUGGACAAGAAAAGUACAGUAAACAAUUUAUGAUCUAUUUUAUGGGUGAGAUCAAUAACUUAAGCAGAUAUGAAAGAGUACCACCUCUCUUGUGAUGCCGUGUAGGCCCCUGCUGAUACGUUGAGGGUGAUGUGGGUGUGAUGGUAGUCAGCGGCGCGGAAGAAGACUUUAGAUGGCAGACAGCUGGGUCUGGGAAUAAGUCAUGUUGUCGUGGACGAGGCGGUCGUAGGAGCGGUGACGGCAAGGUGGACGACGACGCCGAUGAAGCGAGAGGACGCGAUGUCCGGCGCCGUGGAUGAGAGACGCCCAUCUCCUGCAGUGGACGACAGCGUAGGGGUAGCGGCUCCGGCAAGGUGGAGAAUGGGGUGGGUGUCGGAUUUUGGUUUCCGGCAAAACCCUUGAGGUUCGAGCACUGGGGUGCGCACGAAGAUCUCUCCUCCCCCAAGCGCUCACCCUCGCCGCGAUCUCAAGGCUCAGCGCGUCGAACUCGCAGAACAAAGGGACACAAGAUUUAUACUGGUUUGGGCCACUAAUGUGGUGUAAUACCCCACUCCAGUGUGGUGUGGUGGAUUGCCUCUUAGGCUGAGGAUGAAUAGUUACAAGGGAAGAAGAGCCUGCUGAGGAGACGUGCGGCUUGCUCACGAAGACCUAGGGCAAUUUGAGGAAGCCCAUCAUUGGAAUGUACAAGCCAAGUUCUAUAAUGUAAAAUUCCCACUAGUUUAUGGAAGUGACAUGAUAGGAGACUCUCUAUCAUGAAGAUCAUGGUGCUACUUUGAAGCACAAAUGUGGAAAAAGGAUAGUAACAUUGUCCCUUCUCUCUUUUUCUCUCAUUUUUUAUUUGGGCCUUCUUUCUUUCUUUUUUCUUUUGGCCUCUUUUCUCUUUUUUUUUGUCCGGAGUCUCAUCCCGACUUUUGGGGGAAUCAUAGUCUCCAUCAUCUUUUCCUCACUAGGACAAUGCUCUAAUAAUGAUGAUCAUCACACUUCUUUUUUACUUACAACUCAAGAAUUACAACUCAAUACUUAGCAAAAAGUAUGACUCUAUGUGAAUGCCUCCAGCGGAGUACCGGGAUAUGCAAUGAAUCAAGAGUGACAUGUAUGAAAGAAUUAUGAACGGUGGCUUUGCCACGAAUACGAUGUCAACUACAUGACCAUGCAUCGCAAUAUGACAAUGAUGAAGCGUGUCAUAGAAAAUGGAACAGUGGAAAGUUGCAUGGGAAUAUAUCUCAGAAUGGCUAAGGAAAUGCCAUAAUAGGUAGGUUUGGUGGCUGUUUUGAGGAAGUUAUAUGGUGGGUUUAGGGUACCGGCAAAAGUUGCGCAGUACUAGAGAGGCUAGCAAUGGUGGAAGGGUGAGGAUGAGUAUAAUCCAUGGACUCAACAUUAGUCAUAAAGAACUCACAUACUUAUUGCAAAAAUCUAUUAGUUAUCGAAACAAAGUACUAUGCGCAUGCUUCUAGGGGGAUAGAUUGGUAGGAAAAGACCAUCGCUCGUCCCCGACCGCCACUCAUAAGGAAGGCAAUAAAUAAAUAAAUCAUGCUCCGACUUCAUCACAUAACGGUUCACCAUACGUGCAUGCUAUGGGAAUCACAAACUUCAACACACGUAUUUCUCAAAUUCACAACUACUCAACUAGCAUGACUCUAAUAUCACCAUCUCCAUAUCUCAAAACAAUCAUCAAGUAUCAAACUUCUCUUAGUAUUCAAUGCACUUAUAUGAAAGUUUUUAGUAUGCCUAAAAGCAAAUUGCCAUGUUGUUCUAAAGGACUCUAAAAAUAAUAUAAGUGAAGCAUGAGAGAUCAAUUAUUUAUAUAAAAUAAAACCACCACCGUGCUCUAAAAGAUAUAAGUGAAGCACUAGAGCAAAAACUAUAUAGCUCAAAAGAUAUAAGUGAAGCACAUAGAGUAUUCUAAUAAAUUCCAAUUCAUGUGUGUCUCUCUCAAAAGGUGUGUACAGCAAGGAUGAUUGUGGUAAACUAAAAAGCAAAGACUCAAAUCAUACAAGACGCUCCAAGAAAAACACAUAUCAUGUGGCGAACAAAAAUAUAGUUCCAAGUAAAGUUACCGAUGAACGAAGAUAAAAGAGGGGAUGCCUUCCGGGGCAUCCCCAAGCUUAGGCUUUUUGGUGUCCUUGUAUUUUACCUUGGGGUGCCAUGGUCAUCCCCAAUCUUCGGUUCUUGCCACUCCUUGUUCCAUAAUCCAUCAAAUCUUUACACAAAACAUGAAAACUUCACAACACAAAACUUAACAAGAAAACCUCGUGAGCUCCGUUAGCGAAACAAAACAAAACACCACUUCAAGGUACUGUAAUUAACUCAUUAUUUAUUUAUAUUGGUGUUAAACCUACUGUAUUCCAACUUCUCUAUGGUUUAUAAACUCUUUUACUAGCCAUAGAUUCAUCAAAAUAAGCAAACAACACAUGAAAAACAGAAUCUGUCAAAAACAGAACAGUCUGUAGUAAUCUGUAACUAACGCAAACUUCUUGAACCCCAAAAAUUCUAAAAUAAAUUUCUGGACGUGAGGAAUUUAUCUAUUAAUCAUCUACAAAAAGAAUUAACUAAAUAUCACUCUCCAAUAAAAAAUGGCAGCAAUUCUCGUGAGGGCUAAAGUUUCUGUUUUUUACAGCAAGAUCAAAAAGACUUCCCCCAAGUCUUCCCAACGGUUCUAUUUGGCACAAACACUAAUUAAACACAAAAAACACAACCAAAACAGAGGAUAGAUAAAUUUUUCAUUACUAAACAGGAGCAAAAAUCAAGGAAUGAAAAUAAAAUUGGGUUGCCUCCCAACAAGCGCUAUCAUUUAAUGCCCCUAGCUAGGCAUAAAAGCGAAGAUAGAUCUAGGUAUUGCCAUGAUAAUGAUAAGGUAAAUCGCGAAAGCUCAUCUCAUACUCCCUAUGUUCAGCAGCAAUCUUUCUUUGUGGCAAGAAAAAGUAAUCAAAUGGGCUAAAUUUAACGGGACAAAAGUCCCCAAGAUCAAGCUCGGGAGGUGUUGGUUCCUCCUUUGGCCCCUCAUAUUGCACAAGCAAUUCAUCAUUAUAAGCAUUCUUUUGGCAAGAAGUCAUGAGCCUUUGUUCAAGGGAAAAACCUAGCCCGUUGUUCUGGAUAGCAAAAUUAUCAUUAAGUUCAGAGAUCCUGUUAACAAGAGCAUCGGUAGGAACCUUUGUUCUAAGGUUUUCAUCAAGAGCAACAUGAUCUAAGGAUCGUAAACGCAUAAUGUCUUCUUGACAGAAAAGGAUAGCUUCUAUGUGAGGAUGGCCAGCAUCCACCCUAUAAUGUGCAAAAAUUUCAUUGUCUUCUUUUAUUAUAAAUCUGAACUCAUGAUCUAAAAAGAUGAUUGCUGCUCGCUUAACAGAAGAAUGUUCAAUAUUAGAAAAUUCUAGGAAAAUCCUUUGAAUGGAAGGAUGCAUAUGUAAAAAUUAUCUUUCGAGUUCAACUAUGAGCAAAGAUAUAGCAUCUGCGAGACUACUAGUUUUAUGAAGGAUAGAUCCACUCAUGGUGGGAAAGCACCGACACAAGUAAAGAAAUCUUGAAUAACUCCCUUCCCAAUAAUAUUACCGCUACCAAUACGAAACUUUUUAGUGUGUAAAAUAGUAGGAUUUUCAAGAGGAUCAUCAAUAGCAUCAAAGUUUUCCAUAUUAUUAUCCUUAUCAACGAUAACCUCCCCAGUUUCAGACAUGAUGGCAACAGAUUGCAAAAAGAACUAGCACACCGAAGGCAGGAGGAAAAAGAGGCAAACAGAAAAGAGGGCGAAUAUAACGACAAGGGUGAAGUGGGGGAGAGGAAAACGAGAGGCAAAUGACAAAUAAUGUAAUGCGAAGGACAAGAGUUGUGAUGGGUACUUGGUAUGUCUUGACUUGGCGUAGAUCUCCCCGGCAACAGCGCCAGAAAUCCUUCUUGCUACCUCUUGAGCACUGUGUUGGUUUUCCCUUGAAGAGGAAAGGGUGAUGCAGUAAAGCAGCGUAAGUAUUUCCCUCAGUUUUGGAGAACCAAGGUAUCAAUCCAGUAGGAGACCACACACGAAUCACCUCAUACCUACACAAACAAAUAAGAACCUCGCAACCAACAUGAUAAAGGGGUUGUCAAUCCCUUCACGGCCACUUGCAAGAGUGAGAUCUGAUAGAGAUGAUAAAAAUAAGAUAAAUAUUUUUGGUAUUUGUACGAUAUAGAUUGAGAGUAAAGAUUGCAAAAUAAAGUAGAUUGGAAACUUGUAUGAUGGAGAAUAGACCCGGGGGCCAUAGGUUUCACUAGUUGCUUCUCUCAAGAAAGCAUAAGUAUUACGGUGGGUGAACAAAUUACUGUCGAGCAAUUGAUAGAAAAGUGAAUAAUUAUGAGAAUACCUAGGCAUGAUCAUGUAUAUAGGAAUCACGUCCGUGACAAGUAGACCGAAAAGAUUCUGCAUCUACUACUAUUACUCCACACAUCGACCGCUAUCCAGCAUGCAUCUAGAGUAUUAAGUUCAUAAGAACAGAGUAACGCCUUAAGCAAGAUGACAUGAUGUAGAGGGAUAAACUCACGCAAUAUGAUGUAAACCCCAUCUUUUUAUCCUCGAUGGCAACAAUACAAUACGUGUCGGUUCCCUUUCUGUCACUGGGAUCGAGCACCGCAAGAUUGAACCCAAAGCUAAGCACUUAUCCCAUUGCAAAAAAGAUCAAUCUAGUAGGCCAAACCAAACUAAUAAUUUGAAGAGACUUGAAAAGAUAACCAAUCAUACAUAAAAGAAUUCAGAGGAGAUUCAAAUAUUGUUCAUAGAUAAACUUGAUCAUAAACUCACAAUUCAUCAGAUCUCGACAAACACACCGCAAAAGAAGAUUACAUCAAAUAGAUCUCCAAGAGAAUCGAGGAGAACUUUGUAUUGAGAUCCAAGGAGAGAGAAGAAGCCAUCUAGCUACUAGCUAUGGACCCGAAGGUCUGAAGUAAACUACUCACACAUCAUCGGAGGGGCUAUAGAGUUGAUGUAGAGGCCCUUCGUGAUAAAUGGCCCCUCCGGCGGAGCUUCGAAAAAGGCCCCAAGAUGGGAUCUCUUGGGUACAGAAGGUUGCGGCGGUGGAAAUAGGGGUUCGUGGUGCUCCUGGAUGUUUGCGGGAUAUAUGGAUAUAUAUAUAUAGGAGGAAGAAGUAGGUUAGUGGAGCAACGAGGGGCCCACGAGGGUGGAGGGUGCGCCCAGGGAGGGUGGGCGUGCCCCCCUGCCUCGUGGCCUCCUUGAUUGCUUCUUGACGUCCACUCCACCACUCCUGGAUCACGUUUGUUCCAAAAACAACGCCCUCGAAGGCUUCAUACCGUUUGGACUCCGUUUGAUAUUCCUUUUCGGCGAAACACUAAAUAGGCAAAAAACAACAAUUUGGCUGGGCCUCCGGUUAAUAGGUUAGUCCCAAAAAUAAUAUAAAAGUGUGAAAAUAAGCCCAUUAACAUCUAAAAUAGAUAAUAUAAUAGCAUGGAGCAAUAAAAAAUUAUAGAUACAUUGAAGACGUAUCAGGUGCUCUUGUGCUUGGCGAGUUUGUGUGGUGGCCUUGGUGGAAUGGAUCCGGUCCAAGAUGAGAUGCCUCCCUAUGAUGGUGGCUACUCCUAUAUAUAGAGGCCUGGGUCCUCUUUCCAAAUAUUAGGCGGGAAGGGAUCCCACAACGGCCAAUUUGAAGGGGGGAAGCUGAUACGUCUCCAACAUAUCUAUAAUUUUUUAUUGUUCCAUGCUAUUAUAUUAUCUGUUUUGCAUGUUAAUGGGAUUUAUUUUACACUUUUAUAUUAUUUUUGGGACUAACCUAUUAACCGGAGGCCCAGCCCAAAUUGUUGUUUUUUGCCUAUUUCAGUGUUUCACAGAAAAGGAAUAUCAAAUAGAGUCCAAACGGAAUGAAACCUUCGUCGGCAUGAUUUUUGGAAUAAACAUGAUCCAGGGGACUUGGAGUGGACGUCAAGAAACAAUCGAGGAGGCCAAGAGGCACGGGGGCGCGCCUACCCCCUGGGCGCCCUCCACCCUCGUGGGCCCCUCGUUGCUCCACCGACCUACUUCUUCCUCCUAUAUAUAUUGAGAUACCCUGAAAACAUCCAGGAGCACCACGAGAACCUAUUUCCACCGCCGAAACCUUCUGUACCCAAGAGAUCCCAUUUGGGGCUUUUUCCGGAGCUCCGCCGGAGGGGGCAUUGAUCACGGAGGGCCUCUACAUCAACUCCAUGGCCCCUCCGAUGAUGUGUGAGUAGUUUACCUCAGACCUUCGGGUCCAUAGCUAGUAGCUAGAUGGCUUCUUCUCUCUCUUUGGAUCUCAAUACAAAGUUCUCCUCGGUUCUCUUGGAGAUCUAUUCGAUGUAAUCUUCUUUUGCGAUGUGUUUGUUGAGAUCCGAUGAAUUGUGGGUUUAUGAUCGAGUUUAUCUAUGAACAAUAUUUGGAUCUUCUAUGAAUUCUUUUAUGUAUGAUUGGUUUAUCUUUGCAAGUCUCUUCGAAUUAUCAGUUUGGUUUGGCCUACAAGAUUGAUCUUUCUUGCAAUGGGAGAAGUGCUUAGCUUGGGGUUCAAUCUUGCGAUGCUCGAUCCCAGUGACAGAAAGGGAAAUGGCACGUAUUGUAUUGUUGCCAUCGAGGAUAAAAAGAUGGGGUUUAUAUCAUAUGAGUUUAUCCCUCUACAUCAUGUCAUCUUGCUUAAGGCGUUACUCUAUUCUUAUGAACUAAAUACUCUAGAUGCAUGCUGGAUAGCGGUCGAUGUGUGGAGUAAUAGUAGUAGAUGCAGGCAGGAGUCGGUCUACUUGUCACGGACGUGAUGCCUUUAUACAUGAUCUACCUAGAUAUUCUAAUAAUUUUUCGCUUUUCUAUCAAUUGCUCGACACUAAUUUGUUCACCCACCGUAAUACUUGCUAUCUUGAGAGAAGCCACUAGUGAAACCUAUGCCCCCCGUGUCCAUUCUCCAACAUACAAGUUUCCAAUCUAUUUUAUUUUGCAAUUUUUACUUUCAAUCUAUGUCAUAAAAAUACCAAAAAGAUAUUAUUUAUCUUAUUAUUAUCAUCUCUAUCAGAUCUCACUCUUGCAAGUGGCCGUGAAGGGAUUGACAACCCCUUUAUUGCGUUGGUUGCGAGGUUCCUAUUUGUUUGUGUAAGUAUGAGGUGACUGAGGGAAAUACUUACGCUGCUUUGCUGCAGCACCCUUUCCUCUUCAAGGGAAAACCAACGUAGUGCUCAAGAGGUAGCAACAGCUAGUACAAGUUAUUCUGACAAAAGGUGGUCUUCGCCUGCCAAAGGCUCUGGUGGUGAUGCCGUCCUGGGCUCCAUGGUGACCUCUGUCCCAUCGUCCUGCUGGUCUUGUCUUAUUGCACCGAUAUGGAAACAUUUGCCUGAUGCCUCGGGACUCCUCGCCUGCGCUUGCCUCUUUAGCACCAAAGAGGAAACAAGUACACUGUGCACACUGGCGCCCACCUGACGCUCGCCUGGCCUUGGUCGUCAUGGCUUGCAUCACUGGGCCCUGGCGAGGUGCCCCUCGCCUUGAUCUCUCCGCCCCUCGCGAGCCAGCCUGGUGAGGCCGCCCCCGAGGAGGUCUUGCAUUGUCCGCCUCGCGAGGCUUGGCCCCUCGCGAGGGUCUUAAGUGUUUUACCGGUGAAGAUGGGUCGUACAGGGCCGCUGGUGGAGCCACGCCGUGGCCGCAGGUAGGCAAGUCUGGGGACCCCCGUUCCCAGGACGCCAAUAGUAGCCCACCGGCCCAAGGCACACUCGGACUUGGCUUUGAGGCGAGCCAAGGGGCAGUGUGGAGCGCCGCGGUCCCCAACAGCAUGUGGCCUCGCUUUACGUGUGGUGAUUGAUUGGACGUGGGCGUCUCCGCUUUCCCAUGCUGCCUCGACAACUUCUCGGCUCGAGGAGUCCCUACUGCAUGCAGAAAAAAGGUCAUUAUUACCUUAGAACAUGGAGGCCGGCGGUUGGCCUCCUCUUGGCUAUAAAUGGGAAUGGGGGAGUGGAGCCCCCACCACCCAUCUUUUCCUUCACUUCUCCUGCUUCUUCUUCUUCCUUGCUCCAUCGCUAGCAGCGACACUCAUGGCGCCGAUACGGAGGUUUUCGGCCGCAGAGAAGGGAACCCCCCCCUCGACGAGCCCGUGCCACUUCCGCCGAAGAAGAGGCUAGCCCACCGUCGCGACAUUGUCGUGAGGCCGGAGGUGUUGAGGCCUUGGUGCGAGUGGCCACCUCCCGGGUAACCGCUGCCUCUGUACGCCCGAGCUGAGGGCUCCAACGGGAGAGGUGGCGAACGACGCCGCCCAUGCCGUGGCCAUGGUCGCCGCACUGUGGUGACGCACGCCAUCACCCCAGGAGCCCACACCGAGGACUCCUCGCACGAAUUUGUGAUGUGGGAGGCGACGCCUCCGCGCACUUGGAUUUGCUUCCCGCAGUUCUUCGCCGCCAAGAUGCCGCUGAGGGCCCCCCCUCGAGCUUUGGCUGCAGCACGCCGACUGCGAUGCCCCGACGAUUGGAGCGGAGGUCGAAGCCGUCUCCUCGGGCAAGAUCUUCAUGACCCGUGACUGGGGCGAGGUUGCUCGAGUCUGCCGUGUGGAAGGCACCCUCGCCAUCCACUUUGAGUAUGACGGCGGCUCCACGAUGUUCGUCAAGGUCUUCGACGAGGAAGGUCGCCGCUUGGAGUGCUUCCCUGAAGGGGGUCGUCAGGACAGCGCAGCGGCCAACGCCGAGCCUGCUGCUGAUUCGCUAGCAACUCCUCUAGCAGCAGCGGUGAAUCCUGGUGGUCCAGAAAUUCUCCUGAGCCCAACGAGGCUCCGGAGACAAGCAAUGACAACUAUGUGCCUCCGAGCUCUCGCCGUGCCCGGAGCAAGGCCACAGCGUCCGGCCGCCACCGUCGCUGAUCUGGAUGGGGUUGGCGUCGGCCUCCCGUGGCCCACUGUUGAUGAUGGCGUCGGCAGCGUUUGGCGCGUGUAGAUAGGGCCCCUAAAAACUCCCUUCUUCCGUUCCCUGCGAGGAAUCAAGAUGGACCCCGUGGGGGCGUGUAAAGGGUCUGUAAUGUCUUUUGUUGAUAUUGUCCUUAUUAUGAAAAUUCGCGAACGCAUGUCCUGCUUUGGCUCAGUCUCCCCUUUCCAACCGCGCGGCAGCUUGGUGCUCUAUGCCGACAGGUCCCGGUCCCCAGGAAGGCUGCAGCCGUCGCUGGUAUGCCAUGUCGCGAUGCCGUGGUCAAGGCCAGGAGGUGAGCGGCCCGAGGUCCAGUAAGAGCUCCCGAGUCAUGAUGCUCAAGAGGUCCCCUUUAGCGCGCAAGCAGCUACCUAAAAGGCGGGAAAGGGAGGCGACGCCGCCGCAGCAGGGCUGCAAGAGGUGGGAAUCUUAUGCCAUAGCAUUUGGCCGACCUGAUUGCGAAACUUAUCUUGGUAGUCCGGAGUUGUUUCCUUAUGCUGCGCCAGACUCUUUCGCCGAUGGCCGUAGUGUAACCAGGUUAGGCCCGUGCGAGCCUCCCCCUCUUCUCCACGCUCUUCUAUGUGCUCUACGUCCUCAGGUCCCGGCCCUCGAGCGAGCUCAGCCUCCGCUGGUAUGCCAGGUCGCACUGCUGUGGUCAAGGCCAGGGGGUGAGGGCUGGAGAGCCAGUUAGAGCUCGUGAGUCGUGAUGCUCAGGAGCCCCCCUUUUAACGCGCAAGCGAAUUGCAUGGGAGAAGAGGGUGCCCGCGGUGCCGCCCACUAUUGUCCUCAGGAGGUUCCUGCAGGUUAGUGUGAGGAGGGACACAAAUGGCCACUAUGAUUGCCGGUCUGCCACUGGUCGCUCCGCAAGAAGGUGAAGGCACUGAGGGCCUGGUGAGGUGACAUGCGCGGGCAUGCCGCGAGCCAGAGCUCGACCGCUCAGAUUUGUCAGCGUUGCAGGGACAGGCCCGAGCACAAGCGCCGUGCUGACGUGAAUGGCUCCCGCGGUGGGUGGCCAUCAAGCGGGUGAUGACUAUAAAUAACUUAUGCAUGGGAACCAGAUAGCUUAGAUAGAUGCGAGAACAAAACAUGCUGCUGGGACGGACCCAAGCGGCGUGGGGAUGAUACAGCCCGAGGGGCGCCCCUAGUAAAGUAAGCUUAAAGGCGUAAAAAGGAUACAUGCCGCCGGGACAGGCCCACGCGACCUGGGAAUGAUGCAGCCCGGGGGGCACUCCCAGCUGAAUGAACUUGGAAAAUGUCAGCUGGUUUUGUUGUCGAAGGAGCGUUGGGGUAGAUGAAGGCGCGCGCUGAAGAAGUCGCUUCUCACGAGCCGUCGAGACCCUGAGCCUCGGGAGGCUUUGGGUCUCGGGUGGCUCCCUGAGGACCAUCUCCAUCUCUGUCAGGACCACGUGAUGCCUAGCCUCCUGGGUCGCUAGGAUGUUCCGUAGAUUACGCUGGAAGGCGGCUGCCAUGCUCGGCAGGCCGUACGGCAUGCGAACGUACCUGUGAGGUGGACCCUCACAACGGCCAGCACGCGAAGGCCAGAAGCGCUCCUGAGAUGCGGCUGUAUUGAGCCCUGACAUGUCGAUGCAGACGCGCAGCUCGCCACCCUCGCCCGGGUGGGGAGCUACACCAGGUGGGCGGCGGUCACCGCGUAUCGCCGUUGCUUCCUGAAGCUCCUGGGGGGUCUUGAUGAUGAGCUCCUGAGUGCCGGGCGCUGCUCGCCUGGUGCCCUCCUGAGGGAAACGUGCCGCGAAGCACGCCUCCUAAGGGACUGUGAUGUUUCCACCGCUUUCCGGCAUCUUGAGGACGUUGUAGCCAUGGUGGGUCACUGCUAUGGUACCCGAGGAUGGCAUUGUACGGCAGACGGAUGUGGGCGACGUUGAAGUCAACGAGCUCGGUGUGGUAGUCAUCAUGCUGACCAAAGGUGACAGGGACACGAACUUGCCCUAUCGGAGGGUGGAGCCGUCAGUCACUCCUGAAAAGGGCCUAGUUGGCUGCAGCUGAUCAUAGGGCACUUGAAGGCUGUCGAAUGUCUCGACGGACAUGACACUGAGCCCCACGCCGCCGUCGAUGAGGGUCUUGGUGACUUGGACAUUGUUGAUGACAGGUGAGCAGAGCAUCGGGAGGACGCCGGCGGUCACCGCACAUUUGAGCUGGUCCGCCGAGCUAAAGGUGAUGGCGUAUUUGGACCAUCUGAGCGGGCACGUGGCCUCGAGCUUGGGGAGGGCUGCAUUCACCUCGCGAGAGAAAUGCUUGAAGAUGCGCUGGGAAGCCGGGGCCUGAGCACCACCCAAGAUGCAAGCGAUGGUGUGCGGCUCUUGGAAGCCCCCAGCCCCCUCGUCCUGAUGGUGGUCGUCGUUCCUCCUUGGUGAUGGCUUCAGCGGAGGGAGACCAGGAUUGCCCUGUGGACGGUCCUCGCAAGGCUGGUCCCUCCAGGCGCCCUCAUGAGGCUGGUCCUGCUAGCGAUCCUCACGAGGCUGGUCGCGCCACUCCUGGCGGGGGCUGCGAUCAUCGCAGCGUCCUCCGACUCGUCGUCCUCCUCGGCCGUAGCCCCGGUCGUUGUGCUCGGGGCACCGACUGAAGCGUCCAUCUCGAAUGGCCCUGAGCUCCUGACAAUCAUUGGUGUUGUGGUUGUGCAUGUUGUGGAAGGCGCAGAACGGACGGCCGUGCUUGGAUUACUCUGGGAGGUCCUGGCCGCGCUUUGUGUCUGGCUCUGCCGCGAGUACGGCCACUCCCUUGCGCUUCACGUCCUUGACAUUGGCCUUCUUCUCCUCUGGAUCGGCAGCAGGGAGCUCAAGGAGGGAGAGACGCCCUUCCUCAGCUCUCGCGCACUUGGUCGCUAUGUUGAACAGCUCCAGAGUCGUGCAUAGCUCCUUGUGUAUGGCAAGCUCCUCCUUCAUCUUGAUGUCACGGACGCCAUCCUAAACGCUGAGAUGAUUGCCUCGUCCGUCACCUUGGGGAUCUUGAGACGCACGCUAUUGAAGCAUAGGAUGUACUUCUGCAGGGUCUCUCCCGGCUGUUGCUUGAUGCGGCGCAGGCCACCCGCGCCCAGAGGGAGGUCGUGAGUGCCCUGAAAGUUGGCGACGAAGCGGUCGCGCAUCUCAUCCCAGGAGGAGAUCGAGCCUGGAGGUAGGUUCAGGAGCCACGAGCGGCCACUAUCCUUGAGAGCCAUGGGAAACCAGUUCGCCAUGACGUUUUCGUCGCCGCUGGUUGUCGGUGUCCUGGGAACGGGGUACCCAGACUUGCCUUCCUGCGGCCCACGGCGUGGCUCCACCAUCGGCUCUGUACGACCCAUCUUCACCGGCAAAACACUCAAGACCCUCGCGAGGGGCGAAGCCUCGCGAGGCGGACGAUGCAAGACCUCCUCGGGGGCGGCCUCACCAGGCUGGCUGGCGAGGGGCGGGGAGAUCAAGGUAAGGGGUGCCUCGCGAGGUUCCUGUGACGCAAGCCAUGACGACCAUGGCUAGGCGGGCUCCAGCGCGCGCAUUGUCCUCGUUUCGUCUUUGGUGCUAAAGAGGCAAGCACAGGCGCGGUGUCCCGAGGCAUCAAGCAAAGGUUUCCAUAUUAGUGCAACGAGACCAAGACCAGCAGGACGACAUGACGGGGGUCACCGUCGAGCCCAAGACGGCGUCAUCAUCAAAGCCUUUGGCAGGCGAAGACCAUCUUUGUUAGGAUAACUUGUACUAGCUAUGGACCCGAAGGUCUGAGGUAAACUACUCACACAUCAUCGGAGGGGCCAUGGAGUUGAUGUAGAGGCCUCCGUGAUCAAUGCCCCCUCCAGAGGAGGUCCGGAAAAGGCCCCAAGAUGGGAUCUCUUGGGUACAGAAGGUUGCGGCGGUGGAAAUAGGUUUUCGUGGUGCUCCUAGAUGUUUUCGGGGUAUGUCAAUAUAUAUAGGAGGAAGAAGUAGGUCGGUGGAGCAACGAGGGGCCCACGAGGGUGGAGGGCGCGCCCAUGGGGUAGGCGCGCCCCCGUGCCUUGUGGCCUCCUCGAUUGUUUCUUGACGUCCACUCCAAGUCCCCUGGAUCAUGUUUAUUCCAAAAAUCACGCUGACGAAGGUUUCAUUCCGUUUGGACUCCGUUUGAUAUUCCUUUUCUGCGAAACACUGAAAUAGGCAAAAAAAACAACAAGUUGGGGUGGGCCUCCGGUUAAUAGGUUAGUCCCAAAAAUAAUAUAAAAGUGUAAAAUAAAUCCCAUUAAGAUGCAAAACAGAUAAUAUAAUAGCAUGGAACAAUCAAAAAUUAUAGAUACGUUGGAGACGUAUCAGCUGCCCCCCUUCAAAUUGGCCGUUGUGGGAUCCCUUCCCGCCUAAUAUUUGGGAAGAGGACCCGGGCCUCUAUAUAUAGGACUAGCCACCAUCGCAGGGGGAGGAUAUGAUCUCAUCUUGGACUGGAUCCAUUCCACCAAGGCGACCACACAAACUGGCCAAGCACAAGAGCACCUCUCCUCAGGAGGCUGUUCUUCCCUUGUAACUGUUCAUCCUCAGCCCAAGAGGCAAUCCACCACACCACACUAGAGUAGAGUAUUACACCACAUCGGAGGCCCGAACCAGUAUAAAUCUUCUGUCCCUUUGUUCUGUGAGUUCGACGCGCUGAGCCUUGAGAUCGCCGUGAGGGUGAGUGCUUGGGGGAGGAGAGAUCUUCGUGCGCACCCAAUGUUCGAACCUUAAGGGUUUUGACGGAACCCGAAAUCCGACAUUUGGCGCGCCAGGUAGGGGUGCACUGAAGCUUUUCUUCCGUUGAUCCACGUUCCACCGUUCCACCACAUCCAUGUCGGACGCGUGUCGAGCCCGCGCCGAGCGCCGGACCGCCCUCGCCACCCGUGUCGCUCAGACAACCCCUGUCACCGGGCCUGCCCGUCGUUCUCCAUCUCCUGUCACCAACGCCGCUACCUGACCGGCAGCAAACGAGCAGCAAGCGUCCUCACUGCACCCCUCCGUGCUGCGGGACGGCCGCACCGCCACCCCAUCGCUGACUCCUGCUAGCUCAUCGUCUCACGUUCGCCGCGCACCCACGGACGCGUAGGCUGUGCUACUCAUGGCAUGCGAGCUCCUAUGUUACCGCCCGGUCGACGACCUCUACGAGGACUAGUUGGACCGCAUUGCCGAGCUCGUCAGUGUCGCUGGGGCUCCCCUGCAACAUCCCUCUCGCUGCCUCGCCCACCUCUAACCACGGGUGAUGUAGCUCACGGAGCGCCUCCGCCGCCUCCGCAUCAAGACGGAGCCCUUGCGCCGAGACGCGCAGCUCACGGAGCGCCACCACCCCCUCUGCGUCAACACGGUGUCCUCGCCCCAGGACGCGCGGUCCCGCGGCGUGAUCCGCCCCGCCGUGUGUCCGUGCAUGAAGAAGGAAGCUGCCAAGAGGUUCCUCGGCUGCAAGAAAACGCUCCAGCACUCCUAGCACCACCACGACAAGGCCGAGUGCCGCCUGCGGUGCCGGUGUGCGGACACCCAGGUCAGGCCCCACGUCAGCAAAGGGCCCCGGUGGCCACGGCAUGCUGCUGCACCUUCAAUCCUGAGCCACGUAGCGUCGUCUGGCCAGGCAAGUUCAAGCCGGAUCUGCCUCCUCGCUACGACGGCACCCCCAACCCUACGAAGUUCCUACAGCUCUAGGAACUAAGCAUCGAGGCGGCUAGCGGCAAUGAAAAAGUCAUGGCGAACUGGUUUCCCAUGGCUCUCAAGGACGGUGCCCGCUCGUGGCUCCUGAACCUGCCUCCAGGCUCGAUCUCCUCUUGGGAUGAGAUGCGCGACCGCUUCGCCGCCAACUUCCAGAGCACUCGCGACCGCCCUCCGGCCACGGGUGACCUGCACCGCAUCAAGCAAUAGCCGGGAGAGACCCUGCAGAAGUACAUCCAAUGCUUCAAUAGCGUGCGUCUCAAGAUCCCCAAGGUAAUGGACGAGGCCAUCAUCUCAGCAUUUUCCGAUGGCGUCCAUGACAUCAUGAUGAAGGAGGAGCUCGCCAUCCACGAGGAGCUAUGCACGACUCUGGAGCUGUUCAACAUAGCGACCAAGUGCGCGAGAGCUGAGGAAGGGCGUCUCUCCCUCCUCGAGCUCCCUGCUGCUGAUCUAGAGGAGAAGAAGGCCAAGGUCAAGGACUAGAAGCGCAAGGGAGUGGCCGUACUCGUGGUAGAGCCAGACACAAAGCUCGGCCGGGACCUCCCCGAGUCAUCCAAGGGCGGCCGUCCGUUCUACGCCUUCCACAACAUGCGCAACCACAACACCAACGGUUGUCAAGAGCUCAGGGCCAUUCGAGAUGGAUGCUUCGGUCGAUGCCCCGAGCGCAAUGACCAGGGCUACGGCCGAGGAGGAGGACGAGGCGGAGGACGCUAGGAUGAUCGCGGCCCCCGCCAGGAGUGGCGCGACCAGCCUCGUGAGGAUUGCUGGCAGGACCAGCCUCAUGAGGGCGCCUGGAGGGACCAGCCUCGCGAGGACCGUCCUCAGGGCAAUCCUGGUCUCCCUCCGCUCCCGCCACCACCAAGGAGGAACGAUGACCACCAUCAGGACGAGGGGGCUGGGGGCUUCCAGGAGCCGCACGCCAUCUCUUGCAUCUUGGGUGGUGCUCAGGCCCCGACUUCCCAGCACAUCUUCAAGCAGUUCUCUCGCGAGGUGAAUGUAGCCCUCCCCAAGCUCAAGGCCACGCGCCCGCUCAGAUGGUCCAAGUACGCCAUCGCCUUCAGCUCGGCGGACCAGCUCAAAUGCGCGGUGACCACCGGCGUCCUCACGAUGCUCUACUCACCCGUCAUCAGCAAUGUCCAAGUCACCAAGAACCUCAUCGAUGGCGGCGCGGGGCUCACUAUCCUGUUCGUCGAGACAUUCGACAGCCUUCAAGUGCCCUAUGAUCAGCUGCAACCUACUAAAUCCUUUUCAGGAGUGACCGACGGCUCCACCACCCCGAUUGGGCAAGUUCGUCUCCCUGUCACCUUUGGUCAGCGCGACAACUACCACACCGAGCUCGUCGACUUCGACGUCACCCACAUCCGUCUACCGUACAAUGCCAUCCUCGGGUACCCAGCGUUAGCCAAAUUCAUGGCAGUGACCCAUCAUGGCUACAACAUCCUCAAGAUGCCGGGAAGUGGCGGAAUCAUCACAGUCCUCUGAGAAGAAAGAGAUGUGGUGUGCUCCCUCGAGCGCACCUUCCAAGCCACAGCAAUCGAAGACCCUGAGAGCGAGGGCACGCAGUACCCUCCUAAGGCCAUCCCCAAGAAGAAGAAGAACAAGCAGCUACUCCGCAUAGGGCCUCAGGGGAGUGGUGCCUCUAGUGGUGCCACCUCAGGAUCGGCGCCCGCACCUGGGGCGCCUUCCUCCCUCACAUAGGAAGGCUCACCCGGCGCCCUCCUCGGGCAGGGCUCGGGGGCUCUCUUCUAGAGGGCCUCAGAUCUGGGCAACAUCACGAGGGAGGCGCUCGGGCACCACGUGGAGGCAUGCUUCGCGGCACAUUUCCCUCAGGAGGGCACCGGGCGAGUAGCGCCUGGCACUCAGGAGCUCAUCAUCAAGACCGCCUAGGAGCUUCAGGAAGCAACGGCGAUACGCGGCGACCGCUGCCCACUUGGUGUAGCUCCCCACCCGGGCGAGGGUGGCGAGCUGCGCGUCUGCAUUGACAUGCCAGGGCUCAAUACGGCCGCAUCUCAGGAGCGCUUUUGGCCUUCGCGUGUUGGCCGUUGUGAGGGUCCACCUCACAGCUACGUUCGCAUGCCGUUCGGCCUACCGAGCAUGGCAGCCACCUUCCAGCGCAAUCUACGAAGCAUCCUAGCGACCCAAGAGGCCAGGCAUCACGCGGUCCUGCCAGAGAUGGAGACGGUCCUCAGGGAGCCACAUGAGCCCCUAGAGCCUCCGGAGGCUCAGGGUCUCGUCGGCUCGUGAGGAGCGACUUCUUCAGUGUGCGCCUACAGCUACCCAAACGCUCCUUCGAAAACAAAACCAGGUGACAUUUUCCAAGUUCAUUCAGCUAGGAGCGCCCCCAGGCUGCAUCAUUCCCAGGUCACGUGGGCCUGUCCCCACGGCAUGUAUCCUUUUUACGCCUUUAAGCUUACUUUACUGGGGGUGCCCCUCGGACUGCAUCAUCCCCAGGCCGCUCGGGUCCGACCCAGUGGCAUGUAUCGUUCUUGCAUUUAGCUUAGCUAGUUUUCUUUCCAUGCAUAAGCUAUCUAUUGUCAUUACCUGCUUGAUUAUCACCCACCAUGGGAGCCGCGCGCCAAUCGUCUUUCUUCAGGAUCCUUCGCAUAAGAAGGCUAGGCACGGCGUUUGUGCUCGGGUCCAUCCCUGUAGCGUUGAUAAAUCCAAUGGCUGAGCUCUGUCUGACGGGUCGGUCCCGUUCACGUCACCUCUUGUGGAAGUUGGUGCUUGGCCUUCUCAUGCGAUAACCACAGGAGAUUCGUUCGGCACAGGUUGCCUAACCAUCUCGCAUGACCACUAAAGUCAACAAGAACCAAGACCAGGCGCAACCCGCCUUGAGGUAGGGCCUCGUGAGUCCCGCGCUGGCUCACAAGUGCCCAGACACACCUCGUCUAGCCCUGCCGUGCAAGCCACCUGUCAGGGCGGGGCUGUACACGCCCCGGGGCUCCACUCAGAGGGAGCCCUCACCCACGCACCAGUGGAAGCACCAUGCUCCGUGCUGGCAGUCGACACUGCCAAGGAGCGGCUAUGCCCGUGCAAGUGCGGAAGCGUAUGCUCCCCGCUGGUGAUAAACAACUGAGGGCGGACUCAUGGUCGUACCAACUUCAGGGAGCCUCCGAGUUCAGUGUCUGGCCUCAUCGCAACACCUCCCCUGAGGAGAGUAGCGCAGAGGGCUGGGCACAGGGGCUGCGCUCGGGUCACGCCCAAGCGUACACUACCCUGCCAGGUCCCUCGGACCUGGUCGUCGUGCGCCCUCCCAAGCGGAUCCAAGGUAUGAAGGUCGUUUGAACGUCAGGGGGACUCCUAAGCAUCGCGACUCAGGAGCAUAACUAGCCACAUAGACCCUCACUCCUUGGUCCGUCCUGGCAGUCCAGACGGUCCAAUGGCGGCUGAGGUAUGCGCAGGGUCGGGCCCUGCCGACGUAGAACACUAGGCCUACUCUCGUAUCUCCUUUCUAUAAGCUGUUUGCGCGUCAAGGGGGACUACUGAGCAUCGUGGCUCAGGAGCCUAACUGGCCACGUAUCCCCUCACCCCUUGGUCUCGUCCUGGUGAUCCGGACGACCCAACAACGGUUGAGGUAUGCGCGGGGUCGGGCCCUGCCGACGUAGUACGUAAAGCAAAUGGGAAGGAAAUCGCAAAAUUUCAAGCAAAUAUUACAAGACAUAUUGUUCUUUCGAUACCAAAUGCAAGUUUAAACGCCUCCACAAGGCAUGGUGCAUAUCGCAAGAGCUAAACAAGAAAGGAGCCGCCAGCAGGUCAUCUCAUCAUCCCCGGACGCUGCCGUCGCCCGCAAGGGAUGCUUCUCCCAUAGCGGCGUCGCCCUCACCUGCACCACCCGCCGGAGUUGCAGGAUCAGAAGCACCACCAGUUGAAGGCACAUGAUCGAAGGCGCGAAACCUCUUCAGUAGGGCCUCCACCUGACCCUUCAUAGCUUCGGCAGCAGCUGUGCAGUGCUUGGUGUCCAUAGGCUCUAGCAGCUCGCGAGGUGGGCGGCAGGAUCGCGAAGAUGGAGGUGGUUGAAGACGCGCCUCAACGCGGCUGGGGAAAGGAUGCGGGCUUCUGCCUCUGCCAAGGGGUCGAUACCGCUCACGACUUCCUGAAGCACCUUGACCAGAUAAGGAAGCAGCUGGGUGGGGCCCUCGUCGUCGGUAGCCAGCGGCUCCUCCAAGCCCUUCUUGUAGAGUGACCGUAGCGCAGCGCGAGACCUCUCCUCGAGGGACUUGAAGGCCAUGAGGUCUUCGGCCAGGACCUAUGCCUUGGCUUCCAACUCGGCCUUCUCUGCCUCCACCUUCUGCUCCACCUUCUCCAGCCGGCUGCGCUCCAUAGCCUGCGCCUCCGCCAACUGCUCUAGCUCGGUGUCGCGACCCCUGACGGUGUCCUCCCGGGCCUUCAUCUUCUCCUCCUCCACCCUGCGGCCCCGAGCUUCAUCCGCACGCUCACUGCGCAUGAUCUUCAGUUCAGCUCCAGCAACUGCCAGCGAUCUUGGGCGGCUCCGGCAUCCUUCAGCGCCGCCUCGCGGGCAGCCAUAGCUUGGGCGACGGCCUGCUUGUCCUUCUCGGAGUCCACCAUAGCCUGGCUCAGAACCACCCGGACAACCACGUCGGAGUGGAGCCAGCCAGAGAUCAGCUCCAAGCACCCGGCCACCAGGAGACGGUCGGUGCCUUGAAGGUCCUCCCGCAGCAAGGUCAGUGCAGAAAGAGCGCGCUCCAGGAUGUCGGGGGAGGUGGAAGAAUCCGGUGUCAGCAGAGCGGCGGAGGAAGGAAGAGGCAACAUCGUCACGAUAGCCUGGGAGGUUGAGGGAUCCUGAGCUUUGGGGACCUCCGCAGCCGAGCCGGACGCCGGUGCCUUUGGUGCCAGCGGGGCCGUGGGGACUGUGUCCUCCAGAGGGCGCUCCCCCAAGUUUCGUGAGGUUGAUUGGGCCGGGGAAGCGCGAGCACCGCCACCAUCCUUCCCUACGGAGCAGGGAGCGGCCGCUGCAGGCGAUUUGGUCCCGAGCAGUACUGCUGUGUCCUCCUUCCUCCUCUUCCGCAUGGGCGUCGGCCUAGUCAACCAACGGAAGGCGUCAAGAAUCAGCAACAGAAGCAGGAACAAGGCAAGACAAGGAUACUUACUGGUCCACCGCGGCGUAGUCCCUCUACUUCCCGAACUUGAAGCCUGAGAGCCUCCAAAACUGAGGCGCGGGCACAAGGGCUCUAGGCGCAGAAGAGGGGGAGCGGGCAAGUUGGAAGCAGCUUCGGGCAGCGACAGAACAGGGGCGUCGUCUUGGGAGAGCAGCGCCGACCUUCCUAUCGUCGGAAUCCUGACCGGUGACUUCCUCCGGGGACUGACCUUGGACCUCGAGGAGCCCCCUGCAGUACGCAGCUCCUCCCUUUCCAGGGGGACAUCGGCCUCCUCCUCAUCAUCAGGCAGGGUGCGGAGGAUGUUGGCCUUGCGCAAGGGGGAGGUCUCCCCCGCCCCUCCGCGGGUCGCCUGUGAGUCGUGCUCCUCCUCUCCCUCUUCUUCCUCCUCGACCUCCUCGCAAGACUCGCCGAAAGACACGACCACCGGAGUUGUCGCCACCGGGAUGUUUGUGGGCGCAGGCGGCACGAGCCCGCGCUCGUCAAAGACGGGCAUGGCGGCGGCAACCUCUACCCCGUCCUUGCGGCGGAACUAGGGAACAAGGCCAUCAGGCGGGUACCCUUGGUCGUCCCCGACCAAGGAACGAAGAGUCGAGCGCAAUUCCUCAUCGGAAAGGGGCUCCGGGCACAGGCGGAGGUCGUCCCCAUCGUCUCGAAGCUUCCAUAGUGGGCGCGAGCACGCUUGGAGGGGAGCCACGCACUGCGCCAUGAUUUCUUUGGUGAUCAUGGCCCCCGUUAGCUUCGCCAUUCUCGAGUCACCGGACUUUAGGUCGGCAGUCAUCCUCUCCAGCACCUGCGUCGCCCGCGGGUCGGUGAGCUUCGCGUGAAGCCAUCCCUCGUGGGACACUAGCAUUUCCGUCGGCAGCACCAGCUAGGGGUGGAUACGCUUGGCAUCCAUCAGGACCCACUUGCUCCUGAAUCCCUCGGCCUUCUUCCCGGCCUUCGAGAUGGCAUUGGUCUUGUUGGUCACAACGAAACCAACGCACCCUGAGCAGGGCCCCACCUUAAGCCGAAGAAAGAAGAAGUGGCGCAGCAGUGCCAUGGACGGCAUCACUCCGAUGUAUGCCUCACUGUAGAAGGCGAAGAUCGACAGGAAAAGGACGGAGUUGGUAUGAAGAUGGAGGGCGUGGAUCUUAUAGUGACCGAGGAUGUUGUAGAAGAAGUCGGAUAAGGGGGGAACCAACCCGACGACAAUGCUACUCAUGAAGAAGGGGUAGAAAGUGCUGCCAGGGGCCUCAGGCUCGGCGAAGCUGACCCGGAGCACAAUCUUCCUCUUCUCGUCACCCUCAACCGUCAUCAAGCGCACGGCGGCAAGGUUCUUCUCCGACACGCUCGGCGCAUCGAGCGUGGGCUCGUACCAGGAUGACGAAGGUGUAGCCCGGGCUUUCUUGGGCACCAUGGACGGCAAGCUCGAAGGAGGACCUGGGUGGAUCAGGAGUCUCUGGAAGCGAAGGGCAAGAAAGGGGAUCUGGAGCAAAAUGAAGGAAGGUAAUGAAGGAAAAUACAGCCCGCGCCAGUCUUUUUUCAGUGGGGCAGUUGCCGAGGCAGCAUGGGGAAGCGAAGACGCCCACGUCCAAUCAAUCUCCACGCGUCAAGCGAGGCCAUGCUACCUCUUAAGCACUGUGUUGGAUUUCCCCAAAGAGGAAGGGAUGAUGCAGCAAAAUAGCGUAAGUAUUUCCCUCAGUUUUUGAGAACCAAGGUAUCAAUCUAGUAGGAGGCUACGCUCGAGUCCCUCGUACCUACACAAAAACAAUAGCUCAACGUAACCAACGUGCUUAGGGGUUGUCAAUCCCUUCACAGUCACUUACGAAAGUGAGAUCUGAUAGAGAUAAUAAAUAAUAUUUUUGGUAUAGAGAUGCAAAGUAAAUAAGUAAAAGGAAAGCAAUAAUAAAGUGAUGGAGAUUGAUAUGAUGAGAAAGAGACGCGGGGGCCAUAGGUUUCACUAGUGGCUUCUCUCAAGAGCAUAAGUAUUCUACGGUGGGUGAACAAAUUACUGUUGAGCAAUUGACAGAAUUGAGCAUAUGAGAAUAUCUAGGUAUGAUCAUGUAUAUAGGCAUCACGUCCGAGACAAGUAGACCGAAAACAUUCUGCAUCUACUACUAUUACUCCACUCAUCGACCGCUAUCCAGCAUGCAUCUAGAGUAUUAAGUUAAAAACAGAGUAAUGCCUUAAACAAGAUGACAUGAUGUAGAGGGAUAGUUUCAUGCAAUAUGAUAAAAAAACCCAUCUUGUUAUCCUUGAUGGCAACAAUACAAUACGUGCCUUGCUGCCCCUUCUGUCACUGAGAAAGGACACCACAAGAUCGAACCCAAAGCUAGGCACUUCUCCCAUGGCAAGAACAACCAAUCUAGUAGGCCAAACCAAACUGAUAAUUCGAAGAAACUUGCAAAGAUAACCAAUCAUACAUAAAACAAUUCAGAGAAUAUUCAAAUAUUAUUCAUAGAUAGACUUGAUCAUAAACCCACAAUUCAUCGGUCUCAACAAACACACCGCAAAAACAAGAUUACAUCGAAUAGAUCUCCAUGAUAGAGGGGGAGAACAUUGUAUUGAGAUCCAAAAAGAGAGAAGAAGCCAUCUAGAUACUAGCUAUGGACCCGUAGGUCUGAAGUAAACUACUCACACUUCAUCGGAGGGGCUUGGAUGAUGAUGUAGAAGCCCUCCGUGAUCGAUGCCCCCUCUGGCGAAGCUCCGGAAUAGGCCCCAAGAUGGGAUCUCGUGGAUACAGAAAGUUGCGGCGGUGGAAUUAGGUUUUUGGCUCCGUCCCCGAUCGUUUGGGGGUACGUGGAUAUAUAUAGGAGGAAGAAGUACGUCGGUGGAGCUUCGAGGGGCCCACGAGAGGCAGGGGCACGCCCUAGGGGGGCGCCCCCUACCCUCGUGACCGCCUCGUGGCUUUCUUGACGGAGGGACCAAGUCUCCUGGGUCUUAUCUGAUGAGAAAAUCACGUUUCCGAAGGUUUCAUUCCGUUUGGACUCCGUUAGAUAUUCCUUUUCUUCGAAACCCUAAAACAGGCAAAAAACAACAAUUCUGGGCUGGGCCUCCGGUUAAUAGGUUAGUCCCAAAAAUAAUAUAAAAGUGGAUAAUAAAGCCCAAUAAUGUCUAAAACAGUAGAUAAUAUAGCAUGGAGCAAUCAAAAAUUAUAGAUACAUUGGAGACGUAUCAAGCAUCCCCAAGCUUAAUUCCUGCUCGUCCUCGAGUAGGUAAAUGAUAAAAACAGAAUUUUUGAUGCGGAGUGCUACUUGGCAUAAUUUUAAUGUAAUUCUUCUUAAUUGUGGUAUGAAUAUUCAGAUCCGAAAGAUUCAAGACAAAAAUUCAUAUUGACAUAAAAAUGAUAAUACUUCAAGCAUACUAACUAAGCAAUUACUUCUUCUCAAAAUAACAUGGCCAAAGAAAGUUCAUCCCUACAAAAUCAUAUAGUUUAGUCAUGUUUCAUUUUCAUCACACAAGAAUGCUAUCAUCAUGCACAACCCCGAUGACAAGCCAAGCAAUUAUUUCAUACUUUAGUAAUCUCAAACCUAUAAACUCUCACGCAAUAUAUGAGUGCGAGCCAUGGACAUAGCACUAUGGCUGGAAUAGAAUAUAAUGAGGGGGGUUAUGUGGAGAAGACAAAAAAGGAGAAAGUCUCACAUCAACGAGGCUAAUCAAUGGGCUAUGGAGAUACCCACCGAUUGAUGUUAAUGCAAGGAGUAGGGAUUGCCAUGCAACGGAUGCACUAGAGCUAUAAAUGUAUGAAAUCUCAACAAAAGAAACUAGCGGGUGUGCAUCCAACUUGCUUGCUCAUGAAGACCUAGGGCACUUGAGGAGGCCCAUUGUUGUAAUAUACAAGCCAAGUUCUAUAAUGAAAAAUUCCCACUAGUAUAUGAAAGUGAUAAAAUGAGAGACUCUCUACUAUGAAGAUCAUGGUGCUACUUUGAAGCACAAGUGUGGUAAAAGGAUAGUAACAUUGUCCCUUCUCUCUUUUUCUCUCUUUUUUUUGGGCCUUCUCUUUUUUAUGGCCUUUCUCUUUUUUGGGGGCCUUCUCUUUUUUAUGGCCUUUCUUUUUUUAUACCUCACUUGGGACAAUGCUCUAAUAAUGAUGAUCAUCACACUUCUAUUUAUUUACAACUCAAUGAUUACAACUCGAUACUAGAACAAAGAUGACUCUAUAUGAAUGCCUCCGAUGGUGUACCGGGAUAUGCAAUGAACCAACAGUGACAUGUAUGAAAGAAUUAUGAAUGGUGGCUUUGCCACAAAUACUAUGUCAACUACAUGAUCAUGCUAAGCAAUAUGACAAUGAUGAAUGUGUCAUGAUGAACAGAAUGAUGGAAAGUUGCAUGGCAAUAUAUCUCGGAAUGGCUAUGGAAAUGCCAUAAUAGGUAUGUAUGGUGGCUGUUUUGAGGAAGAUAUAAGGAGGUUUAUGUGUGAAAGAGCGUAUCAUAUCACAGGGUUUGGAUGCACCGGCGAAGUUUGCACCAACUUUCAACGUGAGAAAGGGCAAUGCACGGUACCGAAGAGGCUAGCAAGGAUGUAAGGGUGAGAGUGCGUAUAAUCCAUGGACUCAACAUUAGUCAUAAAGAACUCACAUACUUAUUGCAAAAAUCUACAAGUCAUCAAAAACCUUUGUACUACGCGCAUGCUCCUAGAGGGAUAGAUUGGUAGGAAAAGACCAUCGCUCAUCCCUGACCGCCACUCAUAAGGAAGACAAUCAAAUAACACCAAAUGUUUCAAAUUUGUUGCAUAUCAUUUACCAUACGUGCAUGCUACGGGACUUGCAAACCUCAACACAAGUAUUUCUCAAUUUCACAACUAAUCAACUAGCAUGACUUUGAUAUUAUUACCUCCAUAUCUCAAAACAAUCAUCAAGCAUCAAACUUUUCUUAGUAUUCAACACACUAGUAAGAAAGUUUUAUUAUUAAUCUUGCAUACCAAGCAUAUUAGGAUUUUAAGAAAAUUACCAUGCUAUUAAUACUCUCAAAAUAAUCUAAGUGAAGCAUUAGAGAUCAAUAGUUUCUAUAAAACAAAUCCACCACCGUGCUCUAAAAGAUAUAAGUGAAGCACUAGAGCAAAACUAUAAGCUCAAAAGAUAUAAGUGAAGCACAUAGAGUAUUCUAUCAAAUUCCAAAUCAUGUAUGGCUCUCUCAAAAGGUGUGUACAGCAAGGAUGAUUGUGGUAGACUAACAAGCAAAGAAUCAAAUCAUAAAAGACGCUCCAAGCAAAACACAUAUCAUGUGGUGAAUAAAAAUAUAGCUCCAAGUAAAGUUACCGAUAGAAGUAGACGAAAGAGGGGAUGCCUUCCGGGGCAUCCCCAAGCGUUGGAUUUUAGGUGUCCUUAGAUUAUCUUGGGGGUGCCAUGGGCAUCCCCAAUCUUAGGCUCUUGCCACUCCUUGUUUCAUAAUCCAUCAAAUCUUUACCCAAAACUUGAAAACUUCACAACACAAAACUCAAAGUAGAAAAUCUCGUGAGCUCCGUUAGCGAAAGAAAACAAAAGACCACUUCAAGGUACUGUAACGAACUCAUUCUUUAUUUAUAUUGGUGUUAAACCUAACUUAUUACAACUUCUCUAUGGAUUAUAAACUAUUUUACUAGCCAUAGAUUCAUCCAAAUAAGCAAACAACAUACGAAAAACAGAAUCUGUCAAAAACAGAACAGUAUGUAGUAAUCUGUAUCUAGCGCAAGAUCUGGAACCCCAAAAAUUCUAAAAUAAAUUGCUGGACGUGAGGAAUUUAUCUAUUAAUCAUCUUCAAAAAUAAUUAACUAAAUACCACUCUUCAAAUAAAAAUGACAGCAGUUCUUGUGAGCGCUAAAGUUUCUAUUUUUUACAGCAAGUUCAACAAGACUUUCCCCAAGUCCUCCCAACGGUUCUACUUGGCACAAACACUAAUUAAACACAAAAAACACAACGAAAAAAGAGGCUAAAUAAUUUAUUUAUUACUAAACAGGAGCAAAAAUCAAGGAAUAAAAAUAAAAUUGGGUUGCAUCCCAACAAGCGCUAUCGUUUAACGCCCCUAGCUAGGCAUAACAAGCAAGAAUAGAUCUAGGUAUUGCCAUCUUUGGUAGGCAAUCCAUAAGUGGCUCUCAUGAUAGAUUCAUAUGGUAAUUUUAUUUUAUUUCUAGGGAAGUGUUCCGUGCCCUUUUUUAGUGGAAAUUGAAAUCUAAUAUUCCCUUCCUUCAUAUCAAUAAUUGCACCAACCGUUCUAAGGAAAGGUCUACCAAGAAUAAUAGGGCAAGAAGGAUUGCAAUAUAUAUCAAGAACGAUAAAAUCUACGGGCACAUAAUUCCUAUUUUCAACAAUAAGAACAUCAUUAAUUCUUCACAUAGGUUUCUUAAUAGUGGAAUCCGCAAGAUGGAAGUUUAGAGAGCAAUCAUCAAAAUCACGGAAAUCUAGCAAAUCACACAAAGUUUUGGGAAUAGUAGAGACACUAGCACCCAAAUCACACAAAGCAUAAAACUCAUAAUUUUUAAUUUUAAUUUUAAUAGUAGGUUCCCACUCAUCAUGAAGUUUUCUAGGGAUAGAAACUUCCAAUUCAAGUUUUUCUUCAUAAGAUUGCAUCAAGGCAUCAACGAUAUGUUUAGUAAAUGCUUUAUUUUGGCUAUAAGCAUGAGGAGAAUUUAGCACGGAUUGCAACAAGGAAAUACAAUCAAUUAAAGAGCAAUUAUAAUAGUUAAAUUCCUUGAAAUCCAUAAUAGUGGGUUUAACAACAUCUAGGGUUUUAAUUUCUUCAAUCCCACUUUUAUAAAAUUUAGCAUCAAGAUCAACAAAUUCUGAAUUCUUAGAACGCCUUCUAGGUAAAGGUGGAUCAUAUCCAGUCCCAUCAUUAUCAAGAUUCAUUUUGCAAAACAAAGAUUUAAUAGGGGACACAUCAAUAACUUUUAGAUCUUCAUCAUUAUUUUCAUAGGAACUAGAAGAACACGCUUUAAUAAAGGCAUCUUUGUUAGCACGCAUCCUAGCGAUUCUUUCUUUGCACUCAUCAAUAGAAAUUCUCAUGGCUUUGAGAGACUCAUUGAUAACAUGCUUAGGUGGAAUAGAUCUAAGUUUCAAAGAAUCAACAUCAAGAGCAAUUCUAUCAACGUUCCUAGCCAAAUCAUCAAUCUUAAGCAAUUUUUCUUCAAUCAUAGCAUUAAAAUUCUUUUGUGAAGAAAUAAAUUCUUUAAUAUUAGAUUCAAAAUCAGAGGGUAUCUUAUUAUAAUUUCCAUAAGAAUUGUUGUAGGAAUUACCAUAAUUAUUAGAGGGAUUACUAGGAUAAGGCCUAGGAUUGAAAUUUCCUCUAUACGCGUUGUUACCAAAAUUGUCCCUACCAACAAAAUUCACAUCCAUAGAUUCAUUAUUAUUCUCAAUCAAAGUAGACAAGGGAACAUCAUUAGGAUCAGGAGAAACACUCUUAUUAGCAAAUAAUUUCAUAAGUUCAUCCAUCUUUCCACUCAAAACAUUAAUUUCUUCUAUGUUUUAGUAGAUCUUUCAGUAUGCCAUUGAGAAUAAUUAACCAUAAUAUUAUCUAGGAGUUUAGUAGCUUCCCCUAAAGUGAUUUCCAUAAAAGUGCCUCCCGCGGCCGAAUCUAAAAGAUUUCUAGAAGCAAAAUUCAAUCCGGCAUAAAAAUUCUGAACAAUCAUCCACAAAUUUAAACCAUGAGUAGGGAAAUUACGUAUCAUUAAUUUCAUUCUCUCCCAAGCUUGUGCAACAUGUUCAUGAUCAAGUUGUUUAAAAUUCAUAAUAUUGUUUCUAAGAGAGAUGAUCUUAGCGGGAGGAAAAUACUUAGAGAUAAAAGCAUCUUUGCACUUGUUCCAUGAAUCAAUACUAUUUUUAGGCAAAGACGAAAACGAAGCUUUAGCACAAUCUCUAAGCGAAAAAGGAAAUAGCUUCAAUUUAACAAUAUCAUUAUCGACAUCUUUCUUAUUUUGCAUGUCACACAAAUCAACAAAGCUAUUAAGAUGGUUAGCGGCAUCUUCACUAGGAAGGCCGGAGAACGGAUCUUUCAUGACAAGAUUCAGCAACGCAGUAUUAAUUUCACAAGAUUCAGCAUCGGUAAGAGGAGCAAUCGGAGUGCUAAGGAAAUCAUUGUUGUUGGUAUUGGUGAAGUCACACGAUUUAUUAUUAUCUUGAGCCAUCGCAACAAACAAGCAAUCCAACACACAAGCAAACAAAAGGCAAACGGGAAAAAAUAGGCAAAUAGAGAGGGAGAGGGAGGAGGAGAGAGAGGGCGAAUAAAACAGCAAGGGUGAAGUGGGGGAGAGGAAAACGAGAGGCAAAUGGCAAAUAAUGUAAUGCGGGAGAUAGGGAUUGUGAUGGGUACUUGGUAUGUUGACUUUUGCGCAGACUCCCCGGCAACGGCACCAGAAAUUCUUCUUGCUACCUCUUGAGCACUGCGUUGGAUUUCCCCAAAGAGGAAGGGAUGAUGCAGCAAAGUAGCAUAAGUAUUUCCCUCAGUUUUUGAGAACCAAGGUAUCAAUCCAGUAGGAGGCUAUGCUCGAGUCCCUCGUACGUACACAAAAAAAAUAGCUCAACACAACCAACGCGCUUAGGGGUUGUCAAUCCCUUCACAGUCACUUACGAAAGUGAGCUCUGAUAGAGAUAAUAAAUAAUAGUUUUGGUAUUUUUGGUAUAGAAGUAAAUAAGUAAAAGCAAAGUAAAAGCAAAGCAAUAAUAAAGUGUUGGAGAUUGAUAUGAUGAGAAAGAGACCCGGGGGCCAUAGGUUUCACUAGUGGCUUCUCUAAAGAGCAUAAGUAUUCUAUGGUGGGUGAACAAAUUACUGUUGAGCAAUUGACAGAAUUGAGCAUAGUUAUGAGAAUAUCUAGGUAUGAUCAUGUAUAUAGGCAUCACGUCCGAGACAAGUAGACCGAAACGAUUCUGCAUCUACUACUAUUACUCCACUCAUCGACCGCUGAGUAUUAAGUUAAAAACAGAGUAACGCCUUAAGCAAGAUGACAUGAUGUAGAGGGAUAGUUUCAUGCAAUAUGAUAAAAAAAAACAUCUUGUUAUCCUUGAUGGCAACAAUACAAUACGUGCCUUGCUGACCCUUCUGUCACUGGGAAAGGACACCGCAAGAUCGAACCCAAAGCUAAGCACUUCUCCCAUGGCAAGAACAACUAAUCUAGUAGGCCAAACCAAACUGAUAAUUCGAAGAGACUUGCAAAGAUAACCAAUCAUACAUAAAAGAAUUCAGAGAAGAUUCAAAUAUUAUUCAUAGAUAGACUUGAUCAUAAACCAACAAUUCAUCGGUCUCAACAAACACAACGCAAAAAGAAGAUUACAUCGAAUAGAUCUCCAUGAGAGAGGGGGAGAACAUUGUAUUGAGAUCCAAAAAGAGAGAAGAAGCCAUCUAGCUACUAGCUAUGGACCCGUAGGUCUGAAGUAAACUACUCACACUUCAUCGGAGGGGCUUGGAUGAUAAUGUAGAAGCCCUCCGUGAUCGAUGCCCCCAACGACAGAGCUCUGGAACAGGCCCCAAGAUGGGAUCUCAUGGAUACAGAAAGUUUCGGCGGUGGAAUUAGGUUUUUGGCUCCGUCCCCGAUCGUUUGGGGGUACGUGGAUAUAUAUAGGAGGAAGAAGUACGUCGGUUGAGCUUCGAGGGGCCCACGAGGCAGGGACCCUCAUGACCGCCUCGUGGCUUUCUUGACGGAGGGUCCAAGUCUCCUGGGUCUUAUCUGAUGAGAAAAUCACGUUUCCGAAGGUUUCAUUCCGGUUGGACUCCGUUUGAUAUUCCUUUUCUUUGAAACCCUAAAACAGGCAAAAAACAACAAUUCUGGGCUAGGCCUCCAGUUAAUAGGUUAGUCCCAAAAAUAAUAUAAAAGUGGAUAAUAAAGCCCAAUAAUGUCUAAAAAGUAGAUAAUAUAGCAUGGAGCAAUCAAAAAUUAUAGAUACGUUGGAGACGUAUCAGGCCACAGGCUGUUGGGGCCUGCGGCGCUCCACACUUGCCCCUUGUCUUCACCUCGAGGCCAAGUCCAAGUGUGCCUUGGGCCCGGGGGCUACUGUCGGCGUCCUGGGAACGGGUGUCCCUAGACUUGCCUGCCUGCGGCCCACAGAGUGGCUCCACCGGCGGCCCUGUGCGGCCCAUCUUCACCGGCAAAACACUCAAGACCCUCGCGAGGGGCCAAGCCUCGCGAGGCGAGCGACGCAAAACCUCCUCGGGGGCGGCCUCACCAGGCUGGCUCAUGAGGGACGGAGAGAUCAAGGCAAGGGGCGCCUCACGAGGUUCCUGUGACGCAAGCCAUGACGAGCAGGGCCAGGCGGGUGCCAGUGAAUGCAGUGUCCUCGUUUCCUCUUUGGCGCUAAAGAGGCAAGCGUAGGAGCGGUGUCCCGAGGCAUCAAGCAAAGGUUUCCAUAUCGGUGCAACGAGACCAAGACUAGCAGGACGGCAGGAUGGAGGUCACCAUGGAUCCCAAGACGGUGUCAUCACCAGAGCAUUUGGCAGGAGAAGACCAUCUUUGCCAGGAUAACUUAUACUAGUUGUCCCCCUUCAAAUUGGCUGUUGUGGGAUCCCUUCCCGCCUAAUAUUUGGGAAGAGGACUCGAGCCUCUAUAUAUAGGACUAGCCACCAUCAUAGGGGGAGGAUAUGAUCUCAUCUUGGACCGAAUCCAUUCCACCAAGGCGACCACACAAACUGGCCAAGCACAAGACCACCUCUCCUUAGGAGGCUGUUCUUCCCUUGUAACUGUUCAUCCUCAGCCCAAGAGGCAAUCCACCACACCACACUGGAGUAGGGUAUUACAACACAUCGGUGGCAUGAACCAGUAUAAAUCUUGUGUCCCUUUGUUCUGCGAGUUCAACGCGCUGAGCCUUGAGGUUUGAACACUGGGUGCGGACGAUCUCAAGGCUCAGCGCGUCGAACUCGCAGAACAAAGGGACACAAGAUUAAUACUGGUUCGGGCCACCGAUGUGGUGUAAUACCCUACUCCAGUGUGGUGUGGUGGAUUUUCCUCUUGGGCCGAGGAUGAAUAGUUACAAGGGAAGUACAACCUCCUUAGGAGAGGUGCUCUUGUUCUUGGCGAGUUUGUGUGGUGGCCUUGGUGGAAUGGAUUCGGUCCCAGAUGAGAUGCCUCCCUAUGAUGGUGGCUAGUCCUAUAUAUAGAGGCCCGGGUUCUCUUCCCAAAUAUUAGGCGGCAAGGGAUCCCACAACGACCAAUUUGAAGGGGGACAGCUAGUACAAGUUAUCUCGACAAAAGGUGGUCUUUUCCUGCCAAAGGCUCUGGUGGUGAUGCCGUCCUGGGCUCCAUGGUGACCUCUGUCAUGUCGUCCUGCUGGUCUUGGUCUUGUUGCACUGAUAUGGAAACCUUUGCCUGAUGCCUCUGGACUCCUAGCCUGCGCUUGCCUCUUUAGCACAAAAGAGGAAACAAGUACACUACGCACGCUGGCACCCGCCUGGCGCUCGCCUGGCCUUGGUCGUCAUGGCUUGUGACACAGGGACCUUGCGAGGUGCCCCUCGCCUUGAUCUCUCUGCCCCUCGCAAGCCAGCCUGGUGAGGCUGCCCCCGAGGAGGUCUUUCAUCAUCUGCCUCGCGAGGCUUGGCCCCUCGUGAGGGUCUUGAGUGUUUUGCCAGUGAAGAUGGGUCGUAUAGGGCCGCUGGUGGAGCCACACCAUGGGCCACAGGCAGGCAAGUCUAGGGACCCCCGUUCCCGGGACGCCGACAGUGGUGGACGGAGGAGGCUGGCCGCAGUGGGGAGGUUGUUGUGCCGCCAACGGUGUAUGAAUGGGGACAUCGAGGGGGAGGGGGAUCUCAAACUUUGGGACGCGCUUGUCUGAAUUGUGGGAAAGUUACGAACUUGUUCCCCGUUUAAAAUUUCGGACAUCACGUUGGUUGGGGAUAGGAUGGUAAUCUUGCAUCUCCCCAAUAUUGGUGGUAACGAUUUCGGGCGAGGAGAGGGUGUUUUUCCACCCAUGGUUGGCGCCCACGGUGUAUGAACGGGGCUGACAGGUAGGGCGGUUGUGUCACGUCUGAGGGAAGUUACACAUCUACCCCUAUUUAAAAUAUUUGCCUACACUUCGGACGAGGAGAGUUUGUUUUGCUGACCACCGUGUAUGAAUGAGGAAAUGGAGGGAGAGACACAUGUCUUUCGGACGAGCUUGAAUCAAAUGUGUUUUGCCGCCCAUGUUUGGCGCCCACGAUGUCUGAAUGGGCUCAGAGGGGUCGUGUCACGUCUGAUUGAACUUACUAGUCUACCCCUAUCGACAGCAGUGGAAAUCGGGUCGAUUAAGAUGUGAAGUGUCAGGGGUAGACAGUAAUUUCCAUCUCGCAAACACUUGCUUUGGGCAGCCGACAAAUGAUAGUGGGUCUUUUCUGCUUCAUUCAAAAUUUGGGAGAAUUAGCAUUCACGUUUACCCCGGGCCCUGGCAACUAAAUUCAAAUCCAAUUUGUAUUCAAUUAUGAAUAUCCAUAUAUCAUUCUACAUUUUGUUAUUUAUUUCUUCAAAACCAUGACAAAGAUUUAUUCCACCUUUAUAUAUGAUAAUGAUUUAGAAACGCCGUGAUCUUCGAAUUUAGUAGGUUGGAUACACUUUGAGUCAAACAGUUAUUUCAUCCAAUACAAUAUGCUCACACGAAAACCAGUUCACCUUAUGUCAAUCAUACAAGUACUGAGGAUUGCCUCGCCUAAAAAAUUUAGAUCAUUACAACACUUGGACAACAUAGGGGGUCUUACAACAUAAUCCCUUCAGAGACAUGACACAACAUGCAAGUAUAAUAAUCUAAUGACAAUUUCAACUGGUAUCUAAAGAAGAACUGGGAUUACCCUAGGCUUCAGAUAGCAGAAGCAGUAGGACCUCCUCCGUCUUCAAAUGCAACAUUCUUACUUCCUCCAAUUCUUAAGUUGCUUGCAUAAUGCGUGCAACUAAUUGCAUAAUUUCUAGCUUCAAGAUCGAGAUUACCUCAUUCAUGGCAGCCACACCAUCUCUUUCCGCCUCUAGUAGAUCCUCAAGAACUAUAAUAUAUGUGUUCAGACUGCUCUCCGGCGGUGUUGCCUUUGAACUGCUACCAUCUGGUAACAUGGAUGGCGCACUGCUUCCACAAAUAGAUUCUGGGGUUGUACAUUGUGUCCUAGUGUGAACGGCAUCCUGAAAGGUUUCCGCUGGACAUAAGUAAGAGAUAGUUAUCGCAUGAUCCAUGCAGUAAGCUCACAUGGUAAAUGGCAUACGAAUUAUUGCCGAGCAUGGCAAGCUAUAUUAAAAUGGUUCGAAGCAGCAUCAGCUGAAAAGAAAUUAAAAUGGUAAGAUGAAACUAGGGAUGUAAGUGGCAAAUAAACGGCAUCCGCCAGUCCCAUCUAGUUAGUUUUUUGCUAGCUCCCUAGUUCAUUUUCCUCAAAAAACAAAAACUCUUUCGAACUAUCAUACCACUAGUGGACUUUAAUCGGGAUUAAACGGGACCCAGUUGACACCCCUAGUUGAAAGGGAGUGUACCACCACUAUAUUUAAGUUGCCAAGGGAUCUAAGUAGUUGAAAUAAUCUGAGAAAGCACGUAACAGUGUGGUUUCAUAUAAACUACGAAGACAGUCUUGUGAUGAAGUUCAUAGGAAAAGUUAAGGAGUCAAAUGAACUAGGCAUGCAUUUCUUUACGAUAGUACAUCAGGCACUGCUGACAUAUUAGCCAACUCAGGUAUAGCCUAACAAGUAACAAUGAAGCAUUUGAAUCAAGCAAUACAGCAAAGCAGACACCUGAACUAUUUGUAAUUUUGUAGGAUUACAGGUUGAGGGCACAAGCCAAGAAAGCAGCCCACAAGCAUUACAUUUCACAUGUACUAAAACACACUAGCUUACCAUAUGUUGAUGUGAAGCCUCGUUGCUGUUGCAAUGUUCUUUGAAGAUAUCGUCAGCAUCCCAUGGGUGCAAAUAUAGUUGUUGUAGUUUAUUUUGCACCCUCUAUUUAGGUAAAAUUAAUUUUAAUCGCAUGCACUGGUUCGAAUUGAUCAUAAAUGGUUCAUCUAAACUAAUGAAAGAAGGGUGUGUGGUUACACAACAAUAUAUGUGCUUCACUCUAUUUUUAUGUUUGUUCGAGGUGCCAGCCCCAAAAGAACAAAUACUUUGCUUGAUGGGGUUGGCAGCUCUAUAAUUAAUAGAAGCAUCAACUUAGUCAUGCAACUUGAGAAAAUCAAAAACACACAAAAAAGUAGGGUAUUUUUGGUUGGAGACUAGCGUGGCCAAGCCAAAUGUGGCCAGCCACACAAGUAUGGCAAGCCACACAAGUGUGGCCAAGAAAUUGGAUGCCAAACUUUGGCAGAAGUUGGCAAAAAUUAUCUCUAUGACAAGUGGGCCAUAGGGGCAAUAAAGUGUGGAAAAAACAAACACAUGCCAACUAAACUAUGGCUGCUAAACUUUGGCUUGGCAAACUGUGGCUGGGAACCAAACAGCCCCGUAAUGAACAGAGGCUCGGCGCAGUGAUGUAAUAGCUAGCAUCAGAAAAUGGAGGGUAAAACAAACAAAAAGCAGCGGAACCACAUGCUAGUUUGCUGAUGUGUAAUUAAGUAUAGAGAACAUGAAGCAGUCUGAUGGAACCAAUAGGUGGCAUCAAAACAACACCAUUAUCAUAAAUAUAGCAUGCAAGAAGUAAAAUAGUAGGCAGUGAUAUCUAGCAAGUACAGUAAUACUUAGGACAAAACUAAAGCAUUGUAACUCUAUGUGCACUGGUUUGUAAUUUAGCACAUGUAACAUGAUCACUGCCAGAAGGAUGGCCCUACAGGUGUAGGCCUAAUAACGCGUCUCAUGAAAAAAUGAAUGAGGCCCUGAAGAAAUUCAAAGGUGCAGUGCUUAUGCUAAGAAAGUGAACGUAGGCGCUGGCCGUUGGAUAAUAGUACCUGAUUCUCUGCGGCGCAUGGGUAUCGUGUCAUACUUGAUAGCUAAGGAUCAUCGAUGGUGCUCGUGUUGCAGUUGAGUUUGGGCCGGCUCUCGCCGUUGCUGAAGCGGCUCCGGUGCUUCGGUUGCGGCGCCUAUCGACAUACAAAGAAAGCUCAUCUGUGGUAAGUGAACAGCUCCACCAUAAAGAAGAGAAAAACCAAAGGAGUACAAAUCAAAAUAACCUGAUGAGGCUGCGGCGUCAGUAAAGCCGGGCCGAUGGAGUUAAACAUGGCGUCCGUGGAGCGGGUCCUGUGCAGUGGACGUAGGCAUCGGUGAAGCACAUCCGGCGUGGUGUACAGUGCUUUCGGUGAGGCAGAUCUGUUGCAACAGACAAGGGUUUGUAUGAAAGGGCCAGCGAUGGGGUAGUCGAGGGAGUCAGUGAAGGGCCUACACUAUGGUGGACGAGGGCGCCAGUGAAGCAGAUCCGGUGUGGUGGACCAUGAUGCCGGUCAAGGAGAUCUGGAGCGGUGGACAUGCUAGUCCUUGAAGCGGCUUCGGUGAAGUGGUGAGUUUGCAGUUGGGGGUUCCAAGGUGCGGAAGGCAGAUUCGGCGGGGUGUGAGGUCCACCGCUGCGGCGGAGGACUAGAUUCGGCGGCUUCGCAUGGUGGGGGGGAGUUAUGGGUAACAUAGUAUUUCAAAAAAAUUCCUACGAUCACGUAAGAUCUAUCUAGGAGAAUCAUAGCAAUGAGCGGGGAGAGUGUGUCCAUGUACCCUCGUAGACCGAAAGUGGAAGCAUUUAGUAACGCAGUUGAUGUAGUCGAACGUCUUCGCGAUCCAACCGAUCCAAGUACCGAACGCACGACACCUCUGUUAUCUGCACACGUUCAGCUUGGUGACGUCCCUCGAACUCUUGAUCUAGUUGAGGCCGAGGGAGAGUUUCGUUAGCACGACGGCGUGGUGACGGUGAUGAUGAAGUUACCGACGCAGGGCUUCGCCUAAGCACUACGACAAUAUGACCGAGGUGGAAAACAGUGGAGGGGGGCACCACACACGGCUAAGACAAAUCUUGGAGUGCCUAUGGGGUGCCCCCUUGCCCACGUAUAUAAAGGAGGGGGGGGAGAGGAGGCCGGCCUAGGAGGGGUGCGCCUAUAGGGGGAGUCCAACUAGGAUUCCCAAUCUGUAAGUGCAUCUAGUGCCCCUUAGUGAUUUUGGUGUAUUGAAGACUUAUAGGUUAAGGGACUGGUGCGUUUGUGAGUGUCCACAGGUCUAUAAGACUAUGAGGAGUUUGAUAUUUACACAGUAAGUCGACCCCUAAAAAUGAAGUUCUUCGACUGAAGACUUUCUGAAGACUUUGAAAGUGAAGAAAUUGGUGUGAUCCUAAAGACGUGGUAUUCAUUCAAGGAACAUGAAGCAUGAAGACUUUUUUUCAUAGCUUCAUUUUCUCUUUUUUGAGUCAUAGGAAACACCGUACUGUUAAAGGGGGUCGAGGAAAUACUAAGGAAAAAUUUCCAAGUGAUGCUCAACUCAAAAUCCUACACCUACCAAUCCCUUCGAGUGAAGCCAUUGGAAAUCUCAUACAGUUCAGUCAAUUUCUUCAGUGACACAGACAAAGCUCUUCUAGUCUCUGAGGAAAAUUUGUUCUGACCGAGGAGUUAGGAAAUCACUAGUGCGGAUUGCCUACAAGAGAGGAACAUGAUAGCACUGAGGAAUUUGUUAGUCAAAUUCCCGACCGUUUCUGUGCUACGCGCCAGGUGUCCCAAAAUAUCCUUCCACCUAGUCAUAUCAUUGAAGGGCAUUUAUGUCUUAUCAUGUCGGGCUGCUCCCUAGGCUAUAAAUAGCCACCCCCUACAACCACUAGCGGGUAGGCUGCUCUGAGAGAAACUGACACUUGUCAAUUGAGAGCAUCCCAUCCUCUAAGGACUUUGAGUGAAAAUCAUCAAGUGAGGAAAACCCAAACCAAAACACCUACAAACCCAAAGUGAUUGAGCAUCACUGAAGAGAUUGAUCCUGCGUGGAUCUGAGGUUUGUUACCUUUGAAGACUGUGCAUCUUCCAGACGUUUAGGCGUCAUGGUCUAGGUCAUCCAAGAGGAAAUUGUAGAUCGCCGAGUGACCGAGUCUGUGAGCGUUUGGAAGUCACCUGAAGACUUACCACGAGUGAUUGGGCGAGGUCUGUGUGACCUUAGCUCAAGGGGAAUACGGUGAGGACUGAGUGUCCUGAGCUACGUGUUCAGGACUGGGUGUCCAGUACUAUGUGUCCUCAGGUUUAAAUACCUAGCCGCCUUACCGAGACGUACAACUGUCACAGCAGUUGGAACUGGUCUACCAAAUCAUUGCUUCACCAAGCUUCUUGGUUCCAAUUCCUCAACCCUUCUAUUUCCUCAUCUCUCUGUUGUGUGCUUGUUCAUAUGUGUUUGAAGACUUUUGUGACGCCCGGAUAAUUAGACUACAGUAACCCUCUACUAAUGAUGCCACGUCAACGCGGUGACUGUUAUCAAUCUCGCGAUGAUUAAAAUCCCGAUUGAAUUCACAUUUAAAAUAAAGUAAAACAAUAAAAGUUUUCAAACUGUAAUCUAAAAUGUUCACAAUAUGCUACAGAUUGCCCUGAUCAUUUCCAUGUUGAAACCAACUUCACUUGACCCACAAGUAAAUUCCUAGAAAUUAAUAAGUGGUCCAAUAAUGAAUAAAAUGGCCUUUUCGAAAUUAACGAUUAUUUAUUUAACUCCAAUUGCCCCCAAAAUUUUUCUGCUAGCUCAAAAUAAUCCGUAUUAUUUAUGUGCCAAAUUUCAUGUUCACCAAAAAUCGUUUGGUACAAAAGGAAAAUAGAAAACGGUGUCAAAAAUAUAAAACAGAAAAGGAUAAAAAGAAUAUAGGCCUAGAGAUCUACUGUGCACAUGGGCCCUAGUGGCCUCAGUGCACACACGGCCUAGCCCACCUUGUUCCAUCCCCUCCUCUCGCUACAGAGGACGGGGGAAGGCGUGGCGGCCAUCCGCCGGCCAUGGCUGCGCCAGGCCAUGCGUGGCGCCAUCCCCAACCUCCUCAACACCUUCAAGGCAUCCGCGCGCCCCCCAAACCCUAGCAAACCCUAGCCCUCUCCCUUCUCGUCCCUCAUGCCGUUCUCUCCUCCACAACAUACAACCGAACGGCGCCCUCCAUGGCCGUCGUCGUCGUCAUGGCCACCGGCCUCCCUGUCGCCUGAGAAGAUGUCCAGGAGGACCACCACCCUCGACUCCGUCUAUCCCGAGCAUCGAAUCGACUUGGUCAUCUCCGCGUACAUCAUCUCCAUCCGCCGUCGAUUGCCGCUACUCCAGUCCAUCCCCGACGCACCCCCGAGCACACUGACUUGCCCUACAGCCCCGUUGUGAGCUCCCUUCGAUUUCCCCUUAGUUUUCCCGUCGAUUUCGUGCCGUACUACUGAAGCCUACAAGCACUGAGCUCCGUUGUCCGCCAUGGCUGGACCUCACCGUGGCCACACCCGCGCUCUUGUGUGCACCUACCGGAACCCAUCAUGCGCACCCUGGCCGCGACAGGCCGUGCACCGGCCGUCCCCUGGCCGCACCCCAUCGUUCCCAUCGUCCUGCGUUGCGCCCGCAACUGCUACUUUUCACCGUUGCCUGCUGCGCUGAACUGCUUGUGCCGUUGCUCUCUGUUGUUGUUUUUUACUGAUGUAUUUGCAAAUUGCUGUUACUGCUGCUUCGUGCUUAGGCCGCUGCUAUGCUGCUCUGUUGCUGGUACUACUUCUGCCCACUACCACCGGCUGCUGCUGCUACUGGCCAUGGCCACGGCCAUGGCCAAGUGUGUUGUGUGGUGUGUGUGCAGCGUAUGUGUGUUCUGAGUGUGGCCGACCCAUUGCUAGCUUAGGGGCUAAUCCCUAGUUAAACAAGCCCCUUUGUUAGACUAAUUUAUAUUAGACUUAGCUUUAGUUGUACCCUAUGACAUGUGGAACAACCCCUGUAAAACAGAAAAAAGGAAUGAAAAAGUAAAUAAAAAGUAAUAAAUUAAUUAGUAAUAUGAUUAAUUAACUUAAUUAACAUGCUUAAUAACCUGAUUAACUAGAUUAGUUAGUCUUAUACUGUUUAACUACCCUGUGUCUAUGACAGUGGGAUCCACACGUCAGUUUGACCAGUCAAUGCCCUGUUGACUGCUGACAUCACUCUGACCUCAUGCUGACGUCAUUAUUCCUUUUCUGUCGAAUUUAAUAAUUAGAAAUAAUUUCAGAAUAUUGUUUAGACUUCAGAAAUUCAUAGAAAAUAAACCAUAGCUCGGAUGGAAAAACUUUGUACGUGAAAGUUGUUCAGAAUGACGAGACAAAUCCGGAUACACAGUCCGUUAAUCCGCCACGCAUCCCUAGCAUAUCGAACACGCAACUUUCCCCCUCCGGUUCAUCUUCCCGAAAACACGAAACACCAGGGAUACUUUCCCGGAUGUUUCCCCCCUUCGCUGGUAUCACAUAUCCCUGCGUUACGCCACCCCUAACACAACGUAUUGCCGCGUCUUGCUUUGUGUUAUAUUUGAUUGCUCUGUUAUUUAUUGUGUUCCCCCUCUAAUACUUCUUUCCAGUAGGCUCCAAGACCGUUGCCGAUACCCCUGUGAUCGGCUACAUCGAGGACAACCCCUUCUUCUUGCCAGAGCUUCCAGGCAAGCCCCCCCCUCUAUACUGCUCGCAUUAGAGUAGUGUAGCAUGUUACUGCUUUCCGUUAAUCCUAUCCUGAUGCAUAGCCUGUCCUUGCUACUACUGUUGUUACCUUUACCUGCAAUCCUAAUGCUUAGUAUAGGAUGCUAGAUUAUCAUCGGUGGCCCUACACUCUUGUCCGUCUGCCAUGCUAUACUACUGGGCCGUGAUCACUUCGGGAGGUGAUCACGGGCAUAUACUAUAUACUUUGCACUGUUACAUUACAUGUGGUACUGUUCGGGGUUGCGGGCUGAAGGGGCAGGUGGCUCCAUCCCGGUAGAGGUGGGCCUGGGUUCCCGACGGCCCUCGACUGUUACUUUGUGGUGGAGCGACAGGGCAGGUUGAGAAUACCUAGGAGAGAGGUGGGCCUGGCCCUGGUCGGCGUUCGCGGAUACUUAACACGUUUAACGAGAUCUUGGUAUUUGAUCUGAGUCUGGCCACUGGCCUAUACGCACUAACCAUCUACGCGGGGACAAUUAUGGGCACUCGAUGUCGUGGUAUCAGCCGAAGCCUUCAUGACAUCAGCGACUGAGCGGCGCGCGCCGGAUUGGACUGGAACGCCUGCUAGGCUAGGUUUGCUUCCGGACGCCCUCGCAACAUGCAGGUGUCCAAUGGGCGAUGGGCCCAGACCCCUGCGCCAUAGGAUUUAGACCGGCGUGCUGACCUCUCUGUUGUGCCUAGGUAGGGUUGCGACGUGUUGAUCUUCCGAGGCCGGGCAUGACCCAGGAAAGUGUGUCCGUCCAAAUGGGAUCGAGCGUGUAGGGUUAUGUGGUGCACCCCUGCAGGGAAGUUAAUCUAUUUGAACAGCCGUGAUCCUUGGUAACAGGACGACUUGGAGUUGUACCUUGACCUUUUGACAACUAGAACUGGAUACUUAAUAAAACACACUCUUCCAAGUGCCAGAUACAACCCGGUGGUCGCUCUCUAACAGGGCGACAAGGAGAGGAUCGCCGGGUAGGAUUAUGCUAUGCGAUGUUACUUGGUGAACUUGCCAUCUACUCUCUUCUUCUGCUGCAAGAUGGAGGUUACCAGAAGCGUAGUCUUCGAUAGGACUAGCUAUCCCCCUCUUAUUCCAGCAUUCUGCAGUUCAGUCCACAUAUGAUACCCUUAUUCCAUUUGAUACCAAUGCAUACAUAUGUAGUGUAGCUCCUUGCUUGCGAGUACUUUGGAUGAGUACUCACAGUUGCUUUGCUCCCUCUUUCCCCCCUUUCUAUACUCGAUUGCUGCGACCGGACGUUGGAGCCCAGGAGCCAGACGCCACCGUCGACGACGACUACUACUACUCGGGAGGUGCCUAGUACUAUGUGCAGCCCGCUGACGACAACCAGGAGUAGUUUAGGAGGAUCCCAGGCAGGAGGCCUGCGCCUCUUUCGAUCUGUAUCCCAGUUUGUGCUAGCCUUCUUAAGGAAAUCUUGUUUAACUUAUGUCUAUACUCAAAUAUUGUUGCUUCCGCUAACUCGUCUAUGAUCGAGCUCUUGUAUUCGAGCCCUCGAGGCCCCUGGCUUGUAAUAUGAUGCUUGUAUGACUUAUGUUAUUUGUAGAGUUGUGUUGUGAUAUCUUCCCGUGAGUCCCUGAUCUUGAUCGUACACGUUUGUGUGUAUGAUUAGUGUACGGUCAAAUCGGGGGCGUCACAAGUUGGUAUCAGAGUCGACUGCCUGUAGGAAUCCCCCUUUCCAACUCCUUGGCCGAAGUCGAGUCUAGUCAUUGAAAAAGUUUUUACUAACAUGGCUGUGCGUCUUACGGGCCCACGUCGCCAUUGGAUGGUAUUAGGAUAUUUUAUUCCUCGUCUAUACUCUGGGACUCUGAUCUCCCUUCUAUUCGGGUUAAAUGAUUUUGCUAAAAUCUAACUCUAGGUUCUCGUUACCACUUCCUGCUGGAGAGCCCUUUCAUUACAGAUGAUCGACUGCUUUAAUAGAAGAUUCUGACAAUACUCUCCGAUAUUUUCUCGAGACCUUGUGCCUGUUGCUUUUGCAAUUCCCUACCACCGAAAAAUCCCUAUGGAUAAAUACUUACACCUGUCGUUCUUACUUUUAUUCCCAGUUGGUCUUGUUAUUACAAGAUACCCCAAAAUACUCGUCGUUGUUUCGAUAAUCCUUUGAGCUUACUGCCUUGCUGUUCUUUGUCACCUGAAUACCCCUACGGAUAAUUCUCGAACUUAUCGAGUAUCCGCUCAUCCCCCAGUUGUUCACGUGUUUCACAAUGGUCAUCGAAAUACUAUUCGAUCCUCCAAAAAUCCUUAGUAGCUUAUUGCUCUGCAAUACUUGUCUGCUUGCAUGAUGGAUGCUUUCCAUAUGUCUGGCAAUAUUCGUUAGUAUCCUUAGGCACCAUCAUUUUGAUCCCUUUGAUUCAACAUGAGUGCGAAUGCACGGAAUCAUCAGUUGAUCCUUUUAAAUUAUCUUUCUGGCUCAGACGUCAUUUUAAACAUUAGCUGGUUCUCAACAAAUCCAAUUGCCGUCGAUUGUACCCCUAAGGCUAUUCAACUUAUCCAUCCCUAAUCAGAACAUUGCUUCUGAUCCCUUGAUUUGAAAAUCAUAAUUCCUUUGCAUUUGAGCUCUGGAUUAGUCAGUUGUUUCCAUAAUCCAAUGCCUUUGCAUUGUUACUUCCUCUGGUUGUGUGCCGAUGCUCACAUCAGCUCUAUUAUGGACCGGCAGAUCCUUUAAUGGAUUUUAUCCGACAGCAUCCUUCAUAUUCAAUAACCUUGUGAGCCUUCCCUUGGAUACAUAAUGCCUUUGGUAAAUUGUAUCAUCUACUUUCUCAACCUUGCUCUACUUUCGAGCUUGUGAUAUUUACUCUUGAAACUUGUGGUAUAUGUUUCUAAGAAGCCCCUAUGGGUUGAACAUAUGCCUUCUCUAAACCGUGUGAACUCGAAAGUUUUCACGAGUCAUACACUUCUGGUAUUUUGCCAGAUAAAAUUUCAACACUACAACUUCUUCGAGAGUGAGAAGUGAAUGAAAGGUUAUGCGUUGAAGAAGUGGGAGUCGACCUUGAACUUGUGUUCAUGCCCAUGGACAUGAUGUAUAUCCUAUCAUGGAAGCUUCUUGAAAUAAUAACUAUCCCCUUGAUAUAAUAUCAUUUGGUAUCUGUGAAUUGAUCCUUGCAAUCGUGGUUCCGACCAUAUGUUCUUCUUUGAUCCCAUUUCUCGGGCAAGUUUAAGCACUUGUCUUGUGUGGACCAAUACACCAGUACAACCUUUACUUUGAUCUACCGUCGAGUAUUACACCCUGGUAUCUCGGGAAUAUCAUGGGACAUCAUAACUUCUUAUGGGUUCUUCAUCAACUAUUAUCACUCACCGGAUCCAAUUGUUCCUAGGUUCUGGGUUUUCGUCAACCGAGAACACCGAAUAGUGAAUCGAGUCCGCACUCUGAUUCAAUAACCCUAAAUAAUUUUUGUUGCUUAUGAGUUUAAUAAUCCUUCAAGUCAUUCCUUGCUUCAUCGGCUAUAUCCUUAUCGUGCUGGUCUUAACUCUGCUACUUGGUCCUUCUUCCCGGAGCACAAUUUUCGAUGAUGAGCUAAGCUUACGUCGAGUUUCCUCAUCAUAUCAUUUCUCCUUAAACCACAAGCUUGAUUUCGAGUUUGUGCCGUACCCAUGGUUCCAAUAACCUUUCGCUUCAUCAUUCUCUUGACUUGAUGUCAUCGCCGAUGGAUUACAUCUUCAUGAAAUCUCUCAACAAUUGUGUCGUGAUCAUCAUCAGCAUUCUGAGCUCUUCUAGGAUAUCAAUCGAAGUCAUGAUGAGAAAUACCAUCCUUGCCCCUCGAUGAAUUGUGUUAUCAUCGACAACUUUAUUGCCUUCCCUUCAACACAAACUUGUUCGUGUUCUGUGUUAUACCUUGAGUUCCUUGAUAUCCAACAUUUGUUCUUCUUUACCUUGGAGUAUUACCAUAUUUUAUAUCCAGGAUGUCGUGCUUAGCACACCCGGCCGGAGGCCCUAUGGUUAUAGAUUCCUUUUCAGCAAGGUUAUCCAUUCUUCCAUGAGGAAAUUGUAAGACUUAUUCUACAAGUUAUUCCUGAUGGAUCCUUUGUGUUUCUAAAGUCUGACCUUUGCAUGAAGACCAUGUCAAUGCUAUCUCGAAACAUAUAUAUGUACUCCAAUUUUCAACAAGAACAUUUAAAGCCUAAUGUUAAAUGUUUCCUGCUCAAUUAUUCAAACACCGUUGUAUGGGUAAUGUCCUGAAAUUUCUCUCCCCAUACCAAAAGAGUUUUCUACAUUAUAUCCUGUCAUGGAUAUCGUGCUCUCCUUGUCCUUGGGAAGGAUAUACCCUUGAAAUAUGUGUUUAAACACAUUUUCCUUUCCAUUGUUCUGAUUAAUCUGAUAAUCAUAUUUUUCUCUCCAUUGUUUGGUUUGACCUUUCUUGUGAUCUAUAUUAUGUAAGCAGUAAUAUUUCGCUGCUUAUGUUAACACCUCGUUGUACCACUCUGUCAGUAAGACCCUGUUACUUUGGUUGAUGACAUUCUGGUAACCACCGAUGGACGAGAACUUUGCCUAUUGGUCCGCCUCGUUCAACGAGCAGGAAAAUGGUUCUCUUCGUCCCUAGCCAUUGGUACCGAUGUUGUUGUCGACAUAACCGACAGACUAACCUCUGACAUGCCUUGCUUACAUGACCGUGCAAGAUGUCAACGGCCUUUCUACUUUUAACCCACAUGGUGGGCCCAUAACCCACAAUUCCCCGGGAUCGAAACCUGACCCUCAUGUACACCCCCUGUUCCCAAAGUUAAUCCUCGUGCGUGGCCUCAAACGUAAUUCAUGAGACACCUUCCGAUGAGAUCAUCAACUCUGGUAUCAGACACAAUACUUAUUCCCGUUUCUACGAACCCCCUUUCACGCCCUGUUUCAGGCACUGAACGAUCGCCCGCCCGCUAGAAACUUCUCAUGAUACCUUCUUAAUUUGCUCUUGAUAUUUUCUAAGGUUUCAAUUCGAGAGUUACUCUCCGCCACAUUCCCCGAUGUUAUCUACUAGAUAGUCAACUUUGCAAGGGUCCGUUCUCCCAGAGUUCCCUUCUUAUCUUAUCGUAAGUACAGUGAAGAUCCUAAAGGAAGGACGACAACUUGAUCAUGAUGCAUUGAUGCAUAGGAAUGGAGACAUCAACGGUAUGGAUCGACCUCUUCGAGAAGAGCAACCAAGACCGAGAAAAUUCGUUAGAAUUUCGUAACCAGAACUUUCCCCCUUACUCCCCUCUUAAAUCUCGGGACGAGAUUUCUUGUAGUGGAGGAGAAUUGUGACGCCCGGAUAAUUAGACUACAGUAACCCUCUACUAAUGAUGCCACGUCAACGCGAUGACUGUUAUCAAUCUCACGAUGAUUAAAAUCUCGAUCGAAUUCACAUUUAAAAUAAAGUUAACGAUAAAAGUUUUCAAACCGUAAAUCUAAAAUGUUCACAAUACGCUAUAGAUUGCCCUGAUCAUUGCCAUGUUGAAACCAACUUCACUUGACCCACAAGUAAAUUCCUAGAAAUUAAUAAGUGGUCCAACAAUGAAUAAAAUGGCCUUUUCAAAAUUAACGAUUAUUUAUUUAACUCCAAUUGACCCAAAACUUUUUCUGCUAGCUCAAAAUAAUCCGUAUUAUUUAUGUGCCAAAUUUCAUGUUCACCAAAAAUCGUUUGGUACAAAAGGAAAAUAGAAAACGGUGUCAAAAAUAUAAAACAGAAAAGGAUAAAAAGAAUAUGGGCCUAGAGAUCUACUGUGCACAUGGGCCCUAGUGGCCUCGGUGCACACACGGCCUAGCCCACCUCAUUCCAUGCCCUCCUCUUGCUACAGAGGACGGGGGAGGGCGUGGCGGCCAUCCGCCGGCCAUGGCUGCGGCUGGCCGUGCGUGGCGCCAUCCCCGACCUCCUCGACGCCUUCAAGGCAUCCCCGCGCCCCCCAAACCCUAGCAAACCCUAGCCCUCUCCCUUCUCCUCCCUCGCGCCGUUCUCUCCUCCACAACAUACAACCGAACGGCGCCCUCCAUGGCCGCCGUCAUCGUCAUGGCCACCGGCCUCCCUGUCGCCUGAGAAGAUGUCAAGGAGGACCACCACCCUCGAAUCCGUCUAUCCCGAGCAUCGAAUCGAGCCGGGACGUCUCAUACGCUAGCCAUCAACUUGGUCAUCUCCGUGUACGUCGUCUCCGUCCGCCGUCGAUUGUCGCUACUCCAGUCCAUCCCCGACGCAGCCCCGAGCACACUGACAUGCCCUACAGCCCCGUUGUGAGCUCCCUUCGAUUUCCCCUUUGUUUUCCCGUUGAUUUUGUGCCGUACUACUGAAGCCUACAAGCACCGAGCUUCGUCGUCCUCCAUGGCCGGACCUCACCGUGGCCGCACCUGUGCUCUUGCGUGCACCUACCCGAACCCAUCACGCGCACCCUGGCCGCGACAGGCCGUGCACCGGCCGUCCCCUGGCCGCACCCCGCCGCUCCCAUCGUCGUGCGUUGCGCCCGCAACUGCUACUUUCCGCCACUGCCUGCUGCGCUGAACUGCUUGUGCCGCUGCUCUCUGCUGCUGUUUAUUACUGCUAUAUCUGCUAAUUUCUCUUACUUCUGCUUCGUGCUUAGGCCGCUGCUAUGCUGCUCUGUUGCUGGUACUACUGCUGCCGACUACCACCGGCUGCUGCUGCUACUGGCCAUGGCCACGGCCAUGGCCAAGUGUGUUGUGUGGUGUGUGUGCAGCGUAUGUGUGUUCUGAGUGUGGCCGGCCCUUUGCUAGCUUAGGGGCUAAUCCCUAGUUAAACAAGCCACUUUGUUAGACUAAUUUAUAUUAGACUUACCUUUAGUUGUACCCUAUGACAUGUGGGACAGCCCGAGUAAAACAGAAAAAAGGAAUGAAAAAGUAAAUAAAAAGUAAUUAAUUAAUUAGUAAUAUGAUUAAUUAACUUAAUUAACAUGCUUAAUAACCUGAUUAACUAGAUUAGUUAGUCUUACACUGUUUAACUACCCUGUGUCUAUGACAGUGGGAUCCACACGCCAGUUUGACCAGUCAACGCCCUGUUGACUGCUGACAUCACUCUGACCUCAUGCUGACAUCAUUAUUCCUUUUCUGUCGAAUUUAAUAAUUAGAAAUAAUUUCAGAAUAUUAUUUAGACUUCAGAAAUUCAUAGAAAAUAAACCGUAGCUCGGAUGGAAAAACUUUGUACAUGAAAGUUGUUCAGAAUAACGAGACGAAUCCGGAUACGCAGUCCGUUCGUCCGCCACACAUCCCUAGCAUAUCGAAUACGCAACUUUCCCCCUCCGGUUCAUCUGCCCAAAAACACAAAACACCGGGGAUACUUUCCCGGAUGUUUCCCCCAUUCGCUGGUAUCACAUAUCCCUGCGUUACGCCACCCCUAGCACAACGUAUUGCCGCUUCUUGCUUUGUGUUACAUUUGAUUGCUCUGUUAUUUAUUGUGUUCCCCCUCCGUUACUUCUUUCCGGUAGGCUACAUCGAGGACAACCCCUUCUUCUUGCCAGAGCUUCCAGGCAAGCCCCCCCUUGAUCACCAGAUAUCGCCUACUCUUCUCUAUACUGCUUGCAUUAGAGUAGUGUAGCAUGUUACUGCUUUCCGUUAAUCCUAUCCUGAUGCAUAGCCUGUCCUUGCUACUACUGUUGUUACCUUUACGUGCAAUCCUAAUGCUUAGUAUAGGAUGCUAGAUUAUCAUCAGUGGCCCUACACUCUUGUCCGUCUGCCAUGCUAUACUACUGGGCCGUGAUCACUUCGGGAGGUGAUCACGGGCAUAUAUUAUAUACUUUGCACUGUUACAUUACAUGUGGUACUGUUCGGGGUUGGGGGCUGAAGGGGCAGGUGGCUCCAUCCUGGUAGAGGUGGGCUUGGGUUCCCGACGGCCCUCGACUAUUACUUUGUGGCGGAGCGACAGGGCAGGUUGAGACCACCUAGGAGAGAGGUGGGCCUGGCCCUGGUCGGCGCUCGUGGAUACUUAACACGUUUAACGAGAUCUUGGUAUUUGAUCUGAGUCUGGCCACUGGCCUAUAAGCACUAACCAUCUACGCGGGGAUAGUUAUGGGCACUCGAUGUCGUGGUAUCAGCCGAAGCCUUCAUGACGUCAGCGACUGAGCGGCGCGCGCCGGAUUGGACUGGAACACCUGCUAGGCUAGGUCUGCUUCCGGCCGCCCUCACAACAUGCAGGUGUGCAAUGGGCGAUGGGCCCAGACCCCUGCGCCAUAGGAUUUAGACCGGCGUGCUAACCUCUCUGUUGUGCCUAGGUAGGGCUGCGACGUGUUGAUCUUCCGAGGCCAGGCAUGAUCCAGGAAAGUGUGUCCGGCCAAAUGGGAUCGAGUUUGUUGGGUUAUGUGGUGCACCCCUGCAGGGAAGUUAAUCUAUUCGAAUAGCCGUGAUCCUCGGUAACAGGACGACUUGGAGUUGUACCUUGACCUUAUGACAACUAGAACUGGAUACUUAAUAAAACACACCCUUCCAAGUGCCAGAUACAACCUGGUGAUCACUCUCUAACAGGGCGACAAGGAGAGGAUCGUCGAGUAGGAUUGUGCUAUGCGAUGUUACUUGGUGAACUUGCCAUCUACUCUCUUCUUCUGCUGCAAGAUGGAGGUUACCAGAAGCGUAGUCUUCGAUAGGACUAGCUAUCCCCCUCUUAUUCCGGCAUUCUGCAGUUCAGUCCACAUAUGAUACCCUUAUUCCAUUUGAUACCAAUGCAUACAUAUGUAGUGUAGGUCCUUGCUUGCGAGUACUUUGGAUGAGUACUCAUGGUUGCUUUGCUCCCUCUUUUCCCCCUUUCUAUACUCGAUUGCUGCGGCCAGACGUCGGAGCCCAGGAGCCAGACGCCACCAUCGACGACGACUACUACUACUACUCGGGAGGUGCCUACUACUACGUGCAGCCCGCUGACGACGACCAGGAGUAGUUUAGGAGGAUCCCAGGCAGGAGGCCUGUGCCUCUUUCGAUCUGUAUCCCAGUUUGUGCUAGCCUUCUUAAGGCAAACUUGUUUAACUUAUGUCUGUACUCAGAUAUUAACCGCCUGGAGUUUUAGUUAUGUCAACCACAGGAAUGAAGACUGUUACAUGCCCCAUCUUUGACGAUCAUGAUUAUCCCAAGUGGAAGGCCAUGAUAAAGAAGCGCCUCAUGGUGAUGAACAGCGAACUCUGGACCGUCACCGAAAUUGGUCUCACUGAACUAUGCAAGAUGGCGGAGGCUGAUGAUAUUCACAAGUACAUGUUACUCAACCUCAUGGCGAAGGACAUCAUCUGCUCCAACUUGUCACAAAACUAGUUCAGGAACGUUAUCAUCUCAGCCAUGUGAAACUAAUCCGGGACCGACUCUCUGAGGUCUAUGAAAGUCAUCGAUCUCACCAUGAACCCUGGUUCGAGGACGUCAUGGAAUCGUGCAAGGCUAUGACUAUCAAUCCAGAAUCAUCAUCCUCUGCAUCAUGCCUUAUGGCAAAAGGUGCCAAGGUAACUGAAUGCUACUUAUGUGAGUCCAUUUAUGAUGAAUCUGGUGAUGAAUUUGGACGCAGUUAUGUCAAACUUGCUUCCCUUGCCACUAAACAACAAAGAGCUUUGGAAAAAAUUCAAACAUGCUAAAUGAGAGCGACGAUAUGUUGGGUGAAGAAAUGGAUCAUUCCAAAGCAUUGGCUGAAAGUCUUCACGGACUCUAGUCCAAGUGUAAUAAUCUUCAGAGUCAUCAUAACACUCUCCUAUCUGAUCAUGAGAAGCUUUCUUAUGAAUUUCUUCAAAGAAAGCAAGAUCUUGAGCAGUUAAGAGUGAGUUAUGAAGAUCUUCAGAAGGAGCGUGAUUCAUUACUUUCUCAACAGAUCAGCGCUACUCAGGAUGAAUUUGUUCCUCCAUGUUUGAAGUGCAUUGAACGUGAAACUGCUAAUUCUUCACCUGAAUGCUCAAAUACUUCCAUUGCUGCAAAUUCAUCAACUGCCUCUUCUAUCACUAAUUCCUCAUCUGAGGGCAUUGCUAGUAUCACUGAUGAUGCAGGGCUAAUGGAAUUUUAUAUGACAGGCAUGUACAAAAGCCUCAAAGGGCAUCAGGCACUUUGUGACGUGCUUAAAAAGCAGAUCCUCAACAGGAAGCCUAGGAAACAGGGUAUUGCCUUUGAGAGGAAACUCAAUGCUGAUGGGACCUACUUGAAAUCUGAGAAGUAUCCCAAAAAUUCAUGGGUUGCUGCAAAGGGACCUUCAGUGGAUCCAUCUACUUUAUCUGGCUUUACAUGUGAAUCUUCAUAUUCUUCUGAUGAGUCAUUUGACUCCAAUUAUAAACUGUUCAAAAAUCAGAAUGGUGAAGUAUUUGCUAGAUAUGUUGGCACUAACUGCAGGAACGGUUCUCCUAUGAAGAAAAUCUGGGUUCCCAAAAGGUGCCUUGAAAAAUCUUCAGGUGAAUGUCAUCAUGACACCACGUGUGAAGAAUAGGAACCCCAGAUCAAAUUCUUCAUAUGGACCAAAUUCUUCAUAUGGAUCCAAGUCCUCAUAAGGACCAAACUCCUCAUGUGGAUCAAAUUCCUCAAAAGGAUCAAUGUCCUCAUAUGAGCAUCAUCGUGCUAACCCGUCUAUUUCGCAGGGAAGAUCUAAGGAUUAUGGAUAUGUGCAUUAUUCUUCAAAUCAUUAUGUUCAUAAAUCCUCGAAGAAUUUCUCUUCUUACUCUUAUGCUUACCCUAACCCCUCUUAUGUGAAACAAAGUGGAUUGGCAUCUAUGCCACCUUUCUCUUAUGGAGCUCGCAGAAUGAUGAACUCUUUGCCACCCCUUCAGAUGUGGGUGGUGAACAAAAAGAACUAACCUCUUAUGCAGGGUCAGGUCUCUAGACGAACUUAAUCAUCUGAAAAAUUUGUUGGGGACCUGAAUUUGCUUGAAAGGACGCAAGCUAAUCAUGAAGAAAUGAAUUUUCAUUUCUCAGGUCCUCAUACUGCUUUAUCUGUUCUAUUGGUUGAUGAAAUUGAUCUGAUGAAAUUGAUACCAUAUUCUUCACGGAUGAAGUAUAUGAGUUCGUAAGUUGCACUAAUUCAUCUACAGGAUGAUCAACCAAAAGCCACUGAGUGGGUCCUCGAUAGUGGAUGUACAAAUCACAUGACUGGUGACAGGAGCUUAAUGAUGGACUCUGCUUUAUCUCCAUCACAUCUGAAGCAUAUCACCUACGCUGACAAAGGCAAAAGCAAGGUAUUGGGUCUAGGUAAGGUUGCAAUCUCAAAGGAUCGACACAUGGACAAAGUCAUGCUUGUCGAGUCCUUAGGGUUCAACCUCAUGUCUGUCUCAAUGCUUCGUGAUCUUGCUAUGGUUGUUGUAUUUGGCAAGUAACGUUGUGUUGUGAUCAUGGAAGCUGACAAUUCCAAAGUCUUCGAAGGCUUUAGGAGAGGAGAUUUGUAUAUUGUUGAUUUCUCUACAGGACCCCUGCUACAUGUCUACUUGGAAAAGCUUCAGAAAGCUUGCUAUGGAAUCGACGACUUGGUCAUGCUGGCAUGAGGAAUCUGCACGUCAAAUUGCAUCGAGGGUGUCAAAUUCCUCAAGGAGCAUUUGUGUGGAGCUUGUGAAGCUGGAAAGAUGACCAAGGCCAAGCAUCCAGGGAAGACUAUCAUGACUACUACUCAACCAUUUGAAUUGCUUCACAUGGAUCUCUUUGGCUUUACUCACUAUGCCACAUUUACUAAUGCUGCAUCUUUAUAUGGCUUUGUCAUUGUUGAUGAUUAUUCUCGAUAUACAUGGGUGCAUAUCAUCACUUACAAAACUAAAGUGCAGGAAGUCUUGAAACGAUUUUCUUCGAGGGCUUCAACCAACUUUGGUGUGAAGAUCAAGCACAUCAGAAGUGAUAAUGGAACUGUGUUCAAGAAUACUGGUCUUGAUGACUAUCUUGAUGAACUUGGUAAUACUCAUGAGUUAUCUGCUCCUUAUACUGCUGAGCAAAAUGGUGUCGUGGAGCGCAAGAACAAGACUCUUGUUGAGAUGGCCCACACUAUGCUUGAUGAGUACAAGACGCCUCCUCGCUUUUGGCCUAAGGCAAUUGAUACUGCAUACCAUAUCAUCAACAGGGUAUAUCUUCACACAUUCUUCAAGAAGACUUCAUAUGAACUCCUCACUGACAAGAAACCCAAUGUGAGUUAUUUCAAAGUCUUCGGUGCUAAAUGUUGGAUUAGAGAUCCUCAUCACAAUUCUAAAUUUUCACCAAAAGGACAUGAAGGUUUUAUGCUCGGGUAUGAUAAGGACUCGCACACCUAUAGAGUCUUCAACACCUAUCACCACAAGGUUGUUGAAACUGUAGAUGUGCGGUUGGAUGAGACUAAUGGCUUGCAAAGAGAGCACCUACCUCCUAUGACAGAUGAAAUACCUCCCGAGGAAUCUAUUAAGUUCAAGGCUACUGAGGAUGUCAUUCCUAUCGAAGAAUCUGCCGAAGAAGUCAUUCCAGAACAUGAAGAACGUCAUGCUGAUGCACCUAAGGAAAAUGGUGCUGAAGAAAAUACUAAUCAAAUUCCUCAACGACAACCCGCUCAUCCUCGCAUUGCAAAUGAAGUGCAAAUUGAGAAAAUCAUCAGCGACAUCAACAUUCCAGGUCCUCUCACAUGCUCAAGAGUUUCACAUUUAUCUAACUUUUGUGGGCACUUUGCUUUCGUCUCUAUCACAGAGCCCACUAAGGUAGAUGAAGCAUUUCUGGAGCCUGUGUGGAUUCAAGCUAUGCAAGAGUAAUUACAUCAAUUCGAGCUCAACAACGUCUGGGAAUUGGUCAAACAUCCAGAUCCUCGCAAACACAAUAUCAUCAGCACAAAGUGGAUCUACCGCAACAAGCAAGAUGAAAAUGGCCUUGUGGUGAGGAAUAAGGCACGGCUUGUAGCUCAAGGCUACACAUAGGUUGAAGGAAUUGAUUUCGAUGAAACUUUUGCACCUGUUUCUAGACUUGAAGCUAUUCGCAUAUUACUUGCUUAUGCUAACCAUCAUGAUAUCAUCUUAUAUCAAAUGGAUGUGAAAAGUGCAUUCCUCAAUGGUAAGCUUGAGGAAGAAGCAUAUGUUACUCAGCCCCCAGGUUUUGAAGAUCCAAAGCAUCCCGACAAAGUCUUCAGACUCAAUAAGGCCCUCUAUGGCAGGCCCCACGGGCGUGGUAUGAUACCUUGAAGGAAUUCCUCAUGAAGAAAGGCUUCAAACCCGGUUCACUUGACCCAACUCUUUUCACUAAAUCUUAUGAUGGUGAAUUGUUUGUGUGCCAAAUUUAUGUUGAUGAUAUCAUUUUUGGCUGUACUGACCAACGUUACAGUGAUGAAUUUGCCUAUAUGAUGAGUGAAUAAUAUAAAAUGUCUAUGAUGGGAGAAUUGAAAUUAUUCUUAGGUCUUCAGAUUCGUCAACACCGCAAUGGCAUAUUCAUAUCUCAGGAGAAAUACCUCAAGGAUGUACUGAGGAAAUUCGGCAUGCAAGAUUGCAAAAGAGUCAAAAUCCCUAUGCCCACAAAUGGCCAUCUAUGCACUGAUGAAAAUGGUACUGACUUCGAUCAAAAGGUAUACCGCUCCAUGAUUGGUUCUUUAUUAUACUUAUGUGCAUCUAGGCCAGAUAUUAUGCUUAGUGUUUGCAUGUGUGCCCGAUUUCAAGCUACACUGAAGGAAUCACACCAUAAGGCCGUGAAGCAUAUUCUUCGAUAUCUAGCUCACACACCAACACUUGGAUUAUGGUACCCCAAGGGCUCGGCUUUUGAUCUCAUUGGAUAUUCAGACUCUGACUAUGCUGGUGACCAUGUGGACCGCAAGUCAACAUCUGACACAUGCCAUUUCCUUGGACGAUCCUUAGUCUGUUGGUCCUCGAAGAAACAGUACUGCGUAUCACUUUCUACUGCUGAAGCUGAGUACAUUGCUGCUGGUUCUUGCUAUGCUCAACUGCUAUGGAUGAAGCAAACUCUCAAGGACUACGGCGUGAACAUGAAGAAUGUGCCACUCUAAUGUGACAAUGAGAGUGCCAUCAAGAUUGCUCAUAACCCAGUUCAGCACUCAAAGACAAAGCACAUUCAGAUUCGUCAUCAUUUUCUUCGUGAUCAUGUGUUGAAGGGCGACAUCUCUACUGAUCAUGUGAAGACUGAAGCACAGCUAGCUGAUAUCUUCACUAAGCCCUUGGAUGAGAAGAGAUUUAGCAAGUUGUGGUGUGAGCUAAUUAUCCUAGAAUCUUCGAAUGUUCUUUGAAAAGGACACUCAUCCUAACACUUAUGCAAAAUUGAUGACUUAGAUGUGCAACACAUGAAGAAACAUUGUUCUUCAAUCAAUGAACAAUAACACUCUAAGUGUGAAGAAAUUAACGAAGAACUUGAUUCUCAGAACCCUAUGACAAUUGUACGUAGUGUCUGAAAUCAUCAUUCUUAUACGGUGGGUCACGCCACCACCAAAAAUUGAAAAUCUUCAAUUUGACUUUUUCCUCAACUAUUCAAUUUCUUCAGCUUUGCAAUGUCUUCUCUAUUUCCGUCGUUUUUCUUCAUUUGCUAUGUAUAUAUGAGUUUAUGUCCUCUACAACAUUCACUUAUUGCUAUUUCUUCAAGUUGUUUGUUCUGCUAAGUGAUUGUGAUUGGACCCUUUCCCCCUCUAUGCUUAACUCAAUCUAGUCUAUUCACAAAUUCUUCAUGUGCAUUCUUCUUGAAACUCGUUCAAAAUCUUCACCGUGUCCUUAUCAGCUGAAGAAAUUGCGAACGUAACUUUAAACUUAUCUUAUCUGCAUUUUCGGCCUUUGCCGCUCAAAUUGUUACACCUUCCACGAUAAUAUUUAUCCUUUUCACCCACGAUCGCACAUGAUCGUCACCUCUCAGUACGUGGGUGACACAUGUCACGCAAAUGAGAAGGGUCAGGGGCACGUUCGUCCUAUUUCCUCGGGCGAGCAGUUUUUUCACUUUGGCUAUAAAUACCCCUCUCUCUUCCUCACUUCAUUUUUACUCCGCUUGACCUCACUCCCUCGCUAAAGCUCUCAAACCCUAGCGCCGCCGCUACUUCCAUCAUCGCCGGUGAGGAAGAGCUCCAUCGCCUCGACCUCGUCGCCACCGUACUCGCGCCGGACGCGGAUUUCUUCACUCCGCCGCCACCGUAGCUGUCUUCCUCAGCCAAGUUAGGGCGUGGAACAUCUGAACCAACGAGCUUCAAAUCUACACUUCCCAGUUCGUCGUGUUCUUCAUCCAGGGUAAUUAAAAGUUACUUUUACUAUCCUUGCUGAUUCAGAUGUUUUCUUCAAAUCCUCAAAAGGUGUUUAUUCUUCAAAUCCUCACACAUUGGACACCUCACAUAUCAUCUAUUCUUGAUCUGUUUCUCUAAGCAACAUUUUUCUUCAAGAUUCCUCAAUUGUGUGGAUUUUCAAAUCUAUACAACUCUGGAACCUAAGUCAAAGAACGCUUAGUGAAAUUCCUCAAGAUUCAUCUGGUCAACUUCCUUAAACUUCUUCUUACUGCAAAACCUUCUGAGAAUGCAUAUGACCUCUCCAAAUUCCUCGCAACUAUACUUUGAUCACAGGUACACAUGUCCGCUGCUGAAUCUCUAGGUUCUCAUCAACUUAACUCAUUUGCAACGUUCCUCAAAGAAAACUUGCAUAUCUCUUCAGAGAACUCAGUCGUUCAAAACCCUCAACUGAAGAAAAUGGCAGAUGGCAAGAAACCACAGAAGGGAGGAAAGCGGCCUGAGGUCAACAUUGCGUUUGAAAUCCCUGAGGAUAUCUACAAAGAUUAUUACACUCCUGAUGAGGCCAAACAUGGCAAGGAGGACAAAGAUCAGCGCAAGGUGCGCAUACAAAGGAUAGAGAGGAGAUGGGCACGGGAAUGGAGGGAGCACAGAUAUGUUACUCCCAAGUAUAUAAAAAAUUCGCUGUUAAUCCUCCAUGCCCAAGACCUCCAUUGGCACCUGGCCAAGAAGCUGGUCCCACCAGCCUCAAGCGUGGUGAGGAUUAUCCUGAUGAAUGGGCCAAGUGCCAGGCCAAGCUAGCCAAAGUAGCUAAGGAAGCAGUGAGGAAAUUUAAUGAAGACUCUACUGCUGCUGCUGCCACUGCUGAGGCCUCUACUAGCAAGCCAGAGAACUCCAUGCCUAAGAAGCCCGCACAUAAGCCCAGUGCUCCUUUUUCUUCAAUGCCCUCACGGCCAAGCUCCUCAUAAAUGCCCUCAAGGCCAACUUCUGCUAAGCCCUCAUGGCCAAUUCCUCAUGCCACACCAGCUCCUCCAAAGUUCUCAGCUCCUCCGUCAAAAUCCUCAGCACCUGCAUAUCUUGCCUCGUGCCAAAGGACAACAUGAAUCUUUAUUGCCUCAGGAGCUUCUGCUAGUUCUUUAGCGGCACCAAAUUCAUCAAUUGGCCCCUCUCUGCUGAAGACAAAGGCCACUGCUGGACGAGGUUCUCGACCAAGUCCUCACAAGAAGCAGGUCGCCUUUCAAGUACUGUCCAAAGAUGACGAAGCUGAUGAUGAAGAACUCACUGAAAUCAUCAGAGAUAGGCAACACAGGGCCACUAGAGCCAAAGGCAGCAAUGUGCCAUCGAUGCUGGAUUUGAAGUUGAUCCUAGACUUCAUUAACUUAUGGCACAAGGACUCCAACACCCAUCUGCCUGAGCUGAACCUCACUCCUGGUCAAAGUCAUGUGCUGACUCACUUCCUUGAUGAAGAAAAAUGGAAAUUUGAACAGGGAAGGAGGGUGAAGAAAGCGCAGUACAAGAAAGAGCUCUUUCUGUAGCAAAACAUUCGGAAGCUUUCACCCGAAGAACUUGUUGCUCUUCAAUCUGAGCUCAAGAAACUGAUUGAUGAAUUUGAUCGCUACUAUGCUGACUGGCUUGGAGCCAAAGUCAUAUUUGUAAAGAUAACUGAACAGUUCACUUCCAAUGUUGCAGCCCCAACGCAACAAGAAAAUCCUCAGGCUGAAGCAUCUGAUCAACCUACUGAAGAAAAUGCCAGCACCACUAAUGAUACUCAGGCUGCUGAAGAAAAUGCUAGUACCAGGGAUGUUGACUGCAUUCCAGCCGCUGAAGAAAUUGCCAGGGCAACCACUAGCGUUGCGCCUGAAGAAAAUGAAGAAGUCAGGGCAACUGCAUCAGUUGUGCCUGAAGAUCUUGGACCAAAUUCCUCUGCUCCUCCUGCGCCUACCCCAACUCCGAUCCUUCCAUCUGCAUCAGAUGUGAAGAAGACCAAGGCAGCAGAGCAUGCAGCUGUGAAGAAAAGGAAGGCAUCAACUGCAUCAGAUUCUUCAGCUCCAAAGAAGAUGAAGCCGCUGACCAGCUCGUUUGAAAAUCCAAUUGAUGUUGUUCCUGUCUCAUCCAUGCCAUCAAAGGACCUUGUACCUUUUGAUGAAGAAUACGUGAUCCAAAGCGGAUCCGAUGAAGACAUUCCUUCUGUUGCUUCUUCAGAGUAGUUGGAUGAAGAAAUUGAAGCGGAUGCAAUCCCUUCAACCCCAAUAGUCUCAUCGACCAUGCCUCAGUUUACUGCUGAAGUGGCCGGCGUUGAAGAAAUGAAUGAAGAAGAGGAUGUGGACAUUGGGUGCAUAACUCCGGUGUUGAACGACGACUUUUGGAAAAGUCAGCACCCCAAUUCUCCUCUGUUCACACCCCUACAACAAAUUCCUUAGUCCCCUGUCACUAGUGAAGUACAAUUGGGAUCUGAAGAACCUCAUGCCACACCGUCUGUCCAUGAAGACAUCCCAACCACUAGUGCUGAAGAAAAUGUAAAUGAAGAAUUGAAGUCCUAGACUGCGACUGAAGAAGAAACAUAAAUUCCUCAGCCUGCGGAACCUGAGAUCAUGAUCCCUGAGGUUGUGAUGCAAUUUACUGACACUCCUCAGCCCAAGCCAAAGGAUCCUUUCUAAAAGAAGCAACAAUUCAAGGCUGAUGACUUCUUCGGUGAGCAUGUAUUCUUCAUGGACUACAAUCCUUAUGACUUUGCUCAUCUUAGGAGGAAGCGCUUCUGGACUGCUAGACAGGCCAAUUUCUAUUCGUCACUACUCUUCAACAAGGAUAAUGUCUUCUACCACGAGCAUAUUCCUCACGUGGACAUGGAAUCGCUGCCUUGCUUCUCUCCUGUCCUUAGUGCGCUUCAUGAUGCAGGCCUCCUCAACUUUUGCUCUGACAUUGUUGAUUGGAAUGAGGAGCUUAUUCUUUAGUUCUAUGCAACACUACACAUCAUAGGUGAUGCUGAUGAUAUCAACACUUGGGUAUUGGACUGGAUGACCGAUAACACUCAUUAUAAGGCACCGACCUUUGAAUUACUUCUCGCCCUGCCCUUCAGUCCACCCCUUGAAGGAGCUCGUUUCCUGUACCAGGAGCCUGAACUCAUUGCCCAUUACAUGCAAGUGGUAAUGAAGCCCCUGAAGCUCGGUCAAGCCCCAAGGACCAAAUUCCUCAUGAAGGAAUUGCUGUAUGUGCCCAGAACAGUCUAUCGCAUUCUGACAAGGACAAUGAAUCCUAUCAAAGUCCACGACUCGCCUGAUGAGGAAAUUGUUGGCAUCAUGAAGAAUCUUCUAUUCAACAUCAUACAUGGCAUUCCUGUCAAUUAGCAUGAUUUCUUCAUAAGAACUCUGGCCAAUGUUGCACUCUCUCCGUUUGAGUUCAAGCCUUAUGCUCCUUGGAUUAUGAGAUUCCUCAGAACAAGGUCUUCACUAAACUACAGGGCUGAUUUUCAGAAUCACCUCAGCUACCUGCUCCCAAUUGAAAUCCUCAAGCAGGCAUAUUCCUCAGCUGAUGAAAAGGGCAAGGCACCUGCUGUCAUUGAUGAAGGCAUUCAUCCAUUGGAUGGUCAGUUUCGCAAAGCUGCAUCUUAUUCCACUAAUGAUGACUCUGCCACUCAUGAUUCUGCUGCAAAUGCAUCCAAGCCAAAUCCUCAAGCCUCAGCUCCCAGGGUGAUGACUGACCGUGAGCUGCUUCUUGGUCUUCACCAAAAGGUGGAUCAAAACCAUAAAUGGGUUAAGCGUUAGUUUGGUUCUCUUCUUCACAACUUGACUGCUACACAUAAUGGGUCUCAAGCAAAUGGGGCUUAUCACAUCUGUAUGGUGAAAAAUAUCUGAAGCAAAUGGGUCUCAAGGAGGACUUUGACUGGUCUGCACCUCCAGCAAAGAAAUUCAAGAAGGUAAAAGUUCCUUCCUUGGUGGCCAGCUCCUAUUCUUCAUCACGCAAAACCGACGAGUAUGAAAACUUGGACGACACUGCGGCAGGCCCUCCAACAACAAAUGACCCCAACAACGCUGGCACUCCUCCAUCAACAUGACAUUCCUCAGGGGGGUUAGUCCUCAUUUUUUGAUCCUUUUGGUCAUUCAAUGACAAAGGGGGAGAAAUUUGAGUUAGUCUUCAAGAGGGUCUACUUAUAUGGGCAUUUUUUCUAAGUUACAACUUUCGUUCUUUUGAAGACUUUGUUGGAUCGAGUUGUAAACUUAAACUCUAUGGUGGUCUUAUACUUUUCCUGAGUUUUUCUGCAUGCUUAUUCCUCAUUAAUGUUAAUGCAUGCAUGCUGAAUUACAUCAAUCACCAUAUUCCAUCAUGCAUUUCAAAUUCUUCAUAUUAUAUGUUAAAUGCGUGUAUGAAUUACAAGAUAUAGGGGGAGAUCUCCAUGAUUCUACUCUUCAAGUGUGCAUUGCUUCAAAAGUAAAUUCCUCACUAUGCACAUCUUCAGGGGGAUUUCUUCUAUAUCUUGCAAUCAAAUUCCUCAAUUUCAGUAUUUACACUUCAUAUGUUUAUCCCCAUUGAAAACUUAACAUAUAUUGUCAUCAAUCACCAAAAAGAGGGAGAUUGUAAGUGCAUCUAGUGCCCCUUAGUGAUUUUGGUGUAUUGAAGACUUAUAGGUUAAGGGACUGAUGCGUUUGUGAGUGUACACAAGUCUAUAAAACUAUGAGGAGUUUGAUAUUUAAAGAGAAAGUCGACUCCUAAAAAUGAAGUUCUUCGACUGAAGACUUUGGAUUUCUGAAGACUUUGAAAGUGAAGAAAUUGGUGUGAUCCUGAAGACGUGGUAUUCAUUCAAGGAACAUGAAGCAUGAAGACUUUUGUUUUCGUAGUUUCAUUUUCUCUUUCGUGAGUCAUAGGAAACACCGUACUAUUAAAUGGGGUCGAGGAAAUACUAAGGAAAAAUUUCCAAGUGAUGCUCAACUCAAAAUUCUACACCUACCAAUCCCUUCGAGUGAAGCCAUUGGAAAUCUCAUACAGUUUAGUCAAUUUCUUCAGUGACAGAGAUGGAGCUCUUCUGGUCUCUGAGGAAUUUGUUCUGACUGAGGAGUUAGGAAUUCGCCAGUACGGAUUGCCUACAAGAGAGGAAGAUGAUAGCACUGAGGAAUUUGUUAGUCAAAUUUCCGACCAUUGCUGUGCUACGCGCCAGCUGUCCCAAAAUAUCCUUCCACCUAACGAUCAUAUCAUUGAAGGGCAUUUAUGUCUUAUCAUGUCGGGCUGCUCCCUAGGCUAUAAAUAGCCCCCCCUACAACCCCUAGCGGGUUGGCUGCUCUGACAGAAACUAACACUUGUCAAUUGAGAGCAUCCCAUCCUCCGAGGACUUUGAGUGAAAAUCAUCAAGUGAGGAAAACCCAAACCCAAACACCUACAAACCCAAAGUGAUUGAGCAUCACUGAAGAGAUUGAUCCUGCGUGGAUCCGACGCUUGUUACCUUUGAAGACUGUGCAUCUUCCAGAUGGUUAGGCGUCAUGGUCUAGAGCAUCCAAGAGGAAAUUGUGGAUUGCCGAGUGACCAUGUCUGUGAAGGUUUGGAAGUCACCCGAAGAGUUACCACGAGUGAUUGGGCGAGGUCUGUGUGACCUUAGCUCAAGGGGAAUACGGUGAGGACUGAGUGUCCUGAGCUGCGUGUUCAGUACUGGGUGUCCGGGACUGUGUGUCCUCAGGUUUAAAUACCUAGCCGCCCUAACCAGACGUACAACUGUCACAAUAGUUCGAACUGGUCUACCAAAUCAUUCUCUUCGGCAAGCUACCUGGUUCCAAUUCCUCAACCCUUCUAUUUCCUCAUCUCUCUGUUGUGUGCUUGUUCAUAUCUGUUUGAAGACUUUGGCUGAAGACUUUCUCUAUUUCCUCAAUUCAAUUUCUUCAGCCUGUUUGUCUUCAUUCUAUUUACCAUGUGUUUACGCUUUCUGUACUCUGUGCUUGUUUUCAUUUCAUCAUGAAGAGCAUGCUCUUGUUCUGUUAUGUUUACUUCUGAGUACUUAUUCCGCUGCAAGUAGUUCUUCACUCUGGAAUUUCCUCACCCGCAAAUUCCACAGUGAAGAAUUCAUAAAAAUUGCCCGCCUAUUCACCCCCCUCUAGUCGAUAUAACGCACUUUCACAAUCCUAGUUGGAGUCCCCUACCUUUUCCAAGAGGGGAGAUAAGGAAGGAGUAGGAGAGGAAGAAGGAAAGAGAGGGGGGCGCCGCCCCCUCCCUAGUCCAAUUCGGACUUGCCAUGGGGGGGGGGCGGCCACCCCUUGAGGCCUUUCUCUCCUUUCCUGUAUGGCCCAUUAGGGCCCAUUACUUCCCCCGGCGAAUUCCCGUAACUCUUCGGUACUCCAAAAAAUACCCGAAUCACUCGGAACCUUCCCGAUGUCCGAAUAUAGCCUUCCAAUAUAUCGAUCUUUACAUGUCGACCAUUUCGAGACAACUUGUCAUGUCCGUGAUCUCAUCGGGGACUCUGAACAACCUUUUGUACAGCAAAUCACAUAACUCAUAAUACAAAUCUUCAUCGAACGUUAAGCGUGCGGACCCUACGGGUUCGAGAACUAUGUAGACAUGACCAAGACACAUCUCCGGUCAAUAACCAAUAGCAGAACCUGGAUGCUCAUAUUGGCUCCUACAUAUUCUACGAAGAUCUUUAUCGGUCAAACCGCAUAACAACAUACGUUGUUCCCUUUGUCAUCGGUAUGCUACUUGCCCGAGAUUCGAUCGUCGGUAUCCUCAUACCUAGUUCAAUCUCUUUACUGGCAAGUCUCUUUACUCGUUCUAUAAUGCAUCAUCCCGUAACUAAUUUUUUAGUCACAUUGCUUGCAAGGCUUAUAGUGAUGAGCAUUUCCGAGAGGGCCCAGAGAUACCUCUCCGACAAUCAAAGUGAGAAAUCCUAAUCUCGAUCUAUGCCAACUCAACAAACACCAUCAGAGACACCUCUAGAGCAUCUUUAUAAUCACCUAGUUACGUUGUGAUGUUUGAUAGCACACUAAGUGUUCCUCCGAUAUUCAGGAGUUGCAUAAUCUCAUAGUCAUAGGAACAUGUAUAAGUCGUGAAGAAAGCAAUAGCAACAAACUAAACGAUCAUAGUGCUAAGCUAACAGAUGGGUCUUGUCCAUCACAUCAUUCUCUAAUGAUGUGAUCCCAUUCAUCAAAUGACAACACAUGUCUAUGGCUAGGAAACUUAACCAUCUUUGAUUAACAAGCUAGUAAAGUAGAGGCAUACUAGGGACACUCUGUUUGUCUAUGUAUUCACACAUUUAUCACUAAAGGGCAUAUUUCCUUCAGUCUCCCACUUGCACUAGAGUCAAUAAUCUAGUUCACAUCAUCAUGUGAUUUAACACCAAUAGUUCAAAUCUUUAUGUGAUUAGUUCACAUCUCCAUGUGACUAAUACCCAAAGGGUUUAUUAGAGUCAAUAAUCUAGUUCACAUCGCUAUGUGACUAACCCCCAAAGAGUGAUCAUGUUUUGCUUGUGAGAGAAAUUUAGUCAACAGGUCUGCCACGUUCAGAGCCGUAUGUAUUUUGCAAAUUUUUCUAUGUCUACAAUGCUCUGCACGGAGCUACUCUAGCUACUUGCUCCCACUUUAAAUAUGUAUCCAGAUUGAGACUUAGAGUCAUCCAGAUCGGUGUCAAAACUUGCAUCGACAUAACUCUUUACGACGAACUUUUCGUCACCUCCAUAAGAGAGAAACAUAUCCUUAUUCCACUAAGGAUAAUUUUGACCGAUCUCCAGUGAUCCACUCCUGGAUCACUAUUGUGCCCUCUUGCCAAACUCUUGGUGAGGUACACAAUAGUUCUGGUACACAGCAUAGCAUACUUUAUAGAACCUAUGGCUGAGGCAUAGGGAAUGCCUGUUCAUUCUCUUUUUGUUUUCUGCCGUGGUCGGGUUUUGAGUCUUUACUCAACUUCACACCUUGCAACACAGGCAAGAACUCCUUCUUUGACUGUUCCAUUUUGAACUACUUCAAAAUCUUGUCAAGGUAUGUACUCAUUGAAAAAUAUAUCAAGCAUCUUGAUCUACCUCUAUAGAUCAUGAUGCUCAAUAUGCAAGUAGCUUCACCGAGGUCUUUCUUUGAAAAACUCCUUUCAAACAGUCCUUUAUGUUUUCCAUAAAAUUCUACAUUAUUUCCAAUCAACAAUAUGUCAUUCACAUGUACUUAUCAGAAAGGCUGUAGUGCUCCCACUCACUUUCUUGUAAAUACAGGCUUCACGGCAAGUAUGUAUAAAACCAUAUGCUUUGAUCACUUUACCAAAGCAUAUAUUCCAACUCCGAGAUGCUUGCACCAGUCCAUAGAUGGAUCGCUGGAGCUUGCACACUUUGUUAGCACCUUUAGGAUUGACAAAACCUUCGUUUUGCAUUAUACAACUCUUCUUUAAGAUAUCCAUUAAGGAAUGCAGUUUUCACAGCCAUUUGCCAGAUUUCAUAAAAUGUGGCAAUUGCUAACAUGAUUCGGACAGACUUAAGCAUCGCUAAGAGUGAGAAAAUAUCAUCAUAGUCAACAUCUUGAACUUGUCGGAAACCUUUUGCGACAAUUCGACCUUUGCAUAUAGUAAUACUACUAUCAGCGUCUGUCUUCCUGUUGAAGAUCCAUUUACUCUCAAUGGCUUGCCGAUCAUUGGGAAAGUCAACCGAAGUCCACACUUUGUUCUCAUACAUGGAUUCCAUCUCAGAUUUCAUGGCCUCAAGCCAUUUUGCGGAAUCUGGGCUCAUCAUCGCUUCGUCAUAGUUCGUAGGUUCAUCAUGGUCUAGUAACAUGACUUACAGAAAGGACUAACGUACCACUCUGGUGCGGACCAUACUCUGGUUGAGCUACGAGGUUCGGUAGUAACUUGAUCUGAAGUUUCGUGAUCAUCAUCAUUAGCUGCCUCACUAAUUGGUGUAUUAACCACUGGAACUGAUUUCUGUGAUGAAUUACUUUCCAAUAAGGGAGAAAGUACAAUUACCUCAUCAAGUUCUACUUUCCUCCCAUUCACUUCUUUCAAGAGAAACUCCUUCUCUAGAAAGGAUCCAUUCUUAGCAGAUCUUGCCUUCUGAUCUGUGAUAGAAGGUGUACCCAACAGUUUCUUUUGGGUAUCCUAUGAAGACGCACUUCUACGAUUUGGGUUUGAGAUCAUCAGGCUGAAACUUUUUCACAUAAGCAUCGUAACCCCAAACUUUAAGAAACGAUAGCUUACGUUUCUUGCUAAACCACAGUUCAUACGGUAUCAUCUCAACGGAUUUUUAGAUGGUGCCCUAUUUAACGUGAAUGCAGCUGUCUCUAAUGCAAAAGCUCAAAACUAUAGUGCUAAAUCGGCAAGAGACAUCAUAGAUUGCACCAUAUCUAAUGAAGUACGGUCAUGAUGUUCGAACACACCAUUACGCUGUGGUGUUCCAAGUGGCAUGAGUUGCGAAACUAUUCCACAUUGUUUCAAAUGAACACCAAACUCGUAACUCAAAUAUUCGUCUCCGCGAUUAGAUCGUAGAAACUUUGUUUUCUUGUUACGAUGAUUUUUCACUUCACUCUGAAAUUCUUUGAACUUUUCAAAUGUUUCAGUCUUAUGUUUCAUCAAGUAGAUAUACCCAUAUCUUCUCAAAUCAUCUAUGAAGGUCAGAAAAUAACGAUACCCGCCGUGAGCCUCAACACUCAACGGAUCGCAUACAUCAGUAUGUAUUAUUUCCAAUAAGUCAGUUGCUUGCUCCAUUGUUCUAGAGAAUGGAGUCUUAGUCAUCUUGCCCAUGAGGCAUGGUUCGCAAGCAUCAAACGAUUCAUAAUCAAGUGAUUCCAAAAGCCCAUCAGCAUGGAGUUUCUUCAUGUGCUUUACAUCAAUAUGACCUAAACGGCAGUGCCACAUAUAAGUUGCACUAUCAUUAUUAACUUUGCAUCUUUUGGCUUCAAUAUUAUGAAUAUGUGUAUCACUACGAUCGAGAUUCAAUAAACCAUUUAUAUUGAGUGUAUGACCAUAGAAAGUUGUAUUCAUGUAAAUAGAACAACAAUUAUUCUUUGACUUAAAUGAAUAACUGUAUUGCAAUAAACAUGAUCCAAUCAUAUUUAUGCUCAACGCAAACACCAAAUAACAUUUAUUUUAGGUUCAACACUAAUCCCGAAGGUAAAAGGAGUGUGUGAUAGUGAUCUUAUCAACCUUGGAAUCACUUCCAACACACAUCGUCACCUUUCCCUCAACUAGUUUCUGUUCAUUUUGUAACUCCUGUUUCAAGUUAGUAAUCAUAGCAACUGAACUAGUAUCAUAUACCCAUAAUCUAUUAUGAACACUAGUAAAGUACACAUCAAUAAUCUGUAUAUCAAAUAUACCUUUGUACACUUCGCCAUCCUUCUUAUCCGCCAAGUAUUUGGGGUAGUUCCGCUUCCAGUGACCAUUCCCUUUGCAGUACAAACACUCAGUUUCAGGCUUAGGUCUAGCUUUGGGUUUCUUCACGGGAGUGGCAACUUGCUUGCCAUUCUUUGAAGUUCCCUUUCAUUUCCUUUGCCCCUUUUUCUUGAAACUAGUGGUCUUGUUAACCAUCAACACUUGAUGCUCUUUCUUGAAUUAUACCUUCAUUGAUUUCAGCAUCACGAAGAGCUUGGGAAUCCUUUUCGUCAUCCCUUGCAUAUUAUAGUUCAUCACGAAGUUCCAGUAACUUGGUGAUAGUGACUAGAGAACUCUGUCAAUCACUAUCUUAUCUGGAAGAUUAACUCCCACUAGAUUCAAGAGAUUGUAGUACUCAGACAUUCUGAGCACAUGCUCACUGGUUGAGCUAUUCUCCUCCAUCUUGUAGGCAAAGUAUUUGUCAGAGGUCUCAUACCCCUCGACUCGGGCAUGAGUCUGAAAUACCAAUUUUAGCUCUUGGAACAUCUUAUAUGCUCCGUGGCGAUCAAAACAGGUUUUGAAGUCCCGGUUCUAAGCCGUAAAGCAUGGCACACUAAACUAUCAAGUAGUCAUCAUAGCGAGCUUGCCAAACGUUCAUAACGUCUGCAUCUCCUCGUGCAAUAGGCCCAUCAUCUGGCGGUGCAUCAAGGACAUAAUACUUUUGUGCAGCAAUGAGGAUAAUCCUCAGAUCAUGGACCCAGUCCACAUCUUUGCUACUAUCAUCUUUCAAAUUAUUUUUCUCUAGGAACAUAUCAAAAAUAAAACAGGGGAGCUAUAAGCGAGCUAUUGAUCUACAACAUAGAUAUGCAAAAACUACCAGGACUAAGUUCAUGAUAAAUUAAAGUUCAAUUAAUCAUAUUACUUAAGAACUCACACUUAGAUAGACAUCCCUCUAAUCAUCUAAGUGAUCGUGUGAUCCAUAUCAUCUAAGCCAUGUCCGAUCAUCACGUGAGACGGAGUAGUUUUCAAUGGUGAACAUCACUAUGUUGAUCAUAUCUUCUAUAUGAUUCACACUCGACCUUUCGGUCUUAGUGUUUCGAGGCCAUAUCUGCAUAUGCUAGGCUCGUCAAGUUUAACUCGAGUAUUCUGCAUGUGCAAAACUGGCUUGCACCCGUUGUAUGUGAACGUAGAGCUUAUCACACCCGAUCAUCACAUGGUGUCCUGGCACGAUGAACUGUAGCAAUGGUGCAUACUCAGGGAGAACACUUGUACCUUGAAAUUUAGUGAGAGAUCAUCUUAUAAUGCUACCAUCGAACUAAGCAAAAUAGGAUGCAUAAGGAUAAACAUCACAUGCAAUCAAAUAAGUGAUAUGAUAUGACCAUCAUCAUCUUGUGCCUUUGAUCUCCAUCUCCAAAGCACCGUCAUGAUCACCAUCGUCACCGGCUUGACACCUUGAUCUCCAUCGAAGCAUCAUUGUCGUCUCGCCAACUAUUGCUUCUAGGACUAUCUCUACCGCUUAGUGAUAAACUAAAGCAAUUACAUGGUGAGGGAGUCCUGGAUUAGGGGGUGUCCGGAUGGCCGGACUAUACCUUCGGCCGAACUCCUGGACUAUGAAGAUACAAGAUUGAAGACUUCGUCCCUCGUCCGGAAGGGACUUUCCUUGGCAUGGAAGGUAAGCUUGGUGAUACGGAUAUGUAGAUCUCCUACCAUUGUAACCGACUCUGUGUAACCCUAGCCCUCUCCGGUGUCUAUAUAAACCGGAGAGUUUUAGUCUGUAGGACGAACAACAAUCAUACCAUAGGCUAGCUUUUAGGGUUUAGCCUCUCUGAUCUCGUGGUAGAUCUACUCUUGUACUACCCAUAUCAUCAAUAUUAAUCAAGUAGGACGUAGGGUUUUAAUCAAGAGGGCCCGAACCUAGGUAAAACAUCAUGUCCCCUGCCUCAUGUUACCAUCCGACCUAGACACACAGUUCGGGACCCCCUACCCGAGAUCCGCCGGUUUUGACACCUACAUUGGUGCUUUCAUUGAGAGUUCCUUUGUGUCGUCACUUUUAGGCCUGAUGGCUUCUCCGAUCAUCAACAGCAAUGCGAUCCAGGGUGAGACUUUUCUCCCCGGACAGGUCUUCGUAUUCGGCGGUUUACACUGCGGGCCAAUUCGAUUGGUCAUCUGGAGUAGAUCGAAAGCUACACCCCUGGCCAUCAGGUCAGAUUUGGAAGUUUGAACUACACGGCCGACAUCCGCGGAGAAUUGGUCUUCGACGAAUUCGAGCCACAGCCGAGCGCGCCACAGUGUCACGAUGGGCAUGAUUUAGCUCUGCCGCCGAACAGUUCCUAGAGGCCGCACCCGUGUCCGCUCCGACCCCUAGCUCGGAGCCGAUUACACCAACCGAGGAUGGGUGGUUAGACACCGCCUCAGGGGCUGCAAUCUCUACGGCGAUCGAGCCGAACACCAGCCCUAUUCUCUGCGAAGCCCGUGACUCCAAGGAGCCGGACUCCUCUCCGGACUCCAAGCCCUCUGCGCCCUGACCGAUCUAACCCGAUUGGGCGCCGAUCAUGGAGUUCACCGCCGCGGACAUCUUUCGGCACUCGCCCUUCGGCGAUAUUCAGAAUUCACUAAAGUCUCUCUCUUUGUCAGGAGAGCCCUGACUAGACUAUGUUCGGCAAGGUUGGGAUGCGGAUGAUGAAGAAAUUCAAAGCCCACCCACCACCCACUUCGUAGCCACUGUCGAUGAUUUAACCGACAUGUGCGACUUCGACUCCGAAGACAUCGACGGUAUGGACGCCGAUGCAGGAGACGAUCAAGAACCAGUGCCUAUAGGGCACUGGAAAGCCACCUCGUCGUAUGAUAUAUACAUGGUGGACACCCCAAAAGAAGGCAAUGGCGAUGGAACAGAGGAGGAUGACCCCUCCAAGAAGCAGCCUAAGCGCCGGCGUCAGCGGCGCCGCUCUAAAUCCUGCCAAAACAAAAACAGUGAUUCCGGCACGGGGGAUAAUAACACCCCUGAUAGUGCCGAAGAUAACCACCUCCAGCAAGAUUCAGCACAGGAGGAUAGAGAAGCCAGCCCUCAUGAGGGAGCGACAGACAGAGAGGUCGAGGACGAUAAUUAUAUGCCUCCCUCCGAAGACGAGGCAAGCCUCGACGACGACGAAUUUGUCGUGCCGGAGGAUCCCGUCAAACAAGAGCGUUUCAAACGCAGGCUUAUGGCCAUGGCGAGCAGCCUCAAGAAAAAACAGCAACAACUUAGAGCUGAUCAAGAUUUGCUAGCCAACAGAUGGAUUGAAGUCCUUGCGGCCGAAGAUUAUGAACUCGAACGCCCCUCCAAGAGCUACCCAAAGUGCAGGUUGCUACCCCAGUUAGAGGAGGAAGCACCUAAAUCACCAGCGCAUGAUGCGGCCGACCGGCCACCCCGUGGCCACGACAGAGAGAUCUCUCGGCCCUCCACUCAAGCCGCACCCCGGCGCCGCUCAAAAACUACCAAGGCAUGGGAAAAUGCGCCAGACCUGCGAGAUAUAUUGGAGGAUAAGGCAAGGCAAACAAGAUCGAUCUACGGAUCACGUGGGCGCCCCACGGCACGAGACGGUACUCUUCACGCCAGAUAUGGUAAAUACAGUCGGGCCGAACACAGUAGACAAAGCUCGUUUGAGCUGCAUCAUGAUGUAGCCCAAUACAGAGGCGCCGCACACCCACUAUGCUUCACAGAUGAAGUAAUGUAUCAUAAAAUCCCCGAGGGUUUCAAACCCGUGAACAUAGAAUCAUACGAUGGCAUAACAGAUCCUGCGGUAUGGAUCGAGGACUAUCUCAUUCAUAUCCACAUGGCCCGCGGUGAUGACCUACACGCCAUCAAAUACCUCCCACUCAAGCUUAAAGGACCAGCUCGACAUUGGCUCAACAACUUGCCAGCAAAAUCAAUUGGUUGUUGGGAGGACCUCGAAGCCGCACUCCUCGACAAUUUCCAGGGCACUUAUGUGCGACCACCUGACGCCGAUGACCUAAGCCACAUAAUUCAGGAGCCAAAGGAAUCGGCCAGACAAUUCUGGACACGGUUCCUAACCAAAAAAAAUCAAAUCGUCGACUGUCCGGACGCAGAGGCCCUAGCAGCCUUCAAGCAUAACAUCCGCGACGAGUGGCUUGCACGGCACCUAGGACAGGAAAAGCUGAAAUAUAUGGAAGCCCUCACAACACUUAUGACCCGCUUUUGCACGGGAGAAGACAGCUGGCUAGCUCGUAGCAAUAACAUGACCAAGAGCCCUGGUAAUUCAGAUACCAAGGACAGCGGUGGCAGGUCGCGCCGCAACAAGCAAAAGCAUCGCAUUAACGGCGACAAUACUGAGGACACAACAGUUAAUGCCGGAUUCAAAGGCUCUAAACCCGGUCAGCGGAAAAAGCCAUUCAAAAGAAACACUCCGGGCCCAACCAGUUUGGACCGAAUACUCGACCGCUCAUGCCAGAUACAUGGCACCCCCGAAAAACCAGACAAUCACACCAACAGGGAUUGUUGGGUGUUCAAGCAGGCAGGCAAGUUAAAUGCCGAAAGCAGAGACAAGGGGCUACAUAGCGAUGACGAGGAGGAGCCCAGGCCGCCGAACAACAGCGGACAUAAAGGUUUUCCCCCACAAGUGCGGAUGGUGAACAUGAUAUACGCAACCUACGUCCCCAAGAGGGAGCAGAAGCGUGUGCUAAGGGACGUAUAUGCGAUGGAGCCAGUCGCCCCAAAGUUCAACCCAUGGUCUUCCUGCCCGAUCACUUUUGAUCGAAGGGACCACCCCACUAGCAUCCGUCAUGGCGGAUUCGCCGCAUUGGUUCUAGACCCAAUUAUUGACGGAUUUCACCUCACUAGAGUCCUUCUGGACGGCGGCAACAGCUUGAAUCUGCUUUAUCAGGAUACAAUGCGGAAAAUGGGCAUCGAUCUCUUGAGGAUUAAACCCACCAGAACGACCUUUAAAGGCGUCAUACCAGGUGUAGAAGCCAACUGUAUAGGCUCGGUUACACUUGAAGUGGUCUUCGGAUCUCCGGAUAAUUUCCGAAGCGAGGAGUUAAUCUUUGACAUAGUCCCGUUCCGCAGUGGCUAUCACGCACUGCUCGGGCGAACCGCAUUUGCCAAGUUCAAUGCGGUGCCACACUACGCAUACCUCAAGCUCAAGAUGCCAGGCCCUCGAGGCAUCAUCGCGGUCAAUGGAAACGCCGAACGCUCUCUCCGAAUGGAGGAGCAUACGGCGGCAAUCGCAGUGGAAGUACAAAGCAGCCUCUCAAGGCAAUUCUCCAGUCCGGCCAUUAAAUGUUCGGACACCGUCAAGCGCGCCCGGAGUAACCUACAACAAGACCGCCUGGCACGUUCCGAGCAAGCGUAGCAAUGCGGCCCCAACCCCAGCCCUCAUGAACUUGCGAAACCAGUGUUGCGCGUACAUAACUAUGCUCUAGAAAUAUCAUGGGCACAGGGGGAGGGGCACCAUCACGACACGCCCGAAACGCGGCUUAAAAUGCACUAGGGGCUGCAGAUUUCUUAAUUUUCUCUUAUUUUCAGGACUCCAUUCUUCGGAAGGCUUGUCCGGCAGUACAAUUGCCGCACAAACGAUACAACCAGGGAAGCAGAAAGCUACGCCGCACUAUGGAACUCUAAGGUGGUCUCUAUAACGAGCGGUAUUCCUGUUUUGCAUAACAUUCCACAGCUCGCCUCUGGAAAGGACAUAUUUAAUAGUCCCAUCUUUUGCUUAUCGCACUAUUUGUAUCGUUCUGCUUUGAUCGCAGCUUUUGUUAAACAAUGCAUAGCUUCCGUCUAUUAUUGCAUUACCUCUUUUUUACGAAUAUAUGUUCAUUAAUGACAUGUUGCACCCGUACACUUUGGUACGGCCAAUACGCCAGGGGCUUAAGUACCCCACAACAUGGUGUGAGAAGUUAGAACACUUUCACAAGUGCGGCACCCCGAACUUAUAGCAUUAUAUGCAUCGGCUCCGAAUCAUGUCUUGGGUCAAUAGUUGGGUUUGACCGGCUCCUAUGUUUUGGUACCUUAUGUUCUGUCAUAUUGUCUAAGGUAGCACUAGGAGAACUACUGCGAUUGUGCCCCAGUUGAGCUGGGCUAAGCACCUCAGUAGAGAAAGCUAAAACUGACCGUCAUGAUGAGGCGAGAGCUGAUCGCUGUUCGAGAGGUUUUCGAGUCCCUAAAGACUUAUGCCGCUUAGAGCGAGGAGUCGGCUUUCUCCGGCCUAGGCGUGGAUAGCGCCCCAAACUCGGUCUUCCAAACACUAGGGGCUUCGUCGAAAUUUAAAAUUAUAGAAUUCUAUGGCUAACUGAGAGUGUUGAAGCACUAUAGUCUGAUUGCCUUGUUUGUUGUGUUGAGCGCCUCCCUCGAAGGACCCAAGAAUGGGAAAAAGAGCGCUCAUGUUUAUCCCGAACACCCCAGCACUCAUGCCAUGGGGGAAGAAGCCGACGACUCGCCAUCUCUCAAAUUUGAUAAACGGCCGCACAGAAGGUAAUAUUUUAAAUUCAAAAAGCAUUGCUUAGCACACAUGAACAAGUUUUCAAUGCACAGGACAAAACGAGCGAGUGCACUGAAAAAUUACGUUCAUGGAACAUUCAUCCGCUACAAGGCGGGCACCCUUCAGAACGCCCUCAUAAUACAUCCCGGGCUUGCGAUGCUCCUUUCCCGGCGGUGGCCCAUCCUUCAAAAGCUUCUCAGCAUCUAGCUUGCCCCAGUGCACCUUCGCACGGGCAAGCGCCCUACGGGCACCCUCGAUGCAUACGAAGCGCUUGAUGACUUCGAGCCUUGGACAGGCCUCCACCAGCCGCCUCACCAGCCCGAAGUAGCUCCCAGGCACGGCCUCUCCAGGCCACAGCCGGACUAUGAGGCCCUUCAUGGCCUGUUCGAGCUUCCCUCCUCGGUGCGGUAGAAGGCGGCGGCAUCCGACACGCUAUGGGGCAAAUCUGCGAAUGCUCCUAGAGAGCUCCGGAUUCGGGUAAGUGACAAGUAAUUCACUUUUACGUGCUUGCUUUGCAUAAAUAAUGCCUUACCCGCCGCUAUCUUUUUUAUUGCCUCAACCUCCUGGAGGGCCUUCUGGGCUUCGGCCUUGGCAGACUUGGCAUCUUCAAUGGCCGUCGCGAGCUCAGACUCUCGCGUCUUCGAGUCAAGCUCCAAACUCUCAUGUGUUUUUCAUGAGAGCCUGGAGCUCUUGCCGCACCUCGCCAACCUGUGUCUCAUGCUUCUCCCGCUCGGUACGCUCCGUGGCUGCCCUCUUUUUGGCCUCGGACAGCGCUUGCCUAAGGGUCGCCACCUCAGUUGUGGCCCCUACAAUAGCCGCGUUAAUCCUGUCACCUUUUGCAAUUGCACCUUUCACAUAUUUCAAUAAGGUAUUUCUUACCUUCCUUGUCCUCGAGCUGCUAAUUGGCUAGGCCGAGCUCUUGCUCGGACCGCUCGAGGUUCUGCUUCAGCGUAUCCACCUCCGCAGUCAGUGCAGUGGAGGCCAGCAGCGAAGCCUGCAUACGCAUAUUGACUUGAAUAUGUUACACUCCUGCGAUUAUUUUAUCCUCUAUUCGGCUUUUCUUUCCGAACACCGAACAGAGCAUCAGGGGCUACUGUCUAUGCGGUAAUAUUUUUACAUAUUCUUUACUUACCUCAAAGCCUGUUAGAACGCUGUCACAGGCUUCAGUCAGUCUGCUCUUGGCGGACCGAACCUUCUGGAUCACCACACUCAUAACAGUGCGGUGCUCCUCGUUGAUGGAGGCGCCGUUAAGCGUCUCCAGCAAAUUGUCCGGUGCCUCCGGUUGGACGGAGGUCACCGGCUCGGUAGGCUUGCUCCUCUUGGAAGGAGGCUCCCUACCGGAGUACAGAACCGUUGAAGGUUCUGGCGCGGUGUCCGGCUCAAGGACGGACUUGGAGCCCUUGGGGGUUCUAUCCCCUUUACGCCUGGAGUCCAGGAGGUUGCCUUGCGGUGCCUCCAAGACCACCUCCUCCUGGCUUGGAACCUGUUGGGACGCCACCUCGGCGCCGUCCGUAGGGUGGGGGAGGAAGCCGUCGGAAGAGAAUUCACAUCCGACGAGUCCAGGGAGCCGCUCGACGACUCAUCGAGCCCGGCCUUGGGCGGACUGCACAAUCAUGUUCGACGUAAGGAAUAGUUGUGCAAUGUGGGAAUACUAUGAAUCACUUUGGUAUCCGGAUACUUACGAUUUCGCCAGGGGCUUGGCCCUGUGCGGCCACUCCUCUUCGCCGUCGUCGGCAUUGGUGGAGUAGUCCGGAGGAGGGGUCUUCCCCCUCUUGGACCCUUCGGCCUCCCUGGUUCGGGCGGCCUUCCUUUUCUUCCCUCCCCCCGCUGGGGGGAGAGGUCUCUUCUUCCUCCUCCUCGUCUUCAUGGGAGGAGUGCGCCUUGGAGUCGUCGGAUGGUGAAUCCGACACCUCCUGGUGCCGGGCACUCUAUUGAGUCCCCGUGGCCUUCUUCUUGGCCUUCUUCUCCGGCACCACGUAAGGUGCCGGAACCAGCAGCUUCGCCAAGCGAGCGUCCGCUGGGCCUUCGGGAAAAGGAGCCGGGCAGUUGAUCUGUCCGGACGUCUCCUACCAAUCCUGUCAAAGGUAAGGGAACUUAGAUCCCGCAUGGAGUCAAACUCUAAAAAACUAAUACCCUGUAAAAGGUGAAAGCAGCUUACCGCACGAGCGUGACGCUGCAUGCUGAAUCCGCGAUCCUCGGUAGCGGAUGCGGGAGCCUCGGCGCCCUUGAAAAUCACCUUCCAAGCAUCUUCGUACGUCAUGUGGAAGAGCCUGCUCAGAGUUCGGUGGCGCGCCGGGUCGAACUCCCAUGGGUUGAAAGCCCGUUGUUGACACGGGAGGAUCCGACGGAUGAGCAUAACCUGGACUACGUUGACAAGUUUGAGAUUCCUGUCCACCAGGGUUUGGACGCAUGUUUGGAGUCCGGUCAGCCCUCCUUUUUUACCCCACGAGAGGCCCAUCUCUUUCCAGGAGGCGAGCCGCGUAGGGGGUCUGGAUCGGAACUCGGGGGCUGCGACCCAUUCAGGGUCGCGCGGCUCGGUGAUGUAAAACUACCCCGACUACCACCCCUUUAGGGACUCCACGAAGGAGCCCUCGAACCAUAGGACUUUGGGCAUCCUUCCCACCAUGGCGCCUCCGCACUCCGCUUGGGUGCCGCGCACCACCUUCGGCUUGACAUUGAAAGUCUUGAGCCAUAGGCCGAAAUGGGGGCGGAUGCGGAAGAAAGCCUCGCACACGACGAUAAACGCCGAGAUGUUGAGGACAAAAUUCGGGGCCAGAUCGUGAAAAUCCAGGCCAUAGUAGAAUAUGAGCCCCCGGACAAAUAGGUGGAGAGGGAAGCCCAGUCCGCGGAGUAAAUGGGGGAGGAACACCACCCUCUCAUGGGGCCUAGGGGUGGGGAUGAGCUGCCCCUCUUCGGGAAGCCGGUGCGCAAUGUCAUUAGACAAGUAUCCGGCCUUCCUCAGUCUUUUGAUGUGUCCCUCCGUGAUGGAGGAGACCAUCCACUUGCCUCCCGCUCCGGACAUGGCUGGAGAAGGUUGAGGUGGGGUGUGCGGACUUGGGCGCUGGAGCUCGAGUGCGCGGAAAUGGAUAGGCAAAGGAGGAAGAAGGCGUGGAUGAAAAGGUGGAUCCUUAUCCCCUUAUAUGGGCGGACGCGACUAUGCGCCCCACCAGCCUGGUAAAACUCGCUUAUCUCCCAAGCGCCAUAGUCAAUGGCGCGGUUGGGUUACCCACACCCGUAUUGAUGAGAAUCCCGGAAUAAGGGGACACGAUCUCUACUUUAACAAGACGUGCCAAGGAAACUGCCUCGCUAAACGCGCUGAGGUGGGAUAGUAAAACGAUUCGAAUAAAGACUUGGCCGUGGUGUGAUGUCACGCUACGGAAUACGUCAAUAGAUUAGAUUUGCAUAAAUAUUAUUCUCUCUAUGGCAAUAUGUGGAAAAUUAUUUGCAGAGCCGGACACUACCUUUGUGUUCAAAAUCUUCUAUGAAGUACUUGGAGGAGGAACCCGCCUUGCAAUGCCGAAGACAAUCUGCGCGCCGGAUUCGUCGUCAUUGAAGCCUGGUUCAGGGGCUACUGAGGGAAUCCUGGAUUAGGGGGUGUCCGGAUGGCCGGACUAUACCUUCGGCCAGACUCCUGGACUAUGAAGAUACAAGAUUGAAGACUUCGUCCCGCAUCCGGAAGGGACUUUCCUUGGCGUUGAAGGCAAGCUUGGCGAUACGGAUAUGUAGAUCUCCUACCAUUGUAACCGACUCUGUGUAACCCUAGCCCUCUCCGAUGUCUAUAUAAACCAGAGAGAUUUAGUCCGUAGGACGAUCAACAAUCAUACCAUAGGCUAGCUUUGAGGGUUUAGCCUCUCUGAUCUCGUGGUAGAUCUACUCUUGUACUACCCAUAUCAUCAAUAUUAAUCAAGCAGGACGUAGGGUUUUACCUCCAUCAAGAGGGCCCGAACCUGGGUAAAACAUCGUGUUCCCUGCCUCCUGUUACCAUCCGACCUAGACACACAGUUCGGGACCCCCUACCCGAGAUCCGCCGGUUUUGAAACCGACACAUGGCGAUUGCAUUUCAUACAAUAAAGUGACAACCAUAUGGCUCCUACUAGUUGCCGAUAACUGUUACAAAACAUUGAUACGUCCCAGUCGUAUCUACUUUUGCAAACACUUUUGCCCUUAUUUUGGACUCUAACUUGUAUGAUUUGAAUGGAGCUAACCCGGAAUGACGCUCUUUUCAGUAGAAUUGCCAUGAUGUUGUUUUAUGUGCAGAAAACAAAAGUUCUCAGAAUGACCUGAAACUCCACGGAAUAUCUUACAAUAAAUAAUAAAAAAUCCUCGCCAAAGAUGAAGACCAGGGGGCCCACACCCUUGCCAUGAGGGUGGAGGGCGCGCCCCCCUACCUCGUGGGCCCCCUGGAGACCUCCCGACUCCAACUCCAACUCUAUAUAACUGCUUUCGGGGAGAAAAAAAUAGGAGAGAAGAUUUCAUCGCGUUUUACGAUAUGGAGCCGCCGCCAAGCCCUAAAACCUCUCGGGAGGGCUGAUCUGGAGUCCGUUCGGGGCUCCGGAGAGGGAGAUUCGUCGCCGUCGUCAUCAUCAACCAUCUUCUAUCACCAAUUUCAUGAUGCUCACCGCCGUGCGUGAGUAAUUCCAUCGUAGGCUUGCUGGACGGUGAUGGGUUGGAUGAGAUUUUCCAUGUAAUCGAGUUAGUUUUGUUAGGGUUUGAUCCCUAGUAUCCACUAUGUUCUGAUAUUGAUGUUGCUAUGACAUUGCUAUGCUUAAUGCUUGUCACUAGGGCCCGAGUGCCAUGAUUUCAGAUCUGAACAUAUUAUGUUUUCAUCAAUAUAUGAGAGUUCUUGAUCCUAUCUUGCAAGUCUAUAGUCACCUAUUAUGUGUUAUGAUCCGUUAACCCCAAAGUGACAAUAAUCGGGAUACUUACCGGUGAUGACCAUAGUUUGAGGAGUUCAUGUAUUCACUAUGUGCUAAUGCUUUGUUCCGGUUCUCUAUUAAAAGGAGGCCUUAAUAUCCCUUAGUUUCCAUUAGGACCCCGCUGCCAUGGGAGGGUAGGACAAAAGAUGUCAUGCAAGUUCUUUUCCAUAAGCAUGUAUGACUAUAUUCGGAAUACACGCCUACAUUACAUUUAUGAAUUGGAGCUAGUUCUGUGUCACCCUAUGUUAUAACUGUUACAUGAUGAACCACAUCCGGCAUAAUUAUCCAUCACUGAUCCGAUGCCUACGAGCUUUCCUUAUACUGGUUAACGCUUAUUUACUUUCCCGUUGCUAUUGUUACAAUCACUACAUAAUACCAAAAAUAUUACUUUGCUUUCAUUACUCUUUUGUUACCGUUACUGUCACUAUCAUAUUACUUUGCUACUAAACACUCUGCUGUAGAUACUAAGUUUCCAGGUGUGGUUGAAUUGACAACUCAGCUGCUAAUACUUGAGAAUAUUCUUCGGCUCCCCUUCUGUCGAAUCAAUAAAUUUGGGUUGAAUACUCUACCCUCGAAAGCUGUUGCGAUCCCCUAUACUUGUGGGUUAUCAAACAUGAUCAUCUCAUACAACAAAUUGUAUAUCAUCACGUCUUAACUAUAUCACAUCACAACAUGCCUGCAAAAACAAGUUAGGCGUCCUCUACUUUGUUGUUGCAAGUUUUGCAUGGCUGCUACGGGCUUCUAGCAAGAACCGUUCUUACCUACGGUAUAAAAACCACAACGAGGUAUAGUGAUUACUUUUUUAUCUUCAGAAAGAACCAUGUUCAUUGAAUCCGAUUCAACUAAAGUUGGAGAAACUGACACUCACCAGCCACCUGUGUGCAAAGCACGUCGGUAGGACCAGUCUCAUGAACGCGGUCAUGUAAUGUCGGUCUGGGCCGCUUCAUCAAACAAUACCAACGAAUCAAGAAACAACUAGUGACGACAAGAAAUAUGUAUAUAUCCACGCCGACAACUCCUUUGUGUUCUACUUGUGCAUGUAACAUCUACGCAUAGACCUGGCUCGGAUGCCACUGUUGCGGAACAUAGUAUUUCAAAAAAAAUCCUACGAUCACGCAAGAUCUAUCUAGGAGAAGCAUAGCAACGAGUGGGGAGAGUGUGUCCACGUACCCUCGUAGACCGAAAGCGGAAGCGUUUAGUAACGCGGUUGAUGUAGUCAAAUGUCUUCGCGAUCCAACCGAUCCAAGUACCGAACGCACGGCACCUCCGCGAUCUGCACACGUUUAGCUCGGUGAUGUCCCUCGAACUCUUGAUCCAGUUGAGGCCGAGGGAGAGUUUCGUCAGCACGACGGCGUGGUGACGGUGAUGAUGAAGUUACCAACGCAGGGCUUCGCCUAAGCACUACGACAAUAUGACCGAGGUGGAAAACUAUGGAGGGGGCACCACACACGGCUAAGACAAAUCUUGGAGUGCCUAUGGAGUGCCCCCUUGCCCACGUAUAUACAGGAGGGGGGAAGAGGAGGCCAGCCUAGGAGGGGCGUGCCUAUAGGGGGAGUCCAACUAGGAUUCCCAAUCCUAGUUGGAGUCCCCUUCCUUUUCCAAGAGGGGAGAGAGGGAAGGAGUAGGAGAGGGAGAAGGAAAGAGAGGGGGCACCGCCCCCUCGCUAGUCCAAUUCGGACUUGCCAUGGGGGGCGUGGCCACCCUUGAGGCCCUUCUCUCCUUUCCUAUAUGGCCCAUUAAGGCCCAGUACUUCCCAAGGCGAAUUCCCGUAACUCUCCGGGACUCCGAAAAAUACCCGAGUCACUCGGAACCUUUCCGAUAUCCGAAUAUAGCCUUCCAAUAUAUCGAUCUUUACGUCUCAUCCAUUUCGAGACUCCUCAUCAUGUCCGUGAUCUCAUCUGGGACCGUGAACAACCUUCGGUACAUCAAAUCACUUUACUCAUAAUACAAAUCGUCACCGAACGUUAAGCGUGCGGACCUACAGGUUCGAGAACUAUGUAGACAUGACCGAGGCACAUCUCCGGUCAAUAACCAAUAGAGGAAUCUGGAUGCUCGUAUUGGCUCCUACAUAUUCUAUGAAUAUCUUUAUCGGUCAAAGCGCAUAACAACAUACGUUGUUCCCUUUGUCAUCGAUAUGUUACUUGCCCGAGAUUCGAUCGUCGGUAUCCUCAUACCUAGUUCAAUCUCGUUACUGGCAAGUAUCUUUACUCGUUCCAUAAUGCAUCAUCAUGUAACUAACUCUUUAGUCACAUUGCUUGCAAGGCUUAUAGUGAUGAGCAUUACCGACAGGGCCCAGAGAUACCUCUCCGACAAUCGGAGUGACAAAUCAUACUCUCGAUCUAUGCCAACUCAACAAAUACCAUCGGAGACACCUGUGGAGCAUGUUUAUAAUCACCCAGUUAUGUUGUGACGUUUGAUAGCACACUAAGUGUUCCUCUGGUAUUCGGGAGUUGCAUAAUCUCAUAGUCAUAGGAACAUGUAUAAGUCAUGAAGAAAGCAAUAGCAACAAACUAAAUGAUCAUAGUGCUAAGCGAAUGGAUGGGUCUUGUCCAUCACAUCAUUCUCUAAUGAUGUGAUCAUGUUCAUCAAAUGACAACACAUGUCUAUGGCUAGGAAACUUAACCAUCUUUGAUUAAUGAGCUAGUCAAGUAGAGGCAUACUAGGGACACUCUGUUUGUCUAUGUAUUCACACAUGUAUGAAGUUUCCGGUUAAUACAAUUCUAGCAUGAAUAAUAAACAUUUAUCAUGAUAUAAGGAAAUAUAAAUAACAACUUUAUUACUGCCUCUAGGGCAUAUUUCCUUCAGGGAGGGGAAGGGAGGGGCUCUGGGGAAGCAUGUUGGGGGCAAAGAGGGGAAAACAAUGAAGUUACCAAAGCAGCCCUUUUCCGUUCAUGUGGCAGGGGUAAAACAGGAAUAUCACAAGGCUAAACUUUCGGGCACGAGAUAUUUCGAUGUGAGCGGGAAGUUUGAUAGCUUUUGGUGCCUGAAAUUAAGUGUUUUGCUCGUACGACCGACUAUGAUAUCAUGGCCGAGAAUUUAUUUGUUUUGCACGCAAAUAAAGUGCAAGUUUCGAAAAUCAAUGUCUCCAACUCGAAACUUAGAUUGUCCAUUCAAUUCAAAUAUGGAUCAUUGAGCUACUGUAAGCAAAUACUAUCAUAUGGUCCAAUUCAAAUGAAAUUUCAAAUGAGUUUAUCCUAAAUAUGAUGAUAAAAGCAAAAAUGUGUAUGUGUAUGAAUAAAAUGGAUGAUUAUAAAUUUUGAACAUGCCCGUGUGUGUAUAUCUCUAGGUUUGAUAUAUGAAUUUUAAAUCUCGAAAUCCGGCUUAAAAAAUGUACCUCCGUUUAAAUGACUUACAAAAGCUAAUGAUGGAGUCAAAUUCUAAGCUUAGGAUUGUAAUUAUGGUACUUCAAAGUAUAUCAUGCAUGUUCAAAAGUAUCAUUAUCUCAUAGUCCAAACUGAGAAACAAAUUGAUCAACCAUGAGUGCACACACUAUUGAUCAUAUAUAUCCCAAUUACGCUAAAGUCUCUCAAAUAUAGACACCUCACUCUUUAUCUAAAGCCACCCCCUCGUCCCCCACACACAACUCGCUCUCUCCCCCGGACACGAACACACGAGCACAUUAACACCCCCUCUCUUCUAAUGUCCGGAUCCAAAUAUAGGUAGGUCUCUAUCACUUUGUCUCUCGGUCAUGCACACAUCUCUUCCCCCACUCUCUAGGUCUCCCGGCAUCUCUCUUUCCCAAGCACAUGCACUAUAUAGAGUGUAUCAUUCCCAUACACACAAAAUGUCGCCCCCAAACGUCUAUCUCCCUAGUUAUGUGGUUCUCGCACACUCACCUCACACACCACCCCCACUGCAAACAAGCACACUUUGUCUCCUUGUGCACUUCUCUCCUCUUUCUAUCGCUCCCACAUGCGGACCCACCCCAGCUCCUUCACUAUAUACAUAUAUGUCAUGACUCUUUCCAUAGCUCCCUAUUGUAUCAUUGUUCUCAACCUUGCACGUUGUUCUCUACACCAUCUAUUCUAGAUCUCUCAUGAACUAUCACACAGAUGAUGACUCGCUUCCCUUGCAUCUCCGUAGAUAGGCCACUUUCGAACAACAUCAACAUUGUCUCCCUAUCUAUACGCCACUUUUGCACUCAAACGACCCCUCUCUCUCCCCCUCCUCUCUCUCUCUCUCUCUCGCUCACUAGCUCUCUCUCUCUCGCUCUCUCACAACAUCAACUAUGUACUACUUAUGGUUGAACUAUGCUUAUCUACGUGUACGCUUAUUAUCUAUGUUUGGGUAUGUUAGAUAUUUUGCCAAAUUUUGGUAAAAAUUACAACGGGGAACCAAUAAACCAGGAUGGAGGUAGUACGUCAGUCACACAUGGUUCCCAAAAUUGGAACCGUGUGCAAUGACUUUCAUUUUGCCUGCUACGUCAAUCACACAUGGUUCGCUCUAGCAAACCGUCGCCCCAAAAUUCUUUGUGGGACAGAAAACCGUCACCACCCAAUUCAAAAAAGAAAAAAGAAAACCCUCACCAUCCCCAUGUAACAAAAACCCUCAACCCGCCCGCCACCCCCUCGGCCCCUCCGGUACAUUCCCCAUUCACACCUGCACAAGCUCCUCCACGUCUAUGCCAUGGCACCGCCUAUCGCCGUGGUAAACACUUAGCUCGACGCCUGCCGCCGCCACCAGGCUGCUGGCAAUGCCCACCGCAUUUCGCCACUUCCGCUUGCUGCCGCCUAUCGCCAUCGACUUUCUCGACACUGCUCGCAGUCUACCCAGCUCUGCUCGGUUGGGGAAUCUGCCAUACUGAGGGUUCUUUCUCAUGGGCGACAAGGUAACUAAUUUACUGAGAUAUUAUCUCAUAUCUUAUCCCAGUUCAUCUGCCUCCUUUAGUCACCCAGCGGAAAUCGCCGUGAAUUCAUUUUUAUUUGAGCUGAUUUGAGGGCUUUCUUUCAUUCAUAGAAUGUAAAGUGCGCCGACACUUCAGGACUUGGUGACCGCCUCCAGAGAUUCCAUCUCAUCGUACGAGAUAACUUGAGGACACUCGCGGUAUGUUCAAUCUCACCCUAAAUCGGUUGGCAUGGCCUACUUUCCCGAACAUAAUCUAAAUAUUUCUACAUUUGCAUAAAAGGUGCCACAUGCACCAUAUACGUCAAAUGGGAUUUUUCCCCUCUUCUUUCUAUAUUAGGCAAAUUAAUGAUGUAUUGUUCUUUCGAUUACUCUCAUAUUUCCAUGACAUCAUGUUUACCCUAUUUGUUUAAUUAUGGACUUUUGUCCUUCGAUUUCAACGGCUGUACAGUUCUUUCAAUUUGGGCCUAUAUUUGCAUGUUACCAUAUUUUCUUUAACAAUCCUACCAUUUUCUGUAGGACAUCCCUCGCUAUACAACAGAUUAUGUAGUGCACAAUUUUUCCGUUUACAUACAUCAAGGCUCCAUGAAUGUCAUACUGCACACAAACCAUGGACUUACAAUCAUUGCUACUGUAAGACUUGAUGAACGUGGUGACUGCUAUUUUGGCACUGGCUUUUGGAAUGAAAUUGCAAAGUUUUAUGUACUGAAAGCUUUCACUAAAAUUGCACUGCACAUAGAAGGGUCUGGUCAUGAGAUAUAUGCUAACUUCCCCGACAAAAUCAUCCAUCCAGACUUUGUUUGAAGUAAGUUUUCUUUUCAACUAUCUGCAUAUGUUGGCUUACCCAACAAUGUCAAAGGAAUUGUGUAGUAUUUAAGCAACCAAUUGUUAUUCCCUUUUCUUACUAUAUCCCUACCUAAUAACUUCUAGUUACCAAUAAACUUUUCUAUUGCCCUGUUUUAACUAAAUAUUCCCUGUACUCCCAUUUCUAUCAGAAAGCGCCGCUGACAGGGAGACUCCAGAGGUGGAGAACAGGGCUGCCAACAAGCGGAGGCGGGGUGAGCUAGAACCGAAAGCGAGUCCAGCAGGCCUAGACUUAAUCAGCAGCCUCCCCGAUGAUAUGUUGAGAGUCAUCAUCUCCCUCCUCCCAAUCAAAUAUUGGGUGCGGACAACCCUCCUUUCCCGGCGGUGGUGCCCCCUAUGGAACUCCAGCCCUCUUGACCUCAUCGACACCCACGAGCUCUGCCAUGGCUAUUGCAAAAGAUUGGAUGCAUUCUCCAAGAUCCUUGGCAGUCACCUUGGCCCAACCAAAGGCCUUAGAAUGGGCAAGUUCCAUUCCAACGGCAAGGACCGAGCCAAGCUUGAUGACAGGUUCCGAUCCCCCGCCCUAGAUCAGCUCGAGGAGCUCACUUUUCAUGAUGGGCGUAUGCGGUCACUGCCAACAUCUGCACUCUACCUCACGCCCACGCCGCGCGUCGCCAAGUUCAAGAACUGUCAUUUCCCGCCCCUUAAUGACGUGCCCACUCUUAUUCUUCCACGACUGAAGCACCUCGAGCUUGUCGCCGUCUGCCUCUCAAAGGGUGACAUGGAGCGCCUGCUCCGUGGCUGUACUUCACUCGAGUACCUUCGUCUUCAGGCGAUCAAUGGGUUGAGUACCUUCCACAUCAUCUCCAUGACUCUUCGGACUAUUUAUGUGUGUCCAGGACACACAUGCACUUGAGAGAUUACUUGUAGUUGAUCAAGAAUGUCCAACAAGAAUCAAUGUCAUUUAUGCGCCGAAAUUGACAGUGGUGGGCUACUCGUCUAUCAAAUACUCUGAACUUGUUAUUGGAUCCACACCCGUUCAGGUACAACAGCUGCCUUCUACCUAUCCUUCUACAAAUUAACAUUAUUUCUAAUUUUUAAGAUGUUUGUUCGUCUGUCAUUCAGAAAAUGAUCUCGACAAGCUUGACCCCGAAAUUGCGCAUAGUGAUGGUCUUGGCACUAGAAUCUAUCGGGCCCGACCUGGAGCAAGUUAUCAUUUUCCUGAGAUGCUUUCCGUGCCUGGAGAAGCUAUAUAUCGAGGUGAUGUUCCUUUCUUGUUAAAUGUUAACCAUAAGGGAGUUCAAUUUGUGACACCUUUUUUCCAAGUUUACAAUGACAAUAUACUACAAUUUCUGAAGGUUCUUUUGGAGGAUUUCAGUACAUACAUGCUCCCCCCAUAUUGGUUGCUCGAUCCAUAUGGUUACAUUCAAUAAGCAUUUCUCCUCUGGAUUCAUCUAUACUAGUUUUAUUAGGGAACUUUUCAUCCACUCCAACAUCUUGUGAAGAAGGCUACUCUAAUCAAAUGCCCAUGUUAAUCAUGUCAGAUCGACGAUGGCAUGCUAGUGCAUUUUACAAAUCCUGCAAACCAAAUAGCCUGUUCAAAACUGCAUGUAGGCACUAAUACAUUUUCUUCUUUUGCAGAUAAGAUUAGGCCCUAUGGUGGAUAAUGUGAUACAAUAUAACAAUCACGUCGAAUGCCUAGAUCUGCAUCUCUCAAAAAUUACUUUGAACUCCUACCGAGGGACCUUACCAGAGAUUAUAUUCGCCGGAUUCUUUGUUCUCAGAGCAAGGGUGCUGAAGGAAAUGAGGUUUGACCUACAUUUAUUUUGCAAAAAUGAAUGGUCUGUUAAUCAACAUCGGCGCCUGCGACACAAUGGAGUAGGCUCCAAAAAUGCUGAAUUUCAUUUUGGAACUUCAGAUGACAGAAUAAUUGGAUGUCAUCGGGUCAACCCCAUACAUGACUUCUCAGUGGCUGACCCCUUUGCAAAAAUUGUGAGGUUUUGAAGACAGACUUAGAAGCGGUGAUAUUAGUUUGAACCUCUCUGAUAUGCAUGCUCAGCGCACCAGCGAGAGCGUUUGCAGCUGAUGAGCUGAAUUUCAUUUCUAAUAUCAGUUUGAACCUUGUAAUCUUCGAAUUUGAGCCAUAUAACUCUGGAAUUUGAACCUUGUAACAUUUCGAGCUUUUGUGGUACAAUCGUUGAAAUGGCAUCGUAUGAGACUCGUAUAUUGCUAGCACUAUUUUGACCUUAAUAUGCAAUAGUCUUAGAUUUUAUUAACCAUUCUCGAAUCAGUUUACCUUGUCGAUCUCAUAGCACACGAUCUGUAUAGCUAACUCCACUGCGAUCUUCGACAAUAUUGCACACCGUUGGUUUCUUCCACUAUGUGCACUAUAGAGCGCAAAAUUAAUUAUUGCACUUGAGUGUCCAUCAUCACCCUUCUGUGUAACUUUGACCUCAUCACCCAAGGGUAAACUUAUGACCUAAGUUAUUCCACACACAUCGUUUUUACAAAGCCUUUUGCCAAUAAACGCCCACGAUUUGUCCCUCUUCUAGCCGACGCGUGGCCAAACUAGCCGGGCGGGAAGCUUGCGCGGUAAACAGCACAGUAGCACGGGAACAGGCUCUUCGAGCCCACGCCUGGGGUGCGGUGUUGUCAAGCGUGCACUGGAUUCUGGAAUCCUCCGUUAUGAAUGUUGUGACAAGACGUGACGAUUACAGGCCAGCCAGGCCCCAUUUAUUCCAGCGGCCAUUUAACCUACCAUUGUGUCUCUUCAACCUUUUGAUCGCGCCCCACCAUUGCAAGAAGCACACCCACCAUGAGAAAUUCUAAGAGGGUAUCCUACGCGGCUUCAAUGGCGCUCUGAGUGGCUGCGGACGACGAGCAUCAGUUCACCAUGCGUGCCAUGGUGGACACCCACAGAAGGUUCAUGUACCUCUCGGUGGUGUACACCAAUGACGCGGUCUGCGUGGAGCACUCCAUCCACAUCAUGGAGCUGUUGCUUGCCGAGGAGAAGUACAAGGUGGUCGGGUUCGACCUCGAGUACACCCGCGCUCGCGCCGGGUCUCGUCCCAAGGUCGUCAUCGCCCAGAUGCACAUGCGCCACCACGUCCUCGUCUACCACUACUGCCUGACCACAAGGCCUUGCAAGUGUUUCGCCAGGUUUGUCAACAGCCCCCACUAGGCCACUACAUGUUCGCUAUGGUAGACAUCACCAAUGAUGUAAAGGUGCUCAAGAAUUCGGUUAUCGCCUGCCAGAAUCUUGUCGACAUCCAGGGCCAAUACAAGAUCAGGGGCAGCAAGGAGCAUGAGAAGGACUCAUUGGUUCACUUCACUGAGGCCAUCAUCGACCCCUACUACAGGGACAUGAAGGAUUCGUGCAACAAGGACAAGCGUGUCCGGCACUCGGCCUGGAUGGAGAAACUCGACAAAGCUCAUGUCGUGUACGCGGCCAAGGAGGCAUACACGAGCUACAACAUGUACACGCGGAUCAUUGACAUGAGGAAGUCCCUCCUUCCCCAAAACGGCCACCAGCCGAAAGCAGAGCAAUGGCAAGCGUAGUCGCAACAAUAAGUAGAUGAUUAGAUCCUCGUUUCUCCUACUUUAGUAUGCAUGUAAUUGCUUUCUUUGGUGUGUGGAAAUGUUAUGUGUGUAGUCACUUGUGUAAUUGUAUGCUUAAUUUGGUUAUGCAAUGUUGUCUUUUUAAGUGUAUAUGUUGAUGUUGUAGACAGAGCGUAGAUGUUGUGCAGACAAAGAAAAUCACAUCGCACACAGACUAAACAAUGGAACCCGUCAGUGGUGUUUUCAUCAAUCACUCACAAUUGUAUACCAGCAAUCGUUUGCUCACAACACACACGGCUUGUUAGCAGUAAUCGUCUGUGUUGUUAUCGGUCUUCGCACACGUCUCCGAUUAUAGACCUGUUUGCCUCGGAUCACACACAUCUUGUUCAUUUGAACCGUUUCUGUUCUCAUGUCUCAACGCAAACAGUUCAUCCGAGUGAACCUCAUGUCGUAUAUCGCACACACCUUUGAUCUAGUUGACCGUUUCUUUUGUGUUGCCUAAUCACAAACAGUUCAUCCGAAUGAUCUGUAUGCUAUGUAUCGCACACGCCUUCAUCUGGCUGCCCGUUUCUUUUGCUCCUCCUCAUCGCAAAUAGUUCAUUGAACUGAACCGUAUGCCCUUCAUCGCACACGCAAAUAAAGCCUAAACCGUGUUUGAUGCAUCUGUCAUCGCAAACAUUUUACACAUUUCUGAUGGUUUUCAUAUAGCACCAUUUGCGAUUAUUGCAUCACACAUAGUUUAUCAAAGGGUCUCUUAUCGUAGUGUCGCAUUAGCAGCAUCCUGCAGUAGUGUCUCUCUAGCUCACAUGCACACCAAAAUUCUCCAUCUGUCUAACUCACACAUCUCUCCACAUGUCUGCAUGUGUAUCUCACACACUCACUCUCUGAUUAUGUCUAUGUGUCUCCAUGUUACACAACACAAAGCCCCGUGCACAUGUCUCUCUCUAUCCUCCACACAUAGAGACACAAAGAAUCUCUUAUCAUUGCCUUAGUCUCUACAUAUAUCACACACGCACGUUGUCUCUCUUGCACACACGCUCAACAAAGGUUUUCUCGUGAAUAAUUUACCGUCUAUUCAUUAACAGUCGUGGUAGUAUGGCGAACAUGAGACAUGAAAAAGAAUAAAUAUACACGUGCGUAAACCACCUAGUAUGACUACUAGGAGUACGGGACACCGAAAGUGCGCCGCCGUCACCCCCUACUUAUCAGCGACUAGAAAACCUUUGUUUUACACAGUCGAGAAGUCAUCGUGCUAAGGCCCCACAUGCUCAGCCGUUGAAUAGAAUGUAGAUCCAAGUUUAUGGAAACAAGUAUCGAUAAUACGUUUGUAUCUCCAUACAUAUAUCUCUUCUCUCUUAUAAAAACCCGAGUUGGUGAUGAUGGUAUGCCUGCCAUCUUGCAAUAUAGACCGUCCGAUCUAUAUCUGACGGAUAGAAAUUAAACUAAAAGAUACCCGCACCUCUCUCCACAUUUGCAAACAGGGCCUUCCCUCGUUCAUCCUCAAUUAUCUCUCACAACCUCAUUAUUGAGCAAUUAAAAAGGAAGCAUCUGGAACAAACUGGCAUGGUGGUCGUUGCCAUCAUUAUUGGUCCACCCCCAUGCCUCCUCUCAGUCCGAUGACCAAUCACCAUCACGCCCCACUCCCCCUCACCUUAUCUCUCCUCUUUCUCGAGAUAUCAUUAGUUUUUACACAUGGGCUUACUCCCGCAUCGGUCAAUCACAACAUGUGUUCUAUAAAAAAGGUGUCUUGAUGUUCCGUGAAAUGCACGGACAUCUUGCUAGUACUCCUACAGAAGACUUAGUUGGUGAUGACGGUGUGUCUGCCAUCCGUCAUUUCUGACCAUUAGAUCUACAUCUAACAACUAUGAGGUAAGUUGUUGCCUUUUCUCAACAACAUCGCACUUCUCUACUAAUUUGCAGAAAAACCCUUAAUUAGUAUCUUAAAACCAACCACAUCCCUCCCUCAGCUCACCAAAACAACCCAAGGAAUAUAUUCUGAUUGAAACAUAAUAUAUCUCUAGUGAUAUAUGUAUAACAAAAUUAGUGUUUUCUAUCAAGUUUGUGAAUACGUAUUAUUCUAAUUACGAUCCGCUGUAAGGCACGUGAAUAUUGCUAGUAUUUCCAACCAUGCAAAAAUGCUAGUAUUUCCAUAGUUUCGAGUUUUCCAUCAAGAUAUUACUCACUCAUGGUUGAUAUUUAGUUUGAAUUACGUACACAUAGGCAGUAUGUAACUAGCCAUGCUUAUUGGCUUCCAAAGCUUAACCUUCGCUCCUACUUACAUUAUGUAGAGUAUUUAACAAAAAGCUACCACUUUCAACCAGCCCUAGGAAGAAACUAUUUUACACAAAAAUAGCAAAAAUAUACCCAAAAUUUCUUAAUCCGUGCCAAAAAAACUACUACCUAGUGCCGAUUAGGAUCGUUUAAAACCGUUUAUGAUAGCAUGGCCCAGACGUCCGGGCUGACGAGGCAGCUUAAACCAACACAUUUUGUUUCACCAUUAACACGAGGGAUCCACAUCUGACCUUCUAUCCUGCUCUUCCUCCUCAAAUCAUUGUUUUUCCUGAACAUUACUUUAAACAGUACUGAUGCGUGUUCGUCGGUGGCACUGGUGAUGAGCGAGUUGGCCGCCGCUCCGCUGGACGGGUCGGACGCCAUGCUGGCCUUCGCGCGGGUUGGCUGGCUGGCCCGAGGGUGACUCACGCGCGAGCGAGCCACCGCGCUGGCCUUCGCUCGAGCCAGAUGGCUAACCUUAGUGCAGCGCACGUGAGCAAGCCGCCGCACCGUUGUGCCAACCUAGCUAGCAAACCUUGCAGACAAGCAGCUGGAUGCAUCCAGCAGGGUGUGUGCUAUCUUGGCUAGCUAGCGGUCGCGAGCGCCGGACAGAGCUGGCAUCCGGGCUCCCGAAAGAUGGGCUCCGCACCGCCAACAAUUUUGACCUUGCCUUCUGCUGGCGGCGGUAGCUGCGUCCCAUGGCCGCGGGUGACUAGGUGGACGGGCCGGAGGUAGGAGGUCACUCGUGGAUUUUUGUCCAAACUGACAUGUAAGUCCCACAAGUCAUAAUGCCUAACUUGCCGGUAGAAUAGAAGGCAUUGAAUUAAGGGGCGACAUGGGUUGAAACGUGCCUAUAACGGCACUUUGUAGAGUAGUUGUUUCUUGGUAGGGAUGGUUGGUAAGUGGUACUAGUAGUUUCUUGGCAUUAUUAGUGGUUUCUUGUAAGGAACAAUGUACUACCGACAAAAGGCGAUUCUAGGUUGCGUUGUACUCCAACGAGUAGUACUAGUGGUCGCAUGAGUGUAUAGCUCGUUUUGUGAGUUCGGUCCUGGCCGAACGCGUGGUGGCCUUUUUUAAAUAGUAACGUUGCUGUGAGCCAAUAUUGUACGCUGGUAGUUUGACUUUUGAAGUCGAAUGGACAUGUCACACCACAAUCUGGGUGCACUGGAUAGCCCAGCCACGUGAAUGGGUUUUCCCUCCCAUCAUCUUGUGGCUCGCUUACUAGAGUAGUACUCCUAUAUACUCGCCUGCAUGCUCGCCCGAGCCGCACAUCGCUUGCAGUUUCCUCGUCAGCUAGCAUAUUUAAACUAGCACCUUCCAAUUAAGCCAGAGGAGCCGGAAAAGCCUGGAGCGGCAUUGGGAAUUGUCUAAUAUUGCUCUAUACGUAAAGUGCUAGUACUCUACUACUCUGUAGCUUAUGGCAUUGCACGCAUGGACUUCGCUCCAUUAUUGGCACUAUAAAAUAAAUUCCUCUUGAUGUGAUUUUUUUUGUUUUGAAACGAGGCAAAAGCUUUGCCUCACCUCAUUCAUAAAGAACAAACUACUAACAAAGUUCGACGAGAUCCAUUACACCUCCACAAAUGGAAGAAAAAGCCUAGUCUCACUGUAUUAAAGAACUCAAAUGUUCUACCCCCACAGUAACCAUCACUGAUAAACAUGCUGCUAGUGUGUGCGUGAGAGGAGCGGUUGAGUAGGCCAGCUACAUGCUUGAAUAGAGCACAGAGAGUACGCACUACGCAGGUGUACUUUCCCUGCAAUGAUAGUACAACGAUAAUUCUAGAGAACAAUAGUACCCUCCACUUGCAACUGUAGCUCCUUGGCCUUGAGAUUCAAGAGUUGAAAGCUGGUGCACUAUAGAAGUACUAUACAUCGCACUACUAGUUGAGUAAGUAGUAGUAGUAGUAGUGGUACUACUACUACAGUACGAGUACGUUGUAAAUAAUAGCCACACCAUCGCGGGGCACGAGGCACUACCACUAUGUGUGCCCGCAUACGGGGCCCUCCAGUUACGCUCUUAUAUCCUCCUCGCCAGUUCCCUUCCCCCUCGAAGAGACCAAGGCAGUUCGUCAUUGCUCCCAUGGAUUCUCUAGGCGGUUCUCCUCCUCGUUGGGGCUGGGAGAACUUGGACGACGAUCCUCUGCGAGAAACCGCACGCCACUCCGACGUCCUCAUCGCCGUAAGACUCGGUGCUUCCUACACCAACUUUUUUAAGAAGGUGCUUAAACAGGCUUGGGAAAAGGCCAUGCUUGUUGGUCUUCCAUGCAUCCUCGAGGAGAAGGUUAUUCUAUGGGACGAUCCUUCGAACAGUCUACCGCUCAUUGGCCAUGGUUGCAUGUUGAAUCCGCUAAACUUGCCGACGUUGAGAGGUAGUCGGAUUUUGUCCGAUGAGCAGGUCAGUCAUGGAGUUUGAUCAUGUAGUACUUAGUUAUUCCAUCAUGUAGUUUCUCCAUUGCCCACCGUCUUAUAUAUAGGUCUGAGUUGGUUCCAACAAAGAUUGGCUUGCAUACCUCCGGCCGGAUACCACCAUCAUUUUGCACAACAUCCACAACAGUGCGGCCGUUCCCAUAGAACCCUUCUCCACCAUUGGGAUCGCCUUCUGGAUUGGCUGGGCUUGAAUACGUAUGAUGCUGCCUACAUGAGAUUGAAGAAGAUAGCAAUUACGGACCCGCCGACAAAGCGACGCAGCAACGAUGAUUACUAUCUCAUCGCGGUGUUCGACAUAAGGAUUGCCAUCAAUACAAAAGGCAAUAACGGCAAAGGCUGGCACAUGUUGGCCGCGGUAGAUUUGUACCCCUACACGUUCGAAGACGUCAUGCUGCAUGUAGGUUGCUUCUUCGCGGUGAUAAGCCAGGGGACUUCUUUCAUCUAGUUGCCAUCCUACGGUAGGGGAGAUUACAAACAGAAUGCACAAACCAUCAUUUGCAUCCCUAACGGUACUCCAUUAUUUUGCAGGGACCAGUCAUCCCCCGAUCAAAGUAACAUCGCCGAUCCUAGAUGUGCAUUUGCAUCCGCGAUUCGAUCUAACCUGGAACCCUGUAGCUGACUUUGGCAUAUUGGGAUCAGCUAUCUUAGCAGUCGUUACCCAUGGUACCACUGAUGUGCAACAUGGUCACACAAUCUACCACAAUCUACCCAGGUAUUCCAUUUUCUCAUUGCUGUGUGUUAGAGUAGUAGAGUAGUAAUUGUUAGUUAUUUCCUUUUCUUGAUUGGGACAUGUUUACUGUACUAGUAGAACAAUUUAGUAUUAUAUUUUUAACCUUCUCGCCUUCUCUUUCAUUGUUGUACUACUUAGUAGUACUAGUAGGAGUACUUUUUACCAUCGAGGACGCGUAUAGCUAGCUAGGCCCUUGAAGACUUGAACCCACUAGCUCCCACCAUUUUUGUUUUUCCAUGUCUUACUAUCUCAUCCAUGUAGUCAAGAGUGGCUAUAUAUAAUAACCCGGUUAUUUUACUUCCUCUAUACCGGAGUAGUACUAUUUGCUGCACAGUAUUACUGACCGCCAUAUUUGAGCACAACAUUAUUAUGCAUGGACCUGGACGAUGUACAUAACCAUGUGUCCAGAUCUGAGAUGUCGCGUGUACCAGAUGAACGGCGCCGAGUUUGACCCCCGUGGUGCUAUGUGGGUGCCGAGGAACACUCUUGGAGAGUACUCACUUUUAAUUGUGGAAAGCUACCCCAUUUUGAAGCGGAUGCCACAUUCCGUGCAUGACACCGAAGGCCUGCCAUUCAUGAAGCAUGGUUGUGUCUUCAGUGCGCACCGCCGGAUGAACGACAUGCUGGGACAGGCUAUCCCUAAUUUAUGCUGCUUCAGCUUGGAUGAGUCUCCAUCAUGUGGAACCGGACUAGAAAGUUGUGACAAUGAUUCCCAUUGCCCACCUCUAUGGAUCGUGCCAUCCAUGAAGAACACCUGGGACUGGAACCUAGAGGAGGACAUGGAGCCGACAUCUAUAACGUGUAAGUGGAGUAUGGUAAACUGUGAAUGGUAGCGCUGUGAAUAUAUGUAGACUUGUCGUGCACAAAUUUAUCACAUGAGGUGGAGAUGAACUUGUGUGGCAUACUGACAUUUGUCCUUUAGAAUUUAUUACUAGUAAGUGUGUUAUGUGUACGUGCAACUUGUGUGGUUGUUGCAUGGGCUCCAACAUGCUCUUUGAGAAAAAAGGGUAGCACAGCUUUGGAUAUAGGUGAUGUGGCGGCAUCAUAUAGUAGCAUUGUUCGCUAUAAUUGUAGUACUCCUACUAGGAUGACAACUCCUAUUAAACCUUGCGCUUGGCUCGUUGCCUCUUCGAGAGGUUCAACAGUUCAUGCUUGUGUGAACCUUGCACUUGGCUCUUCGCCUCUUCGAAAGGUCCAAGAAUGACGAUACUACAGUACAAUAUGCUUCUGGCAAUCUGACACCGAAUGAACUGCUGCACGUCCACCGCGAGGGCAAGGGCGAGGGAGAGGGAGAGGGCAUUGUAGUCAAAACCCUCUCCUCGUCCUGCGAGCCACCGCGCGCGUGGGCGAGGGAGAGGACGUAGGCAUACGUAGUAAGCAAGAUUCUCCUUGUCCUGUCAGCCACCGCGCGUGGGCGAGGGAGAGGGCGUAGUAAGCAAGCUUCUCCUCGUUCGGCGAGUUGACAGGACACAUCAAAGCAGUACUAGUCCAUAAUGCGUCCUUUCCGGUAAAUAUGGCUUAAUUUGAAACAAGAAAAAUACACUAGCGGUCAACGUAUGUAACAAUACGCUCAUUACGGUCACUAUAUAGUUUUGCGGUGAUUAUACGGUCACUAGCUCACAGUAGAGCACCGUAUUGCACCCUACUGACUGGACACAUAGUCGACGUGGCACUUUGUUGAGUGGUUAAAUUGACACCUGGUUUUUGGGUCCCACCUGUCAGUGCGCAGAGCAAAGAAAUCAGUUAACAAAACUUUACGCAGGCGCGGUAGGAGUCCAACCCUUGCGCGCGAACCAUCCUGGCUGUGUAUGUGAGUGCAUGCACGUGUACUCCCUCAAUCUUCCAACAAAGAGUGUACAUACAUCUACACUUCCAAUGCACUCAGGCUUUAAUCUAAUCGAUAUUGAUUAACUAAUGCACCAACUUGUGCUCUAGCUAUAGGCUACAUGUCUAUCCUUAAUUACAGCAUGCAACAACCUUGAUUUAAUCUUCUUCUUUCAAUGGUCGCAUGCACACAUAAGUCUGCUACUUUUGGGCAUUAAUUAUGCCAUGAAGUUCUGGUUCCUCAUGGUCAAUGUGAAAAUAUCUAUAUGUACAGUCUUUCACGGACGAAGGGAGUAGGUUGAGCACUUGAGCGUGAGCGUGUGUAUUGCGUCGUGUGCCGUGUGCCACAUGCAUGCGUGAAUGUUGUGUGCAUGCAUGUGUACGUGUGAGUGUUGCAUGUUGCAUGCAUGCAUGAGGAUUUUACUCCCUCCCAUUGACAUAUUCAUAUUUCAAGCUUCGUUAAAACAUUGCAUGCAAGAAUUAAGAGAAAACUCACCAAUGCGAGUAAAAGUUCUGGUCAUUUGUUCCUCACUCAUGCAUUCCAAUUAAUACAUUCGUAAACACAAUUUUCUUGAGGAAAACGAGCCCAUUAUUGAGUACUUCCGAAAAAAAAUCUUCAGGCACUCAUCAUUUACUACUACCUUGGUUGAUGAUUUUUUAUUGAUCUGUAUAUAAACCUCCAUCCUGGUUUAAUGGUCCCCUUCGUACUUAGCGUAAAAUUUUGACCAUAAAUUUAAAUAACAAAGUGGCAAUGCCUGUCAUGAAAACCUAUACCAUUAAAAACUAUGUUCAAGUACGAAUCUAGUGAUAUGAUUUUUGGUGAAAUGCAUUCGCAUUUUAUUAGUUAAAUAGAUGGUCAAAGUUUGACACAAAAUACUACUAGUACUCCUACAUUAUUGGCGUCGGGUGCCUUGGCCAAUGUUUCACCUUGUUGGACAGGAUAAGAGUAGAGGCAUAGGGAUACUGUAGAUAGGAAGUCUUGGCGAUCCAUUAUUCCACAUCUCGGUCAGAGAGAACUAUUCAACUAGUCUUCACAGUGGAAUGACAAUACACGUUGCAGCAGAUGGGACACUUAAUUAAUAUGUUGAACCAGCGUGUUGGUGUUACUAAAUCAGCGUUACCCAUUACUGACAUCAUGUUUGCCCGUGGAGCACACUUCCGCAAAUACGCCUACGCACCUCUCUCUUCCAUUAACUGACAUAUGGGCCCUCUUGAGGUAGACCCACAUGUCAUCGGAUUAACUAUUUAGACUCUGAAGGACGGCAUAUCCUCGUAGUAGUACUAGUAGAAUUGAGAUUUAAUGCACUUUCUUCCCUGUCUUUCCAUCUUGUUCCUCCUCUCUUCUUCUUCCUCCUCUCCUCCCCAUCGUCGGCCGCAGACCAUUACCCCCCGCUCACUGCUCGCCCGCCUAUGCCAUCUUCCUUGGUAGCUCGCGCGUACCAUAUCCCCCCGCUCACUGCUCGGCCACACACACCAUCUUCUUCGCUCGCCCGCCCGAGUCCACUUCCCCGCUCGCUCGCAGGCACCGAAAACCCCAAUCACUCAGCGCCCUAACAAACCCUAUGGCAGAAUCGACUGACACGGAGAGCCAUGAUUGGAAUUCCAACCCCGAUGUUCUCUUGGAGCAAAUCUAUAAACGUAUGGACCUGCUCAGCACCGUCUGUCUGGCCGCAUGCUCAGUGUCCUUGUACCGUCUACUCGUCUACAACCGGCCAGCCCUUUUCAAGACACACUGCUUGAUGAUGCCUGAUCCUUGCAUUUGGCCCAGACACCAACUUGAGAAUCCUACAGAGGUUGCCGUGGUGCCCCUUGACAUUCUACCACUACCCGUCCACCUAUCCUUCAUGCGCAGCCACUACUGGGCGGGUAUGAAGGCCAACUGGAUCGUCCUCAUCCACCAAUCCGGUAGUCCGUGGCAUCUCGUGGAUAUCUACACCCAGCGAGAGAUCACCCUUCCAUCAUUGGAUACCGCCACCAUUGAGCCUUGCGGCCAGCCGAACACUCCUGCCUAUUAUGCACAAGACGCGUCGAGCUUUUGGUGCAACCUCUGUUUGCUGAAGGUUGUAAUCUGCAAAGUGCCCACACCAUCAGAAGACUACAUGGAUUACAAGCUCAUUGCCUUGUUCGACAUGGGAUUAGUCUAUCUGGAAUCCGGUCGCCGUACAUGGUUAUGGCUCAUGGUCAAUCCUGUUGAGCCUCCAUUUCUGUCUGAUGCUAUAGUGCACAAUGGCAUCGUUUACGAGAUUGACGCACAGAUUGGCUUCCUAUACUGGUGUAAUCUAUUGUCAUGUAAUUGUUCUAUCUCAUCUCAUCUUUACCUUAUGAAUACGACUGCCUGUUGAUUAUUACAAAUUUAGAAUAGAUAGUAUGUCUAUAACCACAUCAUUGCUAUAUGUUCCUCUCAUUUCCUAGAUUUUUACGACCACUCAUGUUAUUGUUAGAGUUGAUAUGAGAACUAUUAGCAUCUAAUGAUUGUUAGAAUAGAUAUUACGAGUAUAACCUCAUGAUUGCUAUAUGUUACUCUCAUUUCCAAGAUUUUUAUAACCACACAUGUUAUUGUUUAGAGUUAACAUGAGAACAAUAGUAAGUGCUAUGGUAGAAUAUGAGUAGGCCAUAUCAUAGAUGUUUCCCUCUCAUUUUUACAUGAUGUUUGAACUAUGACAUAUUGCUAGAAUAUGAAAGCCAUUUGGCUUUUUUAACUUGGGGUAUGAUUAUGACCACAACAUUGCAAUUCUCUGUCUAUGAUAUGUAUCACUGCUAUAAUAAUCUUAAUUCCACACAUACUUUGAACAUGAUUGUAUAUUUUUGUCCUUUUGGUCUCCAAUUUGAUUUGUUGCAGCAGAUGCAAAUGCGCUGACCUUCAUAAUUCUAGGACCCGGAAUCAUACCAGUCAAUGGGUGGUGUUUUAUCGCUCGUUCAACUGACGGUGGUCAUUUGAUGCUCAUUUGCACGUACCAAAUUGACCAAACCAUUUCAUCAAACCACAUGCAGUACAAUGUCUGGGGCAUUCAUGACUGUGAUUGCUAUGGCUGCUUCGUGUUCGAGAAAGAUCCCAGCUCCAUGGGGCCAGGCGUAUUCAAUUGGAGGCAAGUUUACAGCCUCGGUAACCACUCCAUGUUCCUCGGGCUCGAUUAUCCAAUCAUCCAACCAAUCAUCUAUCAUAUCAUCGGCGAUGAUUACCGUGCUAUGCAACUUCCAUUCGACAGGGGGAAUUGUGUUUACACAUCAUACCAUGGGUUUCAUGAAUCACCAUAUCUAGAGAUUCGUCAUCACAGCUUGUUGCCAGAUAAUCUUCAUUGUGUGAAAGGCAUCAAGCUUCCAUGCGAUGAAUGGCUUCUGCAAAUCUGACAUGCGGUGAUGUGGUUCAUGCCAACAUCAAAUAUGCACAACUUGAUUCGUACUGAUAUCUAGAAUGAGCCAUGUAUCCUGCUGAUGUAGCAUGACCCUCUUUUGUUGGAUAUUAUGUACUGUUGUUAGUUUGAAGGAUAGAUACCUUUCUAGGAUCAAGUGCAUCCUAACUUACCUAUGUAGGAUGUACUGAUAAUGAUGAUGGAGAUGCUGUGUACAAGCCAUGUAUAUUAUGUAUUACUCAUGUAGCCUACAAAGUCUAUCGCACAACCAUGUAACUUCUUACUCCAUUUCUAAAUUUGGACUAGUCCUCUAUACCGUAUACUGAGCUACUCGUACUACUACCUCCCUCCUGGUUUAUUGGCCCCCAUCAUAAUUUGUGUCAAAUUUUGACCAUAAAUUUAACUAACUAAAUGUUAAUGCAUGUCACAAAAAAUUAUAUCGUUUGAUUCGUAUUUGAACAUAGUUUCCAAUGGUAUAAUUUUUGGUGACAUGCAUUGAUAUUUUGUUAGUUAAACCUAUGGUAAAAAUGUGACACUAAAUACGACUCGUAAGUAGUACAUUAGUAGUACUAGUAUAUGUCGGUCAAAUUCUUCAUCAUGUCCCCACAUUGAAUUAAAGUGACAACACGCUGUGCACGAGGUGACACAAGAGUCCUGACGGCCUGUUUGGCUCACCCCUCUCGUACUACAACAACACUCUCACAUUCUCUACAAAAUCACUCUCCCAUUCUCUACCGGUCUCCGCGCCUCCCAGCCACCACCUUGUUCCGAUCCAUUUGGUACGAUGAGCGAUGAGCUACUGGAGUUGCUAUACUUCAUUGCAAGUAGUCAAAAGGAAUACGCUGAAAAAAUCGAUCUCAACAAGGAUGCUCUUCAAGCUAGCCGGAUGAAGGAACCAGCGAGGCCGCUCCAGUGAGUAUUCGUCCCGUCGCCCUGUAUUAUGAUUUCGAUCUUUAUGGGGGUUUAAGUCUGUAGAGUCUACAUGUAGUAAUGAAGCCGGGACUCCAGUUUGUUCGGGUAUUGUGCACUUCAGAUUUGGAGUACCACGUAUCUGUCAAAAUCUUUCAUCAUUUACUUAAAACAGUCGAUUGAUCAUACAUUGAGUACCAUUUAACUGGAAUUAACUAAUGCAAGUCCAAGAAGGAUUGGUCGGUGCUGCCGGCUGGCGUCAAAUUCGAUCCCAUGGAUCAGGAGUUGAUCGAGCACCUUGAGGCCAAAGUGAGUGCUGACAGCGCGAGAUCUCACCCUCUCAUCGGUUUGUUCAUGCCAACCAUCGACAGUGAUCACAACAUAUGCUACACCCAUCCUGAGAAACUUCCAGGUGAUACACCGAUCGGCCGUCUACUUGCACACACAUAUUCCUUUGUUUAUAGCUCUAUUUUUCUUUUUAGACGCAGACCUAGUGAAGAAAUUACAAUUUGACAGUUAAUAAAUAGUGAAACAAGUGACUACAACGUACCAAAGAUGUUAUGAAAAUGCCAACUACGUACAGUAAAACCUGUAUUCGACAAUACCGUGGGUAUCACACUAAGUGGCCUAAGCAAGAUUUCUUCUAGAGCAACUCCAAGGAGUUCAAAAGGGGCAUGCGGGCGCAUCGCAAGAUGCAGUCAGAGUGCGGCGUGCACGCGGUGUGGCACAAGACCGGCAAUACCUUGCCGGUGAUGGUCAGCGGCCGGCAGACUUGCAACAAAAAGGUUCUGGUGCUGCACACCAACAAGAACUUCGACCAGCUGAGGACCAACUGGGUGAUGCACCAGUACCACCUCGGGAACUUGGAGCAAGAGAAGGAGCGGGAGCUGGUCCUCUGCAAGAUUUUCUACUAGACGAACACUAGGGCCAGGACUAAAAAGAUUAUAAGUUAGAUUGGUAUUAGUACUUGUACUACAUGGUCGUCUGUAAGUUGGUAUUGUUGUUAAGGAUCUUUAGGUAUGAACUUGGGAUUUGCUUCCAACCAUGAUGUCGAGGGUCGACGUGGUUAUAAAGCCGAAUCAUUUGUUUCGAAAUGAAUUUUCAGGCACCUGAUUUUUAUUUGAUGGGUAGCAUAAGCACCUGCCGUUCGAAUUCCCAGUUCUCCAAAAAAUUUACAUCUUUGAACUACACAGAGGAUCCAUCCGGUUUCACAGGCUGAUAGGUGGACGUAGCACGUCGGAACUGGGCUGUGGCAUGCCAAGCCCAGCUGCAAAUUGUUAAAAGAGAGGAGCGAUGGAUUUGGGCCUUCCAAAAUAGUUAAGUGUCGCGACCUCGAUCGUGAAGUGCCUCCCAUGGUCUAAAAAAGGCCUAUUCCAUUAUUAUUAGUUCAAAUAUGUAAAAUAUUCCACAACGAAAAUAAAUAUGUAAAAUCCAAUGAAUUUUGUUCGCUUUCUCUGAAAACCAUCCGAUUUGCAUAAAAUUCGUUCAUGGAACCACAACACGGCUGUCCAUGGCCGUACGCAAGCAAGUGCAUGCACUUAUUAUCAUGAUGGAAAAAUAAUGUUGACGUAUGAGAUGGUGAAACCCAUGAAGUCUUCAACAUAGUCAAUAAAUGGGAGAAUUCUGCAAUUACAGACUGAUAACUAGGAUCCAGCAGGUAUAUUGUUUUUUCAGGUCGAGCAAGUUUCAACUGGGUUUUAGACUGCCCAGGCUUGGUUUUGUUUUUAACAGGCCCAACCCAUGACGAUAACGGGGCACAAAGAUCCAGUAGGUAUGUACUGGCCUCUGGCCCGCCAGCCUUACUGAAUCAAACACACAACCCAAUUUUAUUUUCCUCUUGAAACGCCAUGUCAUACUUCCGUUUUCUAACCUCUACCUAUAGUUUUACUAGUUCAUAUACAUGUAUUAUUAUAUCCUAUUGAAGAUACAUAAAGUUCCCUUUUCAUCUUUACAUCAUUUUUCUUUUACCUCCCAACGCUGAUUUUUUUACCACUGGUUUUCCCUAAAACCAACUCAAUUGUCCCACUCUUAUUAGCUCACAAAAACAAAAAGAUAUUUUUUUGGCAAAUCAAUAAGUUCUUAAAAAAUAAAUGUUUAUAUUUCUGCAUUAAAACAGUUCGGGCUCCACUGAAAUAUGCAAAAUAAGGUUCAACCUUUUGACCAUGGGCCUACUAAGUUCAUGCAUACACAAGGUUUCUCAAAAAAGAAACUUAGUCAACAAUCGACUCUACCAGCGUCAGACCGUUAGAUGUCAAUCUAUUGGCAAUCGUGCUUCUUCAGUCUCUGAUCUUCCUGCUCCAACCGCCCAAACCAGCGCCGGCGGAAACGCGUAUUCUCGCCUCCUGUGGCCGGCUAUGCUGCCGGGCAGGCCUCACGGCCCCACCAUACUCGCAUCCCUGGCCUGGCUAUCCCUCUACUCAUCCACACCUCCUGUUAUUCUCCGGCGACGGCAGCCUCACACUGCGGCCGAACAAGUAAACCCUCGCACCCACUUAGGAAGUGUCUCCUUAUUACACGCAAAAUAAUGAUUCCUCCUCCUGAUAGUUAGGACCCACCGGAAGGGCCUUUGUAUUCCGAGAAAAAACACCCCCCUUGCUGACAGCUCGGAUCCACCAGCUAUUACACACAAAAAUAAUGAAUAGCCCCGCUGCUAGGUCAGUCCCACCAUAUUUGGAGGCUGACUUGUGGGCCUACUAAGUUGACGCGGACGCAGGGCUUUGUCAACUUAGUCAAUAUAAAUGAUUUCUAGCUGCGGUGAUCAUACGAUGUCCAUCCAACGGUCGUCGUGCUUCUUCAACCUUUGGUCUUCUUGCUCCUGCCGCUCAAACCAGCGCCGGCCGUGCCGCCUGCUCCUGCCUCAAGUGGCCGGCUGUGCUGCCACGUAGGCCUCACCGCCCCACCCUACUCCCACCACUGGCCAGGCCUUCCCUCUACUCACCCACACCCCUUGUUAUUCUCCGGAGAUGGUAGCCUCAAACCGUAGUCGAAGCAGUCAACCCUCGUACUACUACGUAUUCCCCAGCUCCGGGUCAUUCCCUUCCUAGGUCGCAUCAUCGUCCACCACCUUGGUGCUCUCGGGUGGUACAGCAUCGUCAACGCGGUCAACGAACGACGGGCAUCAGGAGAGGAUUGUAAGUGGAGAGGCUGAUAGUUGUUUCCAUGGCCGUAUGCAAGGAAGUUCCUCCUUAUUACGCGCAAAAUAAUGAUUCCUCCACCUGACACCUCGGACCUAUCGGAAGGGCCUCUGUAUUUCACAAAAAAAGGUUCCCCCCUAAUAGCUGGGACUCACCGGCUUUAUCUUCGCACAGAAGGAACUGCCUUCUUACCCCCUGAUAGCUGGGACCCACCAGGUUGAAGCGAAGGUAGCGUUAUCUGUCCGGCCGCGAAUGUGUAUGUACGUAGCAGUAGAUCGUUCUCUCUGAGGCGAUGUACCAUGGCUGAGGAAGGAGCAACACGUGUUGAAGUAGAGGUGCCGAUGUAGCAUGUCACGCGGUCCCGUCUAUAUCAUGUGCACUUACAUACGACCACGCUGCAAGAUAGUAAAUACGGCUACGUACGUACAUACGUGUGGGGUCUCAAACGCAUACUCACGCAUAUGUACGACUAGGGCUUGUGUACAUGGAGAGGCAACGGACAGCAGCAACGACGUCCUAUUCAUCAGGCAGCCAACUGGCUGAGUCAGAACCUGUUCAGCGGGAGGCAACAAACUGGGUCGGAAUGCAUCCUGUUCAACUAGAGCCAACCAGCUUGGACAGAACAGCCGAAACGGGGUCCGACGUGCCGCAGUAUGGAGGAAACGGCCUUUUGUUCGACUGGCUACGGUCGAAACGGGGGUCCUGUUGAUCGGGAGGGGUGUGGUGUACCACAAAAUGGAGGAAACGGACUUGUGUUGGAGCGCGGUCGAAACGGGGGUUGUGUUGAUCGGGAGGGGUGUUGCGUACCGCAAAUCAGAGGAAAUGAACUUGUGUUGGAGUGCCUACGAUCGAAAUGGGGGUCCUAUUUAUCAGGAGGGGUGUGGCGUACCGCAAAACGGGACUCCAUGUGCUACUGUUCAUCCACCAUUGACUUCCUCCAGCCUCCACCUGCUAUUGUUCAUCCACCGUUGACUUCCUCCAGCCUCCACCAGCUCAUGUCCAUCCAGCCUGCACUGGCUACUAUUCAUCCAGCCCUCCAUGGGGUCUUGUUCAUCCAGCCUCCACUGGCUACUAUUCAACCAGCCCUCCAUGGGGUCCUAUUCCACCAGCCCCUCCACGGGGUCCUGUUCAACCAGCCUUCCACGGGGUCCCUCCACCGGCUACUAUCCAUCCACCCCCACCUCCUCGAUCAGGGUCCUGUUCAUCCAGUGGCAACGUUCUCUACUACCACGAGAUCCUGUUCAUCCAACCCACACCGGGAACUAUUCAUCCAACCCCCAUCGGGAACUGUUCAUCAAGAGGCAACUUCGAUCGGCUUCAGUUAGCAGCAAUAGCGAAGGAAUCACUCAGGUCCAGUUAACAGCAAGGGAUCAAUCAGGGUUCAGUAACGUAGCUAGUCCAAUCGCUCGAGUUCAGUUAGAGCCCAACGCCUCGCUCGGGUUUAGUUAGAGUGCAACACAUUGCACACACGUGCAAACCUCCGUGCAUCGCUCGACCCCGACCACCCACCGUAACCGGGAACUCCCCGAAAUUUUUUCCUCGCCCUCGGUUCUACCAUGAUUUUUUCCAUCAUGGACGGCCCAAAGAAUGGCAUGCAGGUGCAUCUCCGGCCUUCCCAGGACGAAAAGCCCAUUUUCUGUCAUGAUUUUUUGUCAUAGAAGUAGGAGCCCACCACAUCUAUGAUGAUACCGGGUUUUGUCACAAUUAUUGUCAUAGAAGUGCCAUAAGCAUGACAGAAAAUAAUCGUUCAGCCCAAAAUGUCAUAGAUGUGUCUUUUUUAUAGCGAUAUGAAUCUAUAAUGUAUUAAUGUAAUUCAUUCAUGUGUGUAGUAUGAUUCUAGAGAAGAUGUGUACAAGGGCAAUGUCGCGUCCUUCAAAGCGAAGGAGGAGGAGAAGAUCAAGGCCAAGGGAGUUGCUUCCUUCUACAACCGCAAGAUCAAGAAGUGGCACUGUCCCUACUACACCACCAAGCCAAAGCCAAAGGAUGGCCGCUUCGAUCACGUUGUGUCUCAUGCAGAGGAUGUAGUGAUUCGCUGGGAGGACUACGAGAUCAGGCGGCAGCAUGUUGCCCUCGCGAAGGCCCUGACUCCUUUUCCGGUGUGAUGUGAUGAUGUUUUAUCUUUUACUGUUGGUAAACUGAAUGUGGCUAUUGGGUAAACUUUGUGUGAUGGUAUCUAAACUUUGUGUGUGAUCUAUGGUAGUAAUGUAUUAUGCUAUCUAUAUUUGUCUGUACUUAAAUUUGCCUGUGGUGUAUGGUAUGUUCUGUUUAGAUGUUCUGAGCUAUGAUUUUAGGUGCUGCAAUGAUCACACAUGUUGCUUCAGUGUUGCUUCACUAAUCAGACAUGUUGCGAAGAAUAAGCAAAAGGAGCAAAUAGUCCAUCAUUUGAUCAAAUAUUCCAAUAACAAAUGAAAUGUUCCAAUUUGAAUUUGAGGCAAAAUUUGAAUUUGAACCAACACUUGAAGUCCAUUUCCCUGUGGUGUGAUGUUGCAAAGUUUGCUGAACUAUUAUAAAUGUUAGGUGAUCAAUAUGAUCUCUUUUGUGUUGUAAAACUUAUAGUCAGGAGAAAUGUGCACCAAAUGAGCUCCAUUUGUAAUCAAGUUUUUUUGGACCUACUCAAAAUGAGCCAAAUAUUUUUUAUUAACACCUAUUCAAUCUAUAUAGUGUAGAUUCGAAGUAUCACUAUUUAUUGAAUUCAUAUUCAUAUUUUUACAUUUUCUUUUUGAAAAAAUUAUGCUUUAAUACAAAACCAUUAAAACAUGUUUAAAAUAUGAAAAUGGAAAACUAAGUUCAGAUCCUUCUUAUUCACUUUAAAAUCAAGAUUUGGUGAAUUUUUAUUUUUUUAAUCUUUCAAAAACCUAAGGGAACCCUACCUCCUCUCCUUGAAUUCUCUGGAACGUUGUACAUGAUAGCUCAUAUGUGUGAAGGUUUUUUCAUGAAAAUGUCCACAUACCAAGUUUAUGAUUUUUGGUUGGUAACAUGUCACAUAUGAUAACAUUGUGCGCAGGUUUUAUAUAUUUUUUGAAUUUUUUCAAAUUAAUGGUGCUCAUUUGACCUGGAUCAUGCCACCUAGGUUUUUUUGUCUGAAAAUUUCCGUAUACCAAGUUUAGUAUUUUCCUUGUUAGUGUGUCUAAUAAAACGACGAACGGUGAAGGUUUCAUAUUUUUUCUAUUUUUUAAAAAUUAGUUAUGCUCAGUCAAAGCAUAGAUAACCCCGUUGACCAGCUCAAAACCCCGCGGGGUUUCGCCUAACCCUAGCUUCGAACAUCAAUCGUCCGAUUAUACACUAGCGCCAAGCAACAACCCUCAAAUAUGGUCUUCUAGAUGGGCCGGCUGCGUGCAGGCUCCGCGCCGUUGGAUCAGAUGGACGGCUCCGCAUUGUUGGAUCGUGGGGCGAUCCGUGAGAUAUUCUCCCAUUGGUUGUGCUCACCCACCAGUGACUCUGCAAAAAAACAUAGUUAUUGGGCCCAAAAUGAAACCAAUCUCUGGUUGGGCCGUCACAUUGGCUCUAUUUUUUGCUUGACGCUUGUAUUGAUUGCACCUACAGAGAUUGAGUUCCCGAUGCCGCGGUGGGUGUGAAAACGAGCUAGUUCACAUUUGACCCCAUUACUGCCAUGGCGAAAUAACAUGUCGCACUACGGCUAUUUAAGCCAUCCAUCAUCCUCUUCUUCCUCUCACAUCCCUCAUUUAUCUCCCAUCCUCUUCCAUCUGCCCUUCUUGUUCUUCGACCCAAUCUUCUUCGACCCCUUCUCCUUCUUCUUCACAUCCCUUAGCCACGCAGUACACCGGACCAACCUACCGCUUCCCACCCAUCGUGCCGGAGAGGCUCUACACUGCCGGCGUGUACGUUGAGCAUACACUACGUGUGUGGGUGUAACAACCUGACCCAAAAUCGACCAAGUGUCUGUGUAUCUAUACCAUCCCAAGAUCAUGCUGGCACACACAGUACAUUGAUGAAAAAUUCGAAGCUCAAUCGCACCUGAUUUAUUACACGAUUCUCAUAUAGAUUCUUUAUUACAAUAGAAUAAAUUCGACCGAAGGCUAACUUAUGAUAAAUAAAACCAAAUGUUGCAGAAGCAUAAAUGAUAAGCGAGUCCAUCCGACUCCAUAGGGCAAUCACCGACCGUAGAUCGUAGCCUCACUCCUGGUAGAAAAACUCCUCUGCAACAUGAGACGUUGCAGCCAUGUAGGUUAGCAUUUUGAAUAUGCCCGCAAGUCAUAGAGAGAACAACAAUAAUAAUUCUAACACAAUAUGCAAUUUGGCUGUGGGGCUCUAAGUUUUAUGUUUUUGCGAAAAAGCCAAUUUUCCCUACAACAAAGGACUUGCUUGCAAUUACUACAAAAUGUUGGUUGUUAAUGAGAUGGUUUUGCCAACCAGUGUCUCAUACCCGAAAUCAUUAAUAACCCAUCAAUUAAUUAAUUAUGUUCGGUGUUGAGAUUUCCGAAAUACUCCAAUUCGAUAGGCUCAUUUGUCCGUAAUCGGGGACACGGCUAAUCGAUUAGGUUUAUACUCUGCAGAGUCUUGUACAAUUUACCCGCAAGAAUAGUUCCCUCCUUUAUGUCCUCCCACUUCCUGGUGUUUGAAGAUGGGACGAAUGAAACAGGGUCUUCCGUAGAGUUCCUCUGGCCACUGUCGGUGCCCAUCCAAUCCUACCGUUCUUCUACAUCCUCUGGCCAGAGUCACGCCAAGGGUCGACCAAGCCAGAGUCCAUAAUGGCUUGCGGCUGCAUAGGUAAGCUUACGGUCAAGGGGUAUCCAUCCGUCUCUUUGUGGCUGGGUGAAGCUUUCCGCAAGAGGUCAUGGCGCUUCUCCAUGCAUCCCGGCCAUUCGCUGGUUUCUCCAGGGUGCCAGUCAACCGUCUUGCACCCAGUAGUGAAUUUGAAGUCCAUCUUGAGAUUGAAGUCAUGGGGUUGUCAUCAUCUUCACUCUCACAUCUCCCUUAUGAAUCUCUCAAUCAACCCCAUCUACGAGCAUAGCAAAAUAAACUACAUUGACUCGGGCAAUGGUAACAAGUGGAAUUGGGUUCAACCUACCACAUGACACUACUCAAGAACAUAACUUAAAAUUCUCGUACUAUAUGCAUGGUGGGGAGGAAUAAUUCUAAUGCAACAAAUCAUAGGUACUGUAGAACAUGAUCAAAUGACUUGCCUGGCCGACGGUCUUCAAACGCUAGUGACUCAUGAUAGCAAGCUUCGCACUCCGGAAAUUUUAUUCGAAACAAACAAUAAAUACAUAAGCAUGCAACUAUACCAACAUAGUAACAUAACAGCAAGCUAUCAUACUUCACACAUAGACAAUUAACCAAAGCCAAAGAAAACCAAUUGAACUCCAAGCCAACAACUAGCAAACAUUAAAAUAAAAAAUUUCUCUUUCUAUAAAUAAAAGUUCACCAUCUAAAACUACAGAAACAAAUCUGAAAUAAAUUACAAUAGAGGUGGAAAUAAUUUCUAAAGCAAUUAAAACAACAGAAAACAGAAACAAAGUGACAUAAAGUAAAACAUAGUUGUUUUCGUGUAAAACUAAUUUUAAUAAAAUCUAUAAAUACCCAAAUUAAUCUUACUGCUACGCAAGGUCAAAACAAAAAAUUGACAAAAAGAAUCGCCUAAAAAUAUAAAUUCUAGCUCAUUUUAUAGCAGAAAUACUAAUCUGACUAAAACUCGUACAAAACAAUUUUUAACAACUAAAACAUGGCCAAAACUAUUUUAUACAGAAACUUUAGGAAAUUUGCAAAGAAUCAAUCAAAAACUCUAAAUAACCUAAGAGAUACAGAUUUUACAAGAUUGGAACUUUUCUGUUUUUUAAAACAGAACAGAAAUAAAACUAAAAAAUAAACAGGCGCUUGUCGGUGUACUAGAAUAGGGGUACCCUAGUACCCCGAACUUGUGCACGGGCAGUUGCAGCACCCCGCGGCAAAGGCUUGCCGGGCGAACGCCAAGAUCCCCCAAGGUUCCCCUGGAGCCAUCCAAGAACAAAGUAUUUAAGCUAAGGAGACAGGACCCCGGCAAGAGGAGCUUGCCGGGAAGGCCAACCAAGGCGCUCCAAGGAACUUGCCGUGACGUGCCACAUGCUCCGGCAAGGCAGCAAGGCCCCGGCAAGAGGAGCUUGCCGGGAAGACUAAACAAGGUACACCGAGGCCCGGUGAGCGACGAGCUUCUGGGCCCGGCGAAGAUAACGACAGCGGCAAGGCGCUUGCCGCGGCAGGCGGCCACUCUGCGUCCACGCUCCAGCGCACCCACCAACGUGUCGCUCUGGGGGCCUCUCCAAGCGCGUGGCGGGAGGCUGUGCAGCCAGCGGUGCGAAGUGGCAUGCGAAGCUGACAAGAUUGCCAUCGUGGCGAACGGUGGCGCCCCUAACGGUCCUUUUCUGCACUGUUCGGGCGACUCAGACGGGCAUUUAAUGCCCUUGUCCCCUGCCGUCAGGGUUAGGUAGGGUGCACUGUACAAGCAACUGUAUCAACUACCUCGCUUUUUACGUUUUUACCCUCCUCUGCGUUGCCACCUAUCGGUGACCCCUUUAGCGUAUAAAAGGAGGCCCAUGCGCAACGUAGAGGGGGUUCGGUUCGGAGCGUCAGACAGUCGGCUUCGAUUCAUUCGUAGUCCAGAAAACAUCACGCUCUCGCUCGAGAGCAAGAACACCAGAUAAUACAACCAAACAAGCAGCAGUAGGAGUGUUAUCUCUCCGGAGAGCUCUGAAGCUGGGUAAACUGCUCGUGUGCUUCACCUCGAUCUGCUCUUCGUGCGACCUCCGCCCCCUGCCGAACCGAAAGGGGCCCGGUCCGUCGGCCCCAUAGGUGUUCGUGGAUCAGUUUCCCCGACAUCUUUGGCGUGCCAGGUAGGGGGUGUUGAGAUUGUGUGAACCAGAUCCAGCGUUCACACGAGCUAGAUCUUUAUUCCCUUCAUCAACAUGCCACCGAAGAAGAAGACUUCGGCGGCGGCCGCUCCAUCCAUGUCACUUCCGCCACCGUUGGAGCAAAUGAGUGGUGGGAUGGACGCCGGCGGAAGAAAGGAUGUCGAUGAAGAAGCCCAUGAUGCCGCCAGGUCCAAGAACAAGGCUGCACAAACCUCGGCAACUGUACAUGUUCCACGCCACUCUCAGGAGGCGCAAGAUCAACAGCGUCAUGGCACUAGCAGCGCCAUACGCAUGAUAGCCCAAAACCAAGCUGGUGGAUCUCGGGACGCUCAAGACCAGCAUGCACGCCAGAGUGUUGCACGAGCGGGGCACGGUCGCCUGGACGGGAUACUGCUCCUUCUAACAUAGUUAGAAGUUCGAGCACGUCCCGCUCCUCGCGCCGUCCGCCACUGCCACCCACCACUCCAGCAGAAGCUUUGGCGCGAGCUCAACUUCUCCUAGAUUACCCUCCGACGCCGGACAAGAUCGACGAAUGGAGGGCUACCAUUCAGAGUCUCAUCGGCUAUGCCAACGACGACACUCCACGGCAGCCAAGCGCGUCGCCGCCGCGGCAAGACCGCCGGACGCGAGCCGGUGGCGACGAAACGGGCGGAGGUGCAACUACCAUGCAAUCACCGCCCCAAAGGCCAAUAUCGCCGACUCGCCGGAUCCACCUCGAUAGCGACUCCACUGCAUCGUCGGAUCCACGAGCUCGUCGCGAUCAGCGCCCAAGUUCUUCACGAUCGACAACAAGAAGACGCUCAAACCCGCAUCGAGCGCCGAAGAGAAGCGCGACGUCAAUCCGACAAGCGCGCUGGGCCCUCUGUUGACAUGCAUGCGCCAGGGGAACCAGACGAUCUGCCGUACGCAGUAGGUUGUCCUGCGUUCAUUCGUGAGCUGCGGCAAGUCCAAUGGCCCAGUACAAAGAACUUCAAGCCAGACGUACCGGAGAAGUAUGAUGGCAAGACGCAUCCGUCAGAGUUCCUCAGCAUCUACACCAUUGCGGUGCAAGCUGCUGGGGGACGAGAUGACAAGAUCCUUGCCAACUACUUCCCGCUGGUGCUCAAGCCCAACGUCAGAUCCUGGCUCAUGCACUUGCCGGACAACUCCAUUUCCUCUUGGGCUGGUCCGUGCCAUCAGUUUGUCGGCGCCUUUACAGGCGGACACAAGCCUCAUGGCCAGGAGAGUGAUCUUCAUCUGCUCGCCCAGAGGAAGGAGAGCCCCUGCGCAAGUACAUUCAGAGAUUCAGUAGUGUGCAGCACAACAUCCCAGACGUCCACCCUGCCGUGGUGAUCAGCGCGUUCCAUCAGAACAUGCGGAACCGCAGGAUGCGGGAGGAAAUGGCGAUGUGCAAGAUCAGGGACGUCAGUGAGUUAUAUGCACUGGCCAACAAGUGUGCGCAUGCUGAGGAAGGCAGGAGACUCCCCGGAGAAAAUAUAGGAGCGGGAGGAUCUGACAGCGAAGAUGCUGCCCCGACAAGGAAAAACCGGCGGCGGAACAACAGGAGGAGAAAAGGCAAAGAAGUGCUAGUUGUUGAGCAGUCCGGCAACGGUGGCAGCGUCAAGGAAGCCAAAGCUGGUGACUCCGGUAAGGAGGUUGCCGCGGAGGCAGCAGUCGCCGACAAGCAGGACGGCACCAACAAGCAGUAUUGCAAGAUUCACCGCACCAAGGGCCAUGAUCUUCAGAACUGUAAGAGAGUCGAGCAGCUUGUUGAGCAACAGAAAGCUGAAUACAAGCGGCGCGACAAGGAGAAGGCCCAGGAAGGAGCUGGUGGAUCCGGCAAGAAACGUCCCGGCCGAGGAGGACGCCGCGGCAAGGCCAAGCAGCGGCAAGGAGACAGACCUCCUCGCGGCCGCGACAAGGAUGAAGAUGACGGCGACGAUGAAGAUAUGGAUGAUGAGGAGACUGAUGAGCAGGAGUUCCAGAAAGCCACAGAGGUCCUGUGCGUUGACGGUGGUGCUUCUCUGCAUGCCUCGCACCACCAGCUCAAGCAGUGGGUGCGGGAAGUUAAUGCAGCAGAACCACCCGUCGAGUCACGCAAGCCUCUGAAAUGGUCCAGCACGCCUAUCAUCUUUGAUAUUGAGGACCACCCAGAUCGCAUAACUGCGGUCGGGUGCUUGCCGAUGUUGGUUUCACCAACAAUCCGCAACCUCAAGGUCACUAAGAUGCUAGUUGACUGCGGGGCCGGCUUGAACCUGAUCUCCUCCGCGGUGCUCCAGAAACUCCAGAUCCCUGACAGCGAGCUCGAAGAGACCGGCACAUUUCAAGGAAUCAACCCGGGAAGGAGCAAGCCAAAGGGAAAGAUCACGUUGCCGGUAACAUUUGGCAGCGAGCUGAACUUCAGAACUGAGAGGGUCACGUUUGACUUUUCCGACUUUCCAUUACCUUACAAUGGAAUCCUUGGCCGUCCGGCACUCGCCAAAUUCAUGGCAGCCUCUCAUUACGCGUACAACGUCCUGAAAAUGCCAGGCCCAAUAAGUGUCAUCUCUGUCCCUGGCGACAAGAAGCAUGCUCUUAUCUGCACCAACAAGAUCUACCGGGAAGCCGCAGCCGCGGCAGAACGAAGGACACUUGCCGCUGAAGCUCCCGGGGGGAAGAAGAAGACCAAGACUGGAAAGAGCUCUGAUGCCCACUCCGGCAAGCGCACUUCUUCGGAGUGUUGCGCUACCGUCGAGGACGCACCAUCGAGCUCCACCGGCAAGUGUAAGAAGGCAAUGGCAGCUCCACCUGAGACCAAGAAGGUGUCCUCCAAGGAGGAUGGCACUGGUGGUACCUUCACCAUCAGCGCCACUCUUGACCCCAAAUAGGAAAGCGCGCUCGUUGCUUUCCUGCGGGCGAAUGUCGACGUGUUUGCGUGGCAACCGUCUGAUAUCCCCGGUGUUCCCAGGAAAGUGAUUGAGCACCACCUUGCCGUCUGUCCUCAUGCGCGGCCCGUCAAGCAGAGAGUCAGGAAGCAGGCAGUAGAGCGCCAAGAAUUCAUCGCAGAAGAAAUCAAGAAGUUGGAAGCAGCAGGCCUUGUCAGAGGAGUACUCCAUCCCACAUGGUUGGCCAAUCCUGUUGUUGUGCGCAAAGCUAACGGGAAAUGGAGACUUUGUAUUGACUUCACUGAUGUUAAUAAAGCUUGUCCCAAAGACCCAUUUCCCUUGCCGCGUAUUGACCAGAUUGUUGACUCCACAGCCGGAUGUGAUUUUCUUUCAUUUCUUGAUGCAUACUCAGGAUAUCAUCAGAUCUUCAUGGCAGAAGAAGAUGAAGAGAAAACCGCAUUUAUCACCCCGUGUGGCACGUACUGCUUUGUACGGAUGCCUUUCGGUUUGAAGAAUGCUGGUUCAACAUUCACAAGGGUAGUCCACCAUGCUUUUGAGCCGCAAAUACACAGAAAUGUGGAAGCUUACAUGGAUGACAUAGUGGUCAAGAGCAAGAACAAGGCGACCCUGAUUCAAGAUUUAGACGAGACAUUUGCAAAUCUGCGCAAGAUCAACCUCAAGCUUAACCCCGAGAAGUGCGUGUUUGGAGUCCCUUCCGGUAAGCUUCUUGGGUUCUUCGUGUCUCAGCGGGGAAUUGAAGCCAAUCGCGACAAGAUCAAAGCCAUCGAGCAGAUCGAAGCACCAAAGCGCGUCAAGGAUGUGCGAAGGCUUGCCGGUUGCGUGGCUGCUCUCAGCAGGUUUAUCUCUAGAUCUGCUGAGCGCGCCCUGCCAUUUUUCAAAAUUUUGAAAAAGGCAGGUCCAAUGAAAUGGACUCCGGAAGCGGAGGCUGUGCUGCAGGACUUGAAGAGAUACCUGUCCUCCACUCCAACGCUUGUCACACCUAAGCAGCAAGAGAAGUUGCUGUUGUAUAUAGCAGCAACCAAUCAAGUGGUUAGUGCUACAUUAGUGGCGGAGAGGGAGGCGGAUGAUGAGCCAGCAACCACGGCAGAUCCAUCCAGCGACAAGCAGGGGGCUUCGCCGACAAGCUCUGGUCCCGACAAACAUGGGUUUGCGCAAGAGCAUGAUAAGAUGCCAAGGAGAAUGGUGCAGCGCCCAGUUUACUUUGUCAGUUCUCUUCUGCAGGGGCCUAGAUCAAGGUACUCUGGUGUGCAGAAGUUGCUUUUCGGCCUCCUCAUGGCCUCGAGAAAGCUGCGCCAUUACUUCCAAGCACAUGAGAUCACAGUCGUCACUCGCUUUCCGCUGAAGAGGAUACUGCAAAAUCCAGAAGCAACGGGCAGGAUUGUCGAGUGGGCGCUGGAACUGUCAAGCUUUGGCCUCAAGUUUGAGAGCACCUCAACUAUCCAAAGCAGAGCAUUGGCAGAGUUGAUAGCAGAGUGGACGCCAACCCCAGAUGAAGAAAUUCCAAAAGUGAGCAUCCCCGUCAAAGAGGCAAGCAAGGAGUGGCUGAUGUACUUUGAUGGUGCCUUCUCGCUGCAAGGCGCCGGUGUAGGCGUGUUGCUUGUCGCACCCACCGGAGCGCACCUCAAGUACGUAGUCCAGAUGCACUUUCCCAAAGAGCAAGCAACCAACAAUACUGCAGAAUAUGAAGGAUUACUUGUCGGUCUCAGAAUCGCAGCAGACCUUGGGAUUAAGAAGCUCAUUGUCAGGGGUGACUCACAGCUUGUCGUCAGACAAGUGAACAAGAACUACCAGAGUCCUUUGAUGGAAGCGUAUGUCGAUGAAGUGAGGAAGCUAGAAGAGCACUUUGACGGCCUACAGAUGGAGCAUAUCCCAAGAGCUCAGAAUGAUAUUGCUGAUGGCCUGUCAAAGUGCGCCGCACUAAAGUUACCUGUGGAACCAGGGAUCUUUGUGCUCAAGUUGACUCAACCAUCCGUAACGCCCUCAACAGGACAAAGCAAGAAGAGGAAGUUGGUUUCCGGCGACUACUUUCCGGCAGAGCACCCCGAAGCCGCCGCCAAGAAAGUCCCCAAGAUCAACACCAAGGAUGCUGAGGGGCAGUAUGCUCCGGCAAGCCUUAUGGUUUGUUCCGUUGAAGCAGACGCUCCCAACAAGUUUUGCUCCGACAAGCUUGCCGGGGAACAUCAAGGUCCGGCAGGACCACGAGUCCUUGCCGUAGAAGCGGAUGUUCCCGCAGCAGCAGAUGCGCCUUUAGUCCUUGUUGUCGAGCCACAAGCUCCAGCAUGGGCACAGCGGAUUGUCCACUUCCUUCAGACAGGAGAACUUCCCGAAGAACAAGAAGAAGCGGAAAGAGUAGCCCGGCAGUCAAGUAUGUAUCAGUUUGUCGAUAGCAUACUAUACAGAAGAAGACUCAACGGUGUGAAAUUGAAGUGUAUUCGCCGGGAAGAUGGACAAAAGCUGUUGGCGGAGAUACAUGGAGGCAUAUGUGGCCACCACAUUGGCGCAAGAGCAAUUGCCGGCAAAGCUUUCCGGCAAGGUUUCUUUUGGCCGACAGCCCUCCAGGAUGCAACUGCACAAGUAACCAAGUGUGAAGCGUGCCAGUUCCACUCCAAACAGAUACACCAGCCAGCUCAAGCUCUCCAGACGAUCCCUUUAUCCUGGCCAUUUUCGGUCUGGGGGCUCGAUAUCCUCGGCCCCUUCCCCCGAGCUGUCGGGGGCUUUGAGUACUUGUACGUCGCAAUCGACAAGUUCACAAAGUGGCCGAAAGUGCAGCCAGUGAGGAAGGUGACAGCACAGUCAGCAGUCAAGUUCUUCAGGUCGAUUGUUUGCCGUUUCGGGAUCCCUAACAGGAUCAUCACCGACAAAGGCACGCAAUUCACGAGCCGCACCUUCAUGCAGUACGUCCAAGACCUUGGCGCCAAGGUCUGCUUCGCUUCUGUUGCUCAUCCGAGAAGCAACGAUCAAGCAGAGAGGGCAAAUGCUGAAGUGCUGCGUGGGCUCAAGACCAGGACUUUCGACAGGCUGCAUAGGUGCGGAAGGAACUGGAUCGAGGAGCUGCCGGUGGUUCUUUGGUCGAUCAGAACGAUGCCAAAUCGAGCCACUGGCCAGACACCUUUCGCUCUAGUCUAUGGAGCAGAGGCAGUUCUCCCCACGGAACUCGUAUACGGAUCACCUCAAGUGCUCUCUUAUGAUGAGCUUGAGCAAGAACAGCUGCGGCAAGACGACGCACUGCUCCUUGAGGAAGAUCGUCUUCAGGCUGUUGUACAAGCUGCUUGAUACCAGCAAGCUUUGCGCCGCUAUCAUAGCCGCAAAGUUAAAGCCAGAAGCUUCGAGGAAGGCGACCUUGUUCUUCGGCGCGUUCAGACCGCCAAGAAUUCCAACAAGUUGACGCCGAAGUGGGAAGGCCCUUAUCGGGUGAGACGAGUCACGAGGCCCGGCGUUGUCCGCCUUGAGACCGAAGAUGGCAUUCCGGUGAGCAACUCCUGGAACAUAGAACAUCUUCGUAAGUUUUUCCCAUAAGGCGCGGUUGCCGGAACCCGUUCCGGCAACCACCUUUUGUACAAGUCUUGCCGCUGUUGCAUGUAAUCCUUUGUACAAAGCCGGGCGCAGAUCCUGUGCAUAAGUAAAACCCCAUGUGCUCCGCACAGCUUGUCCAUUUCAUGCGUUAGUUCCUUUCUUGCAUGUGAUUAUCUGACACUUUGUGCAGCACCUACAUCCGGUAAGCAGUAACGAGUCGAAGAGCUCCAUAUUAUUAUUUUCUCUUCUUUCUUUCUCUUUUAAAGGAAAAGAAGGUUCUCUCGCACACAAGUUUGCCGGGGGGGAGGAGAAGAUUGCGGUAUGGGCCAGGCGUCGUUCAAGCAAAGACUUGCCUUACUGGGAAGCAAAUUACAGAAAAGCUAAGUUGCCAAAGUUUGAGCGAUCACUUUUUUAAAUUUUUGAGUUAUCUUCCUCGAACGACCCUGCUUUGUAUGGAAAACCUGUGCGCGGAGGAACCAACUCGUGGCUAGUUGCGCCCUUACUUUGUUUCGAGUCCGCUCAACAGCUUAAGCGUGCUGCAUCUAGUCGCGACAAGGUUUCUUGUCGGAAGCAGCGCCGCCAGCAGGCUGCCGAAGUUCCGCACUCAGCGCUCGCGGCUCGGGCGCCUGCGCCGACAAGUUCCCUAGAAGCGUAGGGUAAAAACAUACAAAGGAAGGAAUCUAGUAGAGGAAAUAACAUUGCAAUUGAUAACAAAAAUAAAGUUAUAUUACAAAGAUAACUUGUGGCAGCUCUAACAGACUGUUUUCAUAACAUGAUUAGCAGCGACAAGGGAAAAGAAGAAAUAGGCGGCCUAAUCCACGCGUCCGCCCUCGACUCUCUUGAUCUCGCUCACCUUGUCCACAAUGGGUGUGACAAGGGCCUUGAGUGCCUCCAGAUUGGCGUCAGGCGGCAAGGACCUGAGGACGUUGGUGAAGCUGAGGCCUGGGUUGCAGAAGGCCACCUUCAUCAGCACCUUCUGGAGAACCCCAGCGUAGAUUUUGCGCGACUCGUCGGCAAGCUGCUUCGGGAUCCUCUCCCGGAGCCACUGGAGUGCCGUCGCCACGCCCUUGAAGAAUAGGCUGAGCUUGGCGCUGGGUUGAAGACUCUCGUCGGAAGGAUAACCAAAGUCCUCCAUUCCCAGCUGCGCCAGCUCCUCGUUGAUGACUGCGGCAGUGUUCACCAGACCCUCGGUCCAGUGCUCCACUGUGUCUCUGAACGAGUUCUGGGUAACUGCAAUGCUCUCCAGCAGCUCCGCGUCAGCCUUGACCUUCUCCGACAAGGUCUUCUCCCGCUCCUUGGCGGCCUCCAGCGUCUGCGUCAGCGUGGCCAGCUUUAGCUCCAGGUCUGCUUUGGAAUCCUUGGCGGCACUGAGCUCCUUGCCUCUCUCAGCAAGAAGGCCUUGCAGCUCACCAUGGACGGCAGCAUCCUUCUCGCGCUCACGCUUGAGCGCGGCAAGCUCCUCACCGCUCUUCCCAAUAUCGGCCUCCAGCCGCGCCACCUUCUCCUCUAGCUCUUUAUUGGCGGCCUCUGCAGUUGCCGCGGCAUCUUUUGCCUCCUUGAGCGGCCCGCCAAGUGCUCGCUCGCGCUCGGCGAGCUCUUCCUCGUAGUUGUCGAGGUGGGCCUUCCGCUGCACUAGUUCACCUUCCCGCGUGGACUGCUUCUCGGCGGCCAGCCUUUGUUCCUCCUCAGCCUCAGCCUUCUCGAGAAGAAAGGCCGUGCGCUCCUCGUCGACUCGCUCCCGCUCCUGCGCCAGGGACCGGAGAGCUUCUUGAUUUUGGCCCCGGAGCUCCUCCGCGCGCUUUUCCAUGUCAACUCCCGCCUUUGCGACAAGCGCUUCCCGGGAAGCCAGCUUGGCUUGCCGGGUGCGGUAGAGUGAUAGCAGCUUCCGCAGCAGCUGCUCCUCCUCAGCCUCGCCGCUGCUGCUGCCGGGCGCGUUAACCAAUGACAGUCCGGCAGAGGCAAGCACCUCCCCGUCAAAAGUCUCCCCCUCGACCAGCGCCCUGGAGCUCGACACCCAAGGUAGCUUGAUGAAGAUAUUGUCACCGGCCUGCAAGUAGGCGCCGGGCUGGGGCUCCUCGGAGCCCGGCUCCGCAGAAGUGGCAGAGGGUUCGGCGGUCGGCGCAGCGCCCGGCGCUCCUGCGGCCUCAGGGUCGUCAGUGCGAUCGCCCGACCCCUCGCCGGCUUCUGCAGCAGCAGCCCCGGCGGCCUCCUCGUCAGCGGUCUCAUCAGCACCGGCACCUUCCUCGCCGGCACCCUCUGUCUCCAUUGGCUCAGCCGAAGAUGGGUCUGAAGAACGAAGAAGGGAAGAAAAUCAAUCAAAAAUCCAAGAAAGAAAAAACGGAAGAAGCAGAACCCAAGGGAAAGUUUCUGGGCAAGUGGAUUACCUGCGCCAAGAUCUUCAGUUGCGGCCUCGGUCGCCGCAGGAUCAGCAGUGCCGUCCCUUGCCGGAGAGUCCCCCCUUGCCGGAGAGCGCUCCCUUGCCGGGGACUCCUCCCUUGGCGGCGCAGUCGAAGCAGGUGGCACUUCGGGGCCGGCCUCCGGGCGCCCCUGAUGAGGCUGCUCUGCUCCUGCACAAGUCAACAAGUAAGAUAUCAACAAAGGAAAAAGCACUCAAGCGUGCCCGGCAGCAGAAGGCUAAACUAUGAACUUACGCUGGGGGUUGCGCUGGGGGCUGCUCUGAGGGGUAAUUGCCGGGUCCGUCAAGGUGAUCUCGGGCCCACCUCCUGCUGACACGAUGGGGUCAUCCUUGAUGACGAUCACCGCGGCCUUGGCCCUCUUCGCCGCUCUCUGGGCCAGUGUUCUGAAAAGAAAAGAGUCCAUAUUGGAGCAAGUCAGAUACAAGAUAUAAGCAGCAAGAUUGAAGGAUUAUAAGAGCACCAAAGAAACUCACUCUUCUUCCUCCUCGUCGGAGCUGAGCGCGGAAAGAUCGAAGUCCGGCCCUCCUCCGGUGCGGCGAGGUGGAGGAGUAGGAUCCCUUGCCCGCUUGGCGGGGGCAGUGGCGGUGGCCCGGGAAGAUCCCGCUCCAGUUGCCGCUGUUGCGUGAGGCGCUCCCGCGGCAACAUUGCUUGCCACGGUAGAGCGCGUCGCGCGGCUCGGUGGCUGUGGAGCCGGCUGCCGCCCCGCUGCGUCCCCGGCCCUGCGAAGGCGCCUCCUCCUGCGGCAAGUUCUCUGAAGGCUCAGCCUCCUCCUCGCCGGCCUCGCUCGACUCGGCUUCGGAACCGGCAGGCUCCUCCUCGCCCAUGAACUCCGCGUGUUCGGCAAGGUUUGCCGCCUCUGCAGCCUUCGCCUCCUCCACAGUAAAUCCAAACACACCCGCAGCAGCUGCGGCCGCAGCCUCUUCCGCCCUAGUAGCGAUGAGCUGCAGAUCCUCGUCGGUGGUGUCACGGGUGAGGCUCUUCUGCUCGUCAGCGCGGACCGGCACUUCCUCCAAGGUGUCGAAGAACGCUCGCACAACGUCAUCCGCAGGCUCUUGCCAAGUUGGGACGAUGCCGUGUGAAUCGCACAACGGCAUCAUGGCGUGGAUCCGGUCAAGCGAAGAGUUAUUGCACAAAGGAAAUACGCCCCUCGGCAGUGUGAAUGGGUGCUGGGGGUCGCGUUUGAAUAAUUCCAAGAGCAUUGUGUCCAACUCCAAGACAGUGAAGUUGUAGUUGAGGCCCGACCGCAGCCUCAUGAUGUCCGCCGAAUUCUUGAAUUCCCAGACGGGCCUCCCCCUCUCCUGCAGGGGGGCAAUGCAGCGGCGGAGGAAAUCUGCCCCGACAGCACCUACGGUGAGCCCGGCAAGCCUGAGGCGAAGAAUCCUAGUGAUGGUGAUCUUCAGCCUCUCGUCUUCCGGGGCCACGUUGCUCCAGUCAUUGCCGCGCACUAUUGGAGUUUGGCGCACGGCGGUGAAGGGCUGCGGAUUCUCCUCAACGAUCCAGCACCACUCCGCUCUCCACUCCUCCCACUUGCUGCGGAGCUCACCCUCCAAGUACGCCUCUUUCUUGCCGACUCUCGAGACCCAGGCAAUCCCUCCGGCAAGCGGCUCUCCUCUCUCUACCCGAGGUAUGAAGAAGUGGCGGAAAAGGGCAACACUAGGGUGGACUCCGACAAAGUUUUCGCACAAGUGUGCGAAAACCGCCAUGGUCAGGACAGCAUUGGGGGUGAAGUCAAGGAGGCGGAAGCCAUAUGUGUUCAUAAUGUCACAAAAGAACUCCGAGAAGGGCGGGCAGAGCCCGCAGUACAAGAAUAGCGGGAAGAACGGGUACCCGUUUGAAGCCAACUCCGAGGCACCGGCUGGGAGUACCCUCGUGCGCGGAUGCGCACGCGUCUCCGUCGCCCAAAAGAGGUAGAAGUACUCCCUCAGCUCCUGCACGCCGAGCUGGGGGGUGAAGAUCGCCCGCUCCUUUCGCAGCGCCGCGAGCCGCUGCGCCUCGGCCGACUUCACACCCUUUCCCUUGUCGGCUUUCGGGGCCAUGGCGGAGGUGGUGGGGAAGGUCGACGGCGUGGUGAUGCUAGNNNNNNNNNNNNNNNNNNNNNNNNNNNNNNNNNNNNNNNNNNNNNNNNNNNNNNNNNNNNNNNNNNNNNNNNNNNNNNNNNNNNNNNNNNNNNNNNNNNNNNNNNNNNNNNNNNNNNNNNNNNNNNNNNNNNNNNNNNNNNNNNNNNNNNNNNNNNNNNNNNNNNNNNNNNNNNNNNNNNNNNNNNNNNNNNNNNNNNNNNNNNNNNNNNNNNNNNNNNNNNNNNNNNNNNNNNNNNNNNNNNNNNNNNNNNNNNNNNNNNNNNNNNNNNNNNNNNNNNNNNNNNNNNUUCGAGAAGAAGGGGGGAGCGGCGGAGUUUGUGAAGAAGGAGUAGCAGCAACCAGCGAGGGGGAACGAACUGCCCCUGUUUCCUCUGCUUAUAAAGUGGGACGGGGCGGACGUUUCAGCCUUCCAAAUAAACAACCACCCACGAUCUCUCCCACGAUGCCGCAUUCAACGUGUGCCGUUAUGGGAGAGUGCGGUGGAUACGGAACAAGAUUUGGCGUGGGCCAGCCCGCGUGUGCCCGUGCCCUGUCUUGGGCCUGGCCCAACAGCGCUCGGCACCGUGUCUGGCCCAGGCCCGGGGGCUCCUAUCGGUGUACUAGAAUAGGGGUACCCUAGUACCCCGAACUUGUGCACGGGCAGUUGCAGCACCCCGCGGAAGGCUUGCCGGGCGAACGCCAAGAUCCCCCAAGGUUCCCCUGGAGCCAUCCAAGAACAAAGUAUUUAAGCUAAGGAGACAGGACCCCGGCAAGAGGAGCUUGCCGAGAAGGCCAACCAAGGCGCUCCAAGGAACUUGCCGCGACGCGCCACGUGCUCCGGCAAGGCAGCAAGGCCCCGGCAAGAGGAGCUUGCCGGGAAGACUAAACAAGGUACACCGAGGCCCGGUGAGCGACGAGCUUCUGGGCCCGGCGAAGAUAACGACAGUGGCAAGGCGCUUGCCGCGGCAGGCGGCCACUCUGCGUCCACGCUCCAGCGCACCCACCAAUGUGUCGCUCUGGGGGCCUCUCCGGGCGCGCGUGGCGGGAGGCUGUGCAGCCAGCGGUGCGCAGUGGCAUGCGAAGCUGACAAGAUCGCCAUCAUGGCGAACGGUGGCGCCCCUAAUGGUCCUUUUCUGCACUGUUCGGGCGACUCAGACGGGCAUUUAAUGCCCUUGUCCCCUGCCGUCAGGGUUAGGUAGGGUGCACUGUACAAGCAACUGUAUCAACUAACUCGCUUUUUACGUUUUUACCCUCCUCUGCGUUGCCACCUGUCGGUGACCCCUUUAGCGUAUAAAAGGAGGCCCAUGCGCAACGUAGAGGGGGUUCGGUUCGGAGCCUCAGACAGUCGGCUUCGAUUCAUUCGUAGUCCAGAAAACAUCACUCUCUCGCUCGAGAGCAAGAACACCAGAUAAUACAACCAGACAAGCAGCAGUAGGAGUGUUAUCUCUCCGGAGAGCUCCGAAGCUGGGUAAACUGCUUGUGUGCUUUGCCUCGAUCUGCUCUUCGUGCGACCUCCGCCCCCCGCCGAACCGAAAGGGGCCCGGUCCCCCGGCCCCAUAGGUGUUCGUGGAUCAGUUUCCCCGACAGCACUACUGGGCCGAAUUGGGUGCGAUCUGUAACUAUCUAACGCGGGAGCGAACUUUAACUGAAACAUAUACGGGCUAAUAAAAUAAAACCGAUUCGACGUAAACAAAAAUAAACUAGGAAUAAACCAAACUAAAACCGAUCUAUAUGUAAUAAAACCGAAACGUCACACUGCUCUAAUCUACGCCCUAGUGGAGGGGGCGGGCGGCUGACAACAGGGUUCGUCGGCAAUGGCGGCUCAGACAACGGUAGUGUGGCGGCUCCGUUCGUCAGGGAGGAAGAGGAGCGGUCGAUGCAGUGCGAUGGAGCAGUCUGGGGUCGGUGGUGGAGUUGAUGGAGCUCAUGGAUGGCGCGAAUGUCGAGGGUGAGGCGAAGGAAAGCCCGGUGCUCUGUAGCUCCGGUGGUCGAUGACGAUACUUCUGGUGGCGGCAUGAUAACCCACAAGUAUAGGGGAUUGCAACAGUUUUUGAUAAGUAAGAGUGUCGAACCCAACGAGGAGCUAAAGGAAGAACAAAUAUUCCCUCAAGUUCUAUCGACCACAGAUACAACUCUAUGCACGCUUGACGUUCGCUUUACCUAGAACAAGUAUGAAACUAGAAGUAGUUUGUAGGUGUUGUUGGAUAGGUUUGCAAGAUAAUAAAGAGCAAGUAAAUAAAAAGUAGGGUCUGUUCAGAUAAAGACACAACUAAGUUAGGUUUAGUAAAGAGCUUGUUGUUACGAGAAAGUUAUUUGUCCCUAGGCAAUCAAUAACUAGACCCGUAAUCAUUAUUGCAAUUUUAUUUGAGGGAGAGGCAUAAGCUAACAUACUUUCUCUACUUGGAUCAUAUGCACUUAUGAUUGGAACUCUAGCAAGCAUUCACAACAACUAAAGAUCAUUAAGGUAAAACCCAACCAUAGCAUUAAAGCAUCAAGUCCUGUUUAUCCCAUACACAACAACCUACUUACUCGGGUCUGUGCUUCUGUCACUCACGCCACCCACCAUAAGAAAAUCAUGAACAUAUUGCAAACCCUACAGCGGGAAUCUCUCACGCUUGCGCGACAAGGAGAGCACCAUAGGAUAGCACCAAUAAUAAAACAUGCAACUCAAACCAAUCACGAUCAUCAAAUAACCCAUAGCACAAAAUGGAUGUACUCAAACAUCAUAGGAUAGCCAUACAUCAUUGGGAAAUAAUAUAUAGCGUUGAGCACCAUGUUUAAGUAGAGAUUACAAUGGGUAAAAGAGGGUUUACACCACUGCAUAGAGGGGGGAAGAGUUGGUUAUGAUGGCGGUGAAGUUGUUGGUGAAGAUUGCGGUGUUGAUGAUGGCCACGGCAACGUUCCGGCGCCACCGAAAGAGAAGGGGAGAGGGGGCCCCUUCAUCUUCUUCUUCCUUGACCUCCUCCCUAGAUGGGAGAAGGGUUUCCCCUCUGGUCCUUGGCCUCCAUGGCGUGGGAGGGGCGAGAGCCCCUCCGAGAUUGGAUCUGUCUCUCUGUCUCUCUUUGUUUCUGCGUUCUCACAUUCUACCCUUUCACCGUUUCUUAUAUUCCCGCAGAUCCAUAACUCCGAUUGGGCUGAAAUUUUAACAAGAUCUCUAUCCGGAUAUUAGCUUUCUUGCGGCGAAAGAAGGGCAUCAGCCGCCUUACGGGGUGGCCACGAGGGUCAGGGGCGCACCUGCCCCCCUGGGGUGUGCCCCCUGCCUCGUGCGCCCCUCGGGCAUCGUCUCACGUGGAUUUUUCUUCCCAAAAAUCAUAUAUAUUCCAAAAAAAUCUCUGUUAGUUUUUAUCCCGUUUGUACUCCGUUUGAUAUGGAUAUUAUGCGAAACAAAAAACAUGCAACAAACAGGAACUGACACUGGGCACUGGAUCAAUAUGUUAGUCCCAAAAAUAGUAUAAAAAGUUGCCAGAAGUAUAUGAAAGUUGUAGAAUAUUGGCAUGGAACAAUAAAAAAUUAUAGAUACGACAGAGACAUAUCAGCAUCCCCAAGCUUAAUUCCUGCUCGUCCUCGAGUAGGUAAAUGAUAAAAAAGAUAAUUUUUUAUGUGGAAUGCUACCUAGCAUAAUCUUGAUCACAUAUCUAAUCAUGGCAUGAAUACUAAGAUACGAGUGAUUCAAAGCAAUAGUCUAUCAUUUGAGAUAAAAACAAUAAUACUUCAAGCCUACUAAUAAAGCAAUCAUGUCUUUUCAAAAUAACAUGGCCAAAGAAAGUUAUCCCUACAAAAUCAUAUAGUAUGGCUAUGCUCCAUCUUCACCACACAAAAUAUUCAAAUCAUGCACAACCCAAAUGACAAGCCAAGCAAUUGUUUCAUACUUUUGAUGUUCUCAAACCUUUUCAACUUUCACGCAAUACAUGAGCGUGAGCCAUGGAUAUAACACUAUAGGUGGAAUAGAAUGGUGGUUGUGGAGAAGACAAAAAGGAGAAGAUAGUCUCACAACAACUAGGUGUAUCAACGGCCUAUGGAGAUGCCCAUAAAUAGAUAUCAAUGUGAGUGAGUAGGGAUUGCCAUACAACGGAUGCACUAGAGCUAUAAGUGUAUGAAAGCUCAAACUGAAACUAAGUGGGUGUGCAUCCAACUUGCUUGCUCAUGAAGACCUCGGGAAUUUGAGGAAGCCCAUCAUCGGAAUAUACAAGCCAAGUUCUAUAAUGAAAAUUCCCACUAGUAUAUGAAAGUGAUAACUCAAGAGACUCUCUAUAUGAAGAACAUGGUGCUACUUUGAAGCACAAGUGUGGUAAAAGGAUAGUAACAUUGCCCCCUUGUCUCUUUUUCUCUCAUUUUUUUGGGCCUUCUCUUUUUUUGGCAUUUCUCUUUUUUUAAUAUUUUUUCUUUUUUUUCUUUUUUAUUUUUUCGUCCGGAGUCUCAUCCUGACUUGUGGGGGAAUCAUAGUCUCCAUCAUCCUUUCCUCACUGGGGCAAUGCUCCAAUAAUGAUGAUCAUCACACUUUUAUUUCCUUACAACUCGAUAUUACAACUCGAUACUAGAACAAAGAUAUGACUCUAUAUGAAUGCCUCCGGUAGUGUACCAGGAUGUGCAAUAAUUUAGCGUAGCAAUGACAUCAAAAAAUGGACAAGCCAUGAAAACAUCAUGCUAGCUAUCUUGCGAUCAUGCAAAGCAAUAUGACAAUGAAUGCUCAAGUCAUGUAUAUGACGAUGAUGGAAGUUGCAUGGCAAUAUAUCUCGGAAUGGCUAUGGAAAUGCCAUGAUAGGUAGGUAUGGUGGCUGUUUUGAGGAAGGUAUAUGGUGGGUUGGUACCGGCGAAAGUUGCGCGGUACUAGAGAGGCUAGCAAUGGUGGAAGGGUGAGAGUGCGUAUAAUCCAUGGACUCAACAUUAGUCAUAUAGAACUCACAUACUUAUUGCAAAAAUCUAUCAGUUAUCGAAAGAAAGUACUACGCGCAUGCUCCUAGGGGGAUAGAUUGGUAGGAAAAGACCAUCACUCGUCCCCAACCGCCACUCAUAAGGAAGACAAUCAAUAAAUAAAUCAUGCUCCGACUUCGUCACAUAACGGUUCACCAUACGUGCAUGCUACGGGACUCACAAACUUCAACACAAGUAUUUAUACUAAUCCACAACUACCCACUAGCAUCACUCUAAAUCACCAUCUUUAUAUCGCAAAACUAUUGCAAGGAAUCAAACAUAUCAUAUUUAGUGAUCUACAAGUUUUAUGUAGGAUUUUAUGACUAACCAUGUGAAUGACCAGUUCCUGUCAUCUCUCUAAAUAGAUAUAAGUGAAGCAAGAGAGUUUAAUUCUUUCUACAAAAGAUAUGCCCGUGCUCUAACAAAUAUAAGUGAAGCAAAAGAGCAUUCUACAAAUGACAGUUUUCUAUGUAAAGAGAAACAGGCAAUCCAAACUUCAAAUGAUAUAAGUGAAGCACAUGAAGCAUUUUGUAAAGCAUACUCAAAAGAUAUAAGUGAAGUGCAUAGAGAAUUGAUACGUCUCCAACGUAUCUAUAAUUUUUGAUUGCUCCAUGCUAUAUUAUCUACUGUUUUGGACUAUAUUGGGAUUUAUUUUACACUUUUAUAUUAUUUUUGGGACUAACCUAUUAACCGGAGGCCCAGCCCAGAAUUGCUGUUUUUUGCCUAUUUAAGUGUUUCGAAGAAACGGAAUAUCAAAUGGACUCCAAACGGAAUAAAACCUUUGGGAACGUGACUUUCUCACCGAACGUGAUCCAGGAGACUUGGACCCUGCUCCAAGGAACAAAAGAGGCGGUCACGAGGGUGGGGGGCGCCCCCCGCCCCUAGGGCGCGCCCCCCUGCCUUGUGGGCCCCUCAGUGCUCCUCCGGCGUACUCCUUCCUCCUAUAUAUACCUACAUACCCCCAAUCGAUCAGAACAGGAGCCAAAAACCUAAUUCCACUGCUGCAACUUUCUGUAUCCAUGAGAUCCCAUCUUAGGGCAUGUUCCGGAGCUCCGUCGGAAGAGGGACGUCAUCACGGAGGGCUUCUACAUCAUCAUAGCCUCUCCUAUGAAGUGUGAGUAGUUUACCUCAGACCUUCGGGUCCAUAGUUAGUAGGUAGAUGGCUUCUUCUCUCUCUUUGAAUCUCAAUACAAAGUUCUCCCCCUCUCUUGUGGAGAUCUAUUCGAUGUAAUCUUCUUUUUGCGGUGUGUUUGUUGAGACCGAUGAAUUGUGGGUUUAUGAUCAAGUCUAUCUAUGAAUAAUAUUUGAAUCUUCUCUGAAUUCUUUUACGUAUGAUUGGUUAUCUUUGCAAGUCUCUUCGAAUUAUCCGUUUGGUUUGGCCAACUAGAUUGGUAGUUCUUGCCAUGGGAGAAGUGCUUAGCUUUGGGUUCGAUCUUGCGGUGUCCUUUCCCAGUGACAAAAGGGGCAGCAAGGCACGUAUUGCAUCGUUGCCAUUGAGGAUAACAAGAUGGGGUUUAUUUCAUAUUGCAUGAAUUUAUCUCUCUACAUCAUGUCAUCUUGCUUAAGGCGUUACUCUAUUUUUAACUUAAUACUCUAGAUGCAUGCUGGAUAGCGGUCGAUGAGUGGAGUAAUAGUAGUAGAUGCAGAAUCGUUUCGAUCUACUUGUCACGGACGUGAUGCCUAUAUACAUGAUCAUGCCUAUAUAUUCUCAUAACUAUGCUCAAUUCUGUCAAUUGCUCAAUAAUAAUUUGUACACCCACCGUAGAAUACUUAUGCUCUUGAGAUAAGCCACUAGUGAAACCUAUGGCCCCCGGGUCUAUUCUCAUCAUAUCAAUCUCCAUCACUUUAAUCUUGCUUUGCUUUUUUACUUUGCUUUUACUUUUUACUUUGCAUCUUUAUACCAAAAAUACCAAAAAUAUUAUAUCUAUCAGAUCUCACUCUCGUAAGUGAUCGUGAAGGGAUUGACAACCCCUAAUCGCGUUGGUUGCGAGUAACUAUCGUUUUGUGUAGGUACGAGGGACUUGAGCGUGGCCUCCUACUGGAUUGAUACCUUGGUUCUCAAAAACUGAUGGAAAUACUUAUGCUACUCUGCUGCGUCAUCCCUUCCUCUUCGGAGAAAACCAACGCAAGCUCAAGACGUAGCAAGAAGGAUUUCUGGCGCCGUUGCUGGGGAGUCUACGCAAAAAGUCAACAUACCAAGUACCCAUCGCAAUCCCUAUCUCUCGCAUUACAUUAUUUGCCAUUUGCCUCUCGUUUUCCUCUCCCCCAAUUCACCCUUGCCGUUUUAUUCGCCCUCUCUCUCUCUCUCUAUCCUCCCUCUCUAUGUGCCUCUUUUGCCUGUUUGCUCUUGUUUGCUUGUGUGCUAGUUUGUUAGCUUGUCGUCAUGACUAGUCUCAUAUCCUCUCCGUUGUCUCUCGAGAGCGAAGUUCUAAAUUUUAAACAAAGGGAGGGAGAAAAUCUAAAAGAUGCUUGGUAUAGAAUUUGCAAUGCUCAAAAUAGAUCUACUAGGAAGCAAUCUACCUUAGUUCUUCUCCGCAAUUUCUAUGUAGGUGUUAAUCCUUGGUAUAGAUAUAUCCUCGAUACCAUUACCAGAGGGAAUUUCUUGGGUAGCCAUACUUUUGAUUCUUAUAAUGCUAUGCUAAAUUUAUUUGGCUCACCACCUCUUUUGGUUAAUGGAACCAUGUUAACUUUGGAGCAUGUUAUGCAAAGGCUUGGAAUUAUUGAAAAUAAAGUUGCUACUAUUGAAUUAAUUGAAAAUCUAGAUAAAAAGAUCCACAAUCAAAUUACUCAAUAUGGAUCUAAGGUAGGAAUGACUCUGAAAAAUAUUAAGGAAAAGGGACCCAUAGUUAAUGAGAAGAUAAACUUAGAUUCUACUAGAAUUGAUAAACUUGAGGGUAUCAUUACAAACUUGGGAACUGCUUUUUCUUCCGUAAAGAAUACUCCAAGUCCUCCUACUAAAAUUACCAAGCUUAUGUAUGUUCCUAAAAAUAAGGGUGAAUCAUCUAGUAAGGAAACUGCAGAUCUUAAAUCUAUAAGUAUUCAUCCUAAUCUUUUUGCUAUCAUUAAGGAACCAAUUGCUACAAAUGAAUUUUUUGAUCUUGUGCCUAAAAGUUUGAUAAUCACUAGAAAGAAAUAAAUUCAUAAGGGAAAUAUAUGCCUCAUUAAAGAAUUGCCUACCAAAGAUGGCAAUACCUAGAUCUAUCCUCGCUUUUAUGCCUAGGUAGGGGCGUUAAACGAUAGCGCUUGUUGGGAGGCAGCCCAAUUUUAUUUUAUUCCUUGAUUUUUGCUCCUGUUUAGUAAUAGAUAAAUUAUUUAGCCUCUGUUUUGGUUGUGUUUUUUGUGUUUAAUUAGUGUUUGUGCCAAGUAGAACCGUUGGGAAGACUUGGGGAAAGUCUUGUUGAACUUGCUGUAAAAAACAGAAACUUUAGCGCUCACGAGAACUGCUGUCAUUUUUAUAUGAAGAGUGAUAUUUAGUUAAUUCUUUUCUCAGAUGAUUAAUAGAUAAAUUCCUCACGUACAGCAAUUUAUUUUAGAAUUUUUGGGGUUACAGAUCUUGCGCUAGCUACAGAUUACUACAGAUUGUUCUGUUUUUGACAGAUUCUGUUUUUCGUGUGUUGUUUGCUUAUUUUGAUGAAUCUAUGGCUAGUAAAAUAGUUUAUAAUCCAUCAAGAAGUUGGAAUACAGUAGGUUUAACACCAAUAUAAAUAAAUAAUGAGUUCAUUACAGUAACUUGAAGUGGUCUUUUGUUUUCUUUCGCUAACGGAGCUCACGAGUUAUCUAUUUUGAGUUUUGUGUUGUGAAGGUUUCAAGUUUUGGGUGAAUUCUUUUGAUGGAUCAUGGAACAAGAAGUGUCAAGAGCCUAAGCUUGGGGAUGCCCAUGCACCCCCAAGAUAAUCCAAGGACACACCAAAAAGUCAAAGCUUGGGGAUGCCCCGGAAGGCAUCCCCUCUUUCGUCCACUUCCAUCGGUAAUUUACUUGGAGCUAUAUUUUUAUUCACCAACAUGAUAUGUGUUUUGCUUGGAGCGUCUUGUAUUAUUUGUGUCUUAGUAUGCCACAAUCAUCCUAGCUGUACACACCUUUUGAGAUAGCCAUACAUUAAUUAAAAUUUGAUAGAAUACUCUAUGUGCUUCACUUAUAUCUUUUGAGCUAUGUAGUUUUGCUCCAUGUGCUUCACUUAUAUCUUUUGAGCGUUAUAAUUUUGCUCUAUGUGCUUCACUUAGAUCUUUUAGAGCAUGGUGGUAGAUUUUUUUAAAGAAACUAUUUAUCUCUCAUGCUUCACUUAAAUUAUUUUGAGAGUCUCUUAAUAGCAUGGUAAUUUGCUUAAUAAUAAUAUGCUUGGUAUUCAAGAUUUGUGAAAAUUUCUUUUUGAGUGUGUUGAAUACUAAGAAAAUAUUGAAGCAUGAUAAUUGUUUUGAGAUAUGGAGGUGAUAAUAUUAAAGUCAUGCUAGUUGAGUAGUUGUGAAUUUAAAGAAUACUUGUGUUAAAGUUUGUGAUUCCCGUAGCAUGCACGUAUGGUGAACCGUUAUGUGAUGAAGUCGGAGCAUGAUUUAUUUAUUGAUUGUCUUCCUUAUGAGUGGCGGUCGGGGACGAGCGAUGGUCUUUUCCUACCAAUCUAUCCCCCUAGGAGCAUGUGCGUAAUACUUUGCUUUGAUAACUUCUAGAUUUUUGCAAUAAGUAUAUGAGUUCUUUAUGACUAAUGUUGAGUCCAUGGAUUAUAUGCACUCUCACCCUUCCACCUUUGCUAGCCUCUCUAAUACCGCGCACCUUUCGCCGGUAUCAUACACCUACCAUAUACCUUCCUCAAAACAGCCACCAUACCUAUCUAUUAUGGCAUUUCCAUAGCCAUUCCGAGAUAUAAUUCCAUGCAACUUUCCACCAUCUAGUUCAUCAUGACACAUUCAUCAUUGUCAUAUUGCAUAUCCUGGUACAUUGUCGGAUGCAUUCACAUAGAGUCAUAUUUUGUUCUAAGUAUCGAGUUGUAAUUGUUGAGUUAUAAUAAAAAUAAAAGUGUGAUGAUCAUAAUUAUUAGAGCAUUGUCCCAGUGAGGAUAGAAUGAUGGAGAGUAUGAUUCCCCCAUAAGUCGGGAUGAGACUCCGGCGAAAAAUAAUAAUAAAAAAAGAGGCCAUAAAAAAAGAGAAAAGGCCCAAAUAAAAAAAUGAUGAGAGAAAAAGAGAGAAGGGACAAUGUUACUAUCCUUUUACCACACUUGUUCUUCAAAGUAGCACCAUGAUCACUUUCAUAUACUAGUGGGAAUUUUACCUUAUAGAACUUGGCUUGUAUAUUCCAAUGAUGGGCUUUCUCAAAUUGCCCUAGGCCGUUGGAUGCACACCCACUUAGUUUCUUUUUGAGCUUUCAUAUACUUAUAGCUCCAGUGCAUCCGUUGCAUGGCAAUACCUACUCACUCACAUUGAUAUCUAUUGAUGGGCAUCUCCAUAGCCCGUUGAUACGCCUAGUUGAUGUGAGACUAUCUUCUCCUUUUUGUCUUCUCCACAACCACCAUUCUAUUCCACCUAUAGUGCUAUAUCCAUGGCUCACACUCAUGUAUUGCGUGAAGAUUGAAAAAGUUUUGAAAAAGUUAGAGUAUAAAACAAUUGCUUGGCUUGUCAUCGGGGUUGUGCAUGAUUUAAAUACUUUGUGGGGUGAAGAUAGAACAUACCCAAACUAUAUGAUUUUGUAGGGAUAACUUUCUUUGGCCAUGUUAUUUUGAGACGACAUAACUGCUUUGUUAGUAUGCUUGAAGUAUUAUUAUUUUUAUGUCAAUAUAAACUUUUGCCUUAAAUAUUUCUAAUCUGAAUAUUCAUACUACAAUUAAGAAGAUUUGCAUUGAAAUUAUUCCAAGUAGCACUCCGCAUCAAAAAUUCUCUUUUUAUCAUUUACCUACUCGAGGACGAGCAGGAAUUAAGCUUGGGGAUGUCUGAUACGUCUCCAACGUAUCUAUAAUUUUUGAUUGCUCCAUGCUAUAUUAUCUACUGUUUUGGACUAUAUUGGGCUUUAUUUUCCACUUUUAUAUUAGUUUUUGGACUAACCUAUUAACCGGAGGCCCAGCCUAGAAUUGCUGUUUUUUGCCUAUUUCAGUGUUUCAAAGAAACGGAAUAUCAAACGGAGUCCAAACGGAAUAUCAAACGGAGUCCAAAUGGAAUAAAACCUUCGGAAACGUGAUUUUCUCACCGAAUGUGAUCCAGGAGACUUGGACCCUGCUCCAAGGAACAAAAGAGGCGGUCACGAGGGGGGGCGCCCCCCUAGGGCGCGCCCCCUGCCUCGUGGGCCCCUCGGUGCUCCUCCGGCGUACUCCUUCCUCCUAUAUAUACCUACAUACCCCCAAACGAUCAGAACAUGAGCCAAAAACCUAAUUCCACCGCCGCAACUUUCUGUAUCCACGAGAUCCCAUCUUAGGGCCUGUUCCGGAGCUCCGCCGGAAGAGGGUCGUCAUCACGGAGGGCUUCUACAUCAUCAUAGCCUCUUCGAUGAAGUGUGAGUAUUUUACCUCAGACCUUCGGGUCCAUAGUUAGUAGGUAGAUGGCUUCUUCUCUCUCUUUGAAUCUCAAUACAAAGUUCUCCCCCUCUCUUGUGGAGAUCUAUUCGAUGUAAUCUUCUUUUUGCGAUGUGUUUGUUGAGACCGAUGAAUUGUGGGUUUAUGAUCAAGUCUAUCUAUGAAUAAUAUUUGAAUCUUCUCUGAAUUCUUUUAUGUAUGAUUGGUUAUCUUUGCAAGUCUCUUCGAAUUAUCCGUUUGGUUUGGCCAACUAGAUUGGUAGUUCUUGCCAUGGGAGAAGUGCUUAGCUUUGGGUUCGAUCUUGCGGUGUCCUUUCCCAGUGACAGAAGGGGCAGCAAGGCACGUAUUGCAUCGUUGCCAUCGAGGAUAACAAGAUGGGGUUUAUGUCAUAUUGCAUGAAUUUAUCUCUCUACAUCAUGUCAUCUUGCUGAAGGCGUUACUCUGUUUUUAACUUAAUACUCUAGAUGCAUGCUGGAUAGCGGUCGAUGAGUGGAGUAAUAGUAGUAGAUGUAGAAUCUUUUCGAUCUACUUGUCACGGACGUGAUGCCUAUAUACAUGAUCAUGCCUAGAUAUUCUCAUAACUAUGCUCAAUUCUAUCAAUUUCUCAACAGUAAUUUGUUCACCCACCGUAGAAUACUUAUGCUCUUGAGAGAAGCCACUAGUGAAACCUAUGGCCCCCGGGUCUAUUCUCAUCAUAUCAAUCUCCAUCACUUUAAUCUUGCUUUGCUUUUUACUUUGCUUUUACUUUUUACUUUGCAUCUUCAUACCAAAAAUAUUAUAUCUAUGAGAUCUCACUCUCGUAAGUGACCAUGAAGGGAUUGACAACCCCUAAUCGUGUUGGUUGCGAGUAACUAUCGUUUUGUGCAGGUACAAGGGACUUGAGCGUGGCCUCCUACUGGAUUGAUACCUUGGUUCUCAAAAACUGAGGGAAAUACUUACGCUACUCUACUGCAUCAUCCCUUCCUCUUCGGGGAAAACCAAUGGAAGCUCAAGACGUAGCAAGCAUUAUAUAAAUAAACCAAGGACUAUCUCAUACCAGCAUGGUGCAUAAAAGAAAAAUGAAAACUAAACGCAAAAGACGCUCCAAGAUUGCACAUAUCGCAUGAACGAAAUGAAUCCGAAAACAUAUCGAUACUUGUUGAAGAAAGAGGGGAUGCCUUCUGGGGCAUCCCCAAGCUUAGACGCUUGAGUCUCCUUGAAUAUUUACUUGGGGUGCCUCGGGCAUCCCGAAGCUUGAGCUCUUGCCUCUCUUCCUUCUUCUCACAUCGAGACCUUCUCGAUCAUCGAACACUUCAUCCACACAAAACUUCAACAGAAAACUCGGUAAGAUCCGUUAGUAUAAUAAAGUAAAUCACUACUCUAAGUACUGUUGAAAACCAAUUCAUAUUUUGUUUUUGCAUCGUGUCUACUGUAAUAUAACUUUUUCAUGGCUUAAUCCACAGAUAUCAAUUGAUAGUUUCAUCAAAACAAGCAAACUAUGCAUCAAAAACAGAAUCUGUCUAAAACAGAACAGUCUGUAAUAAUCUGAACAUUCACCAUGCUUAUGAUACUUGAAAAAUUCUAUGAAAAUUAGGAAAAAUAAACAAUUUGUAUAUAAAUACAGUGCAAAAGAAUCAGAACCAUUUGACGUUCCAUCUAAAAACGUAAAAUCCCGCACUACAACCAAAGUUUCUGUCCUACACCAUACAAACCAUCAAGCAAAUGUAAACAUCCUAAAGGCAAACCUUGGCACAUUAUUUUUAUAAUACAAUGGAAUUGUACAAGGGGAUAAUUAUUUUUGUUGAAAAGUUUCUGUAAUCAAGACUCACAAAGUUUCAGUGAUCAUGAACAAAGUUCAAGGAGCUCUCCCACUUCAACAAUGCUUGUCUUUCUCACUUUCACUUUCCAUUUUGAAAAAGUUUUGGGUUACCCUCUUUAUUUUUGUUGUUUUUAAACUAUAUGAAAGCACUCAAUAGAAAUAAAUGACUCUCUAAAACUUUUGUGUUGUCUCCCUGGCAGCGCUUUCUUUAAAGCCAUUAAGCUAGGCAUAUAGUGCUCAAGUAAUGGAUCCACCCGGAUCCCAAGGUAUAUCAAAGCCAAUUUUAAUUAGAAAUGAUUUGUAAUUUAGUAGUGAGCACAAAGCAACAUAUAUCAUGUAAUGACGAAGUAUAACUCUCUUCCUAUGCAUCGGCAUGUUAUAAAAGAACAAUUCAUGCACACAUAGUAAAGGCCAAUGCAUAGUAUAAACAAUUUCUUGCAAUUUUAUCGUGUUGGAAACAUAAAGAGGCGGAGAUGUAGUUCCUCUUUCAUAAUAAUUGUAAGUAGGAGCAGCAAGCACAUACAUAUUAUAUUCAUCAAAAUCAUCAUGUGCAACGGUAUAAGGAAACCCAUCAAUAUAAUCUUUAAUAAGGGUAAACUUCUCCGAUAUAGUCUAGUUGGGAGAAUUCAAAAAGAUAAUAGGACUAUCAUGUGUGGGUGCAAUAACAAUAAUUUCAUGUUUAACAUAAGGAACUAUAGCAAGUUCAUCCCCAUAAGCAUAAUUCAUAUUGGCAUCUUGGCCACAAGCAUAGCAAGCGUCAUUAGAAAGGGAUAUUUCAAAACAAUCAAGGGAUCAUAGCAAUUAUCAUAGUAUUCAUCCUUCGGUAAGCAUGAAGGGGAUUUAAACAAUGUAUGAGUUGAAAAGUUACUCUCAUUAUAAGGUUGGCACGGGUGAUCAAUCCGCUCUUCCUCCUUUUGUUCUUCGCUCUCCUCCUCAUCUUUUUCAUCCAAUGAGCUCACAGUUUCAUCAAUUUCUUCUUCCAUAGAUUCCGGCAAAAUAUUAGUCUCUUCUUGGACAGUGGAGACUUUCUCAAUAAGUGCAUUAAUAUCGUAAUUGUAUUCAUAAUUCUCAUAACAAUAUUUAAGGAUAGCUAAAUUUUCAGGUCCAUAAACCGAAUCAUCAAAGUCUUCAAACUCUUUAAACAUAGAUUCAAUUUCAUAAGCACCCAUAAAAGCAACAAAUUCUUCUAUUUGUUCCACAUCAUAGUAAUCAUAUAUACCAUUAGCAUAAGAAGAUAAGGUUUUAUUAUCAUUAAAUUCGCAUGAAAAGGGAAGGUGUGGAGCCUUCAUCCUAGAGCAACAAGUAUAAUCAUAUCUCAAGCAUAGUUGCCUAGCAUACCACUUCAAUAUAUGAAUUUGAUCCCAUAAUAGUUUCCCUUUUUGUGUCAAGCGGUAAUCCCUAAAGUAUUCACGUUGAUCCAACGUUACUCCCAUUACAUAAUUGAAUGGGGUUUUCUCAGGAUUAUUAAAGUAGUACAUAAUAUCUUUCACAUAACCAGCAUCGAGGGUUUUUGGAGGUUCCCCAUCUCCAUGAGCAGAAAGUACACCUAAUUUUUUUGGUAUUUCGUGUUCCAUAUCCAUAACUAAAGAUAAAGAACAACUAAGAAAAGCAAAUAAAAAUUACUUAGUGAUAAAGCAAACAAACACACAUGAGAAUAUUCACCCCACGCUAUUGCUCCCCGGCAACGGUCCCAGAAAAAGGUCUUGAUAACCCACAAGUAUAGGGGAUCACAACAGUUUUCGAUAAGUAAGAGUGUCGAACCCAAAGAGGAGCUAAAGGCAGAACAAAUAUUCCCUCAAGUUCUAUCGACCACCGAUACAACUCUACGCACGCUUGACGUUCGCUUUACCUAGAACAAGUAUGAAACUAGAAUUACUUUGUAGGUGUUGUUGGAUAGGUUUACAAGAUAAUAAAGAGCAAGUAAAUAAAAAGUAGGGGUUGUUUAUAUAAAUACACAACUAAGUUAGGUUUAGUAAAGAUCUUUUUGUUACGAGAAAGUUAUUUGUCCCUAGGCAAUCGAUAACUAGACCGGUAAUCAUUAUUGCAAUUUUAUUUGAGGGAGAGGCAUAAGCUAACAUACUUUCUCUACUUGGAUCAUAUGCACUUAUGAUUGGAACUCUACCAAGCAUCCGCAACAACUAAAGAUCAUUAAUGUAAAACCCAACCAUAGCAUUAAAGCAUCAAGUCCUCUUUAUCCCAUACGCAACAACCUACUUACUCGGGUCUGUUCUUCUGUCACUCACGCCACCCACCAUAAGCAAAUCAUGAACAUAUUGCAAACCCUACAGCGGGAACCCCUCAUGCUUGCGCAAUACAGAGAGCACCAUAGGAUAUCACCAAUAAUAAAACAUGCAACUCAAACCAAUCACGAUCAUCAAAUAACCCAUAGGAUAAAACAGAUCUACUAAAACAUCAUAGGAUAGCCAUACAUCAUUGGGAAAUAAUAUAUAGCGUUGAGCACCAUGUUUAAGUACAGAUUACAGCGGGUAAAAGAGGGUUUACACCUCUGCAUAGAGGGGGGAAGAGUUGGUGAUGAUGGCGGUGAAGUUGUUGGUGAAGAUUGCGGUGAUGAUGAUGGCCACGGUAGUGUUCCGGCGCCACCGGAAGAGAAGGGGAGAGGGGGCCCCUUCGUCUUCUUCUUCCUUGACCUCCUCCAUAGAUGGGAGAAGGAUUUCCCCUCUGGUCCUUGGCCUCCACGGCGUGGGAGGGGCGAGAGCCCCUCCGAGAUUGGAUCUGUCUCUCUGUCUCUCUCUGUUUCUGCGUUCUCACAUUCUACCCUUUCACCGUUUCUUAUAUUCUCGGAGAUCCAUAACUCCGAUUGGGCUGAAAUUUUAUCACGAUCUCUAUCCGGAUAUUAGCUUUCUUGUGGCGAAAGAAGGGCAUCAACCGCCUUACGGGGUGGCCACGAGGGUCAAGGGCGCACAUGCCCCCCUGGGGUGCGCCCCCUGCCUCGUGGCCCCUCGGGCAUCGUCUCGCGUGGAUUUUUCUUUUGAAAAAUAAUAUAUAUUCCAAAAAAAUCUCUGUCAGUUUUUAUCCCGUUUGGACUCCGUUUGAUAUGGAUAUUCUGCGAAACAAAAAACAUUCAACAAACAGGAACUGGCACUAGGCACUGGAUCAAUAUGUUAGUCCCAAAAAUAGUAUAAAAAGUUGCCAAAACUAUAUGAAAGUUCUAGAAUAUUGGCAUGGAACAAUAAAAAAUUAUAGAUACGAUGGAGACGUAUCACGGUAUAGGUGGUCCCUGGGCGUCGAGAUCAUGUCAGAGGGUUGCACGAGCUCGAGGGGGUCGGCUGGAGGAGUUUGGAGGGGAGUGGUGGCUCACUGGCGUUGGGCGGGGUGGAUGAACGACGGGGGCAGUACGAGAUCGGGACAGCGAUGGUGGCGACUGUGGUGGGUUGUGGCAUCGGGGUUUAAGGGGGGUCGAGGGAGGAGGGGGUAGGGUUUGUAUAGGACGACAACUUGGAGGAGGGGCGGAGCUGGAGCACGAUCCCGAGAAGAUCGCGGUGACGGGCGCGCUCUGGCCGUACUCUAGCCUGGCGAGGCAUGGAUGAGGGGUUAGGUUUGGGUGGACCCCGCGGGUCAGUGGGAGAGAGAGAAGGGUGCGAACGGGCAUCCAAUCGGGAGAGGGUUCGGGCGUGGCGCAGGUGGAGCAGGCCGGCUCAUCUUGCUUGCGGGCCGCGUUGGGUCGCUGGCUGGGCCAGUUGGCCUGGCUGGCGCCUUGUGCGGCAGGUUUUUCCUCUCUUUUUUUAAAUCGGGCAGAGAAUAAAAUAUAAAUAGAAAAUAAAAAUACUUUUAUAUAGGACACAUAUAUAUAUAUAUAUAUAUCAAAAUUCUCAGAAAAACAAAGUCUAUAAGAUGAACCAUUUUUCAGAGGCGAAAUAAAAACGUUAUAAAAACACUUUUUUUCAAAAUUCCUAACAAAACUCAAAUUUGAAUUCAAAACUUUUGGCAUUAAUUUCUUCUGGCAUUUUUGGAGUGUCAUUUUAGCUCCUCUCAUACUUUUGAACAAGUAUUUGUCAAUGAUUUUUGUAAUGAAAUUCAAAUGCCAAGUUGAAUCCAAAUUCGAACAAAACCCGAAUGCCUCUGAGAUUUUCCAAAUGUCACUCAAUUCAAUCAAAAUGCAUAGAUGCUUAGCUAAUAAUUGUAAAACAUUCCAAAUUGAAAGGUGGAGGACCGCAAGGGGCUUCACCGAGUUCUUCCUCGCGGCCGACUACCGCCACCUCCCACGUGGAUCUCCAAGGAUGUUCCAUGUCGAGGAGAUCAUCCGAAACGGGUUGGUGGUUGCUAUCCUUACCCACUUCACUAACUCCUUCGACGCCUUCUACCACCUCGGCCACGUGUUUUGGUGUAGCUGCGAGUUCAUCGCUUUCACCACCCACAACAUCUUCACGGAGUACAUCAACAUCUUCCCCACCGCGUCGCGCAUGCACACUCUGCCGUACCCCAUUGACAACACCCCAGAGGAGCAGUGAAGGGCGCCCGGAGGAGCGAGGUGGAGAAGGCGGCAGUUAGGUUUUAGAACCCUCUAUCUUUAUUUCUUUUUUUAAUCCAUGUUAUGUUAUUAAGUUGUAAUUGAACUAUAUGAUCAUGCUCUGGGCUUGGUGGACCUAUCAAUGUUAUGUUAUUAAGUUCUAUUAUUAAGUUUUCUAUCUAUCCUAUUAUUAAGUUCUUCCUAGUUUGUACUUUUUUAAUUAUUGAUUGUUUUUUGACAGAGCUCGCUUUGUUUGUAAGCACCUACUGCAUGCAUAGCUACACAAGCCACCACCACGUCGAGGAAGCCACAAAGAAUUAAGAUAUGUAGCCACCUAGUGCAUGCAGCCAAUAAUAAUAAUAAUAUUGUUCAAUUUAUUUGUCGUAGAAAAACGGCUGCUGAUGCGAGUGGAUCAAAAAGGUUCAAACGAUGUUCUAAAUCGAGGAGACACGCAUCGGCGCAUGCAGGCAGUGACCGUCGUUGUGUCAGUGGCGGCUGGCGUGCACAAAAGUGGCUCGGUCGGCACAUAUCAGCACAUGUAGGUAGGCUAGCUGCGUGCAUGCAUAGCAGGCUAGCUGGAUACGUCGUUCAUGCAUUGCGAGCUUCUGUCAUGGCAGCGCGCGCAUGCGUUUCAUGCAACGACCCAACAGUCCAACGAAAUCACGACCGAACGGUCGAAUAGCGCCACCGUCCAAGGAUGCCCCACUUGUUAGGUCCAACAGGCGACACAGUCCAGCGCAGCCCCACUCGUCAGAGUUAACGGUCAAACCAUUGACCCGACGGCGACGUCCACUUUGCCCAUUUGUGAGGGAUUCAGCCGAGGGAGUGGGGAUAAGUGAGUGAUACGUCUCCAACGUAUCUAUAAUUUUUUAUUGUUCCAUGCUAUUAUAGUAUCCAUCUAGUAUGUUAUUAUGCAUUUAUAUGCUAUUUUAUAUGAUUUUUGGGACUAACCUAUUAACCUAGAGCCCAAUGUCGGUUUCUGUUUUUCUUUGUUUUUGAGUAUAGCAGAAAAGGAAAACCAAACGGAGUCCAAUUGACAUGAAAUUUCACGGAGAUCAUUUUGGGACCAGAAGAAGCCCACGGAGUACCGGAGAUGGGCCAGAAGAGUCUCGAGGCCACCACGAGGGUGGGGGUGCACCCCCCCUAUCUCGUGCGCCUCGAGGACCCCCCUGACUUGUUCCUGAGUCCAACACCUCUUAUAUAUACCCUAACUUCCAGAAAGAAACCUAGAUCAGGAGUUCCGCCGCCGCAAGCCUCUGUAACCAUCAAAAACCAAUCUAGACCCGUUCCGACACCCUGCCGGAGGGGGGAUCCCUCUUCGGUGGCCAUCUUCAUCAUCCCGGCGCUCUCCAUGAUGAGGAGGGAGUAGUUCACCCUCAGGGCUGAGGGUAUGUACCAGUAGCUAUGUGUUUGAUCUCUCUCUUGUUCUUGAUUCGGAACGAUCUUGAUGUAUUGCGAGCCUUGCUAUUAUAGUUGGAUCUUAUGAUGUUUCUCCCCCUCUACUCUCUUGUGAUGAAUUGAGUUUUCCCUUUGAAGUUAUCUUAUCGGACUGAGUCUUUGAGGAUUUGAGAACACUUGAUGUAUGUCUUGCAUGUGCUUAUCUGUGGUGACAAUGGGAUAUUCACGUGAUCCACUUGAUGUAUGUUUUGGUGAUCAACUUGCAAGUUCCGUGACCUCAUGAACUUAUGCAUAGCGGUUGGCACACGUUUUCGUCUUGACUCUCUGGUAGAAACUUUGGGGCACUCUUUGAAGUUCUUUGUGUUGGUUGAAUAGAUGAAUCUGAGAUGUGUGAUGCGUAUCGUAUAAUCAUACCCACGGAUACUUGAGGUGACAUUGGAGUAUCUAGGUGACAUUAGGGUUUUGGUUGAUUUGUGUCUUAAGGUGUUAUUCUAGUAUGAACUCUUGAAUAGAUCAAUCAGAAAGAAUAACUUUGAGGUGGUUUCGUACCCUACCAUAAUCUCUUCGUUUGUUCUCCGCUAUUAGUGACUUUGGAGUGACUCUUUGUUGCAUGUUGAGGGAUAGUUAUAUGAUCCAGUUAUGUUAUUAUUGUCGAGAGAACUUGCACUAGUGAAAGUAUGAGCCUUAGGCCUUGUGCAUUUUGACUUCCGUGAUCCUCGAAAUUCUAAGAAACUCAAGGACCCUCGAAGAGAGUUGGGGGAUUUCACCGUUUUGCAUAUUUGAAAUUUAUCAAAUAUGGAAACAAGGAUCACUUUGGUUUUAAUAAAUUUUCUCUCCAAAAAUAUUUCAUACCAAAAUAUAUGAGAGGAGAUAAUAUGACUUCUCCAAAAUAAAUGAAAUAUUGGAUGAAAAGUAUUAAAAUCAAUUUGCAUAUUUUAUUUGGAUUUUAUUGCAAUUUUAAUUGAAUUAGGAAAAAUAUGUGUUUUUCUAAAUUGCAUUAUAGGACCAAAUAAAUGUUCACCUUGUCCGGCUUAUUUUUAGAGGACGUGGAAAAUUUAUUUCAGGAUUUUUGCAGUCCGCUUAGUAUUUAUUUUCUUUGUCUUUCUGCGCGGAAUAAUUUAAAAAAAAGGGGGAACCGACUUCGGGCCGUACCCGACCGGGACUCUCUAGGCCGGCCUCUUAUAAGCCGCCCGAGCCGUGACCCCGAGGCCCAGCCCACCGCACCGCGCCAACCCUAACCCUAGCCAGCGCCGCCACCGCCCGACGCCGCAUAGCCGCCACCCGCCACCCCGCCGCCCGACGCCGCCCGCCGCUGGAGUUGCCGUUGUCGCCGCCGUCAUGUACGUCGAGGUAGCCGCCGGUUUUUUUCUAACACCGUUUGGUUUAUUUCGAAAACCCUAGAUCUACUUUUUUAAUAGAUCGGUUCGGUUUUUUUCCCGGUUCUGUUAAACAGCGGACGUUCGUCCGUUCGUUCGUUUUACGAAUGCCGUUCACCCGUUAGUCACAAACAGCGAACGUUCGUUCAUUAGUCUGUUCGUCAGUUUUUCUUUUUCCAGGGUUUUUCGCGAUUAUUUUCGAUCGCGAUCUCUGCCCUAAUUUUUGAUCUAGUUUAUCUUUUCGCUCGUUUAUCGAAAUUAGGCGAUUCAAGCGCCUAGAUCUUCGUCUCGAAGCCCUCUUUCCAUUUAAUCAACUUGAACAAGAUUUUGGUACUGUAAAAUUUUACUUCAGUCUAGAUUAGUAAUAGGAUCUUGUUUCUUUCGCAGUUUGAGUUUCGUUGCCUCGUUUGAUUUGAUUCUUUUUGCAAACCGGAGUUCUUAAGUUGAACUUUCUGUUUAGAUAUUCUUGUUUGAGUUUUGCCCAUGCAUCUUUGCUUGAUUGCUUAUGUAUGCUAUUGUUUGUUGGCGAUAGAACACCCAGAGUGCGAAGCGUGCUACUAUGAGUCUUUAGGAUUUGCAGAUCGUCAGCAAUGCAAGUAACACAUUGAUCAUACUUCUUUCAUACCCAGUUUUUAUGCAUUAGUUCUAAUCCUCAAACCUUGCAUGAUUAGGAUGUGAUUAACUUGUGGGUAUUGGGAAGUAGAUGAUGAGGUAGAACCUAUUGCAUGUUUUAUUAUCAAACCCUGGGAGUUACUUAUACGUUAUGCUUAUAUUGCCAAGCUAUGCUCAUAGAUGUGGUUUGGGUUUGAGAAAUCCAUGACAGAUGUGAUAUUGUUAAUUAAUGGUUCAACUUAAGGUGGCAACUUUAAUACACAUCUGGGUGGAUUGCUUGUUUGGGCACCUGGGGAUGUACCAGUGUUGUCCAGGAGAUCCCGGGGAUAUACCGUGUGAUCCUCCUAUGGUCCGCCACCAAGGCUCAAAGGGAUCAUGAGAUUGUUCAUGCUAGAAACUUCCGUGUGCAUUCACAAGCCAUUAUGGGCUCUGGCAUAGUUGAGUAUGUUGUGUGACCUGUUUCAGUGGUGGGCUAGCAGAUGUAGAGGGGAAGUAGGUGUAACUGUCCACCCGGAAUAAAGAGUUAAUGCUUCUAAAAGACUGUGUCUCGGUCAUCCGCUUCUCAAACACCAUGUAGUGCGAGAAAUCCAAUGGAGGAGAUCGAUUCUUGUGGGGAAAAGUGCACAAACCUCUGCAGAGUGUACAAACUAAUCAUGGUUAGCCGUGUCCCUGGUUAUGGACAACUUUAGUAUCUAUUACUUGGAUUAUCCUACUGUAUCUCAUCACUCUAAACUAAUUUGUUGGGUUGAUAAUUACUUUUAAUUGGGAUUGAGAUGGGGGUACCAUUAUCAGUGUUUCAGCUACCAUGAUAGUUAAAUAAAAAUUUAUUCCUUUGUUGUAGGAAAAAAUUAGCUUUUCGCAAAAACCAUAUAACCAUAGAGCCUCCACCAGCCAUAUAUGCAUGUAGUGUUAGCAUUUAUCUAUUCAUUGCUCUACUGUGUUACACUGCCAGCAUAUUCCAUGUGCUGACCCGUUUUCGGGCUGCAACGUAUUAUGUUGCAGACUUUUCAAACGAGGAGUAAGACGCGAUAGGUCGUUUGUCAUGCACUCAGCUAUGCCGUUGGAGUUGAUGGACUAACUUUAUCUUCCAAGCCUUCCGAUGUUAUCGUAUUAGAUGGCCUUAAGCCAUAUUUAUUGUAAUAAGUUCUCUUUUGAGACAUUCGAUGUAAUAAGUGUGUGAUUUCUACUCUGUUAUAAAUCCUUCGAGUACUGUGUGUGUCAGCAUUACCGAUCCAGGGAUGACACUGAAGCACAGAGACUUGACCGUUUGAGGUCGGGUCGCUACAUAUGAAUUCUUUGAAUACCCAUGAUGCUAAUGAUAUGCAAAGCCACAAGCUUGGGGAAGCUAUGUUUGAUGAAGAUGAUAUUUUUUGUCUCCCAAGUUUUGAUGAGCAAAUUUAUUAUGAUGAUAGCAUGCCUCCUAUUUAUGAUGAUUAUAUUGAUGAAAGUGGGUUUGGAAGAGUGUCAACUUUAGGAACGGAUGAUCCCACUAUUUUGGAGGAUGUUGAAUCUUAUUGUGAUAAUUGUAAAAGUGGAUUUGGAGAGGUUAUGACUUUAUUUAGUAAUGAUUCCACUAUUUCGGAACAGGUUCCAAUUGAUUAUGAGAACAAAGCUGCUAUCUAUGAUGAUUAUUGGGAUGAGUUGUAUGCUAGUAAGAAUAAUGAUAUCCAUGAAACUUGUCAUCAUGAUUUUAACUUUCAAUUGGAUUAUGUCUCAUAUGAUAGUUAUUUUGUUGAGUUUUCUCCCACUACUAUUCAUGAGAAGAAAUUUGCUAAUGUGGAGAGUAAUAAAAAUUAUAUGGUUGUAGAUCAUGGAAAGAAUGCUUUAUGUGAUGGUUAUAUUGUUGAAUUCAUUCAUGAUUCUACUGAAAUUUAGUAUGAGGGAGGAAUAUAUGCUUGUUGGAAUUGCAAUAAUAUCAAGGUUCCUCUCUAUGUGCUUAAAGUUUUAAAGUUAUGCUUGUUUUGCCUUCAUAUGCUAGUUGAUUAUUGUUCCCAUAAGUUGUUUGCUCACAAAAUCCCUAUGCAUAGGAAGCGGGUUAGACUUAAAUGUGCUAGUCAUAUUAUUCAUGAUGCUCUCUUUAUGUUACAAUUCUUAUCUUUUAUGUGAGCAUCAUUGAAAUCACCAUGCCUAGCUAGGGGCGUUAAACGAUAGUGCUUGUUGGGAGGCAACCCAAUUUUAUUUUUAUUCUUUGCUUUUUGCUCCUGUUUAGUAAUAAAUAAUUCAUCUAUCCUCUAUUUAGAUGUGGUUUUAUGUUUUAGUUAGUGUUUGCGCCAAGUAGAACCUUUGGGAAGACUUGGGUGAAGUCUUUGCGAUCUUGCUGUAAAAAACCAGAAACUUUUGCGCUCACGAGAGUAGCUGCCAUUUUUUACUGGAGAGUGCGUUUAGUUUGAUUCUUUUUGAAGAUGAUCAAUAGACAAAUACCUCAGGUCCACCAAUUUAUUUCAGAAUUUUUGGAGUGACAGAAGUAUUCGAAUGAUACAGAUUACUACAGACUGUUCUGUUUUUGAUAGAUUCUGUUUUCAUUGUGUUGUUUGCUUAUUUUGAUGAAUCUAUGAGUAGUAUCGGAGGGUAUGAACCAUAGAGAAGUUGGAAUACAGUAGAUAUGACACCAAUAUGAAUUUAUAAUGAGUUCACAACAGUACCUAAGUGGUGAUUUAUUUUCUUAUACUAACGGAGCAUACGAGUUUUCUGUUUAGUUUUGUAUUGUGAAGUUUUCAAGUUUUGGGUAAAGAUUCGAUGGACUAUGGAAUAAGGAGUGGAAGGAGCCUAAACUUGGGGAUGCCCAAGGCACCCCAAGGUAAUAUUCAAGUACAACCAAGAGUCUAAGCUUGGGGAUGCCCUGGAUAGCAUCCCCUCUUUCAUCUUCGUUCAUCGGUAACUUUACUUGGAGCAAUAUUUUUAUUCACCACAUGAUAUGUUUUGCUUAGAGCGUCAUUUUAUUUUAUUUAGUUUUGCUUGCUGUUUGAAUAAUAUCCCAAUAUUUGAAAUUCUUAAAUGUUAGAGACUCUUCACAUAGUUACAUAAUUAUUCGGCUACUCAUUGAUCUUCACUUAUAUCUUUUGAAGUAGUUUGUCGUUUGCUCUAGUGCUUUACUUAUAUCUUUUAGGGCACGCCGGUAGUUUUAUUUUAUAGAAAUAGAUGAACUCUCAUGCUUCACUUAUAUUAUUUUGAGAGUCUUUUAGAACAGCAUGAUAAUUUGCUUUGGUUAUGAAACUAGUCCUAAUAUGAUGGGCAUCCAAGAUGGGUAUAAUAAAAACUUUCAUAUAAAGUGCAUUGAAUACUAUGAGAAGUUUGAUUCCUUAUGAUUGUUUUGAGAUAUGAACAUGGUGAUAUUUGAUACAACUCCAACGUAUCUAAUGGGCUUUAUUAUCUGUUUGGAUUGUUCCAUGCUAUUAUAUUAUCUGUUUGGAUGUUUAAUGGGCUUUAUUAUACACUUUUAUAUUAUUUUUGGGACUAACCUACUAACCCAAGGCCCAGUGCAAAUUGUUGUUUUUUGCCUAUUUUAGUGUUUCACAGAAAAGGAAUAUCAAACGGAAUCCGAAUGGAAUGAAACCUUCAGGAGAGUUAUUUUUGGAACAAAAGUGAUCAAGGGGACUUGGAGUAGACGUCAAGAAAGAAGCGAGGCGGCCACGAGGCAGGGAGGUGCGCCUGCCCCCCUAGGCGCGCCCCAACCCUCGUGGGCCCUUCGCAGCUCCACCGUCCUACUUCUUCCUCCUAUAUAUAUCCAUAUAACCCAAAAACAUCCAGGAGCACCAUGAAACCCUAUUUCCACCGCCGCAACCUUUUGUACCCAAGAGAUCCCAUCUUGAGGCCUUUUCCGGAACUCCGCCGGAGGGGGAAUCGAUCACGGAGGGCUUCUACAUCAACACCAUAGCCUCUCCGAUGAUGUGUGAGUAGUUUACCACAGACCUUCGGUUCCAUAGUUAUUAGCUAGAUGGCUUCUUCUCCCUCUUUGGAUCUCAAUACAAUGUUCUCAUCGAUCUUCUUGGAGAUCUAUUCAAUGUAAUUCUUUUUGUGGUGUGUUUGUCGAGAUCCGAUGAAUUGUGGGUUUAUGAUCAAGUUUAUCUAUGAAAAAUAUUUGAUUCUUCUCUGAGAUCUUUUAUGUAUGAUUGGUUAUCUUCGCAAGUCUCUUCGAAUUAUAAGUUUGGUUUGGCCUACUAGAUUGAUCAUUCUUGCAAUGGGAGAAGUGCUUAGCUUUCGGUUCAAACUUGCGGUGUCCUUUCCCAGUGACAGCAGGGGCAGCAAGGCACAUAUUAUAUUGUUGCCAUCGAGGAUACAAAAUAUGGGGUUUAUAUCAUAUUGCUUGAGUUUAUCCCUCUACAUCAUGUCAUCUUGCCUAAUGUGUUACUCUGUUCUUAUGAACUUAAUACUCUAGAUGCAUGCUGGAUAGCGAUCGAUGUGUGGAGUAAUAGUAGUAGAUGCAGAAUCGUUUCGGUCUACUUGUUGCGGACUUGAUGCCUAUAUACAUGAUCAUGCCUAGAUAUUCUCAUAAUUAUGCACUUCUCUAUCAAUUGCUCGACAAUAAUUUGUUCUCCCACCGUAAUACUUAUGCUAUCUUGAGAGAAGCCACUAGUGAAACCUAUGGCCCCCGAGUCUAUCUUUUAUCUUUUAUCUAUUUUACUUUGCAAUCUUUACUUUUAAUAUAUAUCAUAAAAAUACCAAAAAAUUUAUUUUAUUAUCUCUAUCAGAUUUCACUCUUGUAAGUGACCGUGAAGGGAUUGACAACCCCUUUAUCGCGUUGGUUGCGAGGUUCUUAUUUGUUUGUGUAGGUACAAGGGACUUGCGUGUAGUCUCCUACUGGAUUGGUACCUUGGUUCUCAAAAGCUGAGGGAAAUACUUAUGCUACUUUGCUGCAUCACCCUUUCCUCUUCAAGGGAAAACCAACGCAGUGCUCAAGAGGUAGCAAGAAGGAUCUCUGGCGCCAUUGACGGGGAUAUCUACGCACAAGUCAAGACAUACCAAGUACCAUCACAAACUCUUAUCCCUCCCAUUACAUUAUUUGCCAUUUGCCUCUCGUUUUCCUCUCCUCCACUUCACCCUUGCCGUUUUAUUCAUCCUCUUUUUCGGCUCGCCUCUUUUUCGUUCGCCUAUUUUUGCUUGCUUGUGUGUUGGUUUGUUUGUCACGAUGGCUCAAGAUAAUACUAAAUUCUGUGAUUUUUCCAAUACCAACAAUAAUGAUUUUAUUAGCACUCCGAUUGCUCCCCUUACCGAUGCUGAAUCUGGUAAAAUUAAUACUGCUUUGUUGAAUCUUGUCAUGAAAGAUCCAUUUUCUGGCCUUCCUAGUGAAGAUUCCGCUACCCAUCUAAACAGCUUUGUUGAUUUGUGUGAUAUGCAAAAGAAGAAAGAUGUGGAUAAUGAUACUGUUAAAUUGAAGCUAUUCCCGUUUUCGCUUAGAGAUCGUGCUAAAACUUGGUUUUUGUGACGCCCUGAGUCCGAUGCGCCAGGUGUCUUCCAGUUAUUUGCCGACAUUGCCAUGUCAUUUGCUUGCGUGUUGCAUUUCAUCAUGUCAUCAUGUGCAUUGCAUCAUCAUGUUUUCAAAACAUGCAUCCAUCCUGGUCUCCUCGUUCUUUCUGUUGUCCGUUCUGAGCCCAGACACACUUGCACGCGCCCGCGGCACGUCCGAAAUAUUAUUUUAUAAGUGGCCGAAAAAUGUUCUCGGAAUGGGAUGAAAGCUGGCGUGCAGUGUUGUUAUGUUGUUAGUAGGUCGCCUGCCAAGUUUCAUCGCAUUCGGAAUUCAUUUGAUGCCCCAACUAAUAACUAUAGCGGCAAUAUAGUCGGUCAAAUCGUCGGUCGUUUUCGGUCUCCGGAAACAGCAGUCGGGCUGCAUUCCUCCUCUUUCCUCGUAGACCACCUCCUCCCUACAUAGCCCACUAUCCCCUCUGGCAGCCCACCUACCCCUUCUCGCGUCCAGAGUCGUCCGAUGGUGAUCGCACAGUCUGAAAACACCCCUCAACCCUCUCAAACCAUAAUCCUGCCUAUAAGUGGACACCCUCCUUCUUAUUUUGGCAUCCCCUAGUCUCCACCUACCUGCAGCCACCAACCCUCCUCAAUUUCCGCGCCUGCCCGCUCCGUCGCCGCCACUUGUCGCCGCCAGCUCCUCCCCAGCCACCGUACCACCACUUGGCGCCGUCUGUUUGGCCGCGCCGCCACCUGAGGAGACGCCCCGGCCUAUCGGGUGCCUCCACGUCACGUCCUUGCAUUCUCCCCGUGCCUCCCACUAUGCAGGGCCCUCCGCAGCCCACAACCGGCCCAUAUAGGCCGAAUCGGGCCCGAAACACCCGCAACCAGACCGUACAGGCCGAAUCGGGCCCGAACCUCCUCUCUACACAACCCACUAUCCCCACAGCCUGCUCCAGCGCGCGUGCCGCCGCCUCCGAUCUAGAUCAGGAGAGCCCUGAUCUCCCCUCCCUCGUGUUCCUGUCAUCUCCGCCGCCUGGCCUCCCGCCGGCGACCACCGCUGCCACGGUGAGCCCCGACCUCGUCAUCCUUCUUCUCCCUUGCCUACCAAGCUCAUCUCUCUCUCCCUCCCAUUCUGCAGGAUGCAUGGUGCCACCGGAGUCCGCCGCUGAUGCUAGGAAAUGAGAGGCAGCCACCAGAUCCGGCCUCUGGAGUUCGGCCUCGGCCUCCUUCUUGCCUCCUCGACCACCCGGCGACCCGCCUUGCCAAACCGCCACCACUACCAUUUCCCUGCUUGGGCUCGAGCUGUACAGCGGCUCGAUCCCCUGCCUCCCCUGCUUCGUGGUCGCAUUGACCAAGGCCCAGCCUCCCCUUGGCCCAUCCGUGCAAGCCCAGGACCGCGGCCUGCCAGCUGCAGCCCACAGAACCGGCCCAGUUGAUCUUGGCCUUGGCGAGCCACCGCAGACCCAGUGCCCAGUCCACUGUUCAGAUUCAUCCCAUUUGUUUAUUUUCAGAUCUGUGAUUUUAGCAUUUUCCAGAGAGUGCCAGUUUUACAACAAAGUCCCCCUAAAUCAUGCAUAUCAUAACUCACCAACCGUGCAUCGGGUCUAAAUAAAUUAUAUAUGUAACUUGACUAGAAUUUCAUCUAGUUUAACAAUAUCCAACUUUCAUGCAUGUUUGACAUGUUUAAAUUGCUGUUUGCUUUAAUUUGCUCAAUUGCCAUGUUAAAAUGAUUUAUUUCAUAACUAAAUAACCGUAGCUCGGUUUUAAAUAAUCUUUAUAUGUAGAUGGGGUAGAAAAAUGCCUAGUUUAACAUGGUGUACUUGCUUUGCAUGUUUAACAACUCUAAAAUAUGGUUUACGGCAAAACAGUACCAAAUCCAUAAUUUGCAUAUGAGGAUUUUCCAGACUUGUUGUUUGUUGUUCCGGCCUCAUUUAAACUUGCCUAGAUAGGUAGUUUUCAUUUGCUUCACCCCUUGCCAUGCUAACCAACAUUUAAUUUUGUUGAGUACAUAAACGGGAGAGAACUAAAUAAGUCAUGUGGUGUUUUGUCAAUAUGCAACUCGUUGCAUAUUGAGCUCCAUUUAAUUUGUAGGAUUGUUUGUGCAUUUUCCAUGCCAUGCCUCAUUGAUCCGGACAUGCAUCAUACUUGUUUGUGCAUCAUGUCAUGCUUAUGUGAUGGUUGUUUACCAUGUUGUUUGCUUCUUUCCGGUGUUGCUUCUUCGGGUUUGUUCCGAUAACGUCGUGUUUGUGAGGAUUCGUUCGACUACGUCUGUUUGUCUUCUUCAUGGACUCGUUCUUCUUCCUUGCAGGAUCUCAGGCAAGAUGACCAUACCAUCAAAAUCACUUCUAUCAUUGCUUGCUAGUUGCUCGCUCUAUUGCUAUGCCACGAUACCUACCACUUGCCAUGUCAUGCCUCCCAUAUUGCCAUGUCAAACUUCUAACCCACCUUCCUAGCAAACCGUUGUUUGGCUAUGUUACCACUUUGCUCAGCCCCUCUUAUAGCGUUGCUAGCUGCAGGUGAAGUUGAAGUUUGUUCCAUGUUGGAACAUGGAUAUGUUGGGGUAUCAAAAUAUCUCUUAUUUAAUUAAUGCAUCUAUAUACUUGGUAAAGGGUGGAAGGCUCGGCCUUAUGCCUGGUGUUUUGUUCCACUCUUGCCGCCCUAGUUUCCGUCAUACCGGUGUUAUGUUCCUUGAUUUUGCAUUCCUUACACGGUUGGGUGUUAUGGGGACCCCUUGACUGUUCGCUUUGAAUAAAACUCCUCCAGCAAGGCCCAACCUUGAUUUCACCAUUUGCCUCACCGCCACCUACUUUUCCCUUGGGAGUCGCGCUCUCGAGGGUCAUCUUUAUUUUAACCCCCCCGGGCUAGUGCUUCUCUAAGUGUUGGUCCUAAGUAGAGUCCUUUGCAGCGCCACCUCGGGGAAACUUGAGGGCUGGUUUUAGUUGUAUGGAGCGCUCAUCCAGUGUUGCCCUGAGAACGAGAUAUGUGCAGCUCCUAUCGGGAUGUCGGCACAUCGGGCGGUCUUGCUGGUCUUGUUUUAUCAUUGUCGAAAUGUCUUGUAACCAGGAUUCCGAGUCUGAUCGGGUCUUCCUGGGAGAAGGAAUAUCCUUCAUUGACCUUGAGAGCUUGUGAUGGGCUAAGUUGGGACACCCAUGCAGGGUUUUGAACUUUCGAAAGUCGUGCCCACGGUUAUGGGUGGAUGGGAAUUUGUUACUGUCCGGUUGUAGAGAACUUGACACUUAACUUAAUUAAAAUGAAUCAACCGCGUGUGUAGCUGUGAUGGUCUCUUUUUGGUGGAGUCCGGGAAGUGAACACGGUUCUUGUGUUAUGCUUGAACGUAAGUAGUUUCAGGAUCACUUCUUGAUCACUUCUAGUUCACGACCGUUGCGUUGCUUCUCUUCUCGCUCUUAUUUGCGUAUGUUAGCCACCAUAUAUGCUAGUGCUUGCUGCAGCCCCACCUCAUUACCCUUUCCUACCCAUAAGCUUAAAUAGUCUUGAUCUUGCGGGUGUGAGAUUGCUGAGUCCUCGUGGCCCACAGAUACUUCCAAAUAGUCACAGGUGCCGAUGAUGCCAGUGCAGAUGACGCAACUGAGCUCAAGUGGGAGCUCGAUGAAGAUCGUGUUCGUUGUGUUGUUUCAUUUCCAGUUGAUCAGUAGUGGAGCCCAGUUGGGACGAUCAGGGAUCUAGCAUUUGGGGUUAUCUUCUUUUAUUUUGGUUUCAUAGUCGGACCUUGAUUGUAUUCUGGAUGAUGUAUGUUUAACUUGUAUUUGUGCGAAGUGGCGAUUUUAAACCAACUCUUUAUCCCUUUCUUAUUCAGUAAAUGGAAUUGUGUGAAGAUUACCCCUCUUGUGAAAAACCUACCAUGUGGCUAUGCCUCUAAGUCGUGCCCCGACACGUGGGAGAUAUAGCCGCAUCGUGGGUGUUACAAGUUGGUAAUCAGAGCCAUCCCCAACUUAGGAGCCCCCUGCUUGAUCGAAUCGCUGACAUUGUUGAGUCUAGAACAAAAUGUUUUGAGUCUUAGGAUUAUAUAUAUCGGAGAGUAGGAUUCUUUUUACUCCUCGGUACCUUCAUCGCUCUAGUGAGGCCUCCUGAUGUAGAAGUUUUGACUCUUCUCUCCUCAAAUUUCACUGCAAAAAAUUUACGAUCACGCGGGUAUCUUGGAAUCGUUCUGAUAGUUUUGUGACGAGAACAUUGUUCUUGGUGCCUCCUGACAUUUAGGGGUUGUGGUAGUGUCCCAGGGAGUUGAGCUCCGAGGUGUUGUCAUCACAAUUUUAUCGUUGCAGUUCUGGAAUACCCGAGUUUCGCCGACAUCGAAAAUCCCUUUUAUGCAGUUGUUGGUGAGAUAACCUCGACGCCACCCAAUACUGGGGCGGGAGUUUAGGAGUAUUGCUGUAACUCAUAUAACGGAUGCUUUUCGAAGGUUGAGGUACACGAUUUCCGAAGUUUUCUUGGUUAUGUGUUGAAGGAUGGAUACAACUGGAUGUAGGUAUUGUUAGUUUGGGUGAGAAAUUAUGCUUCCCCUGUAUCCCCAACACCUGAUUGCAUAACCAGAAAGUUUCAGGAGUUUAUAAGUGGGAAUUCAAGUAGCUCCUAGAAUAUCUUUCCAACAGACACAUGAUACGAUAUGGGAUCUGUCAUAUGUUUGUUCCGGCUUAUUUUGCAAGCCAAUCCUUUGUUUUUGUUUUGAGUUUGUGGUAUUCGAGUUGCUUCAAUGUCAAGUGUUGAUUCCAUACCUUGCCUAAGCGGUAUUCUCAUAUUUCUAUGUGAAUACUAAUCCUUCAUGAUAAUCAAUAUUGUCAUGUCAAUCCUUUUCAACCGGUGUGUUUCUCUUCAAGAUGAUCCUAUCAUUUUUCCCAUUCGCAAGAUCCAAUCUCAGUUUUUAUCAACGGUGUUUGUUUCAUCCGUAUCCAAGUUGUCUUUGUUUUCCCACCCUCCCACCCUUUUUAUUCAAGGACUAAGAUUCCUUAUUCAAGUAUCCUUUUAUUGAUGGGAAGCCUCGCCAUUCUUUUCUUUCAAUGUUCUUAUCCGGUGAUUCUCAGAAAGAUACUAACGGAUCCUCAAGUUCGUCACUCUUCACUCGUUUUAUUCUCCGGUGGAUUUAAUUCAAGCCUUGUCGAUCAUAUCCUUUACUUGUUUCAAAUGUUUUUCCCAUACUGGUGCACCUCGCAAUCUUUCACUUCUUGUUAUUCUUUUGUUCUGGAGUGUUGAAGAUAUGUCAGAAGAUUCAAGUUUCCAUUCUCAAUUCGCUCAAGUUCUUUUGAGGGUGUUAUCUCAUUCAAGCCAUUUAAUUCAACUGGCGCAAUCUCUCUUUUAAAUUGUUCAACGGUGUUUCUUUUGAGUGGGUCCUAACCCAUAGGUUUUUCCCAGGAUCUUACCUGACUCUUCUAUUUUCCCGGUGUUACUCUCAAAUUCUUUUCCAAGUUUGACAUAAGAAUGAAUUAUCAUCAGUCAAAUGUCUUCCUCUAAGAUCUUUCAAAUUCUUUUCAUCGUUGGUCAUAAUUUCUAAUUUUCAUUCCGGAGUGCCUCAACAAUUCAUGGUGGUGUUUCCCAUCGCCAUUCUCUGCUUUUGAAGACUGAGGAAGAGUUCUCUUAAAUCUUGCUCCAUUCUCUUCAAGAUGUGUAGUUCAAGAUUGAUGCGAACCUCUCAUAAUUGUUUUCAAUUGUGAGAAUGCUUUUCACCCAUCCGGAGCAAUUCAUGAGUCUUUUCAGUUUGAUUCUUCGAAGGCCAUCAUUUUGGGUUUAUUCAUUCUCAGCUUUCAGCUCUCGUUCUCCAAAUCUUACCGCUGCAUCGUUCAAAUAUCCUCAAAUUAGUUCAUGAUCUCUCCGUUCUCAUGUAUCUAAAUUCCCUCAAGCAUCUUCAUUCGUUUUCCAAUUCUUCCUGGUAAACUGUGCCUUUGCUACUUUCAUUUUUCAAUUCUUACGGUGGUUCGUUCAAGAGUUCCCUUCCUUGGUUAUCAUAUCAAUUCAUUACUUCUUCCCAAUCCUACCGGUGGAUCGUUGAAGACCUUCCCAAGUUUGCACCAUAUCUAUCUUAAUCCUUUCUACAAGAAUAAGUCGUAUGCAAUCCGCUUCUUGUCAUCAAUUUAAAUUGGUGAAGGAUACGCAUAACAUAAUUCUCAUUCUUCUUUCAGCCAAGUGAUUAAUUCCUUCUUCCAGAGUUUGUUCGUGAUGAAUAAAUUCUCGUUUUCGAUUGUUUCAUCUUUUCUUUUCCCAGAGUUCCAAGAUCUCAUCAUCACGAAGAUCCAUCUAAUCAUUGCAAGGCUUCAACCUUAUUAUUUUCAUCCUUCAUUUUGUUUGAUCAUUCUUUUAUUACCGGAGUUCUUUAUGGAGGAUCUACAUGGUGGUUCAUCAAGGAUUCCUUUCAUUCUUAAUUUUUCGUCAAGAUUUCUCUCGAAGCUACGAUCCGCCAAGCUAUACUCUAAAAUAAACAUGGUGUUCAACACAUGUCUUGUUUUGAGGAGUUCAAACAGUCUUCAUCUUGCAUUUCUAAGUGCAGUUCUUCCUAUCUUAUCUUUUGAGGUGGUGUUAUGUCAUUCUUGACAAUUUGAGUUCGUGUUUCAUGAUUCACAUGUUGUCAAGAAUGAGAUAUUUUAAAUCCACCAAUCUCUUCGUUGGAGUUAUCUUGUAUCAUGUUUCACCUAAAGCCUUCCCUAAGGAUUGUUGCUAUUUAUGGUGCUCAUAAAUGACCCAAGUUCUUCAUUUAUCCUCCCGGUGAAAUAAGUUUCUCGUCUCCUUGUUGAUAUGAAUCCAAUCUAUUGUUUCCGUUAGUGGCAGAAUUUCACCUCAUAGUUUUGAGAUGUUCUCCAUAAGCCCACUACAACCUUGUUCUUUUCGUUGUUGGUUUUCCAACAACUCUGUUCGACCCUUCUCCUAAAGAUGCUUUUCAAGCUCAUUUGAGGUAGAAGAAGUUGGUUUCCCCUCCGUUCUUUUGAUUCCAUUCUUACAUUCGUUCCGGAGGCAUGGUAUUGUUGCUAUAUUCAACCAUCAACUCGUUUUGUCAAAGAUCGUGUUCUUUUCGUGCUUAUCCAUUUAACCGGAGUGUAAUGCCCUCUUUUCAAGUUCUUCCCAUUCUGUCAAGUUUUGGCUCCCUUCUCAACCGAAGUGUUGUCUCAAAUCUUUCUUACCCAUUGUGCCAUUCUUUCAAUAGAUCUGGAGGUAGUGUGUUGUUGAUUUCGUCAAGUAUCAUCCAAUCUUCCCAAGUUCAUGUUGAAUUCUUUCCAAUUACAGUCGGAGUGCUGUCCAAAUUAUAUCAUUUGUAUUCCUUCUCUAUCAUGUUUUAACCGGAGUGUUGUGUCUAUCAUUCCUCGUCUAACCGGACUCUCAUCCAAGUGCUUUCAUUUUGCCUAGCUCAUAUUCUUUACCUUCCAUUUCCAACCGGGGUGUUUUCCUAAUUGAUCCUUAUCGUUCCUUGUACAUAUUGUUCUACCGGAGUGCUUGCAUGUACUUCUUGUCCAUUGCAACCUUUUUCUUAUGUCUUUCAACCUCCAAGGUUCUAGUAAUGUUCCUUGUUCCUCUUUUCUAACGGAGUUUUUCAACUUUGUUCAUCUUCGUUGUUUUCUUUCUUUCAAUUUGUUUAACCUUGCAAGGUUCUUUGGUUUCACUCUUUUGUCAAGAAGCAACUUUGUUUUACCUCUUCCUCUUCCGCUUUCUCUCUGGUGCCAUCCUAGAUCUCGGGACGAGAUCCUCUCAUAGUGGUGGAGUGUUGUGACGCCCCGAGUCCGAUGAGCCAGGUGUCUUCCAGAUAUUCGCCAACGUUGCCAUGUCAUUUGCUUGCGUGUUGCAUUUCAUCAUGUCAUCAUGUGCAUUGCAUCAUCAUGUUUUCAAAACUUGCAUCCAUCCCGGUCUCCUCGUUCUUUCCGUUGUUCGUUCUGAGCCUAGACACACUUGCACGCGCCCGCGACACGUCCGAAAUAUUAUUUUAUAAGUGGCCGGAAAAUGUUCUCAGAAUGGGAUGAAAGAUGGCGUGCGGUGUUAUUAUGUUGUUAGUUGGUAGACUGUCACAUCCCUAGCUUUACCCUGGCCUUGGACUAGCUUGGUUGCUGCAUCAUGUUUAAUUUCAAAUGAAAUUUGAAUUGGGGAAUUUUCAGAAGCCUCAAAACCCUAAUUAAAAGAAGGGCAAGCACCCUUUAAAUUGCAUUCUGUGAAUCCAAAAUGCCCUAAAAAUAGUUUUGUGAAUUUUGGCAAGAGUUAUACAUCAAACCAAAAUUCUGGAAUAUUUUUAAGGAAUUAUUUGGUCUCUGAAUUUAAAUCAAUAAUCUAUUUUGAAUUUGGGGAUAUAUUCAUAAUAUAUAAUGAAUAUAUUUUCAAAUGCUUUGAAAUGUUUUAUGUACUUUUGGAAUAGUCCAGAGAGGUAACAUAAAAUAUUUCAGAAUGUUUUGGCACUGUAGGAAAUUAUUUUGAAUUUGAAAACAGUGGCAAAAUAAAAAAAAAGAAACAGAACAGAAAAAAAUAAAAAGAGUAAAGCCUACCUGGCCUCACCCGCGCAGCCCACCAGCCGGCCAAGUUCCCCCCCCCCUGGCCGGCCCAGCCCACCAGCGCCCUCCCUGUCGUCUUCCUCCUCGGGACAGUAGGACAGAAGCGCGUGGCCGGAGCGCGCGCGCACGCGCCCGAGCCACCUCCUGCUUGCCGCCCCGCCCCGGAUCGGCUAAGGAUGCCACGCACCCCCUCAGGCCUCUCUCAACUCCCUCCCGUGCUCAUCCCCUUCUCCUGCUCUCCCUCUCGCUCCGCACCUCGGACCCGAGCGGAGCCGCCGCCACCGACGCCGAUUGCCGCAGCCACCAUGCUCCCCACGCCUCACCGACGCCCCAGGGAGCUCCGCCUCGACCCCCUCCUUCCUCCCCACCGACCCACGGCCCUCCGGAAGCCCUGCAACGCCGCCACCAUCGCCGUUCCGUCGCCGGCCACCGAAGCUCCCCUCCGUCGAUUCGCCGGACCCCGUGCCUCCCCUGCCUUGCCAGCAGCACCAGAAGAACCGCGGUGAGCCGCUGCAUCGUUUCCCCCAUGCCUCGUUGCUUAAUUCACCCCCUAGCCGCUCCCUCCACCGGAGCCGAGACGCUCCGCCGCACGGGCUCGUCGCCGGUGAAGCCCCGGUGACCAAAUGGCCCCACGCGUGCGUCCGUUGCACUCGCAACGACCCGUGGAGCAACGCUAGCGUGGCAGCUAGUUUGUUUGCAAGCCGCAACGCUAACUCCGCACCCACCCGAGCUCCGGCCGCCGCCUCGGGCUCCAUUCCGGCGAACCCCGGCCACCCCCGCACCUCCCGUUGGCCCCCCUAGAUGCGCACGGGCACGGGCUACCUUCUGGUGCCCUUCGCGCGUCCAGCCGUCGCCCGUAGCGCAACCCCGGUGAACUUCCGCCGCGUUCCGGGUCGCCGCCGGCCGAACUCCGGUGGCCAGUGACGUGGCUGGCUUAAUUAGCCACUAACCACCGCUUUGUGACACUGACAGUGGCCCCACGCCCUUAAUUAACCACGGCUUAAACUUCUGUUAGUUUAGAUUAAUCACAGUGGCCCCACGCGUCAGCUUGACCGUGCUGACGUGGCCUUUGACCCGGCCCCACCUGUCAGUGGGUUAAACAACCCUGUGUCACUGACGUGUGGCCCCCACACGUCAGGUUUGACCUGGAGGCGCCCUGUUGACCUGCUGACGUCAAGGUGAUGUCAUGCUGACGCAUUAAAUGAUUUUCUGGAUUUAAAAUAAAUCAGAAAAUUCCAGAAAAUACCUAAAACUUCUAAAAAUCAUAGAAAAUUAACCGUAGCUCCAAAUGAAAUAAUUUAUAUAUGAAAAAUUAUCAGAAAAAUUCAAAGAAUCCAUCUGUACCAUUUUCAUGCAUGUUAGAACAACUUAUAGCUGCUGUUUAGCACAAAUCAUAUAGAGUGCAUUUAAAUAAUCACAUAUGGAGUUUAAAUUUGAAUCUUGUAUUCAAACCAACCCCAUUUAACUUGUUGCUAGAUGCAUUAGCUCAAAACACAUUCAUUUUGCCAUGUCAUGAUCAUGCAUCAUAUUGUGCAUUGCAUUGAUUGUGUUUCUUUCUGUGUUGCCGGUAUUUGUCCCCUCUCGAUAGACGUGAUACCGAUGAUGUGAUCGUUGACACUGAUGAAGACUCAAGAUUAUCUUCAGAAGUGCCAGGCAAGCAAAACCCCCUUGUUCAUUCCGAUAAAAUCCCACUCUCUCGCUUCUGCUCUCUUUUACUGCAUUAGGACAACAACGACAUAUUUGAUACUUGCUGCGGUAGCUGAACCCUUUAUCCUUUGCAUGACCUGUCAUUGCCACAGUAAAUAGAUGAAACCCACUAGCAUGAGUAGGAGUUGUUUGAGCCAUGUUGUGCCUACUCAUUCAUGCUUGUUUGUCAUGCCUGCUACUGCUUAGAGUUGAGUCAGGUCUGAUUCGUCGGGGAUGAAUCAGAGGCGUGUGAACAUGUCCUACUGUGUGUGAGCUAAGUGUGUGAACACGAUUUGGUAAAGGUAGCAGUGAGAGGCCAUGUAGGAGUACAUGGUGGGUUGUCUCAUUGCAGCCGUCCUCAGGAACUGAGUUCUGUGUUUGUGAUCCAUGAUCAGUUACUACCACACAUUGGGCUUCGGGCGCUCCAAGCUCUCUCGACUUAUUAAUCAACAUGAUCUCUGUCCAGGAGUUGCAACUAGUUUCUGGUGUUUGUAGGUAGUGUUAGUAGUCUACCAAGUGGCACCCGGUACAGGUGGGCUUGGGACAGACUAGGCACAGUGGCCCGGUGUACCAAGUGGCAACCGGUUGGUGGGCUUGGGAACCCUGCACACAUCGUUUGGGGCCGUAAGCGACACCCCGGCCGGAUCUCCUUGCGGAUGGAACCCGAAUAGGCGAUAAACCUGGACUAGAGACUUGUUCGGUUAGUCAGGUCGUGGCCGACUCCCUCGCCCGGCUUCCGCUUGAAGGUUGCCGAGGUACAUGACGUGUACAGGGCGGUAAGUGGCGAGAGCGUGUGUGAAGAAGUACACCCCUGCAGGGUUAACAUCAUCUAUUCGAAUAGCCGGAUUCCUCGGAUAUGGAAACAUGGACCCCUUAUAUCAGUUCAUAGACAAGUGAAAGUGGAUACUCUAAAAUACGCAAGAUAAGCGUGAGUGCUAUGGAUGGCGUUCUCGUAGGGAGACGGGAGCGGAUCCAUAGUGGUGUAUUGAUAUGGUGGAUAUGUGGACUCGUGUGCGCCACCUCAAAAGAGUCGCUUGCAGUCGUAGUUAGGAUAGCCAUCGAGUCAAAGCUGGCUUGCUGCAGUUAAACCCCACCACCCCUUUGUUGAUAAUGAUGCAUAUGUAGUUAGUUCUGAUGUAAGUCUUGCUGGGUACAUUUGUACUCACGUUUGCCUAUUUUAUGUUUUGCAGAGAGACCUCAGUCUCACUAGUAGUUCCGCUUGGACUUCGACGUUUAGCUUGAUACCUCAGCUACGAUCUUGUGCCCUCGGCAGGAUCUGAUAGAUAGUCAGGCUUCUCAGCCUUUUUCAUUUAUAGAUGUUUGUACUCAGACAUGAUAGCUUCCGCUUGUGCUUUGAUUUGUAUGCUCUGAUUGUUGGUUCAUGAGACCCAUGUUUGUAAUAUCUCGCUCCUCGGAGCCUAUUGAAUAAAUUACUUGAGUCGUAGAGUCAUUUUGUGACGCCAUGUUGUAUUGCACAUAUCGAGCAUAUUGUGUGUAUGUUAUUGAAAUGCUUGGUAUGUGUGGGAUCUGACUAUCUAGUUGUUUAUCUUUAGUAGCCUCUCUUACCGGGAAAUGUCUCCUAGUGUUUCCACCGAGCCAUGGUAGCUUGCUACUGCUCCGGAACACUUAGGCUGGCCGGCAUGUGUCCUUCUUCAUUCCUGUGUCUGUCCCUUCGGGGAAAUGUCACGCGAUGAAUACCGGAGUCCUGUUAGCCUGCUACAGCCCGGUUCACCGGAGUCCUGCUAGCCCAGUGCUACAGCCUGGAUUCACUCGCUGAUGACCGACACGUUCGAUGCUGGGUCAUGGAUGCCUGUCCCUGUAAGUCUGUGCCACUUUGGGUUUACGACUAGCCAUGUCAGCCCGGGCUCCUUAUCAUAUGGAUGCUAGCGACACUGUCAUAUACGUGUGCCAAAAGGCGCAAACGGUCCCGGGCUAAGGUAAGGCGACACCCGUGGGAAUACCGUGCGUGAGGCCGCAAAGUGAUAUGAGGUGUUACAUGCUAGAUCGAUGUGGCAUUGAGUCGGGGUCCUGACAGCGUUGGUAUCAGAGCUUGACUGCCUGUAGGAUUACCAAGCCAAACUGGUCGAAGUUGAGUCUAGAAAUUCUUAGUUAUAUGUAGGGGAAUUGAUUGUGGGAUGAAACGUAAGGCUCUUUUUACUCCUUAUACCUUAUGCCUUCUGAUCUGAGUCAUUCCAGGUUUCUAAACAGUCUGAUGCACUUGCAGAUUCCUUCCUUCCAUUCCAAUGUUCCUUUGGGCCAGAUUAUCCACACUAAUUAGUAAGUUGAGGUACUUUAUUGCCUCGACAUAUAUGUUGGAAUAAUUAUUAUGACCCUAGGUGUUUUAGGGAGUCACCUAGUAAUCUAGCAACGUUUUGUGUUCCCAAUGUGAUGAUUCUGGCCUUUAUUCUCGAAAGCAUCCCGUGAUGCCACAUAGUUAGUAGGUAUUCUACUCCUGGGUUUUGAACCCGAUAUUCACCCUACUUACAUCAUGUUGAUAGUGUUGCUAGUUCCUUUAGUAUAUUAGUAACCUUUGCGAUAGUCCUCGAGGUCCGUGGUAUAUCCUUCUUCCAAUUACCAUGAACCAUUCUUGGCAGGAGUUCUUCUGAACCAAAAGAUGACAACAAGAGUGCUCUCGAUGAGUUCUCCAUUCAUAAAUCGUGACUCUGCCAGUUCUACCUUUCUGCAUGGGUUAUCCGGAAGAAAUAUGUUGAACUUCGUUCGACACGCUAAUCCAUGCAUCCACAACUCAGAAAAUCAUAUGUUCUUUUGAGUUGUCCCAUCUUAGUUGUUUCCGACCCUCGCCUAUCAAUUGAUAGUCAAGAGUAUGCGUGCAUUCGUUCGUCGAUGCCUAUUACCCUUGUGGUCCGCCAAGCCAUUCUAUCUUAGAAUGAAUAGGAGAAACAAACUCCAGUACCUCAUCCAUAUCUAGGAUUGGGUCAAAGUAGUUGUAUUCCGCAGAUCAAAUGCCAAUCCAGCUUUUGGUUUUGUUCUACCUUGGAGUAUUAACCCCUUUAUGUCAGAAUUGUCAUGAGAACUGCACCAACUCUCAUGAAUUUUGACGUAGUAAUACUUCUCACCAUCAUUAGUCAUUCCUCGGCCAUCGUGUUGAUGCAACCGGAAUACCGACAAAUGAAUUGUGAUGUGUGAAAUCAAUACUCCCAGCAACCUCGUUGCUUGGUAGUUAAAGGAUAAUAAUUUCAAUCUUAGCAUGUUGGUUUUUGAAUCAUCCCUCUAAGACUGAUCGUGCUACCUAGUCCUUAUUUCGGUGCACCCUUCGAUUGAUGAGCUAGGAUCUUGUCAAGUCCUCACUCAUUUGAUCAUAUCGUCUUGCCCCAAAAGGCAAGAUUGUUCUCGAGCUUAGUAACAUAUCGGUGGUUCGUGAUUUUCUGAAUGUCUUCUCAGAAGUAUUACCAGGUUGUCACCUGACCGCUAUGUUGAGUUCGUGAUCAAGUUGGUUUCUUGUGAACCACCCUUUCUCCAAGAAUCUGUGUUGGAUAUCCCGGAGCUAGUUGGUUAAGCUAGACAACAACUUGGAGAGUUGGAAGAUAAAAGCUUGCCUGACUUAGUUCGUUCCAAAGGGAUAUUCUUGUGUAGUGUGUGUUGAAGAAAGAUGAUAUCUUCAUCGAUUGGUCCUUGUGAUCAGUUGCUGGACCUAUUGUCUUAUCAAUCCUUUGAUUUGAGUGUGGGCUAUCGUCAAAUCAAGUCAGAACCAACGAUGUUCGUAAUGUUGUCUUCCUCGUGGUUGAUCCCUCGAGCAUACACCAUUAUAUUUUUUGGGUCUGACCAAUGCUAUCACCGUGUUCACACGAUGGUGGAAGUUCAGUGAUAUGGAAAUUCCGAUGAGUUGUUGUUGAGCCCAUUGACAACAUCCUUAUCUCCUCCAUGAUGUUGUUGAACAUUAAGUUAGUGUUGGAAACUUUUGAAAGCAUUUUCUUCAUGCUAGCUCAUGAAGUACUUGUUUGAUGAAAGGAGUGACUUCCUUUGAUUCACGUGCAUUUUGAUGUAAGUUGCCGUCGUGAAUUCGAGAAAGUUUGUUUUUGCUCCUUUGGAAUCAUCCCAAGUCAGCCAUGCACGUGCAAAGAAUUUUGUGGUCUGUUAGACUGAUCAUCUUCAUUCCAUAUGUAUAUCCUAGCACACCAAGCCACUGAUUGAUUUGUUCAAGGAGAAGAAGUUCCUUCUUAAGAGUAUACCUUAUGCAAGGAUUUUGAUAUCCUCGUUGAUUGUUCCCCACCUGAACUCGGUAGUGUUUUAUUAUGAGACUACCACGUGAUCAUGUUUGUCUGAGGCAGCGUGUUCACAUGUUUGUAGCAGAACCAGCUCAUGUUUUGGAGCUUGCUAUCGUAGUUCAUCCCUGAUGAAUCCCGCAACGUCAUCUCGUCGAUUUGUGUUGCAAACUUUCAUUUUUCUUCCUAGACUCGAUGAGUCUAGAAUAUCCUGACACCAACCAGAUCUGAAUCUCAGGCAGAUAUGAUGGUUGGAACAUUUCCCAAGAACUAUAAUAUUGGUCCCUCGACAACCGGUAAAGUGGAUGUCUUGGCCAACACACCCAGCCGGAAGACCUAUCAUUGUAGUAUCUUGUUGAGGAAGUUGGCCACCUCCCCAUAAGGAUUUCGUAGGAUUUACCUCCGUAACUGUUUCUUAUGGAUUCUAUUGCUCCCGAAGUCCGACCUUUACUUGAUGUUCUAGAUAUCAAACCAUAUCUAUGAAUGGGUUACCCUAGCACAUCAAGGAGAACAUUAGAAGCGGAGUGCUAAAUGUCUUACGGUUGAUCAUCCAGAUUUUAUUUCCUUGGCCUCGCUAAGGUGAAAUCUGAGAAGGUAUUAUCUUCCUUUGCAUCUGCAUCCUCCAUCACCAUUCAUCAUGGUAGCAAGUUGUGUUGCCAGGAUCCUUGACACGGAUAUUGGUAAAACCUUGAUGAUUGUGGAAAUGCUCAAGUUCUUGAGAGCACGCACAAGCGCUACGUGUUAUCAUCGGCACUAACUGGGAUUCCUCCCAGUUUCCUCGGCAAUGCUAUGACCCUUUCAAACAGUGAAUCCACUCUCUUUUGUUGGGUUCUUCCCCAGUUACCGGAAUCAUUCCCAGCAUUUGCAUUUUGUUCCUAGCUUGCACCGCCAAUGUGCCAUUCUACCAUGGGUCUCUUCCAUCUCCGGUGAUAAGCAAAUCCAUCCAUUACGUUGUCUUCAACAAGGUAAUCCACAUCAUCCAAGUCCGAGUAUGCCAUUCUACCGACCCCCUCCAAAUGAUCGCUUGUGAUUGCCUUAGGCUGGUAUAAAGAGUUUCAAUGAUCUUUGAAUCAAAGGUAAUUCUUUUUGCCACUUAAGGGGAUAUUUCUAUGAGUCACCUUCCCUAAGGUGCAUCAUUAUGGUGUCAUGUCAACUUAACUCCUCGCUACGUGGACAAUCGUUUACCACCUUCUUAAGUGUGGAAUUGUUGUCUACCUAGUGAACCUUUGUCAUCCGUUUCUUUCCACCCCUCUUGAUGUGUAUCUCGUGUCUCAACCGAGAGAUGGUUCUAUGUCUCAUUCCGUGACUUGUUCGACCAUAGAGAAGUUCGAUCCUUCCAGAGUUUUCCUUUUCUCUUCUUGUCAUGUUUAGCUGGAGUUCUCAGAGCAAGACGACAAGACAAAGAUGGUGUUCAAAUCAACGUUCAUUUGAAGUGCAACCUGGAUCGUGAAUAUUAUACUAGUCUGCGUUACCUUCACCUUACCCUACGCCUAAAUCUCGAGACGAGAUUUUUGUUUAGUGGGGGUGAGUUGUCACAUCCCUAGCUUUACCCUGGCCUUGGACUAGCUUGGUUGCUGCAUCAUGUUUAAUUUCAAAUGAAAUUUGAAUUGGGGAAUUUUCAGAAGCCUCAAAACCCUAAUUAAAAGAAGGGCAAGCACCCUUUAAAUUGCAUUCUGUGAAUCCAAAAUGCCCUACAAAUAGUUUUGUGAAUUUUGGCAAGAGUUAUACAUCAAACCAAAAUUCUGGAAUAUUUUUAAGGAAUUAUUUGGUCUCUGAAUUUAAAUCAAUAAUCUAUUUUGAAUUUGGGGAUAUAUUCAUAAUAUAUAAUGAAUAUAUUUUCAAAUGCUUUGAAAUGUUUUAUGUACUUUUGGAAUAGUCCAGAGAGGUAACAUAAAAUAUUUCAGAAUGUUUUGGCACUGUAGGAAAUUAUUUUGAAUUUGAAAACAGUGGCAAAAAAAAAGAAACAGAACAGAAAAAAGUAAAAAGAGUAAAGCCUACCUGGCCUCACCCGCGCAGCCCACCAGCCGGCCCAGUUCCCCCCCCCUGGCCGGCCCAGCCCACCAGCGCCCUCCCUGUCGUCUUCCUCCUCGGGACAGUAGGACAGAGGCGCGUGGCCGGAGCGCGCGCGCACGCGCCCGAGCCACCUCCUGCUUGCCGCCCCGCCCCGGAUCGGCUAAGGAUGCCACGCACCCCCUCAGGCCUCUCUCAACUCCCUCCCGUGCUCAUCCCCUUCUCCUGCUCUCCCUCUCGCUCCGCACCUCGGACCCGAGCGGAGCCGCCGCCACCGACGCCGAUUGCCGCAGCCACCAUGCUCCCCACGCCUCACCGACGCCCCAGGGAGCUCCGCCUCGACCCCCUCCUUCCUCCCCACCGACCCACGGCCCUCCGGAAGCCCUGCAACGCCGCCACCAUCGCCGUUCCGUCGCCGGCCACCGAAGCUCCCCUUCGUCGAUUCGCCGGACCCCGUGCCUCCCCUGCCUCGCCAGCAGCACCAGAAGAACCGCGGUGAGCCGCUGCAUCGUUUCCCCCAUGCCUCGUUGCUUAAUUCACCCCCUAGCCGCUCCCUCCACCGGAGCCGAGAUGCUCCGCCGCACGGGCUCGUCGCCGGUGAAGCCCCGGUGACCAAAUGGCCCCGCGCGUGCGUCCGUUGCACUCGCAACGACCCGUGGAGCAACGCUAGCGUGGCAGCUAGUUUGUUUGCAAGCCGCAGCGCUAACUCCGCACCCACCCGAGCUCCGGCCGCCGCCUCGGGCUCCAUUCCGGCGAACCCCGGCCACCCCCGCACCUCCCGUUGGCCCUCCUAGAUGCGCACGGGCACGGGCUACCUUCUGGUGCCCUUCGCGCGUCCAGCCGUCGCCCGUAGCGCAACCCCGGUGAACUUCCGCCGCGUUCCGGGUCGCCGCCGGCCGAACUCCGGUGGCCAGUGACGUGGCUGGCUUAAUUAGCCACUAACCACCGCUUUGUGACACUGAUAGUGGCCCCACGCCCUUAAUUAACCACGGCUUAAACUUCUGUUAGUUUAGAUUAAUCACAGUGGCCCCACGCGUCAGCUUGACCGUGCUGACGUGGCCUUUGACCCGGCCCCACCUGUCAGUGGGUUAAACAACCCUGUGUCACUGACGUGUGGCCCCCACACGUCAGGUUUGACCUGGAGGCGCCCUGUUGACCUGCUGACGUCAAGGUGAUGUCAUGCUGACGCAUUAAAUGAUUUUCUGGAUUUAAAAUAAAUCAGAAAAUUCCAGAAAAUACCUAAAACUUCUAAAAAUCAUAGAAAAUUAACCGUAGCUCCAAAUGAAAUAAUUUAUAUAUGAAAAAUUAUCAGAAAAAUUCAAAGAAUCCAUCUGUACCAUUUUCAUGCAUGUUAGAACAACUUAUAGCUGCUGUUUAGCACAAAUCAUAUAGAGGGCAUUUAAAUAAUCACAUAUGGAGUUUAAAUUUGAAUCUUGUAUUCAAACCAACCCCAUUUAACUUGUUGCUAGAUGCAUUAGCUCAAAACACAUUCAUUUUGCCAUGUCAUGAUCAUGCAUCAUAUUGUGCAUUGCAUUGAUUGUGUUUCUUUCUGUGUUGCCGGUAUUUGUCCCCUCUCGAUAGACGUGAUACCGAUGAUGUGAUCGUUGACACUGAUGAAGACUCAAGGUUAUCUUCAGAAGUGCCAGGCAAGCAAAACCCCCUUGUUCAUUCCGAUAAAAUCCCACUCUCUCGCUUCUGCUCUCUUUUACUGCAUUAGGACAACAACGACAUAUUUGAUACUUGCUGCGGUAGCUGAACCCUUUAUCCUUUGCAUGACCUGUCAUUGCCACAGUAAAUAGAUGAAACCCACUAGCAUGAGUAGGAGUUGUUUGAGCCCUGUUGUGCCUACUCAUUCAUGCUUGUUUGUCAUGCCUGCUACUGCUUAGAGUUGAGUCAGGUCUGAUUCGUCGGGGAUGAAUCAGAGGCGUGUGAACAUGUCCUACUGUGUGUGAGCUAAGUGUGUGAACACGAUUUGGUAAAGGUAGCGGUGAGAGGCCAUGUAGGAGUACAUGGUGGGUUGUCUCAUUGCAGCCGUCCUCAGGAACUGAGUUCUGUGUUUGUGAUCCAUGAUCAGUUACUACCACACAUUGGGCUCCGGGCGCUCCAAGCUCUCUCGACUUAUUAAUCAACAUGAUCUCUGUCCAGGAGUUGCAACUAGUUUCUGGUGUUUGUAGGUAGUGUUAGUAGUCUACCAAGUGGCACCCGGUACAGGUGGGCUUGGGACAGACUAGGCACAGUGGCCCGGUGUACCAAGUGGCACCCGGUUGGUGGACUUGGGAACCCUGCACACAUCGUUUGGGGCCGUAAGCGACACCCCGGCCGGAUCUCCUUGCGGAUGGAACCCGAAUAGGCGAUAAACCUGGACUAGAGACUUGUUCGGUUAGUCAGGUCGUGGCCGACUCCCUCGCCCGGCUUCCGCUUGAAGGUUGCCGAGGUACAUGACGUGUACAGGGCGGUAAGUGGCGAGAGCGUGUGUGAAGAAGUACACCCCUGCAGGGUUAACAUCAUCUAUUCGAAUAGCCGGAUUCCUCGGAUAUGGAAACGUGGACCCCUUAUAUCAGUUCAUAGACAAGUGAAAGUGGAUACUCUAAAAUACGCAAGAUAAGCGUGAGUGCUAUGGAUGGCGUUCUCGUAGGGAGACGGGAGCGGAUCCAUAGUGGUGUAUUGAUAUGGUGGAUAUGUGGACUCGUGUGCGCCACCUCAAAAGAGUCGCUUGCAGUCGUAGUUAGGAUAGCCACCGAGUCAAAGCUGGCUUGCUGCAGUUAAACCCCACCACCCCUUUGUUGAUAAUGAUGCAUAUGUAGUUAGUUCUGAUGUAAGUCUUGCUGGGUACAUUUGUACUCACGUUUGCCUAUUUUAUGUUUUGCAGAGAGACUUCAGUCUCACUAGUAGUUCCGCUUGGACUUCGACGUUUAGCUUGAUACCUCAGCUACGAUCUUGUGCCCUCGGCAGGAUCUGAUAGAUAGUCAGGCUUCUCAGCCUUUUUCAUUUAUAGAUGUCUGUACUCAGACAUGAUAGCUUCCGCUUGUGCUUUGAUUUGUAUGCUCUGAUUCUUGGGUCAUGAGACCCAUGUUUGUAAUAUCUCGCUCCUCGGAGCCUAUUGAAUAAAUUACUUGAGUCGUAGAGUCAUUUUGUGAUGCCAUGUUGUAUUGCACAUAUCGAGCAUAUUGUGUGUAUGUUAUUGAAAUGCUUGGUAUGUGUGGGAUCUGACUAUCUAGUUGUUUAUCUUUAGUAGCCUCUCUUACCGGGAAAUGUCUCCUAGUGUUUCCACCGAGCCAUGGUAGCUUGCUACUGCUCCGGAACACUUAGGCUGGCCGGCAUGUGUCCUUCUUCGUUCCUGUGUCUGUCCCUUCGGGGAAAUGUCACGCGAUGAAUACCGGAGUCCUGUUAGCCUGCUACAGCCCGGUUCACCAGAGUCCUGCUAGCCCAGUGCUACAGCCUGGAUUCACUCGCUGAUGACCGACACGUUCGAUGCUGGGUCAUGGAUGCCUGUCCCUGUAAGUCUGUGCCACUUUGGGUUUACGACUAGCCAUGUCAGCCCGGGCUCCUUAUCAUAUGGAUGCUAGCGACACUGUCAUAUACGUGUGCCAAAAGGCGCAAACGGUCCCGGGCUAAGGUAAGGCGACACCCGUGGGAAUACCGUGCGUGAGGCCGCAAAGUGAUAUGAGGUGUUACAUGCUAGAUCGAUGUGGCAUUGAGUCGGGGUCCUGACAUAGACUGUCAAGUUUCAUCUCAUUCGGAGUUCGUUUGAUGCCCCAACGGAUAACUAUAGCGGCAAUAUAGUCGGUCAAAUUGUCGGUUGUUUUCGGUCUCCAGAAACAGCUGUCGGGCUGCAUUCCUCCUCUUUCCUCGCAGACCACCUCCUCUCUACAUAGCCCACUAUCCCCUCUGGCAGCCCACCUAGCCCUUCUCGCGUCCGGAGCCGUCCGAUGGUGAUCGCACGGUCCGAAAACACCCCUCAACCCUCUCAAACCCUAAUCCUGCCUAUAAAUGGACACCCUCCUUCCUAUUUUGGCAUCCCCUAGUCUCCACCUACCUGCAGCCACCAACCCUCCACAAUUUCUGCGCCUGCCCGCUCUGCCGCCGCCACUUGUCACUGCCAGCUCCUCCCCAGCCACCGUCCCGCCACUUGGCGCCAUCUGUUUGGCCGAGCCGCCACCUGAGGAAACGUCCCGGCCUAUCGGGUGCCUCCACAUCACGUCCCUGCGUUCUCCCCGCGCCUCCCACCGUGCAGGGCCCGCCGCAGCCCGCAACCGGCCCGUACAGGCAGAACCGGGCCUGAACCGGCCGCCCAGUGCCCUGGCUCCCUCGCCUGCUCAAGCGUGCACGCCGCCUCCUCCGAUCCAGAUCGUGAGAGCCCCGAUUUCCCCUCCCUCGCGUUCCUGCCAUCUCUGCCGCCAGGCCUCUCGCCGGCGAGCACUGCUGCCACGGUGAGCCUUGACCUUGUCGUCCUUCUUCUCCCCUGCCUACUGAGCUCAUCUCUCUCUCCCUCCCGUUCUGCAGGAUGCAUGGUGCCACCGGAUCCGACACUGACGCCAAGAACGGAGAGGCAGCCACCAAACCCGACCUCUAGAGUUCGGCCUCGGCCUCCUUCUUGCUUCCUCGACCACCUGGCUGCCCGCAUUGCCAAGCCGCCGCCGCCACAAUUGCCCUACUCGGGCUCGAGCUAUACAGCGGCGCGAUCCCCUGCCUCCCCUGCUUCAUGGUCGCAUUGACCAAGGCCUAGCCUCCCCUUGGCCCAUCCGCGCAAGCCCAGCACCGCGGCCUGCUAGCUGCAGCCCACAGAGCCGGCCCAGUUGAUGUUGGCCUUGGUGAGCCACGUAGACCCAGCGCCCAGUGCACUGUUCAGAUUCGGCCCAUUUGUUUUUUAAGAUCUGUGGUGUUUGCAUUUUCCAGAGAGUGCCAGUUUUACAACAAAGUCCCCCUAAAUCAUGCAUAUCAUAACUCACCAACCGUGCAUCGGAUCUAAAUAAAUUAUAUAUGUAACUUGACUAGAAUUUCAUCUAGUUUCACAAUAUCUAACUUUCAUGCAUGUUUGACAUGUUUAAAUUUCUGUUUGCUUUAAUUUUCUCACAUGCCAUAUUAAAUGAUUUAUUUCAUAACUAAAUAACUGUAGCUUGUUUUUAAAUAAUCUUUAUAUGUAGAUGGGGUAGAAAAAUGCCUAGUUUAACAUGGUGUACUUGCUUUGCAUGUUUAAAAACUCUAAAAUAUGGUUUAGGGAAGAACAGUACCAAAUCCAUAAUUUGCAUAUGAGGAUUUUCCGGACUUGUUGUUUGUUGUUCCGGCCUCAUUUAAACUUGCCUAGAUAUGUAGUUUUCAUUUGCUUCACCCCUUUCCAUGCUAACCAACAUUUAAUUUUGUGGAGUACAUAAACGGGAGAGAACUAAAUAAGUCAUUUGGUGUUUUGUCAAUAUGCAACUCAUUGCAUAUUGAUUUGUAGGAUUUUUUGUGCAUUUUGCCAUGCAAUGCCUCAUUAAACCGAACAUGCAUCAUACUUGUUUGCGCAUCAUGUCAUGCUUAUGUGAUGGUUGUUUACCAUGUUGUUUGCUUCUUUCCGGUGUUGCUUCUUUGGGUUGGUUCCGAUAACGUCGUGUUUGUGAGGAUUCGUUCGACUACGUCCGUUUGUCUUCUUCAUGGACUCGUUCUUCUUCCUUGCGGGAUCUCAGGCAAGAUGACCAUACCCUCGAUAUCACUUAUAUCUUUGCUUGCUAGUUGCUCGCUCUAUUUCUAUGCCGUGAUAUCUACCACUUGCCAUGUCAUGCCUCCCAUAUUGCCAUGUCAAGCCUCUAACCCACCUUCGUAGCAAACCAUUGUUUGGCUCUGUUACCGUUUUGCUCAGCCCCUCUUAUAGCGUUGCUAUUUGCAGGUGAAGUUGAAGUUUGUUCCAUGUUGGAACAUGGAUAUGUUGGGAUAUCACAAUAUCUCUUAUUUAAUUAAUGCAUAUAUAUACUUGGUAAAGGGUGGAAGGCUCGGCCUUAUGCCUGGUCUUUUGUUCCACUCUUGCUGCCCUAGUUUCCGCCAUACCAAUGUUAUGUUCCUUGAUUUUGCGUUCCCUACAAGGUUGGGUGUUAUGGGGACCCCUUGACAGUUCGCUUUGAAUAAAACUCCUCCAGCAAGGCCCAACCUUGGUUUUACCAUUUGCCUCACCACCACCUACUUUUCCCUUGGGAGUCGCACUCUCGAGGGUCAUCUUUAUUUUAACCCCCCCCCCCCGAGGCCAGUGCUUCUCUAAGUUUUGGCCGAACUAGAGUCCUUUGCAGCGCCACCUCGGGGAAACUUGAGGGAUGGUUUUAGUUGUACGAAGCGCUCUUCCGGUGUUGCCCUGAGAACGAGAUAUGUGCAGCUCCUAUCGGGAUGUCGGCACAUCGGGCGGUCUUGCUGGUUUUGUUUGACCAUUGCCGAAAUGUGUUGUAACCGGGAUUCCGAGUCUGAUCAGGUCUUCCUGGGAGAAGGAAUAUCCUUCGUUGACCAUGAGAGCUUGUGAUGGGCUAAGUUGGGACACCCCUGUAGGGUUUUGAACUUUCGAAAUCGUGCCCGCGGUUAUGGGCAGAUGGGAAUUUGUUAAUGUCCGAUAGUAGAGAACUUGACGCUUAACUUAAUUAAAAUGAAUCAACACUACAAAAAAAUACACUUCCGUGAUGAUACGUGUUUUUCACAGUAGGUCGCUUUUUUUGUCAUGCAUGUACAUCCAUGACAAAUUUAUGACAGAAUCAAGAUAGUCAUACCUGUGCUGUCGUAGAAGUGUUUCAUGACAUUACCAAAAUUAUCAUCACGGAAGUGUCCACUUCCAUGACGAUAAAUCGCGCGUCACAGAAGUGCUUUCGUUAAGGGUGACCGACACGUGGCAUCCACCGUAAUGGAACGCUGUUAAGCUAUCAGGUCGGGUUUUGGAUCCGAUAACCCGUUAACAACCCCGACCAAUGGGGAUUUUCCACAUGUAAAAUCAUCAUUGGCUAGAGGAAACACGUGUCGGCUCAUCGUCGGGACAGAUGUCGUCCACUCACCGGACAGAAGGCGCCUAUGAUAUGUCGACACGUGGCACGGCCCAACAAGUUUAAAUGGGCCGGCCCAACUAAAUGCCCACAAGAUUUUGCGGACCAUAAUGGGCCGGCCCAGCUAAAGGCCCACGAGAUUUUGCGGACCAUAAUGGGCUGGCCCAGCUAAAGGCCUACAAGAUUUCGCGGGCCAUAAUGGGCCGGCCCAGGUAAAGGCCCACAAGAUUUUCGUGUGCCAUAAUAGGCCGGCCUAGGUAAAGGCCCAUGGUGACUCUAGCCCAUAAUGAACAGUAAAUUUCUUUAUACCCGUUAACGGCCCGUGAUUUACAUGGGCCGUUUCCAGCCCGUGUUAGCUUUCGGCCUAUUGACGGCCCAUACGUUCUUGGGCUCCUUUUCGGCCCUCGAUUACUUCCGACCUGUUACUGGCCUGUUCCCCUAAUGGGCCAAAUUCGGCCCAUGGCAAGAGUCGGCCCGUUACUGGCGUGUUCCACUAAUGAGCCAAAUUCGGCCCAUGGCAAGAGUCGGCCCGUUACUGGCUUGUUACCCUAAUGGGCCAAAUUUGGCCCAUGGCAAGAGUCGGCCCGUUUCUGGCCUGUUAACCCGUUGCACCAUUUCCAGCCCGUCCUAUAUUCUGGCCCAUUAACGACCCGUUAUGCCUAUGACAGAAUUAAGCCUUUGCUAUCCUAUGGCCUGUUACCGUGCUGGGCUGAUACCAGUUAUGCCCGAUUAUGGCCCAUGUAGACCCAUUUAUCCGAUGGCCCGAGGCCCACCGAUUACAGGCCCAUUUUUCGACGGCCCGUAGGAGACCCAUGGAUCCUACGGCCCGUAUAUGGCCCAUGGUAGUUGCGGCCACUAGCAAACCAGGGAAAAAGAAGACUAGGAAAUAAAUAAGGCCGAAACUAAUGCUAGGCUAUUAAGGCGAUUGCACAGAUUACAUCCACUCAGCACCAAAGAUCGCCACCAGUGCAAAUAUAGGGAACACCCUACACUAUACAAAAAUGGCUUGCUGUUUUUGUCAGGCGGUGGCUGCACGUUAAGAAUAAAUUUUGUAUCACACCAAAACAAAUUACAACUAUAUAACAAAAGGAAGGUUGGAACAACACUUAACAGUCUAGCAGAUAAAUGCACCACCAGAAGUUCAGAAGCUCAGUUCAUUUGACCUGACUGUUACGUUUUCAUGCUGUAUUGUCCGAUGGAGCACCAUAACUCUCGCCUUCAUUUCCCCUAGGCUCCUGAACAACAUAGAAAAUGUCUGAUAGUCUGGUUUCAAAACCAUGCAUAUCUUGACGACAUUGAGCAAUGUUUCUCCUUGUUUCACAAAGGGUCUCUGUUAGGGAAUGGACUUGUGUCUGUAGCGCAGAUACAACAUUGCUUUGAGCUUGCAUAUCUUGAUCAUGAGGCAGUUUGGACGAUAUUGCCUUAACAACGAACCCAGUAUUACGCAGGAACGUGCUUUUGGCACUGUUAGUGGACAGGUACUCACCCACUACAGCAAGAGCUGACAUUGCGGUUAUAGUUGCCUCGCCACCUUCAGAAGGUGGCGGUUCCACCAUUUUUUACAUAGCUCGCUGAAAAGUUGAGGUUUUACAAUAGUAGUACCAGAACAGAAGAUAUUAAGGAGGCAGCAAAACCAAACAAAAUAGCUUUGGUCUAUAUACAAAACUUAUUCUGGUGAAUCCAUGUAAAAUAUUAGUUGUAUUUUAUUGCAAAGUACAUAAUAAAACCAGGUUCCAAACAUAUGACCAUGUACCAUCGCUAAUGUAUUGUCUAUUUCUUCAAAUUGUAUUGAGGGCUAAGGAUAAAGAGACAAAGUUUAUAAUACGGUAAGCAUAAUAUGACAUCAUUCAUAUCACAAAACAACUGAGAACAGACAAACAGACAAUUGUAACAUUGUGUGGGCAAGUCCGGCAUGGAACUAGAUUACGGGUCAAGAUCAAAGGAACAUCACUCCUCUCUUUUAAACCUUGUAAGGUGCAAUGAUACGCUAAGACAAUUGUGUAUAAAAUUGAAAAGAGUAAUAGACAUUGGCUGCAAACCAUGCAGUUCAAGGCAUAAGUCAGAGUAAGUAGUAGUUAAAAGGCAUGAGGAUUAAGGACUUACAACAGCGGCUUUGACUGGUGUAGUCAUGCCCUUCUUCUUGCUGGUGUGACAGUCCUUGAAGAUUUCCACAACAUUUAGUUAAGGUACUUUUUGGUCCUUGCGGGCUUUACUCUGCAUUUGGAACAAGUUAAUAUAGAUCUGAUUAUAUGGUACAGCGAAAAGAGUGAAACAGCAGCUAAUUAGAAGAGCCUUGUAGUGUGCAAUAUAGCUACAAGAUCCUGUCGUCUGUUGGAAUUUCACUUUUGUACGGUUGGCCUUGUUCUUUGAACAGUUCACCUACAAGAAGAUAGAUUUGUGUGGCACAUGCGUAAAUAGGACUUCAACAUGUGAUCUGAUGACAUAUAUAUAAUGUACCUGGUACUUCAGAUCGGACCAGUGUUUAACGAGGCCUCUCCAGUCUUCAUCAGAUAUAUUUUCCACUGGAGAUGUUUGGGCAAGUUCACUAUUAGCCUUGCCUUCAAAGUGAGUUUUCCUCAAGUUAUACCGAUACUAUCGUAGAGCAGACUUCAAAACAUGAGUGCAAGCUUGUCUGGUUGCAUCAUCUUGGCUAUCCAACUUGAACCUCAUCUGUUGAAAAUUAUGAGAGUCUCAUUAUCAGCAACCUAGAAAGUAUUGGACAGAGCAAGACGAUAUUACUAAUUUCCAUACAUAACCAUACUUACAGAUAAAUGGUCGAGGAAGAUGUUGAACUGGGUUUCGUCUUUGUCAUUCAUGUACUGAAUCCAUGUUGGGAGCAUACGUACAUGACACCUAAUAGCAACUGCUGCCUCUGGUACUAACUUGGCUGACUCUGUAGCAUCACGUGGCCUUUUUAAACCUGCCUCAAAACGGAUCUCAAUUCUUCCUCCUCUAGAUUUAGUUAACCUAUCGAGCAUUAUCCCUGAUGUUUGUUUCCUCUUGCGCCUAGGUGCUAGUCCAACAACAAACAUAGGAAGUGUUAGUGUACAUCAAACUGUGACACUACAUAUAAAGAAGCACGCAACUGUAACUUGACUCCAGCAACUACCUUCUUACUGUUGAAGCUCACAAGGUUCAUCUGAUAUUGCCAACUCGUCUUGUGUCAAGAGUGCUUGGGAAGUAGUGUCAGGUGGCAAGGGAGCUUGGGAACAUGCUGCUAGCUCAGUUGACGCACGAGUACGUUGUGCAACUGGUAGUACUGUGGUAGGUGUUGCAAGAACUAGGGUUGUCUCUGCUUGUUUCGUGGCAGCUAUUUGUUUCUGUUUGUCUUUUUUUGCAACUCGUGUAGCACGGGAUGUCGUGUUUGUAGAAUUUUCUGCUGGACUUUGACCUUCUAUUGCACCAUCGGUACCAGCAGAAUCUGCAGGAUUCAUCCUCUUCUCAUUCCCUGCCAUUCUGUGUUUCUUCCUCUUUCUCUGUGCCAUGUUAAGUCAAGCCGACAAGAAAAACAAAUAACAAUUUAGUUCUUCAGAACAAAUUUAUGCGUGAUGCAGACGAACUGAACUUUGAUGUUAGACAACCACAUCAUAGGAGGAUGUAAUAUCUAUGAAAAACAGGACGAAAGAGAUAACCAGAACUAUGAUGUGUAAACUAAGAAGAAGACAUUUCACCAAAUUAUAAGCAAUGCAAUAGAAGGUAGACACCAUAUGAAAGAUGCUACAAAUAUCGCUAUGCCAAGUUAAAAGUGUCUCAUCAUAAAUGGCGUCUAAACAAAUGUGAAGUAGUACAAGAAAUAAAUCAUAUGCAAGAUGCAAACAACAUCACACUACCAUGUUAGAGGUCUCUCAUCAUUAGUGCCAUUGCAUAUUCACAGCAUUGCAUAUUCACAACUUAUGAUGUGUAAACUAAGGAGAAGGCAUUUGAACAAAUUAGAAGCAAUGAAAGCUAGACACCAUAUGAAAGAUGCAACGAAUAUCACUCUACCAAGUUAAAACUGUCUCGUCAUAAGUGCCAUUUCAACAAAUUAGUAAUACAAGCUAGAAAAGAAUGUGAGAUGUAACCUAUAUCACACUUCAAAGUCAAACGUGUCUUAUGAUAAGUGAUUGUUGUAGGUUACACAACAGUAUUAAUUUGAUGUAAGAACAUGGUGUGAUAGACAGAUAUUGUAUGUUCUAGAAACAGGAACACGUGUCUUAUUCAAGUAUAAUGUGUAAAGUAAGCAGAUGGAAUUCAACAAAAUUAGAAGCAAUACAAGCUAGACAUCACACAUAACAUGCAACCACAUAUAACAGUGCCAAGUUAGAGGGAGCACCGGUGAUGCUGCACUAGGGGAGACGUGCUCAUCAUAAACACAGCUUUGUUGAGUGUCUAUGCAUGUGUUGUCUUGGAAAUCAUCUUGGGGGUGUGGAGGAGUAGAAACUAUAGAGGCCCUCCAUUCGGAAGGAACACCUUUAUCUGCUGCCUUGCUAACUUCCUUCCGAUUUAUUGAUUUUGAAUUGUCAAGUAAAACCGACAAGAAAAAGCAAUAAAACUCUCUCUUCAGAACUCAUUCAUGCAUGAUACUGACAAUCACUACUUUAAUGUAAGGCAAACACAUGAUACCAGGAUGGAAUAUGUACGAAAAACAGGACGGCAUGGCAUGUUCACAACUGUUUGUGUAAACUAAGCAGAAACCAUUCCAGCAAAUAAGAAGCAAUGCAAGCUAGAUACCACAUGAAAGAUGCAACCAAUAUGCUGCCAAAUUAAAAGCGUCCCAUCAUAAAUGGAAUUUCAACAAAUUAGAAGCAGCGCAUGCUAUAAAUCAUAUGAAAGAUGCAACUAAUAUCGCACUGAAUAUACUAAAGGUGUCUCAUCAUGUUGAUUGAUGUGGGAUACAAAAAAACAAUAUUUUUAUGUAAGGACAUGCUUAAUAGAAAGAUGUACUAUGUACUAAAUACAGGAAGGCAUGUCACAUUAACAGGUAUAAUGUAUAAGCUAAGCAGACUAGCACAUGCAGUUUAACCAAAUUGGAAGAAUUACAAUCUAGACACCAUAUGCAACAUGCAACCACAUAUCACGCUGCCAAGUUAGAGCAAGCACCUGCGAUGCUAGUGUAGGGGAAAUGCUGCAAUCAACUACAGAGCUACGUUCACUAUCUUCAUCUAGCAUUUCUGUUUCUUGAGAAUCAUGUCGGGAGGCUGAUGCUGCAUUCUUUAAAUGAGGAGUAGUUCCCUUGCCUGCCUGCCUCGUCAUAAGUGAUUGAUGAGGGAUACACAAGAACAUUAGUUUGAUGUAAGAACAUGGUUAAUACACAGAUGUACUAGUAUGUACCAAAAACAGAAAGGCAUGUCAUAUUCAAAGGUAUAAUGUGUAAGCUAAGCAGAUGCAAUUUAACCAAAUUGGAAGCAAUACAAGCUAGACAUCCGGCUGGAGUUGUGAGCAUGAUCAUCUAGGACCUGAGAGCCUGGUGGGAGGUGGGCUGCUUCGCCACCAUCGCAGCUUUUUAGUUGGCUUCCAGGUGAUGCCUAUCUUUGCUGGGCUUGUCACUGGCUCGGCCAGUGCCCUGACUAGCUAUUUGUCUUCUGGUGCUCAUGGGAUGGUGGUUCAUGUAAAAAAAUAUCUUUCCUUAUCUUACCGACUUUGGCCUUUCGAAUACAAGCUAGACACCAUAUGGAACAUGCAACCACAUAUGACACCGCGAAGUUAAAGCAAGCACCUGGGAUGGUGGUUCAUUGCGAGCGAGGUCAUCAACUCCAGAGCUACGUUCCCCGUCUCCAUCUGCUGACACUACACCCUUUAAAGCAUUGAAACGUGUCUUGCCUAGCCACACACCAAACUGGAGCGACUUCUCUCUUUUCUUUUUGGCUUCUCUCAUGGCAGCAGAGUCUGAAAUACCCUUGCAUAAAAACACAACAGUGAGAGUAAGGGUGAAGUGUGUGCAGAACUAGUGCACUGUAAAAGUAGCAGAUAGCAGGUGGCUGAAAAAUAAAUGACAGGAGACAUAUGAUAGCUCUACAACAUUGCAUGGCAAACAAAAUUAGAUUCUACUCUGUAUGAUUUUGUAAUAUAUGAGCACGGGAAAUGCAGGUACUCCUCUAGCACACCACCACACGUGGUCAUAUCUAAGAUAAUAGUCGACUGAAAAUAAAUAGGUCAGUCGAUUUUUUUAAUGAACCGUCCGAUCUAUAAGGAACGGGUAGAUGGCCUUCGUCUACCUCCCACCAGUCACUGUUGAUGAUCUUUCUUGAACCGCCAGCGACCACCGGCCCAGACCCCUGCCUCGGCCGCCCCGCCCUCCCAUCGACCUCACACCACCGCCGUGCUUGGCAGCGCCCCAGGCCAUCCCUUUAAUCCCGGCCGACCUCCAGAUCGGGCGCCAGUAGCUCUAGGCCGCACACGCCCCUAAGAUAAACACCAAGGUGCUGCUUCCCCGGCGUAAUAGGCGUACUAGCGCCUGUUACUCCGGGGAAUGCUUCCGUUAAUUGGGAAUCAAGUGGCCAGAAAUUGAAAUUCAGGGGGCGACGGACCUCUAGCUAAGGUGAAAUAGUAUAUAAGGAGAAACCUUGUGCAUCACGAGUUACUAGGAACAUCUAGUAUCAAGAAGAAGCGGUCAAAUAGUGUCUUCUGUGGGAUGAAUAUCGUGCAAGCAGAGACAUAAGAUUUGCACGAAUAAGGGAAGAGGAGUACCUUUUUCGGUUGCCGGUGUGGUCACCUCCACAAGUCGCGCCAAUUUUCUUCUUUUUACUGGGGAAACCGAUGUUCGGGAGGGUGCGGGCGUGGACGAACCCAUGGCCAAAUUUUUGACUGUGUUGCCGUGGCCGUAUGUCGACGGAGGGGAAGCAGAUCCGAGGCGGCGAAGGACGGCGUAGCAGGAACAGCUCCGGUGCGGUGGAGGGUGGCGAAGUUGGAGGGCAGCGGUGAGGCGCAGGACAGCGUGGUUGAACUGGCUCGGGUACGGACGGCUCGGCCUCGGCUUCAACUACUAGCUGUGGAGGGCGUUGCGGUGGAUGACGACGUCGGGGUAUCGGCUCCGGCAUGAUGGAGGAGGGCGGCGGUUGAUGGGUGGGAUGGGGUGGCGGACGGAGGACACCGGGGUUUCGCGGCUGGUGCAGAGGUAGUUUUGGCGCCCACGUAGUAGGAAUGGGGAAUCAGACGGGUGGGGGGAACCAUGUUUCGGUCUGGGACGCGCUUGUUUUUGGCUUUUUUGAACAGAAAUGGGACGUGCUUGUUUGAAAUUUGGGGAAAGUACAAACUUUGCCCCCCUCUUAAAUUUCGGACCUACUGCGGGUCGGGGUAGGAUGGUAAUCCCAGGUGUCCCAAAAUAGUGGGCGGGAGCGAUUUCGGCCGCGCGUAUGUGUGCAUAGGCGGCCAUUGUGUAUGAAUGUUUUUCGGAUGCGGUUGCGUGGCGUCUAGAUAAAGCUACAAACCAACCCCGGUUUAGACCUUUGGACGUCGGGCCGGUAGGUUUCAUGGGUCGGAGUUAUUAGGAAAGUAAUUUCCUUGUACUACCAAACAUUGGUCGCACGCGGUUUCGGGCGAGUAGAGGCUGUUUUGGUGCUUCGUUCGAAAUUUUGAAACACAAGCAUUCACGUUUAGAGUACUCUUGAACUAUGAGGAUUGACCUAAAUAUACAACGUUAUAUUUGACCUUGUAUGUUUGAAAACCUCAUUAAAUUAUCCACUUCUUUUUGAAAUUUUUACACUUGAAAAUCCUAUAACUACGAUUAUUUUGGAAUGGAGGAGCUAACUUUGAAUCUAUUUUGUACACGACUACAUAUGCUAUUAUGUACAAAAUCAGAGCAAAGAUUGGUGCCCCCAUAAUUUAGGUAUGGUUUACAAAUGCCAUGAUAUCAAAUUCAAAUAAUUGAAUGGACUUCAUGUUGAAUUCGAUUUUUUAAACCACCUUAAGUUGAAUUCAAGUGUAUGCUAGUUCAUAGGUAGUAGCUAUUUAUAAUGUCCAUUGUGUAACUUUCAUAUGUAUAAUGUGCUUUACACACACAACAUGAACUAUACUCACAUUUAUAUUUGAUUGCUAAAGCGAUGCAUUGUCUGGAGUUCAAAAUACUAACUAUGUGGAUCAAUUGUAUCGAAUAAUAACGUAGACAUGCUCAAAUUUGAUAGAAUCUAGAUGUAUGAUGGAUCAAUGACCGCUCCUUAUGCGAAUUGCAAAUAUCAUGAUCCCAUCCUACUAUUUGGAUACAAUUUAUAUCUUUAAUCAAUGUGUAGAGAAGUCUUCUACAUGUAGUUUCACUCUCCAUCGGUGGUCUCUCACACAUGCUCACACACUCUCUCCCGAGGUGUCUUUCUCGCACACAUGCUCUAGAUAUAACCCUCCCUCCCUCUCGUAACCAUUUACAACUGUUUUCACUAACCUUUAUCACAAGCACUCUUCCUCUCGCAAACAUACACACGCACAAUCCUCAUCGACCCUUUCUAUAUACAUGGACCUGCCUACGUGUCUCAUGUACGCACAUUAUCUUUACGCCUGUCUCUCACACAUUGUCUCACACCUCUCUUCCUAAUCGACGAGUAUGAUUCUAGCAGAGCAUUCUAUAGGAUGCCCCUUAAAAUUAGGUUGGAUGAAUAGUAAUAUCAGAGAUAAAGGGGUUACCUUAGUCCGAGAACCUAGGGUUACAAAUCCUAGCGGCUUUGUCAGUGGACACAGAGUCCUUCACAAUUCUGCUAUCUUUGUCUUGUACGACUAGUCAUCCAUGGGUCUUCCUAAAUGCAUCACGGGCCGACCAAUGUGGCGCAGGACGGAACAAAACAAAGGGCCUCACCUCGACCCAUCGGACCUCACGCGGUGACACACCCUCUGCCCCCACGUCUCAUUAUAUUCUCACACCCACACAUACCAACACAAACACCACACACACAGAAAAUUUCUCCUGGUGCCUCUAUUCCCUCCCCCCUUGCAUAUACACACUCAAGGGAAUGGAAUCUCUUGUCGUGACGUCAUAUUCGUCUCUCUCUCUCUAGACCACUCUCAUUUCUCGUGCUAUCUCCCCCCCCCCAUCGGCCCCUCUAUCCAUGCCUCUCUCUAAUACGUAAUACACACACAUACCUCUCUAGGCCCCGCCAAAUGCAUGAACUACACAUUCACACAUGUUACAUCACGUACCCCAUUGAUCUAAAAAGCCCUCUCUUCACGUUUAUUUCGCAUACAACAUUCCUUUUGAAUAAAGUGUGGCCAAAAAAUUAUUUUAGAGUUUCUACAUAUGUACAACAUUACAAAGUUAUAUGGAGGAGUACGAAUGCUAAUUUGCAUUGCAUGGUGCCCAUAAUGAUAUUUAUUCCGCACCGUGAAUUUGUAUAUUUUAUACUAUAUACAAAGUUAAUCAUAAUAAACAGAAACAAAGAGCAUCUCUCAUUCCAUCGCAUACCCCCCUGUACGCCCCUUUCACGUAUGCACACAAAACUCUCUCCGGGUCCUCUAAAAGUAAGCCCCCAGAAAAUUCACGCAUGUUUCAUCUUUCUCUCACGAUAUAUGCAAUGACGAUCAUUGUAUUUGAAGCGAAAGCACGAUACGUACAUUGGACUUCAGAAUCCACUCAUUACGGUCACCAUUUACGUUUAGUGGUUAUUAUGCAGUCACGGGCUCACCGUACAACUCUGUAUUUUCUCAUGACAUGACUAGUUGACCAGUUAAACGCUCCAUGUGGCACCUCUAGUGUUGCAUCACAUUAUCUCACUACCAUCAUGCCCACCUGUCGACUUGUAUCUACUCUACAUCUACACUCUUAUAAAAUACAUAAAAUACACUCUUAUAAAAAACAGAGUUGGUGAUGAUGGUGUGCCUGUCAUCCUGCAAUAUAGGCCAUCCGAUUUAUAUCUGACAGAUAGGAAAGAAACUAUGGCAAUUUUGCAAAAAUGUACCCACACACCUCUCCACAUUUGCAAAUAAGGCCUUCCCCCGUUCAUCCUUUUCUCUCACAAGAUAAACAAGUCAUACAAAUGCAUCUUGAUGUUGCAUGCAACGCACGGGCAUCUUGCUUGUAAGAAUGAAAACAAACGACAAAAAAAUAUUUGGAUGGUGGUUCGAAGUCAUGACCGCGGGCACAGCGGACAAGGUGGCCUUGUAUUGGUAUGUUGAGCCGUCUGUUUUAACACACAGGAGCUGGUGUGGUGAUUAUACACACACGCACGCAUGCACACGAACUGCAUCCACGCAACACUCACACAAACACAUGCACCCACGCACGCACGCAACACUCACACGUACACACACAGCCACGCACGCACACAACACUCACACGCACACACGCAACACUCACACGCAAACACGCACGCAUGCAUGCACACACCAGUACACCACACGACCAACACACACUCUCACGCUCAAGUGCUCAACCUACACGUGCAUGCGCACACAUCAAGCCCUGACAGACACAUACACAACCUGGUGAUUCCCGCGCACGGGUUGGAGCCUUGUCGCGCCUGCGUAAAUUUGUGUUUAUCUGACCUUUUGCCUAUGUGAACUGACAGGUGGGACCCACACUGAACGUGGUCAAUUUAACUAGUCAACAUGGCACCACGCAGACUAUUUGGCCGGUCCACAGAGUGCAAUCCGAUGCUGAGCUGUGAGCAAGUGACCGUAUAAUCACCGCAAAACGUAUAUAGUGACCGUAAUCAGCUUAUUCUGAAGGUCGGUGACCGUAUUAUGCUUUUCUCUCUAUAGGCCCUCCAAAACUACAUCUCUACAUGUUCUUGCAUGUUACAUCUAACAACUAUGCAAUACAGCACUACUACUACACUCUAACACAAUAAAUCAUAUGUUUUUUUAGUUUUACUAGAUAUCAUAUUGUUACUUAUAAUUAUUCAGUUUGCAUACAUUAAAAUUGCCUUUGAAAUGUAUGGCCAGUAUCAUCUACCGCAUGGGGAAAAUCCCGCCCUUUCCUAUUUAAUCGGGUUUGUAUCGAUGGAUCGUGCGAAACAGCAAAACUAUAGUACUAUACAGUACAAGUGACAGUUCACUGGGCCGUCGUGUCGUCUACUCCUCCAUCGUAAGAGUGGAGCGCUCGCUUUCAUAAAUCUUCUAGUCCCUUUCACCGAUAUGUGGGGCAUCAAGCUACCGGGUCCACGUGCCAUACCAGAAUACAAUGCAGAGCAGCCGGGGUGAAGCACCCCAGUCAUGGCGCCAGCAUAGUAAUGAGCAAUGAGGCGUCAAAUCACAAAGUUGCACCUUUCCCGCAGUUAAGUUGGAGGGACGAAGCAACCAUCAUUUCACUCGUUGUUGAAUCCGCUUCUCCCUCAUCUUCUUCAACUUAACCACGUGUUGCUUCUGCCGUUGUUCUGCCUCAUGUGGGACGCGGAUCGGCUUGGUAAAGCACUGACAUGUGGGACCGCAUGUUAGCAAACCGCCAGGACAACGUCCUCCGAAAAUAAGAAGCCUAAUCCUAGGCUUACAAAGGGCUACGUAGCUGCUACGUAUACUUUCCAUCUAAUCUAUAUAUGCCCCCCUGAUUUUCAGGUGGGGUGGGCCUAAUCCUCUCCUUUAAUUCAAUCAAAUAAUCCCACAUCACAUCAGUUGGUAACUUUACGUAAACCAUUACGUGGAUGUAGCAUUGCUCAAAUAAGAAACCUCCCCCGCCAUCCGCGCGGCAAAAUCACCUCCUUUUUACUAAUCUCGAUUCUAUAAUUUUUUAGAUCAAUAUAAUUGAGAUUUGUAUAGAUAGCACACAGGAGCAAAACCAAGUUGUACGAUUAAGGGCAUCCACAAUGUGUAGCCAAAUGUGAAAAUAGCUUUUGGCAUCGUGGGAACCAUUGUGGAUGGUGUUGCCAAAGCCAAAAAGAUGGAACCGAAGCUCCCUGAUUGAUUGAUUGAAGGAAUAGAAAAAUGCAACGUCUCUCCUCUUUCUCCCAUGCUUGGACGCAUGUAGUACAGUAUAGAGUACAGAGUCUACUCCCCUGCCCCUUCUAUCACAAAUCACAAAGCAGUGAGGCAUCAAAUCAGAAAACCACGGACGAGGCAACCAUCAUUUCACUCUUCGCUGACUCCGCUUCUCCAUCGUCUUCUUCGAGAAGCCAUCUCACUGCAUUAGUUAUAGUAGUACUAGUAAAGGACUUCCUGGAUGCAAAUAAGGCGGUUGUCUCGGCUUGCAGGUGGCACUUGCGAAAGACUUACCGUGGUCUCCCUCAAUGGUGUUCUCCGUCGAACGCACUUCGCCAAACCACCAAAAAAAAUCGUCGACGUCACCGCAAUGGGGAAGGAAGUCAAAUAUAGUUACUACCUCCAUUUUUUUGUACACAAGGCCAGUAUAUCAAAAUUACAAUUUGCAAAGGGCCACUAACACUAAUCGAGGCAAAAUUGAUGGGGUUAGCAACCAAGCACAUUAAUAUCCCCUGCAUGCAUGCGGAAGUGAGAAGGUUGGUUUGCAUGGAGCUGCAUUAAUCAAGCGAUGAGGAGUGAGAUGGUUAGCUCUUUGGUCUUUGGAGAAAAAAAUACGCAUUAAUUGACACAUGAAACGAGGAUUUGUAUCGAUUAAAUCCCGCGAAGGAAAACCCAGCCUUUCUUUUUUAACACUAGUACUCCAAGUACGUACGUACUUAUCCUAUUUGGGUCUAGGCCUUGCAUUGCCAAACUUCGCCACACAUUUUUGCCAAGCUUGCCUAAAGUUUUCAAAAUGAGAAGGAGGUACACUUGCGCAUGGCUAUUGCGGUCGCACCGCACCCUCACACGGUCGCUCCUGCACGCCGCAAACCCAACCAAGGGAACACACCCUCACUGACAUGUGUUGUCGCAUGUGAACACACCAAACUCAGCCAUCCUAUCGCUGACACAUAAUUUUCGUUCAUAGAGUAUGUUUAUCCAACCGCAUGUUGGGGAGUAUCCGUACGGCACGUGCGGUGGUCUAUUGGGGAAGAAGAAGAGGUGAGGAAGAAGGAAAGAAGGGUUAGGAGACGUAGGAUAUUCAUCCAACCACCUGAAAUGGUAGACUGACCCAAGUCAGGCGACUUGCAUAACAAAUAUAUGUUUUUACACAGCAAAAGAUCCAUAAAAACAACAACAUCAAGAAAAACUAUCACUGCUCGCGAAAAGAGACGACCUCGUCGUCUUUGGCUGCCAGCACGAACCAGCCGUCGCUGCCGACGUGUGUCUCCGCGUCGUGGUUGUCCUCGGCCUCUAGCUACCCAUUCAAGCGGAGCGUGCGGGUGCUCUGCAUGGACGAGAGCACAGCCCGGUUCAAGUCGAGGACGUCCGGUUCCGCCUACAGGAGGGCCUCGAUGGCAGCGGCAUCCAUGCGCUCCGCGUCGAGUCGAGCCUCCGCCGCCCGGUUCAAGUCCAGGACGUCCGGUUCCGCCUGCAGGAGGGCGUCGAUGGGAGCGGCAUCCGCGCGCUCUGCAUCGAGUCGAGCCUCUGCCGCCCGAUUCAAGUCCAGGACGUCCGGUUCCGCUGCAAGAGGGCCUCGAUGGCAGCGGCAUCCACGCGCUCCGCCUCAAGUUGAGCCUCCGCUGCCCGGUUCACAUCCACGACAUCUGGUUCCGCCUGCAAGAGAGCCUCGAUGGCAGCGGCAUGCGUGCGCUCCGCGUGGAGUUGAGCCUCUGCCUCUCGGUCCUCCUUUAGUGCUGCCAUGUUGAGCCGCUGGUCCGCCUGCACCAUGGGGGACUCGGACGCCGGCACAAAGUCGACGUCCAUUGUCUCAUCCCAUCGGGGGCCUUCUACACCGCGACCUCCGCCAUGAACAUUGGAUCGGCUUCAUCCUCCUUGUAGCUUGGCUCCAGAGAACUCAGGGAUUGGCCCGCCGCAAAGCGAGCAUGGGAACGGAGGUCUGUGGCACCGACCGCCGCCGCGAUUUCUGCGCGGCGCUCUAGCGUCAGCAUCUUGUAGUAAGUGAUCCUGCGGCGCACCAUGGCUUUCCGGUGAACUAGGGGACGCUUGAUGCGGGCUAGGGGAUCGAAAGGUGGGGGAAUGGGCUGGAGAUUUGGUGUGGUUUUAGGGCAGUGGCUGGCGUUGGCCGAGCAGCGAAGGUUCUGGUGUGAAUAGUGGUUCCGGUGACGAACGGUCAAUCGGUUUUGACUGUACAUCUCUCUUGUCGCAUUCGCGUUGCAGCCCUGCAUGCUGGACCCUCCACAUCGCUCACCGAAUGGAACGCGCUUCGUCUUGCGUUUUUGCUCGCUUGUGGGACCGCAGUUGAGAGCAAACCGACGUCCCUCCCCCUCCCCCGCCCGCGUCAUUUAUUAUACCACCACUCCCUCCGUUUUAUGCGGAGUAAAUAAAAACAGAGGGAGUAUACUACGGAUGAGGAUCCCCUGACGUGGCCGAACCCAUUGAGUAACUGACAUGCGGGGCCUAGCAAGCAUGGGGUCCGCCAGUAAGUGACCGAAAGGGAGGGUAAGGCAGGGAUACCUACGUCAGAGGAUCCACUUCCACUAUACUACUUUGACCAAAUGUUAGAGUAAUAAUAUAUGACAUGCAACUUACACAAAGCAUACAUGGUCUAAUGCGUUUUUCGAGGCUAACUUUGACCAAAUGUUAGAGUAAUAAUAUAUGACAUGCAACUUACACAAAGCAUACGGUCAAAUUCGUAUGUGAAAGGAGUUUCCAAUGAUAUAAUUUUCACAUUAUACAUCUCAUGUACUAUUAAUCUUGUCAAUAGUCAAAUUGAAACCAUCUCGACUACAAAUCUAGGAGUACGUACGAAUCUAACAAUAUUGAUUGGGCGUUGUUGAAUGUUGAUACCUUUUUGAUCAAAGUAGAUAUAGUUUGACUACACAUAAAACUUAUUUGUAAACUACAAAGGAUAGGAGGGAGUAUAUUGUACGUUCAAAAACGAAACGAACAUUGAAUACCCUUUAUAUAUGAUUUGCGGAUGCUAUGAUCACCGGUUCAAAAUUUUGAAUCCACCUUAGGUAUCACGUGCCCCCACUCGUUCCCUCUUGAUUUCAUCUCGGGGUCCGGAGAUCUAUUGAAAGAGGACUAGGGUGGGUACAUGCGAAUGAUACUCGGCGGAAUGUUCAAAUGAGGCAUGCGGGAGGAUGGACUCAACUGGAGGGCGACAUGAUCGAUGGAGAAGAGGGUUGGAGAGGAAUGAGAAAUAAGCAAACGCCACAUGAUUAUACUUGAACGUCUAAAAUAAACAAUAAGUUGUCUCGCUUGGCCUACAUAGUGAAAGGCCUAAUGCGCAACACGGAGCACUGACGCUCGAAUAUGGCCGGGAAAACAAGGAAACAGACAUGUGGGGCACACCCGUCGGGACGAUGUAGCAUAGACUAGUCCAAUGGAGGAGCUAGCCCAUGACCUCCUCGCCACCGAGAACCGUUCAUGUAGGUCGUUGGGGCCAACAACGGGGCGUAGCUCCAGCACCGCCUCUGGACACGACGACCGAAGUGAGCGACACGCUCAUAUCGUCACUAGACACGGUCGGUUUCAGUUUGCCGAGGGUGGCGCUAGUGCUGUGGCACGACCAACGGUAUGUUUGGUUUGUGCCCAAGGUUGCCCCAUCAAAGCAUUGGGUAGCCAAAAUUUUGGUUGAGGUAUUGGUUGCCCAUGAUUUGGCCGACAUUGGCAAGAAAAAUGAACUUGAGUUGGCUAGAGUUCAUUGGCAUGCCAAAGAAAUGGCAACCAUCCAAACAAAGACCAAUCUUUGGGUCAUGACCAAAAUUUUGGUUGAGGUAUUGGUUGCCCAUGAUUUGGCCGACAUUGGCAAGAAAAAUGAACUAGAGUUGGCUAGAGUUCAUUGGCAUGCCAAAAAAAUGGCAAACAUCCAAACAAAGACCAAUUUUUUGGUCAUGACCAAAAUUUUGGCAAGGUGAACUUUGGCCACAAUCCAAAUACACCCCAACACCCGGCUUGUCGAGGAUGCAUGGGGCGCCGCGACGCGUCCGCGGAGUGGUGUAGCGCGGCCAACUGCAUCCUUUGGACCUGAGACCAUGCCGGGUCGUCUUGCUUUUUCAAUGACAUGCGGGGAUCGCAUGUGAGCAAAGGGCAUCUCCAACGCUGCCACGACCGCAGCUAACUACCCUGGCACACCAAAACCCUCAUCCCUCACGCCGUCGCGCGGAGCGUUCCCAGCCGGCGCCAGCUGCCCGCAUUCAUGUCGUCCGUUCGUAUGUCGUCAUUAAGAGGCUCGGUGCCCGCGGAACCAACUCCGGCGACUUAAUGACGCACCCGGAUGCUUGGCCUCACCGGAAUGCGCUACUUAAAGCGGCAACGCCCAGCUAACCUCGACACCAUAGCACAUCGUCCUCCUACCUGGAACCACAUCCGCCAUGACCGCAAGCGCGAACGCUCUGCGGGAGAGCUUGUCUUCAGGGAUGGAGCUCGAGGUGGCCGCCCUCUCUCAAGUCGCCGCACAAGUGGUGUCCACGCUGGUGGCCAACGACGGGAGCACCGUCAGCCACGCGUCCUACUUGCCGCCGUCCAACGUCCGGCACCGCCGAGGUCGGGGACUCCUCCGAGGAUGAGUAGGGCAUGGGAGGCAGCAGGGCAUGGUCUGCCAACUGGCCGGUCCGUCUCCCGUGUUCUACUUUUCCUCGCCGGAGACCGCACCUUCACUUCACGGGUCUUGAACCCCGCCCCCGUACAUGGAGAUCACAGAUGGAGGACGUCGGUCGCCGCCGUAGAAUAGGUUUAGGGUCGGGUUUCUUUUAUUUUUUUGUCCUAUAGAAGUUCAAAAUGUAAUGAAAAUCUGCCGUGUUUGCAUUAAUCUCGGCCGGUGUAUAUGAAUUUUCACAAUAAUAUACAUAUUGUAGGAGUACUAGCAAGAUGCCCGUGCGUUGCACGGAAGAUCAAGAUCUUGUGGGAGAAAAGGAUGAACAAGGGAAAGCCUUAUCUGCAAAUGUGGAGAGGAGUGCGGGUAAAUUGUCAUAGUUUCCUUCCUAUCCGUUAGAUAUAGAUCGGACGGCCUAUAUUGUAGGAUCGGACACAUCUUUCUACAUCUACGGGAACCUACGAAAGGGUUAACGUAAAUUGCCUCUCUCUCUCCUCCCCUGAUUUUCAUGGUGGUGGGCCCCUCCCUCCCACCAAUCUACAAUCAACAGCUCACACGUUUCACAUUAUGUUAAUUACGUAACUGGGAUUAUGUAGGUGUAGCAUUACUCAUCCUAAAAAACCCAACUAAGCCAACCACCCAGCAUAUCGCGCGGGAAAAGACCCGGCCGUGCCGUUUUAGUCGGGAUUACAGGAUUACUAGUAGUAGUAUCGAUGGAUCGCGCGAAGAAAUAGAUUUUUUUUGACGGGGCGAAGCACCUAGUGUAAAAGGAAAAAAUGCAGUACACUCACAGCACUCCUAUCGCGGUCGCAUUGCACCCCACACACGUUCGGUCCUGCACACGGCUCACGCAAACGGAACGCGCUUCGGCCUGCCUCUCCACUGACACGUGGGACUGCACUUGGAGAAACCGACCAUGCGCCANNNNNNNNNNNNNNNNNNNNNNNNNNNNNNNNNNNNNNNNNNNNNNNNNNNNNNNNNNNNNNNNNNNNNNNNNNNNNNNNNNNNNNNNNNNNNNNNNNNNNNNNNNNNNNNNNNNNNNNNNNNNNNNNNNNNNNNNNNNNNNNNNNNNNNNNNNNNNNNNNNNNNNNNNNNNNNNNNNNNNNNNNNNNNNNNNNNNNNNNNNNNNNNNNNNNNNNNNNNNNNNNNNNNNNNNNNNNNNNNNNNNNNNNNNNNNNNNNNNNNNNNNNNNNNNNNNNNNNNNNNNNNGAUUCAACCGCCCUUCGGCCAACUAGCCAAUAAUAUUCAUCAAACUCCCCUCCCCCUGUCCCCCUCCACUCCAUUCGCUCCGCUAAAGCCGCCCUCCCCUCCGCACCGAUACAUCGGCGCCACGGUUCGGCGAUCCUCUCGCUCCCACAGUACGUUCUCGUAGACUACCGUCCUCUAGCCGUGCCGCCACCUCUAGCUACGUUCUUGUGGAGGCGCACGGCGGUCAGUGCCGCCAUCGCUAGCGACGUUCGUGUGGAGACGCACGGUGGUCAGCUUCUCCCACGGUACGCGCAUUCUAGACUAAGGCCCCGUUCAUGUCGGUGUAGCGCUGAAUGUUAGCUGAUAGACGCUGUUAAUCUCACUGUUUGCCGAAGUAGUUUACUAUCAAUAUGCUCUGCUUAAGAACCUUCAUUGCCCUGUUCUGCACUCAAUCUGCUUAGCUGAGAUGGCAUGCCAAGGCCGAUUAGUUGCUAAAAUAUCCUGCCAUAUAUUUAUUGUGACGUAGAUUGCCAUGGUCUAGUAGCCAAUCUGUUAGCUAAAAUAGCUCUACACCGUUUUAUACUCGAUCUUUGUUGGUGCGAUGGCCUUCGAUAGUUUGAUGGUUGUGUGCUCGGCUUCAUUGACUGCUGAAACAGCCUGCCAUAAUUUGGCACUCAAAUAUGUUUGCUGAAUUAGCUUUACAUAUAUUUCGUUACUUAGAUCUGCUCGUCCAAAUAUCUUGCCAUAGCUUUAGACAUCGACCUAGGUAUUUUUUCUAGACUUCAUAAAAAGCAUAUAUGUUUUUCCUGUAAUAUCUAGUAGAAGAACUAAUUUGUAUGUCUAACAGAUGGACACGACUUGGAUAACUUCUGCUCGAAGAUUCUCCGCUGCAUAUGUCGAGGGGGUUGAAAACUUCAUGAACUUUAUCAGAGCUGAGUACGGUAGUCCAAAAUUAGAUGUGCUCUGCCCGUGUAGCAGUUGUAUGAAUUCAGUUACAAGACCCCAGUCAACUGUGCAAAAUCAUCUACACUUGUAUGGGAUGUGGGUCACAUAUACUAGGUGGGUUCAUCAUGGUGAAGCCGUGAACGUCAAUGUUAUUGACUACGUGGAAGCAGCAGAUCACCAUCUUGAUCUGCCUGAUGCUCAGGUGGAAGAGGAGGAGGUGGUGGUGGCGGAGCCAGUGAGUUUGACCAACAUUGAAACAAUGCUACGAAAUGCUCGUGCAUUCCGUGAACUUUCACCUGCAGAAGAAAAAUUGUGGGCCGCAUGUUGGAACAAUGCAACGUUGCUGUCACCCCAGGAAAUAAGCUGUCAGUAUUCUCAACUAUGGUCACCUUUCUUUAGGUGAAGACAUCUGAGUGGAUGACCAACAAAUCAUUCGAUGCGAUGUUGGCUGCUUUCCGCGAAUCUUUCCCAGAUGCGUCUGAGCUGCCACACACCUACAGUAAAAUGAAGAAUUUCCUUCGUGCAGUUGGAAUUGGAUAUGAUAUGAUCCAUGUUUGUAAGAAUAAUUGUGUUCUGUUCCGGAAGGAUUAUGCCAACUUAAGUGAAUGCCCGAAAUGCAAAUCAUCAAGAUGGAAAGAUGGUGAUGCUGUGAAGAGGAUUCCUCAUAAUGUUCUGAGACAUUUUCCAAUUACACCAAGAUUACAGAGGUUGUUUCAUGAUGCUGAAACUAGAGAGGAUGUACUGUGGCAUUCUAGGAACUAGGAGUACAGAGAUCAGAAUGUAAUGAGCCAUCCAUCUCAUGGUAGUGAGUGGAAAAGCUUCAAUGAUAAACACAAAGAGUUUGCUGCUGACCCGAGAAACAUUAGACUUGGCUUUGCUUCAGAUGGAUUUAACCCAUUUGGCCACCAGAGCGCCACAUAUAGCAUGUGGCCAGUGCUAGUUAUCCCUUACAACAUGCCUCCAAAUGUCUGCACCAAAGAAUCAAACUACAUGAUGGCCUUGCUCAUCCCAGGUCCAAAAUUUCCUGGAAAGGAUUCUGAUUUGUUCAUGGAGCCUCUUGUGGAGGAACUUCAACAGCUAUGGAAGGGUAUUCUCACUCGAGACCUAUAUAGCAGCCCACCAGCUGAUUUCUUUCUGAGUGUUGUUAUAAUUUGGUGCAUCCAUGAUUAUCAGGGCGAAUGACACAUGGUUACAAUGCAUGUGUUCGCUGUGAUAGGAAUCCGCUGUCAUACACAAUACUUAGCAAGAUCUGUUACAUUGGACACCGUCGUUUCCUUGCCAAGGACAAGCCGCAUCCUAGAAAAUACCGAAGACAUGUGUUCAAUGCAAAGCAUGAAAAUUGUGAUGCGCCAAAGAGGCUCACCGCCGAUGAGUUGCAAGUGGAAUUAGAGAAGGUCAGGCAUAUUACACCAGGAAACCAUCCUGCUAAUGGUAGCGGGAAAAGGAAGCGUGGCAGGGUAGAAGAGAGAUUAUUAUUUACCCGCAGGUCCACUUUGUGGGACUUGGAGUAUUGGAAAGAUUUGGAUCUAAGGCAUAAUAUUGAUGUCAUGCACAUCAAGAAAAAUAUAUGUGACAACAUUAUCGGCACACUUCUUAAUAUUGAAGGCAAGACGAAAGAUACCUUAAAAUAUAGGAUUGAUUUGACAAACCUGGGUAUCAGAAAGGAUUUGCAGGUGCAAGAUGAAGGUAAACCACGGGAUAUGGCACCAGCUGUGUACGUCUUGGACAAGGUAAAAAGAAAAGAAUUCUGCGAGGUCCUGUCACGUGUGAGAUUCCCACAUGGAUUUGCUUCCAACCCUGAAAGGAGAGUCAGUGCAGAUGGAAACAAGGUACAAGGGUUGAAAACUCAUGACUGCCACGUCCUACUUCAAAGUGUUUUACCUGUUAUCCUUAGAGGAUUGGGCCGCCCUGACUUAUACAGAGCAGUUGCAGAGUUGGGACAAUUCUUCAAGGAACUCUACAGUAGGAAUAUCAGGAUAGAUGCUUUGGAGCGUCUUAGAGACAAGAUACCAACUGUCCUAUGCGACCUUGAGAAGAUAUAUCCUCCAGCCUUCUUUGAUGUGAUGGUGCAUUUGGCUGUUCAUCUACCUGAUGAGGCACUACUUAGAGGUCCAGUACAGUAUGGCUGGAUGUACCCUAUUGAAAGGCGGCUAGGCACUUUCAAGGGCUAUGUUAGGAACAAAGCUAGACCCGAGGGUUCCAUUGCAGAGGCCUACAUUGCUACAGAAGCAUUGACAUUCUGCUCAAAAUACAUUGAAACAGUUGAUCAGCUUAGCAAAGAGGUGGGUGAAGACAAUCUCGGGCUCAAUGUUUUCAAUUAUUCUGUUCGAGUUACAUGGAAGAGUCGACAAGAGGACAAACCUAAAGAUUUGGACAAAAUGGUUUGGUAUGUGUUGAAUAACUGUCAUGGGAUACUACCUUAUAUCAAGUAAGUGCAGUACUGCAGCUUAUACAUCGUAAUCUACUAAACUUGCAGCACAUUCUUAUAUAUUUAGAUGUUUGACGCGAUCACUAUGUUGUGCAGCAUCUACAAAGAGGAGUUACUGCCGCAAAAUCCAAGAAACAUUAACAAACUGGUUAUGGCAGGAUUUGCAAAAUGGUUCAAGAACCAUGUAAGCUUUUGAAGUGCACUGUCAGUUUUUUAAUAUAUUGAGUACAUAAGAUGAUCAGCUUGUCUAUUUUCUAACCAUAGGUUAAGAAGAUGCGGGAGGAUGGGCAGGCAGUUGAUGAUGCCCUUUACUCACUAGCAAUGGGUCCUGAUACUCGGGUAAGACAUUAUGAAUCUUGCGUUGUUGGAGAUGUGCACUACAACACCCUUGCACGAGACGAAGGCAGGAAGAGACAAAAUAGUGCCAUCAUGAGCACGGAUACGUAUGAUAAAGAGACAACUGAAAUGCAUGCUAACAUAACAGACAUUAUUCAGUUGCAGUAUAUCUCCAGUUUCGAGGAUAGUCGGUGUGUGGUUCUGUUGUGCUGUCGUUGGUAUAACCUGUUUUCCAGGAUCGCAAAGCCCAGAGCUGAUGAUAUUUCAAAUCCAUCAAUGUCAAGGCGGCGUACCAGACCAACGAGCCUUUUAUUUUGCAAAUCAAGCAACAUAGAUAUUUUUCUUGGAAGACACAUUUGCAUGUAGCGAUGACUGGAGAGUAUUGCAAAGGUUUGAGCAGAGGAAUUCGUUUAAUGAAGUUGCACAACAAGAUGAUGCUUACACUGCUCCUGAUGUACAUGAUAACACAUAUGUUCCUAAUAUCUUUGAGAACCAUCACGUCAAUGACACCGGCGAAAAGAUUACCUGUCGUGCUGUGGACAUACAAGAGUUGAUCAAGAAGAAGCCAACGUUCGAGGACGUUGAGGACAAAGAAGAAGAUGACGCCAUGGGGAAUUACGAUUCAGACUGAUACACAUGGCGAAGAUGUUGACGCUGCUGCUGCGGAUGAUGAUUACAUUGCUUUUGUCGUAUUUGCCUGUCAGAAGACGUUUUUUAUCUACUAUGUGAAAUUGUGUUUGCUAUGACAACUGAAACCUGAUGAACAUGUUGUUUAGUAUUUUGCUGUGAGAACAUCACUUGUUAUGUAUGCUGAUUUGUGUUUGGUGAUUGUAUGACAACUAAAACAUGAUGACAUUGUUGUUUAGUUGUAGUCAUAUUUGGCUGUGAAACUUGAAUUUGAUGACAUAGUUUGUUGUUGGACUGCAAUUUGCUCGACGUCUUCGAAUGAGAACAAAGCUCUGCUAUUUAUUUAUUUAUAUGAGCAAAAGGGGAUACCCACUGAUUUCCGUUAAUAGAAAUCAUUAGAUGUUCACAACACUAUGCCCAGCCUGCUACACAGGUUUCAUUCAUUACUAGUUUCAGCAAAGUGCUCAUGUCGUAGCCACUGAAUACAUCACGAGUGCUACAUACACUGCAAAUAAAGAGACAAUCAUCCUACAGAGCACAUCGAUUUUGCCCAUUAUCUUCACAAGCUCUUUCAUCUCCUCAUUGCUGUCAAGGUCGUUCAGCAGCUGUUGCUUGGCCAUGAUCAGAGGAACUGCAUCUUUAAGCUUCUGCUCUGCAUCUUCCUCUUCGGUCGUUCCUUCAGUUACUUGUCCAACACCCCAACCUGCUGGUAUUGGGAUUCCUCGGCUAACCAAAUAAUCAGCAUAGUUGCAUUCCCCCACAUCAGAAACUUCCCAGAAAUACAAAUCACACGAAUCUUCCCUUUUCUGCACGAAUCAAAUUGGUAGAUCAUCAACCAAACUAUUAAAAAAUCAGCAACUGAAAGCAGCAGAACAACACUUAAACAUAUUAUUACCCCAUGAUUCGGGCAUUUGUAGAAGACUCGGCCAGGGUUGCGGAUUGUGGUUGAGACGCGACGGAUGACUCUACGUGAUUUGCAGCAGUGGCACCACACCAACGGCAGCGGGUUGCGAUGAGCAAUCGGCUGCGGUGCGCGUGCCGGCGAGGCUGUGAUGAGACCCACAGGCGAUGGUACAGGUUGCAACUUGGCGCAUAUCUGGUUGUUUCCUGCUGAAGAGCAGGUGGACGAGCAGCCAGCGGACAUGGUUGCUGCGGCCAGAGCUUCUGAUGCUAGGCAGAGUAAGUAGAGAAGAGGAGAAGCGAACGUUGGAUAUGUCAGUUUCAUUACUUGCAGAGUAGCAUAGCACCAUAUAUAUUCAUAGUCUAGGUUUGGAUUCGAACCAGCUACUAGAGCACGUCUUUGUUUUUUCUAAAACUCGGCAACGUCUCUUUACUGGUACACUAGCUUGUUCUGUAUGCCUUCCCAAGUCUUUGAUUUUCUUUCCCUUUUUGCGAGGAAGGAAGGAGGACAAAAUUGAGAGUUCCUGGGACUCGAACCCAAGACCUCUUGGUUGAAAACCAAGGGUGCUAGUCACUUAUGUGGCGAACGUUCCCUGUGAGGAGGACGGCAGACGAACGCAUUUUCCUCGCAGUUUUAUUCCCAUAUAUAAAAAAGUAUGCUACUUGGUGUCUGCUUAGUCAACAAAAUGAUUGUGCCAACCUUGACCAUUUGAUUGACAUUCAACGUCUGUCGCGUUUCUUCAGUCUCUUCUUCCUUGAGGUGCCAAAGCCAAACCAGCGCCGGCGGGACCGCCUGCUCCCGCCUCCCACGGCUGGCUGUGAUCUGCCCUGGCUCCUGUUCAUUCCCGUCCAAGGCCUCACCAUCAUCCUCCGCCUUGGUUCGCUCACCACGGCACCACCCUCCGAUGUUGUCAACAUGGUCAACAACCGAGAGGAAUAAGGAGAUGACUGUACAUGGUGAGGAUGACAGUAGGGACCCAGCAGCGCGCGCAUUAAUUUUGUUUUUUCGGGAUGAAGAAGGGUAUCAACUGGGUUGUGCGGGACCCAUGGCCCAUCUAGCCCAAACUUUUAUUUCAUAUGUUUAGCACAUGACCAGCCCAGUUUGUUUUUUUCCUUUCUGAAAAUUGCUAGCCAGCUAUUUUGUUUUUUGCAGAAUAACCAACAUAGGCCUACUUUCUUUUCUAUGCCCUGCUGGGCCGGAAAUCUUUGAAGACGAGGAGGGAUGCAUUUUGCCCAGAAAAUGGGCUAUAAGUAAUAAGAAAUGGGCUAUAGCUAAUAAUAAAUGGGCUGUAAAAUGAAAAAAUACAGCAAAUAGACAAUUAGUUCCAAAAAAUUGUUUUCUUUCGGAUUUUGAUAUUUUAAAUUUCAUUGUUUUUGUGUGGGUAAAAUUUCAUUGAAUUUAAAUUAAGGUAUAUUUAGAUUUAAAAUUAAUUUGAAUCUGGCUAGAAAUUUUGGGCUGCAUGCUGUUUGGGACAGAUUUGGAGGCUGACUUGUGGGUCUACUAGGUUGACGUGUACUUUGACUUUGUCAACUUAGUCCACAAACGAUUCUAGCAGCAGUGGCCGUUGGAUGUUAAUCCAACGGCCGUGCUGCUUCUUCAAUAUCUGAUCUUCUUGCUCCAGCCGCCCAAACCAGCUUCGGUGGGACUGCCUGCUCCCGCCUCCCGUGGCCGGCUAUGCUGCCGCACAGGCCGCACCGCCCCACUCUACUUCAUUGCUCGCCAGGCCAUUCCUCUACUCACGCACACCUCCUGUUGUUUUCCGGCGACAGCAGCCGGACCAAUAAACCCUCGUACUCCCCACCGCAUGGGCAACCAUUGCCGAGUCUUCCCUGGCUCCGCGUCGUUCCCUUCCUAGGCCUCGCCGUCGUCCACCACCAUGGUGCUCUCGGCGCGGCCUGGUCAACUUGGUCAACGAACGACAUCCAUCGGCCGUGGACUGUACGCGCAAAAUAAUGAUUCCUCCACCUGACAGCUGGGACCCACCGGAAGGGCCUCUUUAUUUCACAAAGAAAAUGUUCCCCCCGCUGACAUGUCGGACCCACCAGCUAUAUCUUCGCACGCAAAGAAGUGCCUCCUUAUUACGCACAAAAAAUGAAUACCCCCUACUAGCUGGGACCCACCAUAGUGGGAGGAUGACUUGUGGGCCAAAAAAGUUGACGGGGACAGAGGGCUUUGUCAACUUAGUCAAUAUGAACGAUUCUAGCUCCAGUGACCGUACGAUGUCCAUCCCACGGCCGUAGUGCUUCUUCAACCUCUGGUCUUCUUGCUCCAGCCGCCCAAAAGCAGCGCCGGUUGUGCUACAUGCUCCUGCCUCCCGUGGCCGGCUGUGCUGUAACGGAGGCCUCACCGCCCCCUACUAUUCCCACCGCUGGCCAGGCCCUGCGGCGAAGGCAGCCUCACACCGCAGCCGAACCAGUGAACCCUCGUACUCCUCUCCGCGCGGGCUUCCACUACCGCGUCUUCCCCGGCUUCGCGUCGUCCCCUUCCUAGGCCUCGCCGUCAUCCACCGCCGUGGUGCUCUCCGUGCGGCGUGGUCAACGUGGUCAAGGAACGACUUCCAUCGGAAGAGUACUGUACGUGGAGAGGCUGACAGCUGGGUCCACGGCCACAGCCCAGUUUUUUGUGAUUUGCCAAGUAAGUCGCUUUGUCAGGCCUGUUGGGCUGCAAAUCUUUCAAGACGAGGAGAGCUUUCAUUCGGCUGGCCGAGAAAAUGGCCCAUCAGUAAUGAGAAAUGGGUUGUACAUUUUUAAAACACAUCAAACCGGCAAUUAGUUUCAAAUAUCUUUUUUUCAUUUCAAGAUUUUAAAUUACAUUAAUUUUUAUGCGUGGAGAAUUUGUUGGAUUUUAUAUUGAUAUACAUUUUUUUUUAAAAUCAGUUUGAAUGUGAUUCGAAAUUUCGGGAUUAAAAACAGUUCGGACUGCACCGAAAUAUGCAAAAUUUCGUAUAAUUUUUUAACCGUGGCCACAAUUUGGGCUGUAAUGCUACCAAAAAGAAUAUGGGCUCCAAAAAACCUUAAGAAUUAGGAAAUGGGCUGAAAAUUAUUAGAAAUAAUGGCAGAUGGGUUGUAUGUUGUUUUCCACAGAUUUGAGGCUUUCCUAAAAAAAGAUUGAUGCACAAGCAGUGACUGUUGGAUGUCCAUUCAACGGCCAUCGUGCUUCUUCAAUCUCUGCUCUUCCCGCUCCAGCCGCUCAAACAAGCGCCGGUGGGACUGCCUACUCCCUCCUCCCCGCGGUCGGCUGUGCUGCCGCGCAGGCCUCACCGCCCCACCGUACUCCCGUUGCUGGCCUAGCCAUCCCUCUAGUCAUCCACACCUACUGUUAUUCUCCGGCGACGGCAGACGAACUAGUAAGCCCUUGUACAGUCGUACUCCUCUCCGCGUGGGAAACAACUGCCGAGUCUUCCCUGCCUCUGUGUUGUUCCCUUCCUAGGCCUCGCCGUCAUCCACCGCCCUGGUGCUCUCGGCGUGGCCUAGUCAACGUGGUCAACGACCGACAUGCAUCUGAAGUGGACUGUACGUGGAGAGGCCGACAGUUGGGUCCACGGCCGCACGCAAGGAAAUGCCUCCUUAUUACGCGCAAAAUAAUGAUUCCUCCACCUGACAUCAGGGACCCACCGAAAGGGCCUCUGUAUUUCAUGAAAAAAAUGUUACCGCUGCUGACAGCUUGGACCCACCAGCUAUAUCUUCUCACGCAAGGAAGUGCCUCCUUAUUACGCACAAAAAAAUGAAUACUCUCCCUGUUAGCUGGGACCCAACAUAGUGGCAGGCUGACUUGUGGGCCUACUAAGUUGACGGGGACGGAGGGAUUUGUCAACUUAGUCAAUAUGCAUGAUUCUAGCUCCAGUAACCGUACGAUGUCCAUCCAACGGCCGUAGUGCUUCUUCAACCUCUGGUCUUCUUGCUCCAGCCGCCCAAACCAACGCCGGUCGUGCCUCGUGCUCCUGCCUCUCGUGGCCGGCUGCGAUGCGACGGAGGCCUCACUGCACCCUACUACUCCCACCGCUGGCCAGGCCAUCCCUCUACUCAACCACACCCCCUGUUACUCUACGGUGACGGCAGCCUCACACCGCAGCAAACCAGUGCCCUCGUACUCCUCUACGCGUGGGCAUCCACUGCUGCGUCUUCCCCGGCUCCGCAUCGUCCCCUUCCUAGGCCUCGCCGUCGUCCACCGCCCUGGUGCUCUCGGCGCGGCGUGGUCAACGUGGUCAAGGAACGGCUUCCAUCGGACGUGGACUGUAUGCGGAGAGGCUGACAACUGGGUCCACGGCCGCAGGAAGGAAGUGCCUCCUUAUUACGUGCAAAAUAAUUAUUCCUCCACUUGACAGCGGGGACCCACCGGACGGGCCAUCGUAUUUCACCCCCCUGACUACUGGGACCCACCAGCUACAUCUUCGCACGCAAGAAAGUGUCUGACAGUCGGGACCCACCUGGUUGAAGCGUACGUAGCGUUGUCAUUCUGGUCGCGAACGUGUAUGUACAUAUAUACUAGUGGAUGUAGAGGCACGCACGUUUCAUAGUAGAGGCGGCCAGGGUACAAGAAAGAAAAUACAGCCAUGUAUGUGUACAUACGGGUGAGGUCUCGAACGCCUACUCGCGCAUACGUACGGCGAGGGCUCGUUGACAUGGUUGUGUCGGAACGGAGAAAGAGCGUCAUCGUCAUGUUCAUGGGGAGGCAAAGGAAUGCAUCUUGUUAAUGGGGAGGCAACGGAAUGCGUCGUCUUCAUCCGGAGGCAACGAAACGCGUGGGAGCCAACCGGCUGGGUCGGAACGGAAUGCGUGGUCGUGUUCAUCGGGAGGGCUUGGACGGAACAGGCGAUGGAAACGAGGCCUGGCGUACCGCACAACGGAGGAAACGGACCUCCUACGUUCGGAACGGGGUCCUGUUGAUCGGGAGGGGUCUGGCGUACCGCAAAACAGAGGAAACGGACCUCCUACGGUCGAAACGGGGGUCCUGUUGAUCGGGAGGGGUGUGGCGUAUCACAAAACAGAUGAAACGGACUUGUGUUGGAGCGCUAUGGUCGAAACUGGGGUCCUGUUCAUCGAGAAGGGCGUGGCGUACCGCAAAACGGGACUCCACGAGAUACUGUUCAUCUCCACCGUCGACCCCCUCAAGCCUCCACGAGCUACUGUUCAUCUACCGUCGACCUCCUCCAGCCUCCACCUGCGACUGUUCAUCCAUGGGCUCCUGUUCAUCGAGCCUCCACCACGCGCUACUCCACCAGCUACUGUUCAACUAGACCUCUCCACGGGCUCCUAUUCAACCACCCCUCCACGGACUACUGUUCAUCCUGCCCUCCACCGUCCACUAUUCAUCCUGCCCUCCACGGGGUGGUCCUGUUCAUCCAGCCCUCCACUGGGUCAUGUUCAUCCAGCCCCAACCGGCUCGAUCGAUCGGGGUCCUAUUCAUCCAGUGGCAACACCACGGGGUCCUGUUCAUCCACCCCCAUCGGGAACUGUUCAUCCAAACCCCCACCCCCCCGGCAACGCUCACUGUUCAUCCAGAGGCAGCAUCGAUCGGCUUCAGUUAGCAGCAGUAGCGAAGGAAUCGCUCGAUCGGGUUCAGUUAACAGCCAUCAAUUGAUCACUCGGGUUCAGUAACGCGUAGCCUGCAGUGCAAUUGCUCAGGUUCAGUUAGAGCCCAACGCCUCGCUCGGGUUCAGUUAGAGCCAACGCCUCGCACACACGCGCGUACGUGUACGAGAGAAACGCGCAUCACUCGGCCCCCGACCUCCCACCGUAACCGGGAACUCCUCGAAAUUUUCCUCGCCCUCACUUCUACCAUGGUUUUUUCCGUCAUGGACGGCCCAAAGAAUGUCAUGCAGCUGCGUCUCCGGCCCGCCCAGGACGAAAAGCCCAUUUUCUAUCAUGAUUUUUUGUCAUAGAAGUAGGAGCCCACCACAUCUAUGAUGAUACUUGGUUUUGUCACAAUUAUCAUCAUAGAAGUGUCAUAUGUAUGACAGAAAAAAAAUUCGUUCGGCCCAAAUGUCACGAAUGUGUCUUUUUUUUGUAGUGCAACUGCGUGUGUAGCCGUGAUGGUCUCUUUUCGACGGAGUCCGGGAAGUGAAAACGGUUCUUGUGUUAUGCUUGAACGUAAGUAGUUUUAGGAUCACUUCUUGAUCACUUCUAGUUCACGACUGUUGCGUUGCUUCUCUUCUCGCUCUUAUUUGCGUAUGUUAGCCACCAUAUAUGCUAGUGCUUGCUGCAGCCCCACCUCAUUACCCUUUCCUACCCAUAAGGUUAAAUAGUCUUGAUCUCGCGGGUGUGAGAUUGCUGAGUCCUCGUGGCUCACAGAUACUUCCAAACAGUUGUAGGUGCCGAUGAUACCAGUGCAGAUGACGCAACUGAUCUCAAGUGGGAGCUCAAUGAAGAUCGUGUUCGUUCUGUGUUUUUGUUUCCAGUUGAUCAGUAGUGGAGCCCAGUUGGGACGAUCGGGGAUCUAGCAUUUGGGGUUGUCUUCUUUUAUUUUGGUUCCGUGGUUGGACCUUGAUUGUAUUCUGGAUGAUGUAUUUUUAACUUGUAUUUGUGUGAAGUGGCGAUUGUAAGCCAACUCUUUAUCCCUUUCUUAUUCAGUACAUGGGAUUGUGCGAAGAUUACCCCUCUUGCGACAAACCUACCAGGCGGCUAUGCCUCUAAGUCAUGCCCUGACACGUGGGAGAUAUAGCCGCAUCGUGGGUGUUACAAUUUUCGUCUUUGCCUAAAAAUAGUAUUGAUUCUUGGAACAAGUGCAAAGAUGCUUUUAUCUCUAAGUAUUUUCCUCCCGCUAAGAUCAUCUCUCUUAGAAACGAUAUUAUGAACUUUAAGUAACUAGAUCAUGAGCAUGUUGCACAAUCUUGGGAGAGGAUGAAAUUAAUGAUUCGCAAUUUCCCUACACGUGGUUUGAAUUUGUGGAUGAUCAUACAAAAAAUUUAUGCUGGAUUGAAUUUUGCUUCUAGAAAUCUUUUAGAUUCAGCCGCGGGAGGCAGUAUUAUGGAAAUCACUUUAGGAGAAGCUACCAAACAACUAGAUAAUAUUAUGGUUAAUUAUUCUCAAUGGCACGCUGAAAGAUCUACUUGUAAAAAGGUUCAUGCUAUAGAAGAAAUUAAUGUUUUGAGUGGAAAGAUGGAUGAACUUAUGAAAUUGUCUGCUAAUAAGAGUGUUUCUUCUGAUCCUAAUGAUAUGCCUUUGUGUACUUUGAUUGAGAAUAAUAAUGAAUCUAUGGAUGUGAAUUUUGUUGGUAAGAACAAUUUUGGUAACAACGCGUAUAGAGGAAACUUUAAUCCUAGGUCGUUUCCUAGUAAUUCCUCUAAUAGUUAUGGUAAUUCCUACAAUAAUUCUUAUGGAAAUUAUAAUAAUACGCCCUAUGAUUUUGAAUCUAGCAUUAAAGAAUUUAUUAGUUCGCAAAAGAGUUUCAAUGCUUUGAUUGAAGAAAAAUUGUCUAAGAUUGAUGAGUUGGCUAGGAAUGUGGAUAGAAUUUCUCUUUAUGUUGAUUCUUUGAAACUUAGAUCUAUUCCACCUAAGCAUGAUAUCAAUGAGUCUCUCAAAGCCAUGAGAAUUUCCAUUGACGAGUGCAAAGAAAGAACCACUAGGAUGCGUGCUAAAAAAGAUUGCUUUAUAAAAGCAUGUUCUUCUAGUUUUGAUGAUAAUAAGGAUGAAGAUCUAAAAGUGAUUGAUGUGUCUCCUAUUAAAUCUUUGUUUUGCAAUAUGAAUCUUGAUAAUGAUGGGACUGGAGAUGAGUCAACUUUAGUUAAAAGGCGUCCCAAUGAUUCGGAGUUUUUAGAUCUUGAUGCAAAAAUUGGUAAAAGUGGGAUUGGAGAGGUCAAAACUUUACAUAGCAAUGAGCCCACUAUUUUGGAUUACAAGGAAUUUAAUUAUGAUAAUUGCUCUUUUAUAGAUUGUAUUUCCUUGUUUCAAUCCGUGCUAAAUUCUCCGCAUGCUUAUAGUCAAAAUAAAGCUUUUACCAAACAUAUCGUUGAUGCUUUAAUGCAAUCUUAUGAAGAAAAGCUUGAAAUUAGAAGUUUCUAUUCCUAGAAAACUUCAUGAUGAGUGGGAACCUACUAUUAAAAUUAAAUUAAAGAUCAUGAAUUCUAUGCUCUAUGUGAUUUGGGUGCUAGCGUUUCCAUGAUUCCAAAAACUUUGUGUGAUGUGUUAGGUUUCCGUGAAUUUGAUGAUUGUUCUCUAAAUUUGCACCUCGCGGAUUCCACUAUUAAGAAACAUAUGGGAAGGAUUAAUGAUGUUCUUAUUGUUUCAAGUAGGAAUUAUGUGCCCAUAGAUUUCAUUGUUCUUGAGAUAGAUUGCAAUCCUACAUGUCCUAUUAUUCUUGGUAGACCUUUCCUUAGAACGAUUGGUGCAAUUAUUGAUAUGAAAGAAGGGAAUAUUAGAUUCCAAUUUCCGUUAAGGAAAGGCAUGCAACACUUCCCUAGAAAGAAAAUUAAAUUACCUUAUGAAUCUAUUAUGAGAGCCACUUAUGGAUUGCAUACAAAAGAUUAUAAUACCUAGAUCUAUUCUUGUUUUUAUGCCUAGCUAGGGGCGUUAAACGAUAGCGCUUGUUGGGAGGCAACCCAAUUUUAUUUUUGUUUCUUGAUUUUUGGUUCUGUUUAGUAAUAACUAAUUCAUAUAGCCUCUGUUUAUAUGUGGUUUUAUUCUUUUAAUUAGUGUUUGUGCCAAGUAGAACCUUUGGGAAGACUUGGGGGAAGUUUUUGCAAUCUUGUUGUAAAAAACAGAAACUUUAGCGCUCACGAGAUUUGCUGCCAUUUUUCACUGGAGAGUGCGAUUAGGUUGAUUCUUUUUUAAUAUGAUUACCAGACAAAUUCCUCACGUCCACCAAUUUAUUUCAUAAUUUUGGGGGUUACAUAAGUAUUUGAAACCUACAAAUUACUACAGACAGUUCUGUUUUUGAUAGAUUAUGUUUUUCGUGUGUUGUUUGCUUAUUUUGAUGCAUCUAUGGCUAGUAUCGGAGGGUAUGAACCAUAUAGAAGUUGGAAUACAGUAGGUUUAACACCAAUAUAAAUAAAUAAUGAGUUAAUUAUAGUACCUUAAGUGGUGGAUAGUUUUCUUAUACUAACGGAGCUCAUGAGAUUUUCUAUUGAGGUUUGUGCUGUGAAGUUUUCAUGUUUUGGGUAAAGAUUUGAUGGAUUAUGGAAUAAGAAGUGGCAAGAGCCUAAGAUUGGGGAUCCCCAAUGCACCCCAAGGUAAAAUUCAAGUACAACCAAAAUCCUAAGCUUGGGGAUGCCCCGAAAGGCAUCCCCUCUUUCGUCUUCUUCCAUCGGUAACUUUACUUGAAGCUAUAUUUUUAUUCACCACAUGAUUUGUGUUUUGCUUGGAGCGUCUUGUAUGAUUUGAGUCUUUGCUUUUUAGUUUACUGUUGGGGAACGUAGAAGAAUUUUAAAAUUUUCUACGCAUCACCAAGAUCAAUCUAUGGAGUCAUCUAGCAACAAGGGAGAGGGGAAUGCAUCUACAUACCCUUGUAGAUCGCGCGCGGAAGCGUUCAAGAGAACAGGGUUGAUGGAGUCGUACUCGUCGUGAUCCAAAUCACCGAUGACCUAGCGCCGAACGGACGGCACCUCCGCGUUCAACACACGUACGGUUUGGAAUACGUCUCCUCCAACUUGAUCCAGCAAGGGGGAAGGAGAGGUUGAUGAAGAUCCAGCAGCACGACGGCGUGGUGGUGGAAGCAACGGUGAUCUCGGCAGGGCAUCGCCAAGCACAGGGAGAAGGAGUAGUGUCACGGGAGGGAGAGGGAGAGGCUAGGGGCUAGGGUGCGGCUGCCCUCCCUCCCCCCCCCACUAUUUAUAGGACCCCUAAGGGGGGGCGCCGGCCCUAGGAGAUGCCAUCUCCAAGGGGAGGCGGCGGCCAAGGGGGUGGCUUGCCCCCCAAGCCAAGUGGGGCGCCCCCCACCCCUAGGGUUUCCAACCCUAGGCGCAGGGGAGGCCCAAGGGGGGCGCACCAGACCACUAGGGGAUGGUUCCCCUCCCACUUCAGCCCAUGGGGCCCUCCGGAUAGGUGUCCCCACCCGGUGGACCCCCGAGACCCUUCCGGUGGUCCCGGUACAAUACCGAGUACCCCCGAAACUUUCCCGAUGGCCGAAACUUGACUUCCUAUAUAUAAAUCUUCACCUCCGGACCAUUCCGGAACUCCUCGUGACAUCCGGGAUCUCAUCCGGGACUCCGAAAAACUUUCGGGUUACCGUAUACUAAUAUCUCAACAACCCUAGCGUCACCGAACCUUAAGUGUGUAGACCCUACGGGUUCGGGAGACACGCAGACAUGACCGAGACGACUCUCCGGUCAAUAACCAACAGAGGGAUCUGGAUACCCAUGUUGGCUCCCACAUGCACCUCUAUGAUCUCAUCAGAUGAACCACAAUGUCUAGGAUUCAAUCAAUCCGUAUACAAUUCCCUUUGUCAAUCGGUACGUUACUUGCCCGAGACUCGAUUGUCGGUAUCCCAAUACCUCGUUCAAUCUUGUUACCAGAAAGUCACUUUACUCAUACCGUAAUGCAUGAUCCCGUGAUCAACCACUUGGUCACAUUGAGCUCAUUAUGAUGAUGCAUUACCGAGUGGGCCCAGAGAUACCUCUCCGUCAUACGGAGUGACAAAUCCCAGUCUCUAUUCGUGCCAACCCAACAGACACUUUCGGAGAUACCUGUAGUGUACCUUUAUAGUCACCCAGUUACAUUGUGAUGUUUGGCACACCCAAAGCACUCCUACGGUAUCCGGGAGUUGCACAAUCUCAUGGUCUAAGGAAAUGAUACUUGACAUUCGGAAAAGCUACAGCAAACGAACUACACGAUCUUUGAGCUAUGCUUAGGAUUGGGUCUUGUCCAUCACAUCAUUCUCCUAAUGAUGUGAUCCCGUUAUCAAUGAUAUCCAAUGUCCAUAGUCAGGAAACCAUGACUAUCUUUUGAUCAACGAGCUAGUCAACUAGAGGCUCACUAGGGACGUGUUGUGGUCUCUGUAUUCACACAUGUAUUACGAUUUCCGGAUAACACAGUUAUAGCAUGAACAAUAGACAAUUAUCAUGAACAAAGAAAUAUAAUAAUAACCAUUUUAUUAUUGCUUCUAGGGCAUAUUUCCAACAGUCUCCCACUUGCACUAGAGUCAAUAGUCUAUUUACAUUGUGAUGAAUCGAACACCCAUGCAGUUCUGGUGUUGAUCAUGUUUUGCUCUAGGGAGAGGUUUAGUCAAUGGAUCUUCCACAUUCAGGUCCGUAUGUACUUUACAAAUCUCUAUGUCUCCAUUUUGAACACUUUCACGAAUGGAGUUGAAGCGACGCUUGAUAUGCCUGGUCUUCCUAUGAAACCUGGGCUCCUUGGCAAGGGCAGUAGCUCCAGUGUUGUCACAGAAGAGAGUCAUCGGGCCCGAUGCAUUGGAUAUGACUCCUAGGUCGGUAAUGAACUCCUUCACCCAGAUUGCCUCUUGUACUGCCUCCGAGGCUUCCAUGUACUCCGCUUCACAUGUAGAUCCCGCCACAACGCUUUGCUUGCAACUGCACUAGCUUACUGCCCCACCAUUCAAAAUAUACACGUAUCCGGUUUGUGACUUGGAGUCAUCCAGAUCUGUGUCGAAGCUAGCAUCGACGUAACCCUUUACGACGAGCUCUUCGUCACCUCCAUAAACGAGAAACAUAUCCUUAGUCCUCUUUAGGUACUUCAGGAUAUUCUUGACCGUUGUCCAGUGUUCCAUGCCGGGAUUACUUUGGUACCUUCCUACCAAACUUACGGCAAGGUUUACAUCAGGUCUGGUACACAGAUAGCAUACAUGAUAGACCCUAUGGCCGAGGCAUAGGGGACGACACUCAUCUUUUCUCUAUCUUCUGUCGUGGUCGGGCAUUGAGUCGUGCUCAAUCUCGUACCUUGCAAUACAAGCAAGAACCCCUUCUUUGACUGAUCCAUUUUGAACUUCUUCAAUAUCUUGUCAAGGUACGUACUCUAUGAAAGACCAAUGAGGCGUCUCGAUCUAUCUCUAUAGAUCUUGAUGCCUAAUGUAGAAGCAGCUUCUCCAAGAUCCUUCAUUGAAAAACACUUGUUCAAGUAGGCCUUUAUGAUUUCCAAGAAUUCUAUAUCAUUUCCCAUCAACAGUAUGUCAUCCACAUACAAUAUGAGAAAUGCUACAAAGCUCCCACUCACUUUCUUGUAAAUGUAGGCUUCUCCAUAAGUCUGCGUAAACCCAAAUGCUUUGAUCAUAUCAUCAAAAUGAAUGUUCCAACUCCGAGAUGCUUGCACCAGCCCAUAAAUCGAGCGUUGGAGCUUGCACACCUUGUCAGCAUUCUUAGGAUCGACAAAACCUUCCGGCUGCAUCAUAUACAAUUCUUCCUUAAGGUAACCAUUAAGGAAUGCCGUUUUGACAUCCAUUUGCCAUAUCUCAUAAUCAUAGAAUGCGUCAAUUGCUAACAUGAUUCGAACGGACUUCAGCUUCGCUACGGGUGAAAAAGUCUCAUCAUAGUCAACCCCUUGAACUUGUCGAUAACCCUUAGCGACAAGCCAAGCUUUAUAGAUGGUUACAUUACCAUCCGCGUCUGUCUUCUUCUUAAAGAUCCAUUUAUUUUCUAUGGCUCGCCGAUCAUCGGGCAAGUCAGUCAAAGUCCAUAAUUCGUUUUCAUACAUGGAUCCUAUCUCGGAUUUCAUGGCUUCCAGCCAUUUGUCGGAAUCUGGGCCCGCCAUCGCUUCUUCAUAGUUCAAAGGUUCACCGUUGUCUAACAACAUGAUUUCCAAGAUAGGGUUGCCAUACCACUCUGGUGCGGAACGUGUCCUUGUGGACCUACGAAGUUCAGUAGCAACUUGAUCUGAAGUUUCAUGAUCAUCAUCAUUAACUUCCUCUCUAGUCGGUGCAGGCACCUCAGGAACAUUUUCUUGAGCUGCGCCACUUACCGGUUCAAGAGGUAAUACUUCAUCAAGUUCUACUUUCCUCCCACUUAUUUCUUUUGAGAGAAACUCUUUCUCUAGAAAGGACCCAUUCUUGGCAACAAAGAUCUUGCCUUCGGAUCUGAGGUAGAAGGUAUACCCAAUAGUUUCUUUAGGGUAUCCUAUGAAGACGCAUUUUUCCGAUUUGGGUUCGAGCUUUUCAGGUUGAAGUUUCUUGACAUAAGCAUCGCAUCCCCAAACUUUUAGAAACGACACCUUAGGUUUCUUCCCAAACCAUAAUUCAUACGGUGUUGUCUCAACGGAUUUUGACGGAGCCCUAUUUAAAGUGAAUGCGGCAGUCUCUAAAGCAUAGCCCCAAAAUGACAGCGGUAGAUUGGUAAGAGACAUCAUAGAUCGCACCAUAUCCAAUAGAGUGCGAUUACGACAUUCGGACACACCAUUACGCUGAGGUGUUCCAGGCGGCGUGAGUUGUGAAACUAUUCCACAUUUUCUUAAGUGUGUGCCAAAUUCGUGACUCAAGUAUUCUCCCCCAUGACCUAAUCACAAGAACUUGAUUUUCCUGUCACGUUGAUUCUCAACCUCGCUCUGAAAUUCCUUGAACUUUUCAAAGGUCUCAGACUUGUGUUUCAUUAAGUAGACAUACCCAUAUCUACUCAAGUCAUCAGUGAGGGUGAGAACAUAACGAUAGCCCCCGCGAGCCUCAACACUCAUUGGACCGCACACAUCAGUAUGUAUGAUUUCCAAUAAGUUGGUUGCUCGCUCCAUUGUUCCUGAGAACGGAGUCUUGGUCAUUUUACCCAUGAGGCAUGGUUCGCAUGUGUCAAAUGAUUCAUAAUCAAGAGACUCCAAAAGUCCAUCGGCAUGGAGCUUCUUCAUGCGUUUGACACCUAUGUGACCAAGGCGGCAGUGCCACAAGUAUGUGGGACUAUCAUUAUCAACCUUACAUCUUUUGGUAUUCACACUAUGAAUAUGUGUAACAUUACACUCGAGAUUCAUUAAGAAUAAACCAUUCACCAGCGGAGCAUGACCAUAAAACAUAUCUCUCAUAUAAAUAGAACAACCAUUAUUAUCGGAUUUAAAUGAGUAGCCAUCUCGAAUUAAACGAGAUCCUGAUACAAUGUUCAUGCUCAAAGCUGGCACUAAAUAACAAUUAUUGAGGUUUAAAACUAAUCCAGUAGGUAAAUGUAGAGGCAGCGUGGAGACGGCGAUCACAUUGACCUUGGAACCAUUCCCAAUGCGCAUCGUCACCUCGUCCUUCGCUAGUCUCCGCUUAUUCUGCAGCUCCUGCUUUGAGUUACAAAUGUGAGCAACCGCACCGGUAUCAAAUACCCAGGAGCUACUACGAGUACUGGUAAGGUACACAUGAAUUACAUGUAUAUCACAUAUACCUUUAGUGUUGCCGGCCUUCUUGUCCGCUAAGUAUUUGGGGCAGUUCCGUUUCCAGUGACCACUUCCCUUGCAAGAAAAACACUCAGUCUCGGGCUUGGGUCCAUUCUUUGGCUUCUUCCCGGCAGCUUGCUUACCGGGCGUGGCAACUCCCUUGCCGUCCUUCUUGAAGUUCUUCUUACCCUUGCCUUUCUUGAACUUAGUGGUUUUAUUCACCAUCAACACUUGAUGUUCCUUUUUGAUUUCCAGCUCUGCUGAUUUCAGCAUUGAAUAUACCUCAGGAAUGGUCUUUUCCAUCCCCUGCAUAUUGAAGUUCAUCACAAAGCUCUUGUAGCUCGGUGGAAGCGACUGAAGGAUUCUGUCAAUGACCGCGUCAUCCGGGAGAUUAACUCCCAGCUGAGUCAAGCGGUUAUGCAACCCAGACAUUUUGAGUAUUUGCUCACUGACAGAACUAUUUUCCUCCACCUUACAGCUGAAGAACUUGUCGGAGACUUCAUAUCUCUCGACCCGGGCAUGAGCUUGGAAAACCAUUUUCAGCUCUUCAAACAUCUCAUAUGCUCUGUGUCUCUUAAAACACUUUUGGAGCCCCAGUUCUAAGUUGUAAAGCAUGCCGCACUGAACGAGGGAGUAAUCAUCAGCACAUGACUGCCAAGCGUUCAUAACGUCUUAGUUCUCUGGGAUGGGUGCGUCACAUAGCGGUGCUUCUAGGACAUAAUCUUUCUUGGCAGCUAUGAGGAUAAUCCUCAGGUUCCGGACCCAGUCCGUAUAGUUACUGCCAUCAUCUUUCAGCUUGGUUUUCUCUAGGAACGCGUUGAAGUUGAGGGCAACAUUAGCGUGGGCCAUUUGAUCUACAAGACAUAGUGUAAAGAUUUUAGACUAAGUUCAUGAUAAUUAAGUUCAUCUAAUCAAAUUAUUCAAUGAAAUCCCACUCAGAUAGACAUCCCUCUAGUCAUCUAAGUGAAACAUGAUCCGAGUUAACUAGGCUGUGUAUGAUCAUCACGUGAGACGGACUAGUCAACAUCGGUGAACAUCUUCAUGUUGAUCGUAUCUUCUAUACGACUCAUGCUCGACCUUUCGGUCUUCCGUGUUCCGAGGCCAUGUCUGUACAUGCUAGGCUCGUCAAGUCAACCUAAGUGUAUUGUGUGUGUAAAUCUGGCUUACACCCGUUGUAUUCGAACAUUAGAAUCUAUCACACCCGAUCAUCACGUGGUGCUUCGAAACAAAGAACCUUCGCAACGGUGCACAGUUAGGGGGAACACUUUCUUGAAAUUAUUACGAGGGAUCAUCUUAUUUAAGCUAUCGUCGUUCUAAGCAAAUAAGAUGUAAAACAUGAUAAACAUCACAUGCAAUCAAAUAGUGACAUGAUAUGGCCAAUAUCAUUUGCUCCUUUUGAUCUCCAUCUUCGGGGCUCCAUGAUCAUCGUUGUCACCGGCAUGACACCAUGAUCUCCAUCAUCAUGAUCUCCAUCAUCGUGUCUUCUUGAAGUUGUCUCGUCAUCUAUUACUUCUACUACUAUGGCUAACGCUUUAGCAAUAAAGUAAAGUAAUUACAUGACGUUUAUGUUGACACGCGGGUCAUAAAUAAAUAAAGACAACUCCUAUGGCUCCUGCCGGUUGUCAUACUCAUCGACAUGCAAGUCGUGAUUCCUAUUACAAGAACAUGAUCAAUCUCAUACAUCACAUAUAUCAUUCAUCACAUCCUUUUGGCCAUAUCACAUCACAUGGCACAUGCUGCAAAAACAAGUUAGACGUCCUCUAACUGUUGUUGCAAGUUUUUACGUGGCUGCUAUAGGUUUCUAGCAAGAACGUUUCUUACCUACGCCAAAACCACAACGUGAUAUGCCAAUUUCUAUUUACCCUUCAUAAGGACCCUUUUCAUCGAAUCCGAUCCGACUAAAGUGGGAGAGACAGACACCCGCCAGCCACCUUAUGCAACUAGUGCAUGUCAAUCGGUGGAACCAGUCUCACAUAAGCGUACGUGUAAGGUCGGUCCGGGCCGCUUCAUCCCACGAUGCCGCCAAAUCAAGAUAAGACUAUUAACGGCAAGCAAAUUGACAAUAUCGACGCCCACAACUGCUUUGUGUUCUACUCGUGCAUAGAAACUACGCAUAGACUUAGCUCAUGAUGCCACUGUUGGGGAACGUAGCAGAAUUUUAAAAUUUUCUAUGCAUCACCAAGAUCAAUCUAUGGAGUCAUCUAGCAACGAGGGAGAGGGGAGUGCAUCUACAUAACCUUGUAGAUCACGCGUGGAAGCGUUCAAGAGAACGGGGUUGAUGGAGUCGUACUUGUCGUGAUCCAAAUCACCGAUGACCUAGCGCCGAACGGACGGCACCUCCACGUUCAACACGCGUACGAUUGGGAAGACGUCUCCUCCAACUUGAUCCAGCAAGGGGGAAGAAGAGGUUGAUGAAGAUCCAGCAGCACGACGGCGUGGUGGUGGAAGCAACGGUGAUCUCGGCAGGGCUUCGCCAAGCACAGGGAGAGGGAGGAGUGUCACGGGAAGGAGAGGGAGAGGCCAGGGGCUAGGGUGCGGCUGCCCUCCCUCCCCCCCACUAUUUAUAGGAACCCUAAGGGGGGGGCGCCGGCCCUAGGAGAUGCCAUAUCCAAGGGGAGGCGGCGGCCAAGGGGGUGGCUUGCCCCCCAAACCAACUGGGGCGCCCCCCCACCCCUAGGGUUUCCAACCCUAGGCACAGGGGAGGCCCAAGGGGGGCGCACCAGCCCACUAGGGGAUGGUUCCCCUCCCACUUCAGCCCAUGGGGCCCUCUGGGAUAGGUGGCCCCACCUGGUGGACCCCUGGGACCCUUCCGGUGGUCCCGGUACAAUACCGAGUACCCCCGAAACUUUCCCAAUGGCCGAAACUUGACUUCCUUUAUAUAAAUCUUCACCUCCGGACCAUUCCGGAACUCCUCGUGACGUCCGGGAUCUCAUCCGGGACUCUGAACAACUUUCAGGUUACCGUAUACUAAUAUCUCAACGACCCUAGCGUCACCGAACCUUAAGUGUGUAGACCCUACGGGUUUGGGACACACGCAGACAUGACCGAGACGACUCUCCGGUCAAUAACCAACAGCGGGAUCUGGAUACCCAUGUUGUCUCCCACAUGCUCCUCGAUGAUCUCAUCGGAUGAACCACGAUGUCGAGGAUUCAAUCAAUCCGUAUACAAUUCCCUUUGUCAAUCGGUACGUUACUUGCCCGAGAUUCGAUCGUCGGUAUCCCAAUACCUCGUUCAAUCUCGUUACCGGCAAGUCACUUUAAUCGUACCGUAAUGCAUGAUCCCGUGAUCAACCACUUGGUCACAUUGAGCUCAUUAUGAUGAUGCAUUACCGAGUGGGCCCAGAGAUACCUCUCUGUCAUACGGAGUGACAAAUCCCAGUCUCUAUUCGUGCCAACCCAACAGACACUUUCGGAGAUACCUGUAGUGUACCUUUAUAGUCACCUAGUUAUGUUGUGAUGUUUGGCACACCCAAAGCACUCCUACGGUAUCCGGGAGUUGCACAAUCUCAUGGUCUAAGGAAAUGAUACUUGACAUUUGGAAAAGCUACAACAAACGAACUAGACGAUCUUUGAGCUAUGCUUAGGAUUGGGUCUUGUCCAUCACAUCAUUCUCCUAAUGAUGUGAUCCCGUUAUCAAUGACAUCCAAUGUCCAUAGUCAGGAAACCAUGACUAUCUUUUGAUCAACAAGCUAGUCAACUAGAGGCUCACUAGGGACCUGUUGUGGUCUAUGUAUUCACACAUGUAUUACGAUUUCUGGAUAACACAAUUAUAGCAUGAACAAUAGACAAUUAUCAUGAACAAAGAAAUAUAAUAAUAACCAUUUUAUUAUUGCCUCUAGGGAAUAUUUCCAACAUUUACCACAAUCAUCCUUGCUGUACACACCUUUUGGGAGAGACACACAUGAAUUAGAAUUUAUUAGAAUACUCUAUGUGCUUCACUUAUAUCUUUUGAGCUUGAUAAUUUUGUUCUAGUACUUCACUUAUAUCUUUUAGAGCACGGUGGUGGUUUUAUUUCAUAAAACUUAUUGAUCUCUCAUGCUUCACUUAUAUUAUUUUGAGAGUCCUUUAGAACAUCAUGGUAAUUUGCUUUGGUUAUAAAAUUAGUCCUAAUAUGAUAGGCAUCCAAGAUUGGUAUAAGAAAAACUAUCAUAAAAAGUGCAUUGAAUACUAUGAGAAGUUUGAUACUUGAUGAUUGUUUUGAGAUAUAAAGAUGGUGAUAUUAGAGUGUGCUAGUUGAGUAGUUGUGAAUUUGAGAAAUACUUGUGUUGAAUAUUGCAAGUCCCGUAGCAUGCACGUAUGGUAACCAUUGUGUAACAAAUUUGAACCAUGAGGUGUUCUUUGAUUGUCUUCCUUAGGAGUGGCGGUCGGGGACGAGCGAUGGACUUUUCCUACCAAUCUAUCCCCCUAGUAGCAUGCGCGUAAUGCUUGGGUUUUGAUGACUUGUAGAUUUUUGCAAUAAGUAUGUGAGUUCUUUAUGACUAAUGUUGAGUCCAUGGAUUAUAUGCACUCUCACCUUUCCUUCAUUGCUAGCCUCUUCGGUACCGUGCAUUGCCCAUUCUCACCUUGAGAGUUGGUGCAAACUUCGCCGGUGCAUCCAAACCCUGUGAUAUGAUAAGCUCUAUCACACAUAAAACUCCUUAUAUCUUCCUCAAAACAUCCACCAUACCUACUAUUAUGGCAUUUUCAUAGCCAUUCCGAGAUAUAUUGCCAUGCAACUUUCCACCGUUUCAUUUAUGACACGAUUCAUCAUUGUCAUAUUGCUUUGCAUGAUCAUGUAGUUGACAUUGUAUUUGUGGCAAAGCCACCAUGCAUAAUUUAUCAUACAUGUCACUCUUGAUUCAUUGCCCUUCCCGAUACUCCACCGGAGGCAUUCAUAUAGAGUUAUAUUUUGUUCUAGUAUCGAGUUGUAAUCAUUGAGUUGUAAAUAAAUAAAAGUGUGAUGAUCAUCAUUAAUAGAGCAUUGUCCCAAAUAAAAAAGGAGAAAGUCCAAAUAAAAAAAAGGCCCAAAAAAGAGAAAUAAAAAGGGACAAUGCUACUAUCCUUUUUUCCCACAAUUGUGCUUCAAAGUAGCACCAUUAUCUUUAUGAUAGAGAGUAUCUUGUUUUGUCACUUUCAUAUACUAGUGGGAAUUUUUCUUAUAGAACUUGGCUUGUAUAUUCCAACAAUGGGCUUCCUCAAAAGCCCUAGGUCUUCGUGAGCAAGAAAAUUGGAUGCACACCCACUUAGUUUCUUUUGUCAAGCUUUCAUACAUUUAUAGCUCUAGUGCAUCCGUUGCAUCGCAAUCCCUACUCCUUGCAUUGACAUCAAUUGAUGGGCAUCUCCCUAGCCCGUUCAUUAGCCGCGUCGAUGUGAGACUAUCUCCUUUUUUUGUCUGCUCCACAUAACCCCCAUCAUCAUAUUCUAUUCCACCCAUAGUGCUAUAUCCAUGGCUCACGCUCAUGUAUUGCGUGAAAGUUGAAAAAAGUUUGAGAUUACUAAAGUAUGAAACAAUUGCUUGGCUUGUCAUCGGGGUUGUGCGUGAUGAGAGCAUUCUUGUGUGACGAAAAUGGAGCAUGACCAAACUAUAUGAUUUUGUAGGGAUGAACUUUCUUUUGCCAUGUUAUUUUGAGAAGACAUGAUUUCUUAGUUAGUAUGCUUGAAGUAUUAUUAUUUUUAUGUCAAUAUUAAACUUUUGUCUUGAAUCUCUUGGAUCUGAAUAUUCAUGCAACAAUAAAUAAAAUUACAUUGAGCAUUAUACUAGGUAGUUUUCCACAUCAAAAAUUCUGUUUUUAUCAUUUACCUACUUGAGGACGAGCAAGAAUUAAGCUUGGGGAUGCUUGAUACGUCUCCAAUGUAUCUAUAAUUUUUGAUUGUUCCAUGCUAUUAUAUUAUCUGUUUUGGAUGUUUAAUGGGCUUUAUUAUACACUUUUAUAUUAUUUUUGGGACUAACCUACUAACCCAAGGCCCAGUGCAAAUUGCUGUUUUUUGCCUAUUUCAAUGUUCCGCAAAAAAAGGAAUAUCAAACGGAAUUCGAACGGAAUGAAACCUUCGGGACAGUUAUUUUUGGAACAAAAGUGAUCCAGGGGACUUGGAGUAGAUGUCAAGAAAGAAGCGAGGUGGCCACGAGGCAGGGAGGCACGCCUGCCCCCUGGGCGCGCCCCCACCCUAGUGGGCCCUUCGCAGCUCCACCGACUUACUUCUUCCUCCUAUAUAUAUCCAUAUACCCCAAAAACAUCCAGGAGCACCACGAAACCCUAUUUCCACCGCGACAACCUUCUGUACCCAAGAGAUCCCAUCUUGGGGCCUUUCCCGAAACUCCGCCGGAGGGGGAAUCGAUCAUAGAGGGCUUCUACAUCAACACCAUAGCCUCUCCGAUGAUGUGUGAGUAGUUUACCACAAACCUUCGGGUCCAUAGUUAUUAGCCAGAUGGCUUCUUCUCUCUCUUUGGAUCUCAAUACAAUGUUCUCCUCGAUCUUCUUGGAGAUGUAUUUGAUGUUAUUCUUUUUGCGGUGUGUUUGUCGAGAUCCGAUGAAUUGUGGGUUUAUGAUCAAGUUUAUCUAUGAACAAUAUUUGAUUCUUCUCUGAAAUCUUUUAUGUAUGAUUGGUUAUCUUCGCAAGUCUCUUCAAAUUAUAAGUUUGGUUUGGCCUACUUGAUUGAUCAUUCUUGCAAUGGGAGAAGUUCUUAGCUUUGGGUGCAAACUUGUGGUGUCCUUUCCUAGUGACAGCAGGGGCAGCAAGGCAUGUAUUCUAUUGUUGCCAUCGAGGAUAAAAAGAUGGGUUUUAUAUCAUAUUGCUUGAGUUUAUCCCUCUACAUCAUGUCAUCUUGCCUAAUGUGUUACUCUGUUCUUAUGAACUUAAUACUCUAGAUGCAUGCUGGAUAGCGGUCGAUGUGUGGAGUAAUAGUAGUAGAUGCAGAAUCGUUUUGUUCUACUUGUCGCGAAUGUGAUGCCUAUAUACAUGAUCAUGCCUAGAUAUUCUCAUAAUUAUGCACUUUCCUAUCAAUUGUUCGACAGUAAUUUGUUCACCCACCGUAAUACUUAUGCUAUCUUGAGAGAAGCCACUAGUGAAACCUAUGGCCCCCGGGUCUAUCUUUUAUCAUAUAAGUUUCCAAUCUACUUUACUUUGCAAUCUUUACUUUCAAUCUAUAUCAUAAAAAUAACAAAAAUAUUUAUCUUAUUAUCUCUAUCAGAUCUCACUCUCGUAACUGACCGUGAAGGGAUUGACAAACCCUUUAUCGCGUUGGUUGUGAGGUUCUUAUUUGUUUGUGUAGGUACGAGGGACUUGCAUGUAGUCUCCUACUGGAUUGAUACCUUGGUUCUCAAAAGCUGAGGGAAAUACUUACGCUACUUUGCUGCACCACCCUUUCCUCUUCAAGGUAAAACCAACACAGUGCUCAAGAGGUAGCAAUAUUAGAGUCAUGCUAGUUGAGUAGUUGUGAAUUUGAGAGAUACUUGUGUUAAAGUUUGUGAUUCCCGUAGCAUGCACAUAUGGUGAACCGUUAUGUGAUGAAGUCAGAUCAUGAUUUAUUUAUUGAUUGUCUUCCUUAUGAGUGGCGGUCGGGGAUGAGUGAUGGUAUUUUCCUACGAAUCUAUCCCCCUAGGAGCAUGUGUGUAGUACUUUGUUUCAAUAACUAAUAGAUUUCUGCAAUAAGUAUGUGAGUUCUUUAUGACUAAUGUUGAGUCCAUGGAUUAUACGCACUCUCACCCUUCCACCAUUGCUAGCCUCUCUUGUGUCGCGCAACUUUUGUCGAUACCAUACUCCCACCAUUACCUUCCUCAAAACAGCCACCAUGCCUACCUAUUAUGGCAUUCCAUAGCCAUUCCGAGAUAUAUUGCCAUGCAACUUUCCACCGUUCCGAUUAUUAUGACACGCUUCAUCAUUGUCAUAUUGCUUUGCAUGAUCAUGUAGUUGACAUCAUAUUUCUGGCAAAGCCACCAUUCAUAAUUCUUUCAUACAUGUCACACUUGAUUCAUGCACAUCCCGGUACACUGCCGGAGGCAUUCACAUAGAGUCAUAUUUUGUUCUAAGUAUCGAGUUGUAAUUCUUUAGUUGUAAGUAAAUAAAAGUGUGAUGACCAUCAUUAUUAGAGCAUUGUCCCAUGUGAGGAAAGCAUGAUGGAGGCUAUGAUUCCCCCACAAGUUGGGAUGAGACUCCGGAAAAAAAAGAGAAAAAAGAGGCCAUAAAAAAAGAAGGCCCAAAAAAACAAAAUAUGAGAGAAAAAGAGAGAAGGGGUAAUGCUACUAUCCUUUUACCACACUUGUGCUUCAAAGUAGCACCAUGAUCUUCAUGAUAGAGAGUCUCCUAUGUUGUCACUUUCAUAUACUAGUCGGAAUCUUUCAUUGUAGUACUUGGCUUGUAUAUUCCAAUGAUGGGCUUCCUCAAAAUGCCCUAGGUCUUUGUGAGCAAGCGAGUUGGAUGCACACCCACUUAGUUUCUUUUUGAGCUUUCAUACACUUAUAGUUCUAGUGCAUCUGUUGCAUGGAAAUCCCUACUCACUCACAUUGAUAUCUAUUGGUGGGCAUCUCCAUAGCCCAUUAAUAUGCCUAGUUGAUGUGAGACUAUCUUCUCCUUUUUGUCUUCUCCACAACCACCAUUCUAUUCCACCUAUAGUGCUAUGUCCAUGGCUGACGCUCAUGUAUUGCGUGAAAGUUGAAAAGGCGUGAGAACAUCAAAAGUAUGAAACAAUUGCUUGGCUUUUCAUCGGGGUUGUGAAUGAUUUAAAUAUAUAUAUUGUGUGAUGAAGAUAGAGCAUAGCCGGAAUAUAUGAUUUUGUAGGGAUAGCUUUCUUUGUCCAUGUUAUUUUGAGAAGAAAUAAUUGCUUGGUUAGUAUGCUUGAAGUAUUAUUAUUUUUAUGUCAAUAUUAAACUUUUGUCUUGAAUCUUAUGGAUAUGAAUAUUCUUACCACAAUAAAGAAUAUUACAUUGAUAAAUAUGUUAGGUAGCAUUCCACAUCAAAAAUUCUGUUUUUAUCAUUUACCUACUCGAGGAUGAGCAGGAAUUAAGCUUGGGGAUGCUUGAUACAUCUCCAACGUAUCUAUAAUUUUUGAUUGUUCCAUGCUAUUAUAUUAUCAACCUUGGAUGUUUUAUAUGCAUUUAUAUGCUAUUUUAUAUGAUUUAUGGGACUAACCUAUUAACCUAGAGCCCAGUGGCAGCUUUUCUUUUUUCCUUGUUUUUGAGUAUCCCGGAAAAGGAAAACCAAACGGAGUCCAAUUGACCUGAAACUUCACGAAACUUAUUAUUGGACUAGAAGAUGGCCAUGGAGUAAAAGAGUAGGGCCAGAAGAGUCCCGGGCUGCCCACAAGGGUAGGGGCACGCCCACCCCCCCUGGGCGUGCCCCUACCUCGUGGCCGCCUCGGGGAUCCCCCUAACUUGUUCCCGACUCCAACACCUCUUAUAUAAUCCAAAACUUCUAGAAAGAAACCUAGAUCAGGAGUUCCGCCGCCAGAAGCCUCUGCAGCCACCAAAAACCAAUCUAGACCCGUUCUGGCACCCUGCCGGAGGGGGUAAUCCCUCUCCGGUGGCCAUCUUCAUCAUCCCGGCGCUCUCCAUGAUGAGGAGGGAGUAGUUCACCCUCGGGGCUGAGGGUAUGUACCAGUAGCUAUGUGUUUGAUCUCUCUCUCUCUCUCUCGUGUUCUUGAUUCGGAAUGAUCUUGAUGUAUCACAAGCUUUGCUAUUAUAGUUGGAUCUUAUGAUGUUUCUCCCUCCUCUACUCUCUUGUGAUGGAUUGAAUUUUCCCUUUGAAGUUAUCUUACCGGAUUGAGUCUUUAAGGAAUUGAGAACACUUGAUGUAUGUCUUGCAUGUGCUUAUCUGUGGUGACAAUGGGAUAUCACAUGAUCCACUUAAUGUAUGCUUUGGUGAUCAACUUGCGAGUUCCGUGACCUCGUGAACUUAUGCAUAGGGGUUGGCACACGUUUUCAUCUUGACUCUCUGGUAGAAACUUUGGGGCACUCUUUGAAGUUCUUUGUGUUGGUUGAAUAGAUGAAUCUGAGAUGUGUGAUGCAUAUCGUAUAAUCAUACCCACGGAUACUUGAGGUGACAUUGGAGUAUCUAGGUGACAUUAGGGUUUUGGUUGAUUUGUGUCUUAAGGUGUUAUUCUAGUAUGAACUCUUGAAUAGAUCAAUCAGAAAGAAUAACUUUGAGGUGGUUUCGUACCGUACCAUAAUCUCUUCGUUUGUUCUCCGCUAUUAGUGACUUUGGAGUGACUUUUGUUGCAUGUUGAGGGAUAGUUAUAUGAUCCAGUUAUGUUAUUAUUGUCGAGAUAACUUGCACUAGUGAAAGUAUGAGCCUUAGGCCUUGUUUCCUAGUAUUGCAAUACCGUUUACGCUCACUUUUAUCAUCAUUUACCUUGCUGUUUUUUAUUUUCACAUUACAAAAACCUAUAUCUAUCAUCCAUAUUGCACUUGUAUCACCAUCUCUUCGCCGAACUAGUGCACCUACACAAUUUACCAUUGUAUUGGGUGUGUUGGGGACACAAGAGACUCUUUGUGAUUUGGUUGUAGGGUUGUUUGAGAGAGACCAUCUUCAUCCUACGCCUCCCACGGAUUGAUAAACCUUAGGUCGUCCACUUGAGGGAUAUUUGUUGUUCUCCUAAAAACCUCUGCACUUGGAGGCCCAACAACGUCUACAAGAAGAAGGUUGUGUAGUAGACAUCAGUGAGCAAAAGUUAAGAGCGUGGGGAUAAAUGAGUACAGCUAAGGAACCAGUGGCACAGAUGUAAAAAUCCUGGGAACAAACUACACAAUAAAUUUUUAUCGCUACAAUCAUGACCAAGAUCACUAUGACGAUGACAGGAUGGAUCCAAUCUCACCAGCAAAAGCACAACAAAGAGGAAGAAGAUGUGGGCAAUGACUCGCCGAUUCCGAUAGUGUUGGGGAACGUAGCAGAAAUUCAAAAUUUCUUCCUACGAAUCACCAAGAUCUAUCUAUGGAGAGACCAGCAACGAGUAGAAGGAGAGUGCAUCUACAUACCCUUGUAGAUCGCUAAGCGGAAGCUUUCAAGUGAACGGGGUUGAUGGAGUCGUACUCGUCGUGAUUCAGAUCACCGAUAAUCAAGUGCCGAACGGACGGCACCUCCGCGUUCAACACACGUACAGCCCGGUGACGUCUCCCACGCCUUGAUCCAGCAAGGAGAGAGGGAGAGGUUGAGGAAGACUCCAUCCAACAGCAGCACAACGGCGUGGUGGUGGUGGUGGAGGAGCGUGGCAAUCCCGCAGGGCUUCGCCAAGCACCAUGGGAGAAGAGGAGGAGGGAGAGGGGCAGGGCUGCACCAACGAGAGAUCAAAUCGCGUGUUAUGGGCAGCCCCAUGCCUCAAUAUAUAUAGGGGGAAGGGGCUGCGCCCCCUUUAGGGUUUUCCCACCCCCUAGGGGCGGCGGCCAGCCCUAGAUGGGUUUUGGGGUGCGGCCAAGAGGGGGGGGAGGAGUCCAUCCUCCCCAAGGCACCUCGGAGGUGCCUUCCCCCUUGAGGACUCUUCCCUCUAGGGUUCCCUAGGCGCAUGGGCCUCUUGGGGCUGGUGCCCUUGGCCCAUGUAGGGCAAGGCGCACCCCCUACAGCCCAUGUGGCCCCCCGGGGCAGGUGGCCCCACCCGGUGGGCCCCCGGGACCCUUCCGGUGGUCCCGGUACAAUACCGAUGACCCCGAAACUUGUCCCGAUGGCCGAAACAGGACUUCCUAUAUAUAAAUCUUUACCUCCGGACCAUUCCGGAGCUCCUCGUGACGUCCGGGAUCUCAUCCGGGACUCCGAACAACAUUCGGUAACCACAUACAAGCUUCCUUUAUAACCCUAGCGUCAUCGAACCUUAAGUGUGUAGACCCUACGGGUUCGGGAGACAUGCAGACAUGACCGAGACGUUCUCCGGUCAAUAACCAACAGCGGGAUCUGGAUACCCAUGUUGGCUCCCACAUGUUCCACGAUGAUCUCAUCGGAUGAACCACGAUGUCAAGGACUUAAUCAAUCCCGUAUACAAUUCCCUUUGUCUAGCGGUAUUUUACUUGCCCGAGAUUCGAUCGUCGGUAUACUGAUACCUUGUUCAAUCUCGUUACCGGCAAGUCACUUUACUCAUUCCGUAACACAUCAUCCCGUGAUCAACUCCUUGGUCACAUUGCGCAUAUGAUGAUGUCCUACCGAGUGGGCCCAGAGAUACCUCUCCGUUUACACGGAGUGACAAAUCCCAGUCUCGAUCCGCAUAAAACAAUAGAUACUUUCGGAGAUACCUGUAGUGCACCUUUAUAGUCACCCAGUUACGUUGUGACGUUUGAUACACCCAAAGCACUCCUACGGUAUCUAGGAGUUACACGAUCUCAUGGUCAAAGGAAGAGAUACUUGACAUUGGCAAAGCUCUAGCAAACGAACUACACGAUCUUUGUGCUAUGCUUAGGAUUGGGUCUUGUCCAUCACAUCAUUCUCCUAAUGAUGUGAUCCCGUUAUCAACGACAUCCAAUGUCCAUAGCCAGGAAACCAUGACUAUCUGUUGAUCACAACGAGCUAGUCAACUAGAGGCUCACUAGGGACAUAUAGUGGUCUAUGUAUUCACACGUGUAUUACGAUUUCCGGAUAAUACAGUUAUAGCAUGAAUAAAAGACAAUUAUCAUGAACAAGGAAAUAUAAUAAUAAUACUUUUAUUAUUGCCUCUAGGGCAUAUUUCCAACAGUCUCCCACUUGCACUAGAGUCAAUAAUCUAGUUCACAUCGCCAUGUGAUUAACACUCACAGGUCACAUCGCCAUGUGACUAAUACCCAAGAGUUUACUAGAGUCAGUAGUCUAGUUCACAUCACUAUGUGAUUAACACUCAAUGAGUUUUAUGUUUGAUCAUGUUGCUUGUGAGAGAGGUUUUAGUCAACGGGUCUGAACCUUUCAGAUCCGUGUGUGCUUUACAAAUCUCUAUGUCAUCUCCUAGAUGCAGCUACCACGCUCUAUUUGGAGCUAUUCCAAAUAACUGUUCUACUUGGAGCUAUUCUAAAUUAUUGCUCCAUUAUAUGUAUCCAGUCUCUCUACUCAGAGCUAUCCGGAUAGGUGUCAAGCUUGCAUCGUCGUAACCUUUACGACGAACUCUUUUACCACCUCCAUAAUCGAGAAAAUUCCUUAGUCCACUAGUUACUAAGGAUAACUUUGACCGCUGUCCUGUGAGCCAUUCUUGGAUCAUUCUUGUACCCCUUGACUGACUCAUGGCAAGGCACACUUCAGGUGCGGUACACAGCAUAGCAUACUGAAGAGCCUACGUCUUAAGCAUAGGGGACAACCUUCGUCCUUUCUCUCUAUUCUGCCGUGGUCGAGCUUUAAGUCUUAACUUCAUACCUUACAACUCAGGCAAGAACUCCUUCUUUGACUGGUCCAUCUUGAACACCUUCAAGAUCAUGUCAAGGUAUGUGCUCAUUUGAAAGUAUUAUUAAGCAUUUUGAUCUAUCCUUAUAGAUCUUGAUGCUCAAUGUUCAAGUAGCUUAAUCCAGGCUUUCCAUUGAAAAACACUUUCAAAAUAACCCUAUAUGCUUUCUAGAAAUUCUACAUCAUCUCUGAUCAUCAAUAUGUCAACAACAUAUACUCAUCACAAAUUUUAUAGUGCUCCCACUCACUUCUUUGGAAAUACAAGUUUCUUAUAAACUUUGUAUAAAUCCAAAAUCUUUGAUCAUCUCAUCAAAGCGUACAUUCCAACUCCGAGAUGCUUACUCCAGUCCUUAAAAGGAUCGCUGGAGCUAGCAUACCUUUUAGCAUCCUUAGGAUCGACAAAAACUUUCUGAUUGUAUUACAUACAACCUUUCCUUACGAAAAACUUGGUAAGGAAACUCGUUUUGACAUCCGUCUGCCAGAUUUCAUAAAUGCAGCUAAUGCUAACAUGAUUCCAACGGACUUUAAGCAUCGCUACGAGUGAGAAAAUCUCAUCGUAGUCAACUCCUUGAACUUGUCGGAAAACACUUCGCCACAAGUCGAGCUUCAUAGAUGGUGACAUUUCCAUCCAUGUCCGUCUUCUUCUUAAAAGAUCCAUUUAUCUCAAUGGAUUGCCGAUCAUCGGGCAAGUCCAUCAAAGUCCAUGCUUUGUUCUGAUAUAUGGAUACUAUCUCGGAUUUCAUGGCUUCUAACCAUUUGUCGGAAUUCGGGCCCACCAUCGCUUCUCCAUAGCUCGUAGGUUCAUUGUUGUCUAGCAACAUGACCUUCAAGACAGGAUCACCUUACCACUCCGAAGUAGUACGUGUCCUUGUCGUCCUACGAGGUUUGGUAGUGACUUGAUCCGAAGUUUCAUGAUCAAUAUCAUAAGCUUCCACUUCAAUUGGUGUAGGUGCCACAGGAACAACUUCCUGUGCCCUGCCACACACUAGUUGAAGAGACGGUUCAAUAACCUCAUCAAGUCUCCACCAUCCUCCUACUCAACUCUUUCGAGAGAAACCUUUCCUCGAGAAAGGACCCGAUUCAAGAAACAAUCCAUAUUGCUUUCGGAUCUGAAUUAGGAGGUAUACCCAACUGUUUUGGGUGUCCUAUGAAGAUGCAUUUUAUCCGCUUUGGGUUCGAGCUUAAUCCUGAAACUUUUUCACAUAAGCGUCGCAGCCCCAAACCUUUAAGAAACGACAACUUAGGUUUCUCUAAACCAUAAUUCAUACGGUGUCAUCUCAUCGGAAUUACGCGGUGCCCUAUUUAAAGUGAAUGUGGUUGUCUCUAAUGCCUAACCCAUGAACGAUAGUGGUAAUUCGAUAAGAGACAUCAUGGUACGCAUCAUAUCCAAUAGGGUGCAGUUAUGAUGUUCGGACACACCAUCACACUAUGGUGUUCCAGGCGGUAUUAAUUGCGAAACAAUUUCCACAAUGUCUUAAUUGUGUGCCAAAACUCGUAACUCAGAUACUCAUCUCUAUGAUCUUAUCAUAGACAUUUUAUCCUCUUGUCACGAUGAUCUUCAACUUUACUCUGAAAUUACUUGAACCAUUCAAUAAUUCAGACUUGUGUUUCAUCAAGUAAAUAUAUUCAACAUCUACUCGAAUCAUCUGUGAAGUAAGAACAUAAUGAUAUUCACUGCAUGCCUCAGCACUCAUUGGACUACACACAUCAAAAUGUGUUACUUCCAACAAGUUGCUAUCUUGUUCCAUCUUACUGAAACCGAGGCUUUUCAGUCAUCUUGCCCAUGUGGUAUGAUUUGCAUAUCUCAAGUGAUUCAAAAUCAAGUGAGUUCAAACGGUCCAUUUGCAUGGAGUUUCUUCAUGCAUAUACACCAAUAGACAUGGUUCGCAUGUCUCACACUUUUCAAAAACGAGUGAGUCCAAAGAUCCAUCAACAUGGAGCUUCUUCAUGCGUUUUAUUCCAAUAUGACUUACAUGGCAGUGCCACAAGCAAGUGGUACUAUCAUUACUAUCUUAUAUCUUUUGGCAUGAAAAUGUGUAUCACUACGAUCAAGAUUCAAUAAACCAUUCCUUUAGGUGCAAGACCAUUGAAGGUAUUAUUCAAAAAUUAGAGUAACCAUUAUUCUCCUUAAAUGAAUAACCGUAUUGCGAUAGACAUAAUCCAAUCAUGUCUAUGCUCAACGCAAACACCAAAACUCGAUGGUAGAGGGAGCGUGCGAUGCUUGAUCAUAUCAACAUUGGAAACACUUCCAACACAUAUCGUCAGCUCACCUUUAGCUAGUCUCCGUUUAUGCCGUAGCUUUUAUUUCGAGUUACUAACACUUAGCAACCGAACCGGUAUCUAAUACCCUGGUGCUACUAGGAGUACUAGUAAAGUACACAUUAACAUAAUGUAUAUCCAAUAUACUUCUAUCGACUUUGCCAGCCUUCUCAUCUACCAAGUAUCUAGGGUAAUUCUGCUCCAGCGGCUAUUCCCCUUAUCACAGAAGCACUUAGUCUUGGGUUUGGGUUCAACCUCGGGUUUCUUCACUGGUCAGCAGCUGAUUUUCCGUUUCAUGAAGUAUCCCUUCUUGCCCUUGCCCUUCUUGAAACUAGUGGUUUCACCAACCAUCAACAAUUGAUGCUCCUUCUCGAUUUCUACUUUCGCGGUGUCAAACAACGCGAAUAUUUCAAGGAUCAUCAUAUCUAUCCCUGAUAUGUUAUAGUUCAUCACGAAGCUCUAGCAGCUUGGUGGUAAUGACUUCGGAGAAACUAUCACUAUUUCAUCUGGAAGAUCAACUCCCACUUGAUUCAAGUGAUUGUUGUACUCAGACAAUCUGAGAACAAGCUCAACAAUUGAGCUUCUCUCCUUAGUUUGCAGGCUAAGAAAAUCGUCGGAGGUCUCAAACCUCUUGACGUGGGCACGAGCCUAAAAUCCCAAUUUCAGCCCUCGAAACAUCUCAUAUGUUCCGCGAUGUUUCGAAAACGUCUUUGGUGCCUCAACUCUAAACCGUUUAACUGAACUAUCACGUAGUUAUCAAAACGUGUAUGUCCGAUGUUCACAACAUCCACAGACGAGGUUUGGGGUUCAGCACACUGAGCGGUGCAUUAAGGACAUAAGCUUUCUACUGUCUGCAUAAUCGCUACUGUCAACUUUCAACUAUAUUUUCUCUAGGAACAUAACUAAACAGUAGAACUAAAGCGCGAGCUACGACAUAAUUUGCAAAGAGUCUUUUGACUAUGUUCAAGAUAAUUAAGUUCAUCUUAUGAACUCCCACUUAGAUAGACAUCCCUCUGGUCAUCUAAGUGAUUACAUGAUCCGAGUCAACUAGGCCGUGUCCGAUCAUCACGUGAGACGGACUAGCCAACGUCGGUGAACAUCUUCAUGUUGAUCGUAUCUACUAUACGACUCAUGCUCGACCUUUCGGUCUCCGUGUUCCGAGGCCAUGUCUGUACAUUCUAGGCUCGUCAAGUUAACCCUAAGUGUUUUCGCUGUGUAAAACUGUCUUACACCCGUUGUAUGUGAACGUAAGAAUCCAUCACACCCGAUCAUCACGUGGUGCUUAGAAGCGACGAACUGUAGCAACGGUGCACAGUUAGGGGAGAACACUUCUUGAAAUUUUGUAAGGGAUCAUCUUAUUUACUACCGUCGUCCUAAGUAAACAAGAUGCAUAAACAUGAUAAACAUCACAUGCAAUCAAAUAGUGACAUGAUAUGGCCAAUAUCAUUUUGCUCCUUUUGAUCUUCAUCUUCGGGGCUCCAUGAUCAUCAUCGUCACCGGCAUGACACCAUGAUCUCCAUCAUCAUGAUCUCCAUCAUCGUGUCUUCAUGAAGUUGUCACGCCAACGACUACUUCUACUUCUAUGGCUAACGCGUUUAGCAAUAAAGUAAAGUAAGUUACAUGGCGUUCUUCAAUGACACGCAGGUCAUACAAAAAAUAAAGACAACUCCUAUGGCUCCUGCCGAUUGUCAUACUCAUUGACAUGCAAGUCGUGAAUUCUAUUACAAGAACAUGAUCAAUCUCAUACAUCACAUAUCAUUCAUCACAUUCUUCUUGGCCAUAUCACAUCACAUAGCAUACCCUGCAAAAACAAGUUAGACGUCCUCUAAUUGUUGUUUGCAUGUUUUACGUGGCUGCUACGGGUUUCUAGCAAGAACGUUUCUUACCUACGCAAAACCACAACGUGAUAUGCCAAUUGAUAUUUACCCUUCAUAAGGACCCUUUUCAUCGAAUCCGUUCCGACUAAAGUGGGAGAGACUGGCACCCACUAGCCACCUUAUGCACCAAGUGCAUGUCAAUCGGUGGAACCUGUCUCACGUAAGAGUACAUGUAAGGUCGGUCCGGGCCGCUUCAUCCCACAAUACCGUCGAAACAAGAUUGGACUAGUAACGGUAAGCAUAUUGAACAACAUCAAUGCCCACAACUACUUUGUGUUCUACUCGUGCAAAGAAUCUACGCAAUAGACCUAGCUCAUGAUGCCACUGUUGGGGAACGUAGCAGAAAUUCAAAAUUUUUUCCUACGAAUCACCAAGAUCUAUCUAUGGAGAGACCAGCAACGAGUAGAAGGAGAGUGCAUCUACAUACCCUUGUAGAUCGCUAAGCGGAAGCGUUCAAGUGAACGGGGUUGAUGGAGUCGUACUCGUCGUGAUUCAGAUCACCGAUGAUCAAGUGCCGAACGGACGGCACCUCCGCGUUCAACACACGUACAGCCCGGUGACGUCUCCCACGCCUUGAUCCAGCAAGGAGAGAGGGAGAGGUUGAGGAAGACUCCAUCCAACAGCAGCACAACGGCGUGGUGGUGGUGGAGGAGCGUGGCAAUCCCGCAGGGCUUCGCCAAGCACCAUGGGAGAAGAGGAGGAGGGAGAGGGGCAGGGCUGCACCAACGAGAGAUCAAAUCGCGUGUUAUGGGCAGCCCCAUGCCUCAAUAUAUAUAGGGGGAAGGGGCUGCGCCCCCUUUAGGGUUUUCCCACCCCCUAGGGGCGGCGGCCAGCCCUAGAUGGGUUUUGGGGUGCGGCCAAGAGGGGGGGGAGGAGUCCGUCCUCCCCAAGGCACCUCGGAGGUGCCUUCCCCCUUGAGGACUCUUCCCUCUAGGGUUCCCUAGGCGCAUGGGCCUCUUGGGGCUGGUGCCCUUGGCCCAUGUAGGCCAAGGCGCACCCCCUACAGCCCAUGUGGCCCCCCGGGGCAGGUGGCCCCACCCGGUGGGCCCCCGGGACCCUUCCGGUGGUCCCGGUACAAUACCGAUGACCCCGAAACUUGUCCCGAUGGCCGAAACAGGACUUCCUAUAUAUAAAUCUUUACCUCCGGACCAUUCCGGAGCUCCUCGUGACGUCCGGGAUCUCAUCCGGGACUCCGAACAACAUUCGGUAACCACAUACAAGCUUCCUUUAUAACCCUAGCGUCAUCGAACCUUAAGUGUGUAGACCCUACGGGUUCGGGAGACAUGCAGACAUGACCGAGACGUUCACCGGUCAAUAACCAACAGCGGGAUCUGGAUACCCAUGUUGGCUCCCACAUGUUCCACGAUGAUCUCAUCGGAUGAACCACGAUGUCAAGGACUUAAUCAAUCCCGUAUACAAUUCCCUUUGUCUAGCGGUAUUUUACUUGCCCGAGAUUCGAUCGUCGGUAUACCGAUACCUUGUUCAAUCUCGUUACCGGCAAGUCACUUUACUCGUUCCGUAACACAUCAUCCCGUGAUCAACUCCUUGGUCACAUUGCGCAUAUGAUGAUGUCCUACUGAGUGGGCCCAGAGAUACCUCUCCGUUUACACGGAGUGACAAAUCCCAGUCUCGAUCCGCAUAAAACAAUAGAUACUUUCAGAGAUACCUGUAGUGCACCUUUAUAGUCACCCAGUUACGUUGUGACGUUUGAUACACCCAAAGCACUCCUACGGUAUCCAGGAGUUACACGAUCUCAUGGUCAAAGGAAGAGAUACUUGACAUUGGCAAAGCUCUAGCAAACGAACUACACGAUCUUUGUGCUAUGCUUAGGAUUGGGUCUUGUCCAUCACAUCAUUCUCCUAAUGAUGUGAUCCCAUUAUCAACGACAUCCAAUGUCCAUAGCCAGGAAACCAUGACUAUCUGUUGAUCACAACGAGCUAGUCAACUAGAGGCUCACUAGGGACAUAUUGUGGUCUAUGUAUUCACACGUGUAUUACGAUUUCCGGAUAAUACAGUUAUAGCAUGAAUAAAAGACAAUUAUCAUGAACAAGGAAAUAUAAUAAUAAUACUUUUAUUAUUGCCUCUAGGGCAUAUUUCCAACAGAUAGCUAGGUCAAACCUCCUAGCUGUGAGAAUAUCUCCAUCGAUCGAUAUUCGGAGUAGAUGACCCUCAGCGGUAUCGAUGUGUACCAAAUUAGAGGUUUGGCAACACUUCAUUGUCCAGGAAAAGAUGGUCAAGAGGACUAGAGGGAGGAGGAGCCUAGCUGCUUAUCGGUCACACAGUGGGAAAGAGAAAUUUUACACAGAAGGGUGUAGUUGUCAUGACUUCACUCGUAGAAAAUAGGCCUUUCCUCUGGUCCAUUAGUCCCAGUCAGGUUUUGGCCCCGGACUAAUGAUACAGUUAGUCCCGGUUCCAAUGGCUAGGAUUUAGUCCCGAUUCAUUUUCUACCUAUAGUCCCGAUUUGUGAUACAAACCGGGACUAAAGGGGUUGUGAUGCCUAGAGACCGUUGCACCAGGUGUCUUCCAGCUAUUCGCCGUUGUUGCCAUGUCUUUCGCUUGCGUGUUGCAUCUUGCCAUGUCAUCAUCGGCAUUGCAUCUACAUGUUUUCGAAAACUUGCAUCUGUCCAGGUUCCCCCAGUUCUGUCUGUUGUCCGUUCUGAACCGAAACACACUUGCACGCACCUGCGGAACGUCCAAAAUAUUAUUUCAUAAGUGGCCGAAAAAUGUUCUCAGAAUGGGAUGAGAGUUGGCAUGCGGUCUUAUUAUAGUGUAGGUAGGCCGCCUGCCAAGUUUCAUCGCAUUUGCAGUCCGUCUGACGCCCCAACGUUUAACUAUAGCGGCAGUAUAGCCGGUCAAACGUCGGACGUUUUCGGUCUCCGGAAACGAUUGCCGGGCUGCCUACUUUCCUCUCCUCUCAGCCCAAGCCUCUCAACACAUUUCACUACCGACCGCCAUGCCAGCCUACCCCUCUUUACACAGUGCAUCGACCCCUCGCACGUGUCCGAAACUCACUCGAACCCGACUCGGACUGUCAAUACCGUUGUGUCCGGAUCAUCCCCAAACAUCUACAAAACGUCUUUGUUUUCUUAUUUAAUCUCCCUAGCAUAUUUAUCCGAGACCGUCCGAUUAAGAUCGGAGGGUCCAAAUGCCCCUAAACUUAGCCCUUUUGCUAUUUAUAGAUGAACCAAUAGCCUAUUUUGGGCAAACCCUAAAAUCUAGGGACUUGUCCCUGCCGCCGCCGCACUCAUCUCCCAAAUCCCCAUUGGGAUCCACCCCGAUCCACCAGCCAACCGAAGCCGCCUCCUCCUUCCUCGUUUUCCCCAUCGGGCCAACCAGCAUCCCCUUCCUCGAUCUCCUUCUCCAGCAUCCCCUCCUCCAUCGUCCCGCACGGCACCUGCCAGCUCACCGGAGAUGAGUACCACCACCAGGCCGGACUCCCACCUCGCGCCCUCUUUUCUUCCCUCUAUCUUCUCCUGUCUCAGCUCUCUCUCUCUCUCUCUCUCUCUCGCUAUAACGAGCCAUGGCCUCCGCACCUUGCAGGAGCACAUCUAGGAGCACAGCGGCGCCAUGGAUGCCUACCCGAGCUCCAGUUCACCUCGCCGCCGUCGGGAAUUGGUGUCCCGCGGCCCGAUCCGUCAAGUCCGCGACCUCACUGGAGUUCCCGCUUCGUCAUCCGCCGUCCCCUCCUUCAGGAAUGAGUUCUAGUGCGCCGAGCCACCCAGCGCUGUUCCGCCACCCCGUCCACGCCUUGCCGGAGAUGCCCCGCCAGAUCCGCGUUGCCGGCCCUCACGGAGUCAUGCCAAGUCCCUCGCCGGCCUUCCCUGCUUCUUCGUGCGAGAACGACGUCGAUCGUGCCUGCUGCCUACCCCUGCUUUGCGUCGAAACACUCCAGUGCCGUUGCUUCUCUGCUUUUCUGUCGAACAGAGGGUGCCGCGCCUGCAUCCUCCCCGCCUCGCGAGUCUGGGCUGGCCAGCGCCAAGCCAGGCCCAGUCAAGCAAGAUCAGUGCCGCCCUUGCUGGCCUUCCUCUUCACCAACGGGCCAAGCCCAUGGGUGAGCAGCCCCAGCCCUCUCCUAUGGACUAUGGGCCCAGUCAUUUACAUCCCAUGUUGUUUUUUUCUUGAACAAAUCUGUCUAAUAUCCAGUGUAAAACAGUUUUUACAGAAAAGCCCUUGCAUUUCAUGCAUAUCCUAACUAAUUAACCGUGCAUCGGAUUAAAACAAACUUUCUAUGUAAUACGUCUAGAAUUUUGUCUAGUUUAAUAACAUCCAACUUUCAUCUAUGUUUAGAAUGUUCAAAACGAUGUUUGCUUUAAUUUGCAUAAAUAACACGCUAAAAUGAUUUAUUUCAUAACUAAUUAACUGUAGCUCCAAAUUUAAUAAACUUUAUAUGUAAAUGGGGUAGAAAAAUGCGUAGUUUAACAUGGUGUACUUGCUUUGUAUGUUUAACAAAUCUAAAAUUGUGUUUAGGGCAGAACAGUACCAAGCCUAAAAUAUGCACAUGAGGAGUUUUCGGACUUGUUGUUUUGUUGUUCCGGCCUCAUUUAAACUUUCCUAGAUAGGUAGUUUUUCAUAUGCUUCACCCCUUUUCAUGUUAAACAACAUUUAAUAUUGUUGGGUAUAUAAACGAGAUCGAACUAAAUAACUUGAAUGUGGUGUUCCGUCAAUAUGCAACUCGUUGUAUAUUGGGCUCCACUUAAUUUGUAGGAUUGUUUGUGCAUUUUGCCAUGCCAUGCCUCAUUAAACCGGACAUGCAUCAUACUUGGUUGUGCAUCAUGCCAUGUUUAUGUGGUGGUUGUUUACAAUGUUGUUUGCUUCAUUCCGAUGUUGCUUCUUUGGGUUAGUUCCGAUAACGUCGCGUUUGUGAGGAUCCGUUCGACUACGUCCGUUUGUCUUCUUCAUGGACUCGUUCUUCUUCCUUGCGGGAUUUCUGGCAAGAUGACCAUACCCUCAAAAUCACUUCUAUCUUUGCUUGCUAGUUGAUCGCUCUAUUCCCAUGCCGCGAUACCAACCACUUGCUAUAUCAUGCCUCCCAUAUUGCCAUGUCAAGCCUCUAACCCACCUUUCCUAGCAAACCGUUGUUUGGCUAUGUUACCGCUUUGCUCAGCCCCUCUUUUAGAAUUGCUAGUUGCAGGUGAAGAUGAAGUUUGUUCCAUGUUAGAACAUGGAUAUGUUGGGAUAUCACAAUAUCUUUUAUGUUAAUUAAUGCAUAUAUAUACUUGGUAAAGGGUGGAAGGCUCGGCCUUAUGCCUGGUGUUUUAUUCCACUCUUGCCGCCCUAGUUUCCGUCAUACCGGUGUUAUGUUCCUUGAUUUUGUGUUCCUUACACGGUUGGGUGUUAUGGGGACCCCUUGGCACUUUGCUUUGAAUAAAACUCCUCUAGCAAGGCCCAACCUUGGUUUUACCAUUUGCCUCACCACCACCUACUUUUCCCUUGGGAGUCACGCUCCCGAGGGUCAUCUUUAUUUUAGCCCCCCCCCCCCGGGCCAGUGCUUGUCUAAGUGUUGGUCCGAACCGAGCUGCCUGCGGGGCCACCUCGGGGAAACUUGAGAUUUGGUUUUACUCGUAGCUAGUCUCAUCCUGUGUUGCCCUGAGAACAAGAUACGUGUGACUCCUAUCGGGAUUGUCGGCACAUCGGGUGGCUUUGAUGGUCUUGUUUUACCAUUGUCGAAAUGUCUUGUAACCAGGAUUCUGAGUCUGAUCGGGUCGUCCUGGGAGAAGGAAUAUCCUUCGUUGACCGUGAGAGCUUGUGAUGGGCUAAGUUGGGACACCCUUGCAGGGUUUUGAACUUUCGAAAGCCGUGCCCGCGGUUAUGGGCAGAUGGGAAUUUGUUAAUAUCCGGUUGUAGAUAACUUGAAACUUAACUUAAUUAAAAUGCAUCAACAGCGUGUGUAACCGUGAUGGUCUCUUUCCGGUGGAGUCCGGGAAGUGAACACGGUUCUUGUGUUAUGCUUGAACAUGAGUAGUUUCAGGAUCACUUCUUGAUCACUCCUAGUUCACGACCGUGCUUUGCUUCUCUUCUCGCUCUUAUUUGCGUAAGUUAGCUACCAUAUAUGCUAGUGCUUGCUGCAGCUCCACCUCACUACCCUUUCCUACCCAUAAGCUUAAAUAGUUUUGAUCUCGCAGGUGUGAGAUUGCUGAGUCCUCGUGACUCACAGAUUCUUCCAAAACCAGUUAUAGGUGCCGAUGAUACCAAUGCAGGUGACGCAACCCAGCUCAAGUGGGAGCUUGAUGAAGAUCGUGUUUGUUGUGUUGUUUCAUUUCCUUUCGAUCAGUAGUGGAGCCCAGUUGGGGCGAUCAGGGAUCUAGCAUUAGGGGUGAGCUUCUUUUAUUUUGGUUCCGUAGUCGAACCUUGAUUGUAUUCUAGAUGAUGUAAUGCUAUAUUUAUGUAUUGUGUGAAGUGGUGAUUGUAAGACAACUCUUUAUCCCUCUCUUAUUCAGUACAUGGGAUGUGUAAAGAUUACCCCUCUUGCGACAUGCCUACUAUGCGGUUAUGCCUCUAAGUCGUGCUCCAACAUGUGGGAGAUAUAGCCGCAUCAUGGGUGUUACAAGUUGGUAAUCAGAGUUGUCGGUGUACUAGAGUAGGGGUACCCUAGUAUCCCGAACUCGUGCACGGACAGUUGCAGCACCCCGCGGCAAGGCUUCACGGGUGACCGCCAAGACCCUCCGUGGUUCCCUCGAAGACCAUUCAAGAACAAAGUACUCAAACCAAGGCCCCGGCAAGAGGAGCUUGCCGGGAGGGCCAACCAAGGCCCCGGCAAGAGGAGCUUGCCGGGAAGGCCAACCAAGACCCCGGCAAGAGGAUCUUGCCGGGAAGGGACAAGACCCCGGCAAGAGGAGCUUGCCGGGAAGGCUAUUCAAGGCAUACCAAGAAAGCUUGCCGCGACGCGCCCUGCGUCCCGGCAAGAUCCGGCGAGCGACAAGCUUCCGGACGCGACAAGACGACGGUCGCGGCAAGGGGCUUGCCGCGGGAAACCCCCACUUCAUACCCGCGCUCCAGCACACCUGCUAACGUGUCACUCUGGGACUCUCCCAAGCACACGUGGCAGGAGGCCGUGCAGUUAGGGGUACGUGGUGGCAAGUGGAGAUGAAGAGAAGCCCAUCGUGGCGAACGGUGGCGCUCCUAACGGUCACCUUUUGCACUGUUUAGGAGACUCAGACAGGCAUUUAAUGCCCUUGUCCCCUGCCAUCAGAGUUAGGUAGGGCGCACUGUAUCCACAGUAGCGGUAGCUGCACCUACCGCAUCCUUUUCCAUUUUUACCCUUCUAGUCUACGUUGCCACCUGUGGGUAACCCCUUGAGAGUAUAAAAGGAGGCCCAAGCGCAACGUAGACGAGGGUUCGGCCAGUUCGGCUCAUUCAACAGCAGGAACACUCUCACGCUCAGUCUGGCAGCGUCCAUCGCUCCUGAGCAAGAAUCCAAUAUACACAAACAAGCAGCAGUAGGGUUUUACGCAUCCGUGCGGCCCGAAGCUGGGUAAAAAUCCCCCGCGUGCACCGCCUCGAUCCGCUCUUUGUGCGCUCUCCGCCCCCCACCGAACCGAAAGGGGCCCUGUCCCCAUAGGUGUUGGUGGAAUCAGCACGCCCCGACAUCUCUGGCGCGCCAGGUAGGGGGCGUCGAGAUUGUGCGAACCCGAUCCGGCGUGCACGCAAGCUAAAUCUUCAUCAUCAUGGCUCCUAAGGAGCGAGCGAGCAAAAGAACGUCGCCAGUGAGGCAACAGAAAAAGCUAAGUCAUGCGAAACUUUAGAUAUUUCCUUUCUAUAUAAAGUUAUCCGCCUCGGAGAUCUUGUUCUUUGUACGGAAAACCUGUGCGCGAAGGAAUCAACUCGUAGCUAGUUGCGCCCUUAUUUUGUUUCGAGUCCGCUCAACAACUUAAGUGAGCUGCUAGCGCCCUUACUUUGCUUCGAGUCCGCUCAGCAACUUAAGUGAGCCGCUAGCGCCCUUACUUUGUUUCGAGUCCUCUCAACUACUUAAGCGAGCUGCAACUAGUUGCGACAAGAUUGCUUGUCGGUAGCGACCCCACUAGCAGGCUGCUGAAGUUCCGCACUCGGCGCUCGCGGCAAGGGUGCCUGCACCGGCAAGUUUCCCUAGAAAGCGUAGGGUGGACGUACAAAGAGAGGUUGAACAGGAAGAUAGCAUGCGCUAUUUAUUUGAGAUUUCUGCAUAGACCUGUAUGCCGAGGAGCCUUCUCGGGGCUAGUUGCGCUCCAUGUUGCCUCGAGUCCGCUCGGCAACUUGUGCGGUUGCGCUAGAACCAAGAAGGUAAACCUUUCCGGGAGGCGAUGUUCCCGAAUAGCCGCUAAGGGCCCGUUCCCUCCAGCGCUGCUGGCUGGAUCACACGCACCGGAAAGCAUUCCAGCAGGCAUAGGGAAUAUGUAGCAGAAGUCAAAAUUCGCAAGCGAGUUAAGUGCACUCCGGAUGCUAAUCACUUGCUAUGUUUGAACGCAGUUAUGGCCCGGGGGCUGGCAACGCCCUUAGGGCCAAUCUUUUCGGCGUCAAGAACGACGAAGUUCUUCGCCAUAAGCCUUUCCGGCAACGAUCUUGCCGGGAGCCGGCGUCAAGAACGACGAAGUUCUUCGCCAUAAGCCUUUCCGGCAACGAUCUUGCCGGGAGCCGGCUUCAAGAACGACGAAGUUCUUCGCCAUAAGCCUUUCCGGCAACGAUCUUGCCGGGAGCCGGCGUCAAGAACGACGAAGUUCUUCGCCAUAAGCCUUUCCGGCAACGAUCUUGCCGGGAGCCGGCGUCAAGAACGACGAAGUUCUUCGCCAUAAGCCUUUCCGGCAACGAUCUUGCUGGGAGCCAGCGUCAAGAACGACGAAGUUCUUCGCCAUAAGCCUUUCCGGCAACGAUCUUGCCAGGAGCCGGUGUCAAGAACAACGAAGUUCUUCACCAUAAGCCUUUCCGGCAACGAUCUUGCCGGGAGCCGGCGUCAAGAACGACGAAGUUCUUCGCCAUAAGCCUUUCCGGCAACGAUCUUGCCGAAAGCCGGCAUCGAGAACGUCAAAGUUCUCUGCCGAAGAUAAAAGCCUUCCUGGCAACAAGCUUGCCGGAAGCCGGCAUCGAGAACGUCAAAGUUCUCUGCUGAAGAUGAAAGCCUACCUGGCAACGAGCUUGCUGGAAGCCGGCAUCGAGAACGUCAAAGUUCUCUGCUGAAGAUAAAAGCCUUCCUGGCAACAAGCUUGCCGGAAGUCGGCAUCGAGAACGUUAAAGUUCUCUGCUGAAGAUAAAAGCCUUCCUGGCAACGAGCUUGCCGGAAGCCGGCAUCGAGAACGUCAAAGUUCUCUGCUGAAGAUAAAAGCCUUCCUGGCAACAAGCUUGCCGGAAGCCGGCAUCGAGAACGACAAAGUUCUCUGCUGAAGAUAAAAGCCUUCCCGGCAAGCCAAUAUCGCUGGGGGCUGCGAGUGCCAAGAAUCGUCCACGGCAAACCAGAGUUGCCGGGGGCUGCAAUAUCAGAUAAGUUUUUCAUCCCUCAUCAUGCAUCCUCUUAUGGACUGGGGAAUGCGAAACCACGUUUCUUCCCAGAAACUGCCGUGCUCCCUCGACUCUAGGCCCUGGGGCUCGUUCUCGGGGCCAAGUUUGGUCGUAGUCGCGGCAGCAAAGGAAUGAAACGAGGAGACCGCACCCACCUCGUUCCUGCCUCCGUCAAAAGCGUGAGAAAGGUUGAGCGACGUGGGAAGGCGGCAGGGCCUGUUGCCGGGAGAUGAAAUGUCUGUCCGAGGGAUACCAAGGAUUUGCUCCUUGGCGUGGGUUUAACUCACGAGACAAAUAACCUGGCAAGCAUCCCCCUUUUUCAUUAAAAAAACAUCCCACUCAGGUACAGUCCAUAGAGGAUGAAAAACAUGAAAGAGAGGAUUACAAGUUUUAGAUACAGCUAAGGCCCGAAGGCUUACAAAUUAAAAAGAUAAGAUGCCCGUAAUCCCUUUCCUGUCCCUCUCCUCAGGAGGCAGGUCAAGGAGGCGAAAAGGGCAGAAGGAGCGCCUAGGCGAGCUACGGGUGCCAGAAGACACCAAGGGAACAUCUCGGGGGUCGUCCGAAGGCUGGACAGCGACGGCGGCGCUGGAAGCGGGGCUCGAAGACGGGGCGGCAGGACGUCAGCACGCUGUCGAGGGCACCACGCCCUCGUACUCCGACCUGACGGCCUUGUCGCCAGCCCUCUUCCCCUUCCGCAGCGUCCCUACGCCAGCCGCCCAAGGAGACGACCCCGGGGAGUUCAAGAAGUCGGCGACGCGGAUGAUGGGGUCGCCGGUGCCACGCAAAGCGGCGCCCAACGCCUAGUCGGACCCGCUACCCUUGUCGUCGCUGUCGCUCCCCUCCUCGUCGCUCUCGCUCGAGGAGGAGCCUUCGCUGUCGGAGGAGCUGUCCACGCAGCACUUCGCCCGAGUGCCGAAGCACCCGAAGGCCUUGACAGAGAGGAGAUCGCCCUCCAUCAACUUAAAAUGGAGGGUAAACCCCUCCGUCAAGCUGUGGAUGCGGGCGAACGUCUUCCACCCUCGAUCAAGAUACAUCACAUUAGGGGCUGGGAAUGCAACGCGGACUCGCGUGCCGUUGAUCCCACAGCCCCUCAUGUGCAAUCUCAGUGUCUCGGGCGGGUCCAACUCCAUCGCGCGCGCAAACGGAGCUGGAAGCCGGAGGCGACGACGAGGCGCCCGGCGCAGCCUGACGAAGAACUCGCAAGGGUCGUCCCCUAUAUGGACCGCCGUGGGGGGAGGAGCCGCCGGCGGAGGGGAAGCUGACACGCCGCCCCGUCCACCUCUUCCCCGAGCGCCUCGACCUCGUCCUCGACCUCGUCCUCGACCUCGUCCGCGACCUCGCCCCCUCCCUCUUCCCCUUAUGGCUGGCUCUGCCACCACGGGCACGGAAGAGGGAGAGAUGCGCUGUCUGGCGGCGACCCUCGCCGCCACCGAUGAAGGGCCUGGUUUCCCUUUCUCCAUGGCAGAGGAGAGAAAGGGGCGCAGAAGCUGAAGAAAAGAGAAGAUGCGAGAGUGCGGGUCUCCCAUCCCGCUCUUUAUAAAGGAGCGAGGUGGGGGCUCGGCCGCCCCGCUCAGCGAAUCAAGGCACGGGAAGGGCAGGGAGUCAGGGCCAACCCGCUGCCUCUGCUCGCGACGGCCCAGUUUCCCACUCCACUGUCCGUGACCCCAAGCGCAUGGGAGCCGCGUGGCGGGGAUGCAGAACCAAGGCGACAGAUGAGGCGGCCUCGCUCCGCCCCGUGAACGCGGGGAGUGGACGUCCCGAAAACCGCGCACCGGCCCCGUCCAGUAAAUGCAUCACGCCCCCACACCUACCUCCGUUUAGAGAGGAGGGCGUGAACCGUCCCCAUCAUCGUGGCCUGGCGCAUGCUUGAGGGGCUUAGCCCCGCGCACACCGCCCGCGUCACCUACGAUGCCGCGUUUGACGCGUGCCGUUCUGGGCGUGCGCGGUGGGAGCGGAGAGAUAUGCGGCGUGACCUAGGCCGCGCGUGCCCGUGCACAGUUUUGGGCCUGGCCCAACAGCGCUCGGCACCGUGUAUGGCCCAGGCCCGGGGGCUCCUGUCGGUGUACUAGAGUAGGGGUACCCUAGUAUCCUGAACUCGUGCACGGACAGUUGCAGCACCCCGCGGCAAGGCUUGCCGGGUGACCGCCAAGACCCUCCGUGGUUCCCUCGAAGACCAUUCAAGAACAAAGUACUCAAACCAAGGCCCCGGCAAGAGGAGCUUGCCGGGAGGGCCAACCAAGGCCCCGGCAAGAGGAGCUUGCCGGGAAGGCCAACCAAGACCCCGGCAAGAGGAUCUUGCUGGGAAGGGACAAGACCCCGGCAAGAGGAGCUUGCCGGGAAGGCUAUUCAAGGCAUACCAAGAAAGCUUGCCGCGACGCGCCCUGCGUCCCGGCAAGAUCCGGCGAGCAACAAGCUUCCGGACGCGACAAGACGACGGCCGCGGCAAGGGGCUCGCCGCGGGAAACCCCCACUUCGUACCCGCGCUCCAGCACACCUGCUAACGUGUCGCUCUGGGACUCUCCCAAGCACACGUGGCAGGAGGCCGUGCAGCUAGGGGUACAUGGUGGCAAGCGGAGAUGAAGAUAAGCCGAUCGUGGCAAACGGUGGCGCUCCUAACGGUCACCUUUUGCACUGUUUAGGAGACUCAGACAGGCAUUUAAUGCCCUUGUCCCUUGCCGUCAGAGUUAGGUAGGGCGCACUGUAUCCACAGUAGCGGUAGCUGCACCUACCGCAUCCUUUUCUAUUUUUACCCUUCUAGUCUACGUUGCCACCUGUGGGUAACCCCUUGAGAGUAUAAAAGGAGGCCCAAGCGCAACGUAGACGAGGGUUCGGCCAGUUCGGCUCAUUCAACACCAGGAACACUCUCACGCUCAGUCUGGCAGCGUCCAUCGCUCCUGAGCAAGAAUCCAAUAUACACAAACAAGCAGCAGUAGGGUUUUAUGCAUCCGUGCGGCCCGAAGCUGGGUAAAAAUCCCCCGCGUGCACCGCCUCGAUCCGCUCUUUGUGCGCUCUCAGCCCCCCAUCGAACCGAAAGGGGCCCUGUCCCCAUAGGUGUUGGUGGAAUCAGCACGCCCCGACAAGAGCCUUCCCCGACUUAGGAGCCCCCUGCUUGAUCGAAUCGCUGGCGUUGUAGAGUCUAGAAAAAUGUUUUGAGUCUUAUAGGAUUAUAUAUAUCGGAGAGUAGGAUUCUUUUACUCCUCAGUCCCUUCAUCGCUCUGGUGAGGCCUCCUGGCGUAGAGUUUUGACUCUUCUCUCCUCAAAUUUCACGAAUUUUUUUAGGAUCACGCGGGUAUCUUGGAAUUGUUCUGAUAGUCUUGUGACAAGAACAUUGUUCUUGGUGCCUCCUGACAUUUAGGGGUUGUGGCAGUGUCCCGGGGAGUUAAGCUCCAAGGUGUUGUCAUCACAAUUUUAUCGUUGUAGUUCUGGAAUACCUGAGUUUCACUGACAUAAAAAAUCUCCUUUAUGCAGUUGUUGGUGAGAUAACCUCAACGCCACCCAGUACUGGGGCGGGAGUUCGGGAGUAUUGCCAUAACUCGUAUAACGGAAGCUUUUCGAAGGUUGAGGUAAAUGAUUUCCAAAGGUUUCUUGGUUAUGUGUUGAAGGAUGGAUACAGCUGGAUGUAGGGUUUGUUAGUUUUGGGUGAGAUAUUAUGCUUCCCUUGUAUCCCCAACAACUGAUUGUAUAACCAGAAAGUUUCGGGAGUUUAUAAGUUGGAAUUCAAGUAGCUCCUAGGAUAUCUUUCCGAUAGAUGCAUGAUAUGAAAUUGGGGUUCGACGUCUAGUGGUCCGCCUAUCCACGGUUGGUUUUACAGUGGUCUCGUUGUGUCAUAAAGAGUCCUUGGCUAUGCUGACUCGGGGAUGCUUCGUAUGUCAUGUGCACUGCCUUGUACAUGAUGGUGUUGUACGAUCGAGCCCGUGUGGGCCCCACCAUGAAAACUUCGGACGAAAUCUCUAUCUUAUGUUUGUUCUGUCUUAUUUUGCUAGCUAAUCCUUUGUUUUGUUUUGAGUUGUGGUAUUCAAGUUGCUUCAAUGUCAAGUGUUGAUUCCAUACUUUCCCCAAUCGGUGUUCUCAUAUUUCCAUGUGAAUACCAAUCCUUCAUGAUAAUCGAGAUUGUGAUGUCAAUCCUUUUCAACCGGCGUGUUUCUCUUCAAGUGGAUCCGAUCAUUUUCAACAUCUAUAAGACUCAACUCAAGUUUUUUCUCAACGGUGUUUGUUUCAUCCGUCCCAAGUUGCCUUUGUUUACCCGCCCUCCCACCCUUUUCCUUCAAGAAAUCAAAUUUCUUAAUCAAGUAUCCAUUUUAUUCAUGAGAAGUCUCUUCAUUCUUUUCUUUCAAUGUUCUUAUCCGGUGAUUCUCAUGAAGAUUCUAGCGGAGCCUCAAGUUCAUCAUUAUUCGCUCUUUUUAUUCUCUGGUGGAUUCAAGUCAAGCUUUGUUGAUCAUAUCCUUUCCUUUUUUCAAUGCUUUCCCAUGCCGUUGCACCUCUUAAUAUUUCACUUCUCGCUGUUCAAUUGUUCCGGAGUGCUGAAGAUAUCUCAGAAGAUUCGUGUGUCCACUCUACAUUCGUUCAACCUAUUCCAAGGGUGUUAUCUCAUUCAAGCCUUUUAAUUCAGCCGGCGCAAUCUCUCUUUCCACAGGUUUUUUCCCAGGAUCUUACAUGACUCUUCUAAUUCUUUCCAGAGUGAUUUUUUCAAAUUCACUCAAAUGUCUUUCUCCAAGAUCUUUAAAAUUGUUAUCAUCGUUUGGUUCAACCUUUCUAUUCUUCAUCCCGGAGUGCCUCAACAAUUCAAGGUGGUGUUUCUCAUCGUCAUUCUCAACAUUUGAAGAUCGAGUAAGAGUUUCUCUUAAAUCUUGCUCUAUUCUCUUCAAGAUUCAUGGUUAUAGCUUUAUGCCAUCCUCUCAUAAUUGUUUUCGAUUGUGAGAAUUCCUUUCACCCAUCCGAAGUAAUUCAGAAGUAUUUUCAGUUUGAUUCUCCGGAGGCUAUCAUUUCAGAAGAUUUAUUCAUUCCAGCUUUCAGCUCUCAUUCUUGAAAUCAUACCAGUGCAUCAUUCAAGUUUUCUCUAAUCAGCCCGUGAUCUAUUCAUUCUCAUGUAUCUAAAUUCCUUCAAGUAACUUCAUUCAUUUUCCAAUUCUUCCCGGUGAAUUUGUGCUUUUGCUAUUUUCAUGUUCAAUUCUUACGGUGGUCCAUUCAAGAUUACUGUUCUCUGGGUUUAUUAUCAAUUCAUUCGUUCUUUCCAAUCCCGACUGGUGAUUCGUUGAAGACCUUUCUCAAGUUUGUGCUAUAUCUCUCUUAAUACUUUCUACGAGAAUAAGUAGUAUGCCAAAUCCAUUGUGUGCCAUCAAUUUAAUUGAUGAAGGAUAAGCAUAAUGUAAUUCUUAUUCUUGUUUCAUCGAGUAUAUUCAACUCCUUAUUCCGGAAGCUCAUCAAAUUCUUGGUUUAAAUUGUUUCAUCUUUUCUUUUCCCGGAUUCCCAAGCUCUCUCAAUUAUAUCAUCACGAAGCUCCAUUUAAUCAUUGCUAGGCUUCUCCUGGAGUCCUUUUCAACAUUCCUUUUGUUUGAUCAUUCUUUUAUUACCGGAGUUCUUCACGGAGGAUCUACCUGGUGCUUCGUCAAGGAUUCCUUUCAUUCUUCAAUUGUCCUCAGGUUUUCUCUCGAAGUUAUGAUCCGCCAAGCUAUACUUCAAGCUUUCUUCAUCUUGCAUUCUGAAGCGCAAUUCUUUCAUAUCUCAUCUUUUGAGAUGGUGUUAUGUCAUUGUUGAUAAUUUCCCUUCGUGUUUCAUGAUUCACAAGUUUUCAAGAGUGACAUAUCUUAAAUCCAUCAUUUUCAGUUCAUUCGGGACAUCUUUUCAAUACAUCAAUCUCUUCAUUGGAGUAUAUUGGGUUAUAUUUCACCUAAAGCCUUCCAUAAGGAUUGUCGCUAUUUAUGGUGCUUAUAAAUGACCCAAGUUCUUCAUUUAUCCUCUCGGUGAAAUAAGCUUCUCGUCUCCUUGCUCAUAUAAAAUCCAAGCUAUUGUUUUCGUUAGUGGCAGAAUUUCACCUCAUAAUUUUGAGAUGUCUUCCAUAAGCCCACAUCAAGCGUAUCCUUUCGUUGUUGAUAAUCCAACAACUUCGUUCUAGCAUUUGUUGUAGGCGUGCUCUCUCAAGAUCUUGUUUUCCAUACGUUCAUUCCAUUCAAUUCUUACAUUUGUUCCGGAGGCAGUGUGUUGUUGAUUUCAUCAAGUAUCCUCAUCUUGUCAAGAUCAUGUUCGAUUCCUUCCAUUUACAGUGGGAGUGUUGUCCAAAUUAUAUCAUUCUUAUUCCUUCUCUAUCUUGUUUUAACUGGUGUGUUGUGUCUAUCAUUCUUUUCUAACCGGAGUCUCAUCCAUGUGCUUUCAUUUUUCCAAGUUCAUAUUCUAUGCCUUCCAUUUCCAACCGGAGUGGUGUCGUAAUUGAUCCUUGUCGUUCCUUGUACAUCUCGUUUCAACCAGAGUGCUUGCAUCUACCUCUUGUCCAUUGUAACAUUUUUUCCAUGUCUUUCAACCUACAAGGUUCUAGUAAUGUUCCUUGUUCCUCUUCUCUAACGAAGUGUUUUCAACCUUGUUCAUCUUCGUUGUAUUCUUUUCUCGAAAUUUGUUCAACCUCACAAGGUUCUUUGGUUUCACUCAUUUGUCAAAGAAGCAAUUUGUUUUACCUCUUCUCUUCCUCUUCCUUUUCCCUCCGGUGCCAUCCUAGAUCUCGGGACGAGAUCCUCUCGUAGUGGUGGAGUGUUGUGACGCCCCGAGACCGUUGCGCCAGGUGUCUUCCAGUUAUUCGCCAUCGUUGCCAUGUAUUUCGCUUACGUGUUGCAUCUUGCCAUGUCAUCAUCCGCAUUGCAUCUGCAUGUUUUCGAAAACUUGCAUCCGUCCGGGUUCCCCCAGUUCCGUCUGUUGUCCGUUCUGAACCCAAACACACUUGCACGCGCCCGCGGCACGUCCGAAAUAUUAUUUUAUAAGUGGCCGGAAAAUGUUCUCAGAAUGGGAUGAGAGUUGGUGUGUGGUCUUAUUAUAGUGUAGGUAGGCCGCCUGCCAAGUUUCAGCACAUUCGGAGUCCGUCUGACGCCCCAACGUUUAAUUAUAGCGGCAGUAUAGCCGGUCAAACGUCAGACGUUUUGGUCUCCGGAAACGGUUGCCCGGCUACCUUCUUUCCUCUCCUCUCAGCCCAAGCCUCUCUACACAUUUCACUAACGACCGCCAGGCCAGCCUACCCCUCCUUGCACAGUGCAUGGACCCCUCGUGUGUGUCCGAAACUCACCCGAACCCGACUCGGACUGUCACUAUUGUUGUGUCCGGAUCAUCCCCAAACAUCUACAAAACGUCUCCGUUUUCUUAUUUGAUCUCCCUAGCCUAUUUAUCCCAGACCAUUCAAUUAACAUCGGAGGGUCCAAAUGGCCCUAAACUUAGCCCUUUUGAUAUUUAUAGAUCAACCAAUAGCCUAUUUUGGGAAACCCUAAAAUCUAGGGACUUGUCCCUGCCGCCGCCGCCGCACUCAUCUCCCAAAUCCCCAUCGGGAUCCACCCCGAUCCACCAGCAAACCGAAGCCGCCUCCUCCUUCCUCAUUUUCCCCAUCGGGCCAACCAGCAUGCCCUUCCUCGAUCUCCUUCUCCAACAUCCCCUCCUCCAUCGUCCCCCGCGGCACCUGCCAGCUCACCAGAGGCGAGUACCGCCACCAGGCCGAACUCCCACCUCGCGCCCUCUUUUUCUUCCCUCUGUCUUCUCCCGUCUCAGCUCUCUCUCUCUCUCUCUCUCUCUCUCUCUCUCUCGCUAUAAUGAGCCAUGGCCUCUGCACCUUGCAGGAGCACAUCCAGGAGAACACCAACGCCAUGGAUGCCUACACGAGCUCCUGCUCACCUCGCCGUCGACGAGAAUUGGUGUCCCGCUGCCACAUCCGUCAAGUCCGCGACCUCGCCGGAGUUCCUGCUUCGUCAGCCGUUGUCCCCUCCUUCACGAAUGAGUUCCAGUGCGCCGAGCCACCCAGCACCGUUCCGCCGCCCCAUCCACGCCUUGCCGGAGAUGCCCCACCAGAUCCGUGUUGCCGGCCCUCACGGAAUCACGCCAAGUCCCUCACCGGCCUUCCCUGCUUCUUCGUGCGAGAACGACGUCGACCGCGCCUGCUGCCUCCCCCUGCUUCGUGUCGAACCGCUCCAGCGCCACUGCUCCUCUGCUUUUCUGUCGAGCAGAGGGCGCCGCGCCCGUAUCCUCCCCGCCUCGCGAGUCUGGGCUGGCCAGCGCCAAGCCAGGCCCAGUCGGGCUAGAUCCACACCGCCCUUGCUGGCGUUCCUCUUCACCAGCGGGCCAAGCCCAUGGGUGAGCAGCCUCAGCCCUCUCCUGUGCACUAUGGGCCCAGUCAGUUACAACCCAUGUUGUUGUUUUUCCUGAACAAAUCUGUCUAAUAUCCAGUGUAAAACAGUUUUACAGAAAGGCCCUUGCACUUCAUGCAUAUCCUAACUAAUUAACCGUGCAUCGGAUUAAAACAAACUUUAUAUGUAAAAUGUCUAGAAUUUUUUAUAGUUUAAUAAUAUCCAACUUUCAUCUAGGUUUAAAAUGUUUAAAAUGAUGUUUACUUUAAUUUUCUUAAAUAACACGCUAAAAUGAUUUAUUUCAUAACUAAUUAACCGUAGCUCCAAAUUUAAUAAACUUUAUAUGUAAAUGGGGUAGAAAAAUGCCUAGUUUAACAUGGUGUACUUGCUUUGCAUGUUUAAAAAUUCUAAAAUUGUGUUUAGGGCAGAACAGUACCAAGCCUAAAAUAUGCACAUGAGGAGUUUUCGGACUUGUUGUUUUGUUGUUCCGGCCUCAUUUAAACUUCCCUAGAUAGGUAGUUUUUCAUAUGCUUCACCCCUUUUCAUGUUAAACAACAUUUAAUAUUGUUGGGUAUAUAAACGAGAUCGAACUAAAUAACUUGAAUGUGGUGUUCCGUCAAUAUGCAACUCGUUGCAUAUUGGGCUCCACUUAAUUUGUAGGAUUGUUUGUGCAUUUUGCCAUGCCAUGCCUCAUUAAACCGGACAUGCAUCAUACUUGGUUGUGCAUCAUGCCAUGUUUAUGUGGUGGUUGUUUACCAUGUUGUUUGCUUCUUUCUGCUGUUGCUUUUUCGGGUUAGUUCCGAUAACAUUGCGUUUGUGAGGAUCCGUUCGACUACGUCUGUUUGUUUUCUUCAUGGACUCGUUCUUCUUCCUUGCGGGAUUUCAGGCAAGAUGACCAUACCCUCGAAAUCACUUCUAUCUUUGCUUGUUAGUUGAUCGCUCUAUUGCCAUGCCGCAAUACCUACCACUUGCUAUAUCAUGCCUCCCAUAUUGCCAUGUCAAGCCUCUAACCCACCUUUCCUAGCAAACCGUUGUUUGGCUAUGUUACCGCUUUGCUCAGGCCCUCUUUUAGCGUUGCUAGUUGCAGGUGAAGAUGAAGUUUGUUCCAUGUUGGAACAUGGAUAUGUUGGGAUAUCACAAUAUCUUUUAUGUUAAUUAAUGCAUCUAUAUACUUGGUAAAGGGUGGAAGGCUCGGCCUUAUGCCUGGUGUUUUAUUCCACUCUUGUCGCCCUAGUUUCCGUCAUAUCGGUGUUAUGUUCCUUGAUUUUGCAUUCCUUACACGGUUGGGUGUUAUGGGGACCCCUUGACAGUUCGCUUUGAAUAAAAUAUCUCCAGCAAGGCACAACCUUGGUUUUACCAUUUGCCUCACCACCACCUACUUUUCCCUUGGGAGUCGCGCUCCCGAGGGUCAUCUUUAUUUUAGCCCCCCCGGGCCAGUGCUUGUCUAAGUGUUGGUCCGAACCGAGCUGCCUGGGGGGCCACCUCGGGGAAACUUGAGGUUUUGUUUUACUCGUAGCUAGUCUCAUCCGGUGUUGCCCUGAGAACGAGAUACGUGCAAUUCCUAUCGGUAUUGUCGGCACAUCGGGUGGCUUUGCUGGUCUUGUUCUACCAUUGUCGAAAUGUCUUGUAACCGGGAUUCCGAGUCUGAUCGGGUCAUCCUGGGAGAAGGAAUAUCCUUCGUUGACCGUGAGAGCUUGUGAUGGGCUAAGUUGGGACACCCCUGCAGGGUUUUGAACUUUCUAAAGCCGUGCCCGCGGUUAUGGGCAGAUGGGAAUUUGUUAAUAUCCAGUUGUAGAGAACUUGAAACUUAACUUAAUUAAAAUGCAUCAACCGCGUGUGUAACCGUGAUGGUCUCUUUCCGGUGGAGUCCGGGAAGUGAACACAGUUCUUGUGUUAUGCAUGAACGUAAGUAGUUUCAGGAUCUCUUCUUGAUCACUUCUAGUUCACGACCGUGCUUUGCUUCUCUUCUCGCUCUUAUUUGCGUAAGUUAGCUACCAUAUAUGCUAGUGCUUGCUGCAGCUCCACCUCACUACCCUUUCCUACCCAUAAGCUUAAAUAGUCUUGAUCUCGUGGGUGUGAGAUUGCUGAGUCCUCGUGACUCACAGAUUCUUCCAAAACCAGUUACAGGUGACGAUGAUACCAAUGCAGGUGACGCAACCCAGCUCAAGUGGGAGCUCAAUGAAGACCGUGUUCGUUGUGUUGUUUCGUUUCCUUUCGAUCAGUACUGGAGCCCAGUUGGGGCGAUUGGGGAUCUAGCAUUAGGGGUGAUCUUCUUUUAUUUUGGUUCCGUAGUCGGUCCUUGAUUGUAUUCUGGAUGAUGUAAUGCUAUAUUUAUGUAUUGUGUGAAGUGGCGAUUGUAAGCCAACUCUUUAUCCCUUUCUUAUUCAGCACAUGGGAUGUGUAAAGAUUACCCCUCUUGCGACAUGCCUACUAUGUGGUUAUGCCUCUAAGUCGUGCUCCGACACAUGGGAGAUAUAGCCGCAUCGUGGGCGUUACAGGGGUGGGGCAGGCUGGGGCCCCCACGAGCCCCUUUAGUCCCAGUUUGUAUCACAAACCAGGACUAGAGGUAGACCUCUAGUCCUGGUUUUUAUAACCAACCGGGACUAAAGAUGUCCCUAUAUAAAGUCUUUGUCCAGCCCGAGCCCAUUCUCUGUUUUCUCCUUUCCCCUCUCUGUUCUCCCCCUUAGCUUGAGCUCAUCCUCCAUUUUUUGCCAAGAUUUGAGGCACCCCAUCCCUCCAAGUGUUCACAAAGGUUAGAAACUUUGUCCUUUCAUCUCUCAUUGCUAGAUUAAUUAGCUCGUGCAAUGCUCUAUAAGUAUAGUGAUUUGUGGGUUUUAGUUUGGGAGUAAUUAUGUGGGACUUUAUUUGAUGUAUAUGCAAUUUAAGCUCAAAUUAACUUCUUAGUUUGCAAAUUUACUUAGUGCCUUACUGUCCCCGUCCUAACCACCGUUGACCGCGCGCACUAUCCCGUCACCGGCACCACCUUGGUGAGCCUCUUGUUCUUAUCUUUUUUAUAAAAAAAUCUUAUUUGUACGAUUUAGAUAGUUACUUGUAUAAUUUUCUUACUUGUAUGAUUGUUUGUUAUACAUAGUGCCAUGGUCUUGAUAUCCGUCCCCAUCAGCCCUCGUCUGGUUUAUGAUUCAGAUGUGGUAUAUUCUCUUUUAUAACUAUUUGUUGCAUUUCACGUUUAUGACAAUUAUGCCCAUCAAGUUGACAUAGAUAUUUUUAUCUAGGAGGUAUGUGAGCCGGAAAUUGCAACCGACCCUCUUGUCGAGAAGUUAAAUUUAGUUGAAAAAUAAAAUGUGUAUUUGAAAGAAAAAUUGAGAAGAAUUGAAGAAGAGAAGAUGAAAUUGGAGUUGUAUGUUGCCUAUGUCGUCGAUGAUCACAACAUCAAGAUGGAUGCAAUGCGCUUGAAGAUUAGAAAGAUUAGAAAAUAUGCCGUUAAUAAAGAGUCUUGGUAUCACUAUGAUGUUGGAUCAAUUGUUACCUUAGUUGCGAUCUUGAUCGCAUUUGUUGUUGCAUUUUAAAUGCUUUAGCUAGAUAUUUGUAUGUUGUUUUAUGGGAAUUAGUGUGUAUGAACUUGUAUUAAUUUGGUCUUUUCGGUGUUGUGUAAUGAAGAUGAGCCGGCAAUGGAUGUACGACGACUGAUGCUCUCCCUAGUUCAUUGAUGGCACGCAUAGUUUUCUACAUGCGGUUGAGGCAAACAAGCGGGGUAGUUUUAUGUGUUGCCCAUGUGUUGUCUGUAAGAAUGAUAACAAUUACUCUAGCUCAACAGUCAUUCACAUCCACCUAUUUACGUCCGUCUAUAAUUGUUGGACCAAGCACGGAGAAAGAGGGUUUCUAAUAGAAGAUAAUUAAGAAGAAGAGGAUGAUUGUAGCUAUCUGAUGUCUACUACGCAACUUUAUUCUUUUAGACACGUGUUGGGCCUCCAAGCGCAGAAUUUUGUAGGACAGUAGCAAUUUUCCCUCAAGUGUAUGAACUAAGGUUUAUCGGUCCAUGGGAGGCGUAGGAUGAAGAUGGUCUUUCUCAAGAAACCUUGCAAUCAAAUACAAGAAAUCUCUUGUGUCCCCAACACACACAAUACAAUGGCAAUUUGUAUAGGAAAAGGAUUAAAAACAGCUGGAUGAUUUUGGCGCAGCGCAAGCCACCUCUAAUGCUUGACACGCGUCCGUGUGAGGGACCGCCAUCGCUUGACUCUUCCACACGAGAGAAGCUCAUCCACUCAUUUUUCUUCCUUCUUGCCUCAUCCACUCGUAAACUUCUUCGUCUCCCUCUUGAUUUGCUUUUUUCUCUGGCAAGAAGCAAGGUCGCGCACGACGAUGACCCCUCCGACACCACGUGCAUCAGUGUCGUUGCUGCUGCAAGGUCCGCCAUUGCCACCGCAUGCUGCAUCGUAGCAUCUCCGCACGCCGUAGUAUGUGCUGCGUCACAGCUUUCGCCGUCAUCGUCGCUCUCGCAGGCUUUGUCGCAGGACCUCGUCGGUGUCGCGCAGUGUUGCAGUGAAGCUUCGUCAGUGAGUGCCAUGGCGGAGCUUUGAUUGGGCAGCCAUGCGCUGGUGACAUUGCAGUGAAGCGUCGAGGCGGCCGUCGGGGUGCUGUGAUAGAGCAUCGCCAUGCAGGUGGUGACGCCGCAACGAAACAUCACCAUGGUUGCCAUGAAGCACCGUCGGAGCUGCUGUGAAGCGCUGCGAGGGUCAUGGAGCUCCGUCGAGAUUGCAAUGAAGCGCCGUCGAGCAUCACCGGAGCUGCAGUGAAGCGCCACGGGGGUCAUUGGAGCUCCAGCGAGGUUGCCAUGAAGCGUCGCCGGGGGCCGCAAGGGUCGUUGGAGCUCCGCCGAGGUUGCAAUGAAGCACAGUUGAGUGUCGCCGCAGCUGCAGUGAAGUGCCACGGGGGUCGUUGGAGCUCUGGCGAGGUUGUAAUGAAGCGCAGCCGGGCAUGACGGGAGCUGUAGUGAGGCGCCGUGGAGGUCGUUGGAGCUCCGGCGAGGUUGCAGUGAAGUGCCGUCGGGCACCGCCGGAGCUGCAGUGAGGCGUUGUGUGGUCCUUGGAGCUCUGGCGCCGGUCAGUGUUGCGAGGUGUUGCCAUGGAACUACUGCGCUGCGUGGUGCUGUCCACGGGGGCUGGCUGAUCAUACGGAUGUGGAGCCUCUGGUUGGACGGCUGUGGAGGCGACUUAUUUUUGACUAAAAUCAUCCGGAUGAAUUGUAGUAGUCGCCAUUUGUAUAAGUGCACUAGUUCAGCGAAGAGAUGGUGAUAAAAGUGUAAUAUGGAUGGUAGAAAUAUAUUUUUAUAAUCUGAAUAAAUAAAAACAGCAUGGUAGCAAAUAGUAAAUGGGCACAAAAAUGGUGUUGCAAUGCUUGAAAAUGAGGCCUAGGGUCCGUACUUUCACUAGUGCAAUCUCUCAACACUGCUAAUAUAAUUGGAUCAUAUAACCACCCCUCAAAGUGCGACGAAAAAUCACUCCAAAGUUCUUAUCUAGUCGAGAACAUAAGAAGAAAUUGUUUGUAGAUAUUCUUUCCGAUCGAUCUAUCCAAGAGUUCGUACUAAAAUAACACCAAGUUAUUCUUUCUAAUUGAUCUAUCAAGAGUUCGUACUAAAAUAACACUAAGUUAUUCUUUCCGAUCGAUCUAUCAAGAGUUCGUACUAAAAUAACACCAAAGCAAAUUCAGAUUCAUAAUACUCAAUCCAACAUAAAGAACCUCAAAGAGUGCCCCAAGAUUUCUACUGGAGAAACAAAAGACGAGAACGUGCAUCAACCCUUGUGCAUAAAUUACCCCAAUGUCACCUCGGGAAUCUGCGAGUUGAGUGCCAAAACAUAUACCUAGUGAAUCAAUAUGAUACCCCAUUGUCACCAUGAGUAUUCAUUUGCAAGACAUAUAUCAAGUGUUCUCAAAUCCCUAAAAGUAUUCAAUCCGAUAACAACGAAAUCUCAAAGGGAAAUACUCAAUUCAUCACAACAAGAUAGAGAGGGGAAAACACCAUAUGAUCCGACUAUAUUAAAAAGCCCACGAUACAUCAAGAUCGUGACAUCUCAAGAACAUGAGAGAGAGAGAGAGGGAGAGAGAUUAAACACAUAGCUACUGGUACAAACCCUCAACCCCGAGGGUGGACUACUCCCUCCGCAUCGUGGUGGCCGCCGAGAAGAUGAAGAUGGCCAUCGGAGACGAUUCCCCCCUCCGGCAGGGUGCCGGAAUGGGUCUAGAUUGGUUUUCGGUGCCUAUAGAGUCUUGCGGUGGCGGAACUUCUGAUCUAGGUAUGUUUCAUAUGGUUUCUCUAUUUAUAGGAAUUUUUGGCAUUGGUUUCAUGGUAAGAUGGGCCUCGAGGUGAGCACAACCCACCGGGGUAAGUCAGGCCCACCAGGCGCACCCUUGUGGCUUGUGUCCUCCUCGUGGCUCUUCUGGCCCUCCCACGAAGCUUCGAGGGUCUCUUUUGUUCCAAAAAAUCGUCAAAAAGUUUUAGCUCAUUUGGAGAACUUUCAUUUCUGCACAAAAAACAACACCACGGUAGUUCUGCUGAAAAUAGCGUCAGUCCGGGUUAGUUCCAUGCAAAUCAUACCAAAACCAUAUAAAAUUCGUGUAAACACGACAUGAAUACUUCAUAAGUUAUAGAUACGUUGGAGACGUAUCAGCAUCCCAAGCUUAAAUCCUACUCGUCCUUGAGUAGGUAAAUGAUAAAAGAAAUAAUUUAUGAAGUGUGAAUGCUAGCAAAGUGCAUAAGUUUGAUCAAUGAUAAUUUCAAUCACUUUUCCUAGCAUCAUAACAACAGCACUUUCUCAUAAAACUUAUCAUGAUAAAGUAGCAAUUGAAAAUAGAAUUUUUUUUGUGGAAUGAUACCUAUCAUAUUCAUCAUAUACUCUUUUCUUUUGUAGCAUGGACAUUUGGAAUUGAAUGAUUCAAAGCAAUAGUCUAUAAUUUGACAUGAGGACAUCAAUACUCAAGCAUAUCAACAAGCAACCAUGUCUUUCAAAAUAUCAACACUAAGCUAUCGCUAGCCCAUCAUGCUCAAUCAUUGAUCCAUUCAUGAAACACACUCGCAUAUUAGCUACAUCCAAUGCUCAAGUACGAUCAUAGUGCCCCUUAGUUGGUGCUUUAUAAGAGAAGAUGGAGACUCAAAUAAAAAUAAAAAUUGCAUAAAGUAAAUAGAUAGGCCCUUCGUAGAGGGAAGUAGGGAUUUGUAGAGGUGCUAGAGCUCAAAGCGAAAAUUGAGAGAUACAAACAUUUUGAGAGGCGUACUUUUCCCACCAACGAAAAUGACUUAGAGCUCCCAACACUUUCCAUGAUAGAUAUAUCAUAGGCGGUUCCCAAACAGAAAAUAAAGUUUAUUCCUUUUUCAACCAUACUUUCACUUUCCGUGGCUAACCGUAUGCACGGGUGCCCUCCAUACCAACGUUUUCCAAGGAAUUUAUUAUUUGACAACAUAAAGUAAAUUCAUUUUUCAUUUCGGGACUGGGCAUCCCUAAUACCUUUGCCUUACUCUCGUGCAAUGACAAGUGAAUAAACACUCAUCGUGAGAAUAACACAUCUAGCAUGGAAAAUAUUGGCCACCCCUCAUCGCCUCAUGAGUGGUACGAGCACACAAAAGAAAAUUUUAUUUUGAAAAUUAGAGAUGGCACAUACAAAUUUUCUUAGAAUGACAAAAGAAUACCGCAUAUAGGUAGGUAUGGUGUACUCAUGUGGCAAAACUGGUUUAAAGGAUUUUGGAUGCACAAGUAGUGAUCAUACUUAGUGCAAAAUGAAGGCUAGCAAAAGAUUGAGAAGAGACCAACCAAGAAACGAAUAAUCUCAUAACCGAGCAUUGAGCAUAAUUAACAAUGAAUAAUGGACCACAAGUAGGAUGUAAUUUCAUUGCAUAACUACUGACUUUCGUGCUUGCAUAGGGAAUCACAAACCUUAACACCAAUAUUCUUACUAAAGCAUAAUUACUCAUCAACAUGACUCACAUAUCAUAUCAUCAUAUCUCACAGCUAUCACAAGGAAUCAAGUUUAUUUUGUCCAAUGAUCUUCAUGAAAGUUUUUAUUAUAUCCUUCUUGGAUAUCUAUCACUUUGGGACAAAUUUUCAAGUGUUGCUUUUGAUAAGCUCAAAAAAAAUAAGUGAAGAUCAUAAGCAUAAUAUUUAUUUCACUCAAAUUAAUGUAAGUGAAGCAAGAGAGAAUUUCUACAAAAAUAUUAAAGCACACCAUGCUCAAAAAGAUAUAAGUGAAGCUCUAUAGCAAAUGACAAACUACUCCAAAAAGAUAUAAGUGAAGAUCAAGCGAGUAGUUAAGUAAAUAGGUAGCUAAUUGUGAACUCUCUGUUAUUUAAAAACUUUCAGAUCUAAGUAUUUUACUAAAAUAGCAAGCAAAAACAAAAUAAAAUGACUAUCUAAGAAUAGCACACAUCAUGUGAAGAAGCAAAAAACUUAGGCUCAACCGAUACUAACCGAUAAUUGUUGAAGAAGAAAGGUGGGAUGCCUACCGGGGCAUCCCCAAGCUUAGAUGCUUGAGACUUCUUGAAAUAUUAUCUUGGCAUGCCUUGGGCAUCCCCAAUAUUGAGCUUUUGUGUCUCCUUAAUUCUUCUCAUAUCACAGUUUUCCUAAAUCUUAAAAGCUUCAUCCACACAAAACUCAACAAGAACUCGUGAGAUAAGUUAGUAUAAACUAAUGCAAAAACUUUAUCAUUCUCUACUGUAGAAAAUCACUAAAAUUAUUAUUAAACAUUGCAUACUAAAUUCCUUUGCAUAUUUAAUACUCCUAUCCUCAAAUAGUAUCAUUAAACAAGCAAACAUAGGCAAACAAUGCAAACAUAACAACAAUCUGCCAAAACGGUACCAUUUGUAAAGAAUGAAAUAGCAUCAAUACUUCUUAAACUCAAAAGGUUAUUAAAAUUUACCACAAUGUAUAAAAUUUAUCAGAGCUUAUUUUGCAAAAAGUUUCAACAUUUUAUCACAUUCUGACUUUUCUAGAGAAUUUUUGCAACAGCGAUAAACUUUCUGUUUUGAAACAGAAACUCAUAAACUUGCAAGAUAAGCAUGGUAAAGGCUAUCCUUGGCAUUUUUAUUGAAAAGAAACAUGCAAAACAUUAUUCUAAAUAACAGAAAGAAGAUACAAAUAAAAUAAAAUGACGCUCCAAGCAAAACUCAUAUCAUGUGAUGAACGAAAAUAUAGCUCCAAGUGAGGUUACCGAUAAUGUUGGAGACUAAAGAGGGGAUGCCUUCCGGGGGAUCCCCAAGCUUAGUUGCUUGGAUCUUACUUGAAUAUUACAUUGGGGUGCCUUGGGAAUCCCCAAGCUUAGGGUCUUGUCACUCCUUAUUCUUCUCAUAUCGACAUCUCACCCAAAACUUGAAAAAUUCAAUCACAAAAAACUUAAUGGAACUUCGUGAGAUAUGUUAGUAUGAUAAAGAGCAAACCAUUUCACUUUGGGACUGUCAAAGACAAGAUUCAUAAUUGUUUCGACACAAUGCCUACUGUAGAAUAUCAUUUCCACAAUUUAUAUUGAGAAAUAUAAGCCAUAGGAACUAGAAAAAAGCAAACUAUGCAUUGGAAAUAGAAUCUAUCAAAAAUAGAACAGUCUGUAGUAAUCUGUACUCCAACCAUAUUUCUGCUACUCCAAAAUUUUUGAAAAUUUAGGAAAACCUGUACAAUUUGUCUAUCAAUCUUAUGCAGAAAUAAUCAGCAUUUUAUCAUGCUUCUGUUAAAAAAGAGAAUUGUUUUCCUGAGUGCAAAAGUAUAUGUUUUUCAGCAAGGUCAAAUCAACUAUCACCGUAAGCCAUCCCAAAGGGCUUACUUGGCACUUUAUUGAAACAAAAGCAAUAAAACAUGAUUACUACAGUAGCCUAAUCAUGUGAACACACAAAAAUAGUAGGUAAAAGUUUUGGUUUGUCUCCCAAGAAGUUCCUUUUUAAUGCCUUUUAGCUAGGCAUGAUGAAUUCAAUGAUGCUCGCAUAAAAGAAAAGGAUUGAAACAUGAAAAGGAGCAUCAUGAAGCAUAUGACUAGCCAUUUAAGCCUAACCCACUUACUAUGCAUAUGGAUUUUGUGAGAAAACAAUUCAUGGAAGCAAGAAUCAACUAGCAUUGGAAGGCAAAACAAGUGCAACUUCAAAACUUUCAACACAUAGAGAGGAAACUUGAUAUUAUUGAGAUACGUUAAAGCAUGUGUUCCUCUCUCAUAAUAAUUUUCGGUAGCAUCAUGAAUGAAUUCAACAAAAUAGCUAUCACAUAAAGCAUUCUUUUCAUGAUGCAUAAGCAUAGAAAUUUUAUUACUGUCCACAUAACCAAAAUUAUUCUCAUGUAUAGUAGUGGGAGCAAACACAACAAAAUAACUAUCAUGGGAUUGAAAAUAAGAAUCAUGAUGACAAGUUUCAUGCUUAUAAUUAUUCUCUAUAACAUAUAUGUCAUCACCAUAAUCAUCAUAGAUAGAAACUUUGUUGUCACAAUCAAUUGAAACCUCUUUCAAAAUAGUGUAUUCAUCACUAAAUAAAGUCACGACCUCUCCAAAUCCAGUUUCAUCAAUAUAAUCAUCGUAAAUAGGAGGCAUGCUAUCAAUAUAAAAAAUUUGCACAUCAAAUCUUGGGGGAAUAAAAAUAUCAUCUUCAUCAAACAUAACAUCCCCAAGCUUAUGGCUUUGCAUAUCAUUAGCAUCAUGCAUAUUCAAAGAAUUCAUACUAACAACAUUGCAAUCAUGUUCAUCAUUUAUACCAAACAUUCUAUUGAAUUCUUCUUCUAUCAAUUGAGCACAGUUUUCUUUUCCAUCAUUUUCAUGAAAGAUAUUAUAAAGAUGAUCAAUAAUAUGAUGCAACCUCAAUUCGUUUUUAUGUAGUUUUCUUUUAUAAUCCAAACUAGUGAUAAAACAAGAAUCUAAAAGAUUCAAUUGCAGGAUCUAAAGAUAUACCUUCAAGCACUCACCUCCUUGGCAACGGUGCCAGAAAAGAGCUUCGUUGACAGGAUGUGAGUGCCGCUUACCUAAGCUCCCCAGCAACGGCCCCAGAAAAGAGAUUGAUGUCUACUACGCAACUUUAUUCUUGUAGACACGUGUUGGGCCUCCAAGCACAGAGUUUUGUAGGACAGUAGCAAUUUUCCCUCUAGUGGACGACCUAAGGUUUAUCAAUCCGUGGGAGGCGUAGGAUGAAGAUGGUCUCUCUCAAGCAACCCUGCAAUCAAAUACAAGAAAUCUCUUGUGUCCCCAACACACCCAAUACAAUGGCAGUUUGUAUAGGUGCACUAGUUCGGCGAAGAGAUGGUGAUAAAAGUGUAAUAUGGAUGGUAGAAAUAUAUUUUUAUAAUCUGAAUAAAUAAAAACAGCAAGGUAGCAAAUAGUAAACGGGCACAAAAACGGUAUUGCAAUGCUUGAAAAUGAGGCCUAGGGUCCGUACUUUCACUAGUGCAAUCUCUCAACAGUGCUAAUAUAAUUGGAUUAUAUAACCACCCCUCAAAGUGCGAUGAAGAAUCACACCAAAUUAAAGUUCUUAUCUAGCGGAGAACAUAAGAAGAAAUUGUUUGUAGCUUUUCUUUUCGAUCGAUCUAUCCAAGGGUUCGUACUAAAAUAACACCAAGUUAUUCUUUCUGAUUGAUCAAUCAAGAGUUCGUACUAAAAUAACACUAAGUUAUUCUUUCCGAUCGAUCUAUCCAAGGGUUCAUACUAAAAUAACACCAAGUUAUUCUUUCUGAUUGAUCAAUCAAGAGUUCGUACUAAAAUAACACUAAGUUAUUCUUUCCGAUCGAUCUAUCAAGAGUUCAUACUAAAAUAACACCAAAGCAAAUUCAGAUUCAUAAUACUCAAUCCAACAUAAAGAACCCCAAAGAGUGCCCCAGGAUUUCUACCGGAGAAACAAAAGACGAGAAUGUGCAUCAACCCCUAUGCAUAGAUUACCCCAAUGUCACCUCGGGAAUCCGCGAGUUAAGUGCCAAAACAUAUACCAAGUGAAUCAAUAUGAUACCCCAUUGCCACCAUGAGUAUUCAUUUUCAAGACAUAUAUCAAGUGUUCUCAAAUCCAUGAAAGUAUUCAAUCCGAUAACAACGAAAUCUCAAAGGAAAAAACUCAAUUCAUCACAACAAGAUAGAGAGGGGAAAACACCAUAUGAUCCGACUAUAUUAACAAAGCCCGCGAUACAUCAAGAUCGUGACAUCUCAAGAACACGAGAGAGGGAGAUUAAACACAUAGUUACUAGUUCAAACCCUCAGCCCUGAGGGUGGACUACUCCCUCCUCAUCGUGGUGGCCACCGGAAUGAUGAAGAUGGACACCGGAGAUGAUUCCCCCCUCCGGCAGGGUGCCGGAACGGGUCUAGAUUGGUUUUCGGUGGCUACAGAGCCUUGCGGUGGCAGAACUUCUGAUCUAGGUUUAUUUCUGAUGGUUUCUCUAUUUAUAGGAAUUUUUGGUGUUGGUUUCAUGCUAAGAUGGGCCUCGAGGUGAGCACAACCCACCGGGGCAAGCCAGGCCCACCAGGCGCGCCCUGGUGGUUUGUGCCCUCCUCGUGGCUCUUCCGGCCCUCCCACAAAGCUUCGGGGUUCUCUUUUGUUCCAAAAAAAUCAUCAAAAAGUUUCAUCUCAUUUGGAGAACGUCCAUUUCUGCACAAAAAAACAACACCACGGUAGUUCUGCUGAAAACUGCGUCAGUCUGGGUUAGUUCCAUGCAAAUCAUACCAAAACCAUAUAAAAUUGUUGUAAACAUGGCAUGAAUACUUCAUAAAUUAUAGAUACGUUGGAGACGUAUCACUAUCCUGGGUUCCUUGAAUAGGAUGGUAUACAAUGGGGGCAGAAGUUGAAGAAGAGGCAUCAGAUGAGCCCGCUGAUGAUCUUGGUCGGGCCAUUGCUGAUGCAAAGAGAAACUGUGCAAGUGAAAAGGAGAAGUUGAACUUGCAGCGUAUGUUAGAGGAUCACAAGAAAUUAUUGUACCCAAAUUGUGAAGAUGGCAAGAAAAAGCUGGGUACCCCACUGGAGUUGAUGCAAUGGAAAGCAGAGAAUGGUGUAUCUCACAAGGGAUUUGAAAAGUUGCUGAAAAUGUUAAAGAAUAUGCUUCCAAAGGACAACAAAUUGCCUGACAGUACAUAUGAAGCAAAGAAGGUUGUCUGCCCUCUAGGAUUAGAGGUGCAGAAGAUACAUGCAUGUCCUAAUGACUGCAUGCUCUACCGCCGUGAGGAGUAUGAGAAUUUGAAUGCAUGUUCGGUAUGCGGUGCAUUGCGCUAUAAGAUCAGCUGCAAUGACCCUGGUGAUGUUGAGGCCGAGCGCCCCAGGAAGAGGAUUCCUGCCAAGGUGAUGUGGUAUGCUCCAAUAAUACCAUGGUUGAAACGUUUGUUCCAAAACAAAGAGCAUGCCAAGUUGACACGAUGGCAAAAAGAAGAGCGUAAGAAAGACGGGAAGUUGAGAGUACCCGCUGAUGGGUCGCAGUGGAGAAAAAUCGAGAGAAAGUGGCCGGACUUUGCAGGUGAUGCAAAGAACUGUUGAUUUGAUUUAAGUGCAGAUGGCAUUAAUCCUUUUGGAGAGCACAGCAGCAACCAUAGCACCUGGCCUAUGACUCUAUAUAUCUAUAACCUUCCUCCUUGGUUGUGCAUGAAGCGGAAGUUCAUUAUGAUGCCAAUGCUCAUCCAAGGCCCCAAGCAACUCGGCAACGACAUUAAUGUGUACCUAAGGCCAUUAGUUGAAGAACUUUUAUAGUUGUGGGAUAAAAAAGGUGUAUGUGUGUGGGGUGAGCACAAACAGCAGGAAUUUGACCUACGAGCGUUGUUGUUUGUAAUCAUCAAUGAUUGGCCUGCUCUUAGUAACCUUUCAGGACAGACAAACAAGGGAUACCACGCAUGCAUGCACUAUUUAAAUGAUAUCCAAAGUGUAUAUUUGGAUAGAUGUAAGAAGAAUGUGUACCUGGGACAUCGUCGAUUUCUUCCGAUCAAGCAUCUCCUAAGAAAGAAAGGCAAGCAUUUCAAAGGUGAGGGAGAUCACCAGAAGAAGCCUGACCACCGUACUGGUGACCACAUACUUGAUAUGGUCAAGGAUUUAAAAGUAAUCUUUGGAAAGGGUCCUGGCAGACAAUCUGAUAUGAAUGAUGCUGACGGACAUGCACUCAUGUGAAAGAAGAAAUCUAUAUUUUGGGACCUACCCUAUUGGGAAGUCCUAGAGGUCCGCUCUGCAAUCAACAUGAUGCACGUGACGAAGAAUCUUUGCGUGAACCUUAUAAGAUUCUUGGGCGUGUAUGGGAAGACAAAAGAUACACCAGAGGCACGGGAGGACCAGCAAUGUAUGCACGAAAAAGACGGCCUGCAUCCAAAGCAGUAUCAAGGUCCUGCCAGCUACGCUCUAACCAUAGAAGAGAAGGAAAUCUUCUUUGAAUGCCUGCCCAGUAUGAAGGCCCCGUCUGGCUACUUGUCGAAUAUAAAGGGAAUAAUAAAUAUGGCAGAGAAAGCAUUAUAGAACCUAAAGUCUCAUGACUGCCACGUGAUUAUGAUGCAAUUGCUUCCGGUUGCAUUGUGGGGGCUUCUACCGGAAAACAUUCGAUUAUCCAUUAUGAAGCUAUGUGUAUUCCUCAAUGCAAUCUCUCAGAAGGUAAUCGAUCCAGAAAUCCUACCAAGGUUACAGAAUGAUUUGGUGCAAUGUCUUGUCAAUUUCGAGUUGGUGUUCCCACCAUCCUUCUUCAAUAUCAUGACGCACGUCCUAGUUCACCUAGUCAACGAGAUUGCCAUUAUGGGUCCUGUGUUUCUACACAAUAUGUUCCCCUUUGAGAGGUUCAUGGGAGUUUUAAAUAAAUAUGUUCAUAACUAUGCUAGGCUAGAAUGCCACUGUUGGGGAACGUAGUAAUUUCAAAAAUUUCCUACGCACACACAAGGAUCAUGGUGAUGCAUAGCAACGAGAGGGGAGAGUGUUGUCUACGUACCCUCGUAGACCGUAACAGGAAGCGUUUAUCAACGCGGUUGAUGUAGUCGUACACCUUCACGAUCCAUCCUGAUCAAGUACCAAACGUACGGUACCUCCACGUUUAGCACGCGUUCAGCUCGAUGACGUCCUCGCCUUCUCGAUCCAGUAAGAGGGGCAAAGUAGUAGAUGAGUUCCGACAGCACGACGGCGUGGUGACGGUGUUGGUGAAGAACAAUCUCCGCAGGGCUUCGCCUAAGCACUACAAAAACUAUGACAAAGGAUAAACUAGAGGGGACUGGGUAGCCGGCACACGGCUUGGUGUUUCUUGAUGUGUCUUGGGUGCUAGCCCUACCCCUCUAUUUAUAUGUUGAGCCUUGGGGUCGAAACUUGGAGUAAAAGUCUCCACAAAGUCGGUUUCACUCGAAAGGCAAGAGUCCUUCUCGGACUCCAGGGCCAGACGCCAGGGUUCUAGGCAUCUGGACCCAGACGCUAAGGACCCUGGCGUCUGGCCCAUGGACUCCACAAAACUUCCUUUUGAGCUUUCCAAAAACCUUGUGGGCUUUCCCCUUUGGCCCAAAUAAAGUGUUCUCGUACCCAAACAUUUCGGGAAACAUCCGGAACCCCUUCCGGUGAAUUCCGGAGUCCAAACACUAUUAUCCCAUAUAUCAAUCUUUAUCUCUGGACCAUUCCGGAGUUCCUCGUCUUGUCCGUGAUCUUAUCCGGAACUCCGAACAACAUUCGGUCACCAACAUACAUAAAUCAUAGUACUAUAUCAUCAACAAACGUUAAGCGUGCGGACCCUAUGGGUUCGAGAACUAUGUAGACAUGGCCGAGACACCUCUCUGGUCAAUAACCAAUAGCGGGACCUGGAUGCCCAUAUUGGCUCCUACAUAUUCUACGAAGAUCUUUAUCGGUCAGACCGCAUAACAACAUACGUUGUUCCCUUUGUCAUCGGUAUGUUACUUGCCCGAGAUUGGAUCGUCGGUAUCUCAAUACCUAGUUCAAUCUCGUUACCGGCAAGUCUCUUUACUCAUUCCGUAAUACAUCAUCCCGCAACUAACUCAUUAUUUGCAAUGCUUGCAAGGCUUAUAGUGAUGUGCAUUAGCGAGUGGGCCCAGAGAUACCUCUCUGACAAUCGGAGUGACAAAUCCUAAUCUCGAAAUAUGCCAACCCAACAAGUACCUUCGGCGACACCUGUAGAGCACCUUUAUAAUCACCCAGUUAUGUUGUGAUGUUUGGUGGCACGCAAAGUGUUCCUCCGGUAAACGGGAGUUGCAUAAUCUCAUAGUCAUAGGAACAUGUAUAAGUCAUGAAGAAAGCAAUAGCAACAAACUAAACGAUCAAGUGCUAAGCUAACGGAAUGGGUCAAGUCAAUCACAUCAUUCUUCUAAUGAUGUGAUCCCGUUAAUUAAAUGACAAAUCAUGCCUAUGGUUAGGAAACUUAACCAUCUUUGAUCAACGAGCUAGUCAAGUAGAGGCAUACUAGUGACACUCUGUUUGUCUAUGUAUUCACACAUGUAUUAUGUUUCUGGUUAAUACAAUUCUAGCCUGAAUAAUAAACAUUUAUCAUGAAAUAAGGAAAUAAAUAAUAACUUUAUUAUUGUCUAGGGAAUAUUUCCUUCAGAAGCAUCUCCAAGGGCCAUGAAACAAAGGAGGUCAUUGAGUUUUGUGUUGACUUUAUUCCUGACCUUAAGCCGAUUGGUGUUCCUGAAUCACUGCAUGAGGGCCAACUGGGUGGAAAAGGCACGCUAGGAAAGGAUUAAGUAAUAUGUAUGGACGGGCAUUCUUGGGCGCAAGCACACUGCACUGUUCUACAAAAUUCCACCUUGGUGGCUCCGUAUAUCGAGGAACACAUGGAUAUUGUAUGCUCCAAGAACCUGGAGCAGUCUAAGCCCUGGAUCAAACAUACACACAUGGUGUCAUUCGGCAGUUGGUUGCAAACACGUCUCAUGCAUGACGACGCUGUUGGAGAUGAGUUGUACUUGCUGGCCAAGUCACCAUCUUCGGCUAUAUUGACUUUCAAAGGGUACGAGAUAAAUGGGAAUACAUUUUACACGAUCGCCCAAGAUAAAAAGAGCACCAACAAAAAUAGUGGUGUCCGCUUUGAUGCAGCAAACACCAAUAGGCAAAAGGACACAUAUUAUGGUUACAUAGAGGAUACAUGGGAACUUGACUAUGGACGUGAUUUGAAGGUGCAAAUGGGUCAAUCUGACAGGAGGCAGGGUAAAGGAAGACCCGCGAUAUGGAAUGAAAAUAGUGGAUCUCAACAAUCUUGGGUACACAGACGGACCAUUCGUCCUAGCCAAUGAUGUGGCGUGGGUUUUCUAUGUGAAGGACAUGUCUACCAAGCCGAGAAAAAGAAAAGAUAAGGAAGCGAGUACAUGAUACGAUGAGCCAAAGUUCCACAUAGUUCUUUCAGGGAAAAGAAACAUCGUGGGAGUGGAGGACAAGACAGACAUGUCAGAGGAUUAUGUAAAGUUUCAUGAAAUUGCUCCCUUCAUUGUGAAGACUGACCUAAGCAUCUCGUUAAAUGGUGAAGAAUGUCCAUGGUUAUGGUGCAAAGGGACACACAGGAAGAAAAAGUUUUAUACCCCAAGAUCCCACUAUGGGAUGUGACCGGCUUCACCAUCAUCGCUUUCUUAUCUAGUGAGUUUCCUUACUUAUCUAGAAAGUCCCACUUUGGACAACCCGGAGGGAAUCUUUGUAAUAGUUGGGGUAUAUAUGUAUUUUGGCAUUUGAAACAGGAAGAAACAUUACGUAGGAAUUAAUAAAUACAAUUAUGUCCAAACAAAAUAUUUCACUAUGUAUUUUGCAAGGUUGACCAUACGCGGUUAGCCACGUCAUCAAAUUUCAACCCUUUCUGACUUCAUUUGCUAUUUUUUGAGCUAAAUGACCCUGAAAUUGAAAAGCCUACAAAUGAACUCUAAAAAGGCUAAAACUUGGCAUGGUAUCACCAUUUCACCCACAUAGCAUGUGCAAAAAAGUUUAGAGGGUUAUGGCAAAAACUGGACGCACUUCGUGUACAAACGGGACAAUCUCUUUCGAAGUAUCAAUGUUUCACACGAAAACUCAUCUGUUACAAAGGCAUUUCAUUUUCUUAAACUUAUUUUAAUUCCAUACUUUUUGUGCAUUCAAUAUGCACCAUUCAAAGCCAUGUCAUCAAUUUUCAACCCUUUCUGACUUCAUUUGCUAUUUUUCAUGCAUUUAUUGAUUUUUUUUAGCUAUAAAACUAAAAGAGCUAAACAGAAUCUGUUUUUGAUUAAAACACCUAUUUAAAAUAACCUAGAAUUUACAAAAUUGAACAUAAUGAUAAAACACACUAAUAUUAAAUAGCAGGAAAAAGAAACACUCAAAAAUCUGUUUUUAAAGUAAAGUUAUUCACAAACUAGUGGUUCACACAAAUUUCAAAGAAUUGAAAUUUAAACUAUUCAAAUUUGAAAACUACUAGCACUAACAUAUUUUUUAUAACUUUUAUGACCUAAAACAAAAAGAUACACUCAAAAACUCUAAAUAUUUGGCUGUAAGUAGAAACAAAAGGAAAAGAAGCAAAAAAACAGGAAAAAGACCUUUAGUCUCGGUUGCCACCACCAGCCGGGACUAAAGGGCCUCCUCCUGCGCUGAAUUUGGGCCGCCCCAAAAAAUCCCUUUAGUCCUGGCCCGUGGCUGAAACCAGGACUAAAGGUUGUUCCUUUAGUCCAGGUUCCAGCCACGCACAGGGACUAAAGGUCCUUUAGUCCCGGUGCGUGGUUGGAACCAGCACUGAAGGUCCAUUCUAUAUAACCUGGCACUUAGCGUUUUUAUCCUUGACACGUCUCCAACGUAUCUAUAAUUUUUUUUCUUAUUCCAUGUUGUUAUAUUAUCAUUCUUAGAUGUUUUACAAUCAUUUUAUAGCAACUUUAUAUCAUUUUUUGGGACUAAACUAUUGACAUAGUGUCCGGUGCAAGUUGCUGUUUUUUUGCUUGUUUUUCAUUUUGCAGAAUAUCAGUACCAAACGGAUUCCAAACGCAGUGAAACUUUUUGGAGAUUUUUUUGGACUAGAAGACAUCCAGUGGGCCAAAGAAGUACCAGAGGGGAGGCCCGAGGUGAGCACAAGACACCUGGGCGUGCCAUGAGGCCCAGGCACGCCCAGGUGGGUUGUGCCCCACCUCGGUGACCUCCCGCACCGCCUCUUCACCCUAGAAAUACCCCAAUAUUACAAAAACCCUAGGGAAGUCGAUGAAACACAAUUCCAGCCACCGCAAGUUCCAGAACCACGAGAUUCAAUCUUGACACCAUCAUAGAGGGGUUCAUCAUCCUCAUUGAUGCCUCUCCGAUGAUGCGUGAGUAGUUCACCAUAGACCUACGGGUCCAUAGGCAAUAGCUAGAUGGCUUCCUCUCUCUUUUUGAUUCUAAUACAAUGUUCUCCUAGAGACCUAUUUGAUGUAACUCUUUUUUGCAGUGUGUUUGUUGGGAUCCGAUGAAGUUUGAGUUUAUGAUCAGAUCUAUAUCCAUGAAAGUUAUUUGAGUUUUCUUUGAUCUCUUAUAUGCAUGAUUACUUAUAGCCUCAUAUUUAUUCUUUGAAUCUUUGGUUUAGUUAGGCCAACUGGAUCGAUUUUUCUUGCCAUGGGAAGAUGUUCUUUGUGAUGGGUUCGAUCGUGCGGUGUUUUUUCCCUAUGACAGAAGGGGCAGCAAGACACGCAUGUAUCGUUGCUAUUAAGGAUAACAAAAUGGGAGAUAUUCCUACAUGAAUAGAUCUCGUCUACAUCAUGUCAUCAUUCUUAUUUCAUUACUCCAUUUCUCUAUGAACUUAAUACACUAGAUGCAUGCUGGAUAUAUAGUGGUCGAUGUGUGGAGUAAUAGUAGUAGGUGCAGGUAGGAGUCGGUCUACUAAUCUCGGACAUGAUGCCUAUAUAAUGAUCAUUGCCUGGAUAUCAUCAUAAUUAUUUGACCUUCUAUCAAUUGCCCAUCAGUAAUUUGUUUACCCACCGUGUGCUAUUUUCUCGAGAGAAGCCACUAGUGAAAUAUACGCCCCCGGGUCUAUUCUUUAUCAUAUUUGCUUUGAGAUCUAUUUUUAUUCGCUUUUAUUUUUAGAUCUAUUAUUCCAAAACCCCAAAAAUACCUUGCUGGACUUUUUAUUACUUAUUUUAUUUCGCGUUUUUCGAGAGCUAUUUAUCCAAUCUACCACAAAUUUAUCAAUCUUUUUCUGUGGAGGGAUUGACAACCCUCUUACGCAUCGGGUUGCAAGUAUUUGUUCUUCGUGUGCAGGUACCGAUUAUAUAGUGUUGCUUGGUUAUCCUACUAGAUUGAUACCUUGGUUUCAUAACUGAGGGAAAUACCUAUGCUCCCUCUUGAGCACUGCGUUGGUUUUCCCUUGAAGAGGAAAGGGUGGUGCAGUAAAGCAGCGUAAAUAUUUCCCUUGAUUUUUGAGAACCAAGGUAUCAAUCCAGUAGGAGACCACACGCGAGUCACCUCGUACCUACACAAACAAAUAAGAACCUCGCAACCAGCGUGAUAAAGGGGUUGUCAAUUCCUUCACGACCACUUGCAAGAGUGAGAUCUGAUAGAGAUGAUAAUAAUAAGAUAAGUAUUUUUGGUAUUUUUAUGAUAUAGAUUGAAAGUAAAGAUUGCAAAAUAAAAUAGAUUGGAAACUUGUAUGAUGGAAAAUAGACCCGGGGGCCAUAGGUUUCACUAGUGACUUCUCUCAAGAUAGCAUAAGUAUUACGGUGGGUGAACAAAUUACUAUCGAGCAAUUGAUAGAAAAGCGAAUAAUUAUGAGAAUAUCUAGGUAUGAUCAUGUAUAUAGGCAUCACGUCUGAGACAAGUACACCGACUCCUGCCUACAUCUACUACUAUUACUCCACUCAUCGACCGCUAUCCAGCAUGCAUCUAGAGUAUUAAGUUCAUAAGAACAGAGUAACGCCUUAAGUAAGAUGACAUGAUGUAGAGGGAUAAACUCAUGCAAUGUGAUGUAAACCCCAUCUUUUUAUCCUCGAUGGCAACAAUACAAUAUGUGUUGUUUCCCUUUCUAUCACUAGGAUCGAGCACCGCAAGAUUGAACCCAAAGCUAAGCACUUCUCCGUUUGCAAGAAAGAUCAAUCUAGUAGGCCAUACCAAACUGAUAAUUCGAAGAGACUUGCACAGAUAAACCAAUCAUACAUAAAAGAAUUCAGAGAAGAUUCAAAUAUUGUUCAUAGAUAAUCUGGAUCAUAAACCCACAAUUCAUCGAAUCUCGACAAACACACCGCAAAAGAAGAUUACAUCGAAUAGAUCUCCAAGAGAAUCAAGGAGAACUUUGUAUUGAGAUCCAAAGAGAGAUAAGAAGCCAUCUAGCUACUAGCUAUGGACCCGAAGGUCUAAAGUAAACUACUCACACAUCAUCGGAGCGGCCAUGGAGUUGAUGUAGAGGCCCUCCGUGAUCAAUGCCCCCUCCGGCGGAGCUCCAGAAAAGGCCCCAAGAUGUGAUCUCUUGGGUACAGAAGAUUGCAGCGGUGGAAAUAGGGUUUCGUGGUGCUCCUGGAUGUUUGCAGGGUAUGUGAACAUAUAUAGGAGGAAGAAGUAGGUCGGUGGAGUUACGAGGGGCCCAUGAGGGGGGAGGGCACGCCCUGGGGGCUAGGCUCGCCCCCCUACGUCGUGGCCGCUUUGUUGAUUGCUUGACGUCCACUCCAAGUCUUCUGGACCACGUUUGUUCCAAAAAUCACGUUCCCAAAGGUUUCAUUCCGUUUGGACUCCAUUUGAUAUUCCUUUUCUACGAAACACUAAAAUAGACAAAAACACAGCAAUUUGGGUUGGGCCUCCAGUUAAUAGGUUAGUCCCAAAAAUAAUAUAAAAGUGUAAAAUAAAGCCCAUUAACAUCCAAAACAGAUAAUAUAAUAGCAUGGAACAAUCGAAAAUUAUAGAUACGUUGGAGAUGUAUCAGCAUCCCCAAGCUUAAUUCAUGCUCGUCCUCGAGUAGGUAAAUGAUAAAAACAGAAUUUUUGAUGUGGGGUGCUUUCUAGAAUAUUCUUCAAUGUAUUUUUCUCUAUUGUGGCAUGAAUGUUCAGAUCUGAAAGAUUCAAGAUAAAAGUUUAUUGUUGACAUAAAAAUAGUAAUACUCCAAGUAUGCUGAUCAAGCAAUUAUGUCUUAUCAAAAUACCAUAGCCAAAGAAAACUUAUCCCUAUAAAGUCAUAUAGUUUGGCCAUGCUUCAUUUUCGUCACACAAAAUGCUCUCAUCAUGCACAACCCCGAUGACAAGCCAAGCAAUUGUUUCAUACUUAGCCUUUUCAAACUCUUUCAACUUUUACGCAAUAUAUGAGCGCGAGCCAUGGACAUAGCACUAUGGGUGGAAUAGAAUAUGAUGAUUGAGGUUGUGUGAGAAGACAAAAAGGGAGAAAGUCUCACAUUGACGUGGAUAAUCAAUGGGCUAUGGAGAUGCCCACCGAUUUAUGUCAAUGCAAGGAGUAGGGAUUUCCAUGCAACGGAUGCACUAGACCUAUAAAUAUAUGAAAGCUCAUCAAAGAAAUUAAGUGGGUGUGCAUCCAACUCGCUUGCUCAAGAAGACCUAGGGCAUUUGAGGAAGCCUGUCAUUGGAAUAUACAAGCCAAAUUCUAUAAUGAAAAAUUCCCACAAGUAUAUGAAAGUGAAAAAAUAAGAGAUUCUCUAUCAUGAAGAUCAUGGUGCUACUUUGAAGCACAAGUGUGGAAAAAGGAUAGUAACAUUUUCCCUUCUCUCUUUUUCUCUCAUUUUUUAUUUGGGCCUUCUUUUUUUGGCCUCUUUUCUUUCUUUCUUUUUUGUCCGGAGUCUCAUCCCGACUUGUUGGGGAAUCAUAGUCUCCAUCAUCCUUUCCUCACAUGGGACAAUGCUCUAAUGAUGAUCAUCACACUUUUAUUUUCUUACAACUCAAGAAUUACAAUUUGAUACUUAGAACAAAAUAUGACUCUAUGUGAAUGCCUCCGGCGGUGUACCGGGAUUGUGAUGAAUCAAGAGUGACAUGUAUGAAAAAAUUAUGAAUGGUGGCUUUGCCACAAAUACGAUGUCAACUACAUGAUCAUGCAAAGCAAUAUGACAAUGAUGAUGCGUGUCAUAAUAAAUGGAACGGUGAAAGUUGCAUGGCAAUAUAUCUCUGAAUGGCUAUGGAAAUGCCAUAAUAGGUAGGUAUGGUGGCUGCUUUGAGGUAGAUAUAAGGAGGCUUAUGUGUGAUAGAGUGUAUCAAAUCACGGGGUUUGGAUGCACUGGCGAAGUUUGCACCAACUCUCAAGGUGAGAAAGGGCAAUGCACGGUACCGAAGAGGCUAGCAAUGGUGUAAGGGUGAGAGUGCGUAUAAUCCAUGGACUCGACAUUAGUCAUAAAGAACUCACAUACUUAUUGCAAAAAUCUACAAGUCAUCAAAACCAAGCACUACGUGCAUGCUCCUAGGGGGAUAGAUUGGUAGGAAAAGACCAUCGCGCGUCCCCGACCGCCACUCAUAAGGAAAGCAAUCAAAGAACACCCCAUGCUUCAAAUUUGUCACAUAACAUUCACCAUACGUGCAUGCUACGGGACUUUCCAACUUCAACACAAGUAUUCAUCAAUUUCACAAUUACUCAACUAGCACACUUCUAAUAUUACCACCUUUAUAUCUCAAAACCAUCUAUCAAGCAUCCAACUUCUCUUAGCAUUUAAAUUUUUUAACCAAAGUGAAUUACCAUGCUGUUCUAAAGGAAUCUCAAAAUGAUAUAAGUGAAGCAUGAGAGAUCAAUUAUUUCUAUAAAAUAGAACCACCGCCGUGCUCUAAAAGAUAUAAGCGAAGCACUAGAGCAAAAAUUAUAUAGCUCAAAAGAUAUAAGUGAAGCACAUAGAGUGUUCUAAUAAAUUCCACUUCAUGUGAGUCUCUCCCAAAAGGUGUGUACAGCAAGGAUGAUUCUGAUAAACUAAAAAUCAAAUACUCAAAUCAUAAAGGACGCUCCAAGAAAAACACAUAUCAUGUGGCAAAUAAAAAUAUAGCUCCAAGUAAAGUUACCGAUAGACAAAGACGAAAGAGGGGAUGCCUUCCGGGGCAUAUCCAAGCUUAGGCUUUUUGGUGUCAUUGGAUUUUACCUUGGGGUGCCUUGGGCAUCCCCAAGCUUAGUCUCUUGCCACUCCUUGUUCCAUAUUCCAUCAAAUCCUUACCCAAAACUUGAAAACUUCACAACACAAAACUUAAAAGAAAAUCUUUGUGAGCUUCGUUAGUAAAAGAAAACAAACCACCACUUCAAUGUACAGUAAUGAACUCAUUAUUUAUUUAUAUUGGUGUUAAACCCACUGUAUUCCAACUUUUCUAUGGUUCAUAAACUCUAUUAUUAGCCAUAGAUUCAUCAAAAUAAGCAAACAACACACGAAAAACAGAAUCUGUCAAAAACAGAACAGUCUGUAGUAAUCUAUAGGUUUAGAAUACUUAUGGAAACCCAAAAAUUCUAAAAUAACUUUCUGGACGUGAGGAAUUUAUCUAUUAAUCAUCUGCAAAAAGAAUUAACUAAAUAUCGCUCUCCAGUAAAAAAAUGGCAGCAAUUCUCGCGAGCGCUAAAGUUUCUGUUUUUUUACAGCAGGAUCAAAAUGACUUUCCCCAAGUCUUCCCAGCGGUUCUACUUGGCACAAACACUAAUUAAACACAAAAAACACAAUCAAAACAGAGGCUGAUAAAUUAUUUAUUGAAUAACAGCAAGGAAAAAUAUUGGGUUGUCUCCCAACAAGCGCUUUUCUUUAAAGCCUUUUCGCUAGGCAUAAGAUUUCAGCGAUGCUCACAUGAAAGACAAGAAUUGAAGCACAAAGAGAGCAUCAUAAAACACGUGACAAACACAUCUAAGUCUAACAUACUUCCUAUGCAUAGGCAUAUUAUAGGCAAAUAAAUUAUCAUAGCAAGCAAAAACUAGCAUAUGCAAGGAAGCGGAAAGAAACAAUAGCAAUCUCAACAUGAUGAGAGGUAAUUUAAUAACGUGAAAAUUUCUACAAUCAUAUUUUCCUCUCUCAUAAUAAUUACAUGUGGGAUCAUAAGAAAAUUCAACAAAAUAGCUAUUACAUAGAAUAUUUUCAACACGAUCCACAUGCGCGCAAAGUUGACACUCUUCCAAAAUAGUGGGAUUAAAGUCUUGACCUCUCCAAACCCACUUUCAAUAAUAUUGCAAAAACUAUUAUCAAUCUCAUAUUCAUCAUGGGGCUUAAAUAAAUUUUCAAGAUCAUAAGAAAAAUCACCUCAAUCAUGAUCAUUGCAACAAGUAGAAGACAUAGCAGCAUCCCCAAGCUUAGGGUUUUGCAUAUUAUUAGCACAAUUGACAUUAAUAGAAUUUAUAAUAACAUCAUUGCAAUCAUACUUUUCAUCGAAGGAACUAUCAAGUAUGGGUGCAAUAGCAACGAUCUCAUGUUUAACAUAAGGAACUAUAGCAAAUUCAUCUUCAAAAUAUUUGCAUCAUGGCCACAAGAAUAGCAAGCAUCAUGUUCAUCAAGGGAUAUUUCAAUCAAAUCAUCGGAAUCAUAAUUAUCUAUAGAUUCAUGCAUAUCAUUAUUUUCUUUUGAAGCAAUGGUCAUUUUUUUCAAUAAAUUCUUUGACAUGGACAUUAUGAGCAUAGUUUUCAUAGCAAUAUUUAUGUAUGUCAAAAUUUUCAGAUUAGUAGAGAUCAACAUCAUACUUUUCAAUCAAAGAAGCAACUUCAUAAGCACCCUUAAAAGCAACAAAUUCUUCAAUUUGUUCGAUAUCAUAGCAACUAAAAACACCCUUUGCAUAAGAAGAUAAGAUUUCAUUAUCAUUAAACUCACAUAGGUAGAGGAGGUGUUUUUUAGGGUUCUUAGAACAACAAGUAAAAUCACAAAUUUCACAAAUAUUCCAAGCAUAACACAACAAUCUAUUUAUUUGAUCCCAUAAGAGUCUCCCUUUUUCAGGCAAACGGUGAUGCACAAAAUGAGCAUGCUCAUACAAAGAUUUCCCAUCAACUAGGCUAGUUGGGGUUUCAGCACGAGCGCAUAAGGAUCGAAGAUGAUCCAAGUAGAACACUUUAAGUGGAUCCAUAUUAAUAGAUUUUUAUCAAGCAAAGAUGCAAGCAAAUAGAAGUCACAUGGAAACACAAAGAAAGAUACAUAUGGGAAGAAGGUGAACGGAAAAAGGGCGAAUAAAACGGCAAGGGUGAAGUGGGGGAGAGGAAAAUGAGAGGCAAAUGGCAAAUAAUGUAAUGCGAAGGAUAAGAGUUGUGAUGGGUACUUGGUAUGUGUUGACUUGGUGUAGAUCUCCCCGGCAACGGCGCCAGAAAUCCUUCUUGCUACCUCUUGAGCACUGCGUUGGUUUUCCCUUGAAGAGGAAAGGGUGGUGCGGUAAAGCAGCGUAAGUAUUUCCCUCAGUUUUUGAGAACCAAGGUAUCAAUCCAGUAGGAGACCACGCGCGAGUCACCUCGUACCUACAAAACAAAUAAGAACCUCGCAACCAACGCGAUAAAGGGGUUGUCAAUCCCUUCACGGCCACUUGCAAGAGUGAGAUCUGAUAGAGAUGAUAAUAAUAAGAUAAGUAUUUUUAUGAUAUAGAUUGAAAGUAAAGAUUGCAAAAUAAAAUAUAUUGGAAACGUGUAUGAUGGAAAAUAGACCCGGGGGCCAUAGGUUUCACUAGUGGCUUCUCUCAAGAUAGCAUAAGUAUUACGGUGGGUGAACAAAUUACUGUCGAGCAAUUGAUAGAAAAGCGGAUAAUUAUGAGAAUAUCUAGGUAUGAUCAUGUAUAUAGGCAUCACGUCCGUGACAAGUAGACCGACUCCUGCCUGCAUCUAUUACUAUUAAUCCACACAUCGACCGCUAUCCAGCAUGCAUCUAGAGUAUUAAGUUCAUAAGAAUAGGGUAACGCCUUAAGCAAGAUGACAUGAUGUAGAGGGAUAAACUCAUGCAAUAUGAUGUAAACCCCAUCUUUUUAUCCUCGAUGGCAACAAUACAAUACAUGUCGUUUCCCUUUCUGUCACUGGGAUCGAGCACCGCAAGAUUGAACCCAAAGCUAAGAACUUCUCCCAUUGCAAGAGAGAUCAAUCUAGUAGGCCAAACCAAACUGGUAAUUCGAAGAGACUUGCAAAGAUAAACCAAUCAUACAUAAAAGGAUCCAGAGAAGAUUCAAAUAUUGUUCAUAGAUAAUCUGGAUCAUAAACCCACAAUUCAUCGGAUCUCGACAAACACACCGCAAAAGAAGAUUACAUCGAAUAGAUCUCCAAGAGAAUCGAGGAGAACUUUGUAUUGAGAUCCAAAGAGAGAGAAGAAGCCAUCUAGCUACUUGCUAUGGACCUGAAGGUCUGAAGUAAACUACUCACACAUCAUCGGAGGGGCCAUGGAGUUGAUGUAGAGGCCCUCCAUGAUCAAUGCCCCCUCCGGCGGAGCUCCGAAAAAGGCCCCAAGAUGGGAUCUCUUGGGUAUAGAAGGUUGCGGCGGUGGAAAUAGGGUUUUGUGGUGCUCCUGGAUGUUUGCAGGGUAUGUGAACAUAUAUAGGAGGAAGAAGUAGGUUGGUGGAGCUACGAGGGGCCUACGAGGGGGGAGGGCGUGCCUAAGGGGGUAGGCACGCCCCCUGCCUUGUGGCCGCCUCGUUGAUUGCUUGACGUCCACUCCAAGUCUUCUGGAUCAUAUUUGUUCCAAAAAUCAUGUUCCCGAAGGUUUCAUUCCGUUUGGACUCCGUUUGAUAUUCCUUUUCUAUGAAACACUAAAAUAGACAAAAAAACAUCAAUUUGGGUUGGGCCUCCGGUUAACAGGUUAGUCCCAAAAAUAAUAUAAAAGUGUAAAAUAAAGCCCAUUAACAUCCAAAAUAGAUAAUAUAAUAGCAUGGAACAAUCAAAAAUUAUAGAUACGUUGGAGACGUAUCAACCCACCAUAGUUGUGCUGCAUCAUCCCUUCCUCUUUGGGGAAAUACUGACGUAGUUCAGGCGACAUCAAAAGGAAUUUCUAGCGCCGUUGCCGGGGAGACAUCAUCAACAUCUAUCAGUUUCCUAAUCACAAAUCUCAUCUCCUUUUAAUUUACAUUAUUUUCCAUUUGCCUCUCAUUUUCAUCUCCCCCACUUCACAAAAAUUUGCCAUUUUAUUCGCCUUCUUUUUCUUUCGCCGUUUUCUCGUCAGAUCUACCUUUUUGUUUGCAAUCUUGUUUGUGUAGCCACGAUGUCUCAAGAAAACACCAAGUUGUGUGAUUUUCCCAAUACCAAUAAUAAUGAUUUUAUUAGUGCUCUGAUUUCUCCUCCUGCCACUAGUGUGAAAUCUUGUGAAAUUAUUGAAUCUUGUUAUGAAAGAUCAAUUUUCCAGUACUCCUAAUGAGGAUGUCAUGUGCCAUCUAAACACAUUCAUCGAAUUGUGUGAUAUGCAAAAGAAAAAAUAUGUGGACAAUGAUAUUGUGAAGUUCAAAUUAUUUCCUUUCUCUUUGAGGGAUCAUGCAAAAUUUUGGUUUUCUUCUUUGCCUCGCAAUAGUAUUGAUUCUUGGGAUAAGUGCAAAGAUGCGUUUAUUAGUAAGUAUUUUCCGCCGGCGAAAACUAUUUCCCUUAGAACCCAAAUCAUGAAUUUUAAGCAACUGGAGGAUGAACAUGUUACACAAUCCUGGGAAAGAAUGAAAUUGAUGCUAAGAAAUUGUCCUACUCAUGGUUUAAAUCUUUGGAUGAUCAUACGAAAAAUUUAUGCAGGAUUGAAUUUUAUUUCUAGAAAUCUUUUAGAUUACACCGUGGGUGGUACUUUUAUGGAAAUUAUUUUGGGCGAAGCUACCAAAUUACUAGAUAAUAUCAUGGAAAAUUAUUCACAAUGGCAUACCGAAAGAGCACCUACUAGUAAAAAAAGUUAAUUCGGUUGAAGAAAUAAAUUCUUUGAGUGAAAAAGUUGAUGCUCUUAUGAAAUUGGUUUCUAGUAAAAGUGCUCCUACUGAUCUUAAUGAUGUGCCUUUGUCUACUUUGAUUCAGAAAAAUAUUGCUGUCGUAGAUGUGGAUUUUUUCUCGCGGAAUAAUUUUAAUAACAAUGCUUAUAGAGAUAAUUUUAAUCACAGGCAUUUUCCUAGAAAUCCCUCUAAUAAUUAUAGCAAUUCCUACGGUUAUUAUUCUUACAAUAAUAAUAGUAACCCCUCUGAUAUUGAGAAUAAUAUUAAAGAAUUUAUCAAUGCGCAAAAAGUUUUCAACACUACCAUAGAAGAAAAAUUGAUGUUUCUAUGGAUGAAAGUAAGAAAAGAACCGUUAUGCUUAGAGCUAAAAGAUAAUUUUUAAAAGAGCGUUUUCUAGUGAUUCCUUUCAUAAAAAUGAUGAAGAUCUUAAAGUAAUUGGUGUUUCUUCUAAUUAUUCCUUGUUUAGUAAAAUUAAAAUUGAUGAUAAAGGGACUGAAGAAGAGUCAACUUUAGCUAGAAGGCAUCCCGAUAAUUUGGAGGGUGAAAUUCUUGAUGAAAAAAUUGAUAAAGUGGGUUUGGAGAGGUCAAAAUUUUAACUAGUGAUGUGCCCACUCUUUUGUAUUACAAAGGCUUUAAUUAUGAUAGUUACUCUUUGGUUGAAUAUAUUUCUUGUUGCAAUCCAUGAUAAAUUCACCCCAUGCUUAUGAACAAAACAAAGCUUUUACUAAACAUAUUGUUGAUGCCAUGAUGAAAGCUUUUGAAGAAAAGUUGGAAUUAGAGAAUUCAAUUCCUAGAAAAUUACAUGAUGAAUGGGAACCCACCAUUAAAGUCAAGGUUAAAAAUUAUGAAUGUUUUGCCUUAUGUGAUUUGGGUGCUAGUGUUUCCACAAUUCGGAAAUCUCUAUGUGAUGUGCUUGGUCUUACCAAUAUUGAAGAGUGUUCUUUAAAUUUGCACUUGCUGUAUUCUACCAUUAAAAAGCCUUUGGGAAGAAUUAAUGUUGUUCUUAUUCUUGCAAAUAGGAAUUAUGUGGCCAUAGAUUUUAUUGUUCUUGAUAUUGAUUGCAAUCCAUCUUGUCCAAUUAUACUUGGUAGACCGUUUUUACGCACUAUAGGUGUCGUGAUUGAUAUGCAAGAAGGAAAUAUUAAAUUCCAACUUCCACUAAGAAAGGAUAUGGAACACUUCGCUAGAACAAGAAUUAGGCCACCAUAUGAAUCAAUCAUGAUGGCAACCUAUGGAUCAAAAACUAAAGAUGACAAUCCUUGAAUCUAUGAAUUAUGCUUAGCUAGGGGCAUAAAACGAUUGCGCUUAUUGGGAGGCAACCCAAUGAAUACAAUUUAUUUUUUUAUUUUUUCUUUAUGUUCUUGAGUGUUUGCACAAUUAUUCUACUAUUAUGAUUGUGUCUUUUAUGUUUUAAUUAGUGUUUCCACGAAGUCUUUGGGAUCAUGUUGGGUGAUAGUUGAUUUGAUCUUGUUGAAAAACAAAAACUUUUGUGUCCAGUAGCAGAAUUUGUAAAAUCACAAAAGCAACGAAAAAAUCUGAAUUUUUUACGCAAGAUUGAUAUACAAAUUUCCUACUUUGUCCAAAUAUUUCAGAAUUUUUGGAGUUACAGAAGUAUGGUUAGAGUACAUAUUACUAUAGACUGUUCUGUUUUUGACACAUUCUGUUUUCGUUGCAUUGUGUGCUUAUUUUGAUUAAUCUAUAGAUUGUAUCGGGGGGAAUAAGCCAUGAUAAAUGUUGGGGAUAUAACUACUGGGUAUGAACCGCCCAGGAGGGGUCGGGUCAUACCACUAGAGACUUAUCAAUGAAGAUGGCGGGUCACAGCAAUCCCAUUGACUACCCAAGACCUAGAGGCAACUUGAGGCCCAAGAGGAUGAACCACCAUAUGUAUAACUUAUAUUGUAGGGCAAGCUUAGUUAAUCACCAAGCCGGACACGUUGUGUAUGAGUCGGCCGGGACUCUGUAAGCCGCCAGGCAUCAACCUGUGUAUAUAAAGGGGUGACCCGGCGGCGGGUUAACUCAAGUAAAAAACAAUCGAGAGCUAGGUCAAGUGUAUCCUCUCCCUGGUAAUUUAAACCCUAGCAAUACAACACAAAGCAGGAGUAGGCUUUUACCUCGUUGAGAGGGGCCGAACCUGGGUAAACUCUCCGUGUCUUUUGUCCCGUUUAACCCCUUCAAGCUAACCUAGUUACAAUCACUCCAUGACUAAGUCCUUGCGCUAGGACAUCUGACGUGUCAAGUCCAUGAUAGUUGGCACCCACCGUGGGGCCAGCGCACGGUGGUUUCGAGUUCCUGAAGGGCAACUUCACAAGGAUCAAGGGAUAUGUUGUGGGCCGGAUGACCAAGAGUCAUCACUACAAGCUCUACAUCAAUGACGUUGGUUGGGGCCCUGAGGCCGGCUCAAUUGAGUAUGGGUAUUGGGUCCCCUUCGGCAGAAUCCACGUUUUCAUCGGCAAGAUCGGCGAAUCUGCCCCUGAGCUAGACAUCUGCACCGACAUCAUCGAGAUGGCUCAAUGUGCAUGACCCGCCAAGAUUCAAGCCGCUAUAAAGCGUGCCUUUGUUGGUUUGAUCCAUGGGGUGGACGUUGAGGAAGGAUCUGCGUCUGAUGGUGAACCAGCCAUCUACUCGGAUGGUGAAUCGUCAGCCGUCGAAAUGAUACGUCUCCAACGUAUCUAUAAUUUUUUUAUUGUUCCAUGCCAUUAUAUUAUCAACCUUGGAUGUUUUUAUAUCAUUUAUAUGCUAUUUUAUAUGAUUUUUAGGUCUAACCUAUUAACCUAGAGCUAGUGCCAGUUUCUAUUUUUUCCUUGUUUUUGAGUAUCGUAGAAAAGGAAAACCAAACGGAGUCCAAUUGACCUGAAACUUCAUGGAACUUAUUUUUGGCACAGAAGAAGGCCAUGGAGUAAAAGAGUUGGGCCAGAAGAGUCCCGGGCCGCCCACGAGGGUAGGGGCGCACCCACCCCCUGGGCGUGCCUCCCUACCUCGUGGCUGCCUCGGGGACCUCCCUGACUUGUUCCCGACUCCAACACCUCUUAUAUAAUCCAAAACAUCCAGAAAGAAACCUAGAUCAGGAGUUGCGCCUCCAGAAGCCUCUGUAGACACCGAAAACCAAUCUAGACCCGUUCCGGCACCCUGCCGGAGGGGGGAAUCCCUCUCCGAUGGCCAUCUACAUCAUCCCGAUGCUCUCCAUGACGAGGAGGGAGUAGUUACCCUCGGGGCUGAGGGUAUGUACCAGUAGCUAUGUAUUUGAUAUCUCUCUCUCUCUCUCUCGUGUUCUUGAUUCGGAAUGAUCUUGAUGUAUCGUGAGCUUUGCUAUUAUAGUUGGAUCUUAUGAUGUUUCUCCUCCCUCUACUCUCUUGUGAUGUAUUGAGUUUUCCCUUUGAAGUUAUCUUAUCGAGUUGAGUCUUUAAGGAUUUGAGAACACUUGAUGUAUGUCUUGCAUGUGCUUAUCUAUGGUGACAAUGGGAUAUCACGUGACGACUUGAUGUAUGUUUUGGUGAUCAACUUGUGAGUUCCGUGACCUCAUGACCUUAUGCAUAGAGGUUGGCACACGUUUUUGUCUUGACUCUCUGGUAGAAACUUUGGUGCACUCUUUGAAGUUCUUUGUGUUGGUUGAAUAGAUGAAUCUGAGAUUUGUGUGAUGCAUAUCGUAUAAUCAUACCCAUGGAUACUUGAGGUGACAUUGGAGUAUCUAUGUGACAUUAGGGUUUUGGUUUAUUUGUGUCUUAAGGUGUUAUUCUAGCACGAACUCUUGAAUCGAUCGAUCAGAAAGAAUAACUUUGAGGUGGUUUUGUACCCUACCAUAAUCUCUUCGUUUGUUCUCCGCUAUUAGUGACUUUGGAGUGACUCUUUGUUGCAUGUUGAGGGACAGUUAUAUGAUCCAAUUAUGUUAUUAUUGUUGAGAGAACUUGCACUAGUGAAAGUAUGAACCUUAGGCCUUGUUUACUAGCAUUGCAAUACCGUUUACGCUCACUUUUAUCAUCAGUUACCUUGCUGUUUUUAUAUUUUCAGAUUGCAAAAACCUAUAUCUAUCAUCCAUAUUGCACUUGUAUCACCAUCUCUUCGCCGAACUAGUGCGCCUAUACAAUUUACCAUUGUAUUAGGUGUGUUGGGGACACAAGAGACUCUUUAUUAUUUGGUUGCAGGGUUGUUUGAGAGAGACCAUCUUCAUCCUACGCCUCCCAUGGAUUGAUAAACCUUAGGUCAUCCACUUGAGGGAAAUUUGUUGUUGUCCUACAAACCUCUGCACUUGGAGGCCCAACAACGUCUACAAGAAUAAGUUUGUGUAGUAUACAUCAAGAUCUUUUCUGGCACCAUUGCCGGGGAGGUUAGCGCUUGAAGGUAUAUCUUUAGAUCUUGCAAUCGAAUCUUUUUGUUUCUUGUUUUAUCACUAGUUUAGUCUAUAAAAGAAAACAACAACAACAACAACAAAAAAUGGAAUUGAGGGUACCUCAUAUGCUUCAUCUUUUUAAUGUCUUUCAUGAAAAUAAGGAUUCCAAUAAUUGUGUCAAAGUGUUAGAAGAAGAAUGCAUUAGAAUGUUUGGCACUAAAUCUUUGAAUGAUGAGCAUGAUUGCAAUGUUGUUAGUAUGAACUCUUUGAACAUCCAUAGUACUAAUGAUGAUUGCACUAGUUAUGAUGAAAAUAUCUCUUAUAAGCAUGUCAAUUUUUGUGGAGUGCAUAGAGUUUGCAAGUACAAACCAAAUAGGGAAGAUAGAUUUUGCAAGAGGCAUAAGUAUUUAGAAACUAAAUGGUUGCAAGAAAAGCUAGAUGUUUGUGUUGAAAAAUUAAAUUUUUUUAGCCAUCCUUGUGACGUUUGCAAUGAACGUGGUCAUUUAAAUAUCCAAUGCAAAUUGUUUCAUGAUCGAAUCAUGUACAAAAUUGUGAUGACUUGAUUUCCCUUGUGCAUCAUAAUGAACUUAGUUUGCUUCUGGGUUAUGAAGAAAUGAAAUGUAUAAUUAACGAUAUUCCAGAAUUUGCCCUCGAUAAUGUUCUUGAUUUUGAUGUAGAGGAGAUUUAUAUGUAUUGUGCGGUGAAUUGCAUUGAAAAUGCUUAUAUUGCCAACUACAUAAAGACAAGAAAACAAGUAGAAGAUGAAGAGAAUACUAAUGAAAGGGAAGAGAUUUCCCAAUAUCAUCCUAUUAUUUCUUAUGAUGAAUCAGGUAACGAGGAGGAGCAUUCUAUUCAACCAAUCUCAUUAAUAAGGAGCUCCAAAAAGAGGAUUAAACCCACACAUCAUGUGGAGAAGAAAAAGAAAAGACAGAGAAGCAAAGGUAAAAAGGCAUCCCUCUCAAAUGAUGUUGCUCCUACUACUCAUUGUGAUGAUAUUAGUUGCUACAAUAAUGGUGAUGUCCAUACUAUUAAUGAUGAGAGUGAUUAUGCUUAUGAUAUGAAAAGGCCCAAGCUUGGGGAUUCUAUGUUUGAUGAAAAUAACAUGUUUGAGAAUUUAUUUGCUUCUAUUAAUGUUUGUCCCAAGCUUGGGGAUGAUAUGUUUUAUGAAGAACAUAUUUUUAACCUCCCAAGUUUUGAUAUGCAAAUUUAUUAUGAUGAUAGCAUACCUCCUAUUUAUGAUGAUUAUAUUGAUGAAAGUGGGUUUGGAAGAGUGUCAACUUUAGGAAGUAACGAUCCCACUAUUUUGGAGGGUGUUGAAUCUUAUUAUGACAAUUAUGAAAGUGGAUUUGGUGAGGUCAUGACUUUAUUUAGUAAUAAUUCCACUAUCUUGGAAGAGGUUUCAAUCGAUUAUGAUGAGAACAAAGUUGCUACUUAUGAUAAUUAUUGUGAUGAUACUUAUGCUAUAAAAAGUAGUGAUGAUUAUUUUUAUAAAACUUGUCAUGAUUAUGAUUACCCUUUUUCUAAACAUUACUCUUUAAUGUGGAAACAAUUUAUAGUAUUCGAGUUUCUUAUGAUACUCUCACUAUUCCGAAUGAGAAAUUUUUUGCUUAAGUGAAGAGUAGUAAAUUUUUUUAUGCUUGUAGAUCAUGAAAGAAAUGCUUUAUGUGAUGGUUAUAUUGUUGAAUUCAUUCAUGAUGCUACUGAAAAUUAUUAUUAGGGAGGAAUGUAUGCUUGUAGGAAUUGCAAUAAUAUCAAGUUUCCUCUCUAUGUACUUAAAAUCUUGAAGAUUUGCUUUUUUUACCUUCCUAUGCAAGUUGAUUCUUGUCCCCACAAGUUGUUUCCUCACAAAAUACCUAUGCAUAGGAAGUGUAUUAGGCUUAAAUGUGCUAGUCAUAUUCUUCGUGAUUCUCUAUUUAUGUUUCAAUUCUUAUCUUUUAUGUGAGCAUCAUUGAAAUCAUUAUGCCUAGCUAGGGGCGUUAAAUGAUAGCGCUUGUUGGGAGGCAACCCAAUUUUAUUGUUGUUCUUUGCUUUUUGCUCCUGUUUAGUAAUAAAUAAUUCAUCUAGCCUCUGUAUAUAUGUGGUUUUAUGUUUUAAUUAGUGUUUGUGCCAGGUAGAACCUUUGGGAAGACUUAGGUGAAGUCUUUGCGAUCUUGCUGUAAAAAAACAGAAACUUUUACGCUCACGAGAUUAGCUGGCAUUGUUUACUGGAGAGUGCGAUUAGGUUGAUUCUUACAUCCACCAGUUUAUUUCAGAAUUGUUGGGGUUACAUAAGUAUAUGUUUGAUACAGAUUACUACAGACUGUUCUGUUUUUGACAGAUUUUGUUUUCAUUGUGUUGCUAGCUCAUUUUGAUGAAUCUAUGAGUAGUUUCGGAGGGUACAAACCAUAGAGAAGUUGGAAUACAGUAGAUAUUACACCAAUAUGAAGUUACAAUGAGUUGACAACAGUACCUAAGUGGUGAUUUAUUUUCUUAUACUAACAGAGCUUACGAGUUUUCUGUUAAGUUUUGUGUUGUGAAGUUUUCAAGUUUUGGGUAAAGAUUUGAUGGAGUAUGGAAUAAGAAGUGGCAAGAUCCUAAGCUUGGGGAUGCCGAAGGCACCCCAAGUUAAUAUUCAAGUACAACCAAGAGCCUAAGCUUGGGAUGUCCCUGAUGGCAUCCCCUCUUUCGUCUUCGUUCAUCGGUAACUUUACUUGGAGCUAUAUUUUUAUUCACCACAAGAUAUGAGUUUUGCUUGGAGCGUCAUUUUAUUUUAUUUUGUUUUGCUUUAUGUUUGAAUAUAAUACCAAGAUAUGAAAUUCUUAAAUGUUAGAGAGUCUUCACAUAGUUGCAUAAUUAUUUGACUACUCAUUGAUCUUCACUUAUAUCUUUCGGAGUAGUUUGUCAUUUGCUCUAGUGCUUCACUUAUAUCCUUUUAGAGCACGACGGUGGUUUUAUUUUGAAGAAAUAGAUGAAAUCUCAUGCUUCACUUAUAUUAUUUUGAGAGUCCUAAACAGCAUGGUAAUUAGCUUUGGUUAUGGAACUAGUCCUAAUAUGAUAGGCAUCCAAGAUGGGUAUAAUAAAAAGUAUCAUAGAAAGUGCAUUGAAUACUACGAGAAGUUUGAUACUUGAUAAUUGUUUUGAGAUAUAAAGAUGGUGAUAUUAGAGUGUGCUAGUUGAGUAGUUUUGAAUUUGAGAAAUACUUGUGUUGAAGAUUGCAAGUCCUGUAGCAUGCACGUAUGGUAACCGUUGUGUGACAAAUUUGAAGCAUGAGGUGUUUCUUUGAUUGUCUUCCUUGUGAGUGGCGAUUGGGGACGAGCGAUGGUCUUUUCCUACCAAUAUAUCCCCCUAGGAGCAUGCGCAUAAUGCUUGGUUUUUGAUGACUUGUAGAUUUUUGCAAUAAGUAUGUGAGUUCUUUAUGACUAAUGUUGAGUCCAUGGAUUAUACACACUCUCACCUUUCCAUCAUUGCUAGCCUCUUCGGUACUGUGCAUUGCCCUUUCUCACCUUGAGAGUUGGUGCAAACUUCGCCGGUGCACCCACACCCCGUGAUAUGAUACGCUCUAUCACACAUAAACCUCCUUAUAUCUUCCUCAAAACAGCCACCAUACAUACCUAUUAUGGCAUUUCCAUAGCCAUUCCAAGAUAUAUAUUGCCAUGCAACUUUCCACAGUUUCAUUUAUGACACGCUUCAUCAUUGUCAUAUUGCUUUGCAUGAUCAUGUAGUUGACAUCGUAUUUGUGGCAAAGCCACCAUGCAUAAUUUAUCAUACAUGUCACUCUUGAUUCAUUGCCCUUCCCGGUACACCGCCGGAGGCAUUCAUAUAGAGUCAUAUUUUGUUCUAGUAUCGAGUUGUAAUCAUUGAGUUGUAAAUAAAUAGAAGUGUAAUGAUCAUCAUUAAUAGAGCAUUGUCCCAAAAAAAGGAGAAAGGCCAAAUAAAAAAAGGAAAGGCCCAAAAAAAGAUAAAAAGGGACAACGCUACUAUCCUCUUUUUCCACACUUGUGCUUCAAAGUAGCACCAUGAUCUUCAUGAUAGAGAGUCUCUUAUUCUGUCACUUUCAUAUACUAGUGGGAAUUUUCAUUAUAGAACUUGGCUUGUAUAUUCCAACAAUGGGCUUCCUCAAAUGCCCUAGGUCUUCGUGAGCAAGCAAGUUGGAUGCACUCCCACUUAGUUUCUUUUGUUGAGCUUUCAUACAUUUAUAGCUCUAGUGCAUCCGUUGCAUGGCAAUCCCUACUCCUCGCAUUGACAUCAAUUGAUGGGCAUCUCCAUAGUCCGUUGAUUAGCCGCGUCAAUUUGAGACCUUAUUCUUUUUUUGUCUUCUCCACACAACCUCCAUCAUCAUAUUCUAUUCCACCCAUAGUGCUAUGUCCAUGGCUCACGCUCAUGUAUUGCGUGAAAGUUGAAAAAAGUUUGAGAUUACUAAAGUAUGAAACAAUUGCUUGGCUUGUCAUCGGGGUUGUGCAUGAUGAGAGCAUUUUUGUGUGACGAAGAUGAAGCAUAGCCAAACUAUAUGAUUUUAUAGGGAUGAGCUUUCUUUGGCUAUGUUAUUUUGAGAAGACAUAAUUACUUGGUUAGUAUGCUUGAAGUAUUAUUGAUUUUAUGUCAAUAUUAAACUUUUGUCUUGAAUUUUAUGGAUCUGAAUAUUCUUGCCACGAUAAAGUAAAUUACAUUGAUAAAUAUCUUAGGUAGCAUUCCACAUCAAAAAUUCUGUUUUUAUCAUUUACCUACUCGAGGACGAGCAGAAAUUAAGCUUGGGGAUGCUUGAUACAUUGUAACAUCCCAAAUUUUCAAUUUGGAAUGUUAUACACUAGAUCAUCAUUGCAUAUCAUAUUUAUUGCAUUUUGGUUGAUCCUAGAAAUUUCACGCAACUCAACGACCCUCGGAGAGAGUUGGGGAUUUUGUUAUUUUCAUAUUUGAGAUGUCUUAAAUUUUGAAAAUAGGAUCAUUUGAUUUUAUUUAUUUUAUCUUCAAUUAUUUCUAUUACAAAAAUUAUGAGAGAGGGAAUAAAAUGACUUUCCCAAAAUAAAGAAAUAUUGAGGAUUUAAUAAAAAAUCAAAUAAGAUUUAUUUUGGUUUUAUUUGCUAUUUUAUUUGAAUUUAGGAAAAAUGCGCAUUUUUCAAAAUUGCAUUUAGGCCCCAAAUAAAUGUUCAUCCUGUGCGGCUUGAUUUUAUAAGCCGGGGAAAAUUUAUUUUGGGAUUUUUGGAGUCCGUUUAGUAGUACUUUUAUUUUUUUCCUGAGCGUAACUAUUUNNNNNNNNNNNNNNNNNNNNNNNNNNNNNNNNNNNNNNNNNNNNNNNNNNNNNNNNNNNNNNNNNNNNNNNNNNNNNNNNNNNNNNNNNNNNNNNNNNNNNNNNNNNNNNNNNNNNNNNNNNNNNNNNNNNNNNNNNNNNNNNNNNNNNNNNNNNNNNNNNNNNNNNNNNNNNNNNNNNNNNNNNNNNNNNNNNNNNNNNNNNNNNNNNNNNNNNNNNNNNNNNNNNNNNNNNNNNNNNNNNNNNNNNNNNNNNNNNNNNNNNNNNNNNNNNNNNNNNNNNNNNNNNNNNNNNNNNNNNNNNNNNNNNNNNNNNNNNNNNNNNNNNNNNNNNNNNNNNNNNNNNNNNNNNNNNNNNNNNNNNNNNNNNNNNNNNNNNNNNNNNNNNNNNNNNNNNNCGCCCGCCUCGCCAGAGCCGCCGCCGCCCGUCUCGCCACCGAGCCGCCGAGGUUGAUCUAUCGCCGGUUUUCCCAGAAAAAUUGUUCGGUUUUCGCUGGUUUUCGUUCAGUUUUUUUAGUUUCCGUUUUCUUCUUUAGAUCGGUUUUUUUCGUUUUAGACUAAUUAGCGAGCGUUCGCUCGUUCGUUCGUUUUAACGAACGCGUUCUUCGUUUAGAUCCAGUUAACGAAAGUUCGUUCGUUAAACUGUUCGUCGUUUUUCUUUUUCUCGGAUUAAAUCCGCGAUUUUUCUGAUCGCGAUUUUUGAUCCGAUUUUCGUUUUAGUUUAACUUUUCGCUCGUUUAUCGGAAUCAGGCGAUUCAAGCGCCUGGAGUUUCGUCUCGAAACCCUCUUUCCAUUUAGCCAACUUAAACAAGUUUUUGCCACUGUAAAAAUUGCCCUAGAUCCAGAAUAGUAAACGAAGCUUGUUUCUUUUGCCGUUUGUCUUCCGUUGCUUCGUUCGAUUUGAUUCUUUUUGCCAACCAAGUUCUUAAGUUGAACUUUCUGGUUAGAUCUCUUAUUUGAGUUUUACUUGUGCAUUAGUCGAGUACUUAUUGUAUGCUUGUUUGUUUGCGAUAGAGUACCCGGAGUGCGCCGCUUGCUACUUCGAAUCGCUAGGUUUCCCGGAUCAUCAGCAAGGCAAGUAACACUUUGAUCAUGUUUUUCCCUCUACCCAGUUUUAUUGCAUUAGAUCAAUCCUCACACAUUGCAUGAUUAGGAUCUAAUUAAAUUGUGGGUUUGGGAAGUAGAUGAGGUAGUACCUAUUACCUGUUGUUAUCAAACCUUUGGGAGUUACUUCUAUGUUUGCCUAUUAUGCCAUGCUAUGCUAGUAGACGUGGAUUGGGUGAGUGUUUCCAUGAUAGAUGUGAGAUUGUUAAUUAAUGGCUUAUUUAAGGUGGCAACUUAAAUACACAUCUGGGUGGAUUGAGGCACCUGGGUAUUCCAGAGAUUGCCUGUUUUUCUUUAUGGACCGCCACCCAGGCUCAAAGGGAUCAUGAGAUUAUUCAUGCUAGAAACUUCUGUGUGCAGCCACAAGCUAUUAUGGGCUCUAGCAUAGUUGAUUAAGUCGUGCGAACUCUUACAGUGGUAGACUAGCAGAUGUAGGGGAUGUAGGUUGGUACGGUCUACGCGUUCGUAAGGUGCUAGCGCUUCUGAAAGACUAUGUCUCGGUCAUCCGUUUCUCAAACACCAUGUAGUGCGAGAAAUCCAACGGAGGAGAUCGAGUCUUGUGGGGAAAAGUGCGCAAACCUCUGCAGAGUGUAUAAACUAAUCAUGGUUAGCCGGGUCCCCAGUUAUGGACAUCUUGAGUAUCUAGUACCUGGAUUAUCAUGUGAAUCUCAUCAUGUUACUUUAAAUUAAUUCUGUUGGGUUUGAUUUAAUGAUGAUGUUUAAUUGGGAUUGAGAAUGCUGUCAACCAUUCUCAAUGUUUAACAACCACCAUGAUAGUUAAAUAAAUUUAUUCCUUUGCAGUAGGGAAAAAUUGGCUUUACGCAAAACUGUAACCAUAGAGCUUUCCACCAGCCAAAUAUACAUAUAGAAUAGUUGUUUCAUUCCAUUACUCUCUAUGUGUUACUUUGCCACCAUAAUCCAUGUGUUGACCCAUUUCGGGCUGCAACAUUAAUGUUGCAGACUUUUCGGACGACGAUUAAGGAGUUUUAGGUCGUGGUUCUAUACUCAGUGAUGCCGUUGGAGUUGAUGGACUCACUUAUCUUCCAAGCCUUCCGCUGUUAUCGUUAUUACAUGGCCUUAUGCCAUAUUUAUUGUAUUAAGUUCUCUUUUGAGACACUCGAUGUAAUAAGUGUGUGAUUGCUAUUCUGUUACAAAUCCUUCAAGUACUGUGUGGUGUCAGCAUUACUGAUCCAGGGAUGACACCUGAGCACAGAGAUUGGACCGUUUGAGGUCUGGUCGCUACAUACAUCUCCAACGUAUCUACAAUUUUUGAUUGUUCCAUGCUAUUAUAUUAUCAACCUUGGAUGUUUUAUAUGCAUUUAUAUGCUAUUUUAUAUGAUUUCUGGGACUAACCUAUUAACCUAGAGCCCAGUGCCAGUUUCUGUUUUUUCCUUGUUUUUGAGUAUCCCGGAAAAGGAAAACCAAACGGAGUCCAAUUGACCUGAAACUUCACGAAACUUAUUAUUGGACCAGAAGAUGGCCAUGGAGUAAAAGAGUAGGGCCAGAAGAGUCCCGGGCUGCCCACAAGGGUAGGGGCACGCCCACCCCCCUGGGCAUGCCCCUACCUCGUGGCCGCCUCGGGGAUCCCCCUGACUUGUUCCCGACUCCAACACCUCCUAUAUAAUCCAAAACUUCCAGAAAGAAACCUAGAUCAGGAGUUCCGCCGCCAGAAGCCUCUGUAGCCACCAAAAACCAAUCUAGACCUGUUCUGGCACCCUGCCGGAGGGGUAAACCCUCUCCGGUGGCCAUCUUCAUCAUCCCGGCGCUCUCCAUGACGAGGAGGGAGUAGUUCACCCUCGGGGCUGAGGGUAUGUACCAGUAGCUAUGUGUUUGAUCUCUCUCUCUCUCUCGUGUUCUUGAUUCGGAAUGAUCUUGAUGUAUGACGAGCUUUGCUAUUAUAGUUGGAUCUUAUGAUGUUUCUCCCUCCUCUACUCUCUUGUGAUGGAUUGAAUUUUCCCUUUGAAGUUAUCUUACCGGAUUGAGUCUUUAAGGAAUUGAGAACACUUGAUGUAUGUCUUGCAUGUGCUUAUUUGUGGUGACAAUGGGAUAUCACAUGAUCCACUUAAUGUAUGCUUUGGUGAUCAACUUGCGAGUUCCUUGACCUCGUGAACUUAUGCAUAGGGGUUGGCACACGUUUUCGUCUUGACUCUCCGGUAGAAACUUUGGGGCACUCUUUGAAGUUCUUUGUGUUGGUUGAAUAGAUGAAUCUGAGAUGUGUGAUGCAUAUCGUAUAAUCAUACCCACGGGUACUUGAGGUGACAUUGGAGUAUCUAGGUGACAUUAGGGUUUUUGUUGAUUUGUGUCUUAAGGUGUUAUUCUAGUACGAACUCUUGAAUAGAUCAAUCAGAAAGAAUAACUUUGAGGUGGUUUCGUACCCUACCAUAAUCUCUUCGUUUGUUCUCCGCUAUUAGUGACUUUGGAGUGACUCUUUGUUGCAUGUUGAGGGAUAGUUAUAUGAUCCAGUUAUGUUAUUAUUGUCGAGAGAACUUGCACUAGUGAAAGUAUGAGCCUUAGGCCUUGUUUCCUAGCAUUGCAAUACCGUUUACGCUCACUUUUAUCAUCAUUUACCUUGCUGUUUUUUAUUUUCACAUUACAAAAACCUAUAUCUAUCAUCCAUAUUGCACUUGUAUCACCAUCUCUUCGCCGAACUAGUGCACCUAUACAAUUUACCAUUGUAUUGGGUGUGUUGGGGACACAAGAGACUCUUUGUUAUUUGGUUGCAGGGUUGUUUGAGAGAAACCAUCUUCAUCCUACCUCCCACGGAUUGAUAAACCUUAGGUCAUCCACUUGAGGGAAAUUUGCUGCUGUCCUACAAACCUCUGCAUGUGGAGGUCCAACAAAGUCUACAAUAAGAAGGUUGUGUAGUAGACAUCAUGAAACCAAUUCAAUGUAUCAACUGCAGGACGGCUGGCUUGGGGGCUGUUCCGAUGGUGACAAUAUUCUGGACCCCUAUGAGCCGCCAAAUAGGAUUGCGAUCUUCAUGGCUGGUACGCAGCCGGUGCUUGGCUCAACGACAACCGUGGCCAUGACCUCCAGCUCAAUGGCCGCGGUGACGGCUGGUGCUAGCGGCUCUGCGCGCCCGCCGGCUCAGGUUCUGACAGAGUUGUUGGAGGCUUUGGCGAAUUUGAUGGGGGUGGAGGUGACCCUAGACACUCAAGAAUAGCAUAAGGUGGAUGUUUCGAAGUUACAAGAUGAGAUAGCUCAAGCCAAGGAAGAGUUGGCGGCUGAGAACGCUAGGAUGGCCAUGGAGCGAAUUGCUUUGGAUGCUCAGGCUCAACGGAUUCAGGCGGAGUCGUUCCGGCUUACCUUGGAUCAAAACGCUUCAAUUGCCAUCAUGAGAAGGAGAUACCAGAGUCCCUUACCUCUGGAGUAUGAUGCGAGAAACCUUUUUAACACACCGGGGGCAGGGACCAGUGACCCACCCAUGGUGAACGGGCAGUUGAGGCUCCCGUGACUGGAGCACCGGUUCAGCCGCAUACUGUGGAUCCGCCUCGUUUGGAUGUGGCUCCGCCUCAGCAUGUUCCGACACCGCCGGGCCAUUAUUCUAAUCCUUUGGAUAACAUGAUUGUUGCAACGUCAUGAUUGGCGGCUCUUCCAGUUGAAGGCGAGCCUCCAGCUGCGAUAGAGAUGCGGAGGGCCAGAGAACUUCUUCAGACGGCUAUGGCUCAACAUGCGGCUUAUUUGUAUAGCAGUGAACGGAUUCACUCAACCCCUCGGUCAAGCCGGAGUUAUAGCAGACACAUUGACUCGCCAGCAGUUUCAAGUAGUGAAUAGCACCAUAACCAACCUCGUAGGCAUGACCCGGCACGCGGUGGUAUUGAUGCUCAGACUUUAGUGGAUCAGGGCAAGGCACGUCGGGAGGCGGAGCUGGCGGCUUAGCUAGCGGCUCAACAACAAUCUCCGGUUUAUCCAUCAACAUCUGUGGAGGCAGGAGUGACAUCUAGAACAUUGGGUGUGCCAUGUUUAGUGUUGGCUCUGCGCAACGAGCAUUUGCCUAAGGAUUUCAAGGGCCCUCAUAAGGUGCCUAAUUAUACGGCGGAUUAGCCUCCAAAGGUGUGGAUUGAGAUAUAUGAGAUGGCCAUGGAGAUGCUGGAUGUUAGUGAUGUUGCAUGUGCUAAGUAUUUCACCAUGAUGUUGGAUGGGCCGGCUCAUACUUGGUUGAAAGGGCUACCCGCUAACUCCAUUAGAUCAUGGCGAAGUUGAAAGCCCGUUUCAUCCAAAAAUUUAAAGACACAUGCAAGCAGGCUCUGUCGAUCCUGGAUUUGGAUUCUUGUGUCCAAGGUGAGGGUGAGUCAACAACCAAUUGGGUGCGGCGGAUCUCAGCUGUUAUACACUCAUCGUACAGUAUCAACGCCGGUUCAGCAGUCCUGAUGUUGGAGAAGAAUUGUUGUUUCCUUCCCCUUAAGCUGAAAUUGGGGCGGCUUAAACGUCACUGCAAUGAUAUGGGAGAGCUCAUCGCGGCUCUCGUCAAAUAUGUUGAUUCUGAUAGUACUAAAGACCCUGAGUCUGAUGAGGAGAAGGCUGGUAAGGGGAAGAAGAGUGGCAAUGCAAAGGGGCAGCAGCAUAAUAUGGUGGGUCAAAGUGGCAAUGGUAAGCACAAACCUGAUGGCAAUUUAGAUUUUGUGGCUAAUACUAAUACGCAGAAUAAUAAUCAGCAUCGCAAGGGAAAGCCGCACCGGCUUGGAGGGCCAAAAUUUAACAUUGAGUCGAUGAUGAAUCAGCCUUGCCCAAAGCAUGGUACGCAUGAGAAGUUGGCCAAUCAUCUAUGGAAGGAUUGCUUCAUCAUGAGAGAGUAUAGGAAUUCCAUUUUUCUAGAAGAAUCAUGACCCAAAUGGCAGCUAAGGGUCUGGCUCUCACGGACCUGGUUUUGGUGGCGGUGGCUCAAACUCUGGUUUCCAGGGCCAAGGCAAUAAAGGUGGUUUUAAUCAAUAGUCUGGUCAAGGGAAUCAGCAGCAGCAAUCUGGUUAUCACAAUAAUCCGAAUCAGUUGAACAGUGGACAGUAUCAUGUGUUCACCAUGAGUUUAUGUAAACGAGACCAGAAGAUUCAUAGAAGGGCGGUGAAAGCAGUUGAGCCGGCGGUUCCCCGUUCCUUGCGUUGGUCUAAACAUCCUAAUCUUUGGAGCCGCAAGGAUCAACCACCCCGGGUAGACAAUCUGGGUCACUUGACUUUAGUGGUUGCGCCUCAGGUUGGAGGUUACAAAUUCACUAAGGUGCUCAUGGAUGGAGGCAGCAGCAUCAAUAUCCUUUACUACAAAACUUUUCGUCGUAUGAGUUUACUGACAAGGAUCUUAAGCCCUCUAACACUGUUUUUCAUGGUGUGGUGCCCGGUAAGUCGGCAUAUCCGGUGGGCAAGAUAGCCUUGGAAGUGGCUUUCGGUGAUGAUCACGAUUCUAGAGUUGAGACAUUGACAUUUGAGGUGGUUAAGAUCAAGAGCCCUUAUAAUGCUUUGUUUGGGCGGCCGGCUUAUGCUAAGUUCAUGGCAGCCUUGUUAUGUUUAUAUGCAACUUAAGAUGCCAGGUUAUAAGGGUACCAUCACAGUACAUGGGAACUGGAAGAUAGCUUUGGAAUGUGAAGAGGGCGAUGUUGCCUAUGCUGAGUCUGUUUGUGCAACAGAGGAGCUGAAGUUUUACAAAGAUAAUGUUGACCCAGCGGAUAUGACGCCUUUGAAGAAGCCAAUCACAGAGCAAGAACCUCUGUUGAAGUUUAAGUCGGCAGAUGACACUGAGCUGGUUGAUUUUGUUCCUCGUGAUUCAUUUAAACAGUUUAGUAUCAGUGCUAAUUGAUACGUCUCCAAUGUAUCUAUAAUUUUUUAUUGUUCCAUGCUAUUAUAUUAUCUGUUUUGGAUGUUUAAUGGGCUUUAUUAUACACUUCUAUAUUUAUUUUGGGACUAACCUACUAACCCAAGGCCGAGUGCAAAUUGUUGUUUUUUGCCUAUUUCAGUGUUUCGCAGAAAGGAAUAUCAAAUGGAAUCCAAAUGGAAUGAAACCUUCGGGAGAGUUAUUUUUGGAACAAACGUGAUCCAGGGGACUUGGAGGCCCAGGGCGCACCUGCCCCACCCCCUGGGCGCGUCACCCACCCUCGUGGGCCCCUCGCAGCUCCACCGGCCUACUUCUUCCUCCUAUAUAUAUCCAUAUACUCCAAAAACAUCCAGGAGCACCACGAAACCCGAUUUCCACUGCCACAACCUUCUGUACCCAAGAGAUCCCAUCUUGGGGCCUUUUCCGGAGCUCCGCUGGAGGGGGAAUCGAUCACGGAGGGCUUCUACAUCAACACCAUAGCUUCUCCGAUGAUGUGUGCGUAGUUUACCACAGACCUUCGGGUCCAUAGUUAUUAGCUAAAUGGCUUCUUCUCUCUCUUUGGAUCUCAAUGCAAUGUUCUCCUCAAUCUUCUUGGAGAUCUAUUUGAUGUAACUCUUUUUGCGGUGUGUUUGUCGAGAUCCGAUGAAUUGUGGGUUUGUGAUAAAGUUUAUCUAUGAACAAUAUUUGAUUCUUAUCUGAAAUCUUUUAUGUAUGAUUAGUUAUCUUUGCAAGUCUCUUUGAAUUAUCAGUUUGGUUUGGCCUGCUAGAUUGAUCUUUCUUGCAAUGGAAGAAGUGCUUAGCUUUGGGUUCAAUCUUGCGGUGUCCUUUCCCAGUGACAGUAGGGGCAGCAAGGCACGUAUUGUAUUGUUGCCAUCGAGGAUAAAAAUAUGGGGUUUAUAUCAUAUUGCUUGAGUUUAUCACUCUACAUCAUGUCAUCUUGCCAAAUGUGUUACUCUGUUCUUAUGAACUUAAUACUCUAGAUGCAUGCUGGAUAGCGGUCGACGUGUGGAGUAAUAGUAGUAGAUGUAGAAUCGUUUCGGUCUACUUGUCGCGUACGUGAUGCCUAUAUACAUGAUCAUGCCUAGAUAUUCUCAUAAUUAUGCACUUUCCUAUCAAUUACUCGAUAGUAAUUUGUUCACCCACCAUAAUACUUAUGCUAUCUUGAGAGAAGCCACUAGUGAAACCUAUGGCCCCCGGGUCUAUCUUUUAUCAUAUAAGUUUCCAAUCUAUUUUAUUUUGCAAUCUUUACUUUCAAUCUAUAUCAUAAAAAUACCAAAAAUAUUUAUCUUAUUAUUAGUAUCUCUGUCAGAUCUCACUCUCGUAAGUGACCAUGAAGGGAUUGACAACCCCUUUAUCGCGUUGGUUGUGAGGUUCUUAUUUGUUUGUGUAGGUAUGAGGGACUUGCGUGUAGUCUCCUACUGGAUUGAUACCUUGGUUCCCAAAAACUGAGGGAAAUACUUACACUACGUUGUUGCAUCACCCUUUCCUCUUCAAGGUAAAACCAACGCAAUGCUCAAGAGGUAACACUAAUCUGGAUACGAAAUAGGAAAGCGCACUCAUAGAGUUCAUCCGUGAGAACCGGGACAUCUUUGCAUGGAAGCCUUCAGAUAUGCCAGGUGUACCGAGGGAACUUGCUAAGCACACUCUCAAUAUUGAUCCAAAGUUUAAACCGGUCAAGCAAUUCCUUCGUCGCUUUAAUGAGGAGAGACGCAAGGCCAUUGGUGAAGAAGUGGCCUGGCUCUUGGCAGCUGGGUUCAUUGUCGAAGUUUUUCAUCCUAAAUGGUUGGCUAACCCGGUGCUGGUACGUAAGAAAAAUGGUACUUGGCGCAUGUGUGUGGAUUACACAGACCUUAAUAAGGCAUGUCCGGAUGAUCCUUUCACUCUCCCUCGUAUUGAUCAGAUUAUUGAUGCUACGGUGGGUUGUGAGCGUUUGAGUUUUUUGGAUGCCUAUUCUAGGUAUCAUCAGAUCAAGAUGGCAGUUAAGGACCAAGAGAAGAUAGCCUUCAUCACUCCUUUUGGAUCCUUCUGCUAUGUGUCUAUGCCCUUUGGGCUCAAGAGUGCCUAGGCGACUUACGAGCGGUGUGUUCAAAAUUGCCUUCAUGGUCAGAUUGGACGCAAUGUUCAUGCUUAUGUGGAUGAUAUUGUUGUAAAAUCCAGGAAGAAGGAAACCUUGAUAGAUGAUUUUAAAGAGACCUUUGACAAUCUCCGGGUUUACAAGAUGAUGCUUAACCCGGCCAAGUGUGUUUUUGGUGUGCCAGCAGGCAAGCUCUUGGGUUUUUUGGUUUCUGAAUGAGGCAUUCAAGCUAACCCGAAGAAAAUCAAGGCUAUUACUUCUUUGGCUAAACCAGCAAGCAUUAAUGAUGUUCAGUGUUUGGUGGGUCAUAUUGCAGCCUUAAGCCGGUUGGGAGAAAAAGCUAUCCCUUUGUACCAGAUGACGAAGAAAACAGAUCACUUUGUUUGGAGUGAUGCUGCUGAUCAGGUGUUUGAAGCCCUGAAGAAAUAGCUAGCUGAGCCGUUGAUCCUUGCCGCUCCUAUUGAUAAGGAGCCCUUGUCGUUAUAUGUGGUUGAGGGAGUCCUGGACUAAGGGGUCCUCGGGUGUCCGGCCUGUUAGCCAUGGGCCGGACUGAUGGGCUGUGAAGAUACGAAGACCGAAGACUGCACCCGUGUCUGGAUGGGACUCUCCUCGGCGUGGAAGGCAAGCUUGGCGACCGGAUAUGUAGAUUCCUUUCUUUGUAACCGACCUUGUGUAACCCUACAUCCUCCCGGUGCUUAUAUAAACUGGAGGGCUUAGUUCGGAGGGAGAGAUAUUCAUUAUCAUAGCCAUACAAGCUAGACCUCUAGGGUUUAGCCAUUACGAUCUCGAGGUAGAUCAACUCUUGUAAUACUUGUAUUCAUCAAUAUCAAUCAAGCAGGACGUAGGGUAUUACCUCCAUAGAGAGGGACUAAACCUGGGUAAACAUCGUGUCCCUUGUCUCCUGUUACCAUCGACCUUAGACGCACAGUUCGGGACCCCCUACCCGAGAUCCGCCGAUUUUGACACCGACAUUGGUGCUUCCACUAAGAGUUCCACUGUGCCAUCGACGAAAGGUUCGAUGGCCCCUUCAAUCGUCGAUAGUGAUGGUGUUCGGCGGCUUCGCACUGCGGGCCAACUCGUUUGGCCACCUGGAGCAGAUCGAUAGCUACGCCCCUGGCCAUCAGGUCAGAUUUGGGAGUUUGAACUACGUUGCGGACAUCCGUGGAGAUUUGAUCUUCGCCGGAUUCGAGACCGCGGCGACCACUCCCGGUCACCUUGACAAACAUGACCUAAAUUUGUCGUCAGACCGCAUCCAGGAGAUAGCUCCUGUGACCACUCCGGCCUUAGAUCCAAAGCAUACUGCGGCAUCCAAGGAUCGGAGGUUCAACCCCACCACGGAGGCCACAGACUCCCCGACAUUGGAGCCGCACAUGGACUUAAUCUCACGCAAUACUCGUGUCACCGAAACUCCGGACUCUUCUCUGUGUAUAAGUUCUGAACCAUGCGAGUCCGCGGAUGCCGAACUUGAUCGUUUAUCGACCUUCGAGUUCAGCGCCGCAGACAUCUUCCAGCACUCGCCCUUGGGCGAUGUGCUGAACUCAUUAAAGAACUUGUCCUUGGCGGGGGACUCACAUCCGAACUAUGUAUGGUUCGAACUAGAGGCUGAUGAUGGGGAAUUUUGCUUCCCACCUGCCACCCACUUCAUAGCCAUUGUAGAGGAUUCAACCGACAUGCUUGACUAUGGCUCCAAAGAUAUCGCUAGUACGAAUGACGAUGCCAACAUGGAGCAAGGCCAAAACCCGCCACUCACUGGACGACGGACGACCACUUCUUCCUACGACGUAUACAUGGUGGACACGCCGGGAAAAACUAACAACGAUGACAAAGAGGAUCUAGUUGAGGAUAAACCUCUCGACAGACAGCCCAAGCGCCAACUUCCUCAACGCCGCUCUAAGUCACGUCAUUCCAAAGACUGCAGUACGGGCAUCGGAAAAAAUAAUACUCCGGACAAUGCCGAAAAUAAUGAAGACCCCGUCAAGGCAACCCCCGAACAGGGGGAACGGGAUAGUGGGCAAGUUAUCCCUAAUGAACAGGCCAUACACGGAGGACAGUAAUUAUGUUCCGCUCUCCAAGGAAGAGGAGAGCCUCGGUAAUGAGGAUUUCAUCGUGCCUGAGGAACCUCUCGAGCAGGAGCGCUUCAAACGUCGGCUAAUAGCCACUGCAAGGAGCCUGAGAAAGAAGCAGCUGUAGCUUCAAGCAGACCAAGAUCUGCUCAAUGACAGAUGGACCGAAGUCCUGGCCGCCGAAGAAUACGGCCUUAGUGGCCUAGCCAAAAACUACCCGAAGCGUAGAUUGCUACCUCAGUUCGAUGGCGAGGCACUGGAGCCUGUACCAUCAUCGCACAAUGCGGCAGGUCGACCACAACUUGGUUCGGAUAAAGCGGCAACUCAAGCCGAACACCAGACCGCCCCACCUUGCCGUAAAGGCAAGAAUAAAACAUCUCGGGGUCGUACACACGACCUUCGAAAGGACUUGGACAGUAGAGCAAGACACGCGAGAUCGAUCUACGGAUCGCGAGGACGUGCCUCGACACACGACGACGGCUACCUAUUCAAAUGUGACAAACCUAGCCACGCCCGGGCCAAAAACCACAAAUGGACUCCAUCGGAGGUACAUCGUAGUGUGGCCCAACAUAGAGGCGCAGCACACCCUCUUUGCUUCACAGACGAAGUAAUGGAGCAUGAAUUCCCAGACGAGUUCAAAUCCAUGAAUAUCGAAUCAUACGACGGAACUACGGAUCCCGCGGUAUGGAUCGAGGACUUCCUCCUCCAUAUCCAUAUGGUCCGCAGAGAUGACCUUCAUGCCAUCAAAUACCUACCACUAAAACUCAAAGGACCAGCUCGGUACUUGUUAAACAGUCUGCCAGAAAUUCCAUUGGCAGCUGGGAAGAUUUGGAAGACGCCUUUUGCGACAACUUCCAAGGAACAUAUAUCUGGACACCGGAUGCCGAUGACUAAGUCACAUUGUCAAGCAGCCCGGAGAGUCGGCCAGGAAGCUCUGGACUAGGUUCUUAGUUAAAAAUAACCAAAUCAUCGACUGUCCGGACGCGGAAGCCCUUGCGGCCUUCAAACACAGCGUCCGGGAUGAAUGGCUUGCAUGCCACCUCGGUCAAGAGCUCUUAUAGCUCGGUGGAAGCGACUGAAGGAUUCUGUCAAUGACCGCGUCAUCCGGGAGAUUAACUCCCAAUUGAGUCAAGCGGUUAUGCAACCCAGACAUUUUGAGUAUGUGCUCACUGACAGAACUAUUUUCCUCCAUCUUACAGCUGAAGAACUUGUCGGAGACUUCACAUCUCUCGACCCAGGCAUGAGCUUGGAAAACCAUUUUCAGCUCUUCGAACAUCUCAUAUGCUCCGUGUCUCUCAAAAUGCUUUUGGAGCCCCGGUUCUAAGCUGUAAAGCAUGCCGCACUGAACGAGGGAGUAAUCAUCGGCAUGUGACUGCCAAGCGUUCAUAACGUCUUGGUUCUCUGGGACAGGUGCGUUACCUAGCGGUGCUUCUAGGACAUAAUCUUUCUUGGCAGCUAUGAGGAUGAUCCUUAGGUUCUGGACCCAGUCCGUAUAGUUGCUGCCAUCAUCUUUCAGCUUGGUUUUCUCUAGGAACACGUUGAAGUUGAGGACAACGUGGGCCAUUUGAUCUACAAGACAUAUUGUAAAGAUUUUAGACUAAGUUCAUGAUAAUUAAGUUCAUCUAAUCAAAUUACUCAAUGAACUCCCACUCAGAUAGACAUCCCUCUAGUCAUCUAAGUGAAACAUGAUCCGAGUCAACUAGGCCGUGUCCGACCAUCACGUGAGACGGACUAGUCAACAUCGGUGAACAUCUUCAUGUUGAUCGUAUCUUCUAUACGACUCAUGCUCGACCUUUCGGUCUUCUGUGUUCCGAGGCCAUGUUUGUACAUGCUAGGAUCGUCAAGUCAACCUAAGUGUAUUGCGUGUGUAAAUAUGUCUUACACCCGUUGUAUUCGAACGUUAGAAUCUAUCACACCCGAUCAUCACGUGGUGCUUCGAAACAACGAACCUUCGCAACGGUGCACAGUUAGGGGGAACACUUUCUUGAAAUUAUUACGAGGGAUCAUCUUAUUUAAGCUACCGUCGUUCUAAGCAAAUAAGAUGUAAAACAUGAUAAACAUCACAUGCAAUCAAAUAGUGACAUGAUAUGGCCAAUAUCAUUUGCUCCUUUUGAUCUCCAUCUUCGGGGCUCCAUGAUCAUCGUUGUCACCGGCAUGACACCAUGAUCUCCAUCAUCAUGAUCUCCAUCAUCGUGUCUUCUUGAAGUUGUCUCGUCAUCUAUUACUUCUACUACUAUGGCUAACUCUUUAGCAAUAAAGUAAGGUAAUUACAUGACGUUUAUAUUGACACGCAGGUCAUAAAUAAAUAAAUACAACUCCUAUGGCUCCUGCCGGUUGUCAUACUCAUCGACAUGCAAGUCGUGAUUCCUAUUACAAGAACAUGAUCAAUCUCAUACAUCACAUAUAUCAUUCAUCACAUCCUUUUGGCCAUAUCACAUCACAAAACACUUGCUGCAAAAACAAGUUAGACGUCCUCUAAUUGUUUUUGCAAGUUUUUACGUGGCUGCUAUAGGUUUCUAGCAAGAACGUUUCUUACCUACGCCAAAACCACAACGUGAAUUGCCAAUUUCUAUUUACCCUUCAUAAGGACCCUAUUCAUCGAAUCCGAUCUGACUAAAGUGGGAGAGACAGGCACCCGCCAGCCACCUUAUGCAACUAGUGCAUGUCAGUCGGUGGAACCGAUCUCACGUAAGCGUAUGUGUAAGGUUGGUCCGGGCCGCUUCAUCCCACAAUGCCACCGAAUCAAGAUAAGACUAGUAACGGCAAGAUAAUUGAUAAUAUCGACGCCCACAACUGCUUUGUGUUCUACUCGUGCAUAGUAACUACGCAUAGACCUAGCUCUGAUACCACUGUUGGGGAACAUAGCAGAAUUUUAAAAUUUUCUACGCAUCACCAAGAUCAAUCUAUGGAGUCAUCUAGCAACAAGGGAGAGAGGAGUGCAUCUACAUACCCUUGUAGAUCGCACGCGGAAGCGUUCAAGAGAACAGGGUUGAUGGAGUCGUACUCGACGUGAUCCAAAUCACCGAUGACCUAGUGCCGAACGGAUGGCACCUCCACGUUCAACACACGUACGGUUGGGAAGACGUCUCCUCCAACUUGAUCCAGCAAGGAGGAAGGAGAGGUUGAUGAAGAUCCAGCAGCACGACGGCGUGGUGGUGGAAGCAACGGUGAUCUCGGCAGGGCUUCGCCAAGCGCAGGGAGACGGAGGAGUGUCACGGGAGGGAGAGGGAGAGGCCAGCGGCUUGGGUGCGGCUGCCCUCCCUUCCCUCACUAUAUAUAGGGUCCCUAAGGGGGCGCCGGCCCUAGGAGAUCCAAUCUCCUAUGGGGGGCGGCGGCCAAGGGGGUGCCUUGCCCCCCAAGGCAAGGGUGGCGCCCCCCACCCCUAGGGUUUCCAACCCUAGGCGCAGGGGGAGGCCCGAGGGGGGCGCACCAGCCCACUAGGGGCUGGUUCCCCUCCCACUUCAGCCCAUGGGGCCCUUCGGGAUAGGUGGCCCCACCCAGUGGACCCCCGGGACCCUUUCAGUGGUCCCGGUACAAUACCAAUUACCCCCGAAACUUUCCCGAUGGCCGAAACUUGACUUCCUAUAUAUAAAUCUUCACCUCCGGACCAUUCCGGAACUCCUCGUGACGUCCGGCAUCUCAUCCGGGACUCUGAAAAACUUUAGGGUUACCGUAUACUAAUAUCUCAACAACCCUAGCGUCACCGAACCUUAAGUGUGUAGACCCUACGGGUUCGGGAGACAUGCAGACAUGACCGAGACGACUCUCCGGUCAAUAACCAACAGCGGGAUCUGGAUACCCAUGUUGGCUCCCACAUGCUCCACGAUGAUCUCAUCGGAUGAACCACGAUGUCGAGGAUUCAAUCAAUUCGCAUACAAUUCCCUUUGUCAAUCGGUACGUUACUUGCCCGAGACUUGACUGUCGGUAUCCCAAUACCUCAUUCAAUAUCGUUACCGGCAAGUCACUUUACUCGUACUGUAAUGCAUGAUCCCGUGAUCAACCACUUGGUGACAUUGAUCUCAUUAUGAUGAUGCAUUACCGAGUGGGCCCAGAGAUACCUCUCCGUCAUACGGAGUGACAAAUCCCAGUCUUGAUUCGUGCCAACCCAACAGAAACUUUCGGAGAUACCUGUAAUGCACCUUUAUAGUCACCCAGUUACGUUGUGACGCUUGGCAAACCCAAGGCACUCCUACGGUAUCCGGGAGUUGCACUAUCUCAUGGUCUAAGGAAAUGAUACUUGACAUUCGAAAAAGCUACAACAAACGAACUACAUGAUCUUUGAGCCAUGCUUAGGAUUGGGUCUUGUCCAUCACAUCAUUCUCCUAGUGAUGUGAUCCCGUUAUCAAUGACAUCCAAUGUCCAUAGUCAGGAAACCAUGACUAUCUUUUGAUCAACAAGCUAGUCAACUAGAGGCUCACUAGGGACGUGUUGUGGUCUAUGUAUUCACACAUGUAUUAAAAUUUCCGAAUAACACAAUUAUAGCAUGAAUAAUAGACAAUUAUCAUGAACAAAGAAAUAUAAUAAUAACCAUUUUAUUAUUGCCUCUAGGGCAUAUUUCCAACACGAACCUGGGUAAACAUCAUGUCCCUUGUCUCCUGUUACCAUCAACCUUAGACGCACAGUUCGGGACCCCCUACCCGAGAUCCGCCGGUUUUGACACCGACAGUGGCUGCCAAUAGCCGAGCCGUCAGUGUGGCAAUUGUGGUGGAACAGAAGGAAGCAGGCAAUGAACAUCCGGUUUAGCGGCCGGUUUAUUAUAUCAGUGAGGUGCUCAUUGAAUCCAAGCAGAGGUAUCUGCAUUGGCAAAAGCUGGUAUAUGGGGUGUUCAUGGCUAGUCGAAAGCUCAAGCAAUAUUUCUUUGGUCAUCCCAUCACUGUGGUUAGUUCUGCUCCCUUAGGGGAUAUUAUUCAAAACAGAGAGGCCACAGGUCGGGUAGCCAAGUGGGCCAUUGAGCUUGGACCCCCAUGGUUUGAAAUAUACGCCUCGCACAUCUAUCAAAUCUCAAGCACUUGUGGAUUUCAUCAAUGAUUGGACAGAGCUGCAGAUGCUUGAGGAGAAGACGGAUGGAACAUAUUGGACUAUUCACUUUGAUGGAUCCAGGCAGUUGGAAGGCUCAGGGGCUGGAGUUGUUUUGACUUCCCCAUGAGGUGAUAAAUUUUGUUAUGUUUUAAGGUUGAUGUUCCCUUGUACUAACAAUGCAACUGAGUAUGAAGCCUUGCUCCAUGGUCUUCUGAUGGCUAAGGAGAUGAAUCUAAGCCGGGUGAGGUGCUUUGGUGACUUAGAUUUGGUGACUCGGCAAGUUUCAGGCACUUGGGAUUCUAAAGACCCACUCAUGGCGUCUUACCACCGAGAGGUUGAUGCUAUUGCUGGUCAUUUCAAAGGUUAUCAAGUGGAACAUGUUGAUCGCAGGAAAAAUGAGGCGGCUGAUGCUUUGAGCCAGCUAGGGUCCCAGCGUAAGCCGGUGCCACCUAAUGUUUUCCGUGAUAUUCUUCAUAACCCUUCGGUCAAACUGCCUACGGAGGAGGAUCUUGCUAUUCCUGACCCGGAGGCACAAUUGGUGGCGGAUCUUCAUGUUCUUCCUGAUUGGAUAUUUCCAUAUUUGGCUUAUAUGACCCGGGGUGAAUUACCUGAAGAUGAAACUUUGGCUAGGCAGAUAACCCGGCGGUCUAAGUCAAUGACUAUUGUCAAUGGAGAGCUGCAUCGCUGCAGUGUCACAGGGGUGUUUCAACAUUGUGUUUCUCCCGAGGAAGUUCGUGAGAUUCUAUGAGAGAUUCAUGAAGGAGAUUGUGGACAUCAUGCCGGCUCUAAGUCCCUCGUAGCCAAGGCUUUCCGUCAUGGGUUUUAUUGGCUGACGGCUCAUGAUGAUGCAGAGGAUUUGGUCAGUAAAUGUGAUGGUUGUUAGAAAUUUCCACGACGAGCUCAUGUGCCAGCCCAAGAAUUAAGGAUGAUUCCAUUUACUUGGCCAUUUGCAGUCUAGGGGCUAGAUAUGGUUGGACCUUUCAAAAGUUUCAAAGAUAAAAAGACUCACUUUUUUGGUGGCAGUUGACAAAUUCACAAAGUGGGUUGAGGCAGAGUCAAUCAGUAAGUGCGACACGGCAAUAGCGAUUUAGUUCAUCAAAAAAGUGAUUUUUCGGUUUGGCUUUCCUCACAGCAUUAUAACUAAUAAUGGCACUAAUAUGUCCAAGGGUUCUAUGAAAGAAUUUUAUCAGCGAGAGCAUAUUUGUCUUGAUGUAUCAUCAGUGGCUCACCCCCAGUCCAAUGGCCAAGAUGAAGGAGCCAAUCAAGAAAUUUUGAGAGGCAUCAAGCCCCGACUUAUGGUCCCUUUGCAGAGGACGCUGGGUUGUUGGGUGGAGGAAUUACUCUCAGUGUUAUGGAGUAUCAAUACUACCCCCAACAGAUCUACGGGUUACACGCCUUUCUUUCUGGUUUACAGAGAAGAGGCGGUUCUUCCUAGUGACAUCCGUCAUGAUUCACCCUGUGUGGCGGCUUAUGUUGAAGCUGAUAAUGAAAAAGCACGUCAGGAUGCUCUUGACCUGUUGGAUGAGGAGCGCGACCGUGCGGCGGCUCGUUCGACGAUUUACCAGCAAGAUCUGCAUCGUUAUCAUAGCCAUUGGGUUAAAACUAGAACCUUUCAAGAAGGAGAUUUGGUGCUCCAGCUCAUCGAGGAUCAAACUGACAUGCACAAGCUAUCCCCACCUUGGGAAGGGCCCUUUGUGGUCAGCAAAAAUCUGAACAACUGGUCAUACUACCUUAUCGAUGUUCGAGACCACAAGGACUCACGCACGUUGGAGGAGGAGACCCGCCGGCUGUGGAAUAUUGCUCAUCUUCGGCCUUAUUACACCUGAGCCACCGGAUCUUGUGAUGUACAUUUUUGUCAGUGUAUAUAUUAUGAUGAAUAUAAUAAAGCCGGCAUCCUUGAUAAUUUAGGGCCUCUGUCGUUUCAUUUCUGAGAAUAUGAGUCUUUAUUGUCACUUCAUAUGAUCACUUGGGAGCUUCCUGCUUAUUUAGCAUAGCUAUGACUACCCUCUUGAUCCGGCUUGUAUGCCAUGAUUACAAAAUACUUGGGGGCCUCCUCCUCAUUGAGCAUAGCUAUGACUAUCCUAUAAUCCGGCUUAUACAUCUGGAAUGAAAUAUUACUUGGGGGAUCCUGUUAAUGAACAAGAGCUUUGUUGUCCCUUGUAAUAGGCUUGGACGCCAGGUGUAUUCACCAAAAAUCCGGGUUAUCCUACCUUUGUUUGCCUGCCACUCUGACCAGGUAAUCCUGGAAUGACUCGUCAUACUCUUGAUAAUCAAUCUUAUAAAGACCCUGAAUUUGUCAAGGUUAAAAUAGGCGAUUGGUCAUGUGAGGUCUGGCUUGCGGGUUUGAAUUAAGUUUUAAAUCAGUGGCUAUGCGGCCCUUGAAUAACACUUGAGAUUGAGGCUUGGCGGCCUAUGAAUGCCUUGUUUUCUGAUUUAUAUUUGCUUUAAAUAUUUUUUGAGAUUUAUCUUUUGUUGCCAUAUUGAUAUAUGGUUGAAAAAAUUGAUUAGGGCCAUGUUGCCUUAAUGGUUCAUAUAUGAAUCUAUCCGGCGUUUUGUUAACCCAGCCUGGCUUUGGACUUUAAGUUGCCAGUGUAUGAUGAUUAUGUGCUUGGAGUACUGGCUCUAAGCUUUGGAUGUUACCCCUUACUGCAUGAUGCAUGAUAAGCCGGCAGUAUGAACAAAUAUCACAGGUAUGAUAUUUAUUUUGUUGUGAUUAUAUGAGGUUUUUGAUAAACCAGCCGUGGUUAUGGACUAUUUAGUCAUCAGUGCUUUUUAUAUGAGGCAUUCUGACCCGCCCUAGGGUAAACCGCCAGGGCACCUGUUAUCUGCUUAUGUGCAGGAAAACAGGCUAAGUAUGGUCUGCAUAAUUGAUGGUAUUAUGAGCAUAAGUGGCAGAUCUUCAAAUAAUGGAUCGGUAGUGUUAUGCAAAUAAAACAUGCACGAUGGCAUGGUAGAUCACUGUUUUAACUAGCCUAUUACAAGGCACCUGGCGGCCCAAAAGGAUAAGUGUUUUUGAGACAUAGCAUCCAAAUACUAUGGCUGGUAAACCGGGUCAUGAAUUCAAACUUCUAGUCUUGACGGGUUGAAGCCUCUGGGUCAUCCUGCGCUUCUUCUUCUUCAUCUACUUGAUCCAUUGGCUUGAAGUUAGGCGUAGCCCAGUUGAUACCGGUCAAAGCUCUAAACACAACCUCAUCAUCGAUAAGAUUUGAUGGAUCAAUGUCAGGAGCGAAGGUGUGCUUACGAGUCAGUGGGAUGAGAUCCACCUCUUGAUGAACCACCUUCUUGUUAUCAGCAUCAUAAGCCGCCUGGUAUUGAGAGAGAUUUGUUUCUUCGGACAGCUUGCUUGCUAACAGAUGCAUUUCCCUUGCUAUUUGUGCAAAAUCAUCAGCGCUGAAGGGAGACCCGUCUUAUUUCACACUGGGGCAACCGUUGGCUAAAUCUUCCAGAUCAAGAUCUGCUUGCCAUGCAUUUACCCACCUUAAGGCAGUCAUGGCGCUGGCUCUGGUGGCUGCUCACUUUAAAUCUCCAAUCCUUUGGGGCAGCACAGAUAGCCUCUCUAGUGUUUCCUUGAUGAGGGUGGGCGGAUGCUUCUUAUGAAUAGCAGCAGAGAUUGUCCGUUGAGCGCCAGUGUAUAGCUGUUCUACCAGAGUGUAGACAUCCUUAAGCUUGAUGCGCAUGUCUGAAUCCAACUUGGCGCUUUAGGAGCCUACAUCAGUAAAGUUAUUGGUAAACCGGCAGAUGAUUAUGAUAUAAUGUUAGUGCAAAGGAAGGUACUUACCGAAGAUGGCCGAUGUCAUGUUGUUAAUUUGAUGCUUUAAACCGGAAAACUCGUCAGUUAUCGGUUUAAGGGCUGCUUCGGCAUCCUCUGCUCUUUUUAGAAAGCUGCCUUCUCAAUCUCACAGCCAGUUCUAUCAGUGAUGAAGCUCUGUUUCAACUGCUCAAUGUUCUCUAAUGCAGUCCUCGGCUCUGAUUUGGCUUUUGAGGUCUCAGAUUGUUGAGUUUGAAUAUUGGCCCUCGGGUCAUUGACUUGGGUCUCCUUUUCAUUUAGUUCAGCCUGCGACACGAACGACAUGGAAGGUAUUAUGAUCAUUUCUGAAAGUCCCAAGCAUAAUACAAGUAUUUUCCUUGGCACUUAGGGGCUAAUGCCUAUUGCUCUUUUAAAGACAAGUUUAUAUCAUGACCCGGGCAAAAUGAUGUGAUCCGGUUGAUAAAGGCUACAUAGUUGGAUUCUUUUUCAGCCAUGGUGAUAAGUCCCACUUUAUUCAUGCUGAUUAAGCCAGCCCUUGGGGGCUACUAGUGCAAAGUUGACCACUGCUAAUUUGAAGUCCCGGCUUAACCUGAUAGUUUAAACCGACCCUUAGGGGCUACCAGUGCAAAGUUGAUCACUGUUAAAUUGAAAUCAUGGCUUAACUUGAUAGUUUAAGUCGGCCCUUGGGGGCUACUAGUUUUGAUUCUCAUAUAUUUAUGACUAUCUAAAAGUCUACUAUUUAUUCACUGCUAUCAUAUCCAGUAGACUUGUCGGUUGAUAUAUAUAUAUAUAUAUAUAUAUAUAUAUAUAUAUAUAUAUGGAGAAGAUGAUAAUGUUUACCUCAAAACGCUCCUUCAUCAAGUUGACCAGGCCGGCUUCAAAGUCACGGCUGGUAUAAAGGCGGUUUAAGUAACCGGAGUGAAUCUCCUGGGCGCUGAACUGGGCAUAGAUUUCCAUGCCUACCUUCCACUUGCCUUUAUCAGCAGCAGUAAAUUCUUCCUUGGCGCUAUUCUUGGAUAAGGCAGUAGGGUUACCCGGCGUUGUAUAACCAAGCCCGGUAAUGAUGACAUCAUCAGCUUUUUCUUCAGCGGGCUUGAUGGGACUGGGCGUCUUAGUGAUGACCGGCUCAACGUCUAAAUGAUCUAUAUGGUGACGUCGUGCUCUUCUGGCGGCGGGUCAUCAAUGGUAGCUUCAGCGGUUUGACGAGAGGCCUCUGGCAAUUGUUUUUCCGUCUUAGAAGGGUUCGAGUCUUCACCCGGCUUGUUUAGUUUCGCCUUCUUGCUGGGCUUGGCCACGCCACUGAAAAUAAGAAAUACAAAGAUGUCAGCAUAUCAAUCAGGCAUGAAGUUUCAAAUGAUUAAAUAUUUCUUACCCAGGAGCAACUUUGAAGGUCGGAAUCUGAGUUCCAAUUGACUUGCCAGAUGAGGAGUGAGAUGUUCCCUGAUAGUUUGAAUCAGAUGGGUUAAGAGGUUGUUGAAAAAGACUCGUCUUGGGAUAAGCUAAGUCGGGAAUGUUUGAAACCUCCGGUCCACGCUUGCGAGGCACUGGUGUGUUAGGUAAACCAAAGGAAAGAAUUCUGUCGCCGCUGUUCCGGGUUGUGCGGCGAGCUUCAUGUUGCUACUUCUUCAAAAUAAAGUUGGGAUCCAAGUAAGCUAAAGGGUGAGAAAAUCUUACUUUCUGGCUUGCAUGUCGAGUUUUCUAUGUUGGCAGAGGUUCUAAGCCGGAGAAAAGAGUAAUUACAUCUUCAUCAUCUGCACGGUUGGCCUCUGCAUCAUCCUGAUAAUGGUCAUUGUCAAUAAGAUGUACAAAGAAUGAACCAAGGGAGUCAAGUUCUACCUCCGACUCAUCAUCAUCAUCAUCAUCAUCAUCAUCAUCAUUAUUAUCCAAGUUGAAUAACUCAGUGGGAUUGGUCUUCUUCUUGGCAAGCUUUUUGAUAGCUUUGCUUUUUGUUCGAGUUUUCCUGGUCGGCUUAUAUUGCAGCUUCUUAGUCCAAAAGGUGAAUCGGCCUGCAAGAUGUUAAAUAGGUAUGAAAAAGCAACCUGAGUGAAGGUGCAAUUCAAUUGUGAAGUUGGUGAAUAACUUAUAGUUGGUGGUUUGUUAAGAAUGCAGAAGGGAUUCAAUCCGACUUUACUGCAGUCUUCCAAGCUCUCAUUUAACAGAGAUUUGGUCAUAUUAAUGAUGUCUUCGUCAGUCAAUUCAAUCUGACAGUGGCACUGAGGAUCUGAUAACUCGCUGGUGUAUUCAUGCAUUAAGCCGGGACGGUGGCUUAGAGGCAAGACUCUCCAGGCGACCCAGCAUCGAACCAGAUCAAUUCCAGUCAAGCCGUUGGCCAUCAAGGCCCGAAUCUUUGAAAAAACUAGCAUAUACUUCUUUCGCACUGCUAUAGUAAUGCGAUCUGGAAGAGGGUGCAUGUUGCUAAGUCGGCUGGCACGAUAACCUGGCAGAGGAUUUUCCCCUUUUGGAGAAGUGUCUUUGUAAUAAAACCAGGUUUGGUUCCAGUCUUUGGGAUGACUGGGCAAUGUGGCAGCUUGGAAAGUGGCUUAUUUCCGUAGUUGUAUGGAAAUGCCGCCUAGCUCUAGGCUGGGCUCAUAUGUGAAUUUGUUCUGCCGGUUUAAAUAAUAAAACUCCUUGAAUAGUUCUACGGUGGGCUCCUAUUGAAGGUACACCUCGCAGAAUACUUGGAAGUUGUGGAUGUUUGAAACGAAGUUUGGACCGAUAUCUUGUGGAUGGAGCUUGAAGAAAUGCAACACAUCACGAAAGAAUUUUGAGCCGGGAGGGCUGAAGCCCCGAAGCAUAUGAUCAAUGAAGACAACUACUUCACCAUCCUUGGGCUCAGGAGGAGUUUUAGUGCCUGGGACCCUCCAAUGGAUGACAUCCUUUUUGGCCAGGACGCAUGUCUGAACAUAUUCAUUCAAGUCUUCCUCGGUGACUCGAGAAAUGACCCAGUUGCAGGCAGUGACAAUUUUGCCCAUUUGGAGAUUGAAAGCCUAAAAGAGAGAAACAUUACCGAUUUAAGACUACAUUGUUAGACUUAGACCGGACCAUGGCUUCAAAGGCAAGGUGCUAUAAACGGCUGACAGGUUAAGCCGGGAGAUGGACAUUGAAGUACGUAGAUAUUCAUAUUAGCGGCUUAAAAGGGGACUAAUGGUACCUACCGGAUUAAGGUUUCUACUAUUAAGCCAGACAGAGUUUAAAAGUCAAGUGUAUUGUGCAGAGCCAAAUUAUGAGGAUGAAUAAGCAAGCAUGGUUAAGCCGAGGAGUAUUGUCGGGUUAUGCAGGCUAUAAAGCAUAUGACGGCAGUUUAAGCAGGGCCUAAUGUUAUAUGGUGGAUCACGGUUUACGGUAUAAGCCGCCAUGGCAGUUAUGGUACUUCAAAUCUAUCAAUGAAAAUUUUGCUAAGUGAUGGACAAACAGAUUUCAUAGACUAGAGCUAUGGUUUUGGAUCUACAAGUAGUUUAGAAAAGACAGUAAAUUCUAAGCCUAAGGUGGCGGCAGCAGAAAAGUUCAUGUGCUCCGAUGGGAUUUUCUAUGGAGAGCAAGUAUUCUGAUGUUAAAAACGAAUGCUAAAUUGCUACCGCAUGAGUUUCAUAUCAUGUUCAGAUCAAAGGCUACUCGAACUAAAGGAGAAGAUGAAGAAUGGUGAAGAACACCGAUGAACAAGGCUAACCCUAAUGCAGAUCUGAGGUUGAAGGAGAUGAACACUUAUGGUUGCAGAUGGACUGCGGUGGAGCGUGGAUGUUCUCUGGACCCGUCAGGUUGAUGCAGCGGCCUAAGUUGGUGCAGCGGAUGGAGGACGACGGCGGCGGAGCUCGAGGCUGCAAGGGAGUCGUGAGAGGAAGACGAAGACGAGGAGGCAAGGGGGGAAAUGAAAAGGACCCCGCCCCAAUUUAGAAGGGGAUGGAUACAGGGCAUGCACAGGAAUCGAGGAGGCCGAAAUCAUCAUGUGUCUAUAUGGACGCCUCGAUUUUCAGGUGAUCAUUAAGAUAAGGAUCAGUUAAAGAUGUUUUGGGCCUCAUGCGAUGUUAAUGCGAAAUGACAUCAUGGCGGGUUAAGGAAAUUCUAUGAGCUGACAUCACGGCGGUUUACAGCAAAUUUGUUAAAAGGACGAUGCAAGAUUUGACAAGUUAGGUAUUAAAGAUUGAUGUGAACAAAGUUCAGAUCAACCUGGGGCCUAAUGUUAGGGAUAGAACUACUGGGUAUGAACCAUCCAUGAGGGGUCGGGUCAUACUACUGGCGACUUAUCAAUGAAGAUGGCGGGUCAUAGCAAGCCCAUCGACGGCCCAAGACCCAGAAGCGACUUGAGGCCCAAGUGGAUGAGCCUCCAUAUGUAUAACUUGUAUUAUAAGCCAAGCUUAGUUAGUCACCGAGCCGGACACGUUGUGUAUGAGCCGGCCGGAACUCUGUAAGCCGUCGGGCAUCAACCUGUGUAUAUAAAGGGGUGACCUGGCAGCGGGUCAACUCAAGUAACAAACAAUCGAGAGCUAGCUAGGUCAAGCGUAUUCGCUCCCUAGUAAUCAAAACCCUAGCAAUACAACACAAUGCAGGAGUAGGCUUUUACCUCGUUGAGAGAGGCCGAACCUGGGUAAACUCUCUGUGUCAUUUGUCCUGUUUAACCCCUUCAAGCUAACCUAGUUGCGAUGGCUCCACGACUAAGUCCUUGCGCUAGGACAUCUGUCGUGUCAAGUCCACGACAGUAAAGUUGGAAUACAGUAGGUAUAAUGCAAUAAUAAAAUCUGAAUGGGUUUGCAACAGUACUUAGAGUGGUGAUUUGCUUUAUUAUACUAAUGGAUCUCAUUAAGGUUUUGUUAAGUUUUGUGUGAUUGAAGUUUUCAAGUUUUGGGUGAGAUCAUGAUGGAUGAAGGAAUAAGGAGUAAGAAGAGUCUAACAUUGGGGAUGUCCAUGGCACCCCAAGUUAAUAUUCAAGGAGAACCAAGCAACUAAGCUUGGGGAUAUCCCGGAAGGCAUCUCCUCUUUAUUCUAACGACCAUCGGUAUCUUACUUGGAACUAUAUUUUUAUUCGUCGCAUAUCAUGAGUUUUGCUUGGAGCGUAUUAUAUGAGUCUUUGCUUGUUUUGCUUUUUAGUUUGUCACAAGUAUCCUUGCUAGACACACCUAUUUGAUAGAGCCAAAAUUACGCUAUGAUUUAUUAGAACUAGUGGUUGGGGCGCCACCCUGUGGCGCCACUUGAGAGAAAGUUGUCUGCACAUUUUCAUUUAGAAAAAUAGACGGAGUCCUCGCCGCCAUAUAGAAAAGCAUUAAAAAUCCUCACCUCCAUCUAGAAAAAGAAGUAAGAAAGAAAAGAAGAAAAUAAAAAUCAUCAACGCAACCUACCAGCGAGUGCCACUUUGCGUAGCCCUUCAUUUUUUUAAAUGUGUGGGGUCAUCACCUCCAUCUAAAAAGGAAAAAACAUUAAAAAAUCCUCACCUCCAUCUAAAAAUAAUAUCUCAAAAGGUUUUUUUACGGUAGCCAACCAGCCUGCGCCACGUGGCAUAGUUGGUUGGCUGCCCUUCACGCGAUGCUUAAUGGGUUUAAUUGCUCUUUAUACUUCACUUAAUUUUUUUUAAUUUUUUGAGCCAUGGAAUUUCUGUAGUGUUUCACUUAUAUAUUUUUUAGAACGGUGUGUUUAAUAUGUUUGAAUAAAUACUCUCAUGCUUCACUUCAAUUUAUUUGAGAGUUAGUAAUUUUAAAGAAAUUCUCUCAUGCUUCACUUAUAUUAUUUUGAGAGAUGAAAAUCUUUAUGCUCAUGUUCUUCACUUAAAUUUAUUUUGAGCUUGUCAAAAGCAAUUGCAAUAUAUGCAUCUAGUCCCAAAGUGAUAGAUCUUCAAGAGGGAUAUAAUAAAAACUUUCAUGAAGAUCAUUGGACAAAUUAAAAUUGAUUCCUUGUAAUAGUUUUGAGAUAUGAUGAUAGUGAUAUGUGAUUCAUGUUGGUGAGUAAUUAUGCUUUAGUAAGACUAUUGGUGUUAAUGUUUGUGAUUCCGUAUGCAAGCACGAAAGUCAAUAGUUAUACAAUGAAAUUAAUCCUACUUGUGGUGCAUUAUUUGGUGCCUAAUGUCAGAUCAUGUUUUCUUCAUGUUUUUGGUUUUCCAGAAAACCAAUAUCUAGGGAGGUCAAAUUACAUUGCCAAUUAAACACGGUUUUUUCGGUCGACGAAGGACCCAUGAAGCUUAGGGAAGGAACGAGAGGAGCCGUAGGGGGUCACACGGCCAUGUGGCGCGCCCCAGGCCUAGGGUGCACCACUAGGGCGUGUGGGGCUCACCUACACCGCCUUACAUUGAUUUCACCGCCAUAUAAUGUAUAAGUACUGAAACAUUCCGCCAUAUUUUUAGAAACAUUUUACUACCACCACAAGUUCCUAUUUUGCAAAGGUCCAAUCUGGGGGCCUGUCCAGAGCUCUGUCGGAGGGGGAAUCCACUGCUGGAGGCUUCUUCAUCAACCUUGCUACCUCCAUGACUAUGUGUGAGUAGUUCUACUAGGACCUUGGGGUCCAUAGUAGUAGCUAGAUGACUCUCUCUCACAUUUGGAUUUUCAACACCAUGUUCUCGUGAGCUGCCUUACAUGAUUGGGAUCGAUUUUAUGUAAUUCUUCGAUGUGUUUGUUGGAUAUGAUGAACUGUCACUUUAUGAUCAGAUUAUUCAUUGAAAUCAAUUGAAAUCUUGAGGUUUCCUUGCAUGCUCCUCGAUCUAUCUAUCUUCUUUGGCCAAGUUAGAUGAUGUUGUCACUAAGGAUAGAUGGUGGUGUCUCAUCAUAUUGAUUGAUGUUUUACCGCCUACAAAUUGAAGUGAAAUGGAAUGAACCACCAGAAGUAGUCGUAAUACCUAUCGAUGGUCGAGGACGUCGACUUGCGGCAACCAGUAGGAGCUACAAGAAAGUAGAUCUACAGGAUCGCAGCAGAAAGUAAGAAGACCAAGGGAAGAGAUUAAGCAUAAAGAAGAUACGAUAUGUGUCCAGUCCGCAACCCAAAAUAAAUGUUGGGUAACUCGGAGUACCUAGUUGGAUAUGCCCACGAAUAAAAUAUAAUGUCCAGGCCAGCACGUUUCAAAAGCAGAACACAAAAUAUUACAGUAUAAAUCUUCACCUAAUAAUAAAGCACGAACAAUUUCUGCCCGCACACCCGUCGUGACAUUUUUGCAAAAAAAACCCUGCUAUUUUCUGUAUUCAACCCGCAAUCCCCACUUAAGUCACAGCCCGAACACUUAUUUUACAUGUUUUCAAAAACACCCCUGAGCUAAUAGAUAAUUCAUCCGCGGAUCAUAUUUAAGUCAAACAAAUGCUUUUUUAAAUUAUCCAUAUCUUUUAAACCGUAACUCCUAUUUUAACAUGUUAUAUAUGAAAUUUGAUUAGAAAAAUAUUUAGAAUAGGAAUAUGAUGUUAUUUUUAUCCGUUACAUAUUUUUAAAUAUUUUUUGAAAGAUAUUUAAGUUAAACAAAUACAUCUUUAAAUUAUUCGUACCUUUUAAACUGUAACUCCGAUUUGAACAUGUUAUAUAUGAAAUUUGAUUAGAAAAAUGUGUAUAAUAUGAAUAUGAUGUUAUUUUUACAUGUUAAAUAUUUUAAAAUAUUAUUUUAUUUUGGAAGCAAACUUAUAAUCUAUAGCACACGAUCCGUUUUUCUUUCGUACCAGCGGCGAUCCGGAUUGCAAAUAAACACCCACUAAAACCAUAUAGGGAAAAGAAAACAUCGAUAACUACACAUGCAUACCUUGAAAAAACCUUCUGAAGAAAAACAACAGAUUUCACAUCGCAAGAGUGAGAGAAAGCGAACGAGAGAGAGAGAGAGAGGAGGGAGGGAGGAGAGACGCAUUAGGAUUAACCACAUUCAAACAUGUUUUGGUUUGUGUGAACACUGAAGCCACCGCUGACGAGGGUGAGAAAGAGGAUAAGAGGCAACACAAAUAUGAUGCCUCGCUAAAAUAAAAAAGAUGGACCUAUUAUUGUCUUGAGUGAUGGUUGUUGGGUUAAGAGCGUGUGUUAUUUUUUCUUCCGUUGCAACGCACGGGCUCUUUUGCUAGUUUCUUCUAAAAGAACUUGAUUGAACAAACAGAGUUAACCAUAGGAGCCCAAAUGAAAUCAAAGCUUAGGGAAGUCAUUGUAGUUGGAAGAACGAAAUGUGUUAAAGAAUUACUUAUUUACCAAACUCAUCAGACGGUUUCAUAAGUUCAUAUUUGGUCGUACGGGUACUGCUUUCUUGAAUGUAAAGAUAGAUUUCUCAUAGAUGAUAGCAUGCAUCGCAAGGCGGUAGAAAGUAGCGAAAACACAAUGUAUAGUAUUCAUGGAAAGGGAUGGAAUGAACUUGGGAAAGGACAUAAGAGGAUGAACUGAUGAGUAUAAAUAAAAUAAGGGGAAAUACUCCAUUUGUUCCCUUAUACAAGGCCACUUCAUAUUUUAAUAUCUAACUUUGACCGUUACUUUUACCAAUAGAAAUGGUAGUAUACCACAAAAAGUAUGUCAUUGGAUGCACAUUUUAAAGAACUUUGCAAUGAUAUAUGUUUUAUGACAUCUAAUCCAUAUUUUGUUGACCCAGAUUAUAAGUUAAAGUUUGACACAAAAAACGAAGUGACCCUGUAUAAGGGAAUGGAGGGAGUAAAUGAAAUGGAAGAAGACGCAAUAGCGAAUGAAGAAAAUUAGAAGGUUGAAAGGAAAACACGGGUAUAGGAAUGGACAAGCAGUAGAUGAACAUGUGAACGCGGAAGAAGAUGAAUAGUGCUCCCUCCGUUCGAAAAAGUUUGUCCUUCAAAUGGAUGUAUCUUGUACUAAGUUGAUGUUAGAUGCAUCCAUUUGAGGGACAGGCUUUUUCAGACAAAGGGGGUAUGAAAUAACUGCUAAAACAGAACGGGGUGACGGAGCAUAAGAGACACGGCCAUAAAAGUACAUGUGAAGGACAUAUUUGUACAGAAAAAUCAUGUAUAUCGUCUCGUAUUCACACAUUUAAGAAUUUCCUUCCAUGUUUCAACGAAAUUCUAUGAAAGACACGUGCACAUAUCACAACGCACAUCAAUGGCGAUAGGCGUUUCCACAUGUGUGUGCCCCUGCAAAUUUUCGUUGUAUUGUAUUGACUCCAAACAAAAGCUGGUUAGCCACCGGGUAACGUGUGAGAAUUGAAGUUGUGCUGAUUGACCCAAUUCAUCUAGCAUGAUUGUGUAAUGACUUUCUUGUUGAAUCAUGAGGACCCACUAUAUUGCCUUAUCCUGAUUUCCAUUUUGUGCCAACACUCAGACCACAACCGUUACACUUAUUGAAUUUUAUUUUAUUUUUGAAAAUAUGGUCCAAAAAAUCUGAAAUUUGGCAUGGUGUCAUAAUAUGGUUGUCGUAUUCUCUUAGCCAACUUGACGCAACUUGUAUGCAUUAACUGACCUCAUAGGCAUUUUCAAUAUCGCCCAUAAUUACCCCCCUAUGUGUAUCUCACGGUUUCAAUCGCGGCCAUGUCACGAAGGAUUGCUCAUCGCACACGAUUUUUUUUUGUCGAAUCGUGCGCGAUAGUACGUCACACAUAUUUGCGUUCUAUAAGUAUGUACCAGUAUUCAGUGAACGAGUUGGCACAAAUCACAAAGCUUGACUGAGAAUAUUCAUCCACAAUUUUCCCAUGUCCACAAGCAUAUAGUACAUCCGGAAGGAAAUUGCAUUCGUCCAUACCAAGCGGGAAAAUGAAGACUAGCCAUCUGUGAUGACAAUUGGCUAAUUUCGAAUGCAGCUGAUCAUGCUCAAAAGUCUACCAUGCAUGGUUCAUCCGUUCAUUAAUUUACAAACAGUUCACUCAAAAUAAACAUGAACACCAUGCAUGCAUACAAACACCGCACCGCCACCAUUGUUGUGAUGAUCUUGGCCUCGUGAGGAGGAGGCAAAGGAGCUCGACAAGCCAAAGACCUCCACCAGGUGCGUGCCGACAACCAUCCGGGCUGUCUUGGCCACGGGGGCCGCCGCUAUCGCCAAGGCUGUGUCAAUCAUCAUCGUGCUCUUGCCAAGGCUGCCGCCAGGUGAGAACAAAUGAUUAUGAGGUAGCAUCUUCUUGAAACUUUUACCAUAGAGAAGUGUUAGAGUAGAUAGCUUACAUUAUUUUAAGAUCUAACAGCAUGUUAUAAUGUGUGAUGUCCUGUAGUUAUAAUAUUUCUUAAAGAAACGAUACAAAGUAAAACUUACAGUUUUCUAGUUACUAGCAAAUAUGCUCGUGCGUUGCAACGGGAAAAAAGAAUAAGCAUAUGAAAUAUGCUCAGUGAGUUCAACCGUCUUUAAUCAUUGAUAGAACUUCCACAAUGUGAGUUGAUUCUAAGUAAAUCCAUAUGAACCCGUUAAACCUUUGCACAUUAUGGAUCCGACCAAAAGCGCAUUAUCAACUGGGUCAUUUCUUGUCAUUCAUGAAAAAAUUAUUAUGGGAAAUUAAUGAAUAAAGGCUAACUUUUUUCGUGAUAAAUAGCACAAACUAAUGAAAAUAUUAACACAGAUGUUAGUUAUCCAUCAUCUCUCAACUUGAAAAAAAUGAUGCGGCAUGUCGGUAUGUUCGACCAGACCCGAGGGAGACAUUAGAUCAAUCAAAAAUGCUUUCCUCCUUCGUGCCGUAUUGUCCACCUAUAGUGUUUCCACAUCUCUACAUUCCGAUGCCGCAAGGGUCAAAUGCAGAGCUCCUCAAGCUUUCUGACUUUCAGAACAGAAGCAAGGUUUCCCAUCAACAAAAAUAAAUAUAUAUCAUAAUAAAAUCAUUGUUAUGAAGGAUGAAAAUGUGCAUCUAUAUUACUUCCCUUAUAGCAUCAGAAGUCAUUACCUCUAAAAAAACCAUCAGAAAUUCAAAACAAAACAGUAAUGCAUGGCCCAACUAAAUCAGCCACACACAUGGGGCAGCCCUUUAUUUUAGGUCCAUGGGGCGUCCGGUACACAUGGGGCAUCCUUUUUUUACGUGCAUGGGGCAUCCUUUUUUUUUCGUGCAUGGGGCAGCGAUUGUGCGGAGAUUAGUAUUUUGUAUUUAAAGUGAGCAGCAGUCCGGUCUGCCUUUCAAUUUAUUUAUUUAGUGAAAAUCCGCUUGUCCUAUAGUAUAGAAGAAGUUUCCUUUGCUCAACCAAAGAUGUUGGUUGGGUGAGUUGGUUACCUGCUAAGGUCAAUUCCUGGCCACCAUGGUUUGAGGCAACAUUAGCGUAGUUUUUUUUUUCUUUUUUAAACAAAAACGGAAACACCUCUUGAACGGACGACGUACAAAACCGAUCUGAUGACAAAAAAUAGUGGAGAAACAAUCGUCCUUUUUAUAUUAGGUAGAGAUAUGAUGCUUGUAUUGACUUAAUGUCGUAUCUAGAGAAUACGAGUGUCAUAAUUACACAUUCGACAUCUGCAUGACUAUAAUAUAUACAACCAACAGAAACACACACGUGAAAAAGAAAAUGUGAGCUCGAUAAGCCGUAACCACCUUCGGUUGUGCGGCUCACGAACGACGUCAAAGACGACGCUACACCUUGGGCUCGCGCUGGGGCCAAGGCGCCUGGCUAGCUGAUCACCGAGACGUAGGUUUAGUAGUUGGGCCGCGCUUGCGCUUCUCAUGCGCUCUUCUAUGCCUUGCAUGCCGCCUGCGUGUUCGUCCUUGCGAGGCUGUUUUUAUAAUGACUGCUAUAAAUCCUCUUCUACCAACACAAUAAUACACAAGUCUAUUCUGUAUUCGUGAGAGAAAAAAAAGCCACAACCACCGAUAAGCCACAGUAGGCAGUAGCGACGACGCAAGCAUAUUUUGCCACUUGCCCUAGCCGCCCAAGUGGAUAUACGCUUUUGAACAUCGCCCGCCCAAUGAGGUUAUGAUCUAGACAUCUAGUUCUAGAUUACUGUAAACCCAACUGCCCAAACAAAUCGACCAAUGUAUAUCGGGAAAUCGCAUUGAACCACUCGUUGUCAGAAGUAGUAUGCAUAUGUACUGGAAAUAAAAGAAAAUUGUCCCACUUGUAGCUAGCAAGUCAUGAACUCGUGAUACAUGCAUCUAAUUAUUUUUUCCGGCAUCUUCUUGCGGAUCCUUGAAAUAGAUACCCAUGCAGUUCAAAAAAAAAGAAGAUAGCCAUGCAUUCUUUCCACGUCCCCAGGCUACAAAUACCGGUCAAAUUCCAGCACUCUUCAUCAAUCUCGAGCCACCUACUAGCUAGUCAUGGCAUCUUCCAAGAGCAGUCUUGCAAUGUUCGCACUGGCCAUAGUCAUGGCCGUGGUGGCUGACGUCUCGGCGCAGAACACCCCGCAGGACUUCGUCAACCUGCACAACCGCGCCCGCGCCGUGGACGGUGUCGGCCCGGUGGCGUGGGACAACAACGUGGCCAGGUUUGCGCAGGACUGGGCGGCGCAGCGCGCCGGCGAUUGCCGGCUCCAGCACUCCGGCGGGCCGUUCGGCGAGAACAUCUUCUGGGGUUCCGGGCAGUCGUGGACGGCCGCCGACGCGGUGAAGCUGUGGGUGGACGAGAAGCAGAACUACCAUCUUGACAGCAACACCUGCGACGCCGGCAAGGUGUGCGGGCACUACACGCAGGUGGUGUGGCGCAAGUCGACCCGCAUCGGCUGCGCGCGCGUGGUCUGCGCCGGGAACCGGGGC
rnacentral:lncRNA from 1 species